GGAAGAUAUUCCAGACCUUGAUUAAGGUGUACUUUAGAGCUCAUAAUUGGAGCAUCAUCAUACUUAAGCAUAUAUAAUUUCAGCAGUCCAAUUUUUGACAUAUUUGCAAAGGCUUGAGCAUUAGAUGUAUGCCUCUUAUUUUGGACAAAUUGAGGAAUAUAUCUUCAAUUGCAUUGGUCCCCUUAUAAAUACAGAAGCAAAGAAUGAAUUAGCAUAAGAUUCACAAAUAAAUUUAUAAAGAAUCUCCUUAAUUCAAGACAAUCUGCAAUCGUUCCAACAUCAACAAAAAUUGCUGGGCUGUUUGCACCCUUUUAGGUCUUCAUUACAGUCAAUUUAUACCCAAAACUUUUCUAAUUUCGAAAAAUAUAUUAUAUUCUAACACGCUACAAUAUUACAAAAUUGUAAAUUAUACUGUAAACUUGUUCUCUUGACACACACUAUACAUCCUCAUCUCUUCUUCUGAUCAUCUUCUACAAUUUUUUACCCCUCUAAAUCCAAAAGAGAAGAUAAAUUUAAGGAAAUUUAAUAAAACACGGUUAUUACCCAUUCAUUGAUUGCAAUGGUGCUAUCAUAAAAUAGAGACUAAUAGGAGCCACGUGGUUUCGGUAGGAAAAUUAUAGCUGUUUAUAGCUCCAUCCAGGAAAAAAAAAUUAAAUAGAUAAAUUCUUGCCUUAUUUUUCUUCACCACAGGAGAGACAUCUUCAUAAUACCAAAUCUGCUACGUUUGCGUGGCUCUAUGAUAGAUUGUUGGCGAACAAUGUCUUGACCCGUUUCUUGCAAUUAGUCAUGCAUUUGCCACAUAUUGGAAUAUGAUAACGAUAUGAGUGACUUAUCAACAAGCACAUUUAAUACGCUAAUAAAGCCAUCUAGUAUUCUUAGUGCAGAAUCUUCAUCAUCUCCUACAAAGAAGCAAGCAAUAUCUAGAAACAUAUUCUUUUCUUCUGACUUUAGGUCAUUAUAACUUAUUUUCAACACAUCAUUGAGAACUAUAAAUAAUUCCAUCUGUUGGAGCCUUUCCCUCGUAUAUUCAGGAAGAUCAGAAGUUCUUAUUUUGAUAUUUUCUUCUAAUAUUUUAGAAAGAACUAGUUCUCGUAGAUAAACCAAUGCACCUCCUUUCUCUAAUUCUUUCCUAACAUUUGCCAUUAAGCACUUGUCUUCGAAUUCCCAAGAAAUUAAAUUGAAAAUAGCACCGGCAAGGGUUUUUCCCUCUACCACCCAUUCCCUAAAUUCCAACAAUUCGAAAAUUUGGCAAUCCGAUGCAGAGCAACAAUUAAUUUCCUCAAUUCAUGAAUUUAGUCCGACUAAGCCUUUAAAAUCACUAGAGAAUGAUUUAUCUUUUAAUUUCUUCAAAAUAUCAUUGAUAAUUUCCUCAAUGUGAUUGAGAUUUAUUCUUUAAUCCAGAUUUAUGGUUUUAAUGAUAGCUCUGUUUUAAUUUUUUUUUAAUUUUAUAAUGGUUGUUGUUAAGGAUUGUAGUGUAGAUGUUAUGCAUUUGAUAACAUUGGGUAUUUUGAUUGAUUCUGUAUAGAUUUAUUUACUGGUUUGGUUUGGAAUGUUGCUGGGUAUGUGGCUGGAAUUAGAGUGUUAUUGGAAGAUGAUGGGUUGCUGGGUAUUGGUUGGAGUGUUGCUGAGUGUCGGCAUUGGAGUGUUGGAGUGUGGCUGUUGGAGUAUUCCUACUGGCAGAGGGCUGGAAGUCAAGCUUAAAGUCUUGCUGUUGGAAUAUUUCCAUUAAUUUUUGGGAGUUUUGUUGGGUAACUUGGCUUGGUUUCUGGGGUUAUAACUUAACUGUGUUGUUUUAUAUUUGGAAUUUUUUUUUAAUUUAAGAUGUUUUAUUAUGCAUUCAUGGUGAUUACAUUGGAUACUAUAUCUAUCUCUUUUGAAUUUGUUUGAUUGAAUGGAUUUUAAUUAAUAUUAUUUAUUUUUAGUUUUUAUUCCCAUAUUCGUUUUAUCAAUUUAUUAAAUAUGUAAACAGGAAUUAAUAAAUUAUAAUUAUAAUAUAAUUGUUUUUAAAAAAUAUAACUCUAUGACAGGAAAUAGUCAUCAUAAAGUCUAUCAUAAAAAAAUUUCUGCCAAAAUUACAGAUAUAUAUUAACAAAUGAUAAUUGAACUUCCCACCAAAAAUUUAAAAAAAAAGGCGUGAAAUUUAAAUAAAUUUUAAUUUUAAUUAAAUUAUUUUUUUACAUUAAAAUAUUGUGUGAUGGAUAUAUGAUCGUAAAAUAUCAUCAUAAAUUCAUGAUGGAAAAAUAUUUUGUCAUAAAUUAAUGACAGUGACAUAUAUGACGGAUGUAUUGUCUAUCAGGCACCCCAUUUUAUGAUAGUUAUUUUCCGUCAUCUAUUACCUGUUUUCUUGAAGUGCGAUAUAAAUUAGUGCGACUUAAUUUACAUAAUUAACGAGGCAACACUAAAAAACACAAAUUAAUCCUCAAAUUUGGGAGGAAAUUAUGCAGUUAUUUUUUCGGUUCUCACACUAAUGAAAAUGCACAGUAAAUGUAUACCAAGUUAACUCACAAUCAGGCCAAAUUAGUUUGAAGAACAAAACAAUAUCUAUCUUCGAGAAACUUAAGUCUUCACCAUGUUCUUUUAUUAUAUUCUCACACUCACAAACAUUAGAAAAAGCAUUUCCCCAGCAUGCUUACUUCAAGAAUCUUGCUUGUUUUUCUGCCCUUCAAACUUAUCUAUAGCUGCCUGCAGUUCAUUCGUGCCUUCAACGGCUCUCGUAGUGUAGUAAUGAACUGUAAAGGCAAAUGCUGUCAAGCUCCCAGCAACAACCAGAUUCUUGGUCUUUGGAGCAAGGGUAUUAAAUCCCAUAAGCCCGGCCAUCUCGCAAGCAAUAAACCUCUGCCUAUGUAGUUAUACGUUCAAAGGUGCACAAUGAAAAAUAAAAUGGGAAUCGAGUUAGUCUAACUUCUAAAAGAUAUAAAUAGUAAUGAUACCGUGAAGCAACUCAGAUACAUGUUGCCACCUAAAAUCAUUCCUCAGCAUAAACAACAAAUUCCGUUUAGGAAGUUCUCAGUGAAGCACUGCCUGUAGACAAACAUGCAGGGUGCCAAUCUCUACGAACAUAAUAUGAUUGAGCUCGAACCUCCAAUGCACAAAAAUGCAUCGGAAUUGGUACUAGAGUUACGGUUACAAUAACUCUAUGUGGAGACUAUAAAUUCUAGAAAGUCCAUAAUUCCUUUAUGCACCGCCAAAUACUAUGAUUGAUGUAAUCCGACGGGGCAAAUGGUAUGAGGUGAGGAACGUCACGGCACAGUAGAUCCACGCUUUAUCAAUAUUUUUUUAACUAAUUGCUAACAUAAAUACUGUCAAACAUGUUAUUUCGAUAAUCUUUUGUGGGUGUUUUUAAUAGAUUGGGGUCAUUAGGCACUUGCAGCGCACAUUUAUGCAACAAUCAUAGUAUUGCAAUUGGUCACUUUCUAGUGAUGAAAUCAUUCAUCGCUAAAGACAUCUUUAGCCAAAAAAAAAAAUUGUUUUGUAUCAAAAAAUAAGAUAUAGCAAGUCCUCGUAAAAAAAUUACUUACGGCAAUGAAGAAUUAUUUUUCGUAUUGUGGGUAUCAAAUUAAUGGGUUCUUUGAAUCUAAUAUCAGCUGAUGCUGAUGGUGGUGCAAUUAGCGGCAAUGAAGAUGGCUAGCAGGAAGGAUUGCACAUGCCCUAGGUGCCCGUACCAAUAUGGAUAAGAUCAUGCCACAUUAAUAUUACUUGAUAUUAUUUUUAUGGUCUGCAAGAGAGUUAUGGAUAUUUCAUAAGGUGAAAAUAUUUUGACAGUUUAACAUUAGAAAAGCAAGGACAAUGCACACAUACGUCAAAGCACAAUAUUGAACGAACAUUGGAUUGCAUAAUCUUAAAAUUUUAACAUAAUAAUUAGUGUAAAUAUUAAACUUUAUAGAAUCAUUAAAUAUUAUCUAUUUUAAUGUAAAAAUUAAAAUUUUUUAUAUUUUCUCUAAAAUCUGUCAAAUAUUAAAGUCGUCCAGUUUUUUAUUUAAUUUUAAUUAAUGUAAAUGAACGGAAUUACAACUGAAUUCAAUUUGAACAAUACAAAUUACAUGUAAAUUUUCCUUAUUCUAUUCUAACUUAUAAAUAACUAAUACAAACCGAACACAAUGAAAUUACUCUUACUGCCUCCAAUCAUGGGGGUAACACUAUGUUUGCUCAUUUUGAAUAUUCAAUUAGGAUAUUUAUAAUGUGGCAUCUUAUUUCUCAUCCAUUAAGUGGAUUGUAAAAUAAUAAAAAUAAUAACAAUUAUUAUUAUAAUAAAUCAAUUAAUAUCACACCAUGUUAUAUCACCUUUGCGUUAGUAAAUUUCCCGCCACGUCGAGUCCUAUGAGUUGCUAUAUAUAUUCCAAUUUUGGAAAUUCUUGUCUUGAAACUUGAUGGCUCGAGGGAAACAAGGGAUAUUAUGAUAAUUAUAAACAUAACAAUCACUAAAAUAUUAUAAAUAUUUCAUUUAAACUCUUUAAGCUUUUAUAAUUUUCAUAUAAUGAUAGAGUUUUUAUUUUAUUUUCAAGUAUCUCCUCAAUUCAACUUUUUUUUUUCCAAAUUUGAGUAAGAGGCUUAUUUUAUAAAGAGAUUAAAACCGAAAUCACUGGGUGGCUAAAUGUUAGUGUUGCUGUAUAUUAUUAUAAAAAAAUGUUAAUGCUUGCUCUAAUUGACACAUUAUAACAUUAUCACUAUUAUUAGAAAAGUUGCAAAGCUAUUUAGUAACAGUUAAUUAACAAUACUUAUCAUAUGUUCAUGAUUUAUUUCCUCUGUAGUCAUACUUGUUCUUUUUCUUUUUAUUAAAUUAAAUUAUUCAAAUAUAUCACAUUCUUUCUCACUAAAAUAAAUAAAGAAUUUCAUUAACAAAACUUCAUUAUGCAAAGAAUUUUAUCUGACGCACUCAGUUACGGUAUUAUUAGAUAACCUGCCACCUUUUUUAUCAUUUAUGAUUGAAAUUUUUUAAGCAAAUGUUUAAUUAACUUCAUUAUUCAAGAUCAAUUACAUUUGUAAGUUUAUCAUGUAUUAUAUGAUUUUAUUUGAGUAAUAUGACCAGAAAGUUGAAUAUAUAAGCUGGUACAAUAUGAGAAAUAUGCUUCUAUCUAAAUUGGAACGACUUGAUUUACAUAUUUAACGAGUGAACCUAAAAAACUAUAAGGCCAGCCGAACGCUAACUAGAAAAUUAUACAAUUAUAAUUUGUGAGCUAUAAACAAAUACAGUCUGAAGAUACCACUUAUAUCAUGAAAGUUGGGCUCAAUUUUAUAAAGCCUAAAAGAAUUUUAAAUGGGCCAUUCACUAUUUUUACUCCAAGUUAAGCUUUUGACACCCCUGAGAAGUUCUUAUAAAAGCCCUCCACGAUGUUUACGAUUUUACUCUUUAAUUGAAAUUACAAUAAAAAACAAAGACUUACUAAUUAAAUGUACACAUAAUUUGUUUUUAAUUGGAUACUUUUUAGUCAAAAUCUUUUUAGGGUCACGAUUCGUGUCCCCAAAACAGAAGGUUUCAUCAUGGGAUUGAAAUCCUCUCCUAAUCUAAAUACUUCUGAUCUUUUACAAAUCUUGUACCACAUGUAUAUUUAGUGUCUGUUUGGUAUGACUUAUUUAAGAGUUAUAAGUGCUUAUUUAAUCCUAUAAGCACUUUUUAAAAUUUUUUAUGGUGUUUGGUUAUUUUUUGAGUAGAAUUUUUUAGCUUAAAUAAGCUAAUUUACCUCUACUAGUAAAAGCCCAAAAUUUGAGCUUUUGAGAGUAGAGGUUAGAGAACUUUUCCAAAAAAAAUUAUAAUAUAAAAAAUAUCCUUAACAUAUUUCAUUAAUUAUAUACUACCCUUUGUAUAAAACCCAUCAAACGAAAAUUGUUGCCGCCAUAUAAACAUAUUGUUGCCGCCACUUCACUUUAUCUCUCUUUCUUUUUUUUUUUAAAAAUAACCAGCACUUUAAUUUUGCAAUCCUUACACAUACCCAAAAUGAUGCAAUUUUUGUUUAGGAGAAUAUAUCAAUGAUGCAAUUUUUUAUUUUGAAAAUUAAAGAAAUGAUUGAAUUGAUUUUUUAUUAUUAAUUGAUAGCUUGGAUGCAUUUUGUUACAUGUUAUAUAAUUAUGAAUACAUAUCCUUUUUGGUAAUUUAAUUACAUAAAAACACUUUUAGUUUUACGUGACCAAACAGUUUAAUGGUUCAAAAGUGCUUUUUUAAUUGACAACCAAACACCCAAUGGCUUUUUGUUCAAAAGCUCUAUUGGUAUAAGCUCUACUCCUAUAAACUCUACUGCUAUAAGCUCUAUUUAAUAAGUUAUACCAAACGGAGCCUUAGUAUUAAUGAAUGAUUAAGAUUUAACUACUUUUAUCUUUUUCAUUUAUUAAUUACCAAUCAUAUUAAUAGCACUUGCUCAGAUAAAGAUCAGAUCAGGAGAGGAUCCUGAUCCUUCAUCAUGACUUCUAACACACUUAUUUUUAUCUUCAAAAUCUUAGACUACUUUUAAAUUUUUAUUUUCAUGAUAAAUUUAGAUUAGAUUUUGAGUGAUAGAGAAAGAAAGAUUGCAAAGAAGAAGUAUUACAUUAUGUCUUUGAACAAAACCGAACUAAACCGAGAUAGUUUGAUUCGGUUCUUUAAUUCGGUUCAUAUUUGAUUCGAAUUCUAAUGAAUCAAAUCAUUUCCUUUUGAUGGGGUUUGGAGGCUGAAUUGAACCAAACCGAACCAGUAAAUGCCUGGCCCUAGGUAAUCCAAGGAAGAACAUUCAUGAGUUAUGACCUACCACACGCUGAUGUUGUUCAGAUCAAAUACAGUGCGUGUAAAUUUUAACAAUUGCAGUGCGGUGUGUUUAGCACAUUGAAUUAAUUGAUUAAGGGCUAGGGCUGCAUUCCAUAGCAAGUAAUGCCCUCGCAUGUAAACGUUCGGCUUAGCCUAUUUAUGGAUAAGGCUGGAUUAUUUUUCGAAAUAAUUGAAUUGCUGGAGCAUUAUUGGUUUGUCAAUUUGAAUAGUCGUCCAUUUCACCAUCUCUAAUACGAAAUAUUCCAGUUUUGUAGCUCAUUCUUGUCCAGGAAAAUCAAGAUGAAACAUAAAGAUUUAAUUUUAUUUGUUUGAUGAAUUAAUAGAAAAUAAAAAAAAAUAACAAUGAUCAAAAUUAACUUCCUCUAAUAAUUAAAAACGGUUCGUAACUUACCCGUGCCAUUAAAACAAAUAACUAAUUAUUGAUGAUGCGAACAAGAAGGAUAACUCAAUAAGGCUAGCCAAAUCCUAACUAGAUCAAAAACAAUACAAUUGGUACAUGAUAAUUUGUGAGCAAUGAACGGAUACAGUGCGUGGAUAUCACUUGGAGCAUGAACGUUGGGCUUAAUUUUAUAAAGCCUAAUUAAAAGAAUUGUAAGUGGGCUACGUACCCCUUUUUGUUCUAUGUUAAGCUUUUGACAUCCCUCAAAAGUUCUAAUAAAACCCCUCCAUGAUGUUUGCGAUUUUAAUCUUAAUGGAAAUUACAAUAAAACCCCUCCAUGAUGUUUGCUAUUUAAAUGUACGCAUAAUUUGUUUUUAAUUAAACACUUUUUAGUUCAAAUCUUUUUACUGGUCACGAUUCAUAUUCCAAAAACAAAAAGGUUGUGUCAUGACUUUUGAAUGAUGCGAACACUAAAGUUUAUAAGGAGAAAUUAAAAGAACUAGAAAAAUUAGAUGAUAAAUGGGGUUAAUUUGAGAAAUUUCUGACCUCUAAAUAAGUAUUGAUUAUUCGAAAAACUAAUAAACUCUCAAAUGCAACUUUUAUGUUGCCAAAAUAAUAAACUCAUGACAUUUUUAUUGAAUAACAUCAAGCUUUAUAUAAUAAAUCUUAAGAUUACAACCUAAAAAUUAGUUACACUAAGCAUGUUUUCAUUUAAUGCUCCACUACUUAGGGAUCUCCCCUAAGGUUUAGGUACUUGAGACUUAGAAUAUAUUGAUAUAAUUACAAACACCGCCCCUACCAUUAGUUACCAAUUAGCUUGAUUGUUAGUGGACAGCCGAAAUUACAAGAAGUGUUCUAUUUUCGCAAGCCAUGCUAAGUUAUAUAUAAAAUAACUUACAUCAUCCGAGGAGUGGUAUUCUAAGAUUUAAAUGAUGUUUGGUUGUCAACAUAUCUUGAGUGCGGGGUACAUGCUACUUCAGUGUCCACUAGUGCGCGUGAGUGAGCAGAUGCCAACCACUCCCACACACACGCAAGUAGCUAUGAAAAAUUUUAGAAUAGAUAUUACAAUCAAUUAAUAUAUAUGUGACAUGUGUAAUUAUAUUUUAUAUAACUAUCAACUCAUGAUGAUUUUCUAAAAUAAAUGCACAUAUAUUAAAAUAUUGUUGAUUUUUGUUUGGCUAAUAUAGUAUCUCUAUAUUCUAAAGGGUAAAAGCUUGUUUAAUCCUUAUAUUUUAAAGUUAGUGUUUGUUUAGUCCCUAUAUUUUUAAAAAUACCUCAAAUUAUCCCUACCAUUAAAUUAUUGACACUCUUACCAUUAUUUUUUGUUCAUUUUAACUUAUUUUUACAAUAUUAACAUAUUAUAAUAAUUUUUUAGAUAUUAUUAAAAAGAAAAAAUAAAUUAGCAGUUUAACACUAAAAAAUAAAAUUAAAAAAUAUAUAUUAAUUUUUGUGGAACACUCUCUUGAGUUAAACUAUUAAUUUUUCUAAAAAAAUUGAUAAUGUAAUUUUUUACAAUAUUAAUUUUUUAGACAAACAUGAGCUUCCACAAAAAAUAAUAUAUACCUUUUUUAUUUUAUUUUAUUUUUGAGUUUAAUUUGAUAAUCUAAUUUUUUUAUUAAUAUCCUAAAAAGAAACAUUAUUGUAAAAGUAAAAUAUUAUAAAAACAAGUUAAAAAGAAUAAAAAAUAAUGGCAUGAGUGUCAAUAUUUAACAGUAGGGGCAUUUUGAGGUGUUUUUAAAAAUAUAAGGACUAAAUGGGCACUAACCUCAUAAUAUAGGGACUAAACAAGCUUUUACCCUAUUCUAAAGUUCCUUAUUAGUUAAAGCUAAAAAUGUGAUUAUAUUUAAGAAUUGAUUGUGAUUGGUGAACGUACGGCAUCAUUUAUAUUUUAUUCAAUUGGAAGCAACCUAAGGCAUUUGUAAUAACAUCAAUGUGAUCAUAAGAGUCACGCCAAUAUUUCCAUAAUAUUAAAGUUUAUUGUCCUAUACAAAUUUGAAGUAUAUAUUUUCUAUAAUGCAAAGUAAAAAUUGAACCGAAUUGAACUUGAAAUUUGAUUUGAUUGGUUCGGCUUGGUUUAGAAAUUAAAUCUUUUUUAUGGUUUUUAUUAAUUCUAUUUUAUUCUAAAAAACCCGAACCAUUGUUAACUUCCAAGUUAAUCGAAGACUAAUAAGAGUUUUACAUGAUACACGUGUGCGGUUCUCACCAGACUUUCUUGCUGCUUUUUUCUUUGAUUCUCUACAGUUUUCCGUCGAGCUUCCUGAAAUUUCUUGGAGUUCUCAAUGCAAUAAUGUACAAAAUUUGAUGCAAUCGAUGAAGGAUAAGCAAAGGAACAAAAUUAGAAAAAGCAAGAGCCUCCUUUAUUUAUUUUAGGCUUCCUGGAAGAUUGAAAUUUCUUGGAUAUUUCCGAUUACCAUACGCUGCAUACUUGGUACAAGCCCGGGUAUCACUGUGGGUCUAUGAAAUUUCUUUAUAAUUGAAUCGAUUGUUUACCAAUUGUAGCAUACUUUACAAGAGAUGAUGAGUAUUAAUUGAUUCUAAUUUUAGCUAGUUAACUGCUUUACUGAGAAAUUAUAAUCAAGUUAUUAUUGAUAGGGUCGGGCUGUAAUGCAGCGCUGCAUGUCAUGCAGCUGCCUUUAUUAUUUUUUUAAUAAUGCGGAUGUAACCGGCCACCGAUACGCUCCUUUUAAUCGCUUAAAGCGGCAAAUGUUAAAAGAAACUAUCAUACAGCUCCCUCAUUUUAGGAAAUAUUAAGAUAAUCAAUUCAAAACUAGUAAUUUAUCAAAGACCCCCUCAACUUUACACCAAAAAAAUACUUCCUUUUUCUUUUGAUUCAUGGAAAAUAUAGUUAAUAUAUUUAACUUAUAUCCUAAAAGAAACAUAAUUAAAUAAAAUUAAUUGGACUAAUAUAUUUAAAUAAAAAUAAUUAUAUUAUUUUUCUUAAUAUUACAUUAUAAAUUUAAUGAUAUUUUGCUUUAAAAAAUGUAACUUAUGUACUAAUGAGAAUACUAUUUAAAUAUAAUAAAUGGAAAUAAUUAUUUAUUAAUUAAAAAAAUUAAUUUAUUAAUUGCACUAUUUUUAAUAUUAUGUAAUAAAUGUAAUGAUAUUUUGCUUACAAAACUAUCAAAAUAAUUUUAUCAACUUUUAAUUACAUUAGAAUCCGAGUAUCUAAACAAAUAACGAAAUCGAUUUAUUUCCAGAUAUUUAGAAGAAAUCAAUUCCAGGAUCUCACGAUACACAUUCAGGGACUUAAAUCCCUACCUACUAAAAUGAGGACAAUAUUUAUCCAACUAUCAAAUAAUUAUCAUUCCAAACAUCGUAAUUACCCCUCAAAUGUUGUUGUUGUUAUUAUUAGUGGCCAAUAUUAGUAUGUUUUAUGUAUACCCUCUAAAAAAAAUAUUCAUAUAUUACAAAAAUAUAAAGCAUCUAAUAUUUGAUAUUUUUAAAUAAAACUCAUAAUCAAUCUCUUGUGCAAAUUAAUUCAUACUAUCUUAAGUGAGAUUAAUUAUUUUAUUUAAUCCUUUUUGCUAUAAUAAUUUUUUUGUUAAACAUUAAUCAAAUUCAUAAUGGUACAUAACAUGGAUAAUUACAAUUUGAAUGCAACUAAUAUUGAAUAAUGUUGUAUUAUGUUAUACUUAUAGUUAUAUAAUUUAAGCAUGACAGUUAUAUUUCUAAAUUAAAUUAAAUUAUUUGAGUAACAUUGCACUCACUAUAUGGGUACAUGAUUUGUCUACUAAAUGAUGUGCAAGUAUUAUAAAAUAUGUUCAAUCUUAAAUUUAUAUCUAUAUUUUUUUGAAAUUAAGUUAAUUUAUAUCACAACUAAAAAAAAUUAAAUUAUUUAAAAAUAUGAAAAAUAUAAAUUCAUUUUCAUAGUAAGCAGUAUGUGUUUACUAAAUUUACUUUUAAAACAUUUUAUGCCAUUGGGGAGAAAUAUAGUCUUUUAAAUUCAUUUUUAUUUAUACGUCUUAAGCUUGUUAUAAUCUUUGCCACAUGAAAUAUGUUUUCACUGUAAUUCUCGCUAAAUUUAAUUUAUAUACUUUUAUUCUAGUGGUAAAAGAAAUUGAAUUUGAAUAUAAUUUUUUCAAUUUAGUUUUUUUUAACUGAUUAAACAUCAUGUUACUGUAUUACACAGAUAUUUACAACUGUUAUAACAGCAGAUUAUUACACUGAUAUUUACAAUUAGAUAUACAAACUAAGACUUAUAUUAUUACAUUUUAAAUUCUAUGAAGUAAGUGCCCAGACAAAUAACCCUCACGGAGGAGGAGUGUCUCCACUCCACUUGUAUUUCGUAAGGGAGAAAAACUUUACAAAUAAUCUCCAUAUAAUUAUGUUUAAUUAAGGGAGUUUGAGUCUAUGGGGACUCGAACUAUUGCCCUCAUAGUCAAGUUUUACUUUAAUGAUGUGUUUACUUCAUGGAAUGUGGAAUGAGAAUGAAGGAAUAAGAAUGAAACCUAUGUUUACUUAGCAAAAUGUAAUUUGGGAAUGAGAAUAAAAUGUGUGGGUCCCACACAAUUUGGGAAUAAGGAAUGAGAAUCCCAUUCUCGGGGGUUGGGAAUGUGAAUGAAAUAUAUGUUUAUUUUUGUAUUCCUCUAAUUUUUUUAUAUUUUCUAAAUUACCCUCAUUCAAAUCACAAUUAAUUUUAUUAUUUUAAUUUAUCAAAAAUUUUAUUAUUAUUUUAAAUGUCAUUAAUAAUAAUAAUAAUUAUUAUUAUUAAAUUUUAUUAACUUUAUUAUUUUAGUUAUUAUUAAUUAUUUUUAUUUUUAUUAUUAAUAUUAUCAUUAUUAACAAUAAAAAUAAUGAUAAAAAUAAUAAUUAAUAAAAAUAAUUAAUUUAUCAUUAUUUUUAUUAUUAUUAAUAAAAAUAAUAAUAACAAUAAUUAAUAAUAACUAAAAUAAUAAAGUUAAUAAAAUUUAAUAGUAAUAAUAAUCUAAUUUUCAUUAUCUAGAUAUAAACAUGAUAUUAAUUAAAAAAUAAUAAUAAAUGUUAAUAAUAAUAUUAAUAAAAAUAAUAUUAACAAUAAUUAAUAAUAAUUAAAACAAUAAAGUUAAUAGAAUUUAAUAAUAAUAAUAAAUGAUAAUAAUGAUAAUAUUAAUAUUAAUAAUAACAAUAAUUAAUAAUAACUAAAAUAAUAAAGUCAAUAAAAUUUAAUAAUAAUAAAUGUUAAUAAUAAUAAUAUUAUUAAAAAUAAUAUUAACAAUAAUUAAUAAUAACCAAAAUAAUAAAGUCAAUAAAAUUUAAUAGUAAUAAUAUUAUUACUAUUAAUAAUAAUAGUAAUAAUAACAACAACAAUAAUGAUAAUAUUGUUAAUAAUGAUAAAUUAAUUAUUUUUAUUAAUUAUUAAUACUAUAAGUAUUUUGGUAAAUUGAUUUUCAUUCACAUUCCUUAUUCCCAUUUAUUUUGUCAAGUAAAUACAUCAAUGACAUUUCAGCACAUUCUCAUUCCCAUUUAUUUUUGCCGAGUAAACAUUAAAUCGCAUUCUCAUUCCAACUCAUUCUCAUUCCCAGCCCAUUCCUAUUCUACCACAUUCUCAUUCCAUGACGUAAACGCACCAUAAGGUCAAUGGUUCACCACUGGGCUAAAGCCUAAGUGGCUAAUUUAGCUUAAUAACAACUAAAUUUACUCCCAUGGAUUCAAACAUCAACUACUUUGUUUUUAAUUCAAAUGAUUUACAACUGCAUUAAUUAGUACCCACAACGUGAUUAUUAAUAUACUUACAAAGUAAUAUAUCUCAUCUAUAUUAAAUCAUCAAUAUAUUUGUAGAAAAUUAAUUUUAUAUUAGCACAAAAGUUUAAAAUAUAUCUUUUUUAUGUAAAAUUUAUACAUAGAAAAAUUUUGGCAAGUAAAACUACUGCCUCAAUGAAAAUAUUAUUUACAAAUUACAAAAAUGAAUUUUUAGAUUUUGAAUGGUCACAACAAAUUUAUCCGUGGAAGUUUUGUCAUACAUCAUCACUCUUUUGUAACUUGCAAAAAUCAAUUGCAUAAUCAAAAUGUUAAUGAUAUCUUAAUAAUCUAAAAGAGUGCAAAAAUAGCGUAGGACAUAUGUACAUUCUUAUUAUAUUUAAUUAUAAAUCCCACAGGAUAUGAUAUUAAUAAUAAUAACUGUAGUAAUAUCCAACAAGCACACAGAAAAAAAAUAGAGAUGCUCAACUAAAAUAGAUUAACUAAGCUUUAAUCUUGUAAAUUAAAGUAUUUUUGUAACUUAACUUAUAUCAUCAUAGCUUUAGAAGCAUAGCAAUUGCAAUCCUUCUUACUUGUUAUUUAUUUAUUUACCGUUGACGUUAUGAAAAACUAAAGCAAUUAAUUUGAAAAGUAAAGAGAAAGAUGAAAAUAAAUGCAUAGAUUUAUUUUUAAUAUAAUUAAACACUAUUAAUUAAAAUGAUUACAAUGAGAAUAGAUAUGUAUAAAAGUUAAAAGCUCAAGUAUACAUACAAUCAAAUUCAAAAGAUUGCAUGAAGUAAUGAAGAUGAAAAAAAAAAGGACUUAGAUUAUGGACUCAAAAUGUUGAAAAUGAUGAAGGGUUGCAAUAAAAAAAUUCUUAGUAUUAUGUGGUAAAUUGAUAUUUGUUAAAAUAGUAAGGGGUCAACCAUAAUUUGCCUUAUUGAUAUUAUUGUUAUUUUCAACAAGUAAUUUAUUAUUAGUAAAAAAAGGACCUGAAACAUGUACUGGUAGUGUUGGAAUAUAAUAAAAAUAAUAGGAACAUAAAAUCAUUAUCAGAGUUUAACAAGAGUUGAGGAGCAUAACUUAAAAGUUUGAAGAACUUAACAAAAAUCUGAUAAAGUUUAAUAAUAAGUCGAGAUCUAAAAAAUAAACUUGAAAUAUCUAAGUAAAAUGUUAGAAAUCAAUUAAAAGAGUUGGAAUACAGAACCAAAAAGUAGUGGGAACAAGAGUAGAAGAAGUUAACCUAAAAGUUGAAAUAACUUACCAUGAAUUUGAUAAAUUCAAACGCGAAGUAAGGAUCUGAAAAGUAAAUUUGACAUAUUUACCUAAAAUUUGAAAUUCAAUGAAAAGAGUAGAAAUAUUGAACAAAAAAGUGGUGAAAAAAUAAGUUGGAACAACUUAGCGAUAACUAGAUAAAGUCUAAUAGGAUAUAGAGAUAUAAAAAAUAAACUUGAAAUGUUAACCUAAAAAUUUGAAAUUUAAUAAGAAGAGUGGAAAUAUAGAACAAAUAACUGGUGGAAAAAUGAAUUGAAACAACUUACCAAGAAUUUGAUAAAGUUUAACGGAAAGUGGGGAUCUAAAAAUUCAACUUGAAAUUUCCAAACAAAAAGUGAGAAUUCAAUAAAAAGAGUAGGAAUAUAAAACCAAAAAGUGGUGGAAAAAAGAGUUGAAGAGGUUAACCUAAAAUUUGGAAAGAGUUACCAAGAAUAUGAUAAAUCCAACAAUAAUUAGGGAUCAAAAAAUAAACUUGAAACAUUCACGAAAAAUACUUAAAUUCAAUGAAAAGAGUAGAAAUAUAGAAAAAAAAAAUGGUGGAAACAAGAGUUGAGGAGCAUAACCUAAAAGUUCGAAGAACUUAAGAAGAAUAUGAUAAAGUUUAACAAUAAGUUGAGAUCUAUAAAAUGAACUUAAAAUAUUUAACCAAAAUAUUAGAAAUUAAUUAAAAGAAUUGGAAUACAAAAACAAAAAGUAGUGGGAACAAGAGUGGAAGAAGUUACCCAAAAGUUGAAAUAACUUAACAAGAAUUUGAUAAAUUCCAACGCGAAGUAGGGAUCUAAAAAGUAAAUUUGACAUAUUUACCCAAAAUUUGAAAUUCAAUAAAAAGAGCAGAAAUAUUGAACCACAAAGUGGUGGAAAAAUAAGUUGGAACAACUUAACGAUAACUAGAUAAAGUCUAACAGGAUAUAGAGAUAUAAAAAAUAAACUUGAAAAGUCAACCUAAAAAUUUGGAAUUCAAUAAGAAGAGUAGAAAUAUAGAACGAAUAACCGGUGGAAAAAUGAAUUGAAACAACUUACUAAAAAUUUGAUAAAUUUUAAUUGAAAGUGGGAAUUUAGAAAUUUAACUUGAAAUUUCCAAAUAAAAUGUUGGAAUUCAAUAAAAAGAGUAGGAAUAUAAAACCAAAAAGUGGUGGAAAAAAGAGUUGAAGAGGUUAAUCUAAAAUUCGGAAAGAGUUACCAAGAAUAUGAUAAAUCCAACAAUAAUUAGGGAUCAAAAAAUAAACUUGAAACAUUCACAAAAAAUACUUAAAUUUAAUGAAAAUAGUAGAAAUAUAAAACAAAAAAAUGGUGGAAACAAGAGUUGGGGAGCAUAACCUAAAAGUUCGAAGAACUUAACAAGAAUAUGAUAAAGUUUAAUAAUAAGUUGAGAUCUAUAAAAUGAACUUGAAAUAUUUAACCAAAAUAUUAGAAAUCAAUUAAAAGAAUUGGAAUAAAGAACCAAAAAGUAGUGCAAACAAGAGUAGAAGAAGUUAACCCAAAAGUUGAAAUAACUUAACAAGAAUUUGAUAAAUGUUAACAGAAAAUAGAGAUAUAAAAAUUGAACUUGAAAUUUCUAAACAAAAUGUUGGAAUUUAAUAAAACGAGUAGGAAUAUAGAACCAAAAAGUGGUGGAAAAAUAAAUAGAAAUAAUUUACCAAAAACUAGAUAAAGUUUAACAAAUUAUAGAGAUAUAAAAAUAAACUUGAAAUAUCUAUACAAAAAGAUGGAAGUUGAUGAAAAGAGUGGAAAUAUAGAACCAAAAGCUAGUGGGAAAAUGAGUUGAAACAACUUACAAAAAUUUAGAUAAAUCAUUACUAGAAAUAGGAAUUUGAAAAGUAAACUUGAAAUAUGCAUUAUAAAUAUUGGAAUGUGACAAAAUAAGUAGGAAUGUAACCAUUUUAUGAUAUAUUUAUAUUUUUUGUACUAUUUUUAAAUUUUAAAUUAUUACAAUCUUUUUCCUUAUUUAAUUAAAAUUUUACUCUUUUUUUUCCAAAUUUUUUCAUAAUUUUUUCACAUUAAAAACAAAUAAAAAUAUAAUUUUCAUUAUAUUAUCCGGUUAAAAACCGGUUGUACCGGUUGCAUGCAUGUGCUGUAUGAGAUACAGCGCUGCAUGGUAGGUUGACUCAUUAUUGAUAUUGUCAAAUAACAGAGCAUUUUCUAACAUAGAAAAUGAAUAAUUGUCAGUAUGCAGUAAGCCCAAGUCAGGUCAACAGAGAUAUGCAUUGGACUAAGCACUGGAUCAUAGGGAAAAAUAUUAAAACAUAUGCAAAGACUAGGCUUCGUUUUUUUAUAAAUUUCCUUUUUGUAUGUAGUCUUUGACAAUGUUUUUGAAUGAAGUCCAGCUAUUAUUAAAAGAAAAAUAAUGUUUGGUGUACGAUGUAUUCCUUCUUAACCCAAAAAUGUUCAAUUCCAGAUUUAAAUCGUUAAGGGUGCGUUUGGGAUUGAGGUUGAGCAGCUGUUGCUUUUAAGCUACAGCACUAAAGUGUUUGGUAAACACUAACUGCUGUAGCUUUUAAGCUAUAUUGAUAUAAUUUUUCACUUGUAUAAUAUAAAAUUUAUUAUAUCUUUAAUAAUUUUAUCAAAAUUAUUAUUUAAAAUUUAUAUUUAUUAUAUAUUAUUAACUUUUAUUUCAUAAUUACAGCUUUUUUUUCACAGUAGCUGUAGCUUAAAAGCUACAGCACCUCAAUCCCAAACGCACCCUAAAUAAGAUUAGCUAAACACGCGUAAACUUAAUUAGAUUAGCUGAAUACGUAAUGUUACAAUUUUUGUCAUUGCGAUUAUUAUUAUUUAGCAGUCCCGCUCAAGAGCCAAUCCAUAAAGAGAUAUUCCACUAAAAUAAAUAGCAAACGACACAAAACAGAGCAGCUUGCCCUGAAGAUGGGACGCAGACAGAUUAAUAACUUAAGUAAGUUCGGAUUAAUAAUAAUCACAAACUUUAAUCGUUAUGUUGUGAGAUAUUCUUUGUCAUUCUUUCACUUGCAUUUUGCACAAAUGAAAAAACAGAGAGAGGCACCGGGAUUCAGAGGCCUGAUCCUUCUAGUGAACAUUAAUUGUAACUAGCGUUGGUAAAUUUUGAUUAGAUUCAAUUAAUUGAUAUGAGUACAAUAUAAAUAAAUAGUUUUGGGUUGACAAAUUUGACAUAAUUAUUAAAUAGGUUGGGUUUUGGUCGACGUGAUUUUUUUCUUUGUUAAACUAAGAUGAAAAGUUUUUACUCAUUUACUUGAUUAAUAACACGAUUAUAUUUUUUAUUUUGAAUUAAUUUAUAGGUUCUUUUCAUCAAAACUUAAAUAUUAAACAUGAAUAUUCUCUCGUUUCUCUUUCUUUCUCUCUCUUUCUUUUUUCAAAGAAGGAUAAAUAUAAACUUAGUGUAUCAUUCAUAAAAUUCUAUACAAAUAUAUAACUUCAAUAGUAUAAAUGUGUAACAUUUUGGUAUUUAUGUAUAUAUCCUCGUGUGUUAAGAUGAGGAUACAUACAAAGAUAUUAGAAUUACAUAUUUUAAUUAAUUAGAGACUUUUUUUUGUAUGUUUGUAUAUUAAAAUAUAUAUUUUUUAUAUUUUAGGGCAUUCUCAAUAACACAUCAUUGCCCUCGAUAACCUUUCUUACAUAAUGAUAUUUCACAUCUAUGUGUUUUGUCCGAGCAUGAUAUGUUGGAUUCUUCGCGAGGAAUAUCACACUUUGGUUAUCACAAAAGACCUUAUUCUUCUCUUGGAUCACUCCCAAAUCACUCAACAAGCCUUUCAACCAGAUAACUUCCUUUACAGUCUCAGUUACUGCCAUAUACUCUGCUUCUGUAGUGGAUAGAGCAAUUGUCCAUUGUAGAAUCGACCCCCAACUAAUCGGACCUCCACCCAACGUGAAUAUAUAACCCGUUGUUGAUCUUCGCUUAUCUAGGUCUCCGGCAAAAUCAGAAUCACAAUACCCCAUACAUUGUUGACCACAAUCUUUCUUGAACAAUAAUCCAACAUCAACUGUUCCAUACCGAUAUCAGAGAAUUCACUUUACUGCAAGCCAGUGAUUUUUACCUGGAUUGUGCAUCUAUCUACUAGCCAUGCUCAUUGCUUGAGAUAUAUCGAGUCUUGUGCAUACCAUAGCAUACAUAAGACUACCCAUAGCACUAACAUAUGAAACACAAGCCAUGUAAUUACGCUCCUCUUGAGAUGUAGGACAUGAAGAAGAGCUUAAUUUGAAAUGAGAAGUUAGAGGUGUACAUACAGGUUUAGUUUUGUCAUUCAUACCGAAUCUUUCUAGUACUGUCUUCAAAUAAGACUUUUGAGUCAACCAUACGCUCCCAUUCUUCUUGUCUCUAUAAAUCUACAUUCCAAGUAUUCUCUGUGCAUCACCCAAAUCUUUUAUCUCAAAUUCAAAAGCAAGCUGCUUCUUUAAUCUUUCAAUCUUACCUCUGUUCUUCGAAACUAUAAGCAUAUCGUCGACAUAGAGUAACAAAUAAAUGAAAGCUCCAUUUAGUAGUCUUCUAAAGUAAACACAGUGAUCGUGUUUAUUUUUGGUGAAUUUCUACCCUUGUAUAAAUUGAUCAAAUCUUUUGUACCACUGUCUUGGCGAUUGCUUCAGUCCGUACAUAGAUUUAGUCAACCUACACACAUGAUUCUCCUUUCUAGCAACUUUGAAACCACAAGGAUGAGUCAUACAGAUUUCCUCCUCCAUAUCUCCAUGUAAGAACGCUGUCUUAACAUCCAAUUGAGCUAACUCUAACUCAUAUUCAGCUACCAAGGCAAGUAGGAUACAAAUGGAAGUAUGUUUUACAACUGGAGAUAAUACUUCAUUACAAUCAAUACCUUCUUUUUGAGCAAAGCCUUUUGCUACGAGCCUUACCUUAUAUCGAGGAGUUAUUUGAUUUCGAGAUCCUUGCUUUUUGGUGUAGACCCAUUUAUUACCAAUAGUCAUUUUCCCCUUUGGUAACUUUACAAGUUCCCAAGUCUGGUUUUGAUGGAGAGAUUUCAACUCUUCGUACAUGGCUAACUUCCACAGAUCACUUUCAUUGCUGCAUAAUACUUCACUGAAAGUGUUGGAGAUGUCACCAUCAAUAACUGGAAGUGCAUAGGCUACCACCACGUCUUUAGUAAGUCAUCCAGGUUUCUUUAUCUCUCUUCUUGGCCUCCUUAUUGCUAUAGAAUCAUCAUUAUCUAUAUCAUUAGUUGUUUCUUCAUUUUGUGGGACAUCAGAAGAAACAACCUCUUCUUCAACUCUGUGUGUCUUCUCUACAGUUGAACCAUUCUCUGAUGUAGAAUUAACUGGUACAUAUGGAGUUGCAUCAAACUCCACUUGUUGCAAUACCUCUCUGGUCUUGUUCUCCACAUGCCGAGAACUUGAAACUUUCAUUAUUAAAGCCUCAUCAAACGUGACAUCCUACUACACAUAAACUUUUUAUCUUCGAAGAUCCCAAAUCUUGAAGCCUUUUACUCCACCUUUGAAUCCCAUAAAGAUAACUUUUCUUGCACGAGGAUCCAAUUUAUCAUCUUUGACAUGAUAAUACGCUGGACACCCAAAUAUACGAAGGGAAUCAUAGUCUUGUGCAUGCUUUCCAGACCACAUUUCCAUAGGAGUUUUAGUUCCAAUUGUAGCAGAAGGCAACCGGUUUAUUAAGUGAUUUGCAUAACUCACAGCCUCAGCUUAAAAUUUUUUAUCUAAACCAGCAUUAAAUAACAUACAUCGUACCUUCUCUAAUAAAGUACGAUUCAUACGCUCAGUUACACCAUUCUGUUGCGGAGUAUAUCUCACCGUGAAAUGUCUUUUAAUACCCUCGUUCCGGCAUACUUGCAAGAAUGGAUUAGAAGUAUAUUCACCCCCAUUAUCAUAUCGUAAUACUUUGAUUUUUUUGCCAGUUUGAGUUUCCACCAAUUUCUUCCAUUUCACGAAAAUCUUUAGAACCUCAUCCUUUGCUUGCAUGGUGUACACUCACACACGUCUAGAGAAAUUAUCAACAAAUGUAACAAAAUAAUGGCUUCCACCAAUUGAUGCAGUCUUGGUUGGUCCCCAUACAUCACUGUGAACAUAUUCAAGGAUCUCACGAGUAUCGUAAUUAGUUGUACCAAAUUUGACCCUUGUUUUAGCACCUUUUAAGAGUUCGUACUUCAUCAAAGUUGUAAAGACUUUUCUUCAGUAUGUCCCAAUCGUACAUGCCAUAGCUUGGUAGUGUCACUGUGCGCCUCAGCAACAUUUGCUUCAUCAGUUGUACCUCCAUUCAAAUAGUACAAAUUUUGAUGCCGAACUCCUUGCAGAAUCACUACAGCCCCAUACGUCAACUUCAUUGUGCUAUUUUCAAUAGUAACCUUGUAGCCUUUAGCUUCUAGAGCACCCACAGAAUUAGAUUUUUCUUCAAAACUGGAACAUAUCUAACCAUUUUUAGUUCUCUGACCAUUCCUUCAAACAUUUUGAGCUGAAUUAUUCUUAUCCCCAUUGUGCGACAAGGUUGAUCAUUCAUCAUCACAACUGCACCAGAUUCCAAUUAGUUGAAAUCCGUAAACCAUUCCCUAAUAUGACACAAAUGGUAGAUUGCUCCAGUAUCAAGUAUUCAUUCACUUGAACUUGCAACAUAUGUUGUAGACGUAAUAGACAGUGAGUAGUCUGAGUCUCUAUCUUCACGUGCCAUGUGUUGAGCCUUCAGACAAUCUUUCCUCCAAUGGCCCUUUUCAUGGCAAAAUGCACACUCAUCUCGAGCUAUAUUUAUGCUUCUCGAUUUGGAUCGAGAAUUCUUUCCACCACGCUUCUUCUUUUUCUCCAUCGUUCUUUCUCUGGCACACAAAGCUUCAGAUGAUGCUCUUUCAGAAUGUUUAUUAUUAUUCUGAAUUUCUAAAUUAGUCAAUGCUGUGCAGACAUCUUUGAAGAUGAUCACGCUUUUUUCAUAUAUCAAGGUAGUCACAAAAUGGCUAUAUUCCUCUGGCAAUGAGUGUAACUGAAUCAUAGCCUUGACCUCAUCCUUAAUAUCUUCAUCAAGAUUCUUCAAAUCAGCAAGUAAUUUUUCAAAUCUUGAGACAUGAUCGUGCAUUGACACUCCAGGCUUCAUUCGAAAGCCAUGUACUUAGCUCAUUGCAUGAAGGUGAUUUUCAGGACUUUUCAGCAGGUACUUCUCCUCCAAUGUACGCCAUAAAUUCAUCGUACACUCCUCAUCUUUCACCAAGUAUUUCACCUCAUUGGUCAAACAAGAUUUGAUCAGACCACAUGCUUUUUCAUUCACACGAUCCUAAAUUUCUUCAUCAUACAAGUGUCUUUUAUUUUUCAGAACAAUAUCAAGACUGAUUUGAAUAAGGGCAUCCAUAACUUCGCGCCUCCACAUGCCGAAGUUGAUUUUCCCAUCAAAAUUUUCAACAUCGAUCUCCUAACCUCCUAUAACAUGUGCUGAAUAGCGAUUUGACAAAUCUUGCCUCCCACUUGAAAUGUCUCCUGAAAUAGUCUUAGUAGAUCUCUUCCUAAUUCUGGAAGUUUCACCUUAUAUCAUUUUCUCCACGAACUAUUUUCACUUGAAAAACAACCUCUAUGAUGUUAAUUUCGCGGGAAUAAAUGCACCAGGAAAGUUUCCCGGAGAUUGAACGGGAACUCGGUCCCAAUUAAAAACUAGAAUCCUUAAACUCUUAUCGCCUUAUUGACAGAACUUUCCUAAACAUGCAAAAAUACACACUACUUACAAUAGACUGUCUCCCAAGUACAAAUGGUCAUCUCCACCGUAUUCGUGAACAGUACCGUAUAUGAAAAUAGUGUCGUAUACAUGAACAGAAUUGUAUCCCCCAAAGUACGAAUUGUCGGGUCUGAUACUAUUUGUUGUACGCAGAAUGAGGAAUCAAGCGCACCAAAUAAUUACAGAAAAAUAAAUGACACAAUUAUUUAACGUGGUUCGGUAAUUAAGCCUACAUCCACGAAGGUAAGAAAGAAUAAUUUUUUAUUUAAUAAUUAAUGGCCUCAUCGGGAUUCAAAUAUACAUGAUCCGAGUCAAUAGACAUAACAGAUUUAGAGUAAAUCUAAGCAAAUCCUGUAUAUUAAACAAAUAGAAAAUGUCUUGCCCCAUUUGCUUUAGAUAUAAAUUGUCUGAUACAAAGCUGAACUUCUUUUUAUCCUUCAUUCAUCCAAUGCGCGUUUCCAAUGUGAUAUUGCACUCAAAAUGAACAAAAGAAAAACAAAUCUGUAUAACACAGUUUGCGGCAACUUUCAAAAAUGAUACUAGAUUAGAAAUAAACACAUAAAAAAGAUAAAGAAACGGAUCUUAAUCAGAGAGUUGGUGACACAACCUUCCACAUUCAGUUGGACCAACAUGAAUAUUUACAAGAAGGGCAGCCCAUCGAUGAGUCCAAUUAUGAGCAGCCCAUGAAGGAAACCACAUCACAUGUUGAGGAAGAAGCAGCUCGUAAUGAACGGCAUACAGGCACACGAGUGAGAAGACCCCCUGGGUGGCUUAAAGAUUAUGUCGUGUAGUGGAAUUGAGAGGGCUCUAUAUUUGCUGGUUUAUUUUGCUGUUAUAUUUUCGGUUACAAGUUGUUUGCUGAGCUGUAUUUUAAACUUCUAUAGACAGAGGGGUAUAUGUAGAGCAUAACUAAUUUAAUGUUUCAAAAAAUAUUAAAUUGAAACAUGAAACAUACAUAUAUUCAUGACAUGCCUGCAGAUUUGGAAGAUCCACCUAAGAAAAUGAUCAGAACGAGUUCCUCAAAGCAGGGCUGAAACUCCUGGUUCUUCUAAGAACAUUCACAUAACAAUAUUAAAAACUGGAUUUCAUCAAAAUAUUUUAUGUCAAAUUAAAAAAAAGAAAGUUAUUGAUUUAUAUGUUUCCAAUUGUUAGAUAAUAUGCUGAUCUGGUGGUACAUAUAUGCUGAUGAAUUCAGAGGAAUUGGUGCAUGCUGGUAAACGAAUGAGCUGAUGUCAUGAAUAAGCAAAAUAUGCGCCAAUUUGUCAAGUUCUUGAAAAGGCCAGCUGGCGUAUUGUAAUUGGCUAACAAAAUCAAUUUGUUAGCUGAUUCUGUUAUUAUAAAAUUUAGUUAGUUAUCAGCUCGUGUGUGUGUGUGAGCUAGUAUAAAUUGAGCAGAGUAACUAAGCAUCGGCCGUUGUAAUUCAUUCAGUUUUAAUGAUCAAUUUCUAGUUGCUUCCAGAUCUCUCUCUAUUAUUUUCUUUCUUAUUUUCUUUUGAUCCAAACAAGCAUCUUAUAUUCUAAUAUGGUAUCAGAACUAUCAUCAACAUCAAACAUGUCGAAUCAGACAGCCAUAGCUAAUUCCUCUAUUUCUUUAAACUUUAUUCAGCCUAUAAAACUUAAUCGAUCGAACUAUCUAGUCUGGAAAACUCAAGCUUGUAUGUUGAUCGUGGCUAAUCGACUUGAAGGAUUCAUCAAUGGCAACAGUGUGUGUCCAACUCGCUAUCUUACUGAAUCAGAAGGAGAAUCAAGUGGAUCUGGAAUUCCAGUGAUACAGAGACAAGAAAAUCCAGAUUAUAUAACCUGGAUGAAACUGAUAAGUUGCUUCAGAGCUGGAUGCUUUCCUCAAUGACAGAUGAUGUGCUGAUCAUGGUGAUUCAUUGUGAGACUUCUCUUGAACUUUGGGAAAUGCUUGCUGAGAUUUUUAUGUCGCAAUCAAAGGCAAGGUAUAUGCCACUGAAAAUGGAGAUCCUGACAACAAAGAAAGGAGCACUCUCUGUAAGUGACUACUUCAAUAAGAUGAAAAAGCUUGCUGAUAGCUUAGCUGUUGGAGGUAAUCCACUCUCUUCUAAUAAGUUAAUCAUGCAUCUGCUCACUGGACUUGAUGAUAGCUAUGAAUCACUUACUAGGCUGGAGAAAGAGCAUAUCACUGUUGAAGAAGUAUAUUCAAUGAUGUUGAGUCACGAAACAAGACUAGAGAUGAAUAAAGGAAAGUCACAAACUGAAAUCAUGCAUGAUAUGAGUGCUCAUUUUGCUCAAAAAGGACAGAAUUUUAAUGACUCAAACUAUAGUAAUCAGAAGAAUUUUUAUCACGAGUAUCCUCCCCUCUGAAGCUGAGGAAGACAUCAUAUUUGCAUUGAGGAUUAAGGCAAGAAGAAGAAGAUGAAUCCAUCUUACAGAUAUUUCUUCACAGAAACAGAGAUUCUUAGUGGAUGGAAGACUAAACUAUGCCAAGUAAAUAUGACUUUCAUGCCCAUUAGUUUUCCUAUGACUUUAUUGCCAUCUUCCCACGCGGUUUCCUGUUGACUUUCUUGCAACUUUGUCAUCCUAACUAAAUAAAUGAAUAAAAUGGGUAAUAGAAGGUCAAAUUCAACUGCAAUCCACAAGACACCAGCUUUGCUAUACAGUCAGUCAUUUUCUAGAGCACUUAGAUGACAAUCUUUUGAUUUUACUUUCGGCAAAAGAGACCAUUUACUUAACAUCGUCUAUCAUGCGAGGAGAAUAUUCAAUUUUACAAUCAGUCCUUCUAAGUACGGUAGUUGCAGAUUUUCAGAAGAGAGUUUAAUUAUAUAGAUAAAACUGGAAGUUUGAAGGGUACCCAAAAAAAGUUUACUGUCUUCUUUGAAAUCACGCAUGCUGUCGAGAAAUUUACCAGCAGCACAGGAAACUCCAGUAUGUAAGUUGAUGAAAGCAACGAUUUCUUGGCAGGAUUACUUGAAUGAAAUUUAUGGAAAUAACCGAAGUUUUUUCUAUUUUAUAAUAAUCUCUCUUAUUUUCAUAGCAAGGCAUACUCGGUUGAGUCAUUGUAGACAAACAUAGCUCCUGAGCUCCAAAGUCUUGUUCCUCUGUCACUUGAGCCAUAAAGAGUGUCAAAAGGUCACCCAGCAUGGGCUUUGGCAUAUUGAAAUUAUUUUUUGAAAUUAGGGUGGGUCAUAUUGAAAUUAUUUUUUGAAAAAUAUAAUAUGUAUAUAUUUAAUUGAAAGGUUACCGAUGAAGAUAAAAUAAGAACGAAUAAGAAUUUAUUUUUAAUUAGAUUUCAAGAAAUUUAAAAAUAUAAACGGAAUUGACUCGUAAUUUGCUAAGCUCCUCAUUAAAAAAAUUACGAAAGAAAAGAAUUACUACGAAUCAAGCUAUUAUGGCUAAAAUCAUAAUAUUAAAUUGAAAUUGAACUUGAGGUCAUUCUAUUGUAAAUCAAAUUUAUGUAAAAGAUGAGGCCAAUCUGAAUAUAUAAUUACAAAAAUGGAAGUGCUAUAUAAGAUGGUGUGAUCUAAUUAUAGUCAUCACUUUGCUAAUUACGAAAAUGGUGUGCCAAUCUAAAUAUCAUCAAACCCUCCAAAAUCCUCUUAAAAAUCUUUUUAAUUAUACUCCACUUAAUUUCAAAAGGGUAAAACUAUUUACACUCUAAAAAAUACUUAAUUUCAAAAGGAUAAAAUUAUUUACACUCUAAAAAAAUACUCAGAACACUCAAUUUUUUAUUAUUAAAAUAGGUUAAGGGCAAUUUACUGUUAAGGACAAUCUACUAUAAUCAUUUCUCUGCACGCCCUUUCUUCAUAUUUAUAAUUUCUAUGUUUCAUAAUUUGGCCAUGAAAAGUAGUCAAAUCAGAUUCAUUAUUGUUGAUAAUCGAUUGAUUUUUUUUCAUGGACGAAUAAAAACUUAUGAAAUUAUAAUUUUGUUAUUGUAGAUACAAACAAACACGUUGUACAAAACCCUUAAGAUUGAAGAAACUGAGUUAUGGAAUAUUACGUUUUACCAGUAAUUGGCUGCAAAAAAUCAAUUCCUAAAAACAAACCAUUUAUUUCCCCUUUUCGAAUGGAGGCAAUUAAUUAUUUGCCUUUGUUAUUACAAUUCAGAUCUCAACGUCUUUAUUUUUAUGGUGCGUUUACUUCAUGAGAAUAGAAAUGGGGUAGUAUGGGAAUGAGCUGGGAAUGGGAAUGACUGGAAUGAAAAUGAGGAAUGAGAAUGAGAUUUCAAUAUUUACUAGCCAAAAAUAAAUAAGAAUGGAAAUAUGCUGGAAUUCCAUUGAUGUGUUUACUUGGCAAAAUAAAUGGGAAUGAAGAAUGAGAAUGAGAAUCAAUUUACCAAAAUACCCAUAGGAUUAAUAAUUAAUAAAAAUAAUUAAUUUAUCAUUAUUAACAAUAUUAUCAUUAUUGUUGUUGUUAUUAUUAAUUAUUAUUAAUAUUAUUUUAUUAAUAUUAUCAUUAUUAACAUUUAUUAUUAUUAAAUUUUAUUAACUUUAUUAUUUUAGUUAUUAUUAAUUAUUUUUAUUAUUUUUUAUUAAUAUUAUCAUUAUUAACAUUUAUUAUUAUAUUUUAUUAACUUUAUUAUUUUAGUUAUUAUUAAUUACUGUUAAUAUUAUUUUUAUUAAUAGUAUCAUUAUUUACAUUUAUUAUUAUUAUUAUUAUUAUUAUUAUAUUUUAUUAACUUUAUUAUUUUAGUUAUUAUUAAUUAUUGUUAAUAUUAUUUUUAUUAAUAUUAUCAUUAUUAACAUUUAUUAUUAUUAUUAUUAUUAAAUUUUAAUAACUUUAUUAUUUUAGUUACUAUUAAUUAUUGUUAUUAUUAUUUUUAUUAAUAUUAUCAUUAUUAACAUUUAUUAUUAUUAUUAUUUUAAUUAAUAUCAUUUUUAUAAUAAUAUUUAUACAUGUAUCUAAAUAAUGAAAAUUACAUUAUUAUUAUUAUUAAAUUUUAUUAACUUUAUUAUUUUAGUUAUUAUUAAUUAUUGUUAUUAUUAUUUUUAUUAAUAAUAUAAUAAUAAUAAUAACAACAAUAAUAAUAAUGAUAAUAUUGUUAAUAAUGAUAAAUUAAUUAUUUUUUUAAUAAUGAUAAUAUUAAUAAAAAUAGUAAUAAAAAUAAUUAAUAAUAACUAAAAUAAUAAAUUUUAAAAAUUUAAUAAUAAUAAUAAUUAUUAUUAUUAAUGACAUUUAAAAUAAUAAAAUUAAUUGUGAUUUGAAUGAGGGUAAUUUGGGAAAUAUAAAAAAAAUAGAGGGAUACAAAAGUAAACAUAUAUUUCAUUCUCAUUCUUUCAUUUUCAUUUCCAACCCCCCCUAUGGGAAUGAGAUUCACAUUUCUUAUUCCCAAAUUAUGUGGGACCCACACAUUUUAUUCUCAUUCUCAAAUUAUAUUUUGCCAAGUAAACAUGAGUUUCGUUCUCAUUCCUUCAUUCUCAUUCCUUAUUUCAUGAAGUAAACACACCAUUAAAAACUAUAUAUUGGAGGAGAUUAAAUCUUAUCCGCCAGCAUUUUAACAAUGCUGUGAAAAUUUUGAGUGUAGGGUGUGAACAAAGAAAAAGGAAGAAGAUGAAGAAAUUGAGGGUAAUUUUGGUAUUUUGAUUGAUUGAUUAACUAAUAUAUUGAUUUUAAAAUUUAAUAAAUAUAAAUAUUAAAAAAAUGAGUGUCCUGAGUAAAUUUCAGAGUGCAAAUAACCCCACCUAUUUCAAAAAUACCAUUUUCUUUAAAUAAACACUAUUUUCUUUAGUAAAUCUUUUAAUUUUAAAAAUUUUCUCCCUCUUGAAAUCUUUUUUGCAAUUUUGCUAUCUCCUUUCUUUUCAUUCAAUCUUUCUCUCUCUACAAAAUUAAAAGACACAAAUUUCCUAAAAAUUCAAUGUAAAAAAAUAAAGAAACAAAAAAAAUUAAUGUUUUAAAUCUGUGCCAACCAAUUGUAUAGAUUGAAGAGAGAGAGAGAGAGAAAAAAAAUUCAUACUUGGGCAAAUAAAUGGAUUGAAAAGAAAGAGUUUUACUUGUACUUUUGCCAAUAUAUGCAAUUAUCAUAUAGUCUGAGUUUUAUGAAAUUAACGGAAGGGCGCCAAUAGUCUAACUCAUAACGUAGUGUCUUUAGUUUCAACUGAAAAAAAUCUAUAUAAGUCAACAAAUUGGGUGGGCAUUUCAAUAAGAUUUGAGCAGUUAACACUCGUUUACUCAUAUCUUAAUGUAAUAAACUUCAAAUCGAACAUUGUAAAAUUCAUUAAGCUCCUGACUCACAGAACUUCCAGUUAUAUGAAGCUUGUUAACUAAAUCUUGAUGCAUUGAUGCCAGUAAAUUGAGAAUUUUCGGUCUUGUGCAGAAUUCUUGAUAAGUAUGACCUUUAUUGGCUAAAUCUUGAAUAUCCUCAAGAAGAGAAGUCCAAAUUUGAUUUCGUAAAAUUCUUCAAAAACUAGACACAUUUAUCUUUUUAAAAAUAUUUAAUCAUAAUUUAAUUACCUCUAGAAAAAUACAAUCAAUUUGGACAAGUAGAGUCAUAAUCUUCUAUGAAUUAUCUCCACAAAGCUUGAAAAUGGAAAGGAAAUUAUCAGGAAAGUUAUGGCAGACUCAUCCUCAUUUUGGCUUAGUAAUUGUUUUCAUUUCAACAAUCUCUCCUCAUCUAUUGAACUGUUUCUGUUAUGCCUUCUUCUUCUUCCUCUAAUCCCCAUAACUACUAUAAUUAUGAUGUUUUUCUUAGUUUUAGAGGAGAUAACACCCUUGGCAACUUUACUAGCCAUCUUUAUUAUGCUCUAUCCAAAUUAUCCAUACCCUCAUUAAUGACCAACUUAGCACAGGAGAUGGAAUUUCAAAGUCACUUGUGAAUGCAAUUGAAGUAUCAGCCAUUUCAGUUAUCACUUUCUCAGAAGGCUAUGCAUCUUCCAGGCGGUGUCUUGAUGAACUUAUGAAGAUCCUCGAAUACAAGAGAGUGGGUUAAGUGUCUGUUUGAUUCUUAUAUUUUAAAUUGAUUAUGUUACAUCUAGGGGUGGCAAUUUGGGUCCAGUUUCAUUUAUUUGAUUCAAUUCGAUGCAAAUUAAGUGGGUUUAGAUUUCAAAAAAUUGAUUCGUUUAAUAAAUUGGUGAAUUCAAUUCGAUUCGUAAUUAAACGAAUCCAAGUUUGAGGACAUUAAUUUGUUUAUUCGUUUAUGAUUCAUUUAAUAAAUGAUCAUAAAAGAAUCGAAUACGAUCCAUUCGUUUAAAAUUAGUUUAUUAUUCAUUUAAUUAAAUUAUUUAUUUAUCCUUUAAUAUGUAAGGAAAAAAUUUUAAAGUUUGAAAGCUAAUAUAGUAAUUAUAAAUGAUAAUAAGUUUGUAUUUUGUAGGAUGUUAAAUUUGUGGUCCUUUUAUAUUUUAUUUUGCUUAAUUUUUGUUUAUUAAUUAUAUUUUCGUAAACGAAUUCAUAUUCAAUUCGAUUCAUUAUGAAUUCGUUAUAGGAUAAACGAAUAGUAAACGAAUCCAAAUUCAAUUUGAUUCGUUUAUUAAUUCUACUAAAAGAAUUAAAUGAAUCGAACCGAAUGUUCAUUUAAUAAAUGAAUCAAAUCUGAAUCAGUAAAGUUUUGAUCUAAUUCGUUCAUGAUUCGAUUUAAAUACAAUUCGUUUAUUCAUUUUGCCAUCCUAAUUAUAUCUAUAUCCAUACUUUUCCUUCGCUUUUUAUAAUAGUACUCCUUUAACAAUAUUAGAGAUCUUAAUGAAGAGAAAAAAACAAUAUUAAUUUAUCUUAAUUGUUCAAAUAUAAUGGUAUAUUUCUAGUGAUGGAAUUAAUUACUAUAUUUUAAUUAUAUACCAAUGAAGAUAAAAUAAUUAAAAAAUAAUUAAAAGGUUUACAAUUUAAAUUAUUAAAAUUACCUGAUUUUAAUUAUAUAAAUUAUAAUUAAUUCCAACACUAGAAAUAUUCAAAGCCGAAGCGCUUGGACUUUGUGGCCCAGCAAAGUCAUCAAAUGAUCAAAAUCGAGAAUAUAAAGGUGCAGCCAAGAAAAUGAAUGUAAACAGAGGAAACAGAAACGAAGGAUCUAAUCAUUUUGAUUGAUACUUUUGUGAAUACAAAACUAUAAAAAUUACAUGUAUUAAUACUAAUCCGUACGGUCUAAAAAAUUGAACUAAUAAAUGCUUUUACAAUUAUAACAAACUUGUGGCCGGAGUGUUUGUUGGGAUUGGUAACUUGUAGAGAAAGCAAGCUUGUACGAAGAACUACAUUCACCCAGCAACAUUAAAACAAUGUAAAUUGCUAGUUAAACAAAGAGGGAACAGGUUCCCUUUGUAUGCUUUCAGAACCUGACCAAAAUAAGUACAACGCGAGAAGUCGAAAUUAUAUUAAUGUUGCGGGGGUAGGUAAACGAAACAGACGAGAGAAAAUCACCGUAGAUGACCAAACAGAUAUCUUCAAAGGAAAUCCUGGAUGAACAAUUUAUAAUAUAAGUUUUGGGUUGGGUUUGGCUGCUGGGAUGAGUAUAUAUACACAUACACAUGUCACAUCUAUAGUAUGAGGCUAAAAUUCCCUUUACUGUAUGAAGAAUAAUCUAUGGCUGCUGUAAUAAUUGGGUGAGACUAGGCUUGCCACUUACACAUCCAUAAAAGAUUAAUAUAUGCACCAGACAAGGUACUGGAUCAUGGCAAAAACUGUUGAACGUGCAAAGACAAGGAAAUAUCAGGAUGAACACACGGAUGAAUAGUCAUAUAUGCACCAGCCUUUUCUACAUUCAAUGCUUCCUACUCAAUCCAUAAGUAUUUCUUACAUUUAAGGCUUUCUUACAUUAAAUAUUCAGAGUGAUUCCUUAAAGCAGGGCCAAUAAAAGUGCAGAACUGCAUUCACCAAACAACAUGAAAACUUCAUUUCUACUAAAUAAAUUUUCUCUGUUAAACAAAGAGUAAAUGUUCAUAUCAUGCCCCAUUUGCUUUGGAAAUAAAUUGUGUGAUACAACGCUGAACUUCCUUUUUCUACUUCACUGAUCCAAUGCCCAUUUCCACCAACCUAUUGGAAUCAAAAUAAACACAAGAAAUUCAAAUCUGUAGAACGCAGUCUGCAGCAAGUGUAUUUUAAAAAUAAAUAAAUAAAAAGAGAUAUUUGAUCAAAAGUAAGCAAACAUAAAUUGAUUAUAGCAUUGGGCUUACAUAAGAAAGGCAAAGAAGCUACCUCUCUUACGGAAAAAUGGAGUAAACAGAGAAAUUUAUUGUUGAGGAGUGUUGAAUUGUACUCUGCAAAUUGACUCCUCUUCAUCCUCGUCAGAGCUGCAAGCACUUUGCAGUUACGGAGUGUUGAUGUGUUUUCUGCAAAUUCUCUUGGGACUGGGUUCCAAUACCUCUUCAUCAGAUCUUCCAACACUUGCAGAGGUUCCACUACUCGUGCCUGUCGUAUCAAUAAAGUCAUUAUGCAAUUUCCGAUGUUGAGAGCAUUUUUCUUCAUUUCUGGGUUUGGCUUGGUGUAGAUUUGCAUUUUGCUGGACUCACCCACAGCAUUACACCUAUGACCUUUCAGGUCAAUGAAGAAGUCAAAUGAAACAGCAGUAUGGUUGUGUCGCCAUCCGGUGGCCCGAUACAGCAACAGGAAUCAAAUCCAACUAUGACAUGUUCCGAUUGAUGGUCAGGUAGCCAACCAACAAGAAAGAGUGAUCAAAACUGUAUUCGCACAUGACGCUGGUAUAAGACUAACUCCCACAGACUCAAUAAUUGCACAAAGAACAAAUCCGGCUUUUGUUACAACUAUGCUGAGGUAGUUGAUAGUUAUUGAAGAUCCUAAAGCUUAAUUAUUGAUCCGUCCUGGAAUUUCACUUACAGGUAAAAAAAUGCUGAUACCAAGCAGUUCAUCAAUUUCUUAUACUCUGCAUUAUAAUUAAGGCUGGAUAAAUUUGUGGAAAUACAAGUGCUGUGAGUUAAUGGCAAAACUAAUAACCCCUUAAAUUAUAAAGUUUUCUGUCAGAGCAUAAGUUUCACCUCUCAUAAUCUCUAAAUUUUUCCCUCCUAUAAGUCAGAUGUUUAAAAAUUUUAAAAAAAUAAUAUUAAUAAGUAAAAGCUAAUUUGGUGAGGAAAUUAUAUAGUUUUCUUUUUUUCCCAGUUCUCAUAUCAAAGAAAAUGCACAACAAUGUAAACCGCACCGAGUUGGAUAGCACUGCCAGGACAAGUUAGUUUGUAGAACAGAGCAAAAAACCAGAAGAUCUUAUCACAUUCUCAUACUCCGAAGAACAAGAAAAAACCUCCAACAGCUCUCUUGCUUCAAGGAUCUUGCUUGUUUAAUUUCUGGCUCUCUGCUCUUUAAAUUAAACUUAUCUGUUUGUGGGAUAUUCUUCGACGAAGACCUGCAGUGAUGAGCAGACAUCUGGCAGCAUGGUUCCUCAAGCAGGUAUAUCUUGUAAGAGUCUGGUACCCGGGGGAGCAGGAGCAGGAAUAUCCAGCUCGUCCACGAGUACGCCAUCUACGAGGCCAAUCUCCGGCUAGAAGCAUAACGCCAUUCCUGCUACAUUCCUACUAAGGGCUGAGUCGAGGAGACCCGGUCAACGACAGUUGGUGAGACGUGCUCUCCAGUCCGAGAAUCAAGGCACGAAGGCCACGCAACCACCCACAACUACGGAAAUGGAGCAUCCACUUUCGAGAGGUGGGGAGAUAACGAGCGCGAAUGGAGGGAAGGCCUGAGUUCACAGUUGGCCUAUAAAAAGGUAGCCAACGAAGGUAAAAGGGUUAGAAUUUUUGAUAUGAUAACUAAGCAAAAGAAGAUCUAAAGAACGGGUACUAGAGAAACGCUAUAAGAUUAGUGGCUAGUGUUCCCAAGAGCGCAGAAAACCUUCAUAUCUGACUUGAGCGUUGGAGGGUUUACGCCGGGGAAACAACCGGUGUACUCUGACCUGCUUCUGUGUACGCAGGAACUUUCGGAGAAGCAGCCUUACGAGGAGAGAUCUUGGUCGUGGUAGAGUUGAUCGAGCAGAGAUCCUGGUCUUGGUAGAGAAGGCAACCAGAAUCUCGCAUCAACAUUUUGGCGCCGUCUGUGGGGAUCGAAGCAAAAAGCUUCUGUUGACAGCAAGAAGAGUAAAGCAAGAGAAGAAACAAUGGAUGUAGGAGGAAGUAGUGCACAAGGAGGUGAUAUGAGGCUUAACGAAUCCGUGACGUUGAGGGAGAUAGCCAUUGAAGCACGGGAAAAAGCCAUGCAUGACCGAAUGGAACGGAUGGAAAAGCAGAUGGAGACCCUGACAACCAUCUUGCACGAAUUGAGGAGUGAACGAAGGGGAACCCAUGAGGAAAGAGUGAGAGGUGGCGGAGUGGCACCAUGUCACGAUAGUACGAGGAGAAAGCAAACCACCAGGAGAUUUGGUGGUGAGAGAGAUAACUUAUCUUUGCAGGGAGAAAUUCAUAGAGAGGAAGAGCAAUCCCCAGCAAGACAGAUUGUUGAUGAGGACGACGGGGUGGCGAAUGCAGUGGAAACAGAGCUCAAGCAACACUUACAUGAUGUAGAGCAAGAGCGGGAUCAAGUUGCAGCAUGUGUCCCUGGUCGUGCAGUGCAACUGGAGGAGGAAGUGCGCAGACUAGCACAGGUAAUUGAUGACCUGCAAGGAAGGAGCAGAGCUCCUGGUUGGAGGAUAAUGCUGGACGGAGAAUCACCGCUCGUGGUAGAGAUCAUGAGGGCAGUCAUCCCAAGAGAUUUUUGCCUCCCAGACCUUAGAUAUUCGGGACGGACUGAUCCAUUGGUGCACAUAGAGCGCUUCAAUGACAUAACCGGGGUGCAAGGAUUAUCUCAAGCCCAAAGGUGCAGGGUGUUCCCACUAUCCCUAGAGGGACGAGCACGCGAGUGGUACAGGAAAUUUCCUCGGGGGAGCAUUAAAACCUUCGAGCAGAUGUGCCAGGAAUUUACAGAGCAGUUUCGUGGGGCAAUGGCACCAGAAUAUGACAUGAUGGAGUUGAAAAGCAUGAAGCAGGGGGAGCAGGAAACCCUUCGGGAAUUCAUCAAGAGGUUCCACCGUGCUGUCCUCGAUUUGGGAGCCUUCAACCAUCCUCAGGCAUUAAGGGGAUUGAAAGAAGGGGUGAAGAUAGGAAGGCUGUGGUACAACCUGAGAAGCCCAGUUAUACAGCCGCAUGCAGCCGCAUACGAGCAGGCUAAGAGGGACAUAGAGAUUGAGGAAGAAAAUGCAGCACAGAUUAAGACAGACCAGCUAGAAGGGUUGGGAAAGAAAGAGAAGAGAGCAUUACCAGGUACUGGGCCGAUCAGGAGGAGGGACCACCAGGCCUCAGGUAGUGGUGCAGGAGGUCGAGUAACCGCUUACCAGCCUCAUCAGAGGCUACCACAGUAUCAGCGCAGCAGGGCGCAACCUCCUCGCUCACCAGCUAGGGAACCUUGGAGAAGGCAUGAUUCGGCAUAUGGUGGUCUUCAUCCACACUCCCACGGAAGUAGAGGGAGCAGACCAGAAGCGCUGCCGCCGCCUCCAACGCAGAAUGGCACGAACAGGAAAAGGGCAGUGCACAUGAUCGACCAGAACCAGGACUAUAGGCGGUACACUUCCUUGAAGAUGCCCCUGAACGAGGUGUAUGAGGCCAUAAAGGAUCGGGGAUUACUGUACCUCCCUGCCCCAAUAACCAAGCUGUCUGGCAGGAGGGAUAGGGGACGUUAUUGUAAGUUUCAUGGCACUCAUGACCAUACCACUGCAGAAUGCAGAGAUCUCAAGACCUAGGUUGAAGAUUUGGUGAGAAAUCGAUACCUGGACGAAUUUAUAAAUAGGACUUUCCCGAUGGUAGCCUCGACAUGUGAAGGGGAGCAGAGUGACAGAAACUUGAGGCGCGAGCAGCCUACAGUAAAGGUGAUAACUGGGGGCCCCACAUUGGCCGGAGAUUCUAACAGAUCAAGGAAGAAUUAUGCUAGAUACGCCAUGACUAGCAAAGAGGUAUUCUUCAACACCCCAGUAGCGAAACGAGCAAGAGUCAGGCAAGUGCCAAUUAUGUGGACAGAUGAGGAUGAAGAAGGGAUUCUAUACCCCCACGAGGAUGCUUUAGUCAUCAAGGCCACUGUUCCUAGCAAGAAGUUUGACCGGAUACUAGUUGACACAGGGAGCUCAGUUGACGUGUUGUUUAAGUCAACUCUAGAGGAGAUGGGAAUAGCAGACCUGAAGCUGGAGUACACCAAUACCUCCUUGAAGGGGUUUGGAGGAGGAAAGCUGGUCCCUCUGGACGUGGUCGAGCUGCCUAUCACGAUUGGGAGCUCCCCGACAGAAAGGACUAUGAUACUGGACUUCGUGGUGGUGGAUGAAGAAGGUCCUUACCAGAUGAUCCUAGGUCGGCCAUUUCUAAGGAUGAGCAAAGCGGUAUUGUCCAACCAUUAUCUAUCUCUCAAGUACCGGGUGAAUGGGGUAGUUGGAGUGGUACGAGGAGACCAGAGAAUCGCACGAAGCUGUUACUCCUCAGCAGCAAGGGAAGCAAUGCAAAUAACAUCCCUUGAUACCCGAGUGGAAAACAAGAAUGGCAGACAAGAACCUGUAGAGGAGCUGGAGACAGUGAGCCUGGGACCAGAGAAUCCGGAAAAAACGAUCAGAAUCGGGUCGAGACUUAAGGAGGAGCAGAAGCAGGAGUUGGUGCAAUGCUUACAAGCUCAUGCAGAUGUGUUUGCUUGGACACAUGAAGACAUGCCAGGGAUUGAUCCUGAAGUAGCAUGUCAUAAGCUGGCAAUAAAGAAAGGUGCUCGGGCAGUGAGGCAGAAAAUGAGGUACUUCAACCAGGAGAGGUAUGAGGCUAUAAAUGGCGAGGUGGAGAAGCUCUUGAGAGCAGAGUUCAUUCGGGAAGUCAAUUAUCCUGAGUGGAUAUCGAAUGUAGUGUUGGUAAAGAAGGCAAAUGGCAAGUGGAGGAUGUGUGUAGAUUUCACAGAUCUCAAUAAGGCGUGCCCGAAAGACAGCUUUCCUUUGCCAAAGAUUGACCAGCUAGUAGAUUCAACAGCUGGACACGGCCUGCUUAGCUUCAUGGAUGCAUUUUCGAGAUACAACCAAAUCCCCAUGUACGAGCAGGAUGAGGAGAGCACAACUUUUAUUACUAACCAGGGUUUGUUCUGUUACAGGAUAAUGCCAUUUGGCCUUAAAAAUGCUGGGGCCACGUACCAGAGGCUGGUGAAUAAAGUCUUUAAGCCAUUGAUUGGGAGAACCAUGGAGGUGUACGUGGACGACAUGAUAACCAAGUCGAAAAUCCCGAAGGAACAUGUCGGACACCUCGAGGAGACAUUCGGGCUUUUGAGGAAGUAUAAGAUGAAGCUCAACCCGGAAAAGUGUGCUUUUGGGGUCGAGUCAGGGAAAUUCCUUGGAUUCAUGGUGAGUCAUAGGGGGAUCGAAGCAAAUCCCGAGAAGAUCCAGUCAAUCGUGCAGAUGAGGUCUCCUUGUAGCCUGAAGGAGAUGCAGAGCCUCACGGGGAGGUUGGCGGCAUUGAGCCGAUUCAUAUCCAAGGCUACAGAUAAGUGUCAGCCUUUCUUUCAAGUGAUAAGGAGGGGAAAGAAAACAGAAUGGACCCCAGAAUGCGAAGAAGCCUUCCAGAACUUGAAGCAGUACUUGCAGCAAGCACCUCUGCUGUCCACACCGAGGGAUGGGGACAAGUUAUUUUUGUAUUUGGUGGUAUCAGAUCAGGCCACAAGUUCUGUUCUGGUGAGAGAGGAAGAAGGGGUGCAGUAUCCGAUAUACUACACCAGCAAGACCCUGCUCGACGCGGAGACCAGAUACCUACCGUUGGAGAAAUGGGCACUUGCCCUUGUGGUUGCUGCUCGGAAGCUGAGGCCAUACUUUCAAGCAUUCCCAGUCUCGGUCAUAACAAACCAGCCAUUGCGUCAAACUCUGCACUAGCCAGAUGUUUCUGGUCGGCUCGUCAAGUGGGCUAUGGAGCUGAGCGAGUUCGACAUAGACUACAAACCCCGAGCAGCGAUAAAGGUUCAGGCAAUGGCCGAUUUCGUAGCAGAAUUCACAGAGCCCGAAGUAUGUUUGGACCAGCGGGAUAUAGCUCCAGACAGCAGCGAAGCCCGAGUAUGGCAGAUGUCUGUAGAUGGGUCAUCAGGGGAGCAGGGAUCAGGAGCAGGAAUUGUCUUGGAAGGCCCAGAGGGGAGGAGAUCUCUUAUGCUGUAAAGUUAGAAUUCGCAGCCACAAAUAACCAGGCAGAGUACGAAGCCUUGAUAGCAGGCUUGGAAUUGGCUAAGGCAGUGAAAGCAGAUAGAGUGAAGAUCAGAACUGAUUCCCAGCUAGUUGCAAAUCAUGUCAGUGAAAGAUUUCAACCGAGAGAGGAAAAGAUGGAGCAGUACCUGAAGAUAGUCAGGUAGAUGAUGGGGAAAUUCGAAGCGGUUGAAGUGAUACAAAUCCCCAGGGAGCAGAAUAGUCGAGCAAAUAUUUUGGCCAGGAUGGCAGCGGUAGCAGACCCAAAAAUGCCAAAGUCGAUCCCUCUGGAGGUGAAGUCCAGCCCGAGCAUCGAGCAGAAUCUGGAGGUGCUGCGGAUAGAACAAAAAUGCUCGUGGAUGGACCCGGUAAUUUCAUACCUCAGAGACGGGGUAUUACCACUAGAUAAACUACGAGCUCGGAAGAUUAGAGCCCAGGCCUCGAGAUACGCGAUGAUUGAUGGGGUAUUAUAUCGGCGAGGGUAUAUGCUACCGUUCCUUCGGUGUUUGGAUGAGGACGACGCGGACUACGUACUGAGAGAGGUACAUGAAGGAAUCUGCGGAAACCAUUCUGGUGGGAGGUCGCUGGCCCAUAAGGUUCUAAGGCAGGGAUAUUUCUGGCCGACAAUGCACCAGGAUGCGCAGGAGAAGACCAGGAGUUGUGUAAGCUGCCAGAGUUUUGCAAGUUUCUCCAACCAACCACCAGAAAAACUCACCUCUAUGGCCUCCCCUUGGCCAUUUGCUCAAUGGGGAAUUGACUUGAUCGGCCCGUAGCCAAAGGGACGAGGAGCAGCAACACAUGCAAUAGUUGUGAUAGACUACUUCACGAAAUGGAUAGAGGUAGAAGCCCUUAGCAGGAUCACAGAGAAGAAGACAACAGACUUCCUGUGGAGAAACCUGGUCUGCCGGUACGGGAUCCCUUAUGCCUUGGUAACGGAUAAUGGCAGGCAGUUCGAUAAUCACAGCUUCAGGGAUUUCUGCCAGAACCUCGGGAUAGAGGUGAAGUAUUGCUCGCCUGCUCACCCUCAAUCUAAUGGACAAGUAGAAGCUGCCAACAAGACGAUCAAGAGGCUUUUGAAAACCAGGCUUGGAGCAAAAAAGGGUGCAUGGGUUGAUGAGCUGUCAGGUGUUCUAUAGGCAUACAGGAUAACCCACAAAACAACAACUGGGGAGACACCGUUCGCCUUGGCUUUCGGACAUAAAGCGGUCGUACCAGCCGAGAUAGGAACGACUACGCACCGGACAGAUCAUUUCAAUGAGCAGGAGAACGAAGAGCAGAUGUGUUUGAAUCAAGAUUUGCUAACGGAAAAGAGGGAGCAAGCAGCCGAGCGAUAAGCCAUUUACCAGCAGAGGGUUGCUCGGUAUUAUAAUCAUAAGGUGAAUGUACGGCAGUUCAAGGUCAGAGAUUGGGUGUUAAGGAGAGUGAAUCAGAACAAGAAAGACUCGGCCCAGGGAGUACUCGAACCAAAUUGGGAGGGGCCAUACAGGGUCAAGCAGCUAGUUGGACCUGGAGCUUACAAGAUGGUUCGCGCGGAUGGCCACGAGGUGAAACUCCCAUGGAACGCAGCACACCAUAGGAAAUAUUUCCAGUAAGAAUUGUUCAUGUUUUCAAGUUAUUUCUGUUCGUGUUUGUUGUUAUUUAUUUUAUGUCAAAGCCAUUUCAUGUAAGUUGAAUCCUGCAAUUAAUGAAACGUCGAGGAAUUUCAUUCACUUGAAACUGUGAAGAAUUUACUAAGGCACGCAAAGGCUCACCAAGUCUCAAAGCCCGUGUAUGGCGAGACCAGAAGCCAAGCGUGCCAGGAUCUGCUCGACCGCACGAAGGCGUGCAGAAUCCCAAGCAUUGAAGAAUUUACUAAGGCACGCAAAGGCUCACCAAGUCUCAAAGCCUAUUUAUGGCGAGACUAGAAGCCAAGCGUGCCAGGAUCUGCUCGACCGCGCGAAGGCGAGCAGAAUCCCAAGCAUUGAAGAAUUUACUAAGGCACGCAAAGGCUCACCAAGUCUCAAAGCCUGUUUAUGGCGAGACCAGAAGCCAAGCGUGCCAGGAUCUGCUCGACCGCGCGAAGGCGAGCAGAAUCCCAAGCAUUGAAGAAUUUACUAAGGCACGCAAAGGCUCACCAAGUCUCAAAGCCUGUGUAUGGCGAGACUAGAAGCCAAGCGUGCCAGGAUCUGCUCGACCACGCGAAGGCGAGCAGAAUCCCAAGCAUUGAAGAAUUUACUAAGGCACGUAAAGGCUCACCAAGUCUCAAAGCCUGUGUAUGGCGAGACCAGAAGCCAAGCGUGCCAGGAUCUGCUCGACCGCGCGAAGGCAAGCAAAAUCCCAAGCAUUGAAGAAUUUACUAAGGCACGCAAAGGCUCACCAAGUCUCAAAGCCUGUGUAUGGCGAGACUAGAAGCCAAGCGUGCCAGGAUCUGCUCGACCGCACGAAGGCGAGCAGAAUCCCAAGCAUUGAAGAAUUUACUAAGGCACGCAAAGGCUCACCAAGUCUCAAAGCCUGUGUAUGGCAAGACCAGAAGCCAAGCAUGCCAGGAUCUGCUCGACCGCGCAAAGGCGAGCAGAAUCCCAAGCAUUGAAGAAUUUACUAAGGCACGCAAAGGCUCACCAAGUCUCAAAGCCUGUGUAUGGGGAGACCAGAAGCCAAGCGUGCCAGGAUCUGCUCGACCAACCGAAGGCAAGCAGAACCCGAAACGUUGAAAAAAUAUCUAAGGCACGCGAAGGGUCGUCAAGUUUCAAGGCCUGGUCUGUGACGAGACCAGAAGCCAAAUAAAUGAAUAAACCAAAACUCCAAUACGAGAAGGCAAACAAGAACAAUUUUAUUAAGCUUCUAAUAGUUGCAAAGCUGUUACAUAAAAUGUUCAAAAACCAAUGACAACACAAGACAAGUUUAGGAGGAUGGCGGAUCAGUAAGCCGAGCAGCAUCAGUUGGCUGGACCACCUCAGGGGCAGGGGGUAUCACCAGUUGCGUCCGGGGGGGUGCUCGCCUCACGAACAUCAGCAGGGAUUGCACGAGGAGGAGAGUUUUCCUCCUCAACCACGAUUGGCUCCACCCCUUCGGCAUCUUCCUUUGCCGCCUCCUCGUCCAUGUGUUGAGCAACACCAGCUGCAAGGUCAUCCAUCUUCAGAUCAGGAUGCUGCUUCCCGAGGACGGCCCUGAUGCAACAAUAGGAAUGCUGAAGUCCCUGGUCGUACUGGUUGUCGGCUUCCUUCUCCAAGUUCUCGACCUGAGCUCGGUGGGAAUCGCGGAGAGAUUCGAGCUGAGCCUCGUACAUAACCUUCUGCCUUUGCAGAUCCUCCCUGACCUUAGUCAGCUCUUCCUCGAGAGUAAUGACCUUUGCUUGAGCAAGAGAGUCUUGCUCUAUCAGCUUUAGAUUCUCGAGAUUCAAGUCUCCUGCUUUCUUCUCGGCAGCAUCGGCUUUGGUCAUCGCCGAUUGAAUGUCCUUCUUCAUCUUCCGGUCGUAGCGGCCAAGCUUGGCCUUAUAGUAAGUGGUCAUGCAGCUGAGAUGGAAAGCGCUAUACUGCAUGGCCCCCACCAGCUCACCCAGGGUGCAGCCAUCAAAGUCCUCCAGGUCCUUCUUGCUCACAAGUUUAGAUAGCUCGUUGAGAUAAGGGACCAGGUGUUUUGCUCGGCUGUCAGAUAAACGAGAUCUAGGCCCGACAGGAGGAGAAGAGGAAGCAGGAUCAGUGGCUGGUCCACUAGUUUCUCCGACUUUGGCAGGAGGAGGAGGUAGAGUCUUCAAGGGAGAAACAUGCUGCACAGUGGUCACCCGCUUCGUAGUGGGAGCGUCUUUGUUCUGGUCCCUCUUCGCAGUUUGAGGUCGAGGAUGUUUCCGAGUCAGAGCCCCAAUCACAGCAUCCUCCAUCUUAUGGCCCGGGGGCACCAAACAAGACUCGAGCAGGUUAUAAGUAGUUAUUAGCUCUCGGCUCGAGCAGGAAUUGGCCAGUACAGCCUCGACCUGUUUGAGCUGAUCAGGUUCGAGUGGGAAGUGAACACCCCAAGAACCUGCAAUACACACAGACAUUUGGUUAGAGACAAACCAGUAAAGCGAGAACAAUUAUGGAUACAAGACAUCUAAAGCGAGCAGGCAACCUGGGACCACGAAACGGGGUGGGACGCGACAAUCCUUCCUGUCAAUCUGUGCAACUUGACCCCAGGGACCCCCAGCAAAAAAGAACUUUCUCUUCCAAUUCCCACCACCACCAGUAGGGAGGUCGGUUAUAGGUUUCCUAGUCUUAGUACUUGAUUGGAAGUAAUACCAGCCAGCAUCUUUGGGGCUGCUUUUCAGCUAGUACAAGUGCUUCACCUCAUCAACUGUGGGCUUGCUUUGGCAACAUCUGUCCCACAAUAUGAACAGACCAGAGAGUACUCUCCACCCGUUGGGGUUCAGCUGACCAGGAGCUAGAUUUAGCCCGUUCAGAACCCGGGCAAAGUAGGGUUGCAAAGGACACCUCAGCCCAUACUUAAAACUCUCAAAAAACAAGGUAACAUAUCCCCUAGGAGGCCGGCUAGGGGUAUCCUUCUUUCCUGGGAUCUUAAGAGGUAUUUCACCAGGAAUACUAUACCUAAGUCGGAGGUCAGUGAGCUCGUCAAACGUGGUCGUGCACGUCAUGUAAUCAAUGGCGUAAUCCCGUGAUAGGGCUCUACCUCCUAUUGUACUCCGCCCUUCUGGUCGUGAUGUUCCUGAUGGGGACACCUCACCAGAAUCACCUCCUCGAUCCUCACUCAGGGUGUUUUCCGAGCCAGAAGACCCCUCCUCACAGCUGUUUCCGCUCGAAGAGGUUAUUUGGGGGGACAUCCUCCUAGCGCUAGUCCCAACACUAGGUCUAAUGGGUUCUAAGGGGAUCCCGGGGUCAAAGGUAGGAUCAAUGAGCAGACUAGGCAGGAAAUCUAACUUGUCGUCAUCAACCUCAAUGACUUUCUCUUUACCUUUUGACAUCUCCUAAACUACGACCAGAGCAAUAUCACCAAACACUACCCAAACAAAACAAAGAGAAAGGAAAUUUUCUAUAGCAAUCUAGGAACGAGAAAAUAGAGGUAAUACUUACCUGCAAUUGAGGCCCAGCGGAGUAGAGGCAGGGACGAUAGCUUAUACGUCGAGGGAGAAAGGUUAUUCAGUCACCGGAGAAGUAGAAGAGGGCUGAGAGAUGAAAUUCGUCUUUGGGAUUUUUAGGUUCCUUAAUGAGAAAUAAACCCACGGGCUGUCAGCAUUUAAGGGCACGAGUUCCAAGGGUCGCAUAGCCACCGGUUUGAAAUUCAAAUGGAGGGACAGAUCUCUGCCACAUCACCUCACCCGUAAUUAAAUGCGACACGACUCUUGGCAGUUUUUUCCCAUCCCGCGCGAGCAAGAACUGUCGAGUUUCUACUGUCGGCUCACUGCGUUACCCAACACCAGAAACUGGGGGACCGGUGUUUGUGGGAUAUUCUUCGACGAAGACCAGCAGUGAUGAGCAGACAUCUGGCAGCAGGGUUCCAGGUAUAUCUUGUAAGAGUCUGGUACCCGGGGGAGCAGGAGCAGGAAUAUCCAGCUCGUCCACGAGUACGCCAUCUACGAGCCCAAUCUUCGGCUAGAAGCAUAACGCCAUUCCUGCUACAUUCCUGCUAAGGGCUGAGUCGAGGAGACCCGGUCAACGACAGUUGGCGAGACGUGCUCUCCAGUCUGAGAAUCAAGGCACGAAGGCCACGCAACCACCCACAACUACGGAAAUGGAGCAUCCACUUUCGAGAGGUGGGGAGAUAACGAGCGCGAAUGGAGGGAAGGCCUGAGUUCAUAGUUGGCCUAUAAAAAGGUAGCCAAUGAAGGUAAAACGGUUAGAAUUUUUGAUAUGAUAACUAAGCAAAAGAAGCUCUAAAGAACGGGUACUAGAGAAACGCCAUAAGAUUAGUGGCUAGUGUUCCCAAGAGCGCAGAAAACCUUCAUAUCUGACUUGAGCGUCAGAGGGUUUACGCCGGGGAAACAACCGGUGUACUCUGACCUGCUUCUGUGUACGCAGGAACUUUCAGAGAAGCAGCCUUACGAGGAGAGAUCUUGGUCGUGGUAGAGUUGAUCGAGCAGAGAUCCUGGUCUUGGUAGAGAAGGCAACCAGAAUCUCGCAUCAACAUUAUCUAUAGCUACCUAAAACCAAAUGGCAAAAUAAUCAGGCCAGGCAUCCAAUCAGACUUAGGUUCGGCGGCUCCAAUUUAACUAGUUCUUAUAGCUAAUUAAUGCAAAAACUUCUCAUGCAUCCGUAAGAAAGGGGUGUGACAGCAGCUGUGAAGCAGUCCAUCUCUUGCUAGGGUCGUCUUUCUGCAAGCAACACGUGAUAAAAUCUCUGAAAUUCUCCGAUGAACAUUCCGGCAAGCUCGGCGGCUCCCUAAAGCAUAUGGCCAACAUUACGCUUGGAAAAUCAGGCUUCUGUCCCGGCCUCAAAUAUGGAUAAUAUCCCAUAUAAAGUUCCAUUAUGUUGUGCUCGGAAUGCGGAAUCAAGCGCACCAAAUAAUUAUAGAAAAAUAAAGGAUACAAGAAUUUAACGUGCUUCGGUACUUAAACCUACAUCCACGGAACAAGAGAAAAAUAAUUGUAUUACUAACAAUUAUUAGAGUACAAAUUUGAGUAAAGAAACCUCAUUUUCCCAGAACCCAAAUACACCCAGUACUCUUCAAUUGCUCACACUCUCAGAACUCUCAAAAGUUUAGAAACUUAUAAGCUUAACAAAUGUUUUGGGAUGCUUAACAAAUGAAAAACUCCCUCUAUUUAUAGGCUUGAAGCUAAUACUAUUCCACCUACCCCAAGCAUUAUUCCACCUAACCCAUGCAAAUAUGUCAAUGGUGUCCAUUUGGCAAAUUUGCCAACUUUUCAUUUUUUUCUUUAAUUGUUUGGUAGCCCUUUGAAAUUUUGCAUGCCUUUUUGAAUUUAAAUGCCACGUGCAUGACUUUUUGAAUUUAAAUGCCACGUGCAUGACUUUUCAACACAUUAUUGUCACCCCAAAGCUCCAUAUAUCCGCAACGAACCCAUUGUAGCCUCCAUGCUUCUCGGUGUCGAACCUCUCCGGACUCAUAUAAGCAUAAGUACCCAAAGGGGUGCGUGCUGCAGCGCUCCAAGCAUUGUCGUAUAAUCUUACUUAUUUCAAAAUCAGCAAUCUUGGUCUCCUUCUUUCGAUUGAUCAAAAGAUUCGACGGCUUUAUGUCACGGUGAACAAUGUUCUUGGAAUGCAUGUAAACAAAACCCUUGAGAACCUGGCGGGAAAUAGUGCCGAUUAAAUCUUCAGAAAGGCGACCGCAAGAUUUUACAUAACUUUCCAGCGAGCCAGCAUCCAUGUACUCCAUGAGAAUAGAUACUUCUCCAGAGGGCUUCGUGAAGAUUUGAUGACACUUCACAAUGUAAGGAGAGUUGGUUUGGCGCAACAUAUUGAGCUCUUGAGGAUUAGGAGGGGUGCCACGAUCACAGUGCAUGACCUUUAAAGCAUAAAGAGCAAGAGUUUGCUUGUGACGAACUUUGAAGACGGUGCCGCCAUUACCCUGACCAAGAACUUGGAGCCGCUCGAGUUGGUGUAGUCCGUCAAUUUCUGGACCGUAGCUGGCGGUUGCAGUAUGAAAAAGGCCGGGACAGGAUAUUGGUUUCGGAAUAUCGAGUUGAAUGGCUAAACAAGGGGGGUUUUUUAACUGAUGAAGCCAUGGAAGGUACGAAAGCACAUUUUCGUUUUCCAAGUUGUGACGAUGCAGCAAUCUUUCCUAAAAUUACAUCUUGUGACCUGUUAAUUUGCUUAGUGUUAGACUUAAGAGCAUGUGCUGUAAUAUCAUUUUUUUUAAUUUAAUUCAAUUCGUUAAUUUAUGGAUUAUUGCAUUAGACAUAGCUUGUCAAUAUGUGUAUAUAUAACAAGUUCUUUGUAAUAUAAGAUGGUUAACAUGAAAGUUGAGAGAGUUUUAUGUAAGAAUAAAACAGAUAUGAAAGUAAAAAUAUUAUGUACAAAAAUGAAGUGGCUGCAAUUUUCUUCCCAAAAAAUUUCCCACAUAACUUUCUUCCCGAUAUAUGAAGUAAUUUCUUAAGAAUAAUUUUAGGGAUUAAAAAAAUUAAAUAAGUUCUAAUAUGGUAGGUAAUAAAUUAACUGUAUAAUAAGGUUACUUUUUUAGAGUUAAAAUUUACGUUGUACCAAAAAAAAAUUUAUGUAAUCCAUUCAGGGCUGAGUUAUAUAAAAAUUUUAACUUAAUUUCAUUGAAAUAUGUACGAAUCAUUUAUAGAAAAUUUAUUUGGGCCGGAUGAGAGAUAGGUGUGCUGCAAAAACUACAACAGGGGAUGUCGAUGACCCAAUAUCACAUAUCUUUAUUUUAAAUGAAAGAAAAACGAAACAUAUAUUUUGAAUUGCCAAGAAAAAAUAAAAAGGUUGCUUCAUUUAUUCCUAAUAAUUUUAGGGAGAAAGCUAUGGUGCAACGGUGAUACGGUAUCACCGUUGCACCCAGCCGUUGGAUCCACGUGGAUCCCACUGGAUCCAUUCUCCCACGUGGAUCCAACGGCUGGAUGCAACGGUGAUACCGUAUCACCGUUGCACCAUAGCCGGAUCCUAAUUUUAGAUACAUAAGAUGGGGAUAAGAGUUACCUGCUGGUCAUCAUGGAUUGAAAUAGAGUUAUAAGGAUUUCCUGAAUGGAUUCCGUGAUGGCCAUAAGCGCCACUCCCGCCAGCACGUUGAACAUUUCUGGAUGCUCCUCAAACCGUUCUUCGUGCUCAACAAAGGCACAUCCAAUACAUCUCCUCUGAUUCUUUUAGAAUUAAAAAAAAAAAUGAAGACCAGCUAAAAACGGGACCGUUCCGCUAGCUUGUUUUGUUGGUAAAUUCUGUCUGCUGACUUGGUCAGGAUAAUCAGAGUCGACUGAAUAGUGGAGACCAGGCCGGCAGGAAUAGGCGAAUGGCAAGUAAGAAAGUCAUAUUUUAUUGGUUUCAUUAAUCAUUAUUAUAAAUAAGAGCAAGCCAAAAAGUAGCGCUGCUAUAUACCCCGGGUCAAAUCCCGAGUCAAGCCCCGAAGAUUACGAAAAACGACGUUGUUUUGAGAAUUAAUUUUUUUAAUUUUAAAAUUAAACAUCUGCUGUUUCGUUUCUUUUUCUCUUUUAAUUUUCGUUCCUUUUUCUUCCCAACUACUGAAGUAUUGUUAUCUUCGUUCACAGCCCCAUCUAAUUCUUCCAAAUCUGCUUCUAAAAAUGAUGCAUCACAGAGAUGCUACUUCUGCAAACGACCGAUCAAGUAUAUGAAUGCACUUAAAUCAUGUAGCUUGGCUGGUUUGUUCAAAAUCUGCUUUUGCUUGGUUUUCAGAAGCAAAGUCUAACGGUGGGAUGUGUUUUAAUAAUCCUGAUGGAGAAUAUUACAACGCUUAUGGGUAAUUGGAAUUUUGGUCACUGAACACAAUCAUGCCCUUCUCCAUUAUUUCGAGUUGUUUUUUCACAUGAGAGAGUUGAACACAACAAUACUCAGAUCUGCAAAAGAGAGAAAAGUUGGUGGUUUUCUUAAGGUUGACAGAGUAUCAAGAAGUUGAGAAGCUGCAUAAUCGACAAGCUAAAGAUUUGAGGAGUUUUUUUUUUUAAGUUAGGAAAUAUCCAUAGAUAAUGGAUAUUUUAAGUUUUUUUUCCUCAAAACACAGACUUUUACCUUUUCCAAAAUCAAGGGAGAGGUUGCAGGGACUGUGGCUGGAAAGAAUUAUAGUUUAUUAAUAACUUUUUAAAAAGGUGCGGUUUUAGGAUGUUGGGUUUGACUCGGGGGAAGUAGCAUUUUUCUUUUAUUUUUUUGUCUUUUUGAAUUUUUUUUUAAUCACAAGUUUAUUAUUAUCUAUACUUGUGCAUGGAAAGCAAAUGGUAGCAGUGAUGGUGCCGAAGAGUCUAGUUUGGCCAUUUAUCGUAAAGCAGGGGGACCGCCUAAGAAAUCGAGUUCUGGGCUGGGGUGGAGGUAAUAAUAUAAAUAUAACGAAUUGGGUUUUUUUCAUUACUUUAAACCUUUGAACUUGUAUAAUUUACUUGUAUAAAUUAGAUUCUUAAUCUAGAAUAUUAUAAUAUUAUUUAUAAAAUCUGAUUGGUUUAGAGACUUUUUGUGUACUUUUUUUCAUUAAUCUAGAAAAAAGAAAAAAAAAUUAACUUUUUAUAUGAGGUGUAGGUAUGAAACCAAGGGAUGUCUAUCGUUCCUUGGAUAACGGGAGCAGCAUGGACAUUCAUGUUAUAGCAAGGAGAGAAUUGGAAUUAAAAGUGAAAACAAUGGAAGAGGAAUUAAGUGAGCUUAGAAAAGUAAAAAAGCAAAUGAAAAUAAUGGAAGAUGUUUGGGGGAUAUAUAACGACGAGACCAGCCAUAUCCUGGACAAGGAACCAGCUUCCUUAUAAGCGAGCAGAUGGGUGAAGUUUGGUAGCAGGUCACGAGGACGAGCAUGAAUCUUCUGCUCAGUCACAAGGACACCUUCUUCUAGCCCAUAGCACGAGAUGGCCUCCUGCUAGGAGCCGAGAGCCAUUCCUGCUGAAGACCGGAGCUAGCAGACCUAGUCCAUAACGGUUAACGAGACGUGCACUCCUAUUUGAGAAUCUAGGCACGAAACCCACUCAGCCACAACUACGAUAGUCAAGCACCCACUUCCGAGAGCUGGGGAGGUGAUGGACGCGGAUCGUGGGGGACCGAAUUUGUAGGAAGGCUAUAACAAGAGUAAUCAACGAAGGUAAAGGGGUUAGACAGUUUCAUAUUAGAGCUUAAGGAAAAAGUAUUUACUGAGAAAGGAAAGAAAAACUUAGAGGUAUUUUGAUUGUCUAAGAGAUCAUAAAAGAGCCACGAGAUUAGUGGCCAAGUUUCCCAAAAAGUAAACCUACAUUUCUGACUUGAGCGUCGGAGGGUUUACGCCGGGAAAACUCCUGGCGUGCUCUGACCAGUUUCUGUGUACGUAGGAUUCUGCUAAGUAGAAGUCAUACGAGGCAUUGCUCUGCUCGGUUAGAAGGGUUACGAGAAGUAUCUUCGGUUGGUCGUGAGUUCGGGAGUUGAGGAGAGAUCCUGGUCGUGAACGAGCAGACACCAGAAUCACGCAUCAACAUUUUGGCGCCGUCUGUGGGGAGCUGAACAAAAAGCUUUCGUAAAUAGAGAACAUAAGAAGAAAAAAGUGAGGAGACAAUGGACGUAGGUGGGGGUAGUGCCCAAGGGGGUGAUUUGGGGCUUAACGAGUCUGUGAAGCACGAGAAAAAGCAAUGUAUGAGCGGAUGGAAUGGAUGGAGAAGCAGAUGGAGACUCUGACAACCAUCUUACAUGAGCUGAGAAAUGAGUGAAGGGGAAUUCAAGAGGAGGGGAUGAGAAGUAGUGGAAUGACACUAGGGCACGUUGACAGAAGGAACAACGAUAACACGAUGAGAGGUCGGACCACUAGAAGAUUUGGUGGUGAAGUGGGUAACCAAUCUCUACGGGGAGAAAGUCAUGGAGGAGGAGAUCAAUCCCCAGGGAGGUAGGUCGUUGACAACGAUGAUGGAGUUGUGAAUGCAGAGGAAAAGAAACUCCGGCAACACCUGGUCGUGCCAUGGAGCUGGAGGAAGAAGGGUACAGACUAGUGUAGAUAAUAUAUGACAUGCAAGGGCGGAGCAGAGUACCCGGUUGGAGGAUAAUGCUCGAUGGUGAAUCCCCCCUCUCGGCAAAAAUCAUGAAUGCAGCCAUCCUGAGGGAUUUCCGCUUCCCUGACCUCAAAUACUCAGGGCGAACCGAUCCAUUGGUGCACAUAGAGUGUUUCAAUAGCAUAACUGGGGUGCAGGGAUUAUCGCAAGCCCAAAGGUGUAGGAUGUUCCCACUGUUUUUAGAGGGAUGAGCACGUAAGUGGUACAACAAGCUUCCUCGGGGGAGCAUCAAAACAUUCAAGCAGAUGUGCCAGAAUUUUGUAAAGCAAUUUCGGGGGGCAAUGGCACCUAAAGAUGAUAUAAUGGAGCUGACAAGCAUGAAGCAAGGAGAGGAAGAAACUCUUCGGGAAUUUAUCAAAAGGUUCCAUUGCACUGUCCUUGAUCUGGGAGCCUUCAACCAUCCCCAACCAUUGAGGGGACUAAAAGAAUGAGUAAGAAUAGGACGCCUGUGGUACAACUUGAGGAGUCCAGCCAUUCAGUCAUAUUCUACCGCUUAUGAGCAAGCCAAGAGGGAUAAAGAAAUCGAGGAGGAAAAGGCAGCAAGGAUUAAGACAGAUCAGCUGGAAGGGUUGAGGAGAAAAGAGAAGAGAGCCCUACCAGGAAAUGGGCCGAUUAAGAGGAAGGACCACCAUGCCUCAAGUGGCGGUGCAAGAGGCUGGGUCACCUCUUACCUGCUUCAUCAGAGGCCACCCCAAUAUCAGCGUAACAGGAUGCAGCCUCCUUCCUCACGAGCCAAAAAUUCCUAGAGAAUGCAUGAUCAGACAUACAAUCAUCCUUAUCAACACCCACACGGUGGUAGAGCGAGCAGACCAGAGGCACCGAUACCCAUUCAGCUCAGAACGGCACCCACAGGAAAAGGGUAGUGCACAUGAUCGACCAGAGCCAAAACUAUGGGCUGUAUACUUCCUUGAAGGUGCCCCUGGAUGAGAUGUAUAAGGCCAUAAAGAACCGGGGAUUACUGUACCCCUUACCCCAAUAACAAAGCUGCCCAGUAGGAGAGAUAAGAGACGGUAUUGCAAGUUCCAUGGCACCCACAGCCAUACCAAGACCAAAUGCAGGGAUCUCAAGACCCAGGUUGAAGAUUUUGUGAGAAAUCGUUACCUAGACGAGUUUGUAGAUGGGGUUAUCCCAAUGGUGGGUUCGUCAUGUGAAGGAAAGCAGAGUAACAGAAACAUGAGCCAUGAGCAGCCGAUGGUAAGGGUAAUUGUUGGGGGCCCAACGUUGGCGGGAGACUCCAACAAAUCGAGGAAGAACUACGCUAGGUAUGCCACGACUAGUAAAAAAGUGUUCUUCAACACCCCAGCAGUCAAGAGAGCAAGAAUCAGGCAAGUACCGAUUAUGUGGACGGAUGAGGACGAAGAAGGAAUUAUAUAUCCACAUGAGGAUGCCUUAGUCAUUAAAGCCACCGCUGCCAGCAAGACGUUUGACCGGAUCUUGGUAGAUACGGAAAGCUCAGUCGAUGUCCUGUUCAAGUCAACUCUAGAGGAGAUGUGAAUAGCAGACUUGAGGUUAGAACACACUAAUACCUCCUUGAAGGGGUUUGGUGGAGGAAAGCUAGUCCCUCUAGACGUAGUCGAGUUGCCCAUCACGAUGGGCAACUCCCCGACAGAAAAGACUAUGAUCCUGGAUUUUGUCGUUGUGGAUGAAGAGAGUCCUUACAAGAUGAUUUUAGGCCGCCCCUUCCUGAGGAUGAGCAAGGCAGUGCUCUCUAAUCAUUACUUAGCUCUCAAGUAUCGGCUGAAUGGAGAAGUGGGGGUGGUACGUGAAGACCAAAGAAUGGCCCAAAGCUGUUACUCCACAGCAGUAAGGGAAGCAAUGCAGAUCACAUCGCUUGAUACUCGAGUGAAAGUCAAGGAUGAUAGAGAGAAGCCGGUUCAGGAGCUGGAAAUAGUAAACUUGGAACAAGGUGACUCAAGAAAAACAAUCUGAAUCGGGUCGAGGCUUAAAGAAGAGCAGGAGCAGGAGCUGGUACAUUGUUUGCGGGCUCACGCAGAUGUGUUCACUUGGACACAUGAGGACAUUCCGGGAAUCGACCCUGAGGUGGCCUGCCACAAGUUGGCAAUAAGGAAGGGUGCUCGGCCGGUAAGGUAAAAAAGAAGGUGCUUCAACCAGGAGAGGUACGAACCUAUAAAUGGCGAGGUAGAGAAGUUCCUGAUGGCAGGGUUUAUUCGGGAAGUCAACUACCCCGAAUGGAUAUUAAACGUGGUUUUAGUAAAGAAGACUAAUGGCAAAUGGAGGAUGUGUGUAGAUUUCACUCACAUCAACAAGGUGUGCCCGAAAGACAGCUUUCCCCUACCCAAGAUCGACCAGCUGGUAGACUCGACAGUCGGGUAUGGUCUACUUAGCUUCAUGGAUACAUUUUCGGGAUACAACCAAAUCACAAUCUGCAACGAACACCCUUGUUAUCUACGCCGAGGGAGGGGGACGUGCUAUUCAUAUAUUUAGCAGUAUCGGAUCAUGCUACGAGCUCGGUUCUGGUGAGAGAAGAAGAAGGGGUUCAAUAUCCAAUAUACUACACUAGCAAGGCCCAGAUCGAUGCUGAGACCAGGUACCCGCCGUUGGAGAAAUGGGCACUUGCUCUGGUGGUUGCUGCUCGAAAACUGAGACCAUACUUUCAAGCAUUCCCCGUCUCAUUCAACCGUUGCAAUAGACUCUGCACAAGCCGGAUGCUUCUGGUCGGCUUGUGAAAUGGACCAUAGAGUUGAGCGAGUUCAAUAUAAAUUAUAAACCCCGAGCAACAAUAAAAGCCCAGGCAAUGGCAUACUUUAUGGGAAAUUUCACAGAGCCCGAAGUAGGUUUUGACCAGUUGGGUGCUGCUACAGUCAACAACGAGGAUCGAGUCUGGCAGAUGUCGGUGGAUGGAUCCUCAGGGGAGCAGGGUUCUGAAGCAGGGAUUGGUUUGGAAGGCCCAAAGGGGAGAAGAUCUCUUAUGCUGUAAGAUUGGAGUUCACGGCCACAAACAACCAGGUAGAAUAUGAAGCUUUAAUAGCGGGGUUGGAAUUGGCUAAGGCAGUGAAAGCGGAUAGGGUGAAAAUCCAAACUGAUUCUCAAGUAGUUGCCAACCAUGUUAGUGAAAAAUUUCAGCCGAGAGAUAAGAAGCUGGAACAGUACCUAAAGAAAGUCAAACAGAUGAUGGGGAAGUUUGAGUCAAUGGAGGUGAUACAAAUCCCAAGGGAGGAGAAUUAUCGAGCAGACAUCCUGGCCAGAAUGGGAGCUGUAGCAGAUCCAAAAAUGCAUAAGUCAGUCCUUUUAGAGGUGAAGUCUAGCCCCAGCAUCGAGCAGAAUCUGGAGGUGUUGCGAAUAGAACAGAAGUGCUCGUGGAUGGACCCAAUAAUCUCGUACAUCCGGGAUAGGGUAUUACCACCAGAUAAGUUACGAGCUCGGAAGAUCAGAGCUCAAGCGUCAAGGUACACAAGAUUGAUGGGGUGUUAUAUCGGCGAGGGUACACUCUACCGUUCCUUCGAUGUUUGGUCGAGGACAACGCGGAUUACGUACUGAGGGAAGUACAUAAAGGGGUUUGUGGAAACCAUUCUGGUACGAGAUCCCUUGCCCACAAGGCUCUUAGGUAGGGGUAUUUCUGGCCGACGAUGCACCAGGACGCACAGGAGAAAAUUAAGAGUUGCAUGAUUUGCCAAAGUUUUGCCAAUUUCUCCACCUAGCCACCAGAGAAGCUCACUUUUAUGCCCUCGCCAUGGCCAGUUGCUCAAUGGGGAAUCGAUCUGAUUGGACCGUUGCCAAAGGGACGAGGGGCGGCUACACAUGCAAUAGUAGCAAUAGAUUACUUCACUAAAUAAGUCGAGGUAGAAGCCCUCAGCAGUAUCACGGAGAAAAAGAUGAUCGAUUUCAUAUGGAGGAACCUGGUCAACCGAUAUGGGAUCCCUUAUGCCCUGAUAGCAGACAAUAGCAGGCAGUUCGACAAUAAUAACUUCAUGAAAUUUUGCCAGAACCUCAUAAUAGAGAUGAAGUUCUGCUCAUCUGCUCACCCUCAGUCUAAUGGACAAGUAGAAGCAACCAACAAGGUUAUCAAGAGGCUUUUGAAGACCAGGUCAGGAGCGAAGAAGGGAGGGAGCAUGGGUUGAUGAGCUAUCAGGAGUGUUAUGGGCAUACAGGACAACCCAUAAAACAGUAACCGGUGAAACUCCGUUCGCUCUGGCUUUCGGGCAUGAAGUCGUUGUACCAGCGGAGAUAGGGACAGCCACACACCGGACUAAUCACUUCGAUGAGCAUGAAAACCACAACCAGAUGCACUUGAACCUGGAUUUGCUGACUGAGAAGAGGGAGCAAGCAUUGAAGUGAUCAGGCGCCUACCAGUAGAGGGUUGCUCGUUUUUACAACCAGAAGGUGCGUGUAUGACAGUUCAAGGUCGGCGAUUGGGUACUUAGGAGGGUGAAUCAGAAUACAAAAGACUCAACACAAGGGGGUGCUUGGCCCUAACUGGGAAGGUCCAUAUAGAGUCAAGUAGGUGGCUGGACUCGGAGCCUAUAAGCUCGUUCGCGCGGAUGGCCACGAUGUGAAAUGACUGUGGAAUGCAGCGCAUCCCAGGAAAUACUUCCAGCAAGACCCAAUUAUGCUUAAGAGUUAUUUCUAUUCAUUCUUGUUGUUAUUUAUUUUUAUGUUUAGUCAAUCUCAAGUAAGCCGAGUUCAGUAAUCAAUGAAGUUUGAAGGAAUUUCAUUCAGUUGUCAUGAAUGUGAAGAUAUUACAUAAAUAAAAAUUCUAAGGCAUGCAAGGCUCCAUAAGUCUCAAAGACUGCUCGAUGGUAAGAUAAAGAGCCAAGCAUGCCAGAAUCUGCUCGGCCAUGAGAAGGCAAGCAGACCAUCAUAUGUUUAAAUAAAAAUUGUAAGGCAUGGAAAGGCUCCAUAAGUCUCAAAGCCUGCUCGAUGGCGAGACAAAGAUCAAAGCAUACCAGAAUCUGCUCGGCCAUGAGAAGGCAAGCAGACCAUCAUAUGUUUAAAUAAAAAUUCUAAGGCAUGCAAAGGCUCCAUAAGUCUCAAAGUCUGCUUGAUGGCGAGACAAAGAGCCAAGCGUGGCAAAAUCUGCUCGGCCAUGAGAAGGCAAGCAGACCAUCAUAUGUUUAAAUAAAAAUUCCAAGGUAUGCAAAGGCUCCCUAAGUCUCAAAGCGUACUCGAUGGCGAGACAAAGAGCCAAGCGUGCCACAAUCUGCUCGACCAAGCGAAGGCAAGCAGACCAUAAAAAGUUCCAGUAAGUUUCUAAGACGUGCAAAGGCUUCAAAGUCUCAAAGCAUGUUCGAUGGCGAGACUGGAAACCAAGCUUUUCAGCAUCUGCUCGAUCAAGUGCAAGCGAACAAAAAAAAAAAGGGAAAGAACGCAAAACAAAGCAAACAAAUAGGGCAACAAUAGUAAAAAGCUAUUAAUCUUGACAUACAAGGUUCCAAAAAGAUAUCUACAACACAAAAUACAAUCAAGAGGACGGGGGAUUAGUAAGCAUAGCCGUCUCUACUGGUUGGUCCAUAGGAAGAGCAUAAGGGGUCUCGCCAGUUGAGCCUGGGGGGGUACUCACCUCGUCAACAUCAGUAGGAGCUACACGAGGAGGGGAGGUUGCCUCCUCAGUGGAAUUUGGCCCUAACUCUUCGCCACCUUCUUUGGCCGCCUCCUCGUCCAUAUAUUCAGCUACACCAGCAGCAAGCUCAUCCAUCUUCAGAUCAGGAUGUUGUUUCCCAAGAACGGCCAUGAUGCACUGAUAAGAAUGUUGAAGCCCCUGGUCGUACUAGUUGUCAGCUUCCUUCUCUAAGUUUUCGACCUGGGUCUGGUGGGUAGCUUUGAGGGAUUCGAGUUGAGCUUCGUAGCUAGCCUUUUGCGUCUGCAAAUCCUCCUUAACCGUAGUCAGCUCCUCCUCAAGUGUAAUAGCCUUUGCCUGCGCGAGAGAUUCUCGCUCUAUCUACUUCAAGUUCUCGAGGUUGAGAUCUCCAGCUUUCUUCUCAGCAACGUCAGCUUUGCUUUUGGCUGACUGAAGGCCUUUUUUCAUUUUUUAGUCGUAAUGGCUGGCCUUCGCCUUAUAGUACGUGGCCAUGCAGGCAAGGUGAAAAACACUGAACUGCAUAGCCCCGACCAGCUCGCCUAAAGUGCUGCCAUCAAAAUCCUCCAAGUCUUUUUUGCUCACGAGCCUAGAAAACUCAUUGAUAUAGGGGACUAGAGUUGAUUGUCGGGCAAACGAGUUUUUAACCUUGCUGGAGGGUAUGGAGAAGUGGGAUCAGCGCCACUGGCGGUUCCACUAGUUUCGUCGGCCCUGAGAGGAGGAUGUGGUAGAGUCUUCAAAGGGGAGGUCUGCUCCAUAAUGUUGACCCGUUUCCCAGGGGGAGCAUAGAUGUUGUGAUCUCGCUUAGCAGCAUUGGGACGAGGACGUUUCCUAUUCAAAGCCCCGAUCACAGCUGUUGAGUUUUAGAAAAGGUAUAUUUAUAAAGGAGAAAAUCGUCAUUUUACAUUUCAAGUCUUACUAACAACCCUUACUUUUAUGUAUUUAAGGUUCUAGUAAUUUAAUUAUGUGUGUUUUAAGGUUAUUUCACAAUAAACGAGAGAUCAGACGGCAAAACGGACAUCACUUUUGAACUCAGGAUGGUCGAAAACCUUAGGAGGAGCAUAAAAGGAAAAAUGGCACUGUUCACAUGUACGGUACUAUUCACGUGUACGGUACUGUCUACGUUACUGUUCACGACACUGUUUACAUAGACGGAUCGAUGAUGUGGCAUUGACUGAUGAGGUGUCACGAUCCUAUUGGACUAAAAUUCUUAUGUACUGUUGAUGGUGACGUGGCAGCAUAUCAGUGGACCAAAAAUCUCGCGUACGGUACAUGCAUCACACAGGAUUAUUUUCAACCAAACCGCGUCACUGUUCAACCCGGGUCAAACCGUGUUACUGUUCAUCCACGUGGUCAAACCGCAUACUGUUGACUGAUGACGUGGCGCAAUCCUGAGCGUCCAAACUGUUUUUAAUCCGAUAGCCACGAUUUACUCAAUGUAUUUAUAAAAAAAGGGGGCCUCCCCCCCUUAAUUGGAUAGCUCUGAAUCUAUUUUUGGGAUCCAUUUUCUGUAAUUCCUUCUCCAUCUUGUAUUUUCUAUGUAUUUUAAUAAAUUCUCAUUUUGCCCCUAGUUCAAUUAUGAGUGGCUAAUUUUCUUUCAAGCUUGGGUUGAAGGUGAAGUCUCAACAUGUGUCAUUGCUUUAUUUGGUAAAUUUACUUUCUCUUCCCCUCUAAUUUUUGUGGAUGUUUUGACUUAUCGUCGACAAAUAAUACUAAUCUUGUCUAGUACCGCCUUGGUUUCACCGGCCCCCUAGUACAAGGUUAUUAUUAUUUGGCACGAUAAGCCCUUAGCACCAUAUUGAUUAGAGCGUGGUUCAUGAGGUGUGGAUUCCCCCCUCAUGAUUUAAUUGGCAUUAAUAAGGAUUAUUUAGCCCAUGAUGCAUGUUGAUACGGAUCCAGAUAGCCAAGUACGUCAUCUCAAUAGAUUUCUCUUCAAUUUAUUCUCGCCAUUUCAAUUCCAAUUUUAGAAUUUAUUCUCGCCAUUUCAAUUCCAAUUUUAGUAUAAUCCAAAUCAUUUUCACCACAAAUCCAACCACCCAUUUACAAAAUUAAUUCUACACAUAAUUAAAAUCCACCUCCUCGUGGGAUCGACACUCGUCACCAUUAGUCUAUUCUACAAUAGAUUCGUGCGCUUGCGAGUUCAAUAAAAUUUGCACAACAAGUUUUUGGCGCCGUUGCCGGGGAGGUAAGUAAUUUUAAUUCAUAGAUUUAAUUUUUGUGAAUAUUUUCAUUUAAUUGUUUUCUUGUAUUUUUAAAAAAAAAAAAAGAAAAAAAAGGUGAAUCUACAUUUAAAGGUUAGUAUUUCUUUUCUUUUUCUCUUCUUUAAAAUUCUGUAAUUUAAUUUUCAAUUUAUUUUUCUUUGUAAUUUUUUUUUGUUUAUCUUAUUAAUUUAUUUUUAGUUAAUUUAUUUUCACGUAUUUUUUUUAGUGUAUUUUUAUAGUAAGGUUGUAAUAGCGCAAUAAGGUUAGUAUCGUAAUUUCUCCCUCUUCUUUAUUUUUAUUUGUUUUGUUCCCAUCUUUAUUUUUAAUUUAUUUGUUUUGCAUGCAUGGCCGUAGGUCAUUAUUACCUAAUCUUGAACCUAUAGACAUUGAACUAGAAAAAACACUUCGCACACACAAGCACGUUAAAAAUAAAUUUGGAAUGGAUUUACAAGCACCACAGGAGAGGCCAUUUAAGGACUACUUUAGUCCUUUAGCUAAUUUGAGCACAUCAUGUAUAAGAUAACCAAAUGUAGCUGCUAGGAGCUUUGAACUAAAACCUAGUGUGCUAAAUUGUCUCCCCACAUUCUAUGGCCUAGAAAAUGAGGACCCAUAUAAUCAUUUGAAUGAUUUUCAUGCUAUUUGUCAAACAUUUAAAUAUGAGAAUUUUUCAGAUGAUGAUGUAAAACUUAGACUAUUCCCAUUUUCUUUAAAGGAUAGAGCUCGUUCAUGACUUAAUACAUUACCUACUAAUAGCAUUGCAUCAUGGAAACAAAUGGUAACGAAAUUUUUGAAUAAAUAUUUUCCAGUGCAUAAAACCAAUGCUAUUCGCAGGGAAAUUUUAGAGUUUACCCAGAGAGAAGACGAGCAGUUUUUCGAAACAUGGGAGCGAUUCAAUGGGCUACUCUUGAAGUGUCCACAUCAUGGGUACGAGAAAUGGCACCAAUGCCAAUACUUUUUGGAGGGAUUAUUGCCGAAUGUGCAAGAAUGGCUAAUGGCAACAAGUGGAGGAGAGCUAAUGUCAAAAAGUUCAUCAGAAAUUUGGGAAUUCUUCCAGCGACAAGCGGAUAAUUCCCAACAACGGAGUCGAUCACUCAGGAAUACUAGAAGAAUUAAAGGAGUGAAUGAGGUUCACAUUGGCGAGUCAAGUUCAGAAAUCAAAGAAGUCAAGGAGAUAAUUGAAGGUCUUUCUCGACAAAUAACAUCGUUAUCGACUGCUAAAUCAACAGAGCCACAUGACCAUGACUCAUACUCAGAUCAAGCCAAUGCCAUAGGAGUAAUGAGAAAACCAUCAAAUUACAACCCAUACUCCAACACAUAUAACCCUGGAUGGAGAGACCACCCCAAUUUUUCAUGAUCUCAAGGAUUCCAACAGAAUGGACCAGCAGCUCCAGCUCCACCAAUGCAACAAAUUCCUCAAGUUCCUCAAGCCUCUCAGCCACCAUUCAGACCAUACAAUCAAAAUCAGAACUACUCUCAACCCAGACCAUGGGAGGAUGCAUUCCAGAAUUUCAAGAAUGUUACUCACUCCACGAUUGAGCAACAGAACCGCACCUGGACUACGAAAUGAGUUGAGAGCAGGCUUCAACUCGCAAGCCCAAUCAGUUUCAAGCCUGGAGAAGAUGGUGGGACAACUUGCUUCUUCAGUUCAAACCUUGGCAAUGACUGUUGAGAAAGGCAAGUUUCCAAGUCAACCAGUGCCUAAUCCUAAAAGAGUACAUGAAGCAAGUACCAGUUCACCACAGCAGCAUGGAGAGGUCAAAGCAGUCAUGACCUUGCGAAAAGGAAAGGAAGUCGACAACAAAGUGGAGAUGCCGGUGACAAAAGAAAAUCAAAUUGUACCUGUGAGUGUUGAGGACUCAUCACCGGAGGAGAGAGAAGAAACCAAAUCACGAGAAUACGUUCCAAAAGCUCCAUUUCCUCAGAGGUUAGCGAAAGGAAAGAAGGGAAAAUCCACAGGUGAGAUUCUCGAAAUCUUCAAACAGGUAAGUGUUAACAUCCCUUUACUUGAUGCUAUAAAGCAAGUUCCAUCUUAUGCUAAGUUUCUUAAAGACCUUUGUACUAAAAAGAGAAACAUUCAUGUUCAAAAGAAUGCAUUUUUAACAGAAAACAUUAGUUCUAUACUCCAACAUAAAAUUCCUCUAAAAUGCAAAGACCCAGGCUCCCCCACUAUCUCAUGUAGCAUAGGGAACAACACAAUUGAGAAUGCUUUGUUGGAUUUAGGAGCUAGUGUAAAUCUGUUGCCUUACUCAGUAUUUUUGAAAUUUAGACUUGGAGAAUUACACCCAACUCCAGUGGUGUUACAGCUUGCAGAUCGGUCCACGAAAAUACCUCGUGGUAUUGUGGAGGACGUGCUUAUCCAGGUAGACAAGUUUUAUUUUCCUGUUGAUUUCAUUGUAAUUGACACUCAACCAAUCCAGGAUUCAAGGAAGCACAUCCCCAUUAUUCUAGGCCGACCUUUCUUGGCAACUGCCGAUGCUCACAUUCAAUGCAGAACUGGAAAUAUGCAGUUGUCCUUUGUUAACAUGACUAUGGAGCUGAACAUCUUCAACAUUGCCAGACAACCUCACAAUGCAGAUGAUGGAAUUGUUGAUGUGGAUUUAAUUGAAGUAAUAGUUGAUAAUACUUUUGUUUCAAACCUCAGUGAUGAUCCUUUACAAACAUGUUUAACUCACUUUGGUUUUGAUUUUGAUAUUGACAGCUCGGUCGAUGAGAUCAACGCCUUACUUGACUCAGCACCAUCCAUGGACACUAAUAAAUGGAAGUCAAGAGUUGAACAACUAGCACCAUCAGAGAAGAAACUCAUCCCAUCAUCAGAAUCACCACCGAAACUCGAGCUCAAACCAUUGCCCAACACUUUGGAAUAUGCAUUUUUGGGAGAAGAAAGUACUCUGCCGGUAAUCAUCUCAUCAUCCCUAAAUGACGAACAAAAAGGUAAGUUGUUGGAUGUUUUAAAAAAGCACAAAGGAGCAUUAGGAUGGACCAUAGCAGACAUCAAAGGUAUAAACCCAGUAAACUGCAUGCAUUACAUUCACCUUGAUGAAAAUGCUAAAUCUACUAGGGAAAUGCAACGUCGGUUAAAUCCUAAUAUGAAAGAAGUUGUUAGAACUGAAGUCCUUAAGCUAUUAGACGCAUGUAUCAUUUACCCAAUUUCUGAUAGUUCAUGGGUCAGUCAUGUACAAGUUGUCCCUAAAAAGUCAGGAGUCACAGUAGUUACCAAUGCUGAUAAUGAAUUGAUACCAAUUAGAGUAACUACAGGAUGACGUGUAUGCAUUGAUUAUAGAAAGUUAAAUUCUGUCACACGUAAGACCAAUUUUCUUUAUCAUUUAUCGAUCAAAUGCUUGAUAGAUUGGCAGGCCAUGAAUUUUAUUACUUUCUAGAUGACUACUCAGGAUAUAAUCAGAUUCCCAUAGCACCAAAAGAUCAAGAGAAAAUUAUUUUCACUUGCCCUUGGCACAUUUGCAUAUAGGAGAAUGCCAUUUGGAUUAUGUAAUGCACCUGCUACAUUUCAACGAUGCAUGUUGAGCAUUUUUUCUGAUAUAGUUGAACGAUUCCUUGAAGUCUUUAUGGAUUUCUGUCUUUGGUAACUCGUUUGAUCAAUGUUUACAUCAUCUAACACUAGUUCUGCAGAGAUGUAUCGAGAAGAACUUGGUCUUAAAUUGGGAGAAGUGCCAUUUUAUGGUAAAACAAGGUAUUGUUCUCGGUCACAUCAUUUCAAGCAAAGGUAUUGAGGUUGACAAAGCCAAGGUGGAUCUCAUUUAUAAUCUUCCUCCACCCAAAACAGCCAGAGAAGUAAGAUCUUUCCUUGGGCAUGCUGGUUUCUAUAGACGUUUCAUUAAAGAUUUUAGCAAAGUUUCUAGACCCUUAUGCAAUUUACUUGCUAAGAAUAUACCUUUUAUCUUUACUGAUUCAUGUCUUGUGGUUUUUGAAAAAUUAAAGCAAUUGUUGACAUCAUCACCCAUCAUUCAGCCUCCAAACUGGAGCUUACCAUUUGAGCUCAUGUGUGAUGCAUCUGAUUAUGCAGUAGGAGCAGUAUUAGGACAAAGAGUUGAUCGAAUUCCCCAUGUUAUUUACUAUGCUAGUAUGACAUUGAAUGAUGCACAGUUGAACUAUUCAACUACUGAAAAAGAAAUACUAGUAGUAGUGUUUGCAUUGGAAAAAUUUCGAUCUUAUCUCAUUGGUUGUAAAAUAAUUGUGUUCACAAAUCAUGCUGCUCUUAAAUAUCUUCUCACGAAGAAAGAUGAAAAAGUUAGACUAAUUCGUUGGGUGUUACUUUUGCAGGAAUUUGACUUGGAAUUUAAAGAUAAGAAAGGCACAGAAAAUGUUGUGGCAGACCAUCUCUCUCGUCUCAAUUUUGACACAAUUUCUGAACCUUUAACAUUGAAUGAGUCAUUUCCAGAUGAACAAUUAAUGAGUGUGGAAGUAUUACCUUGGUAUGCUGAUAUAGUUAAUUAUCUUUUUACAGGUCAACUUCCAGAGCAUUGGACCAAGCAAGACAAGGCCAAAUUUUUUGCAGAAAUAAAGAAUUUCUUUUGGGAUGACCCUUAUUUGUUCAAGUAUUGUGCAGAACAAAUUGUUAGACGAUGUGUCCCAGAAAGUGAAAUUCAGAAUAUCCUUUCAUUCUGCCAUGAACAAGCUUGUGGAGGCCAUUUCAGUGCUAAGAAAAUAGCGACUAAAGUUUUACAAUGUGGUUUCUAUUGGCCAACUAUAUUUCGAGACGCUUACACUUUCUGUUCUUCAUGUGAUAGGUGUCAACGAAUGGGGAGCAUUACAUGAAGGAACAUGAUGCCACUAAAUCCAAUUUUAGUGGUUGAGAUUUUUUAUGUAUGGGGUAUCGACUUCAUGGGACCCUUUCCCCCUUCUUUUGCCCAUCAAUACAUAUUGGUUGCUGUUGACUACGUAUCGAAAUGGGUAGAAGCAAUUCCAUGUAGAACUAAUGAUCACAAGGUGGUGAUAGGAUUUUUGAAAAGCAACAUUGUUUCACGCUUUGGAUUCCCUCGAGCAAUAAUCAGUGAUGGUGGUGCCCACUUUUGUAAUAAAGCUUUCAAAGCUCUUUUGACAAAGUAUUCAAUCACUCACAAAGUGGCAACCCCAUAUCAUCCGCAAACUAGUGGCCAAGUUGAGAUCUACAAUCGAGAAAUAAAGCACAUAUUAGAAAAUACGGUGAGGUCAGACAGAAAAGAUUGGUCAUUAAGACUUGAUGAUGCAUUAUGGGCAUAUAGAACGGCUUUCAAGACCCCGAUUGGGAUGUCACCCUACAAGCUAGUGUAUGGAAAAGCUUGCCACCUACCUGUGGAACUCGAGCAUCAUGCAUAUUGGGCUAUCAAGAAAUUCAACUUUGACAUGCAGCAAGCCAGCUCAGAAAGAAGAUUACAACUGACAGAACUUGAAGAAAUUCGCAAUGACGCAUACGAAAAUGCCAAGAUUUACAAGCAACGAAUGAAAGUCUUCCACGACAAGUAAAUUAUGAGAAAAUCUUUCACUCCAGGUCAGAAAGUGCUUUUAUUCAAUUCACGCUUGCACCUAUUCCCAGGUAAGUUACGCUCUCGAUGGUCUGGUCCCUUUAUUGUUCAUACUGUUUUUCCACAUGGGGCAAUUGAAAUUAAGGACCCAAAGAACGGUGUCACGUUUACAGUUAAUGGUCAAAGACUAAAGCCAUAUCUAGAGUACCAACCACAUGGAGAAGACACCGAAAUAAAUUUGAGUGACCCACCAGAUUUGAAUUGAUUUUUUUUUUCGGUGAUUUGAUUUUUCUUUCUUUCUUUUUAUUAUUCUUUUGCUAAUUAAAAUUAUUUUUCCAUAAGUGUGUUUGUUUUACCAUUAAGUUUUCUCUUAUCAUUGUUAAUCAUGAGUACCAUACUUAGACCGUUCCUCGUGAACAUUCUUAAACCACUUCAAUGUGUCAAAACUCAUCUCAAAAGGCAGAUUCAAUUUUGUAAAACACAUCGUAUUUGGGCUCUGCAACCACCAGAGUUAGUAUCCUAUGUUGAGGGUUUAGAAAGUCAACUCAGAAAUAUUGAGAGAAGUGUUUAUGACAUCCAGUUGGAGCUUGAGGUAAAUUCAAUAAGAGGACGAUUUUAAUUCUCUUUGUGUGCUUUAGUUUGCUACCCCAGUAAAGUGGCGGAUAAUGGUACUCCGUGACAAUCAAGUCGGUUCCUUCAGUUUCCCAUAAUAACUGAUAUUCUGAGGCGAAGGUAUGGACAGAAAUGAGAUUCUAGCGAAGCUUCACAAGCGAUUCCCUUCACUUCCUCAGAAUGCCCUCCUUACGAUCUAUAAAGCCCGAUCCGAACGCAUGCGAUUGCUCAUGAGGAAUAACAUACCUGCUGACAUCCGUUGGUUAAUUGAGGCUAAAGUACGAUUUGCAGGUGAGUUACCUCUAAAAUUUAUUGCAUACAUGCCUGGUUGUGGUAAAGGAAAUUAUGCAAGAAAACGACGAGCUCAAAGAAUUUCUGUUGCUUGUCAUAAGUGUGCCAGAAUGAGUUGCGAUAAAAACCCAUGUUCUUUAGGAAUGGUGUCUGAUAACAGGGAAGAUAAGAUUCAAUUCAUUAGGGAUGGCUUGAAUAAGGAGUCAUUGGAUGAUAUCCUUUUGUCUCUUGAAACGCAUCCCAGUGGAUAUGUGCAAAGAGCGAUUCUCUAGUUAUGGCCAUUAUUCCAGAAAGAACAUGCACGAUAUAGUCUCGGGAAUCUGACUAUAAACGACCCUGUUUGCCAGUUUAUAAGAAAACUGGAUGGGAAGCCUAUCCUCGACUCAUAGAGGGCGUUCAAGCCGUUUCUGGAUGUAAAACCAUAGGAAGAUGUGAGCCACAGUCGCAACUACUUGUACAUAUCCUUUUUACUUCAUUGUUAUUUUAUUUCACUGUUGUUUUAUCAUUUGCAUUAUUGUCUUUAAUAAUUUCAUUUUAUUACUGUUUACUUUUUCUUUUUUACUGUUUCCUUUUUGACUCACGAGCCAUGUGCUUUACACGUUAUUUGACACUGACAUGUUACCUCAUACACAACUGUGACCCACUGUCACCAAGACUCUUAAAUGUGAUUUUUUUUGUCAAGCACUCACAAAUUAUUUUUGAGAAAUAUUCCGAUGGCAGCUACUCCCAAUAGACAAUUCAAGAACAUUUGUGUGCUUUCUGGAUUUAACUAUGGCAAACAUAAAGAGUUCGUUGAGGCAGUCGUAGAUCUUGGUCGAAGUAUAGCAGAGAGAAAAUUACACUUGGUGUAUGGAGGAGGUAACCGAAGGUUAUCAAAAUUGGUCUCAGAAACUGCUUUUGUCAGAGGAAGCCAAGUGUUAGGCAUCAUCCCAAGAGUCCUAAAACCUUUGGACAGUUUGUCUAACUCACCGACUGGAGAAGAGUUAGUCGUCUCAGGUAUGCAAGAAAGAAUAACUGAAAUGCUUAAUCAUGCUGAUGCUUUUAUUUUCCUUCUAGGAGAUCUUGCAACACUAGAGGCACUUAUCACACUAACAUCUUGGGCCCAUAUGCACAUUCACCAGAAACCCAUCGGUUUGUUAAAUGUCAAUAAUUUUUAUGAUGGCUUUAUCGCAUUUCUUAACCAUGCAAAAAAAAAAACUAUUUCGUUCCUUCCAAUGCCAAAAAGCUUUUUAUUUGUGCUCACACUGCUAAUGAGCUACUUGAUCUGUUACAAGCUUUUAGACCGGAGCCAGACCCCUGGACCUUUGUGUUGGAGCGUCCAAAUAAUGAUGGUAACAGUAGCCGCAGUAAGAAGUACAAAUUAGAUUUAACUCUCCGCCUGUAAAUAUUUUUUUUCUGUGUUGCACCACCCAGGUGAUGUUUUCUAAACUCUACUUCUUUCGUUUAAAACAUUGAGGACAAUGUUUCGUUCUGGUUGGGGGGAGGGAAUAGUCGACAAUUGUGGAAUCUUGGUUAAGUUUUUACUAAUUUUUUGUGUUGAAGAUGGCUGAAUAUGGAGUGUAGUGCCUCUAGAAACGCAUCUUCAUCGUUUGAAAAAAAAAAUUCAAAAAAAAAAUCAAAAAAUUCAGACAUUUUCUUUUUCUUUAUUAAGUUUUGAUGUUCAUUUUUCUUCUUUUUUUUUUAAUUUCUCCUUUAUAAAUAUACAUUUUUAAAUAUUGGAGUCGAAUAUGGCUGAAUAUGGAGUGUAGUGCCUCUAGAAACGCAUCUUCUUAGUUAAAAAUAAAAAAAAAAUCCUUUUUUAUAAUUUUAAAUGUAACUUUUCUAAUUAAUUUUUCUGCAUCAUUUUCACAUUUCUGCAUGCAUAUUUUCCUUUCAUGUUUAGAAUAGGUUGGGGGGUAGAAUGUUGUUUAAAAAAAAAAAUUGGUGAUUUGUUUUAACAUUGGAUGACAUGAUUAAUUUCAAAUUUUAGUAUUUGUAUUAUCUUUGGUCUUAAGUGAUGUUACCCUAUGUUUGCUACUCUACAUGUUGAUGUCGGAGACAAAUAUGAGUUGCUUGAAUGAAUGAACAUGUCAUAAAUAAGUGCCAAGUGAGUUUUUGAGCCUAUCAUUUUUCUUGGAGAGUAACCAUUUUGCCCAUUCUUUAUACAGCUUAGCAGUUUAUUAUUUUAUACACGAUCUCUAGAUUUCUUUUGAGUUAACCCUAAAAAAAAAAUUGUAAAAUUAAAUUAAAAAAAAUGUGUGUUGCUACAUUUGGAGGCCCAUCUAACUAGUGGAUAUGGAAGAUUAUUUAGAACCCUAAAAGACGAUGGAAAGGCCAUUUUUGAUCCGUUUGAGCCUUUCUAGCCAUCCCUUUUGUGAAAUAUCCAUAGUUAACCAUUUUGAGCCUUUUAAAAAAAAAAGAAAAAAAGCCUUUUAUUUGUUAAACUUAUCAUCUUGACCCACUCUGAUUUGGAGUAUUACCCGAUGUCUUAUAAGUUCCAUCACCUAUUUAUGUUUGAGAAAAAUAUAAAUAAUUAUUUUGUUCAGUGACGUGCCAAGCAAAAGCAAAAAAAAAAAUGUUUCAAAAAAAAAGAAAAAAAAGAAAAAAGAAGAAAAAAAUAACAAUAAUAGGUGAAAUCCACCUUGCAACUUCCCAAAAAAAAAAAAAAAUUCCUCUGUAUUUUUCUCAAACAUACACUUUGUUUUCCUUAUUUCCCUUCUUUGUUAGCCAUGUCCCUAACCUACGUUACGUCCUAAUAAAAAUCCUUUUUGAUUUUAGGGAACUAUAGUCUGAAGUAGAAGCUAAUUAUAUGGGCUAAAAAGAUGUAGUGAUGCAUAAUAAAAAAAAGAGAAAAAAAAAGAUAAAUAAAGUGGGUUGACUAGCAUUUUUGUUUGACUUAAGAUCGUAUUAUUUCUAAGCUGAUGGCAUAUUUCUUUCAUCUUGGUGAGAGCAUGUGAUAUCAUUUCUUUAUUAUUUUCUCUGAAUUACCAUUCAUUGCAGUGACUAUUUUUAUUGGGUAUAAUUUCUUUGUGAGAGUGUCACUAUAUCCAGUGAGAUUUUGGGGUUUAACAUGUCAUUCUUGAAAGUAGCUUUGACAAAGUCUACUGGUAUGAUUCAUGUGGAUGGUUGAUGUGGGUGUGAUGUUGCUUUAGACUGGAGAUAAUGCUUAUACUUUUAUUUGAUUGCUAUCAUUAGUCUGAUUGAAUAAACAAGAUUGUUUAAAACAAAAAAAAAAUUGUGUUUGAAUUUUGUUUUCGCUUUAUUUGGUAGGGACUAGCAAUAAGCUGGUUGGGGGGUGUGUUGAGUUUUAGAAAAUGUAUAUUUAUAAAGGAGAAAAUCGUCAUUUUACAUUUCAAGUCUUACUAACAACCCUUACUUUUAUGUAUUUAAGGUUCUUGUAAUUUAAUUAUGUGUGUUUUAUUUUAAUUAAGUAUUUUGUGUAUUUUAGGGGCAUCAUGGUCAUUUCACAAUAAACGAGAGAUCAGACGGCAAAACGGACAUCACUUUUGAACUCAGGAUGGUCGAAAACCUUAGGAGGAGCAUAAAAAGAAAAAUGGCACUGUUCACAUGUACGGUACUAUUCACGUGUACGGUAUUGUCUAUGUUACUGUUCACGACACUGUUCACAUAGAUGGAUCGAUGACGUGGCAUUGACCGAUGAUGUGGCAUUGACUGAUGAGGUGUCACGAUCCUGUUGGACUAAAAUUCUUAUGUUCUGUUGAUGGUGACGUGGCAGCAUAUCAGUGGACCAAAAAUCUCGCGUAUGGUACAUGCAUCACACAGGAUUAUUUUCAACCAAACCGCGUCACUGUUCAACCUGGGUCAAACCAUAUUACUAUUCAUCCGUGUGGUCAAACCGCAUACUAUUGACUGAUGACGUGGCGCAAUCCUGAGCGUCCAAACUAUUUUUAAUCCGAUGGCCACGAUUUACUCAAUGUAUCUAUAAAAAAAAGGGGCCUCCACCCCCCCCCCCCCCGUAAUUGGAUAGCUCUGAAUCCAUUUUUGGGAUCCAUUUUCUGUAAUUCCUUCUCCAUCUUCUAUUUUCUACGUAUUUUAAUAAAUUCCCAUUUUGCCCCUAGUUCAAUUAUGAGUGGCUAAUUUUUUUUCAAGCUUAGGUUGAAGGUGAAGUCUCAACAUGUGUCAUGAGCUUUAUUUGGUAAAUUUACUUUCUCCCCCUCUAAUUUUUGUGGAUGUUUUGACUUCUUGUCGAUAAAUAAUACUAAUCUUGUCUAGUACCGCCUUGGUUUCACCAGCCCCCUAGUACAAGGUUAUUAUUAUUUGGCACGAUAAGCCCUUAGCACCAUAUUGAUUAGAGCGUGGUUCAUGAGGUGUGGAUUCCCCCCUCAUGAUUUAAUUGGCAUUAAUAAGGAUUAUUUAGCCCAUGAUGCAUGUUGAUACGGAUCCAGAUACCCAAGUACGUCAUCUCAAUAGAUUUCUCUUCAAUUUAUUCUCGCCAUUUCAAUUCCAAUUUUAGAAUUUAUUCUCGCCAUUUCAAUUCCAAUUUUAGUAUCAUCCAAAUCAUUUUCACCACAAAUCCAACCACCCAUUUACAAAAUUAAUUCUACACAUAAUUAAAAUCCACCUCCUCGUGGGAUCGACACUCGUCACCAUUAGUCUAUUCUACAAUAGAUUCGUGCGCUUGCGAGUUCAAUAAAAUUUGCACAACAACAACGUCCUCUAUCUCGAGAUCGGUGGGUACCAGGCAAGACUCGAACAAGUUGUAAGUAGACAGCAAUUCUCUGCACGAGCAGGAAUUGACCAACACAGUCUCGACCCGCUUGAGCACGUCAGGUUCGAGGUUAUAGUGGACGCCCUAGGAACUUGCAGCUCGAAUAAAGACCGUGUUAGAGAUGGAUCAAUCAUUAGAGCAACUAGGCCUACAAGACAUUUAAAACGCGCAGGCAACCUGGAACUACGAAACGGGAAGGGACACAAACAUUCUCCCCAUCAAUCUGUGCCACUUGACAUUAGGGACCCCAACAAAAAAAAAAAUAUUUUUCUUCCAAUUCCCACCACCACCCGUUGGAAGAUCAGUUAUGGGUUUCCUGGUCUUGGUGCUUGACAUGAAAUAAUACCAGCCGGCGUCUUUGGAGCUGCUCUUUAACUAAUAUAGGUGUUUGACCUCAUCAACCGUGGACUCACUUUGACAGCAUCUGUUCCACAAAAUGAAAAGACCAGAAAGUACCCUCCACCUAUUAGGGUUAAGCUGACCAGGAGCUAAGUGUAACCCACUAAGCAUCUGGACGAAAUAAUGUUGUAAGGGCAGCCUCAUCCUAAACUUAAAGCUUUCCAGAAACAGAGUAACAUAUCCCCUGGGAGGUCGGCUGGGAGUGUUCUUUUUCCUUGGAACCCUAAGUGGUAUACCAUCAGGGAUGUCAUAAACAGCUCGAAGAUCUAUGAGGUCCUCUACUGUGGUCAUACAGGUCAUGAGGUCAAUAGCAUAGUGUUCUGCUAGAGCUCUACCCCCUAGGUUCCUCUUCUUUUCUGGUCGUGAUACCCUUGGUGAGGAUACUUCACCAGAGUCUUUACCCGGGUCCUCACUUAGAGUAUCCUCUGAACCAAAAGACCCCUCAUCGUUGCUAUUUCAAGUAGUUGCUUCAGGAGACAUUCUCUUAGCACUAGUCCCUAUACUAAAUCUUAUCGGCUCUAGAGGGAUCUUGCGGUCAAAAGCGGGAUCAACGAGUAGACCAGACAGGAAGUCCAACUUGUCAUCGUUAACCUCAAUCACUUUCUCUUUACCUUUUGACAUUCCCUAAACUCUAUCUGGAAUAACACAACCGAACCCCACUCAAAACAAUAACAAUAAUCCAAAGUUGAAGAGGAGAAAACAGUGCCUGAAGUAGUGGAGCACCAGAAUGAAAACAAGAGCAGUAGUAUGAAUUUUAGUGAGGAAAGGAUCGUCGGUCGCCGGAUGAUUCAAAAGAGACGGAUAAGUGAAAGAAUACUUUUGAGAGUUAGGGUUUCGAAGUGACGGGGAUGCUUUCGGUUUAUUACCACUCAAACAACACGCGUUCCAAGGAUUCCAUAACCGUCAAUUUGAAAUUUAAACGGGUGGACGGAUUCCUGCCACCUCUUCCGCAUUUAAUUGCGAUAUGACUCUUCGAGGAAGCAGCCUGCUAGUGGCAAAAGGGGAAGCGACUAAACGGGAGUGAGCAAUAUCCUUAUUUCUUAUAGCCAAGAAGUCAGAUGUGCCUCGAGAGGGCCCAGACUAAUCAAGUUUUGAGUAUUAAUCCAUUGCAUUGCAAAUACCAGAAACUGGGGGACGGGUGUUUGGGGGAUAUAUAACGACGAGACCAGCCAUACCCUGGAUGAGGAGUAGGGGUGGGCAUAUCGGGUUUCGGUUCGGAUUGUUCGGGUUUCGGUUUGGGUUUCAACCCAAUCGGGUUGGAGAAUUGAACCCAAUCGGGUUGAAAACGCCAACCCGAACCAAACUGAACCGAAUUUAAUUCGGUUUGGUUCGGUUCGGGUUCGUAAUUCGGAGCGGAUUGGGUUGAUAAUUCGGGUUAGAACGGGUUGGAACAAUUUAAUUCACAAAUUCUACCAAAAACCACUUAAAAUCUAAAAAUCUCAAAUCCAAACAUCCUUAACAACAUUUCAACAAAUCAUUUUAAAGUUAAUAAAACAUAAAACAUGUAGUCAAAGAGAUUAUUUUCUUUUUUAAUACAUGUAGUCAAAGAGAUUUUUUUUUGUUUAAUACAUAUAUAUAUAUUUUUUUUAAAAGCCAAAACUUAAAAAAAAAAUUCAACCCGUUCGGGUUAAAAUUCGGUUCGGGUUCAACCCAAACCGAAUUUUAACCCAAAUGGGUUGAUAGUUUGAAUCCGUUCGGAUUGCACAGGUUAACCCAAACCGAACCAAACCCGAAAUUUAUUUCGGGUUCGGUUCGGAUCGAGUUAACCCGAUCCGAACGCCCACCCCUAACGAGGAGCCAACCUCCUUAUAAGCGAGUAGAUGGGUGAAGUCUAGUAGGAAUCUUAUGCUCGGUCACGAGCAGGAAUCUUCUGCUCGGUCACGAGCAGCACGAGUGGCCUCCUGCUAGGAGCCGAGAGUCAUUCCUGCUGAAGAGCAGAGCUGGGAGACCCAGUCCAUAACGGUUAACGAGACGUGCACUCCUAUCCGAGAAUCUAGGCACGAAACCCACUCAGCCACAACUACGAUAGUUAAGCAGCCAUUUUCGAGAGCUGGGGGAAGUGAUGGAUGCAAAUAAUGGGGGGUCGGAUUCGUAGGAAGGCUAUAAAAAGGGUUAUCAACGAAGGUAAAGGGGAUAGACAUUUUCACAUUAGAGCUUAAGGAAAAAGUAUUUACUGAGAAAGGAGAGAAAAACUAAGAGGUAUUUUGAUUGCCUAAGAGAUCAUAAAAGAGCCACGAGAUUAGUGGCCAAGUUUCCCAAAAAGUAAACCUACAUUUCUGACUUGAGCGUCGGAGGGUUUACGCUGGGAAAACUCCCUGCGUGCUCUGCCCAGUUUCUGUGUGCGCAGGAGUCUACUAAGUAGAAGUCAUACGAGGCAUUGCUCUGCUCGGUUAGAAGGGUUUCGAGAAGUAUCUUCGGUUGGUUGUGAGUUCAGGAGUUGAGGAGAGAUCUUGGUCAUGAACGAGCAGACACCAGAUUUUCGCAUCAACAGAAGAGAAAAUGAAUUUUAUUAUGUCUCAAUCAAGCUUCUAGCAAGUGUCUAACAUGGUAUGAAUAUUUUUCUUUUUGUUUCUUCAAUGGAACUUAUGAUUGAUGCAUAAUGCUAAAUGAAAUUAUUUUCUUUUGCCAUUAAUCUAUUUUUGUUAUUUUGCUUCUCUUUUAAGGAUAAGUUUUAUGAGAAUUGUUGGACUGUGGCUGUUUUAAUUUGAUAAUAAUUUGAAGGGUAGUUUCAUAUAGUUUAUUAAAAGAAUGAUGCCUGAAAGAAUAGAGAAUUAGAAAUGAGGUAGGAUUUUUUGUUGCCAUGACUGCUGUUUUAUAAAGAUAUCAUUUCUUUUGGGUGACUGAAAGGAUUGUCGUGCUUGUGUAUCAACUUAUUUAUAUUGUGCCAUUAUAUAAUGCUUGUGAAAAUUUAUCGAGUUUCAGGAUGUUUUUGCCUUUGGUGACUGGAUUGUCAACUCUUCUUUAGUUGAACUAAAUAAGUUAGUGCUUGUUUGCCUUUAAAUCUACUUUAAAAUUCUUUUGGUUUUUAAUAUGUCAAGUGUUUGGACUAAUUUUAUUUAGUGUUACCGUCCCUGUCUUUCUUUAAUUAAUAUUAUAGCAUGGCGUACUUACGUAAAAUAGGUUUUGAAAUAAUAAUGUGUUGAAAAUUGAUUAAAAAAAAGAGUUAGAAAAGUCAAAUUGGAACACAUCAUUUGAAUUCAAUUUGGAAGACAUCAUUUGAAUUCAAAUUGGAGGUGGCCGGGAACUUUGACAAGCAAUUGGAAGUGGCCAAAACUAUUGAAAUGGUGGCAAUUGAAUGUUAAAAAAUUGACUUGAUUUUAGGCAAAAUUUUGCCUAUAAAAGGAAGCUCUCAUUUGAGAGCUUUGCAUCCCAAAAUUUGAGAAGUAAGAGAAUGCAAGAGAAGCAUUGAGAGCUUCCAACAUGGGAGAGAAAUGUUCUUAAGCAUAUAGAUGUAUUGAAGGAGCAUUUGGUUCCUUAAUAUGGGUAUUACGGGUUUGGUUUGUUAAGGAAUAUUUCUCAUAUCAUAUUUUUAGGGCUUGGGUGCGAGAAAAUUAUUUCUCAGAGUGUGGUUGUAAUAAAUUUUGGCAUAGUGAAUAUUUUUUCUCUAGUUGUCUUUGGAAAAUGACCUUGGUUUUGCUCCGAAUUUAGAGUUUUCCACGUAAAUCUUGUGUUGUGUGAUUGAUGUAUUCUCUAUUUAAUUUUUUCUGUUAAUUUGUUGCUUGACAAAUUGCUUGGAGUUAUUUUGGGAGAAAACUCAAUUUCCUAACAUAAUGCACGACACUAGAGUAGAGGAUGAAGGUGAGGAAUAAAUUGAAAGAGAUGAGCCAAAUAGUUGGAAUAUUUAAAAGUAUGAAUGUACAACCUUACCUGUUAAUGUGUGAGAAUCUGAACAUGAGGAAUCAUUUUGUUUGAAGUGAUCCAUCAAUGAGCUACAUUUAGCUUUUGUUACAUGUAUUGGAUUAUCAUUUUAAUCUAAUGAACUUACGAUAUUUUAUAAUAAUUGUUUUAAUUUUAUUACACAUUGAUUAUAUAAUUUUAGUACCGAAUCAAUUGAUAUAACAAAAGAAAUAAUAACGUAAUAUUAAUGUUUUUAAUUAAUUAUUGAUUUUCGAAGAAAUGUUAGUGGUCCGAGGGAAAAUUCAUUAUCUCGGAGGGAUUCAUAUAUUUAGAAUCUAGUAAUUUCCAAGGGACUAAUUUUUGUUCGGAGCGAACAUAUGUCAUCGGAAUUUCUAUUUCCGACGGGACAUAAUUGUACAACAAACCAUCGGAAGUUAACUAUAUUACUGAGAAUAAAUAGCCCUGGGAAUACUUUUACCAAGGAACAUUAUUUUUUAUGUCCAUGGAAAUAUCCGUAGGAAAUAAUGUCUAUUUCUGAGGGUUUGUCGGUUGAACAGAAUUAACGACAAGCGCUUUCAUGAUAGUCUCCAACGGAAAAAAAAUUAGAGAAAUACUGAGGGAAGGGGUCUCUUGGUAAUAAUUGAUUUUCUUAAACUCAGUAGAAAUGAUAAGGUGACUUGUGACUCAGCUAGCCCUCAAGAGACAAAAUGUAGUGGAGACAAAGUGUAGUGGAGACAAUGCCUUGUGAUUGGCAAAUAAAAUAAAAUAGAAAGCUUGUUAAGUAAUGUAAACUAGGAUCCAGCUACUAUACCCAUGGGGUUUAGUACCCCAUUCUUUUGUCUUUUUCAAAUCCACCGUUGAAUUUAACGUGAGUUGUAUAAUGGUUAGAUGUGAUUAUUGGACCAUUAACAUUAAAAGCCGUUGUUCAUGCAAAAUAAGAAAAUCAAAAGUUUUAUAAUUAUGACAUAUAAGUCCACAAUAUUUUUAUUUUUUUCACUCUAUUGAACUAGGUUUUCAAUUAAAUGACUUAUUCUUACAUUUAUUAAUAAAUAUUUAAAUUGAUAAAUUUACUUGUUAAUUAAUAAAUUAACUAAUUUAUUACAUAGUUAAACUAUGUAAAUUAUUUACUAUCCAUAAUUGAUGAUAAAUAUAAAUAUGAUUUUUUUUAAUUUAACACGGCAAUCAAUUUCCUUUCACCCAUGUGAGCAGGGUUCAAACCCCAUAUCUUUUUUUUUUUUAAACAAGAGAUUUUAUAUGUCAAGUAGAUGGAAUACACAAAAUACGAAAAUAAAUUUAAUUUGAUAUUCUAUGUAGGUAAUUUUUUAUUAUUUUUUAUAACAUAAAAUUUAAUUAACAUACUAAAUUAUUUAAUUAUGUAGUAAAAAUAUUUUAAUUUACUAAUAAUAAUAAAGUGUUAGUUUAUGAAUUUAUAAAAUCAUUUUUGUUUAUUUGAGUAAUGAGUUUUGUAUUUUUGGUUGAGUUUUUGUCUUAAAAUAAAAGGAGUAAAUUUAAUUGCACACUUAAAUAAAUUUAAUUGAGUUUUUGUAUCGUGGCUUCCAAAAGCAUUAAUGCAACUGAAAAUUUGUAGGUGUGGGACUAAUAUGUGAAAAUUUAAAAGUUUUUAGCUUUUUUGUUUUGAUAACAAAUUACAGGACUCCAUUGUAGUUGACCUUAGAAAAGACAAAAAACGGGUACCAAACCCCUGUUGCAAGCAAAGUAGUUUUACCCUGUAAACUAUAGUAUAUAUUCAAGUUAAAGAAAUGGAAACAGUGUGCACUCACAAAAUAUUCUUUCGUGUUUCAUUGUCUUAUUCUUUUCUUACUUUAUUAAAUGGUAACCGUGGUGAAUUCAUUACCUAUCUCAACUGGGCUCAAGGAAUUUGAUUCAAUCUUUGUUAAUAAUGCAAAUAAAAAGAUUCGUGUACAGAAAAAAUAAAAAAAAAAACUUAUUACUUCAUUACCAUUGACCUGACGAAGUCUUUAUUGAAAAUGUGUAUAAACAGAAGGAAAACAACUAUAUAUACAACGGAGUAGUGCAGCGGAGAAAUUAUAAAACAUAAUUAAAGAAAAGGGAGAAAAGAACAUUUGGAACGUCGGCGUGAGGAAGCCAAUAUUUUAAUUCAGGUCCACUCAACAACUUUUGCAUGUCCUUAACAUUUUUUGUCUAUGCUCUUUCUGCAUUUCAAGUAUAUGAUUUUUUUUCCAGCAAUUAUCUUGAUUAGUUAGGAUUUCCUGUUAGUAAUUUGAAUAAUACUAGUUUACGAGAGAAUAGAAGCCUCUUUGCAUCUGAGCUAUGAUACUAACACCAUCAUGAAGGCUUAAUAAUUCACGAUAUUAUAUCCUUUACUAAAUUUGUGUGGUGCUCCCAUACAUAUAAUUGAUAUCACGUUUUAUCCUCACAAUUAAAUUCUUUUUUACUUAAGGGUGGUUGAGGUUGAUUAUUUAUAUUGUUAUUGUUAAUUAAUUGACCCUUUGUGUGUGUUACUGGUUAUAAUUAAUUAGGAGUUGGAACAUGGAGACGGAGGAAGAUAAAAUAACAAUUGCUUCUAUUAAAAAGUGCAAAGAGGUUCGAAUUGACGUCUGGGAAAAUCUGGAGCCUCAACGGGGGUGUUGUAUUUACAGGGUCCCAAAGGGUCUCCGCAAGAUAAAUAAAAAAGCCUACACUCCUACGGUAAUUUCAAUAGGCCCUCUUCAUCAUCCUCAUCAUCGUAAAAAUGAAUUAGCCGAUAUGGAGAAACAGAAGAUAAGAUAUCAAAGAGAAUUUAGCAGGCGGAUCACCGAUGAGACAUGGCAAGAACUUAUACACUUCAUAGAACUUUACAAAGAAAGUAUCCGUAAUUGUUAUGACGACACGUCGUGCAUGCUUAAGCUUCAAAAAUCUGAGUUCAUAACAAUGAUUCUGUAUGAUGCUGUCUUUAUCAUGGAGCUGUUUCUAAGAUGUCAUGAAGGAACGACAGAUUUUCUAUUAGAUACACCGUAUCUACCAGUUAUUUUAUCCGACUUACAAUUACUAGAAAAUCAGCUUCCAUUCUUUGUCCUCAACAAACUGUACAGGUUAGCCUUCCCUGACCCUAAAGCUAGAGCAGAGGGCCAUCCCUCUUUCUUUGAUCUUUCUUGUAAAUUCUUCUUCCUCGAUAAGCAGCUAAGUGUUGUGGGGAUCGAGGAAGUUAAACAUUUCACUGAUUUGAGAAGACAUUUUAUGACGACAAAACUGCACCAAUUGCAAAAACCUACAGGGUCGAGAGGAAUUGUUACGGAUGUACCUUGUGCAGUCAAAUUGAAAAAGUCAGGAGUGAAGUUCAAGUAUAACGAAGGAGAAUGCUCACUUGAUGUAAGAUUUGAGAAGAUUAAAAAGCUCUGUUUGGGAGUGCAUGAGCUGCGAAUUCCAAAGAUCGAAGUAGAUGACCACACAGAAUUGUUGUUCCGAAACGUUAUGGCAUUGGAGCAGUGUCACUAUCCACGUGAUACCCACGUUUGCAAUUUCAUUGACCUAAUGGAUUUGCUCGUCAACACUAAAGAAGAUGUAGAUUUGCUUGUGGAAAAGAAAAUUAUAUCCAAUAAUGUGGGAGACAGUGCUACAAUUACAAGGAUGUUCAAUAGACUUUGCCUACAAAUAACUUUUAGUAAUUCCUGUUACCAUGCCGUCUCUGAGGGUCUCAAGAAACACUAUGACAACCGCUGGAACCAUACCAAGGCAACUUUGAAAAGCGCUUAUUUCAGCAAUCUUUGGAGAGGCACCGGAACUAUUGCUGCGUUUCUGGUUGUUUUACUCACUUUGAUACAAACCGUGUGUUCUAUCCUUCAAUUCUUUUAACUAUUUUUAUUUUCCAUGCCAUUAAAUUAAAUGUUUCCCGGUCACAUGUUAAAAGAUAAUAUGUAAUUUAUAUUUUAUGUUGGAAUAUUCUCUACUCUCUUUCUGUAAGGAUUUGUGUGGACCUAUCCUAUCACCUCAACAUGUUAAGACAGUGCGACAUUUUAAUAGUUCUGAUAUGUGGUAGAGCAGUGAAGUCUACUAUGAGAUCUGCUGAAUUUAAUAUAAAAAAAUAUCAACAAAUCUUCCAGUAGAACCUAUUGCUCUGCACCUAAGCAUCAUUGGGCUAUAUCAUGACUUUAGCACACAAAUUUUUUUUUUCCCCACAAAAUAACAUUUUAACGGUAAAACAGGAAUUUAAAAAAUCACCGAAGGCAAAUUGUAACACUUUAACUCGCUUGUGCUUUAAUGGUUGACGCACGACUUUUCCUGCUACUUCCGACGACUUGCCCUUCAUGGACAUUGGACCUCGAUUUGGACUUGAAUUCCAUUUUAUUGGGCCUUCUAUAGUUUCCUCGACAAUAUUGAAAGAACUACUGUUUAUUUUGUAUAUUUAUAUAUUUUUUAACCUUUUGGAAAUCUAAAUUCUCAGCGUUCUGGUGGAAACCGAAUUAAGAAGAGUGUUGAAAUUGUCGUUCAUACGAGACUUCUGAUGAAUUUGCAACAGUAUCUCACUUCUCUACAUAUUAUGAAAUAUGGAAAGAAUAUUUAUCAUGUAAUUACAGGAGGCGGCGGGUUUAAUUGAAGAACUAAUAUGGUGUGUGAGUUAGCUAAUUGUUCCAUAUAUUAAAAAGGAAAGGGAAAUUAUCAUUCGUAUACCCUUAGUUUACUCCAUUAUUAAAAAUACUACAACACUUUGACGGUGUAUCAAUCGUCCACCCUAAGUUGACAAAAUGUAUCAGCCGACCACCAAACCGUUAGUUGCUGUUUAAAUAUGAUGAUGUCAGAAGGGUAAUCUGGUAUUUUUAUAUGAUACAAGUGAUAAUUUAAGGGUAUACAAGUGAUAAAAAGAGAAUUUAAGGGUAUACAAGUGAUAAUUUUCCUUUACUUUAAUUUAAGUUUCAAGGGUAAAAUCGUCAAUUCGCUGUAAUUCCAUUAACUUUCAAAUGGCAAAUAACGGUUUGGUGGUCGGUUGAUACAUUUUAUCAACAUAGGGUGGACGAUUGAUACACCCUCAAAGUUUUGUAGUAUUUUUGAUGACAUAACAAAUAUAGGGUAUACGAAUGAUAAUUUUCCAAAAGGAAAAAAAAAACGCUUGUACUUUAAAAAAAAAUAGCACACCUCCACUAAGUGAGGGAAUUCAUUAAACAAAGGGAUAAAGAUUACGAGAACAAAAAAUGGUAAGAAACCCUUGGAAAACAACAAAAGAAGAAACGACUCUUGAAGAACUUGUCUCCAAUACAAAGAGGGGGAUCAUCGAACCAUGUAAGGUGAGGACAAUACAAUCCCAAGUUUGCUAAUGAGUCAGCAGCUUGGUUGCCUUCACGAUAUUAGUGCAGUAGAAGGGCAUACAAGAAAUCAUAGACUGACAAUUAAGCAAGCAAUCAAUGGCUGCUAGCGAGUCACUCUCCAACCAAAAAAUCCUCCAGCCACGGAUGAAUGCCUCAUGCACAUAAAUGGUAAUGGCCAUAAUCUCAGGAAAAAAAAAAAGGAAGACUUGUCACCAAGUUGAACCGUAAAGGCACCCAAGAAAUCACCAUUACAAUCUUUGAAAACACCCCCAUAGGCAGUAGAACCAGGACAAACUAAAGAGGAUUAAACUGCUCAAAACUGAAACUAUUUGGAAAACAAAUCAUAAACUAAAUGACUUUAUUGAUAUUUUACAAGACAGACACUACAACACUCACUACUCACUCUUAUUUCUCUCUUCUAAUUCUUCACUCUUCACUUAAUACCUGCAACAAAGAGCUUAGGGUACUUAUAGUAACCUAGAACCAAUACAAACCAUUCAAAUGUUAAAUUACAAAAAUUUAACAACUAUAUUUUGUUAGCCUAAAAAGCUACACAUAUUGUAAUUUUGAUAAUAACAAACAACUGUCUUAAGUAAUAUGAUAAAUAUUGUAUUUCACAUUUUCACUAGUUCUUGAAGGAUUAUAUUUAUCCAAGUAAAUCAAGUGAAAUCAAGCUCCAGACACUCAACGGACAACGGCUUGAUCAAAAACAAGAUUUAGCUCAACGGAGUCAUUAUUGCGACAAAUUCUUGUAAAGCCAGGAUGAUUUAAUAUAUGCAUAGUUUAGCAUUUGAGAAGCUCAAGAUUUUGUUUAAUAAAUCAUUAUUUUUCAUGAACCAAAAAGGUUUUAUAUUUAUAAAUGAUAUUGUGGAUUUGAGUGUUUUUCAAACUUUGGAUUAAAUUGAAAAAGUUUUGAGAACUUUGAAAUCAAUAAGCAUUAUGUUAAAUUUCUGAAAAGAGCCUUUUAAAAAAGUAUUAUAAAGUUUUGAGUCACAGCAUAAUUUCAAAAAGUUUUAUGGAAUAAUGAGCAUUAUUUAGACAUUCUGAAAUUAGAUCUGUUCGCAAAUUUUUAUGAUGUUUUGGGUUGUAGUCAAAUUAUAGAAAGUUUUGGGCAAAAAUAUAAUUUUAGAAAAUAGUGUUGGUGUAUCCUCACUAUAGCAAAUUCAAAUUGCAACGGUAACUUGCACUGUACUAAGUAGCGAGCCGACUAAUCAAGAGGCUAGUCGCUUGCUUACAGGUUUUGUCUAUAACGGCUAAUAUUUGUGUCAAAACUAUAUAAACUCAAAUGCAAUUCAUUUUUUUAAUAACUUUUGCAAGAAAGAACAAGAACAUACAUCAUAUUUUGACCCACUAUUUUAUAAAUCAUUAUAUAUUAAAUCCUCAUUGUAAUAUCAUUUGUAUAUCCACUCUAAAAGAGGGUUAUUUGUUGUAAUCUUCAUGUCUUUAUCAAAUUUGUGAGAAUUUGAGUGUAAGAAACACUUGGAUUAAGAGAUUGAGGGAUGAUCUCUUGUUGUAAAGGUCCAUUGACACCUUGAAAGUCAAUUGUAAAAAUUUGAAGUCUUGGGAGGCUUUAAUAGUGAAAUCUUUAAGCUUGAUUUGCUUGGAAGCGUAAAAGAUCUUUGUGUUUGCUCUCUCUUCCCUUGCUCUUUUAUUUUUUAAUAUUGUUAAAUUUAUUUUUUUUUAAUUUCAUUGAAGCAUUAGAUUAAACUAUUUUAUGGUUUGCUUAGCUUAAGUUUUAGAAACCUAAUUCACCCCCUCUUGGAUUGCAUAACUAAUAUUUCAUAUUUUACAAAUAUCAUCAAAUAUUUAAGAGCUUUAUAGAUUUGGAUAUUUUCACGUCCAUUAGUUUUUUUUUAAUUAUAGUCAUCUCUCAUUCUCUAUACAAUUCUUGAAUUUCCAUUGAUUAAGCUUUAAAAUUGGGCUUGAACAAGUAUAAUUAGAUUGGAUCAUGAAAUUGGUGUUGGACAUUUAACAGGACAAUCUAGAUUUAUAUAGUUCAAAAUAAAGCCUACAUCCACAGGGUCAAUAGAUCAAAGAUGCUUGACUUUAUUUCAAUCUGAAAGCUGCAUAAGCUACUCACAAAAUAUUACAAGGAAUUUAAAUCUACAUUACAAGGAAUUUAAAUCUACAAGCACUUUCAAAAUGUUCAAAUAGAUCUAGAUGAAAAUCACUACGUCCCCCACUCUGGUCACCAUCAUAAACAAAAGCAAUAAAAGAUUUUUAGUAAAUGCUUUUGACGAGAUACAAAGCUAAGGAUGUAGAAAAUAAUUAGAGCAUUGGACUUACAUAAGAAACGAGAAUAUGAGAAACCAAGAAGCUCAUUUGUUAAGGAAUGUUGGGUUGUUAUCUGUAAAUUCUCUUGGAACUCGGUUACAAUUCAUCUUCAUCAAGUCAGUUGACACUGUAAGAAGUUCCAGCAUUGCUAGAGCAUCCAUCUUCAUUGCUGGCAGAAAAGUUUAAGAGUGGUGUGUUUUGUCUCGCUAGUAUUUAGAAAUGAUGGAGACACACCACAAAAUUUCAACUUAUGAAGUCUUGGGCUUGCAAAGUAUGGGUAUUAAAGGGAGAACUCAAAUGAAACAGUUGUUUGGUGUUCAACAUCAGGAUCUGGAGCCCAACAUUCCAAUAGGGAGAAAAUCUAAGUAAGAAAUGAUCAGACUCAAUGAACUCAUCAGCAAAUAAUUUGCAAGUGUGAUCAGCAUGUUUGGUCUCAGAGGGAGUCUUUAUUUCAAAAUUGUAGUGACACAUGAUGUAACAUUCAUCAACAUCAGCAUCAAAACAUUCCUCAAGUUAACCUUAAAUAUUCAUCAUAAAUAUUUUGAAUAAGGUUCGUCUAAUCAUAUUAGAUAUAUUUAUGUAAUCAUUAUAUAGAUUCACAAAAGACAUAAAUACAAGUUAUCUUAUGAUUAAAUAGAUUAAAUUCACAGUUGAUAAGUUGAGUUGGGCGUUCUAUUUAUAUUUAGACUGUAGUAAAUUCAUUGAAUGAUUUGUUUUAAUCAUGUAUGAGUUUACUGAUGUAGUUUGACUAUAUUGAAUUGGAUCACAUAUGAGAUUUAAUUAACCUUAAAAUGACUGUCAGACUUAUUAAAUCUCAUAGGCAUUGAUUUUAUUGCAAUCUCAAUCUUGAGUUAUUUGUAGUUUCAUCUUUGUGAUUGUUGUUUCAUUUGAGUUACCAAUGGGAGCGACAUAUAUUUCUAGUCAAGAUUAUUUAGUAUCUGGAUGGAAGCACUUAUGAUCAAUGAGAUUAUAGAUUAACAAUAUAGAAUCUGUACAACAUAUCUCUUAACAGGUUUUUUGUACUUGAUCAUAGAAUUCUCUGGCGAAAGUGUGUCAACAUAAUUAGUACGUUGAAAAUAAUCAUUAGGGAAAACGAGUAAGUGUUAAGGAACAAGAUGUAAUUAAAUUAAUUGGACAGUUGAGAUAUCAAUUUAAUUAGUGAUGUGGUACAAAGGACUGUUUAGUAAAGAAAUCAAUAUGGCAUGGGUCUAAUUAUUAUUCACGAAUGCUAUCCUAGAUAGCAUAUAAUUAUGGAGAUUAGUUCUAAUCUUUUAGUGGAGUAGAUUUUAAAUUAAAUAAUUAGAUUAUUUUAAUUACAGACCUAAUUAUUAUAGCCACUAUUAUAUGUACCCAUAUGAUCCUCAAGUUAACUCAUUUAAUUGAAUGCACCGCUAUUGGAUUAAUAAGUACGAUAAUUAGCUAUUUGGAUUAAAAGCCUAAAUAUAUUAUUUAGUAAGAGACUCCAUUUAAUAUACUUGUGUGCAAGGAGCCUUGUGUUAUUUUACAAGGUGGGCCCUUGUAACAAGAACAAGUGUAACACCACUUUUGGUUUCUCUCUUAUCUUUUUAAAUUGAUUUAAUAGAAUUAAAAAAGUAGAAAAAUAAAGAGUCUAGGGUUUCCACCAAAUAAAGAUAUAAAAAGGCUUUUUUCUCUACAAAAAGAGAUACAAGAGCCAUAAUAUUUAGAUUAGUAAAAAAAUCCUUUUUCUCUCUAAUUUUGAGAGAAAAAUUUUUCUUUUGCUAGUUGGUUAUAGUAGUGAUAAAGGCGCCCACACGUCAAGUGCAAAUCAAAUAUGAGUCAUAACCUAGAAGAUCGUUGGUGAAGGAUCAUGAUCUAACAAGAUUGAUGGUGAUAGAUCGUGAUUUGGGAGCCUAAAUUACCUCUACGAAAAAGCAAAGGUAUGAUUUCUAGAUUACAGUAAUUCUAUAUGUUGUAUGAGAAAUGCGAUCCUAAUAUUUCCGCUGUAAAACAUUAUUUUUAUCCAACAGUUUGGUCUUAAGAGGAGUCUUUAUUUCAAAACUGCAAUGACAUAUGAUGUAACAUUCAUUCAGCAUCAGCAUCAAAACAUUCCUCAAGUUGAAUAACAACACAAAGUACAAAUCAAGUAAAGUUUAUGUUACAACAAUGCAGUGGUAGUUGAAUAGUUAUUGAUGAUCCAUAAUUUUGAUAGCUAAAUUGAUCAAGAAUUCCACUUCUAGAAGAACAAAAGUUGAAUUGCAUUGGAUCAUCAAAAUCAUGUUACAUGAAAUUCAAGAUUUCAUCAGGUGUAACGAUGACAUAAAGAGAGAGAAAGAAUUAGUAAGUAUACCCUUAUGCUAAAUUUUUUGUUAAAACUGCAUUAGUAAUGCAACUACUAUAUGCUGAAUUCAUUGUUAUGAAUCUGCCAAAAUGUUAUUGUCUGUUUUUUCAUUCAGUUUAAGGCAAUUCGUAAACAAGCACCAUGUUAACGUCCUUGAUGCACUUAGUUAGAAGUGUUUGGAUAGUGAUUCCAAUAUGGAUGUAUAUAGUUCUUAUGGACAUGAUGGAAGCUCUAGUAAAGAUUAGAGUUGCUCGCAGUUCCUUGGUUCAAUAUGACAUACAUGAACUUGAAGCUCUGGCAAUGACUGAAGCUUAUUGCAAUAUCUUCAAGAGUUCUCAACCAUGAAGUUGCUUGAUACUUGUAGGAAAAUUCACCUGUUAUGAAUUAUGCGCUUAAUUUUCUUCAAUACGUGGUAGACAUCUUCAUAAUACCAUAAUUCGCUACGUUUGUCUGGUUCUUUAAUAGAUUCUUGGCAAACAAUCUCUUGACCCAUUUCUUGCAAUAAGUCAUGAAUUUGCAACUUGAUGGAUAUAUGAUAAUGAUAUAAGUGACUUAUUAGCUAGCGCAUUUAAUAUCUAGAAUUGUCUUUCUCUUCUAACUUCAGUUCAUUAUAGCUUAUUUCCAACACAUUAUAGAUCUUGGGAUCAUAUAUCAGUUUUAAGUUUUCCAACAUAAUUUCCCAAUCAAGUUUGCUAUUUUGGUGGAGAAAUUUUAGAAUACAUCAAAGGUAAUAUAACCAACUAAUGCAUGCAUGACAUGUAUAUUUGGAUUUAAUAUUAUUACUACUCGCAUGAUGGUUUUUCAAAAUAAAUGUACAUAUGUCAUACCAUGAUUUACUUAUUGUAUGGUUAAUAUGGUAUCUUUAAUAUAUUCUAGAAUUUCUCUUUCUCAUGAAGGAAAGAACCCAACACUCUGAGUGCUAAAGGAUUGCCAUUGGCAUGUUUAGCUACACACUCUUAGAGCAACAAUCUAUUAGUAGGGCGGUUGUCAUGUUUAAAGGCAAAGUUUUAGAAGAGCUCAAGAGUUUCAUGAUGUUUUAAUCCAUGAACCUCCUCUACAUUAAUGCUAAGUACUCUAAAAUUGUCAAGAACCCAUUUGUCUCUAGUGGUUAUAAUGAUUCUACUCCCUGGACCAAAUCGAUUUAGCCCUCCAAUUAAAUAUUCUAAUUGCCUAACUUUAUUCACAUCAUCAAGUAAUAUAAAUAAUUUCAUCUGUCGGAGACUUUCCUUAACAUAUUGAGAAAGAUCAGGAGUUUAUAUUUUGGCAUUUUCUUCUAAUAUUUCAGAAAGUACUUAUUCUCAUAGCUGAACCAAUCCACGUCAGUUCUUUGAUACUUUAUUAACAUUUGCUAUGAAGCAGUUUCCUUCAAAUUCCCAAGAAAUUAGGUUUAAAAUAACACCAACAAGGAUUGUUUUCCUCAUACCACCCAUUCCCUAAAUUCCAACAAUUAAAAAAUCUAGCAAUAUGAUGCAUAACAAUGAUUUAAUUUCCUUAAUUCGUGAAUUUAAUCCGACUAAGCCUUUAAGAUCAUUAAAGAAUGGUUUAUUUUUUAAUUCCUUUAAAAUGUUAGUGAUAAUUUCCUCUAAGAUUUUUGCCUCAGUCCUAACAGUUAUGAAAACAAAAGCAAAUUAAUAAUAGCAAGUCAAAAUAAUAUAGUCUAAUCAUAGAUAAAUUAAUUAAGCUCUUUUUAGGAUUGAGGUUGGGUAGUUAUAGUUUAAAGGUUACUGCAUUAAAGGGUUUGGUAAACACUGAUUAUUGUACCUUGGAAGCUAAAUUGAUUUGAUUUUACCCUUGUAUAUUGAAAAAUCUAUUAUAUUUUUUCUUAUUAUAAUUUUAUUAAAAUAAAUAUGGAUGUUCAUAACAUACAUCCAUUGGUCUUCCGCUAUCUCCUACUAGUAACCCUUAAUUUCUCUAUAACUCCCACUAUCUCACAAGGAAUUAUAAUCUAUAAUGUCUUUAUUAAUUUCAUGCAAUGAUUAAGUAACUAUGAGAGGAGAGCUCAUCUCUUUGUUUUAUAUACAAUUGGAAUGAAUAAAAUCACUCUAUAAUAUAUUGCUCUCUCAUUUUACUCUUUAUCUUGUGUUACUUCUUUAUUUUUGUGUUGCUGGCUCAUAGUUUUUUCUAAUACAUUAUCAGUAUGAGAUUUUGACUAGGUAUUAAUUCUUUUGUUUCUUGUAUCUAGCAAUUUUAAUUAUUAAAUAAUUAUAAUUAUUCGUUGCUAAUAGUAUGUCAUAUCAGCUAUUAUUAUCAUGUUUGUAUUUGCAACAAAAUUGACUUCUUAAGGUUGCAUGAAUAUUACUUGCCUUUAUUAUGUCUUUUGAAAUAUGCAUAGUUGAUGGUAAAAGAUUUGAAAUGAAUUCUAUAACGUGAAUAGUAUGAUAUGUGAUGAUUAUAGAACUUUAUUAUUAUAUUAACAUGAGUGGUUAUAUGACAUAUCUAAUAUUUACUUGUUAAUAAUGAGUCAAUUAUCUAUUUUUGUUUAUACUGUUUUAUAGCUAUCUAAAAAAGUUGAACUUCAAGAAACUUGAAUUUGUGGCACUUGAUAUCUUUGGCGAUAAUUAUCUGUCACGGGUCUUGGAUGUUGAAAUCUUUCUUGAUGCAAAGAAUCUUUGAGAUACUAUUAAAGAAAAUAAUGAUGCGUCAACCCAAGACUAUGCUAAAGCAAUGAUUUUUCAUCACCAUUAUCUUCAUAAACAAUUGAAAAGUGAGUAUCUGAUAGUCAAAGAACUAUAUGUCCUUUGGGAUUGUUUUAAUAAAAGAUUUAAUCACCAAAAAACUAUUAUACUUCUAAAAGCUCAUUAUGACUAUAUGCACCUAUGAUUAUAAGAUUUUAAAUCCGUCAAUCAAUAUAAUUCUGCAUUAUUCAAAAUUGUUUCUCAAUUGAAAUCAUAUGAAGUGGAAAUUACUGAUGUAAAUUUGUUGAAAAAGACAUUCUCUACUUUUCAUGCUCCGAAUUUGCUCAUGCAGCAGUAAUAUUGAGUGGAGAUUUAAAAAAUAUUCUGAAUUAAUCUCAUGUCUUUUGGUGGCUAAAAAAAAUAAUGCACUUUUGUUGAGAAACCAUUAGUCUCGUCCGAUUGGAUUUGUACCUCUCCUUGAAGCGAAUGGUACUUCAGUGAAUAAUCAUAGUGUUAAUUGAGGUCUUGGCGAGGCCUUGGUUACAAAUAUAAUCAAGGCUAUGGUGACUAUAAGAAGAAAUAUCAUUCAAACCACUCAAAGUGGAAGAGCAGUAAUAAGAAGCAACAAAAAGAUCCACAAAAGAAAUCUCCAACAGGUCAUGAAAAUGUUUGCUUCAGAUGUGGUGUGAAAGGACACUAGUUCCAUGUUUGUCAUACACCAAAACAUUUAGUUGAUCUUUAUCAAGCAUAUAAAAAUGAAAAAGGAAAAGAAAUUGAGAUAAAUUUCUUAGAUCAUGAAAAUCUAAUCAAUAUAACUCGUUUGGUUGUUUCAAUUUUUUUUUUAAGAUCCAAUUGGUAAAAUUGACCAUUUAAUUGGUGAUGGACAUGUGAAGACCAAUUAAGAGUGAUACACUUUGAAGUAUGUUAUUCUCAAAAUUUGGUGUAUUUAAAUUCUAAAACAAGUACUAGUGUAUUAGAAGUUUGAUAUGUUUCUUUAUGGUUAUGGUGUCUUGAUAACUCUAUGAAAUGAGAGUUAUCACAGCACUUUUAAACUUAAAUCAAUAAUACUUAGUGAGUAAAUGAUGCGUUUUCAUUACAAUUUUGUUUUAGUUUGCAUAAAUAUUCAUCUUAAUUUAUUCUUAAUAAAUUUUGUUCGAUUUAGAAUAAGUUUGUGUACUUAGAUUGUGUGCAUAAUGUAAGGUAAUUGAAAGAUCAAAUUUCAAGAAAGGAGUGCUGCUGCAAGAGACUUGCAAAAGAUAGAAAAGAACUUAGCUACAAAAGAAUCGAAACAAGUCUGGAACAGUGCAGAUGUUGUGGUCGUUGCUGUAGCAACCAUUGCUGUAGCAAUUUUGGAACAACAACAGAGAAAAUUUCGCGCCAGAUACCAAGAAUAUUUCAUUCUACAGUUUCCAAAUUUGGACUAUCCAUGGCCUAGACUUCUAUUUACCCUAAAUCUCAACUAUAAAAAAAGCACGCAUUAAGCAAAAAAUGUCAUGACCCAACCCAGACCUGGCAAGAUACUGUUCGCUUUGGGUCUUAACAAGGCCUCCCAUACUUUGCCGAAGUGGGAUUCGCCUAAGGUGUUACAUACACCCCCCUUAGGGACUCAGCGUCCUUGUUGAGAUUUGCCCCACCAUCGCUCAAGAGGACACGCGGAGCCACUCUGAAAUCAUUUGUAACAUCCAUGUCCGAAUCCCAAGGGCAAAUAUGUCCACAACUCACAUAUAAAUUUAAAUAACGCUUUAGAAACGAUAAAAUUCGAGCCUCAAAUACAAAAGCCAGCGGAAUAACUUAAAAAUUCAGCCAAACCAUUUACCAACCUCAAUUCAAAUCCAUCUUCUCACUCAUCACGAAUCAAUCCUGACUUCUGGAAACUGAAUCACAAUAAACUAUAAUGGGUACAAGACCUAGUAAGCAAACUAGUUUUUCUUAUACCAAAAUACAUACAUACUUAUACAUAAUGCAAAUGGAUGAUAUGCCAUGAUCUUUUGGAAAUACUGUAAACAAAUUCAUAAAAAUCUCUUUUUGUCGCUUUCAAACUUUCUCAUUUUCUUUCAAUAAAAUACAUAUUUUGUAAUGUGGCACUUUGUGCUGUGCGUGGCACUUUGGCCCUCAAGAGGUGGCCCCCGUAUAGUCUCAAGAGGUGGCCUCCACGCAACUUCAAAAGGUGACCCCCAAUGCAAAAUCUCAUAAAACAAAAAUCCCAUUUGCUAAAAUCCACUUUCUCAUUAAUAGAAAACUCAAUGCAUUUUCGUGCUCAUGCCAAUGCACUAUCAUACAUACAUAUGCCCAUGCACAUAAUCACGCCCAAUACAUAACAGCACACCACAUAAAUACAUGAGCAGAGACAUAUAAAUCCAUAUUCGUACAUAUCAAAAUAGACUUUUCAUACAAGUCAAACAUAUAUAUUGUUUAUUGUGAUUCGUUUUAAAGUCAAGUUUACUUACCUCUUGGCAUCCUUAUGUAACAAAUGCGUACUAAUAUCAUCAACCUAAAAUCAUCAAUAAAUUUCUCAUAAGAUAUAAUCGAGUCUCAAUCAUAAACUCUAAUGCCCUCAAAUAUCUCAAUUUAAACAUCUUCUAAGCUCAAUCUACAAUGUUCUCAACAAUCGGCCCUCAAAACAAAAUAGUCCAUUCUCUCCGAUUUUUAAUAAUUUAUUCCCUCAUUGAAAAAAAUCUCAGAUUUUACAGACCAUAUGCUGACACAUUGAAAGUGCAUUGAUAAAAAUUUCAUAUCAUAAUUCCGUCAAAACUAUCGAAAAUAAUUGACGUUUCAGACAUCAUCAAUAUUGUCAAACAGUUUUUUGUUUUGAACACACUUGUUUUAAAAAUACAAACCAAUUUAUUGCUUUAUCAUAAAAUCAUGAAAAUUUACAGAAUCAUACUACACAUAUAUAAAAAUCCCUGGUCCAAAUUUCAUAAGUUUUGAAGACGUUUAGCUAUGGUAAAAAUAAAUCGCAAUUCAUGUUCUUCACUGAAAUCAGAAAUUUCUAGAUUGACUUGAAUUUGAAAAAUUGUAAUUAAUUGAAAUCUUAUCCGAUUAACUUGAAACAUGUUUCAAAACAUUCUGGACGAUGUCUAGCUUAACAUAUCCAAAAAUCAGAAUGAAAAUCAAUUUGUAAAAAUUACUAUGAUUUUCAAAAUAAUUCACUGUCAGCAUAUUUCUGCAAAAUCUUAGGUUUCUACUUCUACUGCAAUCAUGCUUCUCCACAACAAUUUAAUAAAAACCAAGAAUUAAAACUUACCUCCAAAACUUCUCCCAACAAUAACAAAUUGAACCCAUGUGUUGCCUAUGGCAAAACUAAGAAGAAGAAGAAGACUUUCUUUUUCUUUUUUUCUUUUCUUUUCUCUCCAUCUCUCUCUCUCUCUCUCUUUUCUGUCAUUUUUUUUCAACCGAUCCCUCUUUUGCUCUCUCUCUCUUGUAAUGAAAAAGACAUCUUGUUCUAUUUAUACUAGGGUAAAAAGGAUCACUAAAAAUUAAAAAGACUUAAAUACCCUUAGGAGAUUUGGGAUAUUACAAAAAAGAAUGGGCCAUCAAUCGAGAUUGAAAAAAAAAACCAAGAAAGAAAAAAAGAAGAAGAAGAAUUGAGGAGAAGGAUACAAAUCUGCACCAGUAACAAAUCUACAGAAUACUUAAGAUUCAAAUUUUCUCAUUCGUUUCUUAUUUUUCUUGUUUAUUCUUUGGUUGAAAAAAAAUGCACUUAGUGGCUGAAACUUUGUUGCUUGUUUUUCUUUUACAAGUUAUGAACUGAAUUUAAUUAUAGUUGAGUGACAAAUAAUCUAGAUGGGUCUUUGACUGUUCAUGUGAGUUACUGCACGUCUGCUGUAGCAUUUUACUCUAAUAAAUUAUAUUACAUUCAUUAUUUCCGUUGACCUCCCAUUUAAUGAUAUAAGUUAAGAGAGAGCCACAAAAAGGCAUAUCUUAGUGGAACAUAUUAGAGUAAUACUUGGUCUUAAAUUGAGUUUCUUGGAUUGAGUUUAACUUGAGUCCAAAAAGGGUCAUACUUGAUUUAAAAUUAGUGAUGAACUAGAUAUAGAGAUUAUCCUUGUAAGGUGAAGAGAACAUAAGUAUGUAAUGCCAAAUCUUAGGUUGCACAAAGGUAUGAGAUGUCCAACAUGCGACAGCGGAGGAUGCAUAAGGAUUCUGCCCAAUGCUAUAGCAAAUGUUGUAGCAACGAGACUUAGAAUGAACAAAACAGCCAGCCCCAUCAUGAGAGUUUGAUCACUUAACUACUCAUUUCUCAUUGCUUUACCUUUCGGUUUACGUGAAUUUCUUUUAUUACAAUUUACUUUAUUGCAUUUCCGUUUUCAUUAGUUAUUUAAUUUUAGUAAUUCCAUUAAGUUAAUUUACAAGAGAGAUUGCAUUAUUGAGAAUGCGAUAACAACUCCAGUAGCAUCAAUCCCUAUGGAGACGAUCUUGAAUACUCAUCACUUUAUUACUUGUUAUGUACACUUGCACAUUGACACCAAUAGCAUUUGAAUUUAUUUCCAAUAAGUUUUUGGCGCUGUUGCCGAGGAUUGAUUAUUUAUUCUUGAGUUGUGAAAUCAAUUUUUUAUGGUGCUAAUCUUUUAUUUUAUUUUGAAUCGUUUACUUUGUUAACAUAUCACUCUUGCAUGCGCAAAUUCAAACUUGUUGAAUUUCAAUUUGAUCCAGAAAUUGAACGAACUGUGAGGAGAUUGAGAAGAGAGCAAAGAAACUCAAAAGCUGUUGUAGCAAUGGAUGACUUUCAAAACUUAGAAAACUUAAACCCUCACUGACCAAUACAACCUGUCAAUGUACAAGAAGGUCAGAAUGUGCGAGUUAACCAGAGACUACCAGGGAAUAACAACAUUAUCUACAUGGCAGAUGAUAAAGAUAGAGCCAUUAAAGAUUAUGCUGUGGUAGCUCCUCAAGUUAUACAUCCAAGCAUAGUAAGACCUGAUGUGGAAGCUGCGAAUUUUGAACUCAAACCAGUUAUGUUUCAGAUACUGGAAACAGUGGGGCAAUUUAAUGGAUUGUCAUCAGAAGAUCCUCAUCUCCGCCUUAAUUUAUUUUUUGAGGUGAGUAAUGCUUUUAAAAUUGCUGGAGCAUCACAAGAUGCAUUGAGACUUAGACUAUUUCCUUACUCCUUAAGAGAUCAAGCAAGAGCAUGGUUCAACUUUUUACCACCAGACUCCACCACCACAUGGAAUGACUUGGCUGACAAGUUUUUGAUGAAAUAUUUCCCACCAACCAAGAAUACGAAAUUGCAGAAUGAAAUCACCUAUUUUCAUCAACUUGAAGAUGAAAGUUUAUAUGAGGCUUGGGAAAGAUUUAGGGAGUUGUUAAUAAGAUGUCCUCAUCAUGGCAUUCCUUGCUGCAUACAGCUAGAAACCUUUUAUAAUGGGUUGAAUCCAAGAACUAGAUUGAUGGUUGAUGCAUCAGUAAAUGGGGCGUUACUAUCUAAAUCUUACAAUAAAGCAUAUGAAAUUUUGGAGAGAAUUGCUAAUAACAAUUAUCAGUGGCCAUCAACUAGAGAAAUUACAGCAAAAUGAGCAGCAGUAAUACAUAAUGUGGAUGCAUUUACAGCACUAUCAGCUCAAGUAACAUCAUUGACCAAUAUGGUAAAAGUCAUGACCAUUGCUCCAGCAAUUGUUAAGUAAAUUGUUGAACUUUCUUGUGUGUAAUGUGGAGACAACUGCCCAGGAAAUCUAGCAUUAGUAAAUUAUUUUGGCAACUUCAACUGACAGAACUAUAACAAUCCAUACUCCAACACUUACAACCCUAGAUAGAAGCUAUACCCAAAAUUUUCAUGGAGCAACCAGAAUCAACAUGCUAUAACACCUAGUGGACAGUACAGACCUGCUCAACCACCUGGUUUUCAUCAGUAAAAUCAAAGGCAAAGACACACCAGCAAUGAUCAAUUCAGUUCCUUGGAAACACUUAUUAAGGAAUACAUUGUGAAGAAUGAAGCAAUUGUACAAAGUCAAGCUGUAUCUUUAAGAAACCUUAAAAACCAAAUUGGACAACUUGCCACAGCAUUGGGUAGUAGACCUCAAGGAAGUUUACCCAGCAAUACAGAAGAUCCAAGAAGAGAGGGUAAAGAACACUGCAAAAUGAUCAACUUAAGAUUUGGAAAGAAUGUUGAUAUUCCUGUUGAUAUGGCUAGAAAAAUGUUGUAACAUAUUUCCUUACAAGAAGAGCUUCAAGUUGAAAAUGAGUUACAGCAAACCAGUUAUCAAGAUACUGGUGAAAGUAGUCAGGCUACAACAACCCCAGAAAGAAUUCAUUCAGUACUUGUUGAAGUAGAUGCUGCAACACCAGUAGUAAUAACCCAGAAUAAAUCAAAAGAGCAGCAAUAUGUACCUCCUGUAGUAAUAGAGCAAUUCAAGCACCCACCUCCUUUACUAUAAAGAUUCCAAAAACAAAAACAAGACAAACAGUUCAGCAAAUUCUUAGAAGUGCUCAAGCAAUUACACAUCAACAUACCUUUUGUGGAAGCCUUAGAACAAAUGUCCAAUUAUGUGAAAUUUUUAAAAGAUAUCUUGGCAAGAAAGAAAAGGUUGGGAGAAUUUGAAAUUGUCGCUUUAACACAACAAUACAGCCACAUGCUUCAGAGUAAGAUUCCUAAAAAACUAAAGGAUUCAGGAUGCUUCACCAUACCAUGUUCAGUUGGAACUAGAUACAAUGGCAAAGCAUUCUGUGACCUAGUAGUAAGUAUUAAUCUGAUGCCCCUAUCUGUAUUCAAUCAAUUGGGAAUUGGAGAAUGCAGACCAACAAUAGUCACUUUACAACUUGCUGACAGAUCUCAUGCAUAUCCUGAAGGCAAGAUUGAAGAUGCAUUGAUGAAGGUAGAUAAAUUCAUUUUUCUAGUGGAUUUCAUUGUACUGGACUUUGAGGCAGACAAAGGAGUACCAAUUGUACUUGGAAGACCUUUCCUAGCAACAAGGAAUACUCUAAUUGAUGUGUAGAAAAGAGAGCUAACUAUGAGAGUGAAUGACCAACAAGUCACCUUCAAUGUGUUAGAAGCUAUGAAAAGUUCUGAUAAGGUAGAAGAUUGCAAUUUCAUUAGUGUUGUAGAUCUUGCUGUAACAGAAAGAGUAGACAAGUGCUAUAGUAAAGAAGACAUCAAAACUGCCAUUUUUUAAAGUCUUGAAGAAGAGGAUAUUGCAGCAACCUAGAUGGCAUGGUUAGGGAAAAAGCAAGCUGAAAGAUCUAACAGACAUUUCGAAUCUCUAGAUCUAUCAAACAGAGAAGUAAAGCCAACAAUUCCAUCUAUUGAAUCACCUUUUAUGCUUGAAUUAAAACUUUUACCUUCGCAUUUGAAAUAUAUUUAUCUUGGCAAGAAUAAUACACUUCUUAUAAUCAUUUCACCUUCUCUGAAUGCAGAUCAAGAAAGGAGCCUGGUAGAUGUGCUGGGAAAAUACAAAAAAAAUAAUUGGAUGGACUAUGACAGACAUUAAGGGAAUCAGCCCAUCUAUAUGCAUGCACAAAAUUCUACUGGAUGUCUGUUAUAGCAAUUGAGUAGAGCAACAGAGGAGACUAAAUCCUAUCAUGAAGAAAGUUGUAAAGAAGAAGAUCAUCAAAUGGUUGGAUGCUAGAAUCAUAUACCUGAUAUCAGACAACUCUUGGGUGAGUCCAGUACAAUGUGUUGCAAAGGUAGGUGGAGUAACUGUUGUAGCAAAUGAGAAGAAUGAACUUAUUCCUACAAGAACAGUAACUAGAUAGAGAGUCUGCAUGGACUACAGGAAGCUCAACAAAGCCACAAGGAAGGAUCACUUCCCACUGCCAUUUAUAGAUCAAAUAUUGGACAGACUUGCUGGAAAACAGUACUAGUGUUUCCUUGAUGGGUAUUCAAGAUACAACCAGAUUGUUAUAGCACUAGAGGACCAGGAGAAGACUACAUUCACCUGUCCUUACGGAACUUUUGCCUUUAGACGAAUGCCCUUUGGUCUAUGCAAUGCUCCAGCAACUUUCCAGAUGUGUGUGAUGUCAAUUUUUUCAGAUAUGGUUUAGCAAACAUUAGAAAUCUUCAUAGAUGAUUUUUCAGUUUUCGGAGAAACAUAUAAGGACUAUUUACACAACUUGAAAAAUGUGCUUAAAAGGUGUGAGACAACUAACUUGGUACUCAACUGGAAAAAAUGCCAUUUUAUGGUGCAAAAAGGCAUAGUGUUGGGUUAUAGAGUAUCCAAAAAUGGGAUAGAGGUGGAUAAGACAAAAAUAGAAGUGAUAGAUAAACUGCCACCUCCAACUUCAGUCAAGAGUAUUAGAAGCUUCUUGGGACAUGCUAGAUUCUAUAGAAGAUUCAUCAAAGACUUCUCCAAAAUAGCUAAACCAUUAUGUUUACUGCUGGAGCAUGAAAAGCCUUUUAAUUUUGAUGAAGAUUGCCUCCAACCUUUUAGUGAAUUGAAGAAAGCAUUGGUAACAGCACCAGUUGUUGUAGCACCAGAUUAGAAUCUACCCUUUGAACUGAUGUGUGAUGCUAGUCACCAUUCUGUUGGAGUAGUGCUGAGGCAGAGAAAGUAUAUUUUUUUUCAUUCCAUCUACUAUGUCAGUAAAACUCUUGUUAAUGCUCAGAUCAAUUACACCACUAUAGAGAAAGAGCUGCUAGCAGUGGUGUUUGCUUUUGAUAAAUUCAUAGCCUACCUAGUGGGCACCAAGGUAAUAAUUUACACAGACCAUGCAGCAAUAAAGUACCUGGUUUCAAAAAAUGAUGACAAACCAAGAUUAAUAAGAUGGAUCUUAUUGUUACAAGAAUUUGAUUUGGAAAUCAAAGAUAGAAAAAGGACUGAAAAUCAGGUAGCAUAUCAUUUAUCAUGGCUAGAAGCAGAUGCCAGCACAUUAACCAAGUCUGACAUUACUGAAACAUUCCCUAAUGAACAACUACUUAUGUUACAGCAUGCAAAAAUGUUGCAGCAAUCUGGACUCCCAUGGUAUGCAGAGUUUGCCAAUUAUUUAGUAAGUGGAUUGCUACCACCUGAGUUGAAUUAUCAGCAGAAAAAGAAGUUUCUUCACGAUGUUAGAAGCUACCAGUGGGAUGAUCCAUAUCUAUACAAGUUAUGCCAUUUUAGUGGCCACAGAACAACUGUUAAAGUUCUGUAAUCAGGUUCCUACUGGCCUUCUGUUUUUAAAGAUGUUUAUGAGUUUGCUAAAUGUUGUGACAGGUGACAAAGGAUAUAAAACAUAUCUCGAAGACAUGAAAUGUCAUUGACAAACAUUUUGGAAGUAGAGAUCUUUGAUGUAUGGGGAAUAGAAUUCAUGGGCCCAUUCCCACCAUCUUUUGGAAACUUAUAUAUUCUAGUUGAUAUGGACUAUGUGUCUAAAUAGGUGGAGGCUGCAGCAUUGCCAACGAAUGAUGCAAAAACAAUAGUGAAUUUUCUUCAGAAAAAUAUCUUCUCAAGGUUUGGAACUCCAAGAACAAUCAUUAGCGAUGACGGUACUCACUUCUGCAACAAGAUAUUUACUACAACAUUGGCUAAGUAUGGAUUCAAGCAAAAGAUUGCCACAGCAUAUCACCCACAAUCGAAUGGUUAGGCAAAAGUGUCCAACCAAGAAAUAAAAAGAAUUUUAGAGAAAGUGGUAAACCCCACAAGGAAAGAUUGGUCAUUACGAUUACAUGACUCCUUAUGGGCUUAUAAGACAGCAUACAAGACACCACUUGGCAUGUCUCCGUACAUAAUUGUUUAUGAAAAAGCUUGUCACUUGCCCCUUAAGUUGGAGCACGAAGCAUACUGGGCAUUGAAGCAAAUAAACUAUGAUAUAUGUUGUGCAAAUUUUAUUGAACUCGCAAGCGCACGAAUAUAUUGUAGAAUAGAUUAACGGUGACGAGUGUCGAUCCCACGAGAAUGUGGAUUUUAAUUAUAUGUAGAAUUAAUUUUUCUAAAUGGGUGGUUGGAUUUGUGGUGAAAGUGACUUAGAUUAUCCAAAAAUUAGAAUUAAAAUGGCGAGAAUAAAUUGAAGAGAAAUCUAUUGAAAUGAAGCACUUGGGUAUCUGGAUCUGUAUCAACAUGCACCAUGGGCUAAAUAUUCCUUAUUAAUGCCAAUUAAAUCAUGAGGGGGGUUUCCACACCUCAUGAACCACACUCUAAUCAAUAUGGUGUUAAGGACUUAUCGUGCCAAAUAAUAAUAACCUUGUACUAGGGAGCCGGUAAAACCAGGGUGGUAUCUAGACAAGAUUAUUAUUAUUUGUUGACGAGAAGUCAAGUUGGUUAUGGCAUAGAAGACUAGGACAUGCAAGCAUGGAUUUAAUUUCAAAAAUUUCAAAAAAAUGAUUUAGUUAAAGGUCUUCCAAAAAUUGGUUUUCAAAAGGAUAGAAUUUGUGAAGCUUGUCAAUUUGGAAAACAAAUCAAAACAUCUUUCAAAAACAAGAAUCAUAUCUUUACUUCAAAACCUCUUCAAUUACUUCACAUAGAUUUGUUUGGACCUUCUAGAUAUGCUAGUUUAAGUGGCAAAUUUUAUGCAUUUGUAAUUGUAGAUGAUUAUUCUAGAUACACAUGUGUAUUAUUCUUAGCUAAUAAGGAUGAUGCCAUUGAUGCAUUUAGAAUUUUCUGUAAAAAGGUUCAAAAUGAAAAAGGAUAUUCUAUUACUUGGAUUAGAAGUGAUCAUGGUGGAGAGUUUGAAAAUCAUGCAUUUGAAAAUUUUUGUAAUGAUUUUGGCAUUGAGCAUCAAUUUUCAUCACCUAGGACUCUACAACAAAAUGGAGUUGUUGAGAGAAAGAAUAGGUCUAUACAAGAAAUGGCUAGAACCAUGUUAAAUGAAAAUGCAUUACCAAAAUAUUUUUGGGCUGAAGCCGUAAACACCGCUUGUUAUGUUUUAAAUCGAGUGUUGAUUAGACCUCAUCUCAAUAAAACUCCCUAUGAGCUUUGGAAAUAUAGAAAACCCAACAUUGGUUAUUUCAAAUUUUUUGGAUGCAAAUAUUUUAUUUUAAACACAAAAGAUAAUCUUGGUAAAUUUGAUCCAAAAUCUGAUGUUGGCAUCUUUCUUGGGUAUUCAAACUCAACCAAGGCUUAUAGAGUUUAUAACAAAAGAACUUUAGUUGUGGAAGAAUCCACGCAUGUUACGUUUGAUGAAUCUAACCCCUCCUCUGCGGAGAAAGGAGUUGUUAAUGAUGAUGCAGAUGGAGAGUUACAAGAGGAAUCAUCAAAAGAGAAUCAAGAGAAUGCACCACAAGAAAAUCAAGAGGAUAGACAAGAAGAACAAACAAAUAUGGAGCUGGAGCAAAAAGAAGGUAGUUCUCAAACACUCCCCAAGGAGUGGAGGUAUGUUUCCUCUCAUCCUAAGGAUUUAAUUUUAAGUGAUCCUUCAAGAGGUAUUACAACUAGAUCAUCACUUAGAAACAAAUGUGAGCAUGCUGCAUUUAUUUCUCAAAUUGAACCAAAAUCUUUUGCGGAUGCAGAAAAUGAUGAGUCUUGGAUUAUGGCAAUGCAAGAGGAGUUAAAUCAAUUUAAGAGAAAUAAAGUAUGGGAAUUGGUUCCUAAACCGGAACAUCAAUCCAUUAUAGGCACUAAAUGGGUAUUUAGAAAUAAAAUGGAUGAAUCUGAUGUGGUUGUAAGAAAUAAAGCUAGAUUAGUGGCUCAAGGAUACAACCAAGAAGAAGGAAUCGAUUUCGAUGAAACCUUUGCACCUGUAGCUAUGUUGCAAAUGGAUGUCAAGAGUGCUUUCCUAAAUGGUUAUAUUAUGGAGGAAGUUUAUGUGAAACAACCUCCUGGUUUCGAAAAUGAAAAAUUUCCAAAUCAUGUGUAUAAUUUAUCAAAAGCAUUGUAUGGAUUAAAACAAGCACCUAGAGCAUGGUAUGAUAGGCUUAAAAAUUUCUUGUUGGAUAACUGUUUUUCGAUGGGAAAAGCGGAUACUACCCUUUUUAUUAAAAAUAAAAAUCAAGAUAUACUUCUUGUUCAAAUUUAUGUUGAUGAUAUUAUUUUUGGUUCUACUAAUGAAUCUUUGUGCAAAGAAUUUUCCUCUUGUAUGAGUAAGGAAUUUGAGAUGAGCAUGAUGGGAGAAUUGAAGUAUUUCCUUGGACUUCAAAUCAAACAAAACAAUGAGGGGAUCUUCAUCAACCAAGCUAAGUAUGUCAAAGACUUGCUCAAGAGAUUUGGCAUUGAUGAAUCAAAUACCAAGAAUACUCUAAUGAGCACAACAAUUAAGCUUUGGCAAGAGAUUUGGCAUUGAUGAAUCAAAUACCAAGAAUACUCUAAUGAGCACAACAAUCAAGCUUGAUAAAGAUGAAAAAGGUAGAGAGGUUGAUAUUAAAAAGUAUCGAGGUAUGAUUGGCUCUUUACUUUACUUAACUGCAAGUAGACCCGAUAUCAUGUUUAGUGUAUGUUUGUGUGCAAGAUUUCAAUCAUGUCCCAAGGAAUCUCAUUUGCUUGUUGUUAAAAGAAUUUUUCGUUAUUUGAGUGGAACCAUAGAUAUUGGCCUUUGGUAUCCUAGAGGAACUCAUAUAGAUUUAACUUGUUAUUCGGAUGCCGAUUUUGCCGGUCACAAGGUCGAUAGGAAAAGUACUAGUGGAACUUGCCAUUUUCUUGGUCAUUCACUUGUUUCAUGGUUUAGUAAGAAACAAAAUUCGAUGGCACUCUCAACUACUGAAGCAGAAUAUAUUGCCGCAGGUAGUUGUUGUGCACAAGCACUUUGGAUGAAACAAACACUUAGAGACUAUGGUAUUAAUCUUGACAAAUUCCUAUCAAGUGUGAUAAUACUAGCACCAUAAAUCUUUCAAAGAAUCUCAUUCAACACUCUAGAACCAAGCAUAUAGAGAUUAGACAUCAUUUCUUGAGAGAUCAUGUACAAAAGGGUGAUAUUGCAUUAGAAUUUAUCUCUACGGAAAAACAACUUGCCGAUAUUUUUACAAAACCCUUUUGCGAAGAAAAAUUUUCAAAAAUUCGACAUGAACUUGGGAUGAUGAAAUUUUCGCAUUAACAUCUCUAUUUAUGUUAUUGAAUCUAUUAAAAUUGUUUGCUUGAUGAUUGUUAAUGUUUAUGAAGUGUUUGAGCAUGUUAGAUAUAUGUGGUGUUUGAUUUAUUAAUUUUUGAAUGCUUAUGUGCUUCAUGAAUAUAUGCUUGUUGGAUGGAUUAUUUGUUUGAAUUAAUCAUCUUUUGGAUGUUUAAAAUCAUGAAUCAUGCAUUAAAUUGGCUCUUGAGAUGUUUCGGGAUCACAAAAUGGUCAUGGAAUUGAUCGAAAUUAGCCGGAAAUCAACUAGAGUGCAGGUGGACAGCAACCAGGCGGCUAGCCUGGUUUAAUUAUAAAAACUCAACUCAAACUUCAUUCUAAGGACUAAUGCAAGCAAAUAUAAGAUCAUACAACAUAUAUUGAGCUUCCAAAACGCAAAUCAUCAUAGAUUGAAUCAUUGUUGAGCUAUUAUUUGCAUAUCCACUCUUAGAGAGAGUUUUUGUUGUAAUUUUCAUUUCUUAUCAAAUUGUGAGUGUGUAAGUGUGAGAAACACUUGGGGUGAAGCGAUUGGGGAGAUAAUCUCUUGAUUGUAAAAAUACAUUGACACCUUGGAAGUCAAUUGUAAGAACUUGAAGCCUUGGGAGGCUUGGAUAGUGAAAUCCUCGAGCUUGGUUGGCUUGGAGGCGUGGACGUAGGCGGGGAUUGCCGAACCACGUAAAAAUCCGCGUGUUUGUUUUUCUCUUCCCUUACUCUUUUAUUUGUACGCUUGUUUGAAUUUAUUGUUUUCUAUUUCAUUAAGGCGUUAGAUUGAUUUGUUGUGCGAAUUGUAUUGUAUAAUUUUUAAAAACUCAAUUCACCCCCCUCUUGGGUUGCGUUACUUGCAUUUCAAUUUGACAUUUUCUUUUUCUUUCCUUAAAUUUACUUAUGCAUGUUUUUUCUUAAAAAAAGGGCGAAGCUGAUGGAACUCCAAUGCUGACUGCUGCAACAUUACGUUUAGCAAUUCAAACAGAUGACACUUUUCAGAAAACCAUGGAACUUUACAACAGCAUGUUUCAACAACCAAAUUGGAUGCUGCAGCAUAAAGAUUACCGUUACAGGGACACAUAAGGAAUUUUUUUUUCACCGUUAUAGUCAUAAACUAAUGACAGCUGGCGUGGAGAAUAUGGAUAAGGAUUUAAAGGGAUUACAAUCCCUAAAUCCCCGCAUAGCAAUCCCUUAAUUUCCCUAAUUAACAGUGUUUUAAAAUUUAAAAUUUCUUUUCCAAUUUUAUCUCAUGAGCAUUAAUUCGUUUCCUACUUUAAUUCUUCUUUUAAAUAUAAGUAAGGGUUUUACUGUGCAAUAAAGGGCAUUCUAAUUAUAUUCUCUUUCUCCUACAAUACCCCAACCGACCCUCUUCUAAAUCCCUGUAGCAACUACCAUUUCAUCUCCUUGCCAAUGCUCUUAGCUUGCUCUAGCAAUGCCUAAGUACAAAAUCAGAGCACAACGCCUUAAGGAUCCCUCUCGUUUCCAAAGUUAUAAAGCCGAAGAGAAAUUCGAAGAAUUUAUCGAGCCAAGGAAACUUCUGGAAGAAAAAGGCUUUCAAUUUCCACCAACACCAUUGGGUAUUGUCCAAACCAUCCACACUGCUGUAGCAAGACGGGGAUGGGUAGAUUUCUGCCAACAUCCGAGGGACCCUGUGCUACCUUUAGUAAAAGAAUUUUACGCUAACAUGCUGAGACAGGAUCAGUGCAACAUUUGGGUAAGAAACUCCCUUGUCCCUUUAGAUACCCGCGUCAUUAUGCUUAUUAUAACUUGCCCGCUAACGUAAAGGGUGAGUAUUCCAAGUUGGUUACUAACUUGACUGAUAAAAAUGAUCUCAAGUUUCUAGAAAGGGUCUAUAUGAAGUUAAAAAUGAUUUUGAUGUGAAAGCUACUCUAGCUACACUUUCUAGGAAAGUAGAUGCCUUAACUAUGAACCAAUCCGUGAAUCAUCAUCCUAGUGUAGCUAAUAAGGUUUGUGCUCUUUAUUCCAACUAAUCUCAUACAGCAUAGAAUUGUUCAUCAUUACUAGCCUAUCAAGAGACUUAUUCUGAACAGGUACAAGCCUUAUAAUCAUAUGAGAAAACCUCCAAUAGUCCAUAUUCAUCCACAUAUAAUCCUAAUUGGAGGAAUCACCCUAAUUUUUCUUGGAAACAAAAUUAACCUUUGUCAAACUAAGGAGGGCAACAAUUUAGCAUACACAAUCAACAAUUUGUCCCUCCUAACCAAGUAUAUCCCUUUGCAUAACAACUUAUGUUCCAAUUUGUUGCACCCCAACAAAGAAAACCUUCUUUAGAGGAUACACUUGAAAGUUUCAUUCAGUCAACCCAACCAGCUUUUUAGUCAAACACUCAAGCUAUUCUAAAGCUUGAACAUCAAUUGGGUCAAUUAGAAACUACUGUAGCUGAGAGAGAAAAAAGAAAAUUUCCAAGUCAACUAGUUCCUAAUCCCAAAAGAGUGCAUGAAGUUGGAUCGAGUUCAAGCCAUCAGCAUGAAGAAGCAAAAUCAAUUAUGACCUUCAGAAGAGGAAAAUUAUUUGACAACAAGGUGGAAGUUCAAACAAGAAAGACAUCUCAACCUACUACUUCAUAUCUAAUUCCAUCAUAAAACUCAUCACCAAAUGAUCAAGAAGAAAGUGGCCCACCUGAAUUUAGAGAUAAAAGAGGUUCUGAAAAUGUUGUGGUAGAUCAUUUGUCUCGCCUUGAUCUUAAAUUUAUUCCAGGAUCUUUACCGUUGAAAGAGUCUUUCCCAGAUGAGCAACUUAUGAGUGUUAAUAUUUUCCAUGGUUUGCUGAUAUAGUUAAUUAUCUUGCUAUAGGUCAAAUCCCAGCACACUAGACAAAGCAAGAUAGACAAGGUGCUUAUUCGAAGUGAAGAAUUUCUUUUAGGAUGAUCCUUAUUUAUUUAAAUAUUGUACUGAUCAGAUUAUUAGGAGAUGCGUUCCAGAGAAUGAAAUCCAAAGUUUCAUCUCUUUCUGCCAUGAACAAGCUUGUGGAGGUCAUUUUAAUACCAAAAAGACAGCAACAAAAAUUUUACAAUGUGGUUUUUAUUAGUCUACUCUUUUUCAUGACACUUAUGUUUUUGUUCUUUGUGUGACAGGUGCCAACGCACGGGUAAAAUUUAAAAGAGGAAUAUAAUGCCACUCAAUCCUAUUCUUGUGGUUGAGAUCUUCGAUGUAUGGGGUAUUGAUUUAAUGGGACCUUUUCCUUCAUCUUUUGGUUAUCAGUAUAUAUUGGUUGCAGUUGACUAUGUGUCGAAGUGGGUUGAAGCUACUCCAUGCAAAACCAAUGAUCAUAGGGUUGUAGUGAAAUUCUUAAAGAGUAAUAUUCUAUCUCGUUUCGGUUUUCCCAGAACAAUCAUUAGUGAUGGCGGUACCCAUUUUUGCAAUAAACCUUUCAAAACUCUUUUGAACAAAUAUUCCAUUACACACAAGGUUGCCACCCCAUACCAUCCUCAAACCAGUGGUAAAGUAGAGAUUUCUAAUCAAGAGAUGAAGCAAAUUCUGGAAAAAAAAUAGUUAGGCCAGAUAGAAAGGAUUGGUCUUUGAGACUUGAUAAUAUAUUAUGGGCAUAUAUGACUGCUUUCAAAACACCAAUUGGAAUGUCACCUUAUAGACUUGUGUAUGGAAAAGCAUGUCAUCUGCCAGUAAAGUUGGAGCAUCGUGUGUAUUGGGCUAUCAAGAAAUUCAAUUUUGACAUUUAGCAGGCUUAUUGUUGAGUGUUAGAAAAUGCAUAUUUAUAAAGGAGAAAACCGUCAUUUUACAUUUCAAGUCUUACUAACAACCCUACUUUUAUGUAUUUAACCUUCUUGUGAUUUAAUUACAUGUGUUUUAUUUUAAUUAAGUAAUUUAUGUAUUUUAGGGGCAUUAUAGUCAUUUCACAAUAAAGGGGAGAUCAGACGGCAAAACGGACAUCACUUUUGAACUCAGGACGGUCGAAAACCUUAGGAGGAGCAUAAAAGGAAAAAUGACACUAUUCACAUGUACGGUACUAUUCACGUAUACGGUACUGUAUACGUUACUGUUCACGGCACUGUUCACAUAGACGGAUCGAUGACGUGGCAUUGACCGAUGAUGUGGCAUUGACUGAUGAGGUGUCACGAUCCUGUUGGGCUAAAAUUCUUAUGUACUGUUGAUGGUGACGUGGCAGUAUAUCAGUGGACGAAAAAUCUCGCGUACGGUGCAUACAUCACACAGGAUUAUUUUCAACCAAACCGCGUUACUGUUCAUCCGGGUCAAACCGCGUUACUGUUCAAAGUCGAGUCAAACCGUGUUACUGUUCAUCCGCGUGGUCAAACCGUGGACUGUUGACUGAUGACGUGGCGCAAUCCUGAGCGUCCAAACUGUUUUUAAUCCGAUGGCCAUGAUUUACUCCAUGUAUCUAUAAAAAGGGGGCCUCCCCCCCCUAAUUUGAUAUCUCUGAAUCCAUUUUUGGGAUCCAUUUUCUGUAAUUCCCUCUCCAUCUUGUAUUUUCUUCGUAUUUUAAUAAAUUCCCAUUUUGCCCUUGGUUCAAUUAUGAGUGGCUAAUUUUCUUUCAAGCUUGGGUUGAAGGUGAAGUCUCAACAUGUGUCAUGAGCUUAUUUGGUAAAUUUAUUUUCUCUUCCCCUCUAGUUUUUGUGGAUGUUUUGACUUCUCGUCGACAAAUAAUACUAAUCUUGUCUAGUACCGCCUUGGUUACACCGGCUCUCUAGUACAAGGUUAUUAUUAUUUGGCACGAUAAGCCCUUAGCACCAUAUUGAUUAGAGCGUGGUUCAUGAGGUGUGGAUUCCCCCCUCAUGAUUUAAUUGGCAUUAAUACGGAUUAUUUAGCUCAUGAUGCAUGUUGAUACGGAUCCAGAUACCCAAGUACGUCAAUUUAAUAGAUCUACACUUUAAUUUCUUCUCGCCAUUUCAAUUUCGAUUUUAGGAUAAUCUAAGUCAUUUCCACCACAAAAUCCAACCACCCAUUUACAAAAUUAAUUCUAUACACAAUUAAAAUCCACCUCCUCGUGGGAUCGACACUCGUCACCAUUGAUCUACACUACAAUAGAUUCGUGCGCUUGCGAGUACAUUAAAAUUUGCACAACAAGUUUUUGGCGCCGUUGCCGGGGAGGUAAGUAGUUUUAAUUCAUAGAAUUAAUUUUUGUGAAUAAUUUCUUUUAUCUGUUUUCUUGUAUUUUUUUUUUAUUAUUAAAAAAAAAGUAAAUCUACAUUUAAAGGUUAGUAUUUCUUUUCUUUUUCUCUUCUUUAAAAUUUUGUAAUUUAAUUUUCAAUUUAUUUUUUUUCUUUCUUUGUAAUUUUUUGUUUAUUUUAUUAAUUUAAUUUUUAGUUAAUUUAUUUCACGUAUUUGUUUUUGUGUAUUUUUAUAGAAAGGUUGUAACAGCGUAAUAAGGUUAGUAUCGUAAUUUCUCCCUCUUCUUUAUUUUUAUUUGUUUUGUUCUCAUCUUUAUUUUUUGUUUUGUUUGCAUCUUUAUUUUUAUUUUAUUUUGCAUGCAUGGUCGUAGGUCAUUAUUACCUAAUCUUGAACCUAUAGACCUUGAAUUAGAAAAAACACUUCGCACACACAAACACGUUAAAAAUAAAAUGGAUUUACAAGCACCACAGGAGAGGCCAUUUAAGGACUAUUUUAGUCCCUUAGCUAAUUUGAGCACGUCAUGCAUAAGAUACCCAAAUGUAGCUGCUAGGAGUUUUGAAUUAAAACCUAGUGUGUUAAAUUGUCUCCCCACAUUUUAUGGCCUAGAAAAUGAGGAUCCAUAUAAUCAUUUGAAUGAUUUUCAUGCCAUUUGUCAAACAUUCAAAUAUGAGAAUUUUUCAGAUGAUGAUGUUAAACUUAGACUAUUCCCAUUUUCUUUAAAGGAUAGAGCUCGUUCAUGGUUAAAUACGUUGCCUGCUAAUAGCAUUUCAUCAUGGGAACAAAUGGUAACUAAAUUUUUGAAUAAAUAUUUCCCAGUGCAUAAAACCAAUUCUAUUCGCAGGGAAAUUUCAGAGUUUACACAAAGAGAGGACGAGCAGUUUUUCGAAACAUGGGAGCGAUUUAAUGGGCUACUCUUGAAGUGUCCACAUCAUGGGUACGAAAAAUGGCACCAAUGUCAAUACUUUUUGGAGGGAUUAUUGCCAAAUGUGCAAGAAUGGCUAAUGGCAACAAGUGGAGGAGAGUUAAUGUCAAAAAGCGCAACAGAGAUUUGGGAAUUCUUCCAGCGACAAGCGGAUAAUUCCCAACAACGGAGUCGAUCACUCAGGACUACUAAAAGAAUUAAAGGAGUGAAUGAGGUUCAAAUUGGCGAGUCAAGUUCAGAAAUUAAAGAAGUCAAAGCGAUAAUUGAAGGUCUCUCUCGACAAAUAGCAUCGUUAUCGACUGCUAAAUCAACAGAGCCACAUGACCAUGACUCAUACUCAGAUCAAGCCAAUGCCAUAGGUGUAAUGAGAAAACCAUCGAAUUACAACCCAUACUCCAACACAUAUAACCCUGGAUGGAGAGACCACCCCAAUUUUUCAUGGUCUCAAGGAUUCCAACAGAAUGGACCAGCAGCUCCAGCUCCACCAAUGCAACAAAUUCCUCAAAAUCCUCAAGCCUCUCAGCCGCCAUUUAGACCAUACAAUCAGAACCAGAACUACUCUCAACCUAGACCAUGGGAGGAUGCAUUCCAGAAUUUCAAGAAUGUUACUCAUUCUACCAUUGAGCAACAGAAUCGCACCAUUGAUGGACUACGAAAUGAGUUAAGAGUGGGCUUCAACUCACAAGCCCAAUCAGUUUCAAGCCUCGAGAAGAUGGUGGGACAACUUGCUUCUUCAGUUCAGACCUUGGCAAUGACUGUUGAGAAAGGAAAAUUUCCAAGUCAACCAGUGCCUAAUCCUAAAGGAGUACAUGAAGCAAGUACCAGUUCACCACAGCAGCAUGGAGAGGUCAAAGCAAUCAUGACCUUGCGAAAAGGAAAGGAAGUCGACAACAAAGUGGAGAUGCCGGUGACAAAAGAAAAUCAAAUUGUACCUGUGAGUGUUGAGGACUCAUCACCGGAGGAGAAAGAAGAAACCAACCCACGAGAAUAUAUUCCCAAAGCUCCAUUUCCUCAGAGGUUAGCUAAAGGAAAGAAGGGAAAAUCCACUGGUGAGAUUCUUGAAAUCUUCAAACAGGUAAGUGUUAACAUCCCUUUACUUGAUGCUAUUAAACAAGUUCCAUCUUAUGCCAAGUUUCUUAAAGACCUUUGUACUAAAAAGAGAAAUAUGCAUGUUCAAAAGAAGGCAUUUUUAACAGAAAACGUUAGUUCUAUACUCCAACAUAAAAUUCCUUUAAAAUGCAAAGACCCAGGCUCCCCCACUAUCUCAUGUAGUAUAGGGAACCACACAAUUGAGAAUGCUUUGUUGGAUUUAGGAGCUAGUGUAAAUCUGUUGCCUUAUUCAGUUUUUGUGAAAACUUGGACUGGGAGAAUUACACCCAACUCCAGUGGUGUUACAACUUGCAGAUCGGUCCACGAAAAUACCUCGUGGUAUUGUGGAGGACGUGCUUAUCCAGGUAGACAAGUUUUAUUUUCCUGUUGAUUUCAUUGUAAUAGACACUCAACCAAUACAGGAUUCAAGGAAGCACAUCCCCAUUAUUCUAGGCCGACCUUUCUUGGCAACUGCGGAUGCUCACAUUCAAUGCAGGACUGGAAAUAUGCAGUUGUCCUUUGGCAACAUGACUAUGGAGCUGAACAUCUUCAACAUUGCCAAACAACCUCACAGUGCAGAUAAUGGAAUUGUUGAUGUGGAUUUAAUUGAAGCAUUAGUUGAUGACACUUUUAUUUCAAACCUUAGUGAUGAUCCUUUACAAACAUGUUUAACUCACUUUGGUUUGGAUUUUGAUAUUGACAGAUCGGUUGAUGAGGUCAACGCCCUGCUUGACUCAACACCAUCUAUGGAUACUAAUAAAUGGAAGUCAAGAGUUGAACAACUAGCACCAUCAGAGAAGAAACUCAUCCCAUCAUCAGAAUCACCACCAAAACUCGAGCUUAAACCAUUACCCAACACAUUGGAAUAUGCAUUUUUGGGAGAAGAAAGUACUCUGCCGGUAAUCAUCUCAUCAUCCCUAAAUGACGAACAAAAAGGUAAGUUGUUGGAUGUUUUAAAAGAGCACAAAGGAGCAUUAGGAUGGACCAUAGCAGAUAUAAAAGGUAUAAACCCAGUAGACUGCAUGCAUUACAUUCACCUUGAUGAAAAUGCUAAAUCUACUAGGGAAAUGCAACGUCGGUUAAAUCCUAACAUGAAAGAAGUUGUUAGAACUGAAGUCCUUAAGCUAUUAGACGCAGGUAUCAUUUACCCCAUUUCUGAUAGUUCAUGGGUCAGUCCUGUGCAAGUUGUCCCCAAAAAGUCAGGAGUCACAGUAGUUACGAAUGCUGAUAAUGAAUUGAUACCCACUAGAGUAACUACAGGAUGGUGUGUAUGCAUUGAUUAUAGAAAGUUGAAUUCUGUCACACGUAAAGACCAUUUUCCUUUACCAUUUAUUGAUCAAAUGCUUGAUAGAUUAGCAGGCCAUGAAUUUUAUUGCUUUCUAGAUGGCUACUCAGGAUAUAAUCAGAUUCCCAUAGCACCAAAAGAUCAAGAGAAAACUACUUUCACUUGCCCUUUUGGCACAUUUGCAUAUAGGAGAAUGCCAUUUGGAUUAUGUAAUGCACCUGCUACAUUUCAACGAUGCAUGUUAAGCAUUUUUUCUGAUAUGGUUGAACGAUUCCUUGAAGUCUUUAUGGAUGAUUUUUCUGUCUUUAGUGACUCGUUUGAUCAAUGUUUACAUCAUCUAACGCUAGUUCUGCAGAGAUGUAUCGAGAAGAGCUUAGUCUUAAAUUGGGAGAAGUGCCAUUUUAUGGUAAAACAAGGUAUUGUUCUCGGUCACAUCAUUUCGAGCAAAGGUAUUGAGGUUGACAAAGCCAAGGUGGAUCUCAUUUCUAAUCUUCCUCCACCUAAAACAGUCAGAGAAGUAAGAUCUUUCCUUGGGCAUGCUGGUUUCUAUCGACGUUUCAUUAAAGAUUUUAGCAAAGUUUCUAGACCCUUAUGCAAUUUACUUGCUAAGGAUGUACCUUUUAUCUUUAAUGAUUCAUGUCUCAUGGCGUUUGAAAAAUUAAAGCAGUUGUUGACAUCAUCACCCAUCAUUCAGGCCCCAAACUGGAGCUUACCAUUUGAGCUCAUGUGUGAUGCAUCUGAUUAUGCAGUAGGAGCAGUAUUAGGACAAAGAGUUGAUCGAGUUCCCCAUGUUAUUUACUAUGCUAGUAUGACAUUAAAUGAUGCACAGUUGAACUAUUCAACUACUGAAAAAGAAAUGCUAGCAGUAGUGUUUGCAUUGGAAAAAUUUCGAUCAUAUCUCAUUGGUUGUAAAAUAAUUAUAUUCACGGAUCAUGCUGCUCUUAAAUAUCUUCUCACAAAGAAAGAUGCAAAAGCCAGACUAAUUCGUUGGGUGUUACUUUUGCAGGAAUUUGACUUAGAAUUCAAAGAUAAGAAAGGCACAGAAAAUGUCGUGGCGGACCAUCUCUCUCGUCUCCAUUUUGACACAAUUACAGAGCCAUUACCAUUAAAUGAGUCAUUUCCAGAUGAACAAUUAAUGAGUGUGGAAGUAUUACCUUGGUAUGCUGAUAUAGUUAAUUAUCUUGUUACAGGUAAACUUCCAGAGCAUUGGACCAAGCAAGAUAAGGCUAAAUUCUUUGCGGAAAUAAAGAAUUUCUUUUGGGAUGACCCAUAUUUGUUCAAGUAUUGUGCAGACCAAAUUGUUAGACGAUGUGUCCCAGAAAGUGAAAUUCAGAAUAUCCUUUCAUUCUGCCAUGAACAAGCUUGUGGAGGCCAUUUCAGUGCUAAGAAAACAGCGACUAAAGUUUUACAAUGUGGUUUUUAUUGGCCAACUAUAUUUCGAGAUGCUUACACUUUCUGUUCUUCAUGUGAUAGGUGUCAACGAAUGGGGAGCAUUACAAGAAGGAACAUGAUGCCAUUAAAUCCAAUUUUAGUGGUUGAGAUUUUUGACGUAUGGGGUAUCGACUUCAUGGGACCCUUUUCCCCUUCUUUUGGCCAUCAAUACAUAUUGGUUGGUGUUGACUACGUAUCGAAAUGGGUGGAAGCAAUUCCAUGCAGAACCAAUGAUCACAAAGUGGUGAUAGGAUUUUUGAAAAGCAACAUUGUUUCACGCUUUGGAUUCCCUCGAGCAAUAAUUAGUGAUGGUGGUGCCCACUUUUGUAACAAAGCAUUCAAAGCUCUUUUGACAAAGUAUUCAAUCACACACAAAGUGGCUACCCCGUAUCAUCCGCAAACCAGUGGCCAAGUUGAGAUCUCCAAUCGAGAAAUAAAGCACAUAUUAGAAAAGACGGUGAGGCCAGACAGAAAAGAUUGGUCAUUAAGACUUGAUGAUGCAUUAUGGGCAUAUAGAACGGCUUUCAAGACCCCGAUUGGGAUGUCACCCUACAGGCUAGUGUAUGGAAAAGCUUGCCACCUACCUGUGGAACUCGAGCAUCGUGCAUAUUGGGCCAUCAAGAAAUUCAACUUUGACAUGCAGCAAGCCAGCUCAGAAAGAAGAUUACAACUGGCAGAACUUGAAGAAAUUCGCAAUGAUGCAUACGAAAAUGCCAAGAUUUACAAGCAACGAAUGAAAGUCUUUCAUGACAAGCACAUUAUGAGAAAAUCAUUCACUCCAGGUCAGAAAGUACUUUUAUUCAAUUCUCGUUUGCACCUAUUCCCAGGUAAGUUACGCUCUCGAUGGUCUAGUCCCUUUAUUGUUCAUACUGUUUUUCCACAUGGGGCAAUUGAAAUUAAGGACCCAAAGAACGGUGUCACGUUUAAAGUUAAUGGUCAAAGAUUAAAGCCAUAUCUAGAAUACCAACCACAUGGAGAAGACACCGAAAUAAAUUUGAGUGACCCACCAGAUUUGAAUUGAUUUGUUUCUUCUUUUCGUUGAUUUGAUUUUUCUUUCUUUCUUUUUAUUAUUCUUUUGCUAAUUGAAAUUAUUUUUGCAUAAGUGUGUUUGUUUAACUAUUAAGUUUUCUUUUAUCAUUUUUAAUCAUGAGUACCUUACUUAGACCGUUCCUCCUGAACAUUCUUAAACCACUUCAACGUGUCAAAACUCAUCUCAAAAGGCAGAUUCAAUUUUGUAAAACACAUCGCAUUUGGGCUCUACAACCACCAGAGUUAGUAGCCUAUGUUGAGGGUUUAGAAAGCCAACUCAGAGACAUUGAGAGAAGUGUUUACGACAUCCAGUUGGAGCUUGAGGUAAAUUCAAUAAGAGGACGAUUUUAAUUUUCUUGUGUAUUUUAAUUUGUUUUUCUGUUUGUGUGCUUUAGUUUGUUACCCCGGUGAAGUGGCGGAUAACGGUACUCCGUGACAAUCAAGUCGGUUACUUCAGUUUCCCAUAAUAACUGAUAUUCUGAGGCGAAGGUAUGGACAGAAACGAGAUUCUAGCGAAGCUUCACAAGCGAUUCCCUUCACUUCCUCAGAAUGCCCUCCUUACGAUCUAUAAAGCUCGGUCCGAACGCAUGCGAUUACUCAUGAGGAAUAACAUACCUGCUGAUAUCCGUUGGUUAAUCGAGGCGAAAGUACGAUUGGCAGGUGAGUUACCUCCAAAAUUUAUUGCAUUCAUGCCUGGUUGUGGUAAAGGAAAUUAUGCAAGAAAACGACGAGCUCGAAGAAUUUCUGUUGCUUGUCACAAGUGUGCCAGAAUGAGUUGCGAUAGAAACCCAUGUUCUUUAGGAAUGAUGUCUGAUAACAGAGAAGAUAAGAUUCAAUUCAUUAGGGAUGGCUUGAAUAAGGAGUCAUUGGAUGAUAUCCUUUUAUCUCUUGAAACGCAUCCCAGUGGAUAUGUGCAAGGAGCGAUUCUCCAGUUAUGGCCAUUAUUUCAGAAAGAGCAUGCACGAUAUAGUCUCGGGAAUCUGACUAUAAACGACCCUGUUUGUCAGUUUAUAAGAAAACUGGAUGGGAAGCCGAUCCUCGACCCAUAGAGGGCGUUCAAGCCGUUUCUGGACGUAAAACCAGAGGAAGAUGUGAGCCACAGUCGCAACUACGUGUAAAUAUCCUUUUACGUUACUGUUAUUUUAUUUCAUUUCACUGUUGUUUUAUUAUUUGCAUUAUUGUCUUUAAUAAUUUUAUUACUGUUUUCUUUUUCCUUUUUUACUGUUUCCUUUUGACUCGCGAGCCACGUGCUUUACGCGUUAUUUGACACUGACAUGUUACCUCAUUCACAGCUGUGAUCCACUGUCACCAAGAUUCUUAAAUGUGAUUUAUCUUUUGUUAAGCACUCACAAAUUAUUUUUGAGAAGUAUCACAAUGGCAACUACUCCCAAUAGACAAUUCAAGAACAUUUGUGUGCUUUCUGGAUUUACCUAUGGCAAACAUAAAGAGUUCGUGGAGGCAGCCAUAGAUCUUGGUCGAAGCAUAGCAGCGAGAAAAUUACACUUGGUGUAUGGAGGAGGUAACCGAGGGUUAUCAAAAAUGGUCUCAGAAGCAGCUUUUAUCAGAGGAAGUCAAGUGUUAGGCAUCAUCCCAAGAGUCCUGAAACCAUUGGGCAGUUCGUCUGACUCAUCAACUGGAGAAGAGUUAGUCGUCUCAGGUAUGCAAGAAAGAAUAACUGAAAUGCUUAAUCAUGCUGAUGCUUUUAUUUUCCUUCCAGGAGAUCUUGCAACACUAGAGGCACUUAUGACACUAGCAUCUUGGGCCCAUCUACACAUCCACCAGAAACCCAUCGGUUUGUUAAAUGUCAAUAACUUUUAUGAUGGCUUUAUCGCAUUUCUUAACCAUGCAAUAAAAAACUAUUUCAUUCCUUCUAAUGUGGAAAAACUCUUUAUUUGUGCUCACACUGCUAAUGAGCUACUUGAUAUGUUACAAGCUUAUAAACCGGAGCCAGACCCCUGGACCUUUGUGUUGGAGCGACCAAAUAAUGAUGAUAACAGUAGCCGCAGUAAGAAGUACAAAUUAGAUUUAACUCUCCGCCUGUAAAUAUUUUCUUCUGUGUUGCACCACCCAGGUGAUGUCUUCUAAACUCUACUGCUUUCAUUUCAAACAUUGAGGACAAUGUUUCGUUCUGGUUGGGGGGAGGGAAUAGUCGACAAUUGUGGAAUUUUGGUUAAGUUUUUACUAAUUUUUUGUUGUAGAAACUAACUGUUGCUAACUUUUUGUGUUGAAGAUGGCUUAAUAUGGAGUGUAGUGACUCUAGAAACGCAUCUUCAUCGUUUAAAAAAACUAUAAAAAAAAAAUUUCAGACAUUUUCUUUUUCUUUAUUAUGUGUUUAUGUUUAUUUUUCUUCUUUUUAAUUUCUCCUCUAUAAAUAUACAUUUUCCAACUUUUGAGUCGAAGAUGGCUGAAUAUGGAGUGUAGUUCCUCUAGAAACGCAUCUUCUUUUAAAAAAAAAAAAUCAUUUUCGUUUUCUAUCAUUUUACGUGUAACUUUUCUAAUUAGUUUUUAUGCAUCAUUUUCACAUUUCUGCAUGCUUAUUUUCCUUUCAUGCUUAGAAUAGGUUGGGGGGUAGAAUGUUGUUGAAAAUAAAAAAAUAAAAAAUUGUGUGAUUUCUUUUAACAUUGGAUGACAUGAUUAAUUUCAAAUUUUAGUAUUUAUAUUAUCUGCCAGUAAAGUUGGAGCAUCGUGUGUAUUGGGCUAUCAAGAAAUUCAAUUUUGACAUUUAGCAGGCUUAUUGUUGAGUGUUAGAAAAUGCAUAUUUAUAAAGGAGAAAACCGUCAUUUUACAUUUCAAGUCUUACUAACAACCCUACUUUUAUGUAUUUAACCUUCUUGUGAUUUAAUUACAUGUGUUUUAUUUUAAUUAAGUAAUUUAUGUAUUUUAGGGGCAUUAUAGUCAUUUCACAAUAAAGGGGAGAUCAGACGGCAAAACGGACAUCACUUUUGAACUCAGGACGGUCGAAAACCUUAGGAGGAGCAUAAAAGGAAAAAUGACACUAUUCACAUGUACGGUACUAUUCACGUAUACGGUACUGUAUACGUUACUGUUCACGGCACUGUUCACAUAGACGGAUCGAUGACGUGGCAUUGACCGAUGAUGUGGCAUUGACUGAUGAGGUGUCACGAUCCUGUUGGGCUAAAAUUCUUAUGUACUGUUGAUGGUGACGUGGCAGUAUAUCAGUGGACGAAAAAUCUCGCGUACGGUGCAUACAUCACACAGGAUUAUUUUCAACCAAACCGCGUUACUGUUCAUCCGGGUCAAACCGCGUUACUGUUCAAAGUCGAGUCAAACCGUGUUACUGUUCAUCCGCGUGGUCAAACCGUGGACUGUUGACUGAUGACGUGGCGCAAUCCUGAGCGUCCAAACUGUUUUUAAUCCGAUGGCCAUGAUUUACUCCAUGUAUCUAUAAAAAGGGGGCCUCCCCCCCCUAAUUUGAUAUCUCUGAAUCCAUUUUUGGGAUCCAUUUUCUGUAAUUCCCUCUCCAUCUUGUAUUUUCUUCGUAUUUUAAUAAAUUCCCAUUUUGCCCUUGGUUCAAUUAUGAGUGGCUAAUUUUCUUUCAAGCUUGGGUUGAAGGUGAAGUCUCAACAUGUGUCAUGAGCUUAUUUGGUAAAUUUAUUUUCUCUUCCCCUCUAGUUUUUGUGGAUGUUUUGACUUCUCGUCGACAAAUAAUACUAAUCUUGUCUAGUACCGCCUUGGUUACACCGGCUCUCUAGUACAAGGUUAUUAUUAUUUGGCACGAUAAGCCCUUAGCACCAUAUUGAUUAGAGCGUGGUUCAUGAGGUGUGGAUUCCCCCCUCAUGAUUUAAUUGGCAUUAAUACGGAUUAUUUAGCUCAUGAUGCAUGUUGAUACGGAUCCAGAUACCCAAGUACGUCAAUUUAAUAGAUCUACACUUUAAUUUCUUCUCGCCAUUUCAAAUUCGAUUUUAGGAUAAUCUAAGUCAUUUCCACCACAAAAUCCAACCACCCAUUUACAAAAUUAAUUCUAUACACAAUUAAAAUCCACCUCCUCGUGGGAUCGACACUCGUCACCAUUGAUCUACACUACAAUAGAUUCGUGCGCUUGCGAGUACAUUAAAAUUUGCACAACACUUAUACAUACAAGAAGAUUACAACUAGCAGAACUUGAAGAGAUCAGGAAUGAUGCAUAUGAGAAUGCCAAGAUUUAUAGACAGUAUAUGAAAGUCUUUCAUUACAAGCACAUUUUGAGAAAAUCCUUUACAUCAGAUCAGAAAGUACUUUUAUAUAAUUCCUGACUACAUCUCUUUCCAGGUAAGUUACGUUCUCGAUGGACUUAUCCUUUUAUAGUUCGUAUUGUCUUUCCUUAUGGACCAAUUGAGAUUGAAAAUCCUAAAAAUGGUGAUUUAUUUAAAGUCAAUGGUCAAAUAUUAAAACCAUUUUUAGAGUUAAGAACACCAGAAGUUGAGGAGAUACUUUAGAUGAUCUUGUUUAUCAGGAUUAAUUAAGUUCAUCUUUACAUUCUUGUUUUAUUUAAAUAGUAGGUUUUUUUCUCAUUGUUUGUUUUUGUUUUCUAAUAUAUUUUUUUCUAACGUUUCCUUUUAUUUGUUAUUUUUUUAAGCUUCCCCAUUCUCUUCAAGUGUGUUCUCUCCAACUUUUUCUUUUAUUAUUUAUGUUUUUAUUUUUUUCAUCUUUUUGCAUGCAUAUCUUUUAUUUAUGAAAUAUUGAGGACAAUGUUCUGAAUAAGUUUGGGGGUGGGAAUAGUGUGUCCUUUGUUUGUUAAAAAAAAUCAAAAAAAUUUAUGUUGUUGGUUUUUAUGUGAAAAGCCAAUGAGAAGAACUUGAUCGACAAUGACUAUGGUUCAUAGAAAGGGUUGAAUAUUGUCUUAGUUUACACUUAGUUCUUGUGUUAAUUCUUCUUGAUUGAGAUUCUUUAAACACCAUGAGCACUAACAGCAAUUUUUUCAUAAUCUUGACUUGAAAUUUGAGAUUGACGCAGCCUGAGUUGAGAAUUUUAGAUAGAGUAAAUGACUUAUUGUCUUGAUUCUUAUCUCCACAAUACAAAAUAGUAUACACAGGUGCCAAAGUCAGAAAUAACUACCUAUAACCCUUAAGAGUAAAGCUAUCCUUGAGCAAUUUAGGCCUAUGUACCACUAGUAUGUAGAGGAUAAUUUUACCAUGAAAAUAAGGCUACCUUAAGGGGUAGAGUGAAAGCUGCUGACUAUGGUUAAAAAAACUAAAAGAAAAUGCACAUAAAAGCUUGUGAAAAAAAAAUUCGGAGAUCAAGAUGAUAAGAAUAAUUUGACCUACUCUUUUCUUUGUUCAAGGCAAAGGCGGUUGAUAUUGAAGAUUUUGGGAAUGGAUUUGACUGAAUUGAUUUCACACACACAUUACAAGAAUCAAAAGAGAGAUGGGAUUGACUAUUGAAUUAAAGUUAGAACUUUGCCAAUAUUUGAAAUUUUCCUUGAGCUAUAUAAUUUAUGCAAUCUUUGAUGCUAUUUUUAUGUUUUGUUUAAAGUUUGUUGUUCUUUUUAUGUUUUUUUUUUUUAAAAAAAAAGUGAUGUUUGUGGGUGUCAUCGCUGCAGCCUUCAUGAGACUAUAACUCGUUCACUGGGGCCGUCUAGGGGUUUAAAGGCUUGUUGCAUACACUGAAUGCAAUCGCGAUUACCUGCGAAAGUGGUUUAGUUAGGAUUUACUUUUUUUGUUACUUUUGUUUUUGUUUUAGUUUUAGUUUUGCUCGAGGACUAGCAAAUCUAAGUCUGGGGAUAUUUGAUAAGUAUAUAAUAUAUACAUAUUUUACCCUUAAUUAUUUAAUUGCUAGUUAUUUUUAUUCAUUACUUUUAAUUAAUUGAAUUAUUUUAUUAAAUAGGGAAUUAACUAGAGAUUAUAUAUAAAAAGGCAUGAAGAAAUUCAAUUUAGGAAGCAUUAAAGAUUAAUUGAUUUUGGAAGCAAUUAGACAUACAUGCAUGUGGAAGUGAAGCUGAGGAAAUGAAGCUAGGAAAUUAAUUGAUCCAGCACGUGAAGAAAUUAACCACAACAUAGGUGGCUUUAGCUUAAUUGGAGUGCACGUGCAUGGCAUUGCAAUAUAUGGAAACAAAUUUAAAGGGGCCCGUAUUGAGGAAUUAAAAGAGGAAACAAAUUUAUGGCUUAUGGUGGCAUUAAUUUGGAAGAUUUAUUUUAAAAUUGGAAAAGUAUUUCAAUUAGUAUUGGAAGAGGAUUCGGUGGCUAAGCAUUAUAAAAAGCCGAAUUUUGGCUUUUGCAAGAGGUAGCCGCCAGAGGAGAAAAAAGAGAGCAACGUUAGACAAUCGGCAGAGAAGAAAACCGCGGCAGCAGUUUAAUUCUCCAUUGCUAGUUUUAUUUUAUUUGUUGCUCCCAAUUCAAGUAUGUCUAGUUAAUUUUCUUAUACUCAGGUUAAGGAUUAAGCCCUAUUCAAUGAAAUAAUUAUCCUUUAAUUAAUUCCCUAUAUAUGUUCUUUGAUGAUUAUGGUUUUUGUUUCACAUGAUUAGUUAGAUGUUAUUAAAUUUUUUCACCAAUUCUGUCAUGCAUUAUUGAUUGUUAAGAUUAAUAUUUGACUAAAUCUAUACUUGGAUCUAUAAAGUUUAUAUAUGAUUAUCUUUGAUUCUGUGUCUUUCAGUAAAUUGUUCACACAUAGUGCUUAGGAAACUUUGACUCUUUAUUAUUUAAUAUGUUUACAUAGGAUACUUAGAUAUCAUACUAUUAAGAAGAAAAAGAAUCUACACAAGAUUAAUUUUAAUUGGGUUUAAUUGUUAUAUCUAUGAGAUGACGUAAAUUGAUUUCGAGUUGUCACUCUAAAAUUGAGAAUUAAUUAAUAAUUAGAUAAUUACUAGUUAAAUAGUGGUAGAUUCUGAAACCUUGGUAAUUUUUGUCUUAUUGAAUUCUCCUUUAUUUUAAUUGUUUUCUUAGUUUAAUUGGUUUAAUUUUCUUAGAAACUCAAUUUGCUCAACUAAGUUAGGAUUAAUAUUAAUUUUAGAUUUAAAUUAGACUUUUCAAUUUAUAACAAUCUAUUGUUGGAUCAUAAACUUGAUCCAAGAUGAGUAAAUCAAGCCCAACUCAUGGAAGGUUCCAUGAGUAGGUAUGGUUGGUGAGCUUUGAAUUAUUUGUGUUAGGUGUGUUAGGUGUGGUUGGUGAAGUAGGUGAGUGGUAGGUUUUAAUGGAUGGUGAGGAUUUGUGUAUUAAUUGAAUAAAUGAAUGGUUGUGAUUAGUUUGUUUCAUGUAUAAAUACCCCCUCUCCCCUUUGGUUUAAUCAUCAAGUGAAGUAGCAAAAUCUCUAAGGUGUAGAGAGUGAAAAAUAAGAGUUGUAAUAUGGUGAGGAGUGUUGUUGAAGAAAUAAAAUAGUAUUUUUUGUGUGUUUUAUUUUGUUAAUUCUCCAACAAAGUGGUAUCAGAGCUAGUACGUGAUGCUAUAUAUGGUCAUAUAGCAUAUCAAAUCGAAGAUCUAGACGAGAGGAAAGUGACGCCGCAAAAAUCAUCCCGAUCGGAGACCGCACGCGCCCACACUUGCUGCCGGAAGUUUUCUGCCCUAAAGCUGAGUCGACUCACCGAGUUGAACCAAGCCGAACCGAGCUGAACCGAAUCAAGUCGAACCGAGCCAACUCGAGCUGAACCAAUCUGGACCGAACCAAGACUACCAAGCCGGUGUUGACCGUUGACCGACGUUGACCGUUGACCAGCGUUGACUGAAAGUUGACUCGAGUCCUUCCCAAGGUUUUUCGACGUGCCGGAUCCAUUUGUGCUUUCAGAAUCUCCAAAUUCUCACUCAAUUUGUGAGUUAUGGCAAACGGUGGUAUGAUGUCAUUUCAAGUUCCACAAUUAAAGGGAAGUAAGUUUGACAAUUGGAGUAUUAAAAUGAAGGCUCUAUUGGGCGCACAUGACGUAUGGGAUGUCGUGGAAAAAGGCUUUAUUGUGCCAGAAAAUGAAGCCAUUUUAACUGCGGCGCAGAAGGAGAAUUUAAAAGACUUGAAGAAGAAAGAGAAUAAAGCAAAGUAUCUCAUCUUUCAAUCAUUAGAUGAAGAUGCUUUUGAAAAGAUUGCUGGUACAACCUCCUCAAAAGAAGCAUGGGAGAAACUAGAGACCUCUUACAAAGGAGCGGAACAAGUUAAGAAGGUUCGUCUCCAAACAUUACGAGGAGAAUUUGAGUCCUUACACAUGAAGGCGUCAGAGUCAAUUUCUGACUACUUUACUCGGGUUGUGACCGUUUCCAAUGAAUUAAAAAGAAAUGGCGAGGAGUUAAAAGAGGUAAGGAUCAUUGAAAAGAUACUUCGAUCAGUAGAGUCGAAGUUUGACCAUAUUGUUGUAACAAUUGAAGAAACAAGAGAUCUGGAGGAUAUGACGAUCGAGCAACUUCAAGGAAGGUUGCAAGCUUAUGAAGAAAAACAAAAAAAGAGGCAAGGAAUCGAAGAACAACUUCUCAAGAUGGAAGUCAAUCCAAAGAAAAGAGAAGAAAGCUCCGACAAUGAGAGAAGGCACUAUGUCCGAGGUAGAGGUCGAGGACGAGGUAGAGGUCGUGGUCAUGGACGAGGUUGGAAUUUCAACAACAACAACUCCAAUUAUGCCAAAGGAGAAAGCUCAACCAGAGGACGAGGCAGAGGCAAUCCAAGAUCGAGGUAUGACAAAUCCCAAGUACAGUGCUAUAAUUGUCAAAAGUUUGGGCAUUAUGCUUCAGAAUGCAGAGCUCCAAGCACCAGAAUUGAAGAGAGAGUGAACUAUGCUGAAGAGAAAAAUUGUGAAGAUGGCACACUUUUACUAGCACGCAAUGACACAAGUGGAGGUCAAGAAAAUACGUGGUAUCUUGACACAGGUGCUAGCAAUCAUAUGAGUGGAAACAUAAGCAUGUUCGUGCAACUAAGUGAAUCUGUGAAUGGCAGUGUCGCUUUUGGAGAUGAUUCAAAAGUACCAGUGAAGGGUAGAGGUAACAUUCUUUUUCGUGCAAAAGAUGGUAGCCACCAAAUAAUUUCGAAUGUUUACUAUGUGCCCAAUAUGAAAAGCAACAUUCUUAGUUUGGGUCAACUUUUAGAAAAAGGCUAUGAUAUUCACUUAAAAGAUUAUAGUCUUUUCCUAAGAGAUGACAAAGGAAAUCUAAUUACAAAGGUGAGAAUGUCAAAGAAUAGAAUGUUUCCUUUAAAUAUUCAAAAUGAUGUUGCAAAAUGUCUCAAAGCCUGUCACAAAGAUCAAUCCUGGACUUGGCAUCUUCGAUAUGGGCAUCUCAACUUUGGAGGACUGGAGCUACUAUCUAAGAAGAAUAUGGUGAAAGGCUUACCAUACAUCAAUCACCCUGAUCAACUUUGUGAAGGAUGUUUACUUGGCAAGCAAUUCAGAAAGAGUUUUCCAAAGGAGUCAAACUCAAGAGCUCAGAAACCACUCGAGCUCAUUCAUACUGAUGUGUGCGGUCCAUUCAAACCAAACUCCCUUGGUAAAAGUAACUACUUCCUUCUCUUCAUAGAUGAUUUUUCAAGAAAAACUUGGGUGUAUUUUUUAAAGCAAAAAUCAGAAGUUUUUGAAGCUUUCAAGAAGUUUAAAGCUGCAGUGGAAAAAGAAAGUGGAUACCAGAUUAAAGCCAUGAGAUCUGAUCGAGGUGGAGAGUUCACUUCCAAAGAAUUUUUAGAGUUUUGUGAAGCAAAUGGAAUUCGACGCCCUUUGACAGUUCCAAGAUCCCCUCAACAAAAUGGUGUUGCAGAAAGGAAGAACAGAACCAUCCUCGACAUGGCAAGAAGCAUGCUUAAGAGUAAGAGGCUACCUAAAGAAUUUUGGGCUGAAGCAGUUGCAUGUGCAGUCUACUUAUCCAAUCGAUCUCCAACAAGAAGCGUGUGGGGCAAGACGCCACAAGAAGCUUGGAGUGGAAGAAAACCCGGCAUCACCCAUCUAAGAGUUUUCGGAAGCAUUGCCCAUGUACAUGUACCAGACGAAAGUAGAGCCAAGCUGGAUGACAAAAGUGAGAAGUUCAUCUUCAUCGGCUACGACAACAACUCCAAAGGAUACAAGCUUUACAAUCCAAACAACGGGAAGAUCGUGAUCAGUGGAGAUGUAAUUUUUGAUGAAGAAGGAGAAUGGGAUUUUGGCUCUGGUGUGGAUGACUUCAACUUCUUUCCCAUUGAAGAAGAUGAUCAUACACAGAUAAAACAAGUAGACGAACAACAAGAGCUUGCUACUCCACCUAUCUCACCAGCAUCAACUACAUGCGGAGAUUCACCGCCGUCUUUCUUAAAUGAAAGAACUGAAGAACGUACAAGGAGUCUUCAAGAUCUCUAUGAGGUAACUGAGAGACAUGAUAAUCUCACUCUUUUUUGCCUCUUUGCUGAUUGUGAGCCAGUCAACUUCCAAGAAGCUACACUAGAUGAGAAGUGGAGAAUUGCAAUGGAUGAAGAAAUCAAAGCCAUUGUGAAGAAUCAUACUUGGGAGCUUACUACUCUUCCAAAAGGUCACAAGGCGAUCGGUGUCAAAUGGGUGUAUAAAACGAAAAGAAAUGCGAAAGGAGAAAUUGAAAGGCACAAGGCGAGGCUAGUUGCAAAAGGCUAUAGUCAAAAGGCUGGCAUAGACUAUGACGAGGUAUUUGCUCCUGUAGCUCGACUUGAAACUAUUAGACUUAUUAUUUCUUUGGCUGCUCAGAACAAAUGGAAGAUUUUUCAAAUGGAUGUGAAGUCUGCUUUCUUGAAUGGAUUCCUUGAAGAAGAAGUUUACAUCGAACAACCAUUAGGCUAUGUGGUGAAAGGACAUGAAGACCAAGUUUUGAGAUUGAAGAAAGCUCUCUACGGGUUAAAGCAAGCACCAAGGGCAUGGAAUAGCAGAAUUGACAAGUAUUUUCAAGAGAAAGGCUUCACUAAAUGCCCAUAUGAACAUGCUCUCUACGUCAAAGAAAAAGAUGGAGAUAUUUUGAUUGUGUGCUUGUAUGUGGAUGAUCUCAUCUUCACUGGAAGUAAUCCAAGCUUGUUUGAAGAGUUCAAGAGAGUGAUGAUCAAAGAAUUCGAGAUGACUGACAUCGGACUGAUGGCAUAUUACCUCGGCAUUGAAGUCAAGCAAAAGGAAGAAGGCAUAUUUAUCUCCCAAGAAAGCUAUGCAAAAGAGAUUCUCAAAAGGUUCAAGAUGAAUGAUUGCAAGCCUAUAAGCACGCCAGUGGAAUGCGGAGUCAAGUUAUCCAAAUAUGAUGAAGGCGAAGAUAUAGAUCCAACAUUCUUUAAAAGUUUGGUUGGAAGCCUACGUUAUUUGACAUGCACAAGACCAGAUAUCCUUUAUGCUGUUGGACUUGUGAGCCGAUACAUGGAGAAUCCAAAGACCACCCAUUUUAAAGCUGCAAAAAGAAUCCUUCGCUACAUCAAAGGUACAACUAAUUUCGGCUUGCUAUACUCAUUUUCUAAUGACUAUAAGCUUGUUGGAUAUAGCGAUAGCGAUUGGGGUGGAGAUGUAGAUGAUCGAAAGAGCACCACAGGAUUUGUGUUCUUCAUGGGAGAUACUGCUUUCACAUGGAUGUCAAAGAAGCAACCAAUUGUCACGCUAUCCACCUGUGAAGCUGAAUAUGUAGCUGCCACAUCAAGUGUUUGUCAUGCAAUUUGGCUCAGAAAUUUGCUGAAGGAGUUGAGUUUGGCACAAGAAGAGCCAACCGAGAUUUGUGUUGAUAACAAAUCAGCAAUUGCCCUAUCCAAGAAUCCAGUCUUUCAUGAUCAAAGUAAACACAUAGACACUCGCUAUCAUUUCAUAAGAGAGUGUAUUGCAAGAAAAGAAGUGCAAAUCAAGUAUGUAAAAUCACAAGAUCAAGCAGCUGAUAUCUUCACUAAACCACUCAAGCAAGAAGACUUUGUAAGAUUCAGAAGUUUGCUUGGUGUCACAGGAUCAAGUUUAAGGGGAGGUGUUGGAUCAUAAACUUGAUCCAAGAUGAGUAAAUCAAGCCCAACUCAUGGAAGGUUCCAUGAGUAGGUAUGGUUGGUGAGCUUUGAAUUAUUUGUGUUAGGUGUGUUAGGUGUGGUUGGUGAAGUAGGUGAGUGGUAGGUUUUAAUGGAUGGUGAGGAUUUGUGUAUUAAUUGAAUAAAUGAAUGGUUGUGAUUAGUUUGUUUCAUGUAUAAAUACCCCCUCUCCCCUUUGGUUUAAUCAUCAAGUGAAGUAGCAAAAUCUCUAAGGUGUAGAGAGUGAAAAAUAAGAGUUGUAAUAUGGUGAGGAGUGUUGUUGAAGAAAUAAAAUAGUAUUUUUUGUGUGUUUUAUUUUGUUAAUUCUCCAACAUCUAUGUGGGUUCGACCUCGUUACCAUUAUUCUAUCUCUAAAUUCGUGCGCUUGCAAGUGUAUUAAAAUUUUUCACAACAGUUGUGACUUUAAAUUUACAAUACUUCAAUAUCAACAGGGCCGUAAGGAGUGAGAGAUAUAUACCUGAUAUUCAUUGAAUCCCAUGCGAUAGUUUUAUUGCUUCGGUCAAAGCAGCCCUCCAUUUCUAAACCUUUUUUGGCAUAUCCUUGAACUGUUUUUCAUGCUUUGCAAAUGCAUCUCUGAAAGUUUCAUCUUGUUUCCGCACAACAAAUGGAUCUAUGUGGUAGAAAACAGGUACAACCAUUUGGCCAUUCAUGUUCUUGCAUUCAAGAAUCUUGACAAGUUAAUUCAGGCACCAUUUUGAAGGAGCAUAAUCCUUUGAAAAAAUGAUCACUGAAAUCUUGGAAUCUUGGAUUGCAUUUAAAAGGGCAAGUGAAUUAUCAUCUCCUCGCCGAAGCUAUUCAUCAUCAAUGAAGGUUUUGAUUUUCUUUCGACACAAAACAGCGUAUAGGUGGCUUGUAAAGUUAUCUCGAAUAUCCUUUCCUCUAAAACUGAGGAAGCCAUGAAGCAAAUUUGUAAAUUUAGAAAGGUAAGUAAAGAAUACAACUUUAAAUUAAGUUGCAAGAUGUGAUGUCAGAAUAAUAGUUGUGAAGUAAAUGUGAAAUUAAGUGCAUGGAGCUUGCUUUUUUAUCACUCUACUUUGAAUUAACCAUUAAAUACAAAUGAGGCAUUUUCUCGAUUGGUCGAUAAGUUUGCUAAAAGAGCUCUGAUUCUUUAUAUUAGCCUAUAUGGAUAUACAACAUUUUGAUUUUGUUGAUAACAAACCAUGACCUAAUGGGUAAUAUUGGAAAUACAUAUUUUGUUUUUAAAACAAGAAAAUAAAUGAUGAUUUCUCAAAGUUCUUGAAACAUGUUUUUUUAUAUUUUUAAAGCAAAGUCCUAACAAGAGGAUACGAUUUCAUAUUCUAAGUAAAAGCGACUUUUUGUAAUAUGUUUUUCUAUACAAAACAAUAUUUUAUUGAUAUACGGCUUCCUGCUUAAGAAAACAGGCAAACCGGAUUCAAAAAAUGUGCUUACUGGAGCUAUCGGCCAACUGAAUGUGCUAAACGGAAAACCGGUUACCUAAAUUGAGCUCUUUGGAAUCAAACGGCAUACUGGUUACAAAUAAAUGGAAAACCAGUUAUUCAAAGAAAUUCAAAUUUUGGCAACAACGGCCAACUUAAGCGGCAAUCUGGUUAGGUUAAAUGACAAACCAACUAUGACCAAAAAGUCAAUAACAAGUAGUUUUGUGACUCUAUCUAUAAAUAGCUGAAGAAGACACCCAAAGGAUGUUGAACGAUCUGGGCAAUAUUUAUUUGUAUUCAAAAGUGUUCUAAGCUUACGUCUUGUACACAUACACAUAUUUGAGCUAUCAUUUGAUUAUAUUUAGUUAGGAGAGUCUAUUUCUUCGUAUUCUUCAUUUCAAUAUCAAAAAUUGAAGGAUUGUAAGUGUGAAAAGCACUUGGGUAAGUGGUGAGGGAUUCAUCUUAACAUUGUAAAAGUUGAUUGACACUAUAAGUCAAUUGUAAGAUCUUGAAGCCUUGGGUUGUGAGGUUUGGUUAGAGAAAUUCUCAAGCCCAAUGAGGUUGGAGGUAUGAACGUAGGCGGGUUACCAAGCCACGUAAAAGUCUCAUGUUUGCUCUCUUUGCCCUUAUCUCUUUCAUUUUUUUAUUGUUAUUAAUUUUAUUAAGGCAUUGUUUUGGAUUGUUGUAUGAUUUUAUUUGUUUAAGUUUUUAAAACCCAAUUCACCCCUCUUGAGUUGCAUAAUUAGUAUUUCACUUUGUAUACAAAUCUCUAAAUAUGGCCGACCAUUUAGAAAAAAUAUCAUUUUUUUUCAAUCAAUUAAAAGCCUAAUAGUUGAAAAAGUAUCAACAGAAAUUAUAUGAAAUGUGUAUUUACAAAAGACUUUCUAACUAAUUUUGCAAGAGUUUUUUAUUGAUAAAUGCGAUUGGAUCAUGAAUUUUUAAUUUUUUUGUGAGUUGUUGAUACAAUAACCCCACUCAACUUAAGGAUCAGAGUAGGUGGAGGGAGUCAUCAAAAUGGGAUCCUGACUUACUUAUAAGCUCGAUGAGGACGCUUAAAAUAAAAAAUCAAUACCCAGUUAUAUUUCUCUCAAUUUUUCUUUUUAUAAAAGAAGCAAAAGAAUAAAAAAUAGUACCUUGAUAGAUUAUUAACUUUCUUUGGUUUGGGAAUUUUUUGAAGCUUUUCCCUGCUAUCUGUCCUAGAGUUGUUUUGUACAGUAAUGCUUCUACACCAUUAAAAUGUAUGUUGACAUAAGUGUUAACUUGCAAGACAUUCUACAACAUUAUUUAUGACAGACAACCAGGAAGGACAAUUUGGGUUUGAUUUAACAUUAUGAAAAAAUCGUACUGAACUGAACCUGCUUAGUGGAAAUUGAAGUAAAGUGAACCUGUAACUCGUAAUGAUUUAAUUUUGAUUGGCUUAGUUUGAUUCAGUUUAAAAUUUGAAUUUCACUAAAAUUUUGCCGAUUUAGUUCAUUUAAAAAAAAAACUGACAAACUAGCGGAAAAAAUAUAUAUAAGAAGAAAGCCAACUUCAUUUUCGAGUUUUGUAAAUGAAAAUUUUAGAAAAUUGUAUGUUAAUUUGCACCUAUUUCUUUCUAUAUCAGGAGAAAUUAGUUUAAAGGAGACCUUUACCAGUUUUUGAUAAGAUCAUAUACAUUUUAGUCAUGAAAUUAAUUUUUUUUUAAUUACAUGAGACUAAUGCUCAAAUUACAACUCAUAUUAUAUGAGAUUUACAAUCAAACAAUUACUGGGACUAGUUUAUAUUAAUUCUUAUAUAGCACUGCCCAGAUUUUACCCUCUCAAAUAUUCGAGAGAUAUCUACUCCACUCAUAUUUCGAAAGGGAGAAGACUGCGGGAGAAUACUUUACAAUUAGACAAUUACUGGGAUUAAUUUAUAUUAAUUCUUAUAUAGCACAAUUACUGGGAUUAAUUUAUAUUAAUUCUUAUAUAGCACUGCCCAAAUUUUGGGCUCUUAAAUAUUCGAGGGAUGUCUACUCCACUCACAUUUUGAAAGGGAGUCCAGAUUUUACCCUCUCAAAUAUUCGAGGGAUGUCUACUCCACUCACAUUUUGAAAGGGAGAAGACUGUCUUCAAUCCACUCACAUUUCGAAAGGGAGAAGAUUGUUUUCACUCCACUCACAUUUCGAAAGGAGGAAGAUUGUCUUCACUUAAUUAUAUACCAUAAUUAAGAAAGAAAAUAAGUCCCUACAUGCGUCGCGGGAGCUCAAACCACAGGGUCCUGGCCACUAGGCCUUGGCCUAGUGUUUGUCAUGAAAUUAAUUAGUUUAGCUAAAAUCAUAACGUUAUUGAUACCAUUUCAAUAACAAUUAUUUUCAUUGAUACUAUUAUUACAAAGCAAAUCCAUAGCUAGAUAUUCUAUUAAAAUAAAUAACAAAAGACACAUAACAGAGCAGCUGGAUUGAAAUAAAUUAGGAUAAAAAUUAGAACAACAAGGUAAUAAGGCUAAAAAAACAUCUAAUAAUGUUGGGUAUGAUCUAUAGAAUAAAUUUUCAACGGGUAAAUCGGGAAGUGAAUAAAAAUCACCAGGGAAAAUUUUAAUGUUAAAUUGUCUUCAUGGCCCUUGGCCCCACUUUGGGCUUCAUGGGUACGGCCUUUUAGUCGGCUUUCAUUGUAACUGCCCUUAAUAGAAGUUUGACGUGGGCUUGACUAAGGUGGCACACAAGGUACUCUGAAUAUUACAAGGAAUCCGGAUGAAAAGAGUGCCAACAGAACUUGUUCAUUUUAAUCCAAAUUUCUUGAACAAGGUGGAUUGUUUAUUUAAGUUCCUCACUCUUCUUCAAGCUAAUUUGUCCAUGAUAUUUUAUCAGCAUGAGAAUGGAAUAUUAGUUCAUAGUUUUUGUCCAGUUUCAAGGGUUUUCGCAAGAAGUCUUUUAAAUGUAUGUAUUCACUGGAGUCCACACUCUGCACACUGAAACUGUGAUGUAAGAUUAAUGACAUUUGCCUAUAAGACAAGUGAAAUGGUUUUAAUCAUACUUUAGUACACUCUCAGAGGGAGCCAAGAGAUCACUUUCUUUAAAGGUGCAAUUGCAAAAGAUCUCAAGAGAUCAUUACGGCAAUGGUUAUAUUUUGCAAACUACUCGGUCAAGAACCUGGGGGGCUUUCUACAAAGUGAUAAAGCAUCAACUCGUGAGGAAGUCCAUCUUAAUUAAGAGUAGUUAAAAAAGAACAAUCACUGAUAUGAAAUCAUGAAAUUAGAAGAAAGAGAAGAGAUAGAAAAUUAUAUAAAUCUUAAUAGCUACACAUGUAAAUAAAGACUUAAACACUCCAUAACAUCAGAUUUCCUUUGCCCUCACUUAUAAAGGACAGAAUUAAAAUCGAAAAAACUAAUGCUAUAGCAGAAGGGAUAUUUUUUCUUCAUUUUUCCAGUAAUGACUUAACUGUGGAAGCCUGUAGCCACUUGCUUUCCUAAAGACUCUUGCUUGUUAUUCUGUGCUCUUCAAACUUUUUGUCACUAGUGAUAACUCAAUGCCUAUUCCAUGUAGUUACACCUUCAAAGCUGCAUACUGGCCAAAUAAUUGUGGUUCAGGUUAGCCUACCUUCUAAGUGAUGGAAAACUUGCUUGAACGAAUAAUUGAUAUGUCAUAUAUAAGCCACGACUAAAUAAGAGCUGGAAAACUUGCUUGUACGAAGAACGAAGAACUUUAUUAACAAAGUAAUAUCAAAACCAUAUUAAUGGCCUCAUCGGGAUUCAAAUAUACGUGAACCGAGUCAACGGACAUAUCAGAUUUAGAGUAAAUAUAAACAAAUUCUAUACCAACAAAGUGUUGGCUCCACUGGCAAUGGAGUCCCCUUAAGUGGCUUGACUGGGUUUGCUCCCCAGUUCGAGUCGCAGGGAAGUCGCCUUUGUUGGGAGAACAUGUGCCUCUCAGUUCGAGUGGGGACUUCUAGUCUGGGUUGUGGUACGGGCUUAAAAGUGCCUCCCACAGUUGGGGUCCUUCCCAGGAUACCUCGUGGUCAAAACCAAAAAAAAAAAAAUAAACGAAUUCUAUAUAUUAAACAAAUAGUAAAAAAGUCUAACCGCAUUUGAUUUAGAUAUAAAUUGUGUGAUACAAAGUUGAACUUCUUUUGCUCCUUCAUUCAUCCAAUGCCCAUUUCCAACAUUGUAUUGCACCUAAAAUGAACAAAAGAAACACAAAAACACAAUUUGCACCAAGUGUCAAAAAAUAGAAAAGAGAUACUAGAUUAGAAAUAAACACAUCAAAAUGAUAAAAAAAGGGAUAUUAAUCAGAAAGUUGGAGUUACAUAAGAAAAGGAAAUAAAACACCUCCGCUUUGAAAAAUUUUAGAAAACGAAGAACUUUGCGUUGAAGAGCGUUGGAUUGCUCUCUGCAAGUUAGUGCUACCUCAUCCUCGUCAGAGCUGUGAACAAUCCCGUGUUGUGUGCAUUCUUCUUCAUUGCUGGCAGCAAAUUUGAGGGUAAAGGUGUUGAGUACUGUGUCCAGGUUGGUAUUUGCAUACACUGGACUCACCCACAACAUUUCACCUUGUGAUGAAGAUGAGAACCAGAUAGAGAUGUCACACCUCUAAUGAAGAAGUCAAAUGAAACAGUUGUAUGGGGGUCUCCUUCUGGUGGCUCAAUAUUCCAACAGGGAUCAACUCCCAAGUAUGACUUGAUCCGAGUGGAUGGACACGGAGUCAACCAAUAAGAAAGAGUGAUCAGACCCGUACUUGCAGCUGACACUGAAACGGAAUAAACUGCUUUCAUAUACCACAAAUUCAAUAACAGCACAAAGAGCAAAUCCGAUGAAGUUUUUAUUACAGCAACGCUAUGGCAGUUGAAUAGUUAUCGAGGAUCCUAGAGAUUGAAUCCUGAACCAGCAGUCUGGAAUCUCACUUCCUCGUAACCAAUUGCCGAUUCCAUGUAAUAUUCCCGGCAAUUCAUUAUGAACUCUUCGCUGAAAAUUUGCAAAGAAAUUUCUUUUGGUUCUUUUAUGGAGUUUCACUCAAUUAACAAAUUUAAACAACACCGGCAAGUAGCGAUUUCCACGGGUCUGAUUUGUUGGCGCUUCUAGACACGAUGGAAUCUUUGGCAAAGAUUGUAGCGGCUUGCAAUUGCUUGAGUCUUAAGUAAUUCAGGCGCAAUGGAAGCUCUGGUAAUGAUUGAAUCAUAUUGAAAUUUGUCAAGUAAAUGCAUUUCAACCGUGAAAGGUGGCUGAUACUUGUAGGUAAACUCUCAAAAUUAUGUCCCCUUAGAUUUAAGUAUUCCAAUGAUGAUAGACUGGAACUGGAUAAACCCGAUAAUACCAAACCCCUGCAUCGAGGCAAGCAAAGUUUUUGAAGUUUUUUCAAAUUGCAACAAGCUCUCCGGCAAACUACCAAGUUUAGUGCAAGCCAUCAGCCGCAAGUCCUUGAGUCUUUCUAUAUUUUCAACUAAAGAUGGCAACUCUUUAAUUCCCGACCCAUAUAAAUCAAUUUUUUCUAAGAGUUCCAUUUUCUCCAAGAUUUCAGGGAAACUCUCAAGGUUUGAGCAGUAAACAAGAUCAAGGCAGCUAGGAAAUUUCAGUUUACAAAUGCAAAUUGAAAACUUAUUCAGACUUCUGCAAAAGGGUAAUUUGUAAGGACCUCCCCUGAGGUUUGGCACAUUAACACUUAGAAUGUAUUCACGUGAUUACAAGCAUCUCUCUUGCCGUUAGUGUAAAAAUAUGUAUGACGUCAAUAUACAAGGGUAAAUGUGUAAAAGCGUAUUUAAAAUUCAAAAUUGAAGCUUUGCAUUUCUUGAUGUCUAAGAAAUAUGUAGGAGUUCACUCUAUUAACCAGUGUUCUCUAUGAACCAGUGUUGUGCAAUAACCAGUGGACAAAAGCAAACAAAAAUCUUCACAAAAUGAGUAUUCUUCAAAGAAGAGAAGUCGAAGUUUUGAUUCUGUAAAAUUCUUCAAAAACUAGACACCCUUAUGUCACGGGAUGAGUGUUUUGCGCAGUAAAGCCGUGCGGCACUUAGACAACUUUGUCGAAGGUUGCUAAGUAAGCCUUGAGCUUCUCGACUAGCUAAGCCAAAAGGUUUUCGAAGAGCUAGAGAGAAAAAAGCAAUGGAGCCGAAUGAAGAGAAUUGUAUUACUCACAAGAGAGAUUACAAGAGAGCUUACAAUGCUUGAGUUGCUUGCUCAAUGCUUGUUGUUAAAAUGCUAAAUGCCAUGCCCUAUUUAUAGGGGAGGCUUGCCAUGCUCUACAAUUCUAGAGAAUUCUACCAUUUGCCUAGAAUUCUAGAUAUUUACAUGAGCUAGAGUUGUGUAGAGAAUUCUAGAGUAUUUACAAGCUCAAAUGUGCUAGAGUUGCCUAGAAGUUUCUGGAAUCGGGCCAAGCUAGCACUCUUAGCCUUGUCUUGGGCUCUCGGUGGGCAAUUUGGGCUAGCAACAUGGGCGGUCCGCAACACUUAUCUUUCUAAAAAUAUAUAAUGCAUGAUUUAAUUACUUCUAAAAAAUUAUAGUCAAUUUGAACAAGUAAAGUCAUAAUCUUCCAUGAAUUAUUUCCACAAAGAUUGGAAAAUGGAGAGGAAAUUAUCACGAAAUUUAUGGCAGACUCAAGCUCAUUUUUGCUUAGUAAUUGUUUUCAUCUCAUCAAUAUCUCUUCUCCUCUAUUGAAUUGUUUAUGUUAUGCCUUAUUCUUCUUCCUCUAAUCCCCAUAAUUACUAUGAAUAUGAUGUUUUCCUUAGUUUUAGAGGAUAUGACACUCGUGUGGCAACUUUUCCAGCCACCUUUAUUCUGCUCUGUCUCGACAAAAUAUCCAUACUCUCAUUCAUGACCAACUUGGCGUAAGAGAUGAAAUUUCAAAGUCAUUUGUGAAUGCAAUUGAAGCAUCAGCCAUUUAGUUAUCAUUUUAUCUGAAGGCUAUGCAUAUUCUAGAUGGUGUCUCGAUGAACUCAUGAAGAUCCUCGAAUAAAAGAGAGUGAGUUAAGUGUCUGUUUAGUUCUUAUAUUUUAAAAAAUCUUAAUGUUAAUUAUGUUAUAUUCAGGGGUGGCAAUUUGGGUCUGGAUUCGUUUAUUUGAUUAUAUUCAAUUUGAAUUAAGUGGGUUUAGAUUUGAUUACAUGAGACUAUUGCUCAAGAUUACAACUCAUAUACAUGAGACUACAACUGAUAUAUACAAUCAGAUAAUUACUGGAACUAAUUUACAUUAAAUCUUAUAUAGUACUGCCCAGAUUUUACCCUCUCUAAUAUUCGAGGGACGUCAACUCCACUCACAUUUCGAAAGGGAGAAGACUGCCUUCACUCAAAUUUGAGGAAGGAAAUUAAAUCUCCACAAUGCUUUUGUGAGGGUUAGAACCACUACCCUCACACUUGUGAGGGAGUGGCUCUAGCCACUUGGCUAAAGACCAAGUGGUUUCGUCUUUUAUAGUACUACUAUUUUACCACUAUUAGAGAUCUUAAUGAAAAUAAAAUUAUUAUUAAUUUAUCUUAAUUGUUAAAAUAUAAUGGUUUAUUUCUAGUUAUGGAAUUAAUUACUAUAUUUUUACCAAUGAAGAUAGAAUAAUUAAAAAUAAAUUAAAAGGUUUACAAUUAAAUUAUGAAAUUAUCUGAUUAUAAUUAUAUAAAUUAUAAAUUAAAAAGCUGAAGCGCUUGGACUUUGUGGCCCAGCAAAGUCAUCAAAUGAUCAAAAUCGAGUAUAUAAAGGUGCAGCCAAGAAAAUGAAGGUAAACAGAGGAAACUGAAACUGAGGAUCUAAUGAUUUUAAUUGAUACUUUUGUGAAUACAAAACUAUAAAAAUUACAUGUACUAAUACUAAUCCGUAAAGUCUACAAAAAAUUAACUAACAAAUGCUCUUGCAAUUAUAACAAACUUGUGGGGGGAGUGUUUGUUGGGAUUGGUAACUAUAAAGCGCUCAACAAGAUCACCAUCAAGAAUAAGUAUCCGAUUCCCUUGAUUGCGGACUUGUUCGACCAGCUUGGCAAAGCGCGGUACUUCACCAAACUUGACUUGCGCUCUGGGUACUACCAAGUACGCAUCGCCAUGGGAGACGAACCGAAGACAGCGUGCACAACAAGGUACGGGUCUUUCGAAUUCCUUGUGAUGCCUUUUGGCCUUACUAAUGCACCCGCCACAUUUUGCACGCUCAUGAACAAGGUGCUCCAACCAUUCCUCGACCGCUUUGUGGUCGUGUACUUGGAUGCCAUCGUGGUGUAUAGCACCACGCUCGAGGAUCAUGCCCAACACUUGCGACAAGUCCUCCAAGUACUAUAAGACAAUGAGCUCUUCCUCAAAUUGGAGAAGUGCUCAUUUGCCCAACAAGAGGUGGAUUUCCUUGGCCACAAGAUUGCGGGCGGGAAACUCAUGAUGGAGAAUGCCAAGGUGAAGGCCAUCCUCGAAUGGGAACCUCCCUCGAAAGUGCCCGAGCUUCGCUCAUUCCUUGGCUUGGUGAACUACUACCGCCGCUUCAUCAAGGGCUAUUCAGUCAAGGCAGCACCCUUGACGGAUAUGCUCAAGAAAAACAUAACGUGGCAUUGGUCCGAAGAGUGCCAACGUGCAUUCGAGGAGUUGAAAAGAGCAAUUUCGGAGGAACCCGUCCUCGCUCUUUCAGACCACACCAAACCCUUCGAAGUCCAAACGGAUGCCUCGGAUUUCGCUAUAAGAGGAGUCCUCAUGCAAGAAGGUCACCCCAUAGCAUUCGAGAGUCGAAAGCUAAAUGAUACGGAACGCCACUACACGGUGCAAGAAAAAGAGAUGACAGCCAUUAGACAUUGCUUGCGGGUGUGGCGACAUUACUUGCUAGGCUCUCACUUCACGAUCAUGACGGACAACGUAGCGACGAGAUACUUUCAAACACAGAAGAUGUUGAGUCCGAAGCAAGCGCGGUGGCAAUUUUUCCUUGCGGAAUUCGACUAUCAGCUCAAGUACAAAUCGAGGAAAGCCAAUGUCGUUGCGGACGCUCUAAGCCGCAAUGCGGAAUUGGCAACACUUAGCAUGAGCCAACCGAAGUCCGACCUUGUUUCACACAUCAAGGAAGGCCUCCAACAAGAUCUGUUAACAAAGGAUUUGCUGGAGAAGGUGCUCGAGAGAAAGACAAGGCGCUUUUGGCAAGAAGAAGGCAUCCUCCUCACCAAGGGAGAUCGGCUGUUCGUGCCAAGGUGGGGAAACUUGCGGAAGGAAGUUAUCAAGGAGUGCCAUGACUCCAAGUGGGCUGGUCACCCAGGAGUCGAGCGCACCACUGCACUAGUUCAAGCCUCGUAUUUUUUACCGCACAUGAGGGACAACAUCGAGGCAUAUGUGCGAACUUGUCUUGUGUGCCAACAAGACAAGGUGGAUCAUCAACUUCCAGCUGGAUUACUGGAGCCGCUACCACUAGCAACAAGGCCAUGGGAAAGUGUCUCCAUGGACUUCAUCACAUCGCUGCCCAAGUCAGAAGGGUGCGGCAACAUCAUGGUUUUUGUCGACCGAUACAGCAAGUAUGCCACAUUCAUUGCCGCACCAGUCGAUUGCAAAGCGGACGAGGCAACUCGCCUAUUCGUCAGGCACAUUGUGAAGCUUUGGGGAGUUCCGAAGAGCAUUGUGAGCGACCGAGACCCUCGGUUCACUUGACGUUUUUGGAUGGAGCUCUUCAAAAUGUUGGGGACCGAUCUUAAGUUCUCGACAAGCUUCCACCCACAAACGGAUGGGCAGACCGAGCGCAUUAAUGGCCUCCUCGAGAUGUACUUGAGGCAUUAUGUGAGCGCUCAUCAGCGGGAUUGGGCGAAGCUACUCGACAUCGCCCAAUUUUCUUAUAACUUGCAGUGAAGUGAGGCUACGGCAAGAGUCCAUUCGAGAUCAUCAUGGGAUUCCAGCCCAUGACCCCCAACGCCAUAGCCUCGACUUACGGAGGGAAAAGCCCCGUGGCACACAAGCUCGCCCGCGAAUGGCACGAGGAAGCAGACAUCACGCGAGCCUACCUCGACAAAGCCGCGAGGAAAAUGAAGAAAUGGGCGGAUACCAGGAGACGGCAUGUUGAGUACAAGGAAGGUGAUCAAGUCAUGGUCAAGCUCCUACCCCAACAAUUCAAGACUUUGCGGAAAGUUCACAAGGGGUUAGUGAGGCGCUACGAGGGACCCUUCCAAGUUGUUCGACGUGUGGGCAACGUCUCGUAUCAACUCCAACUUUCGCCAAGACUCAAGAUCCAUCCGGUCUUCCAUGUGAGCCUUCUCAAGCCAUAUCACGAAGACAUGGGAGACCCAAGUCGCGAAGGAUCGAGGCGCGCGCCAACCGCCGUUAUCACCGCGUUCGACAAAGAUGUGGACUACAUCAUUGCAGACUGCGUGGUUUCGAGAAGGGGCGUGCUAGAACAUAGCGAGUACUUGGUGAAAUGGAAAAACCUCCCCGAGAGCGAAGCCACUUGGGAAUGUGAAGAUGAUUUGUGGCAAUUCGCUGAGCACAUCCAGAAUUUCAAGCACGAGAGCGCGACGAGGACGCCGCGAGCUUAGGUGGGGGAGGAUGUUACGGACCGCCCAAUUCGCUAGCCUAAUUUGCUCACCAAGAGCCCAACACAAGGCCAAAAGUGCUAGCUUGGCCCAAUUCCGGAACAUUCUAGGCAACUCUAGCACAUGAGCUUGUAAAUACUCUAGAAUUCUCUAUAUAAUUCAAGCACAUGUAAAUAGCUAGGAAAUGGUAGAAUUCUCUAGAAUCUCUAGAGCUUGGCAAGCCUCCCCUAUAAAUAUGGGAUGGCAUUAGGCAUUUGUACACAACAACACAACAACAAGCAUUGUAAGCAACUCAAGCUUUGUAAUCUCUUUUGUGCAAUACAAUUUCUCUCAUUCGGCUCCAUUGCUCUCUUCUCUAGUUCGAGAAGCUCAAGGCUUACUUAACAACAUUCGGCAAAGUUGUCUAAGUGUCGCACGAGUUAGCUGCGCAAAAUACUCAUCCCGUGACACUAGGCUUUCCACCUACACAUCUAUAAAAGAUUAAUAUAUGCACCAGACAAGGUACUGGAUCAUGGGAAAAAUUGUUGAACGAGCAAAGACAAGAAAAUAUUAGGAUGAACACAUGGAUGAAUAGUCAUAUACCCAAGCAUUUUUCACAUUCCGUGCUUCCUACUCAAUCGACAGGCAUUUCUUACAUUUAAGGCUUUCUUACAUUAAAUAUUCAGAGUGAUUCCUUAAAGCAGGGGCAAUAAAAGUGCAGAACUGCAUUCACUAAACAACAUGAAAACUUCAUUCUACUAAAUAAAUUUUGUAUGUUAAACAAAGAGUAAAUGCUCAUGCCUCACUUGCUUUGGAAAUAAGUUGUGUGAUACAAUGCUGAACUUCCUUUUUUUGCUUCCCUGAUCCAAUGCCCAUUUCUGCCGACAUAUUGCAAUCAAAAUAAACACAAGAAAUACAGAUAUGUAGAACGUCUGCAGUAAGUUUCAAAAAAAAAAAGAAAAAGAGAUAUUUGAUGAAAAAUAAGCAAACAUAAAUUGAUUAUAGCAUAGGACUUACAUAAGAAAGGCAAAGAAGCUGCCUCUCUUAUGGAAAAAUGGAGUAGACAGAGAAAUUUGUUGUCGAGGAGUGUUGAAUUGCACCCUGCAAAUUGAUUCCACUUUAUCCCCAUCAGAGCUGCAAGCACUUAGCGGAGUGUUGGUGUGGUUUCUGCAAAUUCUCUUGGGACUGGGUUCCAAUUCCUCUUCAUCAGGUCUUCCAACACUUGCAGAAGUUCCGCUACUCGUGCCUGCCAUAUCAAGAAAGUUAUUAUGCAAUUUCCGAUGUUGAGUGCAUUUUUCUUCAUUGCUGGGUUUAGCCUGGUUGAGAUUUGCAUUUCACUGGACUCACCCCACAGCAUUACUGUAACACCCCAGCCCGAAUUCCAAGGGCAAAUAUGUCCACAACUUACUUAUGAAUUUAAAUAACUCUUUACAAAUGACAAAAUUCGAGCCUCAAAUACAAAAGCCAGCGGAAUAACUUAAAAAUCCAGCCAAACCAUCUACCAUCCUCAAUUCAAAUCCAUCUUCUCACUCAUCACGAAUCAAUCCUGACUUCUGGAAAUUGAAUCACAAUAAACUAUAAUGAGUACAAAACUCAGUAAGCAAACUAGUUUUUCUUAUACAAAAAUACAUACAUACGUAUACAUAAUGCGGAUGGAUGCUAUGCCAUGAUCUUUUGGAAAUACUGUAAAAUAAAUUCAUCAAAAUCUCUUUCUAUCGCUUUCAAACUUUCUCAUUUUCUUUCAAUGAAAUACAUAUUCUGCAAUUGUGGCACUUUGUGCUGUGUGUGGCACUUUACGGCGCUUUGGCCCUCAAGAGGUGGCCCCCAAUGCAAAAUCUCAUAAAACCGAAAUUCCAUUUGCUAAAAUCCACUUUCUCGUUCAUAGAAAACUCCAUGCAUUUUCGUGCUCAUGCCAAUGAAUCAUCACACAUACAUAUGCCCAUGUACAUAAUCACGCUCAAUACAUAACAACACAUCACAUAAACACAUGGGCAGAGACAUAUAAAUCCACAUUCGUACAUAUCAAAAUAGGCUUUUCACACAAGUCAAACAUAUAUAUUGUUUAUUGUGAUCCGUUUAAAAGUCUAGUUUACUUACCUCUUGACAUCCUCAUGUAACAAAUGCGUACUGAUAUCAUCAACCUAAACUCAUCAAUAAAUUUCUCAUAAGAUAUAAUCGAGUCUCAAUCAUAAACUCUAAUGUCCUCAAAUAUCUCAAUUUAAACAUCUCCUUAGCUCAACCUCAAUGUUCUCAAUAAUCGGCCCUCAAAACAGAACAGUCCAUAUUCUCCGAUUUUUAAUAAAUUAUUCCCUCAUUGGAAAACUCUCAAAUUUUACAGACCAUAUGCUGACACAUUGAAAGUUCAUUGAUAAAAAUUUCAUAACACAGUUCCUUCAAAAACUAUUGAAAAUAAUUGACGUUUCAGACAUCAUCAAUACUGUCAAACAGUUUUCUGUUUUGAACACACUUGCUUUAAAAAUACAAAAAAAAUUUAUUGCUUUAUCAUAAAAUCAUGAAAAUUUACAGAAUCAUACUAGACAUAUAUAAAAAUCAUUUGUCCAAAUUUCAUAAUUUUUUAAGAAGUCUAGCUAUGGUAAAAAUAAUUUCGUAAUUAACGUUAUUCACCGAAAUCAUAAAUUUCCAGGUUUUCAGACUUGACUUUGAAAAAUAAUAAUUAAUUGAAAUAUUAUCCGAUUAACUUGAAACAAGGUUCAAAACAUUCUAGACGAUGUCUAGUUUAACAUAUCCAAAAAUCAGAAUCAAAAUCAAUUUUUACAAAUUACUAUGAUUUUCGUAAUAAUUCACUGUCAGCAUAUUUCUGCAAAAUCUUACGUUUCUACUUCUAUUGCAAUCAUGCUUCUCCACAACAAUAACAACUUGAUCAUAUGUGUUGCCUAUGACAGAACUAAGAAGAAGAAGACUUUCUUCUUCUCUUUUUCUUUUCUUUUCUCUCUUUCUUUUUUUUCUGUCGUUUUUUUUUUCAACCGAUCCCUCUUUUCCUUUCUCUCUUAUAAUGAAAAAGACAUCUUGUUCUAUUUAUACUAGGGUUAAAAGGAUCACUAAAAAUUAAAAAGACUUAAAUACCCUUAGGAGAUUUGGGAUAUUACAAUUACACCUUAUGACCUUUCAAGGUCAACGAAGAAGUCAAAUGAAACAGCAAUAUGGUGGUGUCGCCAUCCGGUGGCCCGAUACUGCAACAGGCAGGGACGGAGCCAGCGUGGGACGAGGUGGGGCACAGGCCCCAGCUGGCUUUUAAUUUUUUUUUUGAUAAUUAUACUAAAAAUAUGUAUUUUAUUUGUUAUUUAUGAAAAAUACCCCAGCUGAAUUGUAAAAUUUGAAAUUGACUCCAGUAAUUUUAAAAUAUUUCAUACUGUCCCUAAUUUAAAUUUUUAAUUAUAAAUUAUUUAAUUAGUUAUUAACAUUUCAUGAAAACUUUAUUAAAGACACGAGAACAAAUAUUAAAAAAAAUCAUAACAAAAUGCUAGUAUAAUGGUUAAUGGAUCAAUUUUUAAUCUUUUUAUUUUUAUUCAAGUAAAAUUAAUUAUUUGGUCUUUCAACACUGACCAUAAGUUGUAAGUCUACCUAAUUCUAAUUUAUAAUUUUCUAAUUAAUCUUUUGUCUAGUUUUAAAAUUUAUAAUUUUAUCAUGCAUUUCAUAUUUGUUCUGUGUGUUGCAAUAUAUGAAUAUUUUUGUUAUUAUUAAAAGAUUUUAAGAGCAAAUUAAGUAAUAACCUAGUCUUGUAUAUUGAAAAAUAUAUUUUUGCUUAUAUUGAUAAUUCAUUAUUUUCAACUCAUAAAAUCCCAUUGAGGAGAUUUCACGGAGAACCAUUGUAAUAAGUAAAUUUAUUAUCAAUGAAUAUUAUAGUUGUAAUGCUAUAUAUUGAUAUCUAAAUUUUUAAAAAUGUAUUAUAUUUUAAAUAGGGUUUCAAUUAGAUGCAUACAGACGCACUAUAUAAGAAGUACAAUUGUACAUGUAGCAAGCUCCCAUUUAGAGUUUAUGGGACCCACAAUACAGUUUCUCAAAUGACGACUUAUCACACGAGCAAUCGUACAUUCGAGUCAUGUUUGAUUUUAAAUGUGCCCCGGCUCUAUCAAAAUUCUGGUUACGUCCCUGGCAACAGGAAUCAAAUCCAAGUAUGACAUGUUCCGAAUGAUGGUCAGGUAGCCAACCAACAAGAAAGAGUGAUCAAAACUGUAUUCACACGUGACGCUGGUAUAAGACUAACUCCCACAGGUUCAAUAAUUGCACAAAGAACAAAUUCGGCUUUUGUUACAACUACUCUAGGGCAGUUGAUAGUUAUUGAAGACCCUAAAGCUUAAUUAUUGAUCUGUCCUGGAAUUUCACUUCCAGGUAAAAUAGUGCUGAUACCAUGCAGUUUAUUAAUUUCUUAUACUCUGCAUUAUAAUUAAGGCUGGAUAAAUUUGUGGAAAUACAAGUGUUGUGAGUUAAUGGCAAAACUAACAACCACUUAAAUUGUGAAGUUUUCGGUCAGAGCAUAAGUUUCAAUUCCCAUAAUCUCUAAAUUUUUCCUUCCUAUAAGUCAUACACUUAACAAAUUUAUUAAAAAAAAUACAAGUAAAAGCUAAUUUGGAUAAAAUUUUUCCCCCGGUUCUCAUACCAAAAUAAAUGCACAACAAUGUAAAUCGCUCCGAGUUGGAUAGCACGGCCAGGACAAAUUAGUUCGUAGAACAGAGCAAAAAAACAAAAGAUCCUAUUACAUUCUCAUACUCCGAAAAAUAAGAAAAAGCCUCCAACAGCUCUCUUGCUUCAACGAUCUUGCUUGUUUAAUUUCUGGCUCUCUGCCCCUUAAUUAAACUUGUCUACAGCUACCUAAAACCAAAUGGCAAAAUAAUCAGGCCAGGCAUCCGAUCAGACUCAGGUUCGGCAGCUCCAAUUUAACUAGUUCUUAUAGCCAAUUAAUGCAAAAACUACUCAUGCAUCCGCAAGAAAGGGGUGUGAGAGCAGCUGUAAAGCAGUCCAUCUCUUGCUAGGGUCGUCCUUCUGCAAGCAACACCUGAUAAAAUCUCUGAACUUCUCCGACGAACAUUCCGGCAAGCUCGGCGGGUCCCCAAAGCAUAUGGCCAACAUUAGGCUUGGAAAAUCAGGCUUCUGUCCCGGCUUCAAAUAUGGAUAGUAUCCCAUAUACAGCUCCAUCAUCGUCACCGUCACCCCAAAGCUCCAUAUAUCCGCAGCGAGUCCAUUGUAGCCUCCAUGCUUCUCAGUGUCGAACCUCUCCGGACUCAUAUAAGCAUAAGUACCCACAGGGGUGCUGCGGCGCUCCAAGCAUUGUUGUAUAAUCUUACUUAUUCCAAAAUCAGCAAUCUUGACCUCCAUCUUUUGAUUGAUCAAAAGAUUCGCCGGCUUUAUGUCACGGUGAACAAUGUUCUUGGAAUGCAUGUAAACAAAACCCUUGAGAACCUGGUGGGAAUUAAAUCUUCAGAAAGGAGACCGCAAGACUUUAAAUAACUUUCCAGCGAGCCAGCAUCCAUGUACUCUAUGAGAAUAGUUACUUCUCCAGACGGCUUCGUGAAGAUUUGAUGACACUUCACAAUGUAAGGAGAGUUAGUCUGGCGCAAGAUAUUGAGUUCUUGAGGAUUAGGAGGGGUGCCACGAUCACACUGCAUGACCUUCAAAGCAUAAAGAGCUAGAGUUUGCUUAUGACGUACUUUGAAGACAGGGCCGCCAUUGCCCUGACCAAGAACUUGGAGCUUCUCGAGUUGGGAUAGUCCGCCAAUUUCUUUGCCGUACUGGCGGCUUCGGUAUGAACAAGAUUGGGGCAGGAUACCGGUUUCGGAAUAUUGAGUUGGAUGACCAAAUGGUGGGGCUUUUUAACUGAUGAAGCCAUGGAAGGUACGGAAGGCUUUUUAGGUUGUGACAAUCCAGGAAUCUUUCCUUGAAUUGCAUCCAAUAGAUCAAGCGAAAAAUCAGCUUCCCUGUUAAUUUGCACAGUGUUAGACUUAAGAGCAUGUGUUGUAAUAUCAUUUUUUUAAUUUAAUGUUAAUUUAUGGAUUAUGUAAUAGACAAAGGAUGUUAGUGUGUGUGUGUGUGUGUGUAUAAAACAAGUUCUUUAUGAUAUAAGAUGGUUAACUUGAGAGUUGAGGAGAGUUUUAUGUAAGUAUGAAAAAUAUAUGAAAAGUAAAAAUGUUACGUGCCUGCAACUUUCUUCCCAACAAAUUUCGUAAAUCACUUCUUUUGUUGGAGCCGGCUCCUUUUUAUCAGUUUCCUGAGUAAAUUCAUUCAUACGAAGCAAUUUCUUAAAAAUAAAUUUAGGAAUUGACAAAAUUAAAUAGGUUUUAAUUUGGUAGGUAAUAAAUUAACUGUACAAUAAGGUUACUUUUGUAGAGUUAAAAUUUAUGUAAUCCAUUCAGGGUUGAGUUAUAUAAAAAUUUUAGCUUGAUUUCAUUGAAAUAUGUACGAAUCAUUUGCAGAAAUUUGAUUUUGGGCCAGAUGAAGGAUACGAGUGCGACAGAAACGGGCAGCAGGGAUGUCGAUGACCCAAUAGAAUCGCUCUUUAUUUUAAAAGAAAGAAAAACGAAAACAUAUAUUUUGAAUUCCCAAGAAAAUAUAAAAAGAUUGCUUCAUUUAUUCCUAAUAAUUUUAAAUACUUGAGAUGGGGAUAAGAGUUACCUGCUGGUUUUCGUGAAUCGAAAUCCAGGUAGACGGGAUGCAUCCGUCAACGCUUCCCUCAACUUCUGGACCAUUUCUGGAUGCUCCUUCAACCGUCGUUCGUACUUAACAAAGGCGUCUCCAAUACAUCCCGUCUGAUUUUACACAUCGGACGGAUCUACGUUAUUGAAAACCGGAAUAACAAUUUGGCCAUUCUUUCUCUCGCGUUCAAGAAUCUUCACAAGUUCAUACAAGCACCAAAUCGAAGAAGCGUAGUCAUCCAAGAAAAUGAUGAACGAAAUCUUUGAACCUUCGAUUGCCUUCAAAAGGGCAGGCCAAAUCUCUUCUCCUGGUCUAAGCUCUUGAUCACCAAUGAAGGUUUCCAUACACUUUUGGUGCAAAGCAGCGUACAGACGACUAAUAAUAUUCUUACGAGUAUGGACCCUUCUGAAAUUGAGGAACGCAUCAUGUUUGCUUUGAGGUCUUAAAAAAGAUGAAUGCAUAAUUAAAGAAAAUGAAGCCAUAAAGGAAAUUUUUAAGAUUUUGUAACAGAUCAACUGCAGAGAUUCUUGAGAUUAUAUCGACAGAUUCUAUUUUACUUAGUGUUUGGAGAUGGAUUUAAGCUUUUUCUUCUCUUUAUUUUGCAGUAAACUUAUUACCUAGUCAAAAAUAAUAAUAAUAAAACCAAAAAAAUAUGACUUUCUUGCUGGUAUUUAUGCCAACCUGCUCUCCACUACUCAGUCUACUCUGAUAGCUUGACCAAGCCAGCAGACCGAAUUUAACAACAGAUUAGCAAAAGCAAAAGCAAAAGCAAAAGCAAAAGUGCAAUUUGAUUAUAAAUGAGAGCAAGCAAGCUAAAAAUGUUACCGGUUUGUUAUUUAGGCAGCAAUUCGGUCUGCUAGCUCUGUCCAAAAUCUAAAUACCAUUUUCCCUCCGCUACCACUGCUCUAGUGCUCUAUAGUUGAAAAGUCGCAGAAUCAAUACUUGUUUGCCUAUUUCUGGUUCAGUGGUAGGAUGGGUAUCGGUUUAGUUCGAUUCGAUCUCAAGUUGAAUAGAACCAAAUAAACUAGUUUAUUUUUUAAAAAUUCCGACAGUGAACUGAAUAAUAUAAAGUACCGAACCGAGUUGAAAGUAUUGGGUUCGAUACGGGUUGAUUUUUUCCAAUUUUGUAGCCAUUUCGAUCUCAUUUAAUUCCUCCCCCCCCCCCCCCCCCCCCCCUAAAUUUAAACUUGUCAUCACCCGACUAAUUUUUUCAUCACAAAUACAUCACAAAAACAAAACUUAACAAAUAAUGGUGCCAAAUAAAUGAUCUCAAAGCAACUUUUUCAUUUCUUUCCCCAGCAACCUCUCUUGUUCUGCAACACUGACUUCCUGUACAGCCGUACUUCAAGAUCAAGAUUGUCUUCUCUUCCAUUCUAAAAAAAAUACAACAAUUAUUCCUCAAUAAAAUUAUUCCAUCAAGGUUCAAUUAACAACUAAAUAUUAAAAAAAAUUAAAUCACACAACUUUUUAUUUUAAAAAGAACAAAUAACUAACUAAAAAAAUUCAGUCCUACAUUUACUGCAAAAAUAUAUGACUUACUUGCUAACGAAUUAAAACAAAUAAUUUAAUUCAUAGAAUUUGUCUUUAAAUAGAACUUAACUAUUAAAAUCGUGUAGUUUAAAAGGAAAAUUAAUUAAAAAUUUGAAACAACACUGUGGUCAAUCACAGACAACGGCAGCAGCAGCUUUGUUUGGCAGUGGGUUUCGGCUUGGAGUUUCAGUUGUUUAGGUGAGGUGAGGAGUGAAUUUGAUUUGUGAUUUUAGGAUUCUCAUUUGUGAGAAGAUAAGAGUUUAUACAAAGUAAUUAUGAGCGUUUAAAUGUUUAGUAGGUUUUGACAUAACUAAUCAAAUUAUGCCACGAGUUAAUUAUAAAUAAAAUUAUAAAAUUAUCAAUUUUCCGGUUCAUUAUUGGUUCAAACCAUUAACCGAUAAUCGAACCGAAUUUUCAAUUUUUUAUAUAUAUUAUUACUACCAUUCGGUUUUUUUUUUCAGGAUUUAUAAUCGAACCGAUACGGUGUAAUGGGUUUUUUUACCUAUCCCUAGUUCCUACUUCUAAUCGUACCAAUCGCUAACACGUUGUCCCCAAGUUUUGAGUUUUGACUAACCUAGCGUUAUCCUUGUAAAAUGCAUACCCAGUUAUCUAAUGUCUUGUCCCCUGUGUUUUCAUAAGUAGUUUGUUUAAUUUAAUUUUAACUAUAUUUUUUGUCCAAUUUGAUUUUGAUCUGAUGUAGAAGUUGUAAAUACUAUUCGCUUGCUCUUGGAUGAAUGCUCAUCCAUCUUAAUUAACAAUUAAUUAAUUAUAUGAGUUUAAGAUUUGAAUAACAAGAUUUAUUUAUUUGUAAUAUAUUAGUACAUACUUUGAUCGAGUGGAUGUAGCUUAGGUCCUGUUUGAUAUUAAAAUGUUGUUGCUUUAAAGUUAUAACUAUUGUAUAUAUGACUUUUAAAUUAAAAUGUUGAUAAAAUUAGUAAAAAUAUAAUCAGUUUUUUUUUGUUUAAACCACCCGAUUUCCGGCGACCGCAUACAAGUAUUAGAUCAAACCAACCUAUCUUCCAAACCACAAUAUAGAAUAGGUGUUUAUCAAAAAUGUGCUAUAACUUUUAAAUUAUAACUGUUCAAUUACACUACCAAACAUAACCUUAGUGACUAACUGUCAGCUGUACACUAAGAGUGUAUUUGACAUAUUGUACAAUAUACAUACAUACGUACAUACAUCUUUUUUCUUAUUUUAUGAAGAGUAACUGGAUUUCACCCCAUUCCUUUUGUUUGAAUUAUAUAUUUAUGAUGUAACAUUAUUUAGAAGUUAUUUGAUUGAAUUAUUUACUGCCUUCCUUAUUUCGGGCUUACAAGGAUACUUCAUAUAUUGAAUAGUUAUAUGCAAACUAGUUAAAUUUAUGCUGUGAAACAACCAGAGCAAGAAUUUAAAUUCAUAAUCAAGCCUUAGGUUCCAUGCCUUAUACAAAGUUAGCAGUACGGUGUUUUUUUUUCCAGACUGAAGCAAGAAGGAAAAAAAAAAAAAAAUUAGUCACGCUAAAGAAUUAUUUAAAUAGAAGAGGCUUGUUUUUUUUUUUUCAUAACUGAAACUCCAUUAACUGUGACUAGAAAAAUACAUCAACUAUGAUUUUGAAACAGAAACUAAAUAAGAAAAGCAAAAAAUUUCUGUCUGCAUUGACUGAUCUUGUCAAAGGUGUUUUUGGCUGUGUUACAAACAAUGCAACAAACCAGCGUAAUAAAGAUAAAAUUUGAGCAUGUGAAAAAUUCUUAAAAGUCGAAUUUUUAUUAGCUACAGAUGUUGAUGUUAUUUUUAUUAGUGAGCAAUCUCUACUAAAAUAAAUAACAAUUAACAAAAAACAAAACAGAGCAGCUAAACAAUUCGGAUUAAAUAAAGAUCACAAAUUUAAAUCAUUAUAUUUAGAUAUUCUUCGUCUUCAUUCUUUUACUUGAUGGUUGCUGCACAAAACAGAGAUUCCGCUGUCAGAUGCCUAACGUUAGUUGGAUCGAGAAGCUGGAAAAGAUCACCAAGAAAACUUACGAUAACGCUAAUUCGCUUAUGCUUUGAACAUGGCGUUUGCCGCCACGGUACUGUGGGGUGUAGCUGCAACAGAGUUAACAGUGUCCAUAUUGUUGGCAGAAGCCCCCUUACUAGAAUUAGCUAAUUUUGGAACAUUAUUUUGAAAAAUAAGAGCCAUGAUCAGACCAGAAAAUCUAUCAUCAAUUCAACAGCAGUGAAAUAACCUUUAAGCCAACCAUCAGAAUAUUUUGUUGGAGCCAUCAAUCGAGUAACAAAAGAAAAUGGUUGCCUAAAUCUACAAGAAUUUCAUUAAGACAUAGCAACUCCAAUCUAUUUAUGGAGGCUCCUCUUUGCUAAAGUUUCUAUACCUGCGAUCUGUCGAGCCCCUGGGGGCGUUCUAAAACAGGAUAAAGCAACAACUCAUGAUCAGUUCCAUCUUGCUCGUAGUUAAAACAGAACAAUCAUUGACAUGAAAUCAAGAAAUUACAGAAACGACAAGAGACAGAAAAUGACAUAAAUCUUAAACAACGAGACUAAACACUAGAUAAGAUCAGAUUUGUAUUGCCCUCACGUAUGGUAAAAUAAUAAAAAUUAAUGUUGUAACGGGGAGACAAUUUGUUCUUCAUUUUUGCAGUACUGAGUUAAACAAAGGAAACCUGUGGUAACUUGCUUCCAUCAAGACUCUAGCUUCUUAUUUGGCUCUUCAAACUUAUCUGUUGAAGUCCGAUGUUCAACCAUGCCUCCAGCAGCUCUCGCGGUGUAGAAAUACACGAUAAAAUGAAAUGAUGUCCUGCCACCAGCUAGCAGCCACGAGAUUGUUGGUCUUAGGAGCAAGACUGCUAACUAUAUCCUAAAUGCUGAGGCAUAUCACUGGAGAUAACUCAAUGCCAGAAAAGAGCAAGUCCAAUGAAGUUUUUGUUACAACAAUGCUGUGGCAGUUGUAUACUUAUUGAAGUUCCUAAAGAUCGGAUAUUAAUCAGAUCCAAAAGGAGAAGGAGGAGACAAGAUAAAUUUGCUGAUUAUGUAAUCGUUCAAAAAAUAUUAAAUUGAAACAUGAAACAUACAUAUAUUCAUGACAUGCCUGCAGUUUUGGAAGAUCCACCUAAGAAAAUGAUCAGAUCGAGUUCCUCAAAGCAGGGCUGAAACUCCUGGUUCUGCUAAGAACAUUCACAUAACAAUAUUAAAAACUGGAUUUCAUCAAAAUAUUUUAUGUCAAAUUAAAAAAAAGGAAGAUAUUGAUUUAUAUGUUUCCAAUGCCAGACCAAAUAAACAUUUUCCCCCUGAAAGAAAGUUCAGUUGAUCAAACACCACAAAAACUUUCAUUUAACUUGAUGAUCAGAUCGAAGAUUUGAUGGUCUUCCCACCAUUACAAAAAAUUGUCGCCAUUUACAGGCUACAAAAAGCUGCAAUAGGAAGCAUUUCGUUAAUUCACAGUUAAUAAUAAAAACAGCAAAUAGUUAUUUAAAUUAGUAUCUCUAUCAGUUAAUCAAUAUAUAACUACUAUCUUUACGAAGUAAGUCAAUCACAUACGAUUAAAAGUCAUUUCACUUCUCUUGUCCAUGUCAUUACUUACUAAUAUUACAACAUAGCGGCAACUACGAGUGCAUAAUAUUUAUACUUACUUUAGUGAUGCAAUAGGCUUUCCCGAAAUUUAAGUUUAGUUAGCCUAUUUUUCAGCAACAGCUUUAGCUUUUUGCCCCCUGUUGAGCGCUAAUUUUUUGUUUUAGUUUGAACCAUAGAACAGAGAAGAUUGAAAUUGAGUCUUCACUCUCCAAAACGAAUGCAGCUAUCUAGCCACAGCAGAGCAAACGUUAAACACUUAGAUUUGAUAAAUUUAAUUUCUAACAUAGCAACGUUAGAAAUUUAGAUUUGAUCAAUUUAAGCUGCUUGGCAAACAAGAAAAUGAAGGAAAACAGAGGAAACUGAAACAGAGCAUCUUAGAACUUCCAUUGAUUUCGAGUGAAAAAAAACUAUAAUAAUUACAAUAAUUAAUGCUAAUCCGCACAGUCUAGAAAUAUCUUACUAACUGCUUUUUAAAAGCUAACACAAAUCAUAACAAAUUUUAUGCUUAGAACACAAUAUCCGAACAAAAUAUCCUUAAUUAACUCAAAAAGCACAUAGAAACUCAUAGGAGUAAAACUAAUAAAGCAUAACAAACCUCAUCGUUUUUUGAGGUUUCUCUUGUAUGAGAAUCUAGCAGAGAGUUUCAUGUAGUGUUUUUGUGAGGUACGAAGUAGGUGUCCCGAGCAACAUCAAUCAUUUUCGAGAUUAGAAGUGGGAAUAGUUUGGUUAAAAGUCUGUCCAAAAUCAAUAAGUUUUUUUUUUUUCCUUAUUAUAACCUAAUUAUGUGAGAAAUGUUAGGGACAAAUUAAAAUAAAAGCAAAACAUAAUACCUGCAGUUUCAAAAUUUAUACUCAUGAUAUUGCACGAAUGAUGGACAAGGGAGAACGUAAUUGGGUGAUUACAACUUUGGUUUGAGAGAGAGUGUCUAUUUUAAAACGUUGAUGACAGGGCAGCCAAAUAUAGACAUUGCAUCUCUAUUUGCAUCAAAGCCUUUAUCAACAUGAGAAUGGAAGAAUUAGUACAUAGUUUUUGUCCAAUUUCAUGGGUUUCCGCAGGAAGUUUUGAAAUGUAUGUAUUGGUUGGAGUCUGCACUCUGCACAAUUAAAACUGUGAUGUAACAUUGAUGAAAUUACCUAUAAGACAAAUUAAAUGGCUUUAAUCAUACUUCAGGAGACGCUCAGUGAAAGUCAAGAGAUCACUUUCUUUAAAGGUGCAAUUACAAAAGAGCUGAAGGGAUCAUCACGGCAAUGGCUUUGUCCUGAAAACUACUUGGUCAAACACCUGGGGGCUUUCAACAAAAUGAUAAAGCAACAACUCAUGAAAAAUUCCAUCUCAACUAAUUGGAGUUAAAACAGGACAAUCAUCGAUAUGAAGUCAAGAAAUUAUAAAAAAAGAGAACAGAUAGAAAAUCAUUUAAAAUCUUAAUAACUACACAUGUACAUAAAUACUAAACACUAGAUAACAUCGGAUUGCCAUUGCCCUCGCGCAUAAAAGACAAAGAAUCAAAAUCAUAAAAAUUAAUGUUAUAACAGAAAGAAUAUUUGUUCUUCAUUUUUGCAGCAAUGACUUAACUCUGGAAACCUGUAGUCGGUUGCCUUCCUCAGGACUCUUGCUUGUUAUUCUGCUCUUCAAACUUAUAAUCUCUAGUGAUAACUCAAUGUCUAUUAUAUGUACUGACUCCUUCAAAGCUGCGUACUGGCCAAAUAAUUAUGGUUCAAGUUAGCCUACCGUCUAAAUGCUGGAAAACUUGCUUGUACAAAUAAUUGAUAUGCCAUAUAAAAGCCACGAAGAGUUACCUCAAAGCAGAGCUGGACAACUUGCUUGUACAAAGAACUUUAUAAACAAAAUAAAUAUCAAAACUACAUUAAUGGCCUCAUCGGGAUUCAAAUAUACAUGAUCCAAGUCAAUAGACAUAACAGAUUUAGAGUAAAUCUAGGCAAAUCCUGUAUAUUAAACAAAUAGAAAAUAUCUUACCCCAUAUGCUUUAGAUAUAAAUUGUUUGAUACAAAGCCGAACUUAUUUUCCUCCUUCAUUUAUCCAAUGGCCGUUUCCAACGUGAUAUAGUACUCAAAAUGAACAAAAGAAUCACAAUUCUGUAUAACACAGUUUGCACCAGCCGUCAAAAAAUGAUACUAGAUUAGAAAUAAGCUCAUCAAAAAGAUAAAGAAACGGAUCUUAAUCAGAGAGUUGGACUUACAUAAGAAAAGGAAAUAAGACACCUUCCUUUUGAAAAAUUUUAGAAAACCAAGAACUUUGCCGUUGAGGACCGUUGAUUUGCUCUCUGCAAAUUGAUUCUACCUCAUCCUCGUCAGAGCUGUGAACAAUCCCAUGUUGCGUGCAUUCUUCUUCAUUUCUGGCAGCAAAUUUGAGAGUAAAGCUGUUGGAUAUUGUGUCCUGGUUGGGAAUGGCAUACACUGGACUCACCCCACAACAUUUCACCUUGUGCUGAAUACGGGAGUCAGAUGGAGAUAUCACAUCUCUAAUGAAGAACUCAAAUGAAACAGUUGUAUGGGGGUCUCCCUCUGGUAGCUCAAUAUUCCAACAGGGGUCAAAUCCAAGUAUGACAUGAUCCGAGAAAAUGGACAUGGAGUCAACCAAUAAGAAAGAGUGAUCAGAACCGUAUUUACAGCAGACACUGAACCGGAAGAUCCUGUUUUUAUCUACCACAAAUUCAAUAACGGCACAAAGAGCAAAUCCGAUGAAGUUUUUGUUACAGCAACGCUGUGGCAGUUGAAUAGAUAUUGAAGAUCCUAAAGAUUGAGUCCUGAACCAGCAGUGUGGAAUCCCACUUCCACGUAAACAAAUGCUGAUUCCACGCCGUCUAUCAGUUUCCUGACUUCCCUGUAACAAUAUUUAAAAUUAUGAUUUCAAAAUGUUAUUGAGGAGAGAAAAAAGAGGAGAGAGGCAGAGAAUCCGGUGCCUACCUUUCGAUGUAAUAUCCCAGGCAAAGCAUUAUGAACUCUUCGCUGAAAAUUUGCAAAGAAGUUUCUUUCGGUUCCUUUAUGGAGUUUCACACAAUUAACAAAUUUAAACAUCACCGGCAAGUAGCUAUUUCCACGGGUCUGAUUCGAUGGUGUUUCUAGACAUGAUGAAAUCUUUGGCAAAGAUUGUAGCCGCUUGCAAUAACUUGCGUUUAAGUAAUUCAGACACAACGGAAGCUCUGGUAAUGAUCGAAUCAUAUUGCAAUUUAUCAAGUGAAGGCAUUUCAACCGUUGAAGCUGGCUGAUACCUGUAGGUAAACUCUCAAAAUUAUGUCCGUUUAGCUCUAAGCAUUUCAAUGAGGAUAGACUGGAUAAACCUGAGAGUACCAAACACCUGCAUUGGCUCAAGCAAAGUUUUUGAAGUUUUUUCAAAUUGCACAAGCUCUCCGGCAAAAAACUAAGUUUGGUGCAAAGGUUGAGCCGCAAGCAUGAACAAUCAAUCUUUAUGGGAGAUUUAAAAUGAAUGUUGCGCGGAAAGCAACUGAGGCUUUCGCAGUUUCUCAAAGACAAUAAACCAAGGUUGCUGAAAUUCUGGAGGUUCGGAAGAUUGUAAGGCAAGCUUGCGCAAUUGGAAAGACUAAUUCUCUCAAGAUGUGGGACUUCUGAUGGUUCCGGGAUCCUGUGGAGAUUAUGGGAGUGGUGGAGGUCGAUAUAUUUUAACUUGAAUGCUUCCUAUGACAAAAAAUAGAUAAUAACUAUAUUAAACUAGCACCAAUGAAAUUCACAAUCAAUAGAUAAUAACUAUAUUAAACUAGCACCAAUGAAAUUCACAAUCAAUCAUAUACUUUUACCUUUUUCCCUUCCCAAAUUUGCUCAACUUUACUGUAAGGCAAGUUAAGUUCAAUAAUGUUCUCCAAAUCAAAAUCUGAUGGCAAUGUUUUCAAAGGAUAUUCAUGCCAAUGAAGAUAUCUCAAUCCCUCUGGAAGGCAAUCCAAACCCUCGCUAAGAUGCACUUUAGAGCUCAUAAUUGGAACACCAUUAUGCUCCGGCAUAUAGAAUUUAAGCAUUCUAAGAUUUGACAUUUUUGCAAAGGCACAAGAAUUUAGUUGCAUGUCUCUUGUUUUGGAUAAAUUGAGGGAUAUACCUUCUAUUGCAUCGGUCCCCUUAUAAACAAAAGUAAAGAAUAAAUUAGUAGAAUAAAAAAAAAAAAAAAAUUAGUAAAAUUUAUCAUAGGGGAAAGGAUGCCAGUACUUUUGUGAUUUGGUGAAAUAGUUGUAGGGGCCUCAUAUUUUCAGAAAUAGUUAUACAGAUCCCUUUUGGAAUAAUAGUCAAUCAUAAAGUUUUUUUUUUUUUUUUUUUACAAAAAGAUUCAAUGCACUUAAGCUAUUUGAUACAAAAGUUUUUCUAUGAAAUGAUACUAUGACGAAUGGGUGUAAAUAAAUAAUUUUGGUUUUCAUAUUUUAAAGUUGUUUUCUAUUUAAAAAAAGAAUUUUUUGCAAUAAUAAAUUUACUGAAAAGAUGGGUAUGGUUAUGGAAAUUUGGAUGCACAAUUAGAUAGAUAGAUUUUUACCUUAUUUUUCUUUAAUACAUGAUAGACAUCCUCAUGAUACCAUAAUCUGCUACGCUUGCCUGGCUCUUUGAUGCAUUCUUGACGAACAACUUCCCUUCCCAUUUCUUGCAGUAAAUCAUGCAUUUGUAUCUUAUUGUCAUUUGAUACUGUUACCAAUGACUUUGCAAUGAGGAUGUUCAAUCCAUUAUGUGGAAAAUUAGGAUCAUCUAGCAUCCUUGUCACAUAAUCUUUUUCCUCUCCUGCAAAGAAGCAUGCAAUGUCUAGAAAUAUACUCUUCUCUUCUAGACUUAGGUCAUUAUAACUAAUUUUCAACACAUCAUAGAUGUCAGGGUCAGAAAUUCGACUUAUAUUCUCCAAUGCUUUUUCCCAAUCCAGUUUGCUCUUCCGAUGAAAGAAAGAACCCAACACUCUAAGUGCCAAUGGGUUGCCAUUUGCAUACUUCAAUACACGUUUUGAGGACACCAGGAAACCAGAAGGGCAAUGGUUUUCUUUAAAGGCGCAAUUACAAAAGAGCUCAAGAGCUUCAUGAUAUCUCAAUCCGUUAACCUCAUAUAUGUUAGGUGUUGAGUACAUAAAGGCACCAAGUUAGCCAUGCUACUGUUUCCGCCCCGGCACGGACCAUUUCAGCUAAGUGGUACGAGCAGAACACGGGGGCAAACAUGAGCCGAUCAGAGAUGGAUGCAACCAGGGAAAAAUACCGACCAGAAGUAUAUGCCGAGCCAGUACUCAUCCCCAGGAAAGCGGGAACACGAUCCCACAAAAUCGCGGUAGUUGCGCUUCUCCCAGAACGGUUGAAGGACACGCGAGAUCCACGUUUGCCCACAAUGUAACAGUUAGAGCUCCAUGAGGGGCUACGACCACCCGAAAAAGGAGGGAUAAGGGGCAAACGGAAAACGUGGGACAAAGGGCGGCUAUAAAAGAGAAAGACAUCGAAGAAGAGGGGGACAGAAAAAUUAAGAGAGGGAAAACGCUGCCAAAUUGCAACCAGAUUAAUUUCUUACAGAUUUUGAACAAACUUCUUGAAUCCAAAUUAUAUUGUUUUCCCGUAAACACCUUGUGCUAACUUAGGCAUCGGAGGGUUUACGCCGGCAAAACCACCGGCGUCUCUGAUCCAUUUUUGGUGAACGCAGGUCUAGUGAGAGAAAGGAGGGUGAUCCCUGUUGAGUGUUAGAAAAUGCAUAUUUAUAAAGGAGAAAACCGUCAUUUUACAUUUCAAGUCUUACUAACAACCCUACUUUUAUGUAUUUAACCUUCUUGUGAUUUAAUUACAUGUGUUUUAUUUUAAUUAAGUAAUUUAUGUAUUUUAGGGGCAUUAUAGUCAUUUCACAAUAAAGGGGAGAUCAGACGGCAAAACGGACAUCACUUUUGAACUCAGGACGGUCGAAAACCUUAGGAGGAGCAUAAAAGGAAAAAUGACACUAUUCACAUGUACGGUACUAUUCACGUAUACGGUACUGUAUACGUUACUGUUCACGGCACUGUUCACAUAGACGGAUCGAUGACGUGGCAUUGACCGAUGAUGUGGCAUUGACUGAUGAGGUGUCACGAUCCUGUUGGGCUAAAAUUCUUAUGUACUGUUGAUGGUGACGUGGCAGUAUAUCAGUGGACGAAAAAUCUCGCGUACGGUGCAUACAUCACACAGGAUUAUUUUCAACCAAACCGCGUUACUGUUCAUCCGGGUCAAACCGCGUUACUGUUCAAAGUCGAGUCAAACCAUGUUACUGUUCAUCCGCGUGGUCAAACCGUGGACUGUUGACUGUUGACUGAUGACGUGGCGCAAUCCUGAGCGUCCAAACUGUUUUUAAUCCGAUGGCCAUGAUUUACUCCAUGUAUCUAUAAAAAGGGGGCCUCUCCCCCCUAAUUUGAUAUCUCUGAAUCCAUUUUUGGGAUCCAUUUUCUGUAAUUCCUUCUCAAUCUUGUAUUUUCUUUGUAUUUUAAUAAAUUUCCAUUUUGCCCCUAGUUCAAUUAUGAGUGGCUAAUUUUCUUUCAAGCUUGGGUUGAAGGUGAAGUCUCAACAUGUGUCAUGGGCUUUAUUUGGUAAAUUUAUUUUCUUUUCCCCUCUAGUUUUUGUGGAUGAUUUGACUUAUCGUCGACAAAUAAUACUGAUCUUGUCUAGAUACCGCCUUGGUUACACCGGCUCUCUAGUAUAAGGUUAUUAUUAUUUGGCACGAUAAGCCCUUAGCACCAUAUUGAUUAGAGCGUGGUUCAUGAGGUGUGGAUUCCCCCCUCAUGAUUUAAUUGGCAUUAAUAAGGAUUAUUUAGCCCAUGAUGCAUGUUGAUACGGAUCCAGAUACCCAAGUAAGUCAAUUUAAUCGAUUUCCUCUACAAUUUAUUCUCGCCAUUGCAAUUCCAAUUUUAGAAUUUAUUCUCGCCAUUUUAAUUUAAGUUUUAGCAUAUUCCAAACCAUUUCCACCAUAAAUCCAACCACCCAUUUACAGAAUUAAUUCUACACACAAUUAAAAUCCACCUCUUCGUGGGAUCGACACUCGUCACCAUUAAUCUAUACUACAAUAGAUUCGUGCGCUUGCGAGUUCAUUAAAAUUUGCACAACAAGUUUUUGGCGCCGUUGCCGGGGAGGUAAGUAAUUUUAAUUCAUAGAAUUAAUUUUUGUGAAUAAUUUCUUUUAUUUGUUUUCUUGUAUUUUUUAUUAUUAAAAACAAAAAAAAAGUAAAUCUACAUUUAAAGGUUAGUAUUUCUUUUCUUUUUCUCUUCUUUAAAAUUCUGUAAUUUAAUUUUCAAUUUAUUUUUUUCUUUGUAAUUUUUGUUUAUUUUAUUAAUUUAAUUUUUAGUUAAUUUAUUUCACGUAUUUGUUUUUGUGUAUUUUUAUAGUAAGGUUGUAAUAGCGCAAUAAGGUUAGUAUUGUAAUUUCUCUCUCUUCUUUAUUUUUAUUUGUUUUGUUCCAUCUUUAUUUUUAUUUUAUUUAUUUUGUAUGCAUGGUCGUAGGUCUUUAUUACCUAAUCUUGAACCUAUAGACCUUGAACUUGAGAAAACACUUCGCACACACAAGAACGUUAAAAAUAAAUUUGAAAUGGAUUUACAAGCACCACAGGAGAGGCCAUUUAAGGAUUAUUUUAGUCCUUUAGCUAAUUUGAGCACAUUAUGCAUAAGAUACCCAAAUGUAGCUGCUAGGAGUUUUGAACUAAAACCUAGUGUGCUAAAUUGUCUCCCCACAUUUUAUGGCCUAGAAAAUGAGGACCCAUAUAAUCAUCUGAAUGAUUUUCAUGCCAUUUGUCAAACUUUUAAAUAUGAAAAUUUUUCAGACGAUGAUGUUAAACUCAGAUUAUUCCCAUUUUCUUUAAAGGAUAGAGCUCGUUCAUGGCUUAAUACAUUGCCUGCUAAUAGCAUUGCAUCAUGGGAACAAAUGGUUACAAAAUUUCUAAAUAAAUAUUUCCCAGUGCAUAAAACCAAUGCUAUUCGCAGGGAAAUCUCAGAGUUUACUCAGAGAGAGGACGAGCAGUUUUUCGAGACAUGGGAGCGAUUCAAUGGGCUACUCUUGAAGUGUCCACAUCAUGGGUACGAGAAAUGGCAUCAAUGCCAAUACUUUUUGGAGGGAUUAUUGCCGAAUGUGCAAGAAUGGCUAAUGGCAACAAGUGGAAGAGAGCUAAUGUCAAAAAGUGCAACAGAAAUUUGGGAAUUCUUCCAGCGACAAGCGGAUAAUUCCCAACAACGGAGUCGAUCACUCAGGAAUACUAGAAGAAUUAAGGGAGUAAAUGAGGUUCAAAUUGGCGAGUCAAGUUCAGAAAUUAAAGAAGUCAAAGCGAUAAUUGAAGGUCUCUCUCGACAAAUAGCACCGUUAUCGACUGCUAAAUCAACAGAGCCACAUGACCAUGACUCAUACUCAGAUCAAGCCAAUGCCAUAGGUGUAAUGAGAAAACCAUCGAAUUACAACCCAUACUCCAACACAUAUAACCCUGGAUGGAGAGACCACCCCAAUUUUUCAUGGUCUCAAGGAUUCCAACAGAAUGGACCAGCAGCUCCAGCUCCACCAAUUGCUCAAAAUCAUCAAGCCUCUCAGCCACCAUUUAGACCAUACAAUCAGAAUCAGAACCAGAACCACUCUCAACCUAGACCAUGGGAGGAUGCAUUCCAGAAUUUCAGGAAUGUUACUCACUCCACGAUUGAGCAACAGAACCGCACCAUCGAUGGACUACGAAAUGAGUUGAGAGCAGGCUUCAACUCACAAGCUCAAUCAGUUUCAAGCUUGGAGAAGAUGGUGGGACAACUUGCUUCUUCAGUUCAGACCUUGGCAAUAACUGUUGAGAAAGGCAAGUUUCCAAGUCAACCAGUACCUAACCCUAAAGGAGUGCAUGAAGCAAGUACUAGUUCACCACAGCAGCAUGGAGAGGUCAAAGCAGUCAUGACCUUACGAAAAGGAAAAGAAGUCGACAACAAAGUGGAGAUGCCGGUGACCAAAGAAAAUCAAAUUGUACCUGUGAAUGUUGAAGAAUCACCACCGGAGGAGAGAGAAGAAACCAACCCACGAGAAUACGUUCCGAAAGCUCCAUUUCCUCAGAGGUUAGCGAAAGGAAAGAAGGGAAAAUCCACAGGUGAGAUUCUCGAAAUCUUCAAACAGGUAAGUGUUAACAUCCCUUUACUUGAUGCUAUUAAACAAGUUCCAUCUUAUGCCAAGUUUCUUAAAGACCUUUGUACUAAAAAGAGAAAUAUGCAUGUUCAAAAGAAGGCAUUUUUAACAGAAAACGUUAGUUCUAUACUCCAACAUAAAAUUCCUUUAAAAUGCAAAGACCCAGGCUCCCCCACUAUCUCUUGUAGUGUAGGGAACCACACAAUUGAGAAUGCUUUGUUGGAUUUAGGAACUAGUGUAAAUCUGUUGCCUUAUUCAGUUUUUGUGAAACUUGGACUGGGAGAAUUAUACCCAACUCCAGUGGUGUUACAACUUGCAGAUCGGUCCACGAAAAUACCUCGUGGUAUUGUGGAGGACGUGCUUAUCCAGGUAGACAAGUUUUAUUUUCCUGUUGAUUUCAUUGUAAUAGACACUCAACCAAUACAGGAUUCAAGGAAGCACAUCCCCAUUAUUCUAGGCCGACCUUUCUUGGCAACUGCGGAUGCUCACAUUCAACUGGUCGAGCAGGAGCGUGACCAGAUAGCUGCACGUGAUCCUGAUCGUGCUGUAGAAUUGGAGGGGGAGGUGCGCAGAUUGGCGCAGGUGAUAGAGGAGAUGCAGGGCAAGAGGAAGCCCCCGAGCUGGAGGAUAAUGCUAGAUGAAGAGUCCCCGUUAUCAACUGAGAUCAUGAGUACCAUAAUCCCAAGAGAUUUCCGCUUCCCCGACCUCAAAUACUCCGGGCGAAGUGACCCGUUGGUGCACAUUGAGCGUUUCAACGACAUGACGGGUGUGCAGGGGUUGACACCAGCUCAGAGGUGCAGGGUAUUCCCGUUGACACUAGAGGGACGAGCCCGAGAAUGGUACCGCAAGCUUCCCCGAGGAGGAAUUAAGGGGUAUGAGCAGAUGUGCCUGGAGUUGGCCGAGCAGUUCCGAGGGGCAGUGGCCCCAGAGGAUGACAUGAUGGAAUUGAUAGGGAUGAAGCAGGAGGAGCAUGAAUCCCUUCGAGAUUUUGUAAAACGAUAUCACCGAGCCGUGCUGGAUCUGGGAGCUUUUAAUCACCCGCAGGCGUUGAGGGGAUUAAAAGAAGGUGUGAGAAUCGACCGAUUGUGGUAUAACUUAAGAAGUCCCCUCGUACAGAAUUACUCAUCGGGGUAUGAGCAGGCGAGACGAGAUAUAGAAAUCGAAGAAGAGAAAUCGGCAAGAAUUAAAAGUGAACAGCUGGAAGAGCUGAGACGAAAGGAACGGAGAGCCCCGAAAGGGAGCGGGUCGGGAAAGCGAACAGGAGAAUCUUCAGUGAUGGGCGGAAUAUCAGCUCGUUCCCGCCCAUACCCCAUAGCUCCGAGAGCACAACAGUUCCAACACAGCCGGGCUCAACCUCCGCGCCCCCCGAUCCCAGAACGGCAGCGAGAAUUCAGGCAGAUGGCUGCCCACCCUUACCACAGCGCUCCCAGAGGAUUAGGUGCAACUAAUUACAGGUCUGGACGACCCGAGCAGAUACCAGCUAUACCGGCCCGAGGUGACAUUCAUGAUAGCCGAGCAGUGCAGCUAGUAGACCAGAGCUUGGCCUAUAAACAGUACACUCCAUUAAAGAUCUCCAUGGAGGAGUUGUAUGAGAGAAUCGAAGGACGAGGCCUGCUGUACCCUCCAGCCCCAAUAACAAAACCGACUCACCGACGGGACAAGAGCCGAUUCUGCAAGUUCCACGACACUCACGGUCAUACUAUCAGCCAAUGUCGUGACCUGAAGAUUCAGGUGGAGGAUUUAGUGAGGAACCGAUACUUGGACGAGUAUGUAGAUGGAGUGUCCCCUGUCAUGGAAUCACAGUACACACGGGAUGAAGGAGUCGAGAGGGAUUUGGAACGUGAACAGCCGACCAUCCGUGUGAUAGCAGGAGGGCCAACAUUGGCCGGGGAUUCAAACAGAGCACGGAAGAACUAUGGGAGGUACGCCAUGACUGGCAGAAAGGUGCUUCUAAAUUUGCCAGCAGCCAAGAAGGCAAGAGUGCGGCAAGUUCCCAUCAUGUGGACGGAGGAUGACGAAGAGGGCAUUUUGUAUCCUCAUGAGGAUGCACUGGUGAUUAAAGCAUUGGUUGCUAGCACAGAAUUGAGGCGAAUACUGGUGGAUACGGGCAGCUCAGUCGAUAUUCUGUUUAAGUCGGCCCUAGAUGAUAUGGGGAUUUCAGAUUUGAAGCUGGAGCGGACAAACACAUCAUUAAAGGGAUUUGGAGGUGGACGGUUAACGCCCAUGGGGGUCAUUGAACUCCCAAUUACUGUGGGGACAAAACCCUUUGAAAGAACGAUGAUGCUGGACUUUGUCGUGGUAGAGGAAAGAAGUCCUUACCAGAUGAUAUUGGGGAGACCAUUCAUGAGGAUAAGCCAAUGUGUAAUGUCCACGCAUUAUCUGGCGUUGAAAUACAGAAUAAAUGGAGUUGUGGGUGUAGUAAAGGGCGACCAGAGAAUGGCCAGGAGCUGCUACGCUACAGCGGCCAAAGAAACGCUGCAGGUUACCUCUCUAGAUAACCGAGGAGAUUCAAGAAAUGGUCGUCAGGAACCUGUCGAGAAGCUGGAGGAAGUUGUUGUAAGCAGGAGUGACCCUAGCAGAGUUGUUAAGGUCGGAUCAGAAUUGGGCGAAGCAAUAAAGGCCGAGCUGGUGAAGUGUCUACAGUCUCAUGCAGACAUAUUUGCCUGGUCUCAUGAGGAUAUGCCAGGUAUUGACCGCGGGAUAGCUUGUCACAAGCUGGCGGUUAAGAAAGGGGCAAGGCCGGUGAGGCAGAAAAGGAGGUGCUUUAACCAUGAAAGGUAUGAGGCCAUAAAUGCCGAAGUGGAAAAGCUGCUGAAAGCAUGAUUUAUAAGGGAAGCCAAGUACCCGGAGUGGAUUUCCAAUGUGGUACUGGUAAAGAAGGCCAAUGGGAAAUGGAGAAUGUGUGUAGACUUCACGGACUUCAAUAAGGCAUGCCCGAAGGACAGCUUUCCCCUACCAAAAAUAGAUCAGCUGGUGGACUCAACCGCGGGUCAUAGUCUGCUCAGUUUCAUGGAUGCCUUCUCCGGAUACAACCAGAUACCCAUGAACGAGCAGGAUGAGGAAAGCACCACCUUUAUAACUAACAUGGGUCUGUUUUGUUACAGGGUGAUGCCUUUUGGCCUAAAAAAUGCAGGAGCUACCUAUCAAAGAUUAGUGAACAAGGUCUUCCAACCAUUGAUCGGUCACACCAUGGAAGUAUAUGUGGACGAUAUGAUCACCAAGUCGAGGGAACCGAGAGAUCAUGUAAAGCACCUGGAGGAGACUUUCGAAUUACUGAGGAGGUACGAAAUGAAGCUGAACCCGGAGAAAUGUGCAUUUGGGGUCGGCUCGGGCAAAUUUUUGAGGUACCUGGUGAGCCAUCGGGGUAUUGAAGCCAACCCAGAAAAAAUACGGGCGGUAAUAGAAAUGAGGUCCCCACGAACAGUUAAGGAGGUGCAGAGCCUUACGGGAAAAUUGGCAGCAUUGAACCGAUUCAUUUCGCGAGCCACUGAUAAGUGCCACCCUUUCUUUCAAGUCAUAAAGAAAGUGAAGAAAAUGGAAUAGACACCGGAAUGUGAGGGGGCAUUUGGACAGCUGAAGGAAUACCUAACCCGCGCCCCGUUACUGUCAACUCCGAGAGAGGGUGAUCAGCUGCUCUUGUACUUGGCAAUCUCUAAGCAGGCUACCAGCUCGGUCUUAGUCAGGGAAGAAGAAGGGAAGCAACACCCGGUAUACUACACAAGCAAGGCCUAGUGGACGCAGAAACCAGAUAUCCGCUAAUGGAGAAGUGGGCGCUGGCUUUGAUAACGGCAGCACGCAAACUCCGACCAUACUUCCAAGCCCACCAGAUCGUUGUGAUGACUGACCAGCCACUUCGGCAAGUGCUUCAAAAACCAGAUGCGUCUAGUCGGUUAGUAAAAUGGUCCGUGGAGCUGAGCGAAUUUGACCUGUCCUACAGGCCCCGAGGAGCAAUCAAGGCCCAAGCCCUGGUAGAUUUCAUGGUGGACCGUGUUGAACCAGGGGAAGAGGUCCAAGAGAAACAACCGGCAGAGCAAGAGGAUUCAAAAGGGAUAUGGCUGGUAAUGGUUGACGGAUCAUGCAGUGAGCAAGGAUCCGGAGCAGGAGUUGUAAUACGGAGCCCAGAGGGAACCGAGAUAACAUAUGCGGUGAAGUUCGAAUUUCAGCUCACAAACAACCAAGCUGAAUAUGAGGCCUUUAUCACCGGGCUCGGACUUGCACACGCUCUAAGAGCAGAGAGGGUAGAAAUCCGAGCAGAUUCCCAGCUGGUGUGUAAUCAGCUCAAUGAUCAGUUCCAAGCAAGGGGAAAGAAGAUGGGUCUUUAUUUAAAGAAGGCCAAGCAGAUGGUUGGGCUUUUCCAAGCAAUGGAGGUAAAGCAGAUAUCCCGGAAUGAGAAUUUCCGAGCCGAUAUGCUGGCUAGGAUGGCAGCCAUUGCAGAUCCCAAAUUACCGAAGUCAGUUCCACGAGAGGUAAGGACCUCACCAAGUAUUGAGGAAGAAGCAGAGGUGAUGAGAGUAAGUAUUGGAGAAUCCUGGAUGGACCCGAUUCGCGCAUAUGUCCGCGAUGGAGUUUUACCAGAGGACAAAAGGCAAGCAAGAAAAUUAAAAUGCCGAGCAGCAAGGUAUACGCUACUAGAUGGAGUGCUGUACUGCCGAGGGUUCACCUUGCCCCUUUUGAGAUGUUUGGAUGAUGAGGAGGCGAAUUAUGUGCUGAGAGAGAUUCAUGAGGGAAUAUGCGGCAAUCACUCGGGAGCAAGAACUUUAGCCUUCAAGGCACUCCGGCAAGGAUACUUCUGGCCAACCAUGCACCAGGAUGCCAGAAGGAUGACCAAGAAUUGUAAAACAUGCCAAAGCUUCUCCGAGGUUCCUGCACAACCCCCGGAGAAACUGACGGCUAUGACAUCCCCAUGGCCUUUCGCUCAAUGGGGAAUCGACUUGAUUGGUCCAUUACCUAAGGGACGAGGAGCGGCGACACAUUCAAUCGUGGCAAUAGACUACUUCACCAAGUGGGUGGAAGUAGGAGUCCUCAGCCAGAUCACAGAGAGGAAGACAACAGAUUUUAUUUGGAAAAACAUCAUCUGCAGAUAUGGGAUCCCCUACGCCAUCGUCACAGACAAUGGGAGGCAAUUUGACAAUGGCAACUUCAGGGAAUUUUGCCGAAACCUGGGGGUGGACCUGAAGUUCUGCACCCCCGCACACCCCCAGGCAAACGGACAAGUGGAAGCAGCCAACAAAGUGAUAAAGAAGCUCCUAAAGACUAGAUUGGGGGAGAAGAAGGGAGCUUGGGUUGACGAGCUACCAGGGGUACUGUAGGCCUACAGGACAACUCACAAAACCGCCACAGGAGAAACACCGUUCGCUUUAGCUUUCGGUCAUGAGGCGGUGAUCCCAGCAGAGAUUGGAGUGGGGACACAUAGAACGGAACAUUUCGUUGUGGAGCAAAAUGACGAGCAGAUCUGCUUAAGCCUAGACCUGCUGGAGGAGAAAAGGGAAGGGGCCUCGCAGAAAGUGGCCCAAUGUCAGCAAAGGGUCAUGCGUUAUUACAACAAGAAUGUACGCGUGAGGCAGUUCCGAGCAGGAGAUUGGGUACUUAGGAAGGUGAACCAGAACACCAGGAAUCCUAACCAUGGCGCACUUGGCCCAAAGUGGGAAGGCCCAUACCGAGUGAUACGAGCCACUGGACCAGGAGCAUAUAAAUUAGCGUGCCAAGACGGACGAGACGUGAAGAGGUCAUGGAACGCCGAACACUUGAAGAAGUAUUUCCAGUAAGCAAAAUGCUCUAUUAAAUCCUCACUCUGGCAAGUUAUUUCUGUUACAAUGCCUGAUGGCCUGUCGCACAUGCAUAUAUUCUAUGUUUUUGUAAUACAUUCAAAUUUCAAUAAAGAUGAAUUCAGCAUGAAAUUCCCCUGCUAGCAAGAUCAAUAAAAAUUUCACUAAGGGAAGUGCUACUUCUGCUCGGUCAACGAAGACCAGCAGCUAAAUUCUCGAAAUUUUACUAAGGCAAGAGCCUACUUCUGCUCGGUCAACGAAGACCAGCAGCUAAAUUCUCGAAAUUUCACUAAGGCAAGAGCCUACUUCUGCUCGGUCAACGAAGACCAGCAGCUAAAUUCUCGAAAUUUCACUAAGGCAAGAGCCUACUUCUGCUCGGUCAACGAAGACCAGCAGCUAAAUUCUCGAAAUUUCACUAAGGCAAGAGCCUACUUCUGCUCGGUCAACGAAGACCAGCAGCUAAAUUCUCGAAAUUUCACUAAGGCAAAUCAGUGCCUGUUUCUGCUCGGUCAACGAAUGACCAGCAGCUAAAGCUACGAACACUCUCCUAAGGCAAGUGCCUACUUCUGCUCGGUCAACGAAGACCAGCAGCUAAAGCUUCGAAAAUUCUACUAAGGCAACAGAGUGAUUGUUUCUGCUCGGUCAACGAAAGACCAGCAGCUAAUUCUACGAGAAGUUUACUAAGGCAAGUAAAUACCUACACCUACUCGGUCCACUAAGAAACCAGCAGGCAAGAUCAGAUAAGUUGUGCAAUUAUUUUACAGAAACAGUCUAUAAGUAGACAUUAGACAAGGGAGCCAAUAAAGAGCAUCUAAAAAUUUAUUAAUGUUCAGUUGGUUACAAAACUAAUGAAAAUCUAAAGUCUAUACAAAAAUAGACCUAAGGAUUAGGAGGGUCAACGGCUUCAGCAGGUGAAGGAUCAGUUGUCCCAGAAGGUGGAGGAUCAGUAAUACUGGGAGGAGGCGGCAUGGAUCCUUGUCCCAUUUCAAAAGCACGCCCCCCAGCUACCCCCUCAUGCACCUCAUCUAAAGGAGCCUCCACCAGAUUCUGCUCACCAUGCUCCUUAUCUCCCUGUCCGACCCCAGCCAUGUACCUCUCCACUCCAGCCUCCAGCUUGCUCAUGUCCAGCUCGGGAUAUUCUUCCUUAAGCACAGACAUGAUGCACUUAUAGGAGAAGGCAACCCCAGAGUCAUACUCGGCAUCCAGCCGAUCGUCCACAUCAGCGGAUUUGCCUUUCUCCUCAGCCAGCUGCUCACCCAAGGAUUUGAUUUCCCCCUCAAGGGCAGCCCUCAAGGUAUCCCUUUCAAUUUGAGUAGCCUGAAGAUCAGAUCUCAGGUCGUUCAACUCGCCCUCAAACUUGGAGGAAGUGGACUCAGCAACAGCAACUUUCUCCUCAAGCUCCGUAAGCUGUUUGUUCAGCUCGGCCAGUUUCUCCUUGGAGCGGUCAGCAGAUUCAACUUUCUUUUUCAACUCCUGGUUAUCAGCCUGGAGCCUCUUCUCAUGACGCGCGGACCCGGUCUUGUAGCACGAGACCAUUGUGGCCAGCCUGAAGGAGACUCUCUGAACAGAAGCGGCCAACUCGGAGAGGCUCAUGCUCUCGAUGUCCUUUACCAUCUUGGGCCCAACCGACUUUUUAUAAUCCUUCUGAUAUGGGCUCAGGUAGUCACCUUGAUCCCGAGUUGGAAGAGGAGAAGAUCGGUCCCCACACUGCAAGCUGACCUCAGGACUCUUGUCGGAGGUUUUCUCCCCACCACUCUUACGAGGAGGAGGAGGGGGCAGAGCAGGAACAAGCGCCUUGGAAGGACCGACGCUGGGUUUCUUCGGAGGAGGAGGAGGGUUGCUGGAGCUACUCGGGCCCCGACCACGCUUCCUGCUCAUCGCGCUGAGGAUCUUGUUAUCCAUCCCGGCAGCUAUGUCAACUAAGCCCGAGCCGACCAAACUUGUUGGUGACAGGAGGUCUUGGCAGGUAGACGCGUUCAAUAGAGCCGUUUCCACCUGAAGCAAAGGCCGAUCUUCAAGCCCCCCGAUCAGACCCCACGACUCUGAAAUAGCACAGAAGGUUAAAGAACUCAAUAAGUAGCAAUCUAAUUAAGAAUACAGGCAAAAAUGAACGACCUGGGGUGACAAAAUGGGUGGGAAGAUAAAUGUCCCCACCAAGCGACCGAACCGCUGGACACCAGUUCCCUCCAGCAAAGAAGAAUUUAUUCUUCCAAUUUUUACAUGAAGAUGGAAACCCAGUGAUCGGUUUCCUCUUUGCGGAACUGGACAUGAAAUAGUACCAGCCUGCCUCCUUCGGGCUACUCCGCAGCUGGUACAGAUGCUUCACUUCAACAAGAGAAGGCUCCUCCGACCCACACCUCUCCCACAACACAAACAUUGCCGAGAGAACCCUCCACCCAUUUGGGUGUAGCUGACCUGGGGCCAGGUGCAUACCGCCCAGUAUCUUGGCAAAGUAGGAUUGAAGGGGCAGUCGAGCUCCUAGUCUGAAACUCUCCAAGUGCAUCGUCACAUACCCAUUCGGAGGCCGACUAGGGACAUCACCUUUUCCAGGAACUACAAGAAGAACCUCGUUGGGGAUGUUAUAGAGGUUCCUAAGUUUCAAUAGAUCAGUGUGGGUGGUGGCACAAGCCAUGAAAUCAAUAGAGUAGGAAUCAACCUCCACCUUAUGGCCUAGGUUCCUUUUCUGAGCAGGUCGGCUCGGUCCAGAACUGCUCCCCUCACCAUCACCAACUCCUUCAGGGAUCCCAACCCCACCAAAGCUGUGGUUCUCACCAGAGCCCGACGCAGGUCCACCUCUAUUCCCUACAAGCUCUAGUUCGGGGGAAGGAGAGAUAACCAAAGGGCGCGGGUAUUCAAGGGUAUCCCUGCCAUGGGGAGGACCUACACUACUGGAGGGGCCUAAGUAAUCAGUGGGUAUUGGCACAUUGAGGUCCGAGUCCCCUGACUCUUCAUCACCCUCAUCAACAAGUAACUUUCUUUUCCGGUUUGACAUAUCGGAAUUUCAAAAGAACACCAAAACAAACCCAAGUGCACGGAUACAAAAAGGGGCAACACAGGACCCAAACAACAACAGCCAAAGAAAAUGUUAAAGGCUAUACCUGGAAUAGACUGACACUGAUAGCGCUGCCGCGACAAAGAAAACACCCAGCAAAUGGAUACUCCGGACGCUGGAAGUAAUGAGCAAAGUUCAGAGAAAUUUUGGUUGACGGCGGAGAAGCGAAUAACAAGAUGAUGAUGACUCCAGUCUAGGGAUUUGAAACGAAAAGGGGGAAAUGGAAGCAUUUAAGUGAUGGGAUAUGCCAGCUCACCCCCCCCCCCAUAUAUCGAGGACGGAUAGCUCGUCGUUUCAAAUUUCAAAUACGAAGAGUCUGGAGAUGCCACGUCACCAACCGUUACAAGAGGCCAGGUUAGAUAUAAGCCCAGAUAUGCAAUGGACAUGUUCACUUAGGCCCAUGCUCAGGUCGGAGUCUCCCCAGAAGACCAGCUCCCCGGCUGGUGAGAUUUAACCAUCAGUUUCUGCUCUUAACUCAUUUCACUCGCCAGACCAGAAACUAGGGGACUGGUGUUGAGUACAUAAAGGCACCAAGUUAGCCAUGCUACUGUUUCCACCCCGGCACGGACCAUUUCAGCUAAGUGGUACGAGCAGAACACGGGGGCAAACAUGAGCCGAUCAGAGAUGGAUGCAACCAGGGAAAAAUACCGACCAGAAGUAUAUGCCGAGCCAGUACUCAUCCCCAGGAAAGCGGGAACACGAUCCCACAAAAUCGCGGUAGUUGCGCUUCUCCCAGAACGGUUGAAGGACACGCGAGAUCCACGUUUGCCCACAAUGUAACAGUUAGAGCUCCAUGAGGGGCUACGACCACCCGAAAAAGGAGGGAUAAGGGGCAAACGGAAAACGUGGGACAAAGGGCGGCUAUAAAAGAGAAAGCCAUCGAAGAAGAGGGGGACAGAAAAAUUAAGAGAGGGAAAACGCUGCCAAAUUGCAACCAGAUUAAUUUCUUACAGAUUUUGAACAAACUUCUUGAAUCCAAAUUAUAUUGUUUUCCCGUAAACACCUUGUGCUAACUUAGGCAUCAGAGGGUUUACGCCGGCAAAACCACCGGCGUCUCUGAUCCAUUUUUGGUGAACGCAGGUCUAGUGAGAGAAAGGAGGGUGAUCCCGGCCUUAGUGGUUCGAGUAACAGUCGAUAACUUAAGCGUUGGUGAAAGGCUCUGGUUGGUCUAAGGACGAGCAGAUUUCAGCAUCAACAGUCAUGUACACCAAAUUUAUCAAGAAUCCGUUUAUCUCUAGUGGUUAUAAUGAUUCUACUUCCUGGACCAAAUCGAUCAAGCCCGCAAGUUAAAUAUUGUAAUUGCCCAAUUUUAUUCACAUCAUCGAGAACUAUUAACACCUUCGUUCGCUGGAGCCUCGCUCUAAUAUUUUCAGGAAGACAGGGAGUUUCUAUUUUAAUAUUUUCUUCUAAAAUUUGAAAAAGAACUCGCUUUCGUAGAUACAUCAAUCCACCUCCUUUCUCUGAUUCUUCCCUCACAUUCGCCAGGAAGCAGUUGCCUUCAAAUUCCUUAUAAAUUAGGUUGAAAACAGCUCCGGCAAGUGUUGUUUUGCCUAUACCACCCAUUCCCCAGAUUCCUACAAUUCGGAAAUCUGGCCGACUGAUGCAUAGCAAUGACUUAAUUUUCUCAAUUCGGGAAUUCAAUCCAACGAGGCCAUCGAAGUUGGUUGAUACUGUUAUAUUUUCUAAUUUCUUCAAAAUAUCUUUGACAAUUACAUCUACAAGCUCUGCCUCAGACCUAGCAAAUGCAAAGAAAAAAAGAAAAUAGUCAGAUCUUACCAGGAGAGAAACAGAACAGUUAGACAUAUACUUUCCCUUUCUUAAUACAUAAUCUUAUAUACUCAGAAAGGUUAAGAGAUACCUGAUUGUCAUGGAAUUCCAUCCAGAUAGAUUAGAUGCUUCCGUCAAUGCAUCCCUCCAUUUCUGAACCUUUUCUGCCAUCUGUUUUUUAUGCUUAACAAAUGCAUCCCUGAAACUUCCGGUUUGCUUCCGCACAUCAGACGGAUCUACGUGGUAGAAAACAGGCACAACAAUUUGGCCAUUCGUGCUCUUGCAUUCAAGAAUCUUGACAAGUUCAUGCAAGCACCAUUUUGAAGAAGCGUAGUGCUUAGAUAAAACGAUCACCGAAAUCUUUGAUCCCCGAAUUGCGGUAAAGAGGGCAGGUGAAAUAUCAUCUCCUCGCCUAAUUUCAUCACCAUCAAUGAAGGUUUUGAUUUUCUUUCGACAUAAAGCUGCGUAGAGAUGGCUAGUAAAAUUGUCACGAGUAUCCUCCCCUCUGAAACUGAGGAAGACAUCGUAUUUGCUAGAAGAAGAAGACAAGGUCGAAGCCAUGAAGCAAAAUUCGGAAAAAGGUGCAGAGAAUGUAAUCAAUACAAGAAUAAAUAGAUUAGGUGCUCGGAGCUUUCUUUCUUUUAUUGAGUUUCCUUUUCUUCAGUUUUCCGUAGAUGAACUUACAACAAACCAUAAAUAAUAUCAUUUUCUCGAACAAUCAGAUGACCGUAUACAAGUUAGACGCUAUUCUCCAAAAAUACCUUAUUUAUAUGGCCGGCAGUUUAUUGUCGUUUAAGGCUUUAAGUUUAAGAAAUAGCACGUAAGUUAGCUGUAUAUAUCAUACGCAAGGCUUAUAAUGCCAACUGACACGUCUCUAUGAGCAGAAAAUGAGGCAGUGAAUAAUGAAUAUAUCCUAGCACACAAUAACUGACUUUGGCAGGUCACGAAUCCUUGAAUGCAGCUAGCCUCUCCUGCAGUCAUUCAAAGAAACAGAGAGAUUGGAAUUUACGAAAAGAAUUUGGACUUAAUGAAUAACAAACUAUUGACAAUUGUACCAGUAACCAAUAUAAGAUAACAGGAAAUCAGAAUCAAAGAGACACAAAAAGACCGAAAUAGAGGAUUCAUGUUAUUCAGCACCUUUCAACAAUCUGCAAAAUAUACAAGGUUACUUUUCGUUCCGAAACUCAUCAAUGCUACCAACAGAUCUCCUAGUGCAUAAAUUCAUCUCUUCUACAAAUUGUUAUUCUUAGGAGGGAACCCAUAAAUGAAUGCUUAUGUGGUUUGUAUCUUCAAAUUAGUGUAUUUUCUAUAUGCCUGGAGUCCAGCAAAGCAUAUGUCACAGCAAUGUAACAUCAACACUGUAGAAAGAUUUAUAGUUAAUUUGUAAAAAGAUAUGCGCGCGCCUAGCAAAAUAAUGGCUAUUACUAUUCUAUAAUUAUGCAUCAGAAUGGAUAUUGAUUGAUCGAUAACAAUGUUAAAUAGUAUGCAAAUUGUAGGAACCCUUAUAUAAAAGCUUUAGGGAACAAUCAUUUGCUCAAAUCAUGUAAUUAAUAGCAAAGGAGAAACAGGAGAGAUACGAAAAAUUUGCAUAAAAGGGAAAAAUGAUUAUGUAAUUGUUCAAUAAUUUUAAUUGAAACGUUCAUGAUAUACUUGUAGUUUAAAGAAAACCACCCCUUGUAACCUCAUCACUCACAUUUAUGGUUGGCAAAAUUUCUCGAAACCCGAUCAAGAUUCAGGAUCCCAGCCAAUUCGGGACAGGAUUUGAGACAAAAAAAUUUCUGAUUUACUGUUCGAGUCGGAAUUCAGCACAUUUGAAAAUCUUGAAUGGGAUCCCGAAGGUCCCAAAAUCUAGGUUUCUAGAAAUAUAAGAGAAGUCAUAUAAUGAAUCACAUAAAUAUGAAAUGUCGGUCAAUAUGAAUGGCAAAUCGUUGUAAUUACUAAUAUAUAUGUAUGUAUGUGUGCGCGCGCGCGCGCAUAGAAGUAUGACAUGUUAUUUGAAACAGAAUCUAUAUUGUAUAAUAGAAACUCAUGCCAUCUAGGACAACUCGGGAUCCCAAUUAGGAUGGGAUCAAGAUACUCUUUUGCCUUGAUUUACUGUUCGAGACUGGAUUAGAUUGGCAGAUCCUAACUUGUCCCAUCUCGCUGCCAACUAUAUUUACAUCCUUUCAAAGUGAUUCCCAUUAUCUGCCCCCUUCCAUUAGCUUAAUUUUCAACAAAAGCUUUAGGCUACAUUUGGAAGCUCGGAUUGAACUGGAUUAAUUGUCAGGAUUAGAUUAAAUUGAUUAAACUUUAUCACACAAUAAUAUUUUUUAUUUGUAUAGGACUGUACUAAAUUUAAUUUAAUGAAGUUAAAAUUACUAAAAAUGGUAUAUUAUUUUUAAAAUUAUAUUAUUAAAUAAAUAAUUGAAUAAACAAACACAAAUUAACAUCAUUGCUAACUAUUUCUUUACCAUGCCAUACUUUUUGUGUGCGAGUAAAAUUUGUAGGCAUUUUUUUUCAUUCUAAGCCACAUCAAGCACUUGGCCCAUUUAUGGGGUAUUCGCCUUUUUAGAAGUCAGUGUCACUGCUAAAUAUUGUUUGGGUGAUAAUCUACAGAAUAAUCAGAAUUGUUAUAUUUAUGAAGAAUGUGAGCAGGAAGCAUUUUAUAAGUAAUAUAGAUAAUGUAAAGACAAGAGCUAUUAUGAUAAAGCCAAAGAGAAAUAAUGUAAGAAGUUGUUUUGGUAUCAUAAUCGCACACAUCACUUGCAAGCACUAUGGCUAUUUAUAGCAAAAUCUCCACCCGCUAUCAAUCAGUGUGAAUAAAGAAAACAACAAGCGGUGUGCAAAAGGAUCAUUAUGCUUUGCGUUUGUGGAGGUCAGUCUCAGGCAUGUAAUGUCAACCACUAAUAAGACUUAGAUGAUUCGAUUCGGUGGAUACGACAAUCCAAAAAGUGAAGGAGCUAUGGUUUAUUUCAACAGUUACUAAACUUAUCAGGAAUCAAAAUUCUCAGAGUGCUGGUUGAAAUUGGAUUAAGGACAGUGAUGAAAUUGUCGUUGUACAACACUUCUGGUGAAUUUGCAACCGCAUCUCACUUCUCUACAUAUUAUGAAAUACGAAAAGAACAUUUGUAAUGUGACUACAGGACAUAUGGUGUCUGAGUUAGCUAAUUGUUCAAUAUUUUCCCUUGUCCUUGGUCAUGAUAGUUACAUCCACAGGAGCAAUAGAUGGGAGGUUGUAUUUCAAAGUUCAAACAGAAAAUUGUAUAAGCUGCUCUCAAUAUUACAAGGAAUCUGAAGGAUUAUAUGCAGCAACAAAGGAAAAAUCAUGUGAGGUAAAAAUUCACUUGUACCAAAAUUUCACUCACGCUUGCAAAAGAUCCAUUAGGAGCAACGUAAACUCAAAACACAGGGAUUUUACAAAACUCUAAAAUUAUGACAGCUAGAGUUCUGGAAUUGCAAUGCCUAAUAAAUAUGAUCAAAAGGGUUUGCCAAGGCAGAAGGCAGAGUUAUUCCCUGCGCUGUCCAUCCCAUCUCAUAACUCUCAAUAGUAUAGUGGUGGGGUGUCGCUGCUGUAGCUCAAACAGACUCCGCAUUUUUAGUAGAAGAUAUAAUAAGUUUUAACCCCCUUAUAGAAUUAGUUAACUUUGGAUCCUUCUUUUGAAAAAUAAGUCAUGAUCAAACCAUAAAAACCCCCUUCAUAGAAUAUUUUUGUGGGAACCAUCAAUCAGAUAACCUGAUGUUGCCAAAAUCUAGAAGAAUAUAUUAGAAAAUAUAUUAUUAAGACAAAGCAUCAUCUAUAAUAUAUAUAUAUAUAUAUAUAUAUAUAUAUAUAUAUAUAGCCUAUGCCUGGGAUUUGUUGAAGUCAUCUGAAUGCGUAGCUGGUGCCUUCACUACCAUCGUCUUCAAAAUCAGUUAGAAGAGGUAGGCUUUUUACAUCUGAAUUCAGAAGAAUUGAAGUUGACUCUGAUGCUUUCUUUUAGUUGAGUUACAUAAAAAUCAGGGCAUUAACCAAAUAUAUUUAAUGAAUAUAUACUAAAUUACUAAGCAAGGAACAGUGAGGGAAAAAGAAAAAACAUAAACAUGAUGUCUAAAAUGUCACAACCGAAGCACCUGAAAAAAUAAUCAGAGGGAUUCCACAUAGCAGCAAGGAAAAUUCUGCUUGCGCACUAAACAUUCUUGCUUCAUAUGCCGCCAACAAAAUUUAAGAGCUUGUCCCCAAAAGCAAGCUAUAUCAGUCCUCGAAUCUCUAGAGAGAAUGACGGCAGUCCAUAUGUGAGCAAGCACCAGAAAUUAACAUCAAAAAUGCAAAAACUGAAUUUAAUCAUCAGUAAAUAUAUAUUAAGUUAUAAAUACAAGGCUAACCUUCCUGUGUUCUACUGCACUGAUGAAAUGGUACUGAAUCUUUCAUGAAAAAAGUGAGAAAGAGGGAUGCGGGAUCUUUGCUGCUAAGUGUUGAUUUACUCUCUGCUGCUCCCACUUAUAACUAUGAAAUAUGUAAUUGGAACAUAUAAAGAAACAGAGUGAUUCCCAUUCAUAGAAGUAUUCACUUGUUUACUCCAAUUGUUAGCUACAUACAUAUAAUAACUUCUGGAGAUAACGAAAAUCCUGAAACUGGGGAAAAAAAAUGUAUUAAUUUCUCUCAUUCUCAGACAAAUGAAAAUCAAUACAACAUUCUGACUAGCUAAGAUAAAAUUGCACAUAGAUAAAUUAUUUGUAGGACGAGCAAAAAGUGAAAUGAUGUCUUUCAGGAAAAAAAAAAACUUUACCCUUGUUCUUUUAACAUUUUGACAUUAAAGCAAUCUAAGAAAAAGCCUUCAAUGAAUUAUUUGCCUCAAGACUCUUCUUGUUUUUCUGCUCUUCAAACUUUUCUGUAGAAGCUGGAUGUUUAUCCACACGUUCCAACAGCUCUUGCAAUGUAUAAAAACACCCCAAAACAAACUUAGUGUCUGUAGUAUACACUUUAUUCUAUUCUAUAUAUACUGUUGAAUCACAAAACAGUUUUACUUAAUAAUUUCUUUGGUGGCAGCAAUUCAUAAAUACCAACAUUUAUUCACAAAUGCAAAAACCAUAUGGGAACAAAGUCCGCACAAAACAUUGAGAGAUGAUACAAAACUCCAGAAUUAUAAGAGCUGGAGAUUGGAAUUGAUGGACCAAGGAAAAGACAAGAUCAGAGGGAUUCCUCAAAGAACGACAGGAAGUUCUGCUUGUGGAAAGAACUGCAUUUACAUUAUAACAUCAAAACUGUUUCUAUAUGAAUGUAAUGUUCUUGCCUUGUAAGCUUCUGAAGCCAGACCAAUAUCAACAAUUUUCUCCCUGAAAGCAAGUACAGUAGAUCAAAUAGCUCAAAAAUGCCACUUCUAUAUGCCUGUCAGUUGAAGCGAUGUCUGUCCUGCUUGCAGUAUGAAAGCGAAAACUGUAACCAAAAGCAAGAUUCAGCUAUUGAAAUUUAAUCUCGUAUCUCAAAAGCACAACCAUCACAAAAUAUUUGACAUUACAACAUAAAUAAGCAGGAGAUACCAGAUGCUACUUUAUUUGUAAUGGACGAGAUACAAAGAUGAGGAAAUAGUAAUUAACUGGAGCCAUGGACUUACACAAGAAACCAGAAUAUGAGAAACCAAGAAACUCAUUUGUUAAGGAGUGUCGGGUUGGUAUCUGCAAAUUCUCUUGGGACUUGGUUCAACUUCCACUUCAUCAGAUCUGUCUAAACUUUUGGAAGUUCUAGCCCUUUCAGAGCAUUGAGCUUCACUGCUGGCAGAAAAUUUUAAAGUAAGAGUUGUGGGCUUUGUCUUACUGGGAUUUAAAACUGCUGGACACACACCACAACAUUUCAGCUUAUGAAGUCUUGGGCUUGCUAAGUAUGGAUAGUAAAGGGAGAACUGAAAUGAGACUGUUGUAUGGUGGCCAACAUCAGGAUCAGGCAGCCCAACAUUCCAACAGGGAGAAAAUCCAAGUAAGACAUGAUCUGACUCAAUGAACUCGUCAGCAAAUAAUUGGCAAUAGUCAUCAGCAUGUUUGGUCUCAGAGGGAGUCUUUAUUUCAAAAUUAUAGUGACAUGUGACAUAACAUUCAUCAGCAUCAGCAUCAAAACCUUCCUCAAGUUGAAUAACAACACAAAGAGCAAAUCCGAUAAAGUUUUUGUUACAACAAUGCGGUGACAGUUGAAUAGCUAUUGAUGAGCCAGAACUUUGAUAGCUAAACCAGUCAGGAAUUUCACUUCCAGGUAAACAAAAGUUGAAUAGUAAUGGAUCAUUAAAAUCCUGUUACAUGAAAUUCAUGAUUUCAUCAGAUGUAACAACGAGAUAAAGAGAGGAAAAAAUUGGGACAUAUAUACCUUAUGCUGAAUUUUUUGUUGAAAUUGUCUCAGUAAUGCAACUACCAUAUGCUGAAUUCUUUGUUGUGAAUCUGCCAAAAUGUUGUUCCCACUUUUAUUCAGUUUCAGGCAAUUCGUAAACAUGAAGUAUGUUAACUUCCUUGAUGCAGUUAGUUGGAAGUGUUUGGAUAGUGAUUCCAGUAUGGAUGUAUCUAGUUCUUCUGGACAUGAUGGAAGCUCUGGCAAAGAUUGGAGCUGCUUGCAAUUCCUUGCUUCAAUAUGACUUAGAAGAACUGGGAGCUCUGGUAACGACUGAAGCAUAUUGCAAUUUCUCAAUUCAAGAGUUCUCAGCCGUGAAAGUUGCUUGAUACUUAUAGGUAAACUCACCAGGUUAUUUCGAGUUAGAUGUAAGCUUUCCAAUGAGGAUAGACAGCCAAUACUUGCAGGUAAACUCUCCAACUUAUUUUCAACUAGAUUCAUUCUUGUCAAAGAGGAUAGAGAGCCAAUACUUGCAGGUAAACUCCGAAAGUUAUUUCCACGUAGAUUUAACUCUUUUAAUGAGGAUAGACAACCAAUAUCUUGCGGAAUUUCCAUUAUGGCACAGUAACUUAAAUCUAGCCGUACCACACGGGAUAACAUAUUGUUGACAUUCUGAAAAUACAAGGGAAAGUAAGACAAGCUUUUGCAAUUUGAAAGAUUAAUUCUCUCAAGAUUUGGGAUUUCUGACGGUUCUAGCAUCCUGGUGAGAUUGUCGGAGUGGUGGAGGUCAACAGAUUGUAACUUGAGAGCUUCCUGUUACAAAAUGAUAGAUAAUUACUGUAUUAAAUUAGUACCAAUAAAUUUCACUGUUGAUAAUAUAUAUACACACACAUAUACACACACGAAGAAAUAAAAAUGAAUAAUUUGGUAAUAGUAUUACAUUAUACCUUUUCUCCUUCCCAAAUUUGCUCAACUUUACUAUAAGGCAAGUUGAGCUCAAUAAGGUUCUCUGGUUCAAAAUCAGAUGGCAAUGUUUUCAAAGGAUAUUCAUGCCAGUGGAGAUAUCUCAAUUCCUCGGGAAGAUAUUCCAGCCUUGAUUAAGAUGUACUUUAGAACUCAUAAUUGGAGCAUCGUCAUGCUCAGGCAUAUAUAAUUUCAGGAAUCUAAGUUUCGACAUAUUUGCAAAGACUCGAGAACUUAGCUGUAUGUCUCUUAUUUUGGACAAAUUGAGGAAUAUACCUUCAAUUGCAUCAGUCCCCUUAUAAACACAAAAGCAAAGUAUGAAUUAGCAUAAAAUUCACAAAUAAUUUGAUAAAGAGCUCCUUAAUUUAAGACAAUCUGCAGUCAUUCAAUAUUAUUUUUUCCAACAUCAACAAGAAUCGCUGAGCUAUUUGCACACUUUUAGUUCUUUAUUACAGCCAAUAUCUUCCCAAAACUUUACUAAGUUCGAACAAUAUAUUACAUUCUAAAAACCCUUCAAUGUUGCAAAAUUGUAAAUUGUACUGUAAACUUGUUCUCUUGACACACACUAGUUACCCUCAUCUCCUUCUAAUCAUCUUCUACAAAUUUUUUCCCCUAAAAGAUGAGAAGAGAAAGUUUAAUAAAACACAGUUAUUACCCAUUCACUGAUUGCAAUGGUGCUAUCAUAAAAUACAACUUACUAGAGCAAAAGUGAAAACACGUGGUUUCGGAUAGGAAAAUUAUAGCUGUUCAAGCCCCACCCCAAGAAAAAAAUAAAUAAAUAGAUAAAUUCUUAACCUUAUUUUUCUUCAGUACAUGAUAGACAUCCUCAUGAUACCAUAAUCUGCUACGUUUGCCUGGCUCUUUGACAAAUUCUUGGCAAACAAUUUCUCGACCCAUUUCUUGCAAUAAGUCAUGCAUUUGCAACUUGUUGGAAUAUGAUAAUGUUAUGAGUGACUUAUGAACAAGCACAUUCAACACACAAUUAGAGACCUCUAGUAUUCUUAGCACAAAAUCUUUAUCUUCUCCUGCAAAGAAGCAGGCAAUGUCUAGAAAUAUAUUCUUCUCUUCUGACUUUAGUUCAUUAUAACUUAUCUUUAGCACAUCAUAGAUAUCGGGGUCUGAAAUCAUUUUUAAGUUCUCCAAUGCAUUUUCCCAUUCAAGUUUGCUCUUCUGGUGAAGGAAAGAACCCAACACUCUAAGUGCUAAUGGAUUGCCAUUGGCAUAUUUAACCACACGCUCUAAGAGCACCAAUAGGUCAUCAGGGCAAUAGUCAUGUUUAAAGGCAAAGUUGUGGAAGAGCUCAAGAGCUUCAUGAUAUUUCAAUCCAUUAACCUCAUAUAUGUUAGUAUUAAGUACUCCAAAAUUAUCAAGAACCUGCUUAUCCCUAGUGGUUAUAAUGAGUCUACUCCCUGGACCAAAUUGAUCAAGCUCACCAGUUAAAUAUUCUAAUUGCCUAACUUUAUUCACAUCAUCAAGGACUAUAAAUAUCUUCAUCUGUUGGAGCCUUUCCCUCAUAUAUUUAGGAAGAUCAGGAGUUCUUAUUUUUAUAUUUUCAUCUAAUACUUCAGAAAGAACUUGUUCCCGUAGAUGAACCAAUCCACCUCCUUUUUCUGAUUCUUCCCUAACAUUUGCCAUGAAGCACUUGCCUUCAAAUUCCCAAGAAAUUAGGUUGAAAAUUGCUCCGGCAAGGGUUGUCUUCCCUGUACCACCCAUGCCCCAAAUUCCAACAAUUCGAAAAUCUGGUAAUCGGAUACAUAGCAAUGAUUUGAUUUCCUCAAUUCUUGAAUUUAAUCCAACAAAGCCAUUAAAAUCACUAGAGAAUGAUCUAGCUUUUAAUUUCUUCAAAAUAUCAUUGAUAAUUUCAUCUACAAGUUUUGCCUCAGGCCUACCAGUUGUGAAAACAAAAGCAAAUUAAUAAUAAUGAGUCAAGUGUUAUGAUAUAAUCAAUUAAUAGAUAUAAUCAAUUAUACCUGAUAUUCAUGGAAUCCCAUCCAGAUAGGUUUGAUGCUUCGGUCAAUGCAGCCCUCCAUUUCUGAACCUUUUCUGGCACAUCCUUGAACUGUUUCUCAUGCUUAACAAACGCAUCCCCAAAAGUUCCAUUUUGCUUCCGCACAUCAGACGGAUCUACGUGGUAGAAGACAGGUACAACCAUUUGGCCAUUCAUGUUCUUGCAUUCAAGAAUCUUGACAAGUUCAUUCAGGCACCAUUUUGAAGAAGCAUAGUCCUUAGAUAAAAUGAUCACCGAAAUCUUUGAACCUUGGAUCGCAUCCGAAAUGGCAGGCGAAAUAUAAUCUCCUCGCCUAAGCUCUUCAUCAUCAAUGAAGGUUUUGAUUUUCUUUCGACACAAAGCAGCAUAUAGAUGGCUUGUAAAGUUAUCCCGAGUAUCCUCUCCUCUGAAACUGAGGAAAACAUCGUAUUUGCAAGAUGAAGAAGAAGAUGUUGAAGCCAUGAAGCAAAUUCUGUAAAUUUGAAAAGAGAAGGUAGAGAAUAUAACUUUAAAAUUAAGUUGUGAAUUGAUUGCGAGUUGAUGAAAGAAUAAGAAUUAUGAAGUAAAUAUGCAAUUAAGUGCUUGGAGCUUCCUUUUCAUCAGCCUACUUUCAAUUAACAAUUAAAGACAAACGAGUCAUUUUCUCGAACGGUUGGUCGACAAGUUUGCCAAAGCAGCUCUAGUUCCUCAUACUUAUAAACGGCCGAGUGCCGACCAUUUAGAAGAUCAAUCAACUGAAGGUCUAAUAGUUGAAGAAGUAUCAAAGAGAAAUUAUAAUAAAUUAUAAUUGCGCGUUUACAAAAGACUUUUUAGCCAACUUCGUAAGAGUUGCUUACCAACAAAUGUGAUUGGAUCAUGAAAUCUUAAAAGUUCUGUGAGUUGCUGACAAUCAAAAUGGAAUAUUAACUUACUUAUAAUAUUCAAAAUCCAGAUACAUCUUAAAUUACCUUGAUAGAGUGUUUACUUUCUUUGGUUAUGGAAUUUUUUCAUGCUUUUUCCAUGCUAUCUGCCCCAGAGCGUUUUGCAGAGUAAAUUACCUUGAUAGAGUGUUGACAUUAGAGCGUUAACCUGCAAGACGUUCCGCACAUUAUUUAUGCGUUAACAGCAAGACUGGGGUCGGUAUUGAUUUUAUGAUGAAACCGCACCGACAGUUCACUAGAAAUGAACUUGUAACUCGUACUGGUUCAAUUUUUAUCGUUGGGUUUGGUUUGGUUCACUUCAGAAAUUUGAUGUUCCUUAAAAAUUUUUAUGGAUUUAUUUUUUUUUAUAAAAGAUAAAUUUUGGAUUUUUUUUAAUGAAUUGAUUAUUUUUAAAUUAUUCUUUUUUGUUUUUGAAAUUCUUAUUCAAACGAUAAUCGAAAAUGAGAAUCAAUUGAUGAAAUUUUUUUGUCUUAUUAAAAAUAAAAAUAAAUUAAAAUUUUUAAAAAUAAUAAAAUAAUUGAUGAUAAUCAAUUUACGACCGAUAAGAAGGAAAACUAACUUCAAUUUUAUGCUUUUACAAAGUGAAAAUUUUAGAAAAUGUAUGUUAAUUUGCAAUCUAUUUUUUCUAUAACACGAUAUGCAAUCUAUUUUUUCUAUAACACGAUAAAUUAACUCAAAGGAAAAUUUAAAUCAAUUUUCGAUAAGAUAGUAUAGUACACGCGUGAAAUUAAUUAGACAUGUAAUGUUAUUGAUAACAUGGGUAAAUUGCCUUCGCGGACAUUGUUCUUAUCAUUAUUGAGGAAACUUUCAACGGUAAAUUACCUUCAUGGACAUUGGAUUGGACCUUAGUUUGGGCUUCAUGGGUCGUCAGCCUUUUGCUGGGCUCUUGUUCCAACUACCCAUAAUGGAAAAUUAACUACGGCUUGACAUAGUUGAUGCGGUCGCUACUCUCAAAUAUUACAAGGAAUAAAGAUGUUCAAAUCUCAAUGAAAUGAAUGCUAAUAGAACUCAACUUACUCUGGUAAGCUGGCAAAGAAACAUCUUUAUUUCUCUAUUUUCACCCUUUAUAGCAUAAGAUAAAGCCCUCAAUCGUUUUUUUACAUCAAUUGGUUUGCUUGGUACUCCGCUCUUCGAACUAAUCAAUUGCUUCGCAAAUGUUAUCCGUGCCACCAAUAGCUCUUAUAUUGCAUAAACUAUAAGUGCAGAUAGAGGAAAAAUCAUGUGGGAGAUAAAAAUUUAUAUGCACCAACAUUGCGUUCGUGUUUGCAAAAGAUCGUAUGCAGGCAACGUACACUUAAAACAUACUUGUUCAUUCAUUAUGGACAAAACUAACUACAAAGGCUCGUUUGUUCAUUGCUUGAGCAAUAAAGAGUAUGCUGCAAGGUCAUCCAGCAUGAGCUUGACAUUUCAUAGAAUAUCUUAUCCUCUCCAAGUUUGAAUUCAGGUGGUAAAAUUAUAACAAUUAUAAAUAUUGUAAAAUAACCUGUAUAAUUAUAUGGCUUUGUCCUCGUCAAUGACAUCAAUCUUGAGGAAAGCUCGUGAAUCAUUUUAUAAUAUGCACCUUUAGUAGUAAAAGAAUUAUACAAUGAUACUAUUGUGUGUUUGAGAGUUUGAGAACUUGAAUUAUUUCAUUAAAUUCCUAACUAAUUUGUACAAGACUACACUGGACAAGUGAUUGACUAAUAAUAGCCUAAAACUAAGGAAUACAUAUGUAAUUUACAAAAAUAAAAAAGCUGACAGUUGACUAAGAAUAUUACAAUUGAUUUUUAAUAGAAAUAAAAGAUUUGUGCCAAUUCUAAGGUGGCUGAUUCUGGCUUGCAUGAUCCUUGGGUAAUUGCAUAGAAAUAGAUGGACCUUCCACUCUUGUGGAAUAAGGAUCAAUUGACUCAAAUAGAAAUUUUGCUUCAUUAAAAUGAACAUGUCGAGAUAUAAAAAGAUAUUAGUAGAGAGAUCAAGACAUUUAUAGGCAUUUUGAGAGUAGGAGUAACCUAAAGAGACACAUGGUAGGGAAUGAGAUUCAAGUUCAUUGGUGGUGUAUAGUUUUAACCAAGGAAAACAUUGGCACCUAAAGACCCAAAGCUUAGAGUAGUUUGGUAGCAUACCAAACAGUUUUUCAAAGGGUGAGAUAUUUUGAAAUUUGAAGGACAGAUGUGGGGAGACGGUUUAUUAGAUAAAUAGAUGUUUGGAAAGCAUGGCUCCAAAAGGCUAAAUAUAGAUAUGCUUUGUGAAGAAGAGUGAGACCGGUUUCGCAAAUGUGUAGAUGCCUACGUUAUGCCAUUCUAUUGUAUUGAGGGGUAUGUGGGGGCGUAGUUAGGUAGGUUAUCCCAUGUGAGGCAAAAAAUCCUUUUAAUUUGAUGUAUUCUCUUCCUUCAUCAAAGUAAUAGAUGUGACAGAUGUUUUAAAGAAUUUUUCAACAAGUUCUUUAAAUUUACAAAAAAAGUAUGAAAAACAUCAAAUUUAAGACGCAAGGGGUAUAUCUAUACGUAUUUGUAAAAUCGUCUAUAAAAAUAAUGUAAUAGCGAUACCCAUCAAUAGAUUCAAUUGGUGCCGAACCCCAAACAUCUAUAUAAAUUAGAUCUAAAGGCACUACAAGAAAAAUGACCUACCAUGACAGUCCUCUGUGUGACAGUUUUUGGUCUACAGAGCUACUACGAUAGAUGGAUGAUAAAUUUUUUUUCUAUAAUUCAUUUAUGACAUACUUGUGAUAGAAAUUUCAUCUAUCAAGCACUUAUGAUAGACUGAUGAUAAAUUAUUUGGUUAUCAAGAAGUAAUGACAAGUUUGUGAUAUAAUUUAGAUCAUCAAGUAGCUUUUUUAUUUUGACUUUAUUUCACAAGGUUGACUGAAAAUUUUAAAAUGAAUGAAAAAAAUAAAUAAAGAAUAAACGGUACCAUUUGGAUUAAAAGUUUCUCUUUGGACAAGAAACGACACCGUUUAGAUUGAAGCUAAAUAAAAACAAAACCCUCUUCAGUUUUCACUAAUCGAAUUUUUUUUCCCUAAGUGUCGACACUCUCAGUCACUCUCGUCUCUCGCUCAGUCACUCUCGUCAAUCUCACACUCACAAAGUCCUUUUCACCCGAAAUCCUUGCAUGGGCACUGAACCACUGCCGCCAUUCUCUUGUAUUUGACUAUCAAUUUUGGCUCUCACCGAGAACUAUAUGGAAUACCCACCAAACGCAUGUGCUACUACUAUUGAAUUUCAAUACCCUAACUGAGAGCCCACGCUCACCCACUAUUGUAACCGUUCGAUCAAUACAGGUAAAUAAUAUUUCUAGUGUUGUGUUCCAUUUCAAUUUUAAUGUUCUUGUCAAACUCGAACCCUAUAUAUGUAAACUUAAAAACCCUAGAUGUGUUCUUGUCAAAUUCGAACCCUACACACCUAAAUCUUGUAAAACCUAGAUGUUUUCUUGUCAAAUUUGAACCUUGUACGUGUAAAACUUGAAAAUCCUAGGUGUGCUCUUGUUAAAUUUGGAUCUAUUUGAUUGGUCUUCUAUGUUUCUUUAUUUAUGGAAUUUUAAACAUUUAUUUGAUUUUUUUGGAAUUUAAUUAUUAUAGUUUUAUUGUUAAAUUAAUUUGAUUUAGGCUGUAAAGAUCCUUGCCAAUUUAAUCGUGAUGGGUGUUGGGAUAUUGUCUAGGCUGCUUUAUCAUUGGGGUUUUCUAAUAACUAAUUUUUUUUUUCACUUUUUUGUGGAUGCAUGGAAUUAUAUAUAUAGAUAAUUCUCAAAUUCGUUCACUGUGAUGCAAAGUCUUUUUUUUUUUCAAUUUCAUUGGUUAAAUUCACUAAUUCGUUGAAAUUAGUGGUGAUUGUGGGCCGAGUCGCAUGUGCAGGAAGUGGUGUCAGGUCUGGGCGCACAUUGAGUCAUGCACUUGGUGGGCAAUUGGUAUUGUUUCUAUUGUGUGUGUUGGAAAUAAUGUCAAUAUCAUCCAACCAAUGUGUGUUUCUAGUGGCUGUUUUUGCACCGAGCAGAUAAUUUAUUAUUACAUCAGAGUUCCCCAUCCCUUGUUUCUCUUUUGGGUAAUGCAGGUAUUGACUAGUUCAUUUCCAUUUUCAUUUGUCUUGAGGGAAUGUUAUCAAUUUUUCGAUCUUACAAGAUAUUGAUUGAUACAUAUGUGUACAAUACAUUAAAAAUCGUUAAACAUUUUGCUCUUAGUUACAAUUUUGAAUGAAUGUCACAUGGAAAGAUCCUUUAAGAAUAUCAAUAGUAUUGUGGUUUCUACUCAAUUUCCACUCUCCGCACUCAUAUGAGCAUGGUUUGAAUCUCAAGCCUUUUGUACCAUUCAAAAAUUUAUACCAAUUAACAACAUAGCUUGCUAGCACCACAAAUUGUUUCAACUCCAAGGCAGAGAAUUCCUAGAAGAUAUAUACAUAUUGAUAUAUACUUGCAUGUAGCCGUAUGCUCACUACCUUCGAAUUGGGGAUAUAGUCACUAUUUUUGUAUUCCCUCCAAGUGUUUGAUAAAAAGCAUGAAUGAAUCUUGGCUUGGCUCUUUAAUUGUUGCAGGCCAUUUCUACCUAUGAGGAGCGAAGGAAUAUGAAGCUUAUUAUAUUCAUUCACAAAGCAAAGCUGAUACAAUUCAUGGCAAAGCUUGAUGAGGUGUUUUAUUUAAUCUUGCUCAUGAGAUCAAUUACCUAUCUUGUUGGACUUUAUUCUUGUAAUUAAGGUCCAUCCAAAGUUGAUGGCUUGUUUGUCAGAAAGAUAAUCUGAAGGCUAUGAUUGAUUACUUGCGGGCCGAUGGAAAUGUCUCCAUGAUUGGUUUAUGAGGUUGUUAAAUUACUAAAUAGGUAUAUUUACUUUUCAUGAGCUUUAUCUUCGUUUUUCCAUUAUGGAAAUGUCUCUAUGAUUGUAACUUUUAACACGUGGAACUCUUGAACCCUAUGUUUAGUUAUAUACUUAUAUUGGGACUUGUAUAAAUUAAUAUGAUGGUUUUAUUAUUAUUAUUAUUAUUAUUAUUAUUAUUAGUAGUAGUAGUAGUAGUAGCAGCAGCUACAAAAGAUCAAAAGAACUUAAAGGUGUGGCUUGUGGCUUUCUUGCUGUUUGGGCUUUAACUGCUGCCUCACUUGUCAUUGUUGCUAAUCUGGUGUGCCACGUCCAUUUCAGUGUAAUUACAUAAGUUAGUUUGCUUGAUUAAUUAAUUAAUUAGUUAGUGGAUUGAAUAGCCAGAGUACUACAUUUUGCAUAGGUCUGAUGCUGGAUGAAUUUUCAUGCUUGGCUUUGGGGCUGCUGGAUUUUGCUGCUGGAAGACUAGAUUUUGCAAUUUUGUUGCUGGAAGACUACAUUUUGUGUAGGUUUGUUGCUGGAUGUUGUUGAAUGCGGAGUACUUUGCUUGGUUUUGGAUUGGCCUUUGUUGUCUAUUGGCUCGACUUUGGAAUAUGGAUUAACUAAUGUAAUGUACUUUGGAUAUUUUUAUGGUUAAUAAAGUUCACUAAUUUAGUUCAUUAGUUUUGGAUUUAAUUGCAUUUAGUAAUUUAUUUUCUUUCAUAUAAUUUUAAUAAUUUUAAUAAUUUUAAUUUUUAAAUUUCAUAAUUUUUAUUUUAAAUUAAUAAAUAAAAUAAAUAAUCAAUUUUUUCAAAAAAAAUGUGAUAGAAAAUACUAGUCAUACACACAAUUGAUAUCCCAAAAAAAAAUACAAUCCAAAAAUUUCUAAAAAAAUGAAAAUAUAAAAUAAAAAAAUAAUUUCCCUCUUCUAAGUAGUAUGACAUAAUUAUGAUAGGUAAAAUCUAUCACAACUUGUGACGCGAUUUUAUCUGUCAUCUUUUCUUGACGCUGGCUAUAAUGACAGUAAGGAUAACCGUCAUCUACCCCCUAAGAUGACAGUUUUUACCUAUCAUAAUAGGUCAUUUUUCUUGUAGUGAGGAUCUUUACUAGAUAAAGUUAUACCCCAAUGGAAGUUUAUGGCUUUUAUUACAGGAGCAUGAAGCUCAUGACUUUAAAGAGUAACUAGGUGAUGUAGAUGGAAGAGAUUGCUUUUUAAUAAGAAAUAUAAGGACUCGAUAUAAAGGAUACCAGGACGGCGAUGUCAGUCACAAGCUGAAAGCUUAAUGCCCAUGAAAGACACUAGCUAGUUUGGUAUGGGAUAUGCCAUGCAAUAUCGUCGACCACUCAUAAAUAAUACUUUUAUUUGGGCCUUGUAGAAAAGUGGCCUUCGUGCCCAGAUCCUUCACACAAAAAUGAUCAAGUAAGAAUUCGAUAGAAACAUUAUCGAUCUUACAAAAUUGAGAGACAGAAAUUAAGUUUCGUUUUAUAGAGGGAACACGGAGGAUAUUAUUUAAAGAGUGUGAGUGUGAGGGUGAAGAGAGUUGGGUGUAAGUGUAAGGGUGAAGAGAGUUGGGUGGCCCCAACAUGUGUGAUUGGUAAACCAAAACCAUUAUCUAAAACAACAUCAUCAGGCCCUUCAUAUUGUGAAUGCAAGGGAAGGUUUUGUAAGUCAGCAAUAAUGUGAUGAGAAGCAAUAGUAUCAAGCAUCCAAUUUGUAUUUUUACCAGUGCUAUUGGAGAAGGAUGUCAAGUUAGCAAUACGUUUAACUUUUAAGGCCAACUUAAGUUUGGGACAUCGCUUUGCUAUAUGCCAACAGGUUUGCCAUGGUAAUUCCUUUUGUUGGAAUGUUGAGGUUGUCCGUUAUUGCCACGAUUUUGUUGUUGAUCAUUGUUCUUGUAGUUUUUGCCAUUUUUGGGAUCAUUUUUGUGGCUAUAGUUGGCUAUCACAGGGAAGGAAUUAUUGGCUGCAGACUCUCGUUUGAGAUAAUCCUCAAACUCUACAAGUUUAUCAUGGAGAGCCUCAAAAUAAUGGGUUGUUCUUGCACAUGAAUGGAUGUUGAGAUUUCCUUAAAGUCGAAACUAAGACCAAUUAGGCAGUAGAGAACAAUAAAUGCCAAUUGGUCAACAGUGCUCUUGACAGUUUGAAGAAAUUCAUACAUAGGUUCGGUAUAUUAAUGAGACAAAAAGAGUUUUUCUUUUAAGAACAUAACACGAGAUCUGGAUCUAUUGGUAUAAAAGCAGCCAAGUUUGGGCCAAACUUCUCUUGCACUCAAGGAAGAAUCAAUAUGUGGCGUGGCAGAUUCAGAUGGAGAGGCAAAAAUAGCAUGAAAGAGAAGUUGAUCUUGACAAAUCCAAUGAAGGUAAUCCGGACUUGUAGAUGGUGGGAAAGACAGUAUUCCAUCUAAAUAUUCCCAUCAAGUCAAAGCCAAAGAGAAGGGAGUUGAACUGAUUGCACCAAGUGGGAUAAUUUAUGGGAGUUAAUUUCAAGGGAAGCUAGCUGCGACAUUGAUGGAGAUUAAAGAGUAAGCUUCAUUGUUGGUAUCGAUUGGAGAGGUAGUUUGGGUACUUUCAAUAAUUUUAUCAGAUCAGUAGUGCUACACAUCCCAAAAAGUUAUCCCAAAUGAUGUGGCAUUUAUCAAUUGGUUGGUGAGAUAAUACAAUUAAUUCACUUGGAUCUUAUAAAGAAUUAUCAACCACUCAAUUAAUGACACAUCAUUUGGGAUAACUUUUUGGGAUAAAAAAUUUGGGAUAUGUAGCAUUACUGUUGUCAGAUAUGCAAUGCUGUCAUUGUGUGUUUGAGUGCUUGAAUUAUUUCAUUGAAUUCCUCACUAAUCUAUACAAGACUACAUUGUAGAGGCGAUUGACUAAUAAUAGCCUAAACUAAAGAACACAUAUUAUUUACAAAAAUAUAAGAGCUAACAGUUAACUAAUAAUAGUACAAUUAAUUCUUACUAGAAAUAAAAGAUUUGUGCCAAUUCUAAAGUGGCUGAUUGUGGCUUCCAUGAUCCUUGGGUAAUUGCAUAGAAAUAGAUGGACCUUCCUUAUCAAGUAGCAAUGUAUGGUGAUUUAAAGAUAGUUUUUCAUGGAGUAAUAUAAAGAGUGAUAUUGCCGCUUUUGUGCCUUGAUGCUUGGUGUGCCGACAAAAGUAACAUCAUUAUAUUAUUAUUAUUAUUAUUAUUAUUAUUAUUAUUAUUAUUAUUAUUAUUAUUAUUAUUAUUAUUAUUAUUAUUAUUAUUAUUUUAUUAUUGUUAUUAUUAUUGUUAUUGUUAUUGUUAUUAUUGUUAUUGUUAUUGUUGUUGUUAUUGUUCUUAUUGUUAUUGUUAUUGUUAUUGUUAUUGUUAUUGUUAUUGUUAUUGUUAUUGUUAUUGUUAUUGUUAUUGUUAUUGUUAUUGUUAUUGUUAUUGUUAUUGUUAUUGUUAUUGUUAUUGUUAUUGUUAUUGUUAUUGUUAUUGUUAUUGUUAUUCUUAUUGUUAUUCUUAUUGUUAUUCUUAUUGUUAUUGUUAUUGUUAUUGUUAUUGUUAUUCUUAUUCUUAUUCUUAUUGUUAUUCUUAUUGUUAUUGUUAUUGUUAUUGUUAUUGUUAUUGUUAUUGUUAUUGUUAUUGUUAUUCUUAUUGUUAUUGUUAUUAUUAUUAUUAUUAUUAUUAUUAUUAUUGUUAUUCUUAUUGUUCUUAUUGUUAUUAUUAUUCUUAUUGUUAUUAUUAUUGUUAUUCUUAUUGUUAUUCUUAUUGUUCUUAUUGUUAUUAUUAUUCUUAUUGUUAUUCUUAUUAUUGUUAUUCUUAUUAUUGUUAUUCUUAUUAUUGUUAUUCUUAUUAUUGUUAUUCUUGUUAUUAUUAUUCUUGUUAUUAUUAUUCUUGUUAUUAUUAUUGUUAUUAUUAUUAUUAUUAUUAUUAGUAUUAUUAUUACUAUUACUAUUACUAUUACUAUUACUAUUACUAUUUAUAUUACUAUUACUAUUACUAUUACUAUUAUUAUUAUUAUUAUUAUUAUUAUUAUUAUUAUUAUUAUUAUUAUUAUUAUUAUUAUUAUUAUUAUUACUAUUAUUAUUACUAUUAUUAUUACUACUAUUACUACUAUUACUAUUAUUAUUACUAUUAUUAUUACUACUAUUACUACUAUUACUAUUAUUAUUACUACUAUUACUACUAUUACUACUAUUACUAUUAUUAUUACUACUAUUACUACUAUUACUACUAUUACUAUUAUUACUACUACUAUUAUUACUAUUACUACUAUUACUACUAUUACUAUUAUUACUACUAUUAUUAUUAUUACUAUUACUAUUACUACUAUUACUACUAUUACUAUUAUUAUUACUAUUAUUAUUAUUAUUACUACUACUACUAUUAUUAUUAUUACUACUACUACUAUUAUUAUUAUUAUUAUUAUUAUUACUAUUAUUAUUAUUAUUACUAUUAUUACUACUACUACUAUUAUUAUUAUUAUUAUUAUUAUUAUUAUUAUUAUUAUUAUUAUUAUUAUUAUUAUUAUUACUAUUAUUAUUAUUACCACUAUUGUUAUUAUUAUUAUUUCUACUACUACUACAACAACAACUACUACUACUACUACACAAUUCAGUCUUUCUGUUUUUGAUAGAAGCAAGCCAUAGAUUUAUCCAUGCCAUCUUGGGAAAGCGGAAAAAUACAACUAAAAAAAAGGAAAAAAUAAAUGAAGGUUAUUGUUUUGGUUGCGUUUAGGGGUGGCAAUAUGGGUCAGGAUUCGUUUAUUCGAUUCGAUUUGAUGUGAAUUAAAUAGGUUUGUGUUUGAAAAAAUUAAUUCGUUUAAUAAGUGGGUGAAUUCGAUUCGAUUCGCUAAUUAAACAAAUCGAAUGCAGGUUUAAAGAUUUUAAUUCAUUUAUUCGUUUAGGAUUCGUUUAAUAAACGGGUCAUAAACGAAUCGAAUAUAGAUCAAUUUGUUUAAUAUUCGGUUAAUUAAAUUACUUUUGUAUCCCUAAAUUUAUUUGAAAUUUUUUUAAAAUUUAGAGGUUAAUAUUGUAAUUUUAAGCUAAAGCAAAGUCCUUUUCAAAAAAAAAAAAAAAAAAAGCUAAAGCAAUCAAAGCAGCCUGUCACGGGCUCGCUUAGCACACAAGGUGGAAUCACUUAAAAGUGUGGGCUAACUUAGAAAUUGGGCCCCAAGACAACUAACUAGACGAGGUGUACUUAGUAAAAUCCCCACCAAGGCCCAAAGGUCUAGAACUCUCUACAUAUUACCCAUUCACUAAAACUUUCUAGGACUCACCACUUGGGUCCCUUAGUGUUUUGUCACUUGUAGUAGAGUUCUCUAGAAUUUAGCAUUCCAACCCCUAUAAAUAUGGGUAAGCACCCAUCAUUCUAACAACAACCAACACACCCACACAACACUCCUAGCACACUAGCUCUCAAGCUCUCUUGUACAAACACUCUUGUAAUAAUUCAAAGUGUAUAAUACAAUCAUCUUUGGCCAUCCCACUCUUGCUUCCCUUAACAUUUUCUCCAAGUGUGUGUGCUUGGCUUGUUUAGGGAGUAACCAAGGCUUAUUUGGCGACUCACACGCUAAGGUCGCUCAAGUGCCGCACGGGAUAUUGCUGCGCAAAACUAUCACCCCGUGACAAGCCGGCCCUAAUCUUAAUUCUUACAUUUCACAUCUUUUUACCUUCAUCUCUCUCCCUUAAUCUCUUAGCAAUUCAAGAUUGAUUUCACAGUUUAUCAAUGUCACUUAACCAGCAGCAGUCACCACCAAAGUAAGCUCCACUUCUUUUUCCCUUUUUUAUUAUUUUUGCCAGCUUUUUCAUUUCGAAAGAUAUGUUGUAAACUAUGCAUGUUUUUAGCUUUUUCCAUCAAGACGAUUUCAAAGAGCCCAUUAGUGCUAGGCUGUUAGCUUUUUUAUUUUUUGCUCAUAUUCUUCAAUUAUGUCAUUGUUAAAAAUUUAUAUAUAUAUAUAUAUAUAUAUAUAUAUAUAUAUAUAUAUAUAUAUAUAUAUAUAUAUAUAUAUAUAUAUAUAUAUAUAUAUAUAUAUAUAUAUCUAUUAUUAGUGCAAGCUUUUUUAUUUCUUGCUCAUAUUCUUCAAUUAUAUCACUGUUAAAAAAUUAAAAAUUUAUUAAUUAAUUAAUUUUAAUAUAUAUAUGAUCUUUUAUUCUUCAAUUAAUUUGAAUUAUUUCGUUUAUAUAUGUUAAUGACAUUUUAUUUAGUUUUUGGUGUAGGAUUUUUGUUUUCAAGGUGAAAAAGACAAAUGAAGAGAAUUAAAGAAAUUAGCAUACUUUAUAAUUUGAAUUUUAAUUAUUGUUAUUUGUAUUAUUAGGGAUUUAUAAUUUGGUAUUUGGAUGGCUGCAUAAUAUGGUUUGAGUUAUUUGUAUUUUGUUCUAGGAUGCUAAAUUUGUAAUUUUUUAUAUUUUAUUUUACUUAAUUUUGUUUAUUAAUUAUAUUUUUCUAAACGAAUCGUAACGAAUCCUGAUUCGAUUCGAUUCGGUUUGAUUCGUUAAGGAUAAACGAAUAAUAAACGAAUCCGGAUUCGAUUCGAUUCAUUUAUCAAUUCUAUUAAACGAAUUAAACGAAUCAAACCGAAUAUUCGUUUAAUAAACGAAUCGAAUCCGAAUCCGAAUCCUGAAAUUUCAAUUCGUUUAAUAAAUGAAUCGAAUCCGAAUCCAUAGAAUCUUGACCUAAUUUGUUUACGAUUCGAUUCGUUUAUUCAUUUUGCCACCCCUAGACUUGCGUUAAACUACUUUAACUUGGAUUAAGAACAUAUUACAUUUUGGUGAAAACAUUGAUGAAGCGACGCGAUCAUUAAUAAAACAUCGUCAUGCAAACAAUUUAUCUAAAGUACUCAAUUACCAUAAUUAUUAGAUAACCUAUCACCUCUUUAUCAUUUGCAAUUGAAAUUUUUUAAGCAACUUUUAACUACUUAAUUGUUCAAAAUCAAUUACAUUUGUAAGUUUAUACUUUAUUAUACGGCUUCAUUUAGGUAAUAUGACAGAAAGUUGGAUAUAUAAGCUGGCAUAAUAUAGAAAUAUGCUCCUAUAUAAAUUAGCACAACUUAAUUUACAUAAUUAAGGAGUCAACACUCAAAAACUCAAAGCAUUUCACAAAUUUGGUGAGGAAAUGAUGUAGUUAUUUUUCGUUUCUCAUACUGAUGAAAAUGCACAACAAAUGCAUACCACGUUAGUUAGAACAAUUAGGACAAGUUAGUUUGAAGAAUAAAGCAAUAUAUUACAACUUAACCCAUCACCGUAUUCUUUUAUUAUUUUUCCACACUCAUAAACAUAAGAAAAAGCAUCCAACAACUAGCUUGCUUUAAGAAUCUUGUUUGUUUUUCUACCCUUCAAACUUAUCUAUAGCUAAGUGCAGUUCAUCUGCGCCUUCAAUGGCUCUCAUAGUGUCGUAAUAAACUCCAAAGACAAAUGUCGUCAAGCCUCCAGCAACCACCAGAUUCUUGGAAGCAAGGGUAUUAAAUCCUACAAGCCUAGUCAUCUCGCAAGCAAUAAACCUCUGCCCAUGCAGUUAUACAUUCACAGUUAUACGUUCAAAGCGAGGAUCAAGUUAGUCUAACCUCUAAAAGAUCUAAAUAGUAACAAUACCAAAGCCAGUUAGAUACAUGUUGCCACCUAAAACUUUUACUCAGUAUAAACAACGAAUUCCAUUUAGAGAAGUUCUCAGUGAAGAAUUGCCUGUAGACAAACGAGUAGGGUGCCAAUCUCUAAGAACAUAAUAUGAUAUGAGCUCGAACCUCCAAUGCACAAAAAUGCAUCAGAAUUGGUACUAAAGUUACAGUUUCAAUAACUCUAUGUGAAGAGUAUAAAUUAUGGAAAGUCCAUAAUUCUUUUUUGCACCAUCAAUACUGUGACUGAUCUAAGCCAGAGAUAACCCCUUGGCCGAGUGGUAAGAGACAAGCACAGUACGACAUAAGUACGCUUCAUCAAUAUUUUUGUAACAAAUUACUAACACAAAUACUAUCAAAUAUGUUAUUUGUAUAAUCUUUUAUGGGUGUUUUUUAUUAAGUUGGGGUCAUUAGACACUCACAACACACAUUUAUGCAAUAAAUUGCUACAAAUACUCUCAAACAUGUUAGAAAAAUUUUUCUCGCCAUUGAUCACUUUUUAGUGAUGAAAUCAUUCAUCACUAAAGACAAUGUUAGUGAGGAAAUUUGUUUUAUCAUAAAAAAUAGAUUUAGCAAGUCGUCAUAAAAAAAUUACUUAUGGUGAUGAAGAACUAUUUUCCAUAUUGUAGGUAUUAAGUUAAUAGGUUCUUUGAAUCUAAUAUCAGCUGAUGCUAAUGGUGGUUUAAUUAGUGACAAUGAAGAUGACUGGUGGGAAUGAUUGCACAUGCCCCGGGUGCCAUACUAAUAUUGACAAGAUCAUGCCACAUUAGUAUUACUUGAUAUUAUUUAAAGGUCUACAAGAGAAUGUGAAAAUAUUUAUACAAAUAUUUAUUACAAAUUUAUAAAUCAAUCUACGAUAAUAAAAAGGUCAUGAGUUCACCGCUGAGGCCAUGUAAUGUCUGUUUUCUUUUAUUAAAAGACCAUGUGGUCCCAAUUAACUCUUACUUAUCAUAUCCCUUCAAUUUUUGCAAAAAUAAAAAGUUUGUAAAAUUAUUGAAUGGAACUAGCCCUCGAUCUCUUAUAUGAACUGAAGGAAGUAUUAGAGAAACAAUAAUUAAACUGAAGUAAAGGGUUCUAAGUGAAAUAAACUAGAGAAGUAAUUUAUCUAUCAUUCAAUGGUAUAUUGUUUAAAAGGACAUCAAGCAGUGUGUCUACCAAAAUCACUGUAGAGAGACAAGCGACUAUCCUUAGCAUGCCUCCACAAAUGUGAUGUAACUUAAAAAGAAAAAUUGCCUAAUGUAAUUAGGGUGAGCCAUCAAACUAAAAAGAAUCACAAUAAUUGAUUACUCCUUCGAUUAUGGUAUGCUCUUAGCACAUCGACUAAGAUUCUAUAAGGUUGGUUUUCAUAUCUACAUCUCUUAAAUUUAUGGGCUCUACUAGUCAAGUCCUUGUUGGUACGAAGUGUUAAGGUAGCCUACUGUGCAGAGCAUACAAAAGUUAACAACAGUAAGCUCAAGCUAGUUUUAAUCAACAAUCCCAAGACAUCAGAAGUAGUUAAGUAGUUUGCCAGCCCAGCUAACAACUUAAUAUAAGUUGCUAAGUUUGUUAAGCAAAUUAUACGUUAUAAAAUCAAAUGUAAUUAGCUUAAAAUUAGUUAUUGAAGUUUGCUACAAGUUAUUACAAUUAUUAUAAUUUCAAGGCAUGUAUACAAACAUUGUUGCAUUGAUUCAAUUGAGUAAUGAAUAAGAAAAUUCCAAAAACAACAAAAUUACUUUCUCUGGAAAUCUUCUCUCAAGCCAAACACAUUUGUUUUCAACAUCUUUCAUGAUAUUAGAGUCAUUUAUGGCAAAGUAUUAUAAUUUUAAAAAUAAGCAGAUCAAUAAUUCAAAUCGGUCUUCACAAACUUCAUUCAACUUUGCAGCAACGGUUAAACUUGAUUGAUCUAACUUUCUCCUUUGGCACAAACAAAUUUUAACUUCGAUCACAGGGAAUCAACUUAAAGAAUUCAUCUCAGAAGCUUAAAUUAUUCCAGAUCGGCAUCUUUCUAACUCAAGAGAUGAUAGAUCUAUUGAGAGAGUUGAGAAUACAGCUUAUGUCGAUCGGUGAGUACAAGACCAAACUAUCCUUGGUUAGCUGUUGUCCACCAUCCGUGAAGGUAUUUGAAGUUCUUUUCUUAGCUAUGAUACUUCCUUUGAUGCGUGAGAUCUAUUAAAAAGCAAUUUGGAGUUCAAUCUGAAGCCAAAAUAAUAAAAUUUCAAUACAAAAUUGAUACAUUAAGAAAAGAGUCGGUAUUUAUUGAGGAGUAUGCACAACAAUGAAAAUACUUACUAAUAAACUCACCUGUGAUGAUGAUAAAAUAACUGAGAAAGAUUUGUUGAUGAGGAUUCUAAAUGAACUAAGAUAUGGUUAUUUGAAUCUAGCCUCAAUUAUCACAGCAAAUAAAAUGGACUAUGAUGAUGCAUUUGCCGGUUGUUGACGCUAGAUUGGAAUAAAAUUAGAACUUUCAAGCUAUGUUAAAUGCCAAUUACAACAUGAAAAAUGCUAAUUACUCACACUUAAUAGGCAACACUAGGAGAGGUUCUCAUGUUAAUGGAUAUUAUAAUCAUCCUAGAGGCAGAGGCCUAAAACCUUAAAAACACUAAUCAAGGUAUGUCCUAUAACUCAUAUAGGGCCUUGCCAGUUUCCUUGUAUGAAAUUUUAUUUUGUAGGUGACAAGUUGUAAAAAUACCCCCCCCCCCCCACACAAAAUAAAUUCAUAGGAACCCCAAAAAUUACAAGCAUUGCAUUCAUCAUUUCUUUUAGAAUUUUAUUUUUCCUCUUAGUAAGCCCAUUUGAUUCAUAUGAAUAAGGAGGUGUCACUUCAUAAAUAAUGUCAUGAUCCUCACAAAAAGCAUUAAACAUAGUAGACUCUAACUCCCCUCCUUCAUCAGUUCUUAAUUUUGUUAUUUUCAUUUGAAGUUGAUUUUCAACUUCAUUUUCAUAAUCUGAGAACUUUUCACCCGCCUUAUCUUUAUUUCUCAGUAGAUAUACCUUAGUAUAUCCUAAGAAAUCAACAAUAAAGAUUACAUAGAAUCUUUUACCUCCUCUAGUCAUAUUUUGUUUAAACUGAGUAAUUUAGUUUCCCUCUUAAGAAUUGGUUCACAUGUCCUUUAGGUGUACUUAGACUCCACAUAUACAUCACAUUUUUCAAUGUUUGAUACAUUAAUAUUAGAUAGUAAGCCAAUAUCUUUCAUUUUCUUUAAGAAAAAAUCAUGUGCCCUAGCACCAUGCCAUAGAUCGACAAAGUCAACUAUACAAGUAGAAGUAGAGACUUUAUUAUUAAUAAUUGUGUCAAAUCUUGAACAAAUCACAGAGCAAUGUCCUUUCCCAACAAAGACCCCAUUUUUAGUUACUACAAGUUUAUCUCUUUCAAAUGAGACUUUUACACCAGCCUUCUCAAGUACAAAUACAGAAAUUAAAUUAUAUUUAAUAUUCAGAACACGAAGGACAUUGUUCAGGGACAGUGAGGAUUUUUCCAAAAGUUAAUUUGAGAAGAAUUUUCCCUUUUCCCAUUAUUGGAAUAGAGUAGGAGUCACGAUGAUACACUUGUUCGUCUCCAUCACUCACUUAAACAUACUCAUAGAAAAAUUUCUGUUACUACAAGUAUGUUUUGUGGCGCUAGAAUCUAUCACCCAUUCUUCCUUUCCUUCAGCGGCAACCAUGUUUAGUAGAAAGACCACCACGGUAGUGAUAAUUUCUUCUCCAUUGACCAAAUUGGCCUUAGGAGGCUUGUGAUCUCCGUUUCUGUACUUGCAUUAGCAAAAUGUCCAGUUAUGCCACAAACAUAACAACUGCAUAUUUCUUGAAUGUGGUCUUUUAAAUUUUGAAAAACUUUUUGUUAGGCUUUUGGUUCUUGCUUGGAUGAGCCUUAUUCUUGAUCAAAUUAGCCUUACAAGUAAUUUCCUUGGCUUUCUCCAAUUGAUCCAUUUGUGUAUGUUUUUCUUCAUUUGGGACAUGAACAAUAGCAUCCUCCAAAUUCUUAUGCUUCCUUUCAUGCUUAAUUAUUUUUCUUAUAAUAUUUCCAUGAGUUAGGCAAUUUUUCAAUUAAGCAACCAACCACGAAAGACUCAUGAAGAUUAAUAUUUUCAUUUUUCAAAUCAUUAAUAAGCAUGUGGAAGCCAUGAAUUUGAGAAGUCACUUCCUUAUCUUCCAUCAUCUUAAAACCUAAAAAAUUAGCAAUUAUAUACUUCUGGGCUCCAGCAUCUUCUAUGAUAUAUUUUUUCUCCUCCUGAGCCCAAAUUUCAUAUGCAAACUUGUGUUGUGAAUAAACAUCAUAAAAUCCAUUUGAAAGAGUGUUAAGAAUGGUACUUCAGCAUAACUUAUUUGUUUUAAACCAAUUUUGAAGUAAUACCUCAUAAUUUUCAGAAUCAGAAUAUGGUAGAAGCUCCGUGAGAAAUUCAGCAAGAUUCAUUACAUCCAACAUCUCAUAGAUUCGAUCAUGCCAUCGCUUGAAAAAAUUCCCACCAAACGUUUUAAUGUUUUAUGUGUUAGGUAAGGCUUUAGCAGCAGCCUUCAGUGUAGCAUCAGUUACAACAUCCAUAAGGAAUAGUCUUAAGAUUGUUGUAACAUUAAGAUAAUAAAUAAGAUGUUGUAGAAUAUAGAAUAUGGCUAUGAAUAAAAUAACUAAAAGUCAAGGCAUGCUAUGCACUAUUCUUAAGACUAUUUCUACCCCUUAAAAUAAUAUUUUGGUGCAAAUAGGUUAACUACAAAUAGUCCCCAAGAUAUAAUGAUUGUAGCUGUUGUAGGAGUGCACAUUCAAUACAAAAAUUUGCAACAAUAGAUAAUUAAAUAUAAAAUAUGAUGAUUUGUGUUGUAAUAUUUGGGAUAAGGAAGAAGUAGAAUUGAAGAAGAAGUAGAGAAACAUUUGUGGACUUAUAUUUAUAGAUUAAUGGUGCCUAUUUUCAAAUAGCCACCAUUUAACUUAAUUCUCUUUUAAGUACUUUUAACUUCUUUUUACUUUAUUUUCAUAACUACCAUAACUUCCUCCCUAAAGUUUAAAUUUGAACUCUUGUUAUUUGAUUUAACUUCAACUGUGCAAGAUACAUUAUUUUGAAAUACCUAGCAUACUUACAAUAAUCUCAUCCUAUCUAAUCCUAUCAGGUGUACCAAACAUGUCCUAAACGUUUUACUUAUGAGAGUCAUUCUGAACUUAAUCCACCAUUUCCUUUUCCCAUGGAUUAGUUUCCUUGAUCUUUCUCUUUGGUACUAAACCUUUCAAGGUUAACAAAUUAAGUUUUUUUUUUCUUUUUAAGUGACAAUUAUAUUCAUCAAACAUGUUUGUGUAAUUUUAAGACGGUUUUUACAUCGAAGUUCUGUUUGGCAUAAUUUUUCAAAUAAAAUUUAUUUAAAUAGUGUUUUUAAAAGUAAGAGUUUUGUUAAAAAAAUAUUAUUGUUUGAUUGCUAAUGAAAACUUCUAUAAGAAUUUAUAAAAUUAUUUGAUUAGACAAGCUUUUUAAAAUUAUGUUAUUAAAAAAAUUAAAUAAGAUUGUAAAAUAAGUUAAAGAUAUUAUAGAAAAUUUAACGUUUUUGAAAGUUUUCCAACCUUUGCUCUAAAGUACUUAAAAUUUAAAUUUUUACUAGUAGAAAUAAAAUAAUUUAUUUAAUCCUUAAAAACUCUAAUCAAAACACUUCCACAUAAUAUUAAAAAUUGUGAAAGAACUUGUAGGAUUAAAAGUCCCUUUGACAAUUAAAUAAGCCCGGGAAAACAUGCAAUCCUACUUGCGAAGACUAAAAUGGUAAUUAAUUAUCCGAGGAAUGAAAUGAUCCUUAAAAAAGAUUUAUUUUUCAGAUCUUUCGGGUACUAAAUUAAUGGGUUCUAACUUCAAAGAAUCCUAUGCAUCAGCUGAUAAGUGGCAACAAUUUCACUAACAUAACAAAUUUGGUGAGGAAAUUAUGUAGUUAUUUUUUCGGUUCUCAUACUGAUGAAGAUGCACAACAAAUGCAUACUGAGAUAGUUAGAACAGCCAGGCCAAAUUAGAUUGAAGAACACGGCAAUAUCUUACAUAAACUUAAACCUUCAACUUCUUUUAUUAUAAUUUCACGCUCAUAAACAUAAGAAAAAGCAUCCAAUAGCUUGCUUUCUUCAAGAAUCUUGCUUGUUUUUCUGUUCUUCAAACUUAUCUAUAGCUGCCUGCAGUUCAUCCGUGCCUCCAACGGCUCUCAUAGUGUAGUAAUAAACUCCAAAGACAAAUGCUGUCAAGCCCCCAGCAACAACCAGAUUCUUGGUCCUUGGAGCAAGGGUAUUAAAUCCUGCAAGCCCAGCCAUCUCGCAAGCAAUAAACCUCUGCCUGUGUAGUUAUACGUUCAAAGCUGCACAAUGAAAAUAAGACGGUCAUCGAGUUAGUCUAACUUCUAAAAGAUCUAAAUAGCAAAAGAUACCAGGGAGCAAGUCAGAUACAUUUUGCCACCUAAAACUUUUACUCUGCAUAUAAUUCCGUUUAGAAAAGUUCCGAGUGAAGAACUGCCCAUAGACAAACAUGCAGGGUGCCAAUCUCUAAGAACAUAAUAUUAUAUGAGCUCAGACCUCCAAUGAACAAAUAUGCAUCAGAAUUGGUAUUAGAGUUACGGUUACAAUAACUCUAUGCGCAGACUAUAAAUUCUAAAGUAAGAAUUGGGAAGGAAAAAAACUAUUCCUUCAAAUAACGCAUACCAUGCCAAAGGAUAAAGGGAUGACGCGAUAACAGUUUUAUCACUAAUACUAAUAAGAGAUUAAAAAAAAAACUAAUACAUGCAAGUCUCAGGGGCAUAGAGGAACGAAUCACAAUAUGAAUAAGAGUCAUAUAUGCCCUGACAGAGUAUAACGGGGCAUUAGAUCUAGCUAAGAAAAACAGCAAAAGCAUCACUCUUACAAAAAUUAGGAAUACACCGCACGAAGUUGAUAACAAAAGAAUAUUUGGCCAAGAUCAACAGCAGUGUAAGUAUGCUAAUAAAGGACCAAAUGUCAAAAUUGAAAUCUUUGGAUGGAAUAACAGGGGUAUUCACGGAAACUGAUUUCAGAAACAAGUGCCACAAAAAUCUCAUAUUUGACAUAAAUUAUUCUUCAAUAUUGUUCUUUCAUCAUGCCUAUCUCCACCAUUAUACUUUCACCAUACUAAAAGAAUAACAGAAUCAAAUAGACAAUCAGUAUGUAAUUAAAUCUAGGAUUACCUGACAAGGGUACCGAUUACACUGAUAAGAAGAGAAAUAAUUCAAGAAAACAGAUGAACUAAAACACUAAAAGGCAGCCCACUUGUAUCUCCAUCAAAAUGAAACAAAUCCAAAAGGGUAUUGGAAAACACCCAUAAGAAAAUGAAGAACACAAGUAAAAGCAAAUAUUUGGGUAUUGAAAAAUUAAUCAACUCAAAGCUGAACAACAGAGCAUAGCACAAAAAUCGAAUAUAAACCCAAUCGAAGAGUGUAUAUAUUAAAGAAAAGAUAAUAGAAACAAACCUUCAACUAAGAUGUGAAAUUGAACAGAGUGAUUCCUCGAAAGUCAAAACCCUUAAAACCCCAAGCACCUCUGAAGAAAGAGAAGCUAUCUAUAAUGUUCGCAAAUUUGCCAGGUUGCUUGGUGUUUCAAGCGUUUGGUGACGAGCGUGGACACAUUAACAGAACUUGUCGGGUCAUCCUUUCUUCAGAUUCCCUUAGGCCCAUUUUAGUGUUUGUUUAAGCCCAUUACAAUGUGCGUUUUAAACUGUCCAUGUCCAAUAUGAGCAUGCACUCGACAGCCAUCAAAAAGGAAUUCGAAAAAGAGUAAUUCUUUCGACACCCCUUUAAAAUCUUUACAAACCCCAUUUUUUGUGACGAUGGUUCCAUUAUUGCUGAAAAUUACAUUAAAGGACAAUUAUUAAUUUAACUGAAUUAAAAUCUUUACAUCCAAUUAUGAACCCCCAUCUUCACAUCUUAAUUUAUGAUAUAAUUAUUUUCUAAUAAGUUAAAAACAAUUUUUAGACAAUGACAAAAAUAAAUUACCUAAUGAAAAAUUUUUAAUUAUAAAAAAAAGUUUAAAAUUUGAUUAACUCUAUUAUAUUAUUUUUCAGUUUUUCGUAAUUUUAAUACAACUAAGUGCUAUAAAUAUAAAAAUGGGGUGUUAGGAGCUCAACUCUUUAAUCAAUUAGUGUUUUAUGAAGAUUGAAGCAAUCGUUAUUCAUUAAACUAAUAAAUCGCAGUAGAAUUUGAUCUCAUAAUGCAUUUGCCACCAGCCUCAUAUACAAUGCAUAAACAAGGAAGAAAUAUUCAAAAUAACGUGCGGCUAAAUUGGUUACCAUUAAUUGCAAGCCACGCAAGGUAUUAGAAAAUAACUUCUAGAUACAUUAACCAGUUGAAAUUCAAUUGUCCAAGAUGUACUCUCAUUUGAUCUGCUAAUACAAAACUAACAUAAUUGGUUAGUUUAUAAAGAUUAAACAUAUUUUAGAAAAUAAAAUUAAAAAAAAUCAAAUACUCAGGUGUUCCAAAAAGACAUGUGCCAAAAGAACCGACAUAUUAUUAGGCAAAAUUAGCCUCUUAGGUUACGUUUAGCACGCAAGAUUAGAUUGGACUAAUUAUUAGGACUGGACUGGAUUAAGUUGGAUUAGAUUAAGCUGGAUUAUAUUAUAUAUUGUACAAUAUUUGGUAUAAUAUCGGAUAUGACAAUGUUAAAUCAUAUUUAAAUACAAAAAAAAUAAUGAAUAUUUAAGAGUAAUAAUUAAAAUUAAUUUAAAGGUAAUUAACAAGAGCAUAAAAUUUGUAUUAAAUUAGUUAUUGGGUAGUCAUAAUUAUAAUAAACAAAUAUAAAUUAAUAAAAAUAUUUAUUAUUUAAUUAACUUUUAUCUUAUAUUUUAGGUAUAUUUUAUUUUAUCAAAAAGUUAGCAAAUAAUGUAUAUAUAAAAUUAAUUAUUUACUUGUAUUAUUAAUUUCCAUGAUUAUUUUAAAUAUUACAUUGGUGAUUAUUAAAUUUAAUACAAUCAAUUAUUGUAACAAAUUAUUAAAUAGUUAAUUUUAUUGGAGUAAAAAUACCAAUUUAAUUAGACUAUGAAAAAAAUAAAAAAAAUUCAAGGAAAUAAUGAAUAAAUAAAUAAAUAAAUUAAUUAAAUUUAGGUUACAAAUAAAAAAAAAUAGUGUUAUAUAUGAAAGAAAUAUGAAUAAAUUUUUUUCUCUUAUUCUAAUCCUAUCUAAACCCACUUAUAAAUUAAGAUUGUUAAUCUCAUGAUUUAAGAACUAAAUUUAAAUUUAAUCCUCCCUAAUCCAAUCCACGCAAAGCAGCCAAAUAUAAAAUAAAAUAGUUAAUCUCAAAAUUAAUCCAAUCCCAUACUUAAUCCAAACUUCCAAACAUAACCUUAGUUUCUUAUUCUUCUCCUCCUUUUUUCUGAGUGCCUCCACUGUAGUGCACAGGAAUUUUUCACUUUUUCACAAUUCAUGGGAAGCACGAGGGACGAUGAAAUAUGAAUACAUUGAAUGAUGUUCUUUCAAAUAACUUCUAGAUACAUUAACUAGUUGAAAUUCAAUUGCCCAAGAUAAUAAUCUCAUUUGAUCUGCUAAUGUAAAACUAACAUAAUUGGUCAAUUUGAUACAGAUUGAACAUAUUUAAAAAUUUUUAAAAGAAAUCAAACACUCCCAUGUUCCAAGAAGACAUGUGCCAAAAGAGUCUACAGAUUAUAACGCAAAAUUAGUCUCUUAGCUUCUUAUUCUUCUUCUUCUUCUUUUUUCUGAGUGCCUCCACUGUAGUGCAUAGGAAUUUUUCGCUUUUUCACAAUUCAUGGGAAGCACAAUGGACUAUGAAAUAUGAAUACAUUGAAUGAUGUUCUUCCAAAUACUUUAUAAAACAAAAUUAGGCCGCCUCCUUUGCUUGGAAUAUAUGCCGAGCCAAUAAUGUUUGCCCAUCUCUACUCUCUUUUCACUUUCCAUGUAAUAAAAAUAUAUGCAUAUUUUAUGUUUUGCUUUUGAAAAAAACCAAAAAAAAAAAGAAAGGAAAGUUGAGGUCACCUCAUCACAUUUUUGGCUUUAAUCAUUUUUGCUUUUGGCCAUGGCUAUCAUCAAGUAAUUGAAUAUUUUUAGGAGUCUACACGUUUGCAUGUAUGUGCGUGGGUGCUAGUUAAAGUCAAUUAAAUAUCAUUACGAGAUAACUUCUUAUAAUGAAAAGAUAAAAUAUAACAAUGAGACGAAUUGGAAAUUCAUGACUUCCUAUUUGACGCACUCGUUAUUACUUAAAAACAUUGACCAAGGAGAGAUCAUGUCGCAUGAUCGUACUGGAGUAAGAAUGGACACAUAUCAUGACUUUAUGAGGUGGAUUAAAUAAUCAAUCAAUAAUACAAUACUAUAUUAUAAAUAUUUCUGUUGGUUCAGCAUUAAUUUUAAAUAAUUAAAAAUACUCAUUUAAGAAAUGAAUAUUAUCCAACUGCUUAAGUGAUGUAUGGGUUGUAAUUACUUUUAUUAACAUAUUCGAAAGGAGGAGAUGAAACAUCUUUGUUAUUCUCAAGAACUUUUUUUGUCACCUCGGCCUCUUAUAAAAUUUUAAUGCCUCACUUUAUUCUUGACCUUAAUUAAAAGUGUAAACUUAACCUAUUCUGUUCGUGCACAAAAUCAUAAUAUCACAUUUACCUUCUAACAACAAAAUGAGAGUGAAAAAUUGACAAGCAGCUUGGCACCCUUGUAGUAGGAAAAAGAAAAUAAUUGUACUAAUUAAGGAUAGAGGUGGGCGAAGCUAUCCGUAUUCAGAAUUUAGGCGUAUUAGUUCAUGAUAGGUAUUCUAUUCUUCCACAAUAGUAGAUAAAAAUAAAAUCUCUUUCUGGAUCGAUUUGAUGAAAUUAAAGAAAAGCAAUCGAGGAUCCCUUUCUAAAAAUGAACUCUCGCGUUACUUGUCCUACAAAUUAGACUUAACAAAAGGAUCCAGCCCUAUAUAAAAUUUAGCAGUGGGCAGCUGUUGAGGAUGAAGCAAGAGGAGCCUGGCACCAACACCGGCAGCUUCAUCAGCCGUGUGAGAGCCUUGCCCUUGAGUCAUCGACGUCUGAGUGAAGCCGGGGCAGUAACUGUUGACACUGAUUCCUUCUCCUUCGUAUCUUUUGGCUAAAACCAUAGUGUAUGCAUUCAGUGCAAGCUUUGAUACUGCAUAGUCUGUCCAAAUUUCUGGCCAGCCUUGGCUCUUCCACGUACCAUCUUUCACACUUUGGAGAAAUAAUCCGACGAAACGUCCGAUUUGUUCUUCAGACAGUUCUUCGUCUUCUAGGAUUGAUUUUAUAUUAGGAUUUCUCACCUUCUGCAGGCAUGUAUACAAAGGUACAUUCAUGUUAUGAUGAUGAGAUUUUGAAAUUUCCAUCAUUUAGAUAGUUUUUGGAGAAACAUGUGUAUUUGUCACUUUGACAACAUUUUCAUCAAGCAUUGAUUUUAUUUAUUUUAAGAUUUUAAAAAUCAAAGAAGAAAGAUUAAAUUAUGUAUUUGAAGUAUGGAUUUUUUUUUUUUUUGAAUUACAUGAAACUAGUACUCAAAUUACAACUCAUAAAACUGUUUUUACUCAAUUUCGAAAAGGAUGACACUGCUUUCAUUCAAUUAUUUUCCAUAAUUGAGGAAAGAAUUAAUAAGCAUCCACAAUGCUUUGUGGGGGCUCAAGCCACUACCCUCCCAAUUAUAAGGGCAUGGUUCUAGCAACUCGUGGUUAUUUGAGAUAUGGAAUUGAAAACACUAAUUAAAACAACAUAAAAAAUAUUUUAAUUAUUUUUCAAGGUUUUUGGUUAAUAAAUUCUUAAAAGAAAAAAAAAAAGUGUUGAAAACAAGUUUAUUUUUCAUUCAUAUUCAUAUAUAUUGAAAACAUGAAAUUCAAGAUCCCUUUUAAUCUAUUUAUAAUCUUAUAUAUAGAUAGUAACAAUUCAUAGCUUGGUAAAAUAGUGAUGAAGACCUUUUUAUUUUUAGAAAUGGUUACACACACUUCUUUUUUAAAGACAUAAUGCUCCCUUUUUGGUCAAAAAUAGUGGUAUAGACUCCAGGAUUUCUAAAAAAAAAAAAAAAAGCUAGUUAUAUCCCAAAAGUGAUCUAUGUGACUAUUUCUAAGAACAAAGCAGUUCUGUGAUUAUUUCACAAAAUUAUGGAGUGUCACUAUCUUUUUUUUUUUUAAAGAUAUAUACUUACUAUUACAUUUUAUAAUUAAAAUGGCUAAGUAUUCUAUUGCAAUAUAUUUUAUCCUAUAAUAUAUUAAAAUAAUUUUUUUAAUCUUUUACUUUAUCCUAAGUUUAAUAUCAUAAGAAUCCUUAAUUGGAAGUUCAUCACUGUAUAUAAAAUAAAUUACUUACACUUAAUGUGCCAAGUCUGGAGCUAAUAUUAAGUAUUCUGCUUUUAGAUGGCGAGCGACGAAACAAUGGUAGAAGGGAUUCGGUCAGCAACUUGGCUCCGUAAAAAUUUGUUCUGAUCACAGUCUCUGCAUGCUCCACUGUGUUUUUGUAUAUGUCAUUGAAUGAUACUCCCGCAUUAUUCACCUCCAAUUCAAGUGAAAAACAAAUUGGUAAGCAACAUAAAAUCAAUUAAUUAGUAUUAUAAUACCCACCCAAAAAAAAAAAUUUGAAGAAUAUAUAAGCGCCAGCAGAGAAAACAGAAUGCAAGUUUUGUUCAAAAUAUGAUAAUAUCACUAAUUUCAAUCCAUAAUUAUCAUUAUAAUAACUUUGGGUGUGCCAAAUUGAGAUACAAAUAUUUUAUUUUAAAUGAUUAGGCAUUAAUAACGACUCUCGCUGGGUAGGCAAUAGUCGAAUUUUAUACCGUGAUUUAUGUGAUAAUUAUGUAGCACUAAUGUGGAUGAAGACAAUAAUAGUCAUGAGAUAUAAAUUUUAUAUCCAAAGCUUUUUAAACAUAAAACUAUUUAGGUAUUAGAUUACUCUACUUACGAAGUUAUGAUACAAUCAUAUAUAGAGGAUGUAUCUCAAAUGACGUGACAUUUAUAAACUAAUUGUGUUAAAUAAUUAUAUAUUUUAAUUAUCGUCACUCGGUAUCAUAAUGAAAUAUAAAAUAUGUUUAUCAUUAUUUUAUAAGCGUAGAAAUAGUCAUCUAGAUAACAUAUAUUAAGAAUUAGUGAAAAUUUCAAAAAAAUAAAGAAUAGAUAAAUUAAACGGUGGGGCUACAUGCACCAUUACAAUAAUUUUGGACACCCAUUUUCCAAUAAAAAAGCAUAUUAUUAGAGAAAAAAUUUAAUAUUUGAUAUUUAAUAAAUGAAUAUAUUCAAAAUUCGGGCGUUCAAAGUCAGAAUUUGUAAUAGAAUAACAAAUUCUAUCAUAACUAACUAGUCCCCACCAUAUACGUUACAAUCAAACACAAGUAAGAAAAAAUAAAAUAAAAUAAGCCUUAAAAGUUGGUCCCCGCAUUACCCCAAACUCAAAGACAUCACUUAUUAGUUCACAAAAAGACGACACAUUAUUCCUAUAUUUUUUUCAAAAUUCGAAUUCAAAUGGCAGGUUAAUAACAAAGAGGCUAAAAGUCAAUUGACCUGCACUUGUCCCUGGGGCAGUUCUUAAUUUUAAUUAAUUAUCCUAGAAUAAUUCUUUAAUGAGAAUUUUUUGUUUAACAAAGUGAGGAUGUCAUUAAUAGAUAAAAUAAUACAGAUUUCAAUAUGCUAAUAUACAAAAAAAUAUGGUCUUUAACAUAUCGAAUUUUUAUUUUUUGUAUUUUAGUGUCAUCUUCAUUUUAUUAAGGUGAGGAGUCUUUGUUUUUAUUAGAGAAUGACUCUAUAGAAUAAUUUUUUAAUAAGGAUAUUCUCAUUUUAACAAAGUGAGGAUAUUACUAUUAGACAAAAAAAAUAUAAAUUUCAAUAUACUAAUAGAUAAAAAAAUACAGUUUCUAAUGUAUUAAAAUAUGUGAUUAUAUAUAUGUGAGUGUGUGAGGAAAAAAUAGAGAUGCUAUAUAAUAACAUAAAAAAAAUUAUUAUCACAAAUAUUCUUAAUAUCAAACAACAAUAAUUAUCAUAGAUAGUGCCAAGAAAAAAAAAAAAGGAAUUAAAUAUUCUACUACUUACAAGAAUAUCCAACGCUGCAAAAUUGCUUUUGAACCAUGAAACAAAGGCUUCGAUUGAAGAAGGAUCAGACACAUCCAACUGAAAGAAGUUAACAGGAAGUCCUUUCUCAGAAAGUGAUUCCACAGCUCUUUGUCCUCUUUCCACAUCCCUAGCUGUUAAAAUAACAGUCAGCCCCAGUUCUGCAAGUCUCUUCACCAAAGCAAAUCCAAUCCCCUUGUUUGCUCCUGUCACUAUUGCUAUUGUUUCUUUAGACCACCAUCUGCAUUCAAACAUCAAAAAAAAAAAAAAAAGUUGACAAAUUAAAUAAAAGAACACAAGAAAAAACACUCCCCCAUAUAGAACUUAUAAGAUAUUUUUGUAUAUGAUGCUUUUAUAUAUAUUUUUUUUUUAUUCCAAGAUGGGUUUUAAAGAAAAACACAAAACUUCUUGAUUAGCUUUUGAAUUUAGAAAUUGUUUUUAUUUAUUUCAAUCAACACUAUGAGUAGAUAUGAAAGCGCUUUUGUAUGAUUGAAAUAAAGUACUUUGUUGAGGACACGAGGGAAGAAGAGGAAGAGGAGAAAUAAUUGGGAUCUGGUUCUUGUGAUUUCAUUGUUGCUGAACGAAGAAGAAGAAGAUGAUGAAGGUGCAACUCUGGGCAAAUGAGAAGUGAGAGAUUUUAUUUAUAUAGAGAUAAGAAUGAGUAUGACAUUAAAUAAAAUUUCAUACGUGGGACAUACGACAUUGAGUGCUAAUUGAAAGUCUGCGACGACUUGCAAGGUUUCUAUAUCACAAUUGUAGUAAGAUCUCUAGGUUUUCAUAUUUUUAAAAGUGAGGACGUAAUUUGUUUAUUUGAAUUGAAAAAAAAAACUAAAUUCUUAUUUAAAAUAUUAAAUUUACCCAAUAGGAUGAGAUUUUGUUUAUGAUUGUGCAAAUUAACUCUAAAAAGUGCUUCAGUUAUUUUUUAGCAAGAUCUACCCAUUGCAUUAAGAUCCUCGCUUAAUUUAAGCACUCCUGAAUUUUUAAUGAUUUUAUAUUAUAUUUCAUUUAAUAAUAAUAUAUGAAUAAAAUUUAAUUUUUUUAUAUUUUAAAUUUAUUAACUAUUAAUUAACGCAUGAAUUUUUAUUUAGGAAAAAAUCAGAUCAGAAGCAAAUCUUAAUCUCUACCCUCUCUGGGGUUACUGGGUUGACACCUACGUUAUGCAAAUGGAGAGUCUAUGCUAUUAUUUGAGAAAAUGCAAAAGAUUAGGGAUUUUCAUGUUAUGAGCACAUUUUUUAAUUAUCGUACGUAGAAAAAGUGAAGCAGGUGUGAACACUGAACAGUGUGUGACAUUAAAUAAGGGAACCCGCAGUUCGUAACCAAAUAAUUUAAGCCGUUGGCGUGGGCUGUGCGGAGGAGAAGCCUACCCCACAAUUUUUUUAUUUUAAUGUCGUAAGCCUUAAUUUUGGAGCAGCCAGUGUGCAGGCCCGGUGCAAAGAAUCUUUUUUCAGCAGGUCUGAAUGGAAACGGAGAUUGCCUAUUUUUUUAUUCGCCUCAAAUAAAUAUAUUCUAUUUAUUUUUUUUUUAUUUUUUAUAAUAUCAUAAAAUUUCUGGUAUAAAAUAUUUAAGAAAAAAUAAAGGUAAUUGAGUCAUUUAUUUGAUAAUUUAUCUCGAGAUAAAAAAUAUAUAUUUAUUAUAAGAAAGAUAUUUAAAAAAUAACAAAAAAUAUAUGAAGAAUAUUUUAUUAUUAAUUUUUUAUUCACAUAAAACAUAUAUUUUCUUCUUUUAGUUUUUAAUUUUUUAAUUUUUUUUAUUAAUAUGAUUUAUUUAAUUUAUAAUAAAUAUAAAUAAAAGUGUAUUUGAAAAUAAGAGUAAUACUAUAAAAUUAUGCUGCCAAAAAUGUAAAAUUACCAAAAGUAAUAUAUAUUAAUUUCAAUAACUAAAAACUAACGGACUCCCACAUAAAUAUAAUUAGAAGUGUGGAGAUAGGUUUUACUUAUUAUUAAUAAGUUGUAUAUAUAUAUAUAUAUGACGUAUAAUAGUUUAUAUCUUCUCUAAAGGCUAUAUAAAAUAAAACAUUUCCACAAAAAAGCGUGUAUGGCAAGUUCAUUAAAAAUAUCGCCCUUUUGGAAUUUGUAUUUGUAAAUAUCUCCUGUAAAAUAGCGAGUGUCAAAUAUAUUAAUUCAGUUAGUAAAAUAUCUUGAGUUGAAAUAAAAGUUUUGGAAUUUGAACCUCAAUGGUAUGGAUUGACUUUAAUAUCAGCAAACGAUGCUAAGCAUUUCAAAAAAAAAAAAUCUCCACCAAAAUAAGAAUAACAUAUUAUAUUGCAGAAAAAACAAAUAAUGGCCCCCAUUAAGACACUAUGGCGACAAAAACGGUGCUCCAUGGUGCCGUUUCUAUUGUCUUUUAAAGUAUCAAGUAAAUUUCUUGUAUUACAGAGGAAAAUUUCUACAAUACAUAAGAGUUAAUAUAAUUAAUUGAUGCAUGUAUGAUAUAUUUAAUUAAAUUUAAUGUAACCACCAUUUAUGAGAUGACUUUUCAAAAUAAAUACACACAUGUCAUAAUAUCAUUUAUAUAUUGUAUGAUUGACAUAUUAUCUCUUAUGUAUUAUAGAAUUUAUAGAUAUUGUUUCUACCGCCAUGGACAUGGUGUCUCCAUGGACGAUAAUGGCUAAAAUAUGAGCGCUAUAUUGCAAGUAGAGUGUUGUUUCUUGUUUAAAUUUCUUCUUUUUUAAUUUUUACGAGCCAAAUUUCAUGAAUUCUACUUUUGGCUUCUUUACAUGUAUAUGUUUUAGUUAAAUAAUAUUGACACAUAACAAUUUCUCGCUAAUUUACUUAUAAAAUAUUAUAUAAUUCUCAGGUACAAAUGUUUGCACAAAUUUUCAUGGGAAUAUGUAAUUUUAAAAGACCAUAAAAUUUCCCAUUUGCACAAAGUUUCUUGCAGACAUCCUCACCUCAUAAGUGCGAGUGUGUCUAUAUAUAUAUAUAUAUAUAUAUAUAUAUAGUAAGGGAUAAACUAAAAGAUAAGAAAAAUAUAAAUUCUUAUGUAAAUUAUUUUAUCAUGUAGCAUACUGAAAUAUGUGUUUUUAUAAAAUAAGAGAUCUCUUUAUCUAGCGCAUAUUUUUACAUGUUUUAAAAUGUAGAUUCAAUGUUUUGUAUCAUUAGAAAAAGCUUUUACAAUAUUGCAAAAUAAUUUUUCAAUAGCUUUUAACAUUGUAAAACCCCAAAUUCAUAUAUAUAUAUUGGUCUAGGAUCUUAGACUUUAUUAAAGUCCAAAACAACUAUUAAGUAGUAUAAUUUAAUAACAUAAUGUCCUUAUACUAGUAAACUAUAUAACUUAAUAGUUUUCCCAAACUUUAACAAAGUCCAAGAUGCUCUCAUUGGGGAAUAAUUAUAUAUAUAUAUAUAUAUAUAUAUAUAUAUAUAUAUAUAUAUAAAGAGAGAGAGAGAGGUAGAGAGAGAGAGAGUAUAUAGAAUCUUUCUCUAGUGAAAAAGUGAGGAAGCACAGUAGAAUACAAAAAAAUAUAAAUUCCAAUACAUUAGAGACUAUAUUUUUUUAUUCAUUAGUGUAUUAAAAAAUGUAUUUUUUUUUGGUUAAUGAUAUCCUCAUUUUGUUAAAAUAGGGAUGCUCUCACUAGAGAAUUAUUAUUACACACACUCAAGUGAGGGUGCCCUCAUUUUUUUUUUGUACGGCCGCGUUAUUUAGCCAUAUGACUUUGUAGUUAAUUAGACAAUGACUUUAUUAAAUGACAUAGUUUAAUAGUGAACUAAAUAUUGAUUUUAUUAAAUCAUAAUACUUAAUAAUGUAUUCGCAUAAAAUAAAAUGAAGGUGCUUGCACCUAAAGAAGGAUAAAUAGUUUUAAGCCUCUUAAGCCCUACGGUUUUAAAACUUUUUUGAACUUUCCCUACACUUUAAAAUUCUAAAUUGAAACAUUUAUACACACACAUAUAGGAUGGAUCAGCAAUCUCCUAAAAUAUAUUUAAUUUUACACUCAUUAUCAUUUAUUAGAUUGAAGAUAAAUGAACAAAUCAGAUUUAUCAAAAUUAAAUAUUAAACAAAAUUUUUUCUCACUCUGCGUGGAACCUACCACAAGCAUUAUCUUUUCAUUUUUCCUUUAACCCCAUGUUUUAAGUUUCUUAAACCCCACGUUUUUUAAAUUUUUUUAGACUUUUCUCACACUUUAAAAUUCAUGUUUGAAACAUUUAUAUUCAUGUUUGAAAUAUUUAUACACACACGCAUACACACAUGCACACACAUAUAUCUAUAGGGUGGAUCAGCAGUCUCUUAAAAUAUAUUUAAUUUUACACUAAUUAAUAUUCAUUAGAUCGAAGACAAAUGAAAUGAUUAGAUUUAUAAAAAUUAAAUAUCGAACAAUUUUUUUUCUAACUCUGUGUGGAACCUACCACAAGCAAUGUCCUUCCAUUUUUCCUUUAGCUUUCACGUGCUCUCCCUCCCUCUCUCCUCGAUUUUUCAAUCACUACUUUUUGUUUGUCAAUCUCUUCCUCCAAAUUCGUCCAAAGUAAUUAACUCCAACCUAUAGAAAUUCUAUCCAAAGCCUAUUCAUUAACUAGCAAGAAAUCCGCAACAAGAAGAUUAAACAAGUAGUUAAUUCUUCCUCAAAAGUUUAUUCGGUGGAUUUCUCACAAGAAGCAAAGAAAUAUUUUAAUUUAUUUGUUCUCACAGAUAUGUCUGAAAAGCAUUAAAAGAUUUAGUAUGUUUUCAUGUUUUUGUACCAUUAAUGCUAUUUAUUUUUCUUCAUUGUUUCGGAUUGCUUCCUGCUAUACGAGUAUGGAAUUUAAUCUACUACUAGAUUUGCUUUCCUGUUACGGGAGUAUGUUUGUCAAAGCGAUUGGGCACCAAGGUCAUUGAUGAGGAAGAUUGAAGCAACCAGUUGGCUUAGUAGAAGAUUCCAAUUUGCAUAGAAUGAUAUUCACAGAAUAAUUAUAAAAAGCAUGACAAUGCACCAAAUCUUCUAUGCUUUCACACAUACUUACAUUUUGUGAGACGAAUUCGGAGAGAAUAAAGAGAUUUGUAUCGAUUGUAUAUUAUAGGUUGUUGUUAAAAAAAAAAAUUAUUAUUCUGAAAAAUUAUCUCAAAUGAUAUGGCAUUCAUCAAUUGGUUGGUAAGAUAAUAUAAUUAAUCCAUUCGAAUUUUGUAAAUAAUUAUUAACUAAUUAAUGAAUAACACAUUAUUUAAAAUGAAAUUUGACAUAAAAAAGAAAAAGAGAGAGAGAACAUGUGCAAAUAGAGAGAGAAAAUAUAAGAAAGAGAUAUUUAGGUAGGAUCCAUAUGAAGAGAAGAAAAUAAAAUUUCUUAAAUAUCUAUUUUUAAUAAAUCUCAACCAUUCAUUCAUUUUUAUUCAAUAAAUAUUGAUAAAUAUAAAAUUAAGGACAUUUUUAAAGAUUGCUGACCUCACCAACCUAUAUAUAUAUAUAUAAAUAUUCCAGUCAAGAAUUUUAAAGUGCGGGAAACCUUUAAAACCGCAUGAUUUUAAAGGCUUAAAAUUAUAAGCUUUUAAAACCGUGUGGUUUUAAAGUUUUCUCGGACUUUCCCAUACUUUAAAAUUCCUUACUAGAAAACUAUUAUAUAUAUAUAUAUAUAUAUAUAUAUAUAUAUAUAUAUAUGGGGUAAACAGCAUGGCACACUAACUUCAUCCUAUUAAGGCAGGCGGCACACUGUUUAUGCUUUGCAUGCUUGGAAUCCACGUACAAUGAAGAGCUUUUGUGAUGCUUCAAAAGCCAGCAUAGACUGCAAUCACAAUUAGGCUGUAGGCACGAACUAACAAACCUUUUGACUUUAACUAGUUCAUUUUAUUCAAAAGCUAAGCACUUAUUAUGCUUUGUUCUUCUCCACUCUUUUUUUUCUUAAAAGCUAGCUUAAGAUUGUAGGAUAGAUCAGGGGACCAAUCUUUACAUUAACAAAGUUUUGAUAAGUAAAGCAUUAAGCUAAAAAAAAGAAAAAAAAAACAAUGUAAUGUUUGAUUCACUUGAGUUUGAUUCACGUGGGUUACAACUUUUAAUGAAAACUGUAUGAUUUUCUCAAUAAAUUUUGUUAAAGGUUUUAAUAUGAAAAAUAUUAUGAAGAAAAAUUGUUAAAAUAAAAAAAUAUUUUAGAUAAUAUAAUUUAAAAAAUAAAAAUGUUUAACAACCCAUUUUUUCAAAAAUUUGAGUUUUCUUUAAAGUUUAAAUAUAUAGAUUUAUAAUAGUUUUUUAAAAAAAGAAGUCAUUCCUAACCCUUGCAUGAUUACUACCAGAUGAUAAUUUAAAAAAAAAAAGAACUUUAAUUUCACAUUAAAAGAAAAAUCUUUUGUUAAUAAAGAACCGAACAAUAUCCAGCGAACGCAUAACUAUGACAUGAAUAGAACACUUAACUAGUACUAAAAAAGUUUCACUUUGUAAUAUUAAAAGAUUGAAAAUUUUGUUAAAAUAAAAUAAAUGUAUUAUAAAUAAUUUAACUUCUUAAAAUUGUUCAAUAGCCUAACUCUGCAAAUUAAGCUCAAAGCGUGGCACAAUAGUUACCUUUAAUAUGAUUUCAAAUUUGUUUUUUCUAUCAUAAUUGUCCCUUUAGUAUCAUUUUCAAUUUUUUUCCCUCAUAUAAUUUUUCUAGUGGGAAGAGUGUGGCGGAUGUGAUACCUAUAAAGAGGACAAAGCCCCAUUGCCUACUUUUUUUCUCCCCUCAAUUAGCUUUCCUUUCGGCUUGAGGUUAUCAUUUGUCAGGAACGAAUUAAAAAUAAGGUCAAUUAUUUUAAUGAAAAUUGAGGCCUACAUUAGUUGUGAACUCUUUUUAUGAUCAUGCAGCGCAACAAGGCAAUGCAUUAACUGCCAAAUAAAAGUCGGUGUUUACUAAUCACUUCCCAUGUCUUACAUUUUAAAAUUAAGCUAAAGCACAUCAAUUACAGAGGAGAAAUGUAAUCACAAAUUCCACCCCUAAGAUGAAUUCCACAAAUAACAGGAUUUUCCUUCUUAAAAAAGGACUUAACAGUCAUGAAUGGACAUAACUAUAAUUAGGAUCCUACUAGUGGAUGUACACAAAAACAGAAAAUAUUGACUAAAACAAAAGCAAAAUGUAUGACAAUGUCUAUGAAAGACAGAAAAAUAAGCUUUGCAUUUUCAAUAAAUCUCGAAGAGUUGAAUUUCACGGCACAGGCUGCAUGUUCUCACAUUCUUCGCGGAUUGACUGGAAAAGAACGGAUGAGAGAUAUCGUUCUCCAAAGCUCGGAAACACAACCUACAGCCAUUCAAAUUGUCAUUAAAAUGAGAAACAACCGUUAGAUUAUUAUUUUAUAGUACAUUAUUCAGUUCGCACAGAGAUAUAUAUAGAGUCGAAGGAAGCAAGACAUAUUUAAAACUGUAAUACAAUUAUAAGAAAAGCGUAGAGAACUCUGCCCAGACUACAGUGCUUUUCAGGUUCCAGAAGCUAGAAGGUUGAAGAAAGCAUUCAUGGUGGGGAAAAAGGCCUCUGGAACUCACCCAACAAUGAUAGUUAGGUCAAGUGGUCCUAAUCUAUAAAAUAUUUAUCUCUUCCUAGAAGGCUAGUUCUCAUAGACACUGACCAUAAGCUGACAGCUGCAUUGCAACCCCACCAGUCACCCAACCAUACUAAUAAAUAAUGCUGACCAUAUGGGUAGCAGCCAGAGACUUGUUCUCCUUUAGACCAAUCUUAUGAAAACAUGAAAUCUGUAACUUGAAUGGAUUUGUUUAAUUACUUGAUAAAGCAAAUUGGUUAAUUGUGCAAUUUAGUCCUGCCUUUGCCACACAGGCAUGCACUUGAAAGACAAGAAGGCUUUGCUGGGUCAGAAAUAAAAUGGAGUAAAUUGGGCAAAAUGGUCAUAUGGCACCCUCAAGUUAACAACUCACUUUUCAAUUGAACUAAUAAUAGGAGCAUUCAGGUUCAUUGAAUGCAAUUCAACUUAAUGCUUUACCAGAUUUACGAAACUUAACCCCAUGUUUCUCUUCAAAGAAACGACAAAAAAGAUGCUCCCCAAAACAUAAUCAUGUUUGAAUUUAGGAAUUUUCUGUAUCUAAAACUAAAAUUUAUCCCAGAUGAUAAUACAAGUAUAAGCCCACCUACAAACAUUCAUUCCCUUAGUGGCAUGCAACAUUGCUUAUCAAAUCUCACAUGGUUUAGUUGUAAUCUAAUUUUAAAGUAUUGAAAUUUUUUCAUUUUGAAACUUUUUGGUUCCAGAUAGCAGCUGCAUCAAAAACUAAAUCACAAGCUUCUGAUAAAAACCGAGCAGUGCGAGUCAGAUUUGUAAUAUGAAUACCUUUAUGUUUUUCCAAAAUUGAUCAACUUGACAUGAGAUUCUAUGAAAGCAACAUGACUUACUGCAAUAAGCUUUCCAGCAUUCUCAGGUCUCUUCCCAACCUCCAUUGCUGCAGCAGCUGCCGCCCCAGAAGAUAUGCCAACCUGAUAUGAAAUCAACUUUCGAAUCAUUAGAUAGAAAAAUGAUACUAAAAGGAAAGAUUGAGAUAGAUAUGGAUGAGGAAGAGUAUUUAAACCAUGCUGCAGCUAUCUGCAGGUCCAGCCACUCAAAUCACAGAUUGAAUCUCAAAGAUUAAAAAGGGAAGGAAAGGGGAAAAAGUGUAAAUGGUUCCUAACUUCAUUGGAAGAACCACCACUUCCUCAACUAAGAAAACUUUUAUUUUUCUUCUCUCUUUAUGCAGCUAGUGAUUCAAUGUUAAUGUUUGGGGGGGGGGGGGGGGGGGGGGGGGGGGGGGGGGGGGGGGGUGGUGCUUGGCCUAGGAUUUCUAGGUAUCAACCCAAAAGACUAGUUUAUUGAGUGAAGUGACUGUCCUACUUAUAAACCCAAGUAUCUUCUUUUUACUAGCUGAUAUGGGACACAACUCAACAAUCCCCACCUCGGACGAAACCACCGCUGGACUCCGGUCCUUUCGUCCAACACACUUGAGUGGUUUCACAACCACAUUCUGGGUACUAGGGUCAAGCUCUGAUACUAAUUGUUGGGGGGACCUUGACCUAAGAUUUCUAGGUAUCCAACACAAAAGACUAGCCUAUUGAGUGGAGUAAUCUAUCCUACUUAUAAACUCAAGUAUCUUCCCUUUACUAGCAAAUGUGGGACACAACUCAACAGUUAAUUUACAAUUAAGACAUGAGUUUUCAUUUACACAUCAUUUCUUUUAGUUCAAUAACACCCAACUUUAGUAAUCGAUUAAUUUCUUCAUCAUGAAUUAUUUAGCAUCCAUUAAAGUGAAUGAAAAUGAUUUGAGACACAUGACAAUUUAACAGAUCUAACACAUCCACAUGAUUUCACAUUACAAUCAAAGUGAAGUCCUCAAAACAAGCAAAGGGACACAUGCAAAUCCUAUAGAUGGAUUAGAUUAACCAAUCUGAUUGCCAAAUGUGCAUCACUUUUUUUUCCUGAUACCCAUAAAAUCCCGCAAGCCUUUCUAUGUUCACCAAGUACUAAACUGACUACUGCCAAACUCUACAACCUUGAUACAGUCACAAAACACAUGAGACAUUUAGUAUCCAGGUCAUCAGGUGGCUGGCUCCCAGGGAGUUUGAGACCCUGGACUAUUGGUUGAAUCCAACGGUUGUUUACUAUUCAACCCAACCCAUUGGGGGAUUUAGCUCUCUGUCUCUACUUAAGCACAAACUUAUUCCAGCUGUGCUCUGCUAGAUCAUGUGCAUGUAGAAGUUGGUCAGUACCCAGAUUCAGUUUUUCCUUUCACUUCAAAAGUUAAAAUCCAAGGCUAAUAAGAAGCACUAACCAGCAAGCCUUCCUGGAGUGCUAACUGCUUUGCAAUUUCAACAGCUUCAUCACUAGAUACCUGCCAAAUUCACAAACAGAGACACGUGACACGUGUCAGACUCUACUAGCAUCUCAUAUGGAAUCUAAACAAAUAAUUUGAAAACAAAAAGCAUAGCACGAGAUGAAUUAAUAUGAAGGCAUAAACAGGGAUGGCCACUGCCAUGCACAGCCGGUACAUGCAUUUGGCCCACGAAAUGCACAUAUAGAGCUUUACACCAAAUAUAAGGCCAAAAGUCAUUUGAAGCAAAUUUGUUUAAGAGCACAUCUUUGUGUAAGAAAAAUUAUUUACAUUCAUAUUUAAGCAGUUUCCUAGUGUAUCAAGAAACUAGAGGUGCAAGAACACAAGUAGGUCAGCUGGAAAUAGUCCAAAAGACAGUGGUGUUGCACACAGAUGCAUAUAUAAAGAGACUAGGAAAAGAAACAGGUCAAUUGAAGUGCACUGAAAUAUAAUUGAAGUUCUAGUUUUGAUAACUUCCAUAGGUUGGUAGCAUUAGAAAUUAUCCAUGUCGACCAUGCAUCGAUAUGUCCAUCCAUGUUUAAGUCAGUUCUCGAGGCUAAAUGAAUUCCAAUCAACCUUUUGAGCUGACAAGCAAUCCCAUAUGAUAAUUGCAAAAAGUACUGUACAAGGAUUCAUGGUUAUAAUUGCACACAGAUGCCUAAAUAACAAAUUCCAAGUUACCAAAAUCAAGACACAGGCAACUGCCAAACAAAGAGAAAAAGGGUUUGACUACUCUCUCCAAUUAAGAAGCUCUGUGAAAUAAGAAGAUUUCAAAACUUGCAAAGAAGUAAACAGUGAAACAAGCAAAAGAGCAAAUAAGAAUUAACCUCAAUGACUUCAUCAAGCACACCCUCAUCCAAAUUCCUGGGAACAAAACCUGCUCCAAUCCCUUGAAUCUUGUGCGGACCUGAGUUUUUAUGGUAAAAGCAUUUAAAACACAAGUUAUUACAUAUCAAAACAGAAAUUUUCUUUUUAGAUGAAUAAGUUAUACUGAAACAACCUUAAGACUAGAAACUAAUUUCUCAUCUUACCAGGCUUUCCACCUGAAAGUAUAUUGCUUUCGGAAGGCUCUAUGCCAAUAACCUGAUAAUCAUUAAAGUUAAAAGAGAACUCUAAAACAGUAAAACUAGGAAAGAGACAAACAGCUUUUUAAGAAAUCAAAAGCACUUAGCGUCAGGUAGAACAGCCAAAUGGUAGCGCACUUUGAAAUUCACUUUUCUGUCCAUGCUACCAAUUUUAAGACACUUUCAGAUUGGCAGGUUAGACAAAGACUUGGUGGCGGAUAUGGGACACAUGCCAGAUAUGGUUUGGAAAUAAAUAAUACAAAGAUGAUUACCUUGAUAUUAGGGUUUUUCUCUUUAAGAUAUCGACCAGCUCCCGAUAUAGUUCCACCAGUUCCAAUUCCUCCAAUAAAUAUAUCAACCUUGCCUCUAGUAUCUUCCCAAAUUUCUGGACCAGUUGUCUCAUAGUGUAUCUGCAAAUGGAAAUACUUACUUCAGCUCCAGUUAUACUCAUAGUUUCCAGUUUAUUUGAUGAUACAAUUUCUUAACCUAAAAUAGGAUCUCUUGAACAAAGACUUAUUCCAGAAGAUGAAUGAUAUGUUGUGAUAUACUAAAUUGAUAAAUGGAAAGCUGGAAACCAUCAAAAGUGAUCCUUACCCGUGGUCAAAGCAAUUUUUAUUGUAUUCAAUCAGUAACCGAGUAGCAUCAAAUUAAGAGAUGAGGUUUCUUGCCUGAUAGCAGGUACCAUCGUGCUAAUUUGUUAAAUUGAUGCAUCCCAUGUCCGAAAAUAAUAUAACAAGGCGAAGAAUAAGCAUAAAAUGCAGGAAUCAUUAGGUCAUUCAGGGAAUGUAUAUGUUUCAUUUCCAACAGCAUUCUGGGCAUAUCUCAUAGGCUGGUUGCCCUUAUAUACACUUUUUUCAAUAUGCAAGCCGUGUUAUUGCUUUCUUUUUUCUAUUUUACUUGCAAUGAUGUACAAUAUCAUGGCAUAAAAAAGUCACAUAAUGCACUAUCUAAUGGGACUACAGUUUUCAAGAAAGAAGAUGUGAGCCACUGUUUUUACCAUCUAUGUGGACCAUCAUGGCCUAUCCUUUUCAAGACCACUUUUUUCAUUCUUUAUCUCCUAAGGCAAGUCUAUGCUGAAACUAGAUAUAAGUAGGAAGCGUAACUGCAGACCUUAGGGUUAGCAGGAUUGUCAAAUUGCUGAAGCAUAUAUGCAUUAGGUGUGCUAUUCAAAAUUUCUUCAGCUUUCUGCACAGCCCCCUUCAUGCCUUUUGCUGAAUCAGUUAAUACAAGCUCAGCUCCAAAUGCUUUCAGAAGAACUCUCCUUUCCAAGCUCAUUGAGGCUGGCAUAGUCAAAAUGAGCUUAUAUCCUUUCGAAGCAGCUAUGAAAGCAAGGCCAAUUCCAGUGUUUCCACUAGUGGGCUCUACAAGAAUACUCUAGAACAGACAAAAAAUAAAAAAUAAAAAGUAAGAAGAGAGAGAGAGAGCCAAAACUAUGCAAAAGCAAUGGUAAACAUAUGCUUUUUCCAGAUGGGAUUAUAACUGAAACAGUGAUUGCCUGUUUUAUCUCAUGCUUAAGGGGAAAAAAAACACUUCUAAUUACCAUUUUCCUAGUUCAAAUAUCCAGUUAGCAACUACUUCAAAUGCCUCUGAGUCGAAUUUUAGUGCAGCAAACAAACAGGAAGAGGCCCUUAUUUAGCCAAAAUAAAUAAAUAUCAAAAAGCAGAAGGCUUAGCCUCCCAAAUUUAGUUCUUAUUACACAUUCGUGCAGCCGCAAAAGAUUUGCAGCAAACAUGUCUUACCUUUCCAGGCGUUAUUAGUCCUUUUUGCUCGGCAUCAGCUAUCAUACUGAAACCAAUCCUGAAAUCAGAAAUCAAAAUAAAAAAUAUUGAGAGGAUGUAAAUUAUUAUUGAUUAAGUUCCAUUGCUAGUGAUUCCAAGAAGAAGCAAGGAAGCUAGAAUAUGCCAAAUUCAUAAGGGCAUAACAAAAUUAAUUUGCUAUAACCAAUGGUUUAGGACUGACAAGUCAGAUUUUAACCAUUUAGUACAUGGACUUUUGGCAAAAACUUAAUAUCGAAGGGUCUUUAGGGACAAUAAAGAGACAGUUCAACAUCAAGAAUUUUCACCAUAAAACUUCCAUUCUGGUGAUGAAUGCACACAAACCAAAAGAUGGUCAUGAAAGUUUUGAGUAUCUAGAGUUGCAAUUUUAUCUUUCUCACCUGUCCUUAACACUACAACAUGGUUCCAUGAUUUCAAGCUUGGCAGCAAUGUUUGCAACACACCCCUUGACAAUAGUAUUCAGGUAUACCAUUGGCGUCUUCCCAAUAAGCUGCAUGACAUAGAAACCAGUACAACAUAUCAUUAGCCAAAGAAAAAAAGAAGUUCAUUGAUAUUAUUCAUGUGGGGAGUCAAUAAAAAAUGAUAAUGAAAUAACCAAAAAAAAAAAAGACAAUUCACAUAAACUAUGCUAAAUUACACUCUUAACUUUCUCAUUAACUAUCCGGUUAGCGUUCACACCCCUACUCCAACACGUGUUUUCCAAGUAUUAAAACCAACCCACUACAUAAUUCUAACCAAUUCCCUCGAAACAAAGUCCAAAAUCACUUUAAAAAAGAAAUUCCAAAACUGUCCUAAUCCAAAAUCAAAUUUUCAAUAAACAAAUCAUCCAAAUUUUCCAUACUAGACCAAACAUAAGAACACAGUGAAGUCACAAACAAGUUCCUAAACUAUGAACAAGCUUAUCUACAUCAAACACGCCAACUAAGAACCAAAAAAGAGAUGAAAAAAAUCCAAACUUUGAACAAACAAAACAAACCCAAUUAAAAACUCAAGAGUUCACUUACCUGAGUGACAUCUUCAGCAAUGUUGAGACCUUCAAUCCCAGUCUGCGGCUUCACAGAGACAGCCUUGCACACAACAGAGUUGCAGGGUUUGUAAGAGACCUUGUACAAAUUCUGCUUCAAUCUUCGAGCUGCUGUUAUGGGGCUAAUGUAGCCCAGUUUCAGAGUGGCCAAUGAUGAUUUCUUGGAGAUGCAGAGAGGAGCAGUCAACGGACUGCACACCAGAGAAGACGAAGUGGCCAUUGUUUUUGGAACUUUGUGGGACUAACUGUCUGACGACCAACUGAUGAUGCUAAAUGAAUGAAAGAGCCUCAGCUAUUUAUGUUAUUUUUCUUUUCUUUUUCUUUUCUUUUUUAUCAUAAAAAAUUAGAAAAUAUCUUUUUUUAAAAAAAAAAAAAAAAACUACACUUCCUCAAUUGGGUUUUUCUUUUAAAAUGUUAGUUAAAAUGUUAGUUAAAUGUAGUAUUAUUAUUUUAAAAACAUUAAUAAACAAAUAACACCAUAAAUUGUUGUCUAACUGUAUAAGUGCCUUUAAGGGCAUGGAUUCCCUGUCUUCUUAUAUUCUAUUUUUAUUAAUAAAAAUCACAAUUUCGAUAAUAUGUUUUAGCUAAUAAUAAAAAUAAAAAAUAUAGUGCGUGAAAAAUUUUAUAUUUUGUCAAAUUAAUAUUAAAUUAUUAUCUACAUAAUAAUAAAAUUAAUUGCUAAUCUUUUUAAUUUUCUAAUUAUUAUGAAAAUAAAAAAAUUAAAUUUUAGUGUAGUUCAUCAAAUGUUAUGCUAAACUAAAAAGAUUAAGCAAUAGUAAAUGUAAUUUUUUUUAUUUAAUCCUAUUUAAUUUUAUCAUAUCUUAUUCUACUUAGUCCAAUCCAAUUUAAUCAUAAAAAUAAAAAAAAUUAGAAAACAAAACAAAAAUAAAAGAAUAAAAUAAAGAAUUGUUGGGACCGAUUGAUUCAACCGGUCGAAUUAAAAACCGGGAUGAAAUUUUAUUUGUAUUACUGGGAAUAGAAAAUUAAAUAGUGUAAAAAAGUUGUCAAAUAUCUUUUUCUCUACCGGAUGCAUGAUUACGUCCACAUUCAAUAUUCUACUUCCGCAUUUCAUAGAGUGAAAAAGGGUCAAUGGGAUUUUGUUAGCCUUUGGAUUACACGAAAAGUCAAUUUAGUUUCUUUAAAAUUUUUUAAUGCAAACAAGAUUUUUUUUUUUUUUUUUUAAUGCAAAAGUAAGAAUUGAAAGCAUUGCUCCUUGGAAUUCUACGUCAUAAGGGCACUGUUUGAUUGAUAGCAACUUAAAAUAUUAUAAUUUAUAAUAGCAUUUCAGAAAUAUGCGAUUCAGAAGAAAGCUUAAUUUUCAAUGAAUAAUUUUUAAUAUUAAAUGAGGACCAUACAACAAUGUUUAUCAGUCAAUUUAUUUUGAAAAUAUUGUAAAAACGAGAUUAAAUUUCUCUAAAGGUAUGUGGUGUAUGUUAUUGGUAUAUUACAAUGCAAUUUUUUUUUUAAAACAAUGCAUAAUGAAAAUUAAAUCCUCUCUUUUGUACCGUCUCAUUUACUAUUUAAACUAAUUAACGCCAACGUCGUUUGCAUGUCAAUUAUUCCAAGGGCCAGUUUGAAAUUACUUUUAAGAGAUUUAAAAAUAAUUUUAGAAAGCAAAAAUUCCAUUCUAGUAUUUGGUAAAUUAGUUUAAAAAUUACUCUUGACAAAAUCACUCCAACAACAAAUUUUGAAAAGUAGGCAGAGCAAUUUUUCAAAACAUGAUUUUUAAGAAUUAGCUUUAUACUAAAUAUAAUUCCAUAUAAAUCCUCAUAUAUAUUAUAAAAAUUUAAAAUUAUCCUUAUUAAUUAGAAAAUAAAAUCAUUAAGUUUAAAAAAUUAUUCUUAUUACUAAUUACAUUGAGAUGACAAAAUAGAAAAUAAAAUUAAAAAUAUAAAAUAUUUAUUUUAGCUGUCAAUUAUUAUACAUACAAAAUAAAAAAUAUUUUAUUUACAUGUUUAUAGAAAAUUGUAAAUAAAUUUUAUUCCACAGUUUAUAUUCCAUAUGUUCAAUUUAGUCAUUUAUAUUCUUAUAACAGUUUAAUAGUAAGAUUUACAAAAUAUAUACGACGGCUUUCAAAACGUACAACAUUUUUAAAAAUAAAUUUUGCCGAACGUUAAACUGAUUCUCUUCACAACUAAUUAUUUCUAAAGUACAACUAACAAAAAUUAUUUUAAAAGUUACAACCUUCUUAAAUUGGCCCUAAUAUAUAAUUUGACAUUCAUUGAUAUAGGUGUCACAAAAUUAACAAGUAUUGAAUAAUUAAUUCAAAUAUCAACUAGUGGGUUCAUUUAAUUGAGAUUGUAAUUUUUUUUAGUUAAAAAUAUAAGGAUUCAACCCCGCUUAUAUGAAUGAGGAGCGAAUUGGAUUGCCAUUCUAAAUAAUAAUAAAAGAAGGUUAAAUAUUAACCAAUGUGUGUAAUGAAUAUAGGUAUUAGUUACCUAAAUUGGGAUAUAAAUUAAUUAUGUAUAUUUUAAGUAUUUUGGUAGGAAUAAACAGAUUUUAUAAGAUUUUAUCAUUUAUUUUUGCUGGAUUUUGUGUGAGAUUUUGUAGUUAAUAACAAUACUGGAUGCAAGAUUUUUUUUUUUUUUUAAUGUAUAGAUACUUUCAUUUUAGCUCAUGAAAUGAUAUUAUAGGUUUAUAACCAUAAGAAUUAAAUUUUACCUUCAUAUAUAUACCUGCAAGCAUCAAAUAUGUUUAGCUUCUCGACUCCUCUCUUUCUCAUAAUAACCUUAAAUACAUGCAUUAUUAUUACUCAGACUUCACCACCAGUUGCAUCUGGCCUUUGACUCCAGUGUAGGGUUCAUAUGAUGAAUGACCUUAGUAAUAAUGAUAAACUACUGAUCAUUCAUUGCCAAGGGGGAGCACACCCUUUGGAUGAAGAAUGAAUUCAGUUUCAAAUUCCAAGAAAAUGUUUGGAGAUCACUCGUUUUUGGUGUAACAUGAGAUUGGACUUGAAAGAAACGACCGUAGAUGUUUAUCGAACUUAUCACGAAACAGAAAAAUGUCAAGAUACUAGAAAUUAUUUUUGGUCAAGCAGAGAGGACGGAUUAUAUUUCGGCAACAAUAAAAAAUCGUGGGAAAAACAGUAAUAAAAUUAAUAAAGAUGUUUCAAAUCAAAAUUAACAAGUUUUAAUUCCUAUGUGUCCUUGUUGGUAGGGGUGGGUAUCGGUUCGGUUUGAUUUAGUUUUGAGAUAAACUUUCGAUAUUGGUUUGGUUCAAGUAUAAAAUUCAAAAAAACUAUUCGGUCUUUAGGGAAAAUAAGAAUCGAAUUAGAACUGAUAGUUCGCUUUGGUUUGAUUUCGAUUCAGUAUCAAUUUUUUGGUUCGGUUUCGAUUUUUCAGUAACGGUUUGCUUAACGGUUUCGAUUAACAAAUCAUUUUUUCGAUUCAGCUUAAUCUACACAUAAGGCCUACUAUAAUCAAUGUAUAAUAAAUAUAAAUAAAAUAAUUUAAAAAUUUAUAUUAAAAAAAAUUAAAAGAAUUUUGGACUAAAAUGAAAAACUUUUAGAAUCAUAGUCACUAUUUUUAAUACCAAAACCUUUGGCCCUAAUAUAAAUAAAAUAAAAUAAAAUAAGCUUUUACACCAUAAUAUAAUUCACCAAAAAUUAGGGAUGAGAAUGAUAUCUUACCUUGUUGACUUUCAACCAGGGACCUUUUGAAAAGUUUGCAAAAACUAUUAGGGUAUAACAUAAUUUCUAUAUGCAAACAUUUCCUAAACAUUAGGUCAUACAAAAAUUUUAUAAAGAACAGGGAUCCAAACAAUAUUAUUAGUUUGGUUCGGGUUUUAUAACUUUUUGUCCGAAAAUUGAACUGAAUGGUUUGAUUUGGUAUUUAUAUAUUCGCAUUUUUAUCUUUAAAAAAAUGAAUCAAACUGAAUUUUUUUCGAUUUCGAUUGGUUUUGCCCACCCCUACUUGUUGGUGACCAUGUUCAUGUACCAAUUAAAUAUUGUGAUUCAAGAUGAGUAUAUAUGCAAAUUAGGAAGAAAAACAAUCUAACUAUGAUUAAUAUAAUUACCACCAGUUAAGUUAAAGAAGAUUAUGUUAUCCGGAAUCCACAAGAUAUGUCUAGCAAAUUGGCAAGAUCAAUAAGAAGUUUGUGGAUCAUCCCGCCAUAAAUAAGUUUCUUGAUGUAUUAACAGAAGUUUUGAGUUCAUCUUUAUAAUUGUUGUCACUAAAAAUUAUAACGUGUCUUUUUUAAAAUUGUAAAGUGGUGUUCAUUUUUUUUUCUGACCAAUAACUUAUAUAAAUUUGAAUAUUAAUUUGUCCCAAGGCCUAAUUGAGUUAUUUUCAAAUAGUUUUAUUUGGCUAAUUACACGAAUUUAAGUUAGAGCUAGAGAAUUAAAAAUUAAUAAAGAAAAAUAUGAAUUUUAAAUUUUUAUUUACAAAAGUUUCCUUUAAAUUAGCUUCUCAUAAUUUAGCUUCUAUUACUUAUUGUUUACAGCAAAAUAGCUCGUAUAUAAUAUAUACUUUACUAACCUUUAAGAUGUCCUUUUCUACAUUUUUUUCCAAUUAGUUUUUAUUGAUGACAAAAUGCCCCCUAGAUUAGAGAUUUUGGCUCCACCCCUAAAUAACAAUAUAUUUGUCAGUUUGACGAAAUAGAAACAUAAAAAUUGGUAAACGAUAGAGAAAUUGUUAGAACAAGAAAUUUCUUUGGUGAAAACCAUCACCUACAAUUUAGGAACAUUUACGUUAUAUCACUAAGAAUCAAUAACAAAUUAUGCGGAAACGUACCUGAAUUCAUAACGUUGAAUUGUUGUUUAGGGUUGUAUGGUUGGCCUUCCUUGUCAACACUUUCUCCUAGAGAGUUUUUUAAUUCUCUCUAUGCUCUCUUUCAAUGAUAGAAUAUGAGAAAGAAUAGAAAGAUACGUGUGACUUGAAAACUAUAACCACUCAUAUAGACAACUUUUUCUUGUUGUCAUUAAGUAUUCUUAAUUAUGCUCAUCAUAAAAUUAGAAUAUUGUUAGGUCUCUACACACUAAAGGCUCACACCCUUUUAGAUACAUUAAAACUCAUAAUACCGAAAACCUUAAUAGAUAACUUUUAAUUUGGCUUAACCUUAUAUGACAAUCUACAAUACAUAAUUAUUCACAUAUAAGCUCAACGUUAGAUUAAGGAUCCAACAAUGUUAAAUUAAAAAAUCCCAACAGAAACAUAAGUUUUUAACAAUUUGAAAUAUUAUUGAUAAAAGUCCGAAUGAGAAAAUUAGGAUUUAAAGGCCCUUCUACACAAAUCCUAAAUCUUGCUAAUUUACCAAAGUAGGCAAUAAAUUAUUAUUAUAUACUGAAAUUCUUCUAAAUGAAAUAGAUAAAACAAAAUAAACAGCACUCAAACUUGAAAUCUACAAAAAUAAAAUAAAAUAAAAAUCAUGAAACCAAUAGGAAAAAUAAGAAAAUAACUAUAACUUUAACUUACAAAAUGACUAUAAAAGAAACAAAAUUUAUGGGCGAGUGGGUCAAUGUGAUUAGAUUCUCCUUAUCGUAAGCUUUAAAACGAUAUAUUAUACGCCCUAAAUGGAUACAUGUACCUCACGUUAUGACCUUGAAAAGAAACCUUUCUUAUCUUACGCAAUUAUCCUACAUCAUCAUUCGUGUUUUAUUUUUCAUCCUCUAAAUGGAAUAUCUUGAUAAUUUUACUUUUACAUAUUUAUCUCUAUAAAUACUUCUUGAGGAAGUUAUCACUACAAUAAAGUAAAAUCAAUGGUUUAUUACGAAAGCAAACUUUUUUUUUGUGCAUUUGACACACUGUAUUAUAUUAUGGUGUAUUUUAUUAUUUUAAUGUUAGUGUAUUAUAUUAUGUUGUAUUGCAUUAGAACUGUAUUAUAACAAUAUUGUACAAUGUUUGGUGCUACAGUGUAUUGUAUUAAUUUUUUUGAUUAAUUUAAAUUAAAUAUUAUAUUAUAUUAAUAUAUUAUGUUAUAUUAUAUUAAUAUAUUAUGUUAUAUUAUAUUAUAUUAAUAUAUUUAAAUUUUAUUAAUAUUUUAUAUUAUUAUUUAUUUUAAAUUAAUAUUAUUCAUAUUUAUUCAUAUUUAAAUAUUUAUUAUUAGUUAUCAUAAAUUAUAAAUUUAUUAAUAAAUUAUAAUGUAAAAAUAAAAAAUUAUAUAAAAUUAAAAUUUAUAUUAUUAUUAUUAUUAUUAUUACACAAAAGCAAAAGUCAAAAGCAAAAAGGCCAAAAAAAAAAAAAAGAGCAAGCGGCCGCACUAGCUUGGGCCCAUUAAUACAAUGCUACUGUAGCUCUUUAUCUACCAAACAUGAGCUUGUAUAAAUUUAAUGUAAUGAGAAGUUUUAAUACAACAACCAAACAUGCCCUUUAUGCAUAGGCAAUGAACUCCCAGCCGCACUAGUCUCGAGAUCCCAAAUUUAAUUUGAAAACUUGAGUUCUAGUCAUCGACUCUCAUUUUCCUUCCAAUUAUAAAUAUAAUUGCGUGGGAGUUAAUUUAUCUCCUGUUAGUUUGUGGUAAAGAUGUUAUCUUCCAAAUUUGUGAGAAUUAAAAUCUAGACCAUGUUGUGCUGUAAUGCACCAUGAAACUAAACCAUGUUUAGUAUUCAAACAGCAGUUAAUUAAGAUUCAUUAUUUCCUUGUCAUACAUAUAUGAUUCAUUAUUUCAUUUGCCAUACAUAUAUGUUGUCAAUAGCUAUAGUCAUUAAAUGAACUUUUUUUUAUAUUAAAAUAGGUGAAUAGUUCUCAUCAUUCCAUAUUCGAAAACCAUUACUUCUCAUUUAUUUUUCAGUGUAUAAAUUCGUCUACACACAGCUUCUGAACUGCAACAAGAAUUCACAAACUCUAUUGAUAGAUAAUUGCCAAAAAAAAAAAAAAACAUGUUUAGAUUUUCUUUUGACUCUCUUCUUUUUCAUUAUCAUCCCAAUUUUUUCUCAUCAUUCAAUCUCCAACAAAUGCAUUCGAUGAAAACAUUCGAAUCCGAUUGAAGUACAAAGUGCACAUAAUGAAUGGCCUCGCAACAGAUAAAGUGCCGACAAGGAUUCACUGCUACUCAAAGGAUGAUGAUCUUGGAGCGCAUCUUCUUUGGAUGAAGGAGGAAUUUCGUUUUGAAUUUACAGUGGAUUUUUGGAAGAAAACUCAGUUUUGGUGCGAUAUGGGUUUCGGUACAAACGAGAGAACCGUCGAUGUUUUUCAAACUGGAAUUGAGACUCACACCUGACGCUCUACUGGGAAUUGCUUUUGGUCAAUGAGAGAGGAUGGCAUCUAUUUUAGCAACAAUGAUCAAUCUUGGGUUAAAAAAUAUGAUUGGCAGUGAUGAUCGUGAAUGGAAUAUUGGGGUUGUAGUACAGUUAAUAAAUAAUACCUUUUGAUUGAUGUUAAAAAAAAAUUCAAUUAUAUUAAGGGAUUGAUAAUAUGUACUUUGAGAAUUUGAACUUCGUGCCCUCUUAUAUAUUUUAACAGAAGAAAGCUUAUUAUUUAAUUCUUGUUUUUGUUAAAAAUUAUUACCUCUCAUGGUUUAUAUAUGAUUGCUGGAGCGGCUGAGUAAAAUUAUAAGAUUUAUAAGCUUAUAACUAUCAUGUGAUUAAAUAAUUAUUAAUAAGCUAUAAAUAUCAUGUGCUAUAGAGAUUUCGCCACCAUUGCACUACCAUGCAUUUCAAAUCUAACGUAAAGUUGGCCAACACUAUAAAUUUCACCCCAGUGAUAAAGUACAAAGCAACUCCUCUUUCAGGAUGCCGAAAUUAAUAUAAACCAAAAAAAAUAAAAAUUCAAAUUUGGGGCCAUAAUUUCACAUUUUAUAUUUUGAAAGUACCCGUGCAAUGUUUAUAAUUUUUUUUUUUUACAUGUUGUAAGUCUUAAUUUAUUUCCAUUUUCAAAUAUGAUAUUAGUUUUAACCGAUUUGAUAUCCAUUUACAUAUUUAUUACAUUAUAUUUGCACAUCUUAUGUGGUUUUAUGAAUUUUUAUUUUUAUUUUUUUAUAUAGUUUCUUAAUUUUUAAUUUUAAUUUAUAAGUUUGUACAAAUAUUACGUUUUCUUUAUCACUUUUGAAUUAUAAUUUCAUGCUUCAAGUUGAAAUUUUCAAGUGUAUUAUCAAUUAUGAUUUGAAUUACUGGAAAGCUUGACCCUGAAAGCAUUAUGCUCUUAGGUAUCUUAUAUGACACCUUAUUCUGUUUUAAUUGCAUAAUAAGCAUGUUGUAUAUUGCUGACAUAUUUUGAAUUGUCAAUAUUAUUAUUAGGGUUUGGUUAUAUUGGAGUUACUUUAAGGUAGAGUAAUAUUUUAUAACCACACGAUUAAAGUUAUAAUGAGCUUUUUAAUAUUUAUCACUUUACGUGUGUGGUUGAGAUUCGUACUCUAUCGUAGAUUUACUUCAACGUAGCCAUAACCUUUUUUUUUUUAUUAAAGAAGGGCUCACGAAGAGCUAAUGCAACACUAAACGAGAGUGUGCAAUCCCAUAAGCAUCAUUACAAAGCAAACCAACAAUAUCAGGGGGAGGAGAAAGAAGCCAUAGCCUUAUUAUUAACUAAGAAAAAUACGAAAAUUGAGUUUGACCUGGUCUUUAGUCCCGCUAAAAAUAGCUAAGGAACAUAGAAGGGCAUAUUCGUCUUUGUAAACAACAUAACUUAAAAAAAACAGUUAGAUAUUAUCUGGUCCUAUGUUGUUGGGACAUGAACAACAAUUAACCAACAAUACGAAUGUUUCAUUGUCUAGAACUUAACAGCUGUUCAAGCUUUCUGUUAUUAAUUCAAUUAUAAUGCAUAUAAAACCGGUGAUGUUAACAGUGAUUAGUAAAUAAAUACUGUUUUAGUCCACGGUUUGCUUUGGUCAUCGUAUUACUCUAUUCCAUGGCUAAAGCCGGCUGAUACAAUAACAACGGCCGGCAAUUUGAAAUUACAAAAAUAAAAAAUUGUUUGUGCAAUCCCAAUGAAGAAAUUAGCUGGACGAAAACUCCUUACUAAACCCUCUUCAUUUUCAGAACAGGCUACUUACUUUAAUUACGUGAUAGCCCCUCUAAUUAGGAAAUUAUUUGCAAUUACUAAUAAGGUCAUUUUGUUUUGAUUUGCAAAUUAAUAGUAUUGAGUUGCUAAGAUUUUGUUUGAAAGAUGGCUGGAAAUUACAGAUUCGCGAUGGACCAAAAGGAUAUUGUAAGAUUAAUGAUAACAAGUGUGGGAAGUUUCAUACAAGAUCGGUUGAUUAACCAGGAGGAAAGGACUCAACACAAAGAGCAGUGUGCUGAGAGGCUAGCAGCUGAAGAUGGCAGCAAUGAUAAAGACUCCGAGUUUAGAUACUCCGAUCAAGCAGUACUGGCCAAUUUGGAUUGGGGCAUUGAAGCACUUGAAGAAGCUAUUAGCACCUCGAAUAUGGAAACUAAGCUUGCGCGAUUAGACUACGCGGAGAAGAUGCUACAAGUAUGUGCCAUGCUGGAUUCAGAUCAGCAAACCGCUGGAGUUCCUAACUUCUAUCUAUCUGCUUGGGCUCAUCUAAAUCUAUCGUAUCUUUGGAAACUGAGGAAUAAUGUUCAAAACUCGGUGCUUCAUGCACUCGAGAUGUUUUCUAUUGAUCCUUUCUUUUCGCGGAUUGAUUUUGCACCCGAGCUUUGGAAAGAAUUGUUUCUCCCACAAAUGAGUUCAAUUGUUGGGUGGUAUUCGGAGGCGAGGCAUAGGCUUGUGAUGGAAGCAAUCCCUGAUUCUUCUGAUUUGUCAUUUACAGCUGAUUUGGAUCAAUUCUUCAAUGAGUCUUUGAUCUUUUCUAUGAGGCCUGAACAGGUAGAGAAGUUGCAGCAGCUUGAGCAGCUUUAUGGAGAUUCAUUAGAUGAGAAUACGCGAAUGUUUGCUAAAUAUUAUAAGGAUUGUAUGAACUCUGAUUCGAGUACUCGUACCAAGGUGAUCCCAAUGCUGCCAAUUGCAGAACCGCCGGCGACUCCUUUGCAUGAGUUCAGUAGAUCAAUUCCUGAUUAUGUAAAAUUUGGUCCUGUCUUGCCUAAGAGUGCAGGAUUUUCAGCUGUUCUUAAAUCAAAAAGUAAUAUGAGAGGACCUAGCAGGUUAGUUUCAAAUUUGUUGUGACCCUUCUUGUUUUGUAGUCAUCUAUUCAACUUCUCAACUGGUUUUAGGCUCUAAAUAUAUGCAUAUCUUCAUUUGGGUUUGCAGAAUGAAUGCGACUUCCAUGCCCUCACAGGAUCUUGAUGAAUCUCUUGUGUGGGAUCCUCAAGUAAGCUUGCUUUAUGUAGAUACACACACACACACACACACAGUUACCCAUUGCAUAAAUAUCAAUGCCUUAACGGAUUUAUAAUUUUAUAUAAACAAUCUUUUAUUCUUGGCGACAAUGCCAGGGGGACAUGCUUGAGGAGAAUGAAUAUGAAUCCGAUUAUGAGCCUGUUGAUGAUUAUAUUAAUUCUGGAAACCCUAACUCAGCGUCUCCUAGUGGGGCAAAAAUGAUUAAGGAUGAGGAAAGUGAGCUGAAAGAACAUGUCAAUCCAAUUUUCUCUCCUAUAGAUUCUCCCAAAACCCGUAGUCCGAAAAUUUCAUCUCCAAAACCAGAUUUGCAGAAUUUAUCUCCAAAAACUGAUGUGCACGGUAGAAAAGAACCCAAAUCUUUAUUGCGACUUCUGUCCAGCCGCAUAUCUCAUAGCCCUGUACCGACCUCUUCGCCAUCGUCUCCACAAUUGAGUAAAGAUUACAGCAUUAGCUCAGCAGACUCAGAUGGUGAAUUGGUAGUUUGUUAAAAACUUACGAACACUCAAGUUAUUUUAUUUGCUUUGUUAAAAUGUUGGACUUCUACUAAUGGUCACUUUUCAAUUAGGAGAAGCAGAAAAGCUCAACGAGAAACUCUUCUCGAGCAAGGAGUAUGAGUUACGAAAAUGUGAACAUUGUUUUGCUGGAGAACAGGUAGGCAGUACGCAGUACUUUUAUUCAAGUUUGUUACUUAUGUAGUUUAAUAGACAAUCCUGCCAUUACAUAGAGUUUACAAAAUUUCUUUCGAAGAAUUAUUAAUCUUUUUGAAUUCUGCAGUCCCUGCAAUGAAAGUGAUGAAGGAAGCCAAAGCUGCAAUUCGCUCCCUUGCUCCGAGAAGAUGACUUCCAGAUCAAGACCGCCAAAAGAUUUUGUCUGUCCUAUAACAGGCCAGAUUUUCAAUGAUCCAGUUACCCUUGAAACUGGUCAGACGUAUGAGAGAAAAGCGAUUCAAGAAUGGCUAAAAAGAGGAAAUACGACGUGUCCCAUUACAAGGCAACCUCUCUGUUCAAAUUCACUGCCAAAAACAAACUACGUCUUGAAGAGACUUAUAACAUCUUGGAAGGAACAGUAUCCUGAUCUUGCUCAGGAAUUUUCCUACUCCGAAACGCCAAAGCAUUCAUUUGGGUCCUCCCCCUUAAAAGACAUGACUUUGGCAUCUAGUCCAUCUAGAACUUUCAAUUUUCACAUUCAUAACAAUACGGAUGAUCAUAUCAAUGAAAGGCGCAAAAGAUUUACACAAGCGGCAAAUGCUACAUCACCGACUAGUGUGAUAUCUCAAGCUUCUGUCGAAACAAUUAUAAAUGGGUUGAAACCUUAUGUUACAUGUCUUUGUACUUCAGAAAACUUGCAAGAAUGUGAAACCGCAGUGUUGACAAUCGCGAGAUUGUGGAAGGAGUCAAAGGGUGAUCCUGGGGUUCAUGCUUAUUUGUUGAAACCAACAAUUAUAAAUGGGUUUGCGGAGAUAUUAUCAGCCUCUUUGAGUAGAGAAGUUUUGAGAACAUCAGUUUACAUUCUCUCUGAGCUGAUGGUUGCUGAUGAAAGUGUUGGAGAUAUUCUUACUAGCGUAGAUUCUGAUUUCGAUUGCUUGGCUGCUCUUCUGAAAAAUGGCCUAGGGGAGGCUGCCGUGCUUAUAUACCAGCUGAGACCAGCAUUUGCUCAGCUUUCAGCACAUGAAUUUAUACCCUCCCUUGUUCAGCUAGUACUGAACAAAACUGAAGAGUUUGAUGAACUGCAAUUUGUGAUGGAGCCCAAGGAUGCUGCCAUAGAAAUGCUUGAGCAGAUACUAAAGGGAGGAGAUAAAAAAAGCAGGUCCAUCACUGCUUUGAGUCUCAUUUCCGCCAACGGGAUUCCUGCCUUAAUUAAGUGUUUGGAUAGGGUUGAAGUAAGGAGGUCCAUUGUUUCCAUACUCCUAUGUUGUAUGCACGCUGAUAAAAGUUGCAAAACUUUGAUAGCAAAGAGAAUUGAGCUAUCCCAUGUUCUUGAUUUGUUUCAUGAUGGAAAUGAUAGCGUGAGAGGCAUAUGCAUCAAUUUCCUCUCGGAGCUGGUGCUGUUGAAUAGGUUAAUUUAUGUUCUCUCUUAUAUGUUUUACGUAUCAAAUCUUCACUUGUCUUGAUGAUAAUAGUCAUACUAUAUUAUGUAACGUCGGUAUCUCAUUGUUUUUCAUUUUGCUUUUGCCCAUUUGUUUCAGGAGGACCUUUAGCAACCAGAUUUUGCAAGUAAUUAGAGAUGAAGGAGCAUUUAGUACCAUGCACACCUUUCUUGUUUAUCUGCAGAUGGCUCCAAUGGAGCAGCAACCUGCCACAGCCUCUCUACUUCUUCAGUUGGAUCUCCUGGUUUGUGUUGUCUCUUUGAAAAUCAACCACAAUAAUUAAGCUUGUAUAAAUAUAUUUUAGUAAACAUCAUGAUGUCUAAUCAUAGAUUCUUCCAAUUCUUUUGUCCAGGUUGAGCCACGGAAGAUGAGUAUGUAUAGGGAAGAAGCUGUAGAGGCACUAAUUGAAGCACUCCGCAGGAAGGAUUUUCCAAACUCCCAAAUGAUGGCUCUAGAUGCUUUACUAUCGCUAACUGGGCGUUUCACUUUUUCGGGGAAGUCCUACACGGAAGCUUUGUUACUCAAGAUUUCAGGGUUUGAUCAACCUUACAAUGCACUUAUGAAGCCAGAGCGACUGAGUAAACCUGAAUCUGAAAUGGUGGAAUCAAUGGUUUGCAUAUAUGGUUUUUGGCUGAUUUCGGAACCUGUUAUUCUUUAAUAUUUGCAUUCAGUUGUAUGUCAAUAGUCACUUAUAUUUUUGAAUGUAGGAAGAGGAAGAACAAGCUGCAUGCUCUUGGGAGAAAAGGGUGGCUUUUGUACUCUGCAAUCAUGAGAAAGGCUCAAUAUUUAAGGCUUUGGAGGAAUGCCUCAAAAGUAAUUCUUUAGAGAUGGCCAAGUCUUGCCUUGUAAUUGCUGCGUGGCUAACUCACAUGCUUUCCACUCUUCCUGAUACUGGUGUAAGAGGCACCGCCCGUAGGUCUUUGCUUGAUGAAUUCAUCAAUGUGCUCCAAUCCUCGAGGAACCUGGAGGAGAAAAUUUUGACAGCCCUUGCUUUGAAAACUUUCAUCUCUGAUCCAGGUCAAUAUUAGUCUAAAGAAAGUUAACUAUUACAAGCAUAUUUUUUAGUCUAAUGACUGAUUCAAAAAAUUUCAUGAUAUCAAGUUGCACUCGAGGAACUAGGAAAGUAUGCUAAAUGCAUAUAUGGGACCUUGAGAAAGCUUAAGAAGUAUUCAGCUGUGGUCACAGAUAUACAGAAAGCUUUAAUGAAUUUGUCAUCAGUCAAUGCAGUAAGUACCACUUUUGCUGUGUUUAGUCCAAGUAAUGCCGACUGUAACUUGAGAACCCUAAAUUUUUCUGCUUUGCAGACAGAGCUGUGGCAUUGCAAUGAAGUAACUGAGUUGGAUUCAAGCACAAAUGGUGAGGUUCUCUCUCUGAUUCACCUCAAAGGUCGCGUUUUGAGCAGCCAUUCCGACGGCACUAUAAAGGUAUGAGCUCAUACAAACACACACUUAUACAAACAUCAAUUCUUUAGUCUAACAACUAGAUUUGGUCUUGUCUUGACUCUAGAUGUGGGAUUCUGGGAAGAGGGUUUUGCGAUUGAUUCAAGAAGUUCGCGAGCACACAAGAGCUGUGACGUGCCUCUAUGUUCCAUCUUCAGGUGACAAACUAUACAGCGGUUCCUUAGACAAAACAAUUCGGGUAAGUCUUCUCGUAUCAGUAAAACAAUCUUCCUAAGAAGUGAAAGCAACAACAACAGCUUUAUAUAUACAUCCUCAAACAGGUCUGGUCCAUCAAACCAGAAGAAAUCCAUUGCCUUCAAGUUCAUAAUGUAAAAGAGGCAGUACACGAAUUGACAGCCAACGCUGAAAUUGCUUGUUUUGUUUCCCCAGCAACCGGCGUUAAGGCAAGUAUAUACAUACAUUCUGUUCCAUGUGAGCAAUUUGUUACAAAGAUCUGUAACAAAAGAAAUCUAGCUGAAAAGAUAACAUAAUGUAACAGGUGUACAAUUGGUCAGGGGCAAUAAAGCACAUAAACUUCAAUAAACAUGUGAAAUCUCUGGUAAUGACCGGAGAUAAACUGUACUGCGGUUGCUCUGGUUAUAGUAUCCAGGUACACAUAUUCUUGUUUCUCCAACGCACUUGUUUAAAUAGACUCCGUGCGUAUAAUUUAACCAUGCAGGAGGUGGAUUUGGGCAAUUUAACAUCAACCACAUUCUAUGCUGGGACAAAAAAGUUGCUCGGGAAACAAACUAUACAUUCCUUGCAUAUGCAUAAUGGCCUUCUCUUCGCAGGUGGCUCUUCAGUUGAUGGCACAGCCGGAAAGGUAGGCAGGCAACUAUUUUCAUUGAAAUUAUUCAUGUCCCUAUCAGUAAACUAAACUGACUGAUUUUUUAACUUUGUUGCGAACAAUUUUUAUUUAUUUAUUUUUUUUUUUUUGGGGGGGGAUUAUUGAAGGUGUUUAGUAUCUCAAGCAAGACAGCUGUGGGAUCAUUCACAACAGGGAUCGAUAUUCAGCACCUAGCUGUCAAUAGUGACUUCAUAUUUACUGCUACAAAGUGUGGGACCAUUGAGGCUUGGUUGAAGGAAAGAGUCACCAGAGUUGCCUCUGUUAAGGCUAAUAAUAGUGGUGGGGGGCAUGCCAAAAUUACAUGUAUGGUAGCUGAUAACGAUGUGGGCAUGCUGUAUGCUGGCUCAUCUGAUGGCAAAAUCCAGGUAGUAUGUUUAAUCGAUGAAAUGUAUAUAUACACAAUCAAGAGUCCCUGUCAAAUUGUGAUUUUAACUUGUACUCAUUUGAUUUUCUAUGUAAUCCGAUUUUUGCAGGCUUGGACUCUGGAGUAGACGGUCAUCCAUAUAAGUAGUUGUGAUAUUUAUAUAUGUUGAUCUUAAAUUUGUAAAUCAAGCGCUGUGAUUUGAUUGAUUUCACUUCUUUUAAUAUGUUAAAAAUUAUAGCUAAAGGGUUUUGUUGAGACUUGAGAGUAUUAAUCAGCAAGGCAAAUUCAUUUUAAUAAAUUUAAUAUAAUUUCAUCACAUGAUUCCAUAGAUGUCACCCAAAAAAAAAUUGAAUUAUUUUGACCAAAAGAAUAGAAUCAAAUAGAACAAAUGAAUACAACACAAUAGAAACAAAAACAAUCAUCACAAAACUUUACAAACACACAGUGGCCGUAGUCUGGAGUGGAGCAUAAAAUAAACUUUUUUAUACUCUGGCCUCUCCAACUUUGACAUCCGGACAUUUUUCCCCCAACGUUUUUUUUUUAACUUUUUAAAUUCUCAGCCGUCAAACUUUACCACCUUUCCAUUCGCCUCCCUUGCUCUGCUAAACAUAAACUUGAAAUGGCCGUGACCAAGCUUUCGAAUCCUCCUCCUGAAACCUGCUGGCGCCGGCGGCUCCACUGUUACUUCCAUCAACAAAAGCAUGGUACCUCAACAGGAAAGUAAGCGCAAGCACCACCCACUCCAAGAAAAAGAUCAAAACAGAGAGAGCACCGGCGAGUUUGAGAAUGACAGCGCCGUCUUCUUCUCUGACGUAAGACUUCAAGUAGCCCAAGAAAUCACUGGUGCUGGCGAAGAUGAGGACGGAGACGGAGCCCUGGAAGAUGCCGGUGAGGACGGUGGCGACCAUGUGGGCGGCGUAGCACUUGUUUGAGGAGGAGGUGGCGACGGAGAGGGAGGAGACGGCGAUGAGGAUGGUGAGGACGUGGAGGAGGAUGAGGAAGAAGCCGACGAGGGAGGGGAAGAGGCGGAGGGAGAGGGUGAGGAAGAUGAAGCUUGAGGAGGCGGCUAAGAGGAUGUAAUUGCUGAUGAGCAGGAGCUUGUGUUUGCGGGAGUGGGUUUCGGCGAAUGACGACGACGAUGGGUUGAUGUUGAAGGAGACGCCCAUUGUUGUUUCUGUUACUGAGAGAUAUCUGUUAGAGCUUGAUUUGUUGAUGAUUUGAAGAGAUAUUGAUGAUGAUGAACUGAAAGAUUUUGUUGGGGGAGAUCGGAGAUGCGAAGAAGGGUAUUUAAAAGGAAGAAGAUGGAGCAACGGUCAUAUUUCUUUUGAAAAAUUUUUGCGUUUGGGGGGAAUGUGAACGUUGGAAGAGGACACGUGGCCAAUUAGGUAGCAAGUUUGCUAGUUCGCAAGUUCACAACGGUCGGGAAAAGGCAAUAGAUGUUAUUAAAGUUUCAAAUCUUAUUACGAACGCUUGAGUUUGCAACCGGGGAUGUAGCUCAGAUGGUAGAGCGCUCGCUUAGCAUGCGAGAGGUACGGGGAUCGAUACCCCGCAUCUCCAUCUUAUGCAAGCCAGUUUUUUUAUUUUUUAUUUUUUAAUUUAAACGAUUUCUGUCGAUCUAAGAGAGAUGAAAAUUUAAUUUCUAACAAUUUCCAUUGGUUUGAAUUGAAAAUUCUUCAACCUGAUUAAAGUUGAACUGCAAUUGAGCAAGUCCAUUCAUUUGAACAGCUGAAAACUGCCAAUCUAAAAGAAAUUAAAAUUAUUCUUUAUGAAUGAAUAUUAGUGAUUUAAAUCAUAUUAACAAUCAAAUUCUCCAAAAUCUGUACAGAAAUUAUGGUCCGGCCUAAGUUCCUAAAAAGGCUGCAAAGAAAAAGGAAAAACUCUCCUGUCUAGUAAAUUCCGAGUAUGGUAAACAAUGUAACUAUCAAUGCCCUCUUCUUUUUUCAUUGAAAUAUCAACAAGGAAUGCUUUAUACUCGAACUUCACCUAUCCCACGCCAUCACAUUCCAGCAUAGCAGGCUUGUGCUGUUUCAUAAUAGAGUUGCAGCUUAACGAAUAAUUUUGAAAAAUUUCUGCCACAAGAUCCAGAAACAAUUGUUUCAGCUGGAUGGUACUUCAUUUUUAAUAGCACUAGUUGAAAUAUUCGGUGAUCCAAAAUUUAAUCCUGCUGUCUUCAACUUGUUUUGCGUCCUCCAGUAAAGGUAAACUAUUCCAUAGGCCUUGAACCAGCUGCAGAUAAAAGAAUUAUACUCUUUCUUGGAAUAACUUGUAUGUUGACUUGUUUAGCAUUCAGCAAGAAAAGAAUAUAAUUCUCCCCCGAGCAGGGCAGGGAUAUUAAAUAUUGCGAGGAAAGGCAAUUUUAUUGGCUUGAAAGAACUUUGAUCACGACUGAUUGUAAACAAACCACUGUCUCGCCUCUGCUCUCCAUGUAAGCAGCCCCAUUCAUGGCUUGCUGUUUGGGUAGUCAGAAAGAAUUCCAGGAGGCAGGUUUCAAUGCAGAUAGCAGAUAUAGUUCCUAAAAGGUAGUCACCAGAUUGAAGUGAAAUUUAGCAAGCAAGCAAAACUAACGUCCAAAAAACAGGAGGGAAAGGAAAACAAGGAGCUGUUAUGAAUCUUGGUAGCAGAAAGAUGUCCAUAUUUCCACAAAUAUAUUAAAGUAAAGCAAUGAUUUUUUUCGGCACUAUACAAUGUAAUCUAAGUAAAUCAAAGAUAAAGUGCACAUAUGGCAUUAAGAGAGCAAUAAAGUGUGUGCAUAUUGCUUUCUGAUUAAAAGGGUAAAAAUCAACAUUUAGAGCACAUAUCUUCCUCUCAGGUAUUUACCUUGUUCAUCUGCCAGAUGGUUGACACCGCAAUGGGUCUUCUCACCUCUGGCGAAAUUCAAAAACAACUUUACAGUAACAUCGCAGAGAGAACAUCAACAUAAUCCAUCCUGUAAGGGUAAAUAUUAGAAAGGUAAGAAACAAUUAACAAAACAAGAAUGAAGCAUGUUAUUAUCCUACAUACAUUCCAGUAAAAUCUUCUUCAAUACUUCUUUCACAAGGGAAAGAAUAUGGCCAUAAAGACUCCUUCAUUGCUGUCUUGCAUCAAGUAUUCCUCCAUGUAAUUGUUGUACAAAGCUGCACACUUCAGUCACCUGCUAUAGACAACACCCGUACUUUACUUAUAAGACCAUUCACAACUCCCAGACAGAUGCUAAAUAUCUUUGCUUAAAUCCCAAUUUGCAGUACUAAUUUCGUAGCACAAGAAGUAUGCAUUUUUCGUCUAUGCUAAUAAAAAUAACGCUUUCGAAAGAAAUGGCUUCUGAGAACUUGUAUUUCUUACUCUAUCCAUCUCUCUAUGUACACAUAUACAUUUAAUAAAUCUAAUAGUAAUUUUCCAAGAAAUGGAACAACGACCAAAAAUAAAAGACUGAACAUAUGGAAUUUGAGACGGUAAUUAGUCACUUGCCUUUUAUCAAGUCCCUCAAUUAACAUUGCAUAUGUUGGAGAUUUUAUCUGGCAGCCUUUCUUUUCCAUGAUGUCCAACAGUUCAGAGCAUUUGUCUGCAAGACCUUUCUUAAGCAAGCCAUCAAUAAGUAUUUUCCAAGCUACUUCAUCAGCAUUAUACCCACAAUGUAGUAAGUUACAAAACACUGCUUUAGCCUUCUCGUUUUUCUCUUCAUCAUAUAACCCACAAAGGAGCAUCUUGUAGGACUCUAGAUGCGGUAAAUGACCAUGUUCAAUCAUAGCAUCCAACAGUCUUACUGCUUCCUCAUACAAUUUCAACUCACAGCAACACUUCACAAGAGCAUUAUAAAUAUCUUCACUAGGUGAUAUUCCUCUUUCUCUCAUGUGCUCAAAUAACCUUUGGGCUACUGUCCAGCGCCCAACUUUGCAAAGUCCAAUGAUGAGCUUCCCGUAAGUGUUAACAUUAGGUGAACAACCGUGUGCAUGCAUUGUCUCAAAAAGUUGCACUGCAGUGUCAAAUUCCAUCAUCUUCCACACAUCAGCAACGUUGACUAAUGAGACAUUUGAAACCAAAUAAAAUCCCAUCACAUUGCUGUUUUCUUUCAUCCACUUUUUAUUUGAUAGAUGCUUGAUUAAAAAAGCAUAUGUGUGAUGAGAAGGCUCGCAACCAGCAUCAAACAUGCGCUUGAGAACAUCAAAUGCGGAAUAUAUUAAGCCCAAAUUAGCAUAUGCGCAAAUUAGCAAGGUGUAAGUCACAGAAUCUGGCACAAUUCCCUCUCUAUUCAUUUUAACUAUCAAAUCUUCAGCUUCAUCUAAUUUCCCUAUGCUGCAAUAUGCCUGAAUAAAUGCAGUAUAAGUAUAUACAUCAGGUUUAAGUCCCAAGGAAACCAUUUGGUCUAAAAGCCUGUGAGCAUGAUCAAAGUCUCCUUCCUUCAGUACUUCUUCAAUAAGAAUCGUAUAAGUAUAAACUGUGGGUUUAACUCCCAUCUUUGUCAUCUUUUCCACCAGCAACAAUGCUUCUUGCACCUUUCUUUCUCUGUAUAAGCCAUCUAUUAGAGCAUUGUAUGUGUAUGAAUUCGGCAAACAAUCAUCACUAAGCAUUCUCUCUAGUAAAGAAUGGGCAUCAUCUAUUUUCCCUUCCUUGCAGUAUCCAUCAAUCAAUGCAGUAUAUAUCACUUCACCUGCCUUUAUACCUUUCUUUUCAAGAGAAUCAAACAGCACCUGAGCUUCUUCCACACGCCCUCUUUUACAUAAAGUGUCUAUGAAAACACUAUAAGUAAACUGAUCAGGAACAAGACCACUUUUAUUUAUCAAAUGAAGCACUUUAUAAGCACUAUCUAAAUGACCUUCUCUACACUGUCCAUAAAUCAAUGAGUUAUAAGUAAUCAACGUAGGUGAUAAAUUCUGCUCAAGCAACUCAUUAAGUAGAGACAUUGCCCUAUGCACAUUUUUUCUUUUACAAAACCCACAUAUCAGUUCAUUAUAAGUCCUAGCAUUUGGACUACAAUUAUUAGAUUUCAUCAAAUCCAAAAUUUGCAAUGCAGCCUCCAUCAAUCCCUCCUUACAAUAUCCAUCAAUCAACGCAUUAUAUGUAACCACAUUUGGAAACAACCCUUUCUCCAACAUUCUAUUCAACAACUCGCUUGCCUCAUCAACCUUAUUCUCUUUACACAAGCAAUCAAUCAACACUGUAUAAGUAUGCACAUUUGGCUCACACCCUCUUGCUGACAUCUCAUUAAAAAACUCCAACGCUUCUGAUUUCCUACCUACUCUACACAACCCAAAAAUAACCACAGUAUAAGUCCUCACAGUCGGCCUACAAUCAUCCUCCCCCAUUCUCCUAAACAAGUCGAGCGCCUCAUCCACCCGUUUCGCCUCACAAAGACCGUGUAUCAAGUUCGUAUACGAUACCUCAUUUCUUCGACAACCCUUUUUCGGCAUCAUCAUAAAAACCCUAAAACCUUUCUCCACAUCCUUAUUCCUGCAGUACCCCAAAAUCAACGACGUAUAAGUAAAUGUAUCCGGACUCAACCCUGCCUGCACAAUCUUACUCACAUACAGCUCUGCCUCACCAACAUUCCCCACCUUACAACACCCAUUAAUAAUCGUAUUAAACGUAUAAAUAUUCGGCACAACCAUAUUAUCCAACAUUUCCAAAUACACGCGCUUCAUCUCAUCAACCAAAUGAAAUUUCGACAAUUGCAUUAACAAUGUGUUAUAACCCUUAACACUAAGCUUCAAACUAAACUCACUACCACUCUCAUUCACUCUCCUCAGAAAAUCUAACACGAAAAGAAUUUCUUUAUCCAAACUACAAGAUUUAAGCAUCAAAAAGACAAUUUUUUCACUGGCCUUGGUGAAAUUGUUACGGAUUAAGAGAUUUAACAAAGAGGAGUAGGAUUCAACGGAGUGUUUGAACCCGGGUUUUUGGGAAAUCCAAUAGGAGAAAUCGAGGGCAGUUUGGGGAUUGAGGUCGAGGGAGAAGAGAGAGGAAAUGUGAGAAGGGGACAAGAGAGGGAUUAGUUUUGUGAUCGAGGUGUGUCUUUGCCAAGUUGUGGGGUGAGUUGAGAGGAUGGUGAAGAUUUGAGAAGGGAGAUCCGGUGGGUCCGGGUCUAGGGGAAGUGGGAGGGAGGAGAUUGAUGAUGAUGUGCAGAAGGGAUAUUUAAUGAGAAACUGACCUGGGCUUUUGGUGAAGGCGGUAAAAAUGGCGGCCGGCGUCCGAUUACUCAUUUCCAGACGGCGGCGGGAAUGACGGUUCGGUUCAUGAAUGUGAAAGGAAAGAAACGUGGGAGACUGACACACUUCCCUGGUUUCUGUAACGAAAGCAGAGGAGGGUUGUUACAAUAACAGUGGUAAAAUGGAAAGAAGAAAACUGUGUAGUGAGUUAAAACUGCCCUGAGCUAAUUUACGCAAGCAGUGCUACGGCGUCCAAGCAUACGGGUCUCAGUUUGAGUCCGAAUUAUUAAGGUGUUAUUUAUCAUUAAACGAUGGUUAAAUAAUUUUAUGACUUAUUAAAUUUAUUAUUUAGUAGAUGAAUGAUAUAUGAUAUUAAAAAUUAGAAUUUUAACUGUUAAACACAAACAUAAUACAAAUAUAUUUUUUUUCAUGACACUCAUAUGAUAUAUGAUAUAAUGUGCCAACUCCAUUUGUCUUCUUUUUUUUUUCCCCAGUAAUGACACCUCUUUCUAAUAAAGUUUUAAGUUUUUUGUUUUCAUUUUUUUAACUUAUAAAUAAAUGUUGAUAAUUGUUUCGGACUUGUAAGUAUUGGAUCAGUUUUCUUAUAGACUAUUACAAAUUAAAAAGAGUAAAAUUUGCCAUUCAAAAAUGAGUAUUAAGAAAUUUUUUUUUACCUGCCAUGAAAGUCAUAAUUAAAUAUCAAGAUGUAUUGGUAUUUUAAAUAAGGAUUAAAAUCUUUUCUUAAUCUGAAUUUUAUUGAAUAUAAAUUUACGUUUUGAUUAGUGAUUAAUAAAAAAAUUAUAUAAACAAAAGAUGCUGUUAAUAUCAUUAAUUGAUUUUGUACAAAUUAAAUUAACAUAAUAUUAUUAGCUUGAUGAAAAUAUAAACUUAGAAAAACAAAUUAUCAUUACAAUAUUUGUUUAUAUAUGAUAUUAAAGAUUUAUCGAUUGAUUAAGCAAGUCUUUUUGGGGGGGGGGGGGGGGGGGGGGGGGGGGGGGAGAAGAUUAAACAAGUUAAUUGGAACAUAAAGUCUAAAUUUCUAAUCUGCGAUUAGAGAUGGUAGAAGGGCUCGGGCCGGCCGGGCUCGUCGGGCUUUGUCUGAGGGUAAGAGCUAAGGUCUCGAAAAUCAAGGCCGACCAUGGACUUGGGCUUACAACAAUAAUAAUCAGGCCCAGCAACCCACAAAAUUUUAUAAAUUUUAAUGUACUCCAACUCUUCUAUGCAGCCAGCACCUAAACACCCCAGCGUAUUUCUUCAGGCAUACCUUAUCAUUUUAAACAUUUUCUGAAAAACAAAAACCGGCCCAGCCUAAACUCCGGUUCAACCGUCCCAUUUUGCCAACCAAAUUUGUGCUUAAAGAAACAACCGACAUGGGGCAUAUGACACGCUUUUCAAACCUCACCCGGCAACAUUAAGAUGAGCAAAGUAUUUGUAUGAGUUGAUUGGUUGCAUUUACGAUAGGACACAAAAAAUUUCUAAAUAACCAACAUGAAAUCUUAAUGAAAUUAGAGCAUUUCACUCACUGAGCUUUGCAGUUGGUUUGUGUAUACAAAAUGAAAAAUGAAAUAUUCGAGUAUACAAAAUGAAAAAUGAAAUAUUCGAGGAACUUUUCAAAUAAAAAAUAAAAUAUUUGAGGAAACUAAAUUAAUCACCCAUAAGGCUAUGAGUAUAAUAUGAGUUUUUGGGAGAGUAGAGACUAAUGAGAAGGGCUUGAUUAACUAAAAUAUGAUCGAAGGUUGUAUCAAUCGUAGUGGUCCGGAUGAUGGCAAGGUGAAGUUAGUAAAAUUUCUUAUGUUAAGACAACUACAAGAAUAGAAUUUAUUCAUACAUCUAAAAAUGGCGAUGGGAUGCUGGUUUUGGUAGAAAAAAGAGUAAAACAAGUAUUAAAUUAUUUUCUAAAAAUCGAAAAUAUAAUGAUGAGAUGCUGCUUUGAUAGAAGAACGGGUAAAAAGAAUGAAAAGAUAGCUUUUAGAAUGAGAAAUGAAAAAUGAGCAAAAAGAAUCAAAUGUUAGGUUUUAGAAAGAGAAGCAACUUUUGAAUAUUGAUAACUGUGAUCUUUAAGUUUUAUAAAAUUUGAUAGUUUGUUGUACAAAAUUAAAAUAGUUUGCUAAGGUUGUAAAUAUACUUAAAUUAAAUUUCUAAUAAACUUUAAAAAAAAAGCAUAUUAAUGUCUAUCAAUAAUAUAUUUUUUAAAAAAUACAUAUUAAUAAAAAUGAUCAUUGUUUGAGUUAGUCUCAUUUUUUUAAGUCAUAAAUCCUUACUAUGUACAUUGCAGUAUUUCAUAAUAUUUGUUUGACUUUAAAUUUUAUAUUAAGCAGUACCUAAUAUAUAGUUUAAGGUAAAUAUUAAUUGUAAAAAUUAAAUUUUGUUUUUCAAAAGAUUACGUUUGCAUUUUUUAACUUAAAAAUAAAACAUUUUUGGAUACCUAACUACUCAAGACGCAAAUAUGAAUGCAUGAUUAAAAAUACAGAAGUGAUCUCCAACAAGGCAUUAUUCCGCUUCCCCGUCAUUCUCUGUGAACUUAAUUGCCAAACCAAUUGGACAUAACUGGAACAUUAUCCUUGAGAAUGAGAUAAUGCUUCUUCUACUCCAAGAACUAACUACUUGUUUUGUGUCUAGUAAUAAAAAAUUGCAACAAAGCCGACAACCUUACCCCCCCCCCCCCCCCUCCCCCCCCAAAAAAAAAAACUUUUAUUGGUUAUUAGUUUUAAAACUUUGGUAUGGAACAAAACCAUAGAAGGGUGUUAGACCAUUUUCCUAUCUAAGACUAGUAAAUCCUUUGUAGAACUAUAUGUAUGUUGAACAAUCACAGGACUUGUCUUUAAUCCAUGGAGAAACAGGACAGUGCCAUAGAGCUAUGUUGAUUUUGGGGCUAGUUCAAUUAACUAGUAUAAUUAUAGCAGCUGCGCAAAAGAUGAUUUCUUGCUGCUGUGAAUGGUAAAGAAACAGCCCAUAAACAAGCAUAUAGCUAAAUGGAUGCAUGAACUGCGUUGCACAUGCCUGGAUUUCUCACACACCAAAGUGGCUGAAUAGGCUCAGCACCAAUCCCUCUACUCACCAUUCUGUGCCUCCACUCAUUCAACCGAUCUGUCGCUUCCGCGUACCUCUUCUUGCCCGUCUCAUCCCUGUUUCCUGACCACAGCGCCUCAGCCAUAGCCGAGGCCCUAGGCCAAAGCCGCGAGUCCAGAACAGUUGGAUCGGCUUGCUCAGACCAUAAUGCCACCUCCCCACCAAGCACCAAUGUAGCCUUCUCCUCACUCAGCCCAUAUGUUAUGUCAUAAUUGUAUAUCGUUUGCCAUGUCUUAAACGGCGCACACCAUGACCCUCCAUUGGAUACUGUGUCACUACCAACAAGCUGAUCAUACUGGCUAUCAUUCCCAAGAAAUCCUCCAUGUCCACAAUCCAAAUAAUAGUAAUCUGCAGAUGACACAAUUGCCCUGUAUCCAGCAUCAACAAUCUUUUUCGUGUUAUUCGGGCCAUUGUUCCAUGUUUGCAAGAUUGUGUACUUAGGAUCAAGAAUUGAAGAAUCCACCUUAACAACACCAUCCAAUAAAACAUCCUCCCAAUAAAUCACAGUGCGAUGGAGGGAGACAAUGUAAGGGAAGGUUUCAUUAACAAAUUUUUCGAGCACUUGACUAAGACUUCCACCGUUGGAUAGGAAUGAUUGAAUGGUGGGAUCAGUUUUCCAGCAACCAGGGGUGACUUCAUCAGCUCCAGCAUGGAAGAAUGGUUCUGGAAACAUCUUUACAACAUCACUGAUCACAUUUUUAAAGACUUGGUAAGUCUUCGGAUUCAAGGGGUUCAAUUGGCCAGUUCCUGGCUCUGCUGCUAGCCUGUCUUCCCAUUUGCUUUCUGCUGGCCACCAAAACAUGUUUGCACAUGUUACAAUUUCUGGGUAUGCCUCUGCCCAUGACCCUGUGUGGCCUGAAAAUCACAACACAAUUGCUUACGCACUCAUCUUUUCCGAAGCCAUCAAUGCAGCUUUAUGAUUAACGAAGAGAAAUGAAACAGUUUUAUUUCAAAGAAUUGACAAGAUAUUAGAUUCAGCAUGGCUGUUUUGCCUAGUAGAAAUGCAAGAAUUAUUCCCCAGCAAGCUAAAAACAGGAGCCCCACCAAAACAGGGCACGUUCUUAUUUUUUAUUAGAUUCUCUAUUAAUGUGAAUUUUAGUCAAACCAAGUUCAUGAUUGAAAAUUAAUUAAAAAAUUAAAUAACAUAAAAACAAAUUUUACUCACAUUGGCUAAUUGCAUACCAUAAAAUUAUGCAAAUAUUAAUUAGACAAUCUCUAAUCACAUCAGACUUUAAAAAAAAAUAAUAAACACUCACCAGGAGAAUCAAUCUCAGGAAUGACCCUGACACCAUGAUCCAGACCAAACUCAACAAUCUUCUUCACAUCAUCAGGAGAGUACUGCAUGUCAUCGCCAUAAGAUCCUUUAGCAGCAAGCCCGGGUUCAGAGGGCAGAUUCAACGGAAACGAAGGAGAAUCCGUAAUGUGCCAAUGAAACACAUUCAUUUUAUUAGCACUCAUGGCAUAAAUCGUCCUCAUUAUAUCACCAACGCCGUAAUAGUUCCUCGACGUAUCAAGCAACAACCCUCUGUGGGGGAAGAUGGGAUCAUCCCACACGUAAACACCCACCGGAACACGGGAAGGGCGGCCCCACACGAGCUGGGAGAACGUCUCUAGACCUCUCAUGGCGCCCCACGGCGUCUCCGCCGUCAGGUUUGCCGUGGGGCGGUCGUUGGGGACGUGGAGAGUGUACGACUCGUUGACCCCGUGGUGCAACGGCGCGUGUAAUCUGUGAAUAAAGAUGUGGAGGGACUGUAAGGGUGGGGAUGGGGGAGGGGGAGGGGAUGACGUGGCUGUCAACGGGUUGUUGACCGAUGAUGGAAGGUGGUGUUCGGUUUUGAUCAAGGUGAGGUAGCGGGAGACGGCAGAGGAGAGAUGGGGGUGGUCGUAUGGUGACGCGAUGGUGAAAGAUGGAGACAGGAGGCUGAGCUGGUGCAGCGGGGCCCAUCUGAGGAGUCUUGGCUUUGGCCACACGUCGAUGGUGGUGGCAGUUGUUGAUUGGACAGAUGGGAUGAUGAGUAGCACUAGAAAGAAGAUCAAUGCAACAACGUUAGAGAUGGAGGUGUGACUUCUGACCAUAUUUUGGAGUCUUGUUCAAGUGCUGUGUGACUAUGCGCUGUGUUUUUGGUUGGUACUGUAUCCUUCUAAUAUAAUGAACGAAUGAAUGCUUAUGUUUGUGCUGUGGAAAUGUUUUCAGUUGUUUUUCAGUUUUCAAUUUGAAGUUUCUAACUUCGGUUUUGCUUUUGUCUUUCUUGUUUGGUCUUAAUAGUUAUCCUUUUCGCAUUAAUGUUGACAUGUGUAAUUAGCACAUUCGAUGCAAUUUUCUAAUUAUUCGAAAUUGAAUAGUCUAAUAGUGCUCUUGUUUAAAAAACAAAGUGCUCUUGCAGUCUUGUUGAAACUAACGUUUUUAUUAUAAAGCUUUCGGUAUGGAUUUCGAAGUACUAAUUAAAUAUGAGUUGGAGCAAUUAUUGUUUUUUUUUUCUUAAAUAAUAAUUGUUUGGGUGAUAAAAUAUGACAACCACAAUCAGGCUUUUAAAAAAAAAAAAAAAUUGAUUGUGCUCGCCUUGCCAUUUAAAAUAGCCUUGGGGGAAUUCGAUGAGCAGGAUUAGGCAAGGAGAUGGAUAAACUAAGAAGAGGCUCAGUUAAAGUCACUCCCUCAAUCUUCUUAAAAAGUUCAAGGACGGAGCUCUAUCCACAAAACCCAUGAUUCUAUCAUCUUAUGGAGUAAAGGGAGGUGGAAUCCUAUAAAAAAAAAAAAAAAAUCCAAAAUCCUAGAAUGUAAGGGAGAUUAAGGGAAAACUCUAUCCAAAAGCUCCACUAUACUGCAAUCCAUGGGGAGAGAUUUGAUCCCCAUAAAACUCCUAAGAAUACCAGGGGUUGAAAAUUUUUUGAAAGAAACUCCAUCCUAUCUUAUUCCUUACAUCAUCUCAGAGAGUUGAAUUUUGAAAAACUUUCUUCCUCACCCAUAUCUAACCUUCCUUAUUUCUAUUUCUUCUUCUUAUUUUAAAGGAGAAUUUCUUCUUCUUUUUUUUUUGGUUAAUUUUUUAUUGAUUAUUUUAUACAAAUAAUUAUAUACCCUGUCAUUCCAUGAAAACCCGUGAUACUGACUUGAAAAAUUUUUGACGCCCAUGACCAUUUUUCUGGUUACAAGUACUUGCCAGGGUUGAACCGUGCUAGCUAAUUUUUGCUCGGACUUCUUUGUAGAGGCAAACAUCAUCUCUCCACACAAACUAAUUCAAAUGCUAAUGUUACCAACAUGACCAGAUUUUCGUGUUAACAUUUUGGCUCUGUCUAUGGGGACAGUAGGAGAAACCAUUCUACUGGAGCAACAAAACCUAUGUGGGAUCAAGAGGAAAAAGUGAGCACAAAGAGGGUGAAUUAAGGAUGAACAAAAGUGAUGAUGAAGCAAGGAGGGAGAUACCCAAAAUUGAUAAGAAUAAAACUUAAGGGAAAUCGCCCACAAAGCUAGGGAGCAAGCAAUAAACGAAAGAAUGAAGCAGAUGAAAAAAAAUGGAUAGCCUGGCACAUUGUUACAAGAACUAAGGGAAGAAUAGGGAAGCCUUAAUAUAAGGAAUUCUGCUAGGAGUACAGAUAUGCUAAAAUCAAAUAACAAGAGACAAGUACCUGAAAGACCAGGAGUUGUUGUACCAGUGCCACAAGAAUGGAUGAUCUUUUUAAAAACAGACCAAACCCCACUAUAGAAGUGCGAAGAGAGGAGAAUAUCAAAGAAAGAGAACUGAGAAAAUAUCUAUCAGAUGCAGAACAUUCACAUUAGCAACUGGCAAUGCAAAUUGAGGUGUAAAAAGCUACCAUGAAUUAUCGAGAAGAUGCAAGGUCAAGAAAGAACUCAAAGUUAGAGUCUAAUGCUAGAUAACAAGUCUGUAUUAUUAACAAAAGUCAUGAACAUUAUAAUUCCAAGAGACUUUUGCUUCCAAGCCUUCGUUAUUAUGGGAAGAAUGACACCUUGAUGUAAAUAGAGCAAUUUAAUGAGAUAACAGGAGUGCAAGGUCUAACAUCAUUAUAGAAGUGCAAAGCAUUCCCUUUGACACUAGAAGGGCGAGCACAAAAUUGGUAUAGAAAAUUACCUCGAGGCAACAUUAAAACAUUUAGCCAAUUAUGCAAGGAUUUCGCUGAGCAAUUUAAGAGCGCCAUGACUCUAGAAGAUGAUACGAUGGAGCUUAUGAGUCUCAAACAGGGUGAGAAGAAAACCCUUAGGAAUUUUGUGGAAAGGUAUCAUAGCGUCAUCUUGGAGCUUGGUGCUUUUAGUUAUCCGCAAGCUUCGAGGGCAUUAAAAGGAAGAGCGAAGGUAGACAUGUCAUGGUAUAACCUGAUGGUGCCAACAAUCAACUCUUAUAUAAAAUCCCAUGACCAAGUAACUAGAAUUAGAAGCAAAAAGAUAGAUGAGUUGAGGAGAUGGCAAAUAAGGGCUUAAAGGGGAAGUAUGCCAAUUAGGUAUCAUAAUGCAACAUCGGUGAGUAGGAACAACACUACGAGGCCAACACCUUUACUCACAGCAGAAUGUUCAGGCUAGACUCCCAUAAUUUUGCCCAACAAAAACCAGUUGAGGUCUAAUCAUCAACACAACACUGCAUCAAACCACAAACUAAUCAUACAAAUUGCUAAUGGCAUGCUGAGCAGAGGAAACAAAGUAGACUAUUUAAGACAGGUAAAAAUUUUAAGUCUCAAAACCUAUUUGGGUGAGACAAGGAGCCUAAAUUUGUUAAUUUAGCUCAGCUAUAAAUAAGUGAACAAAAACUAAGAGCACGAAAUCUUUCUAAGCAAGUGAAAGUUUCAAGUCUUAAAACCUGCUCGAGUGAGACAAAGAACACAAACUUGUUAAUUCAGCUCAGCCAUGAUGAGACGAGCAAAAAGAUAAAAGCACAAAAUCUUUCUAAGGCAAGUAAAGGUUUAAAGUCUCAAAACUAUUCAAGACGAACAAAGAGCUUAAGCUUGCUAAUUAAGCUCGCCAUCAAUAAGUGAGCAAAAAUAUAAGCUUGGCCAUCAAUAGAAGAGGCAAAAAUAUAAGAGCACAAAAUCUUUCUAAAACAAGUGAAGGUUUCAAAUCUAAAAACCUACUUGGGUGAGAUAAGGAGCCAAAUUUGCUAAUAAGGUUCAAUCAUGAUUAAACAAGUAGAAAGAUAAAAACGUGAAAUCUUCUUAAGGCAAGUAAAUAUUACAAGUCUCAAAAUCUCUCUAGGAUGAGAGAAGGAACCUAAACUUGCUAAUUUAGCUCGGCUAGGAUUAGGGGAGCAGAAAGAUAAAAGCAAGAAAUCAUUUUAAGGCAAAUAAUAAUUUCAAGCUCAAAAUCUGCUCAAGUGAGAGAAUGAUCCUAAACUUGCUAAUGAAGCUUGACCAUGGGUAGGGAGCAAAAAUAUAAGAGUAGAAAAUCUUUCUAAGGCAAAUGAAGGUUUCAAGUCUCAAAACCUGUUUGGUGAGAGAAGGAGCCCAAACUUGCUAAUUCAUCUCGCAAGCAGAAAGAUAAAUGUUUGAAAUCUUCUUAAGGCAAAUCCAUAUUUCAAGUCUCAAAAUUUACUUGGAGUGAGACCAAAAACCAAAAGUUACUAAUAUACACAUCAAGACUAGGCAAAAAUCCAUAGAACUUAUCAAGACUACGAGAGAACUCUGAAAACCUAUAAAACUUGUCAAGACUAGGUCAGAAUCCGUAAAACUCGUCAGCGCUAAACAAGAACUCUAAAAAACUAUAAAACACGUUAGGACUAGAUAAGAAUUUGUAGAACUCAUCAGGACUAAGCCAGAACUCCAUAAACUUAGAAAACUCGUCAGGACUAGGUGAGAACCCAUAGAACUGAUCAGGACUAGGUGAAAACUUCAUUAACCUCUAAAACUCGUCAAGACUAGAUGAGAACCUGUAGGCAAGAACUCCUUUAACCUAUAAAACUCACCAGGACUAAGUGAGAAUACGUAGAACUUGUCAGGGAUGGGUGAAAAUUCUGUAAACCUAUAAAACUAGUCAAGAUGGGAACUAGGCGAGAACUCAUUAGGCCUAGAUGAGAACUCCAUAAACCUAUAAAACUCGUCAAGACUGGGCGAGGACUCAUAGAACUUACUGUCAAUAAGCGAGAACGCAAUAAGCUCGACAUGGGCGAGCAAGAGCUUAUUAAAUUCACGAUAAAUAGGCAAGGACCUAAAAUACUUAUCAAAGUAGGCAAAAGCUUAUUACAUUCUAACAUGGAUGAGUAAGAGCAUAGUUUAAACAAGACCACGAAUAUGUGAGUAGAAAACAAAAGCAAAAAAAUUACUCAAAGUAAAUAGAAGUUCUAAAUCUUGAAACAUAAUUCAAGAGAGUGUGGUUGUCCCUAGUAAAAGGAUCCUCUUUAUGUCCAAACAAAAGGCGGAUUCACCUUGUCAUAGCAAAAGACGAAGCAUCCCGAAUACAACUAGAGCUAGUAGUAAUGGUUCAACUUGAGUUUAAUCUCUUUUGUCUUUUUGCUCCUUCAUAUAGGCAACCAUAUCUCUAGUAAGGUCGUCCAUCUUCAAAUUAGAAUGGCUUUUUCCAAGGAACACCAUAAUGCAAUUAUAGUAAUACUUAAGGGACAAUAUUGUAACUAUUGUCAGCUUUCUUUUCAAGGGCCUCAAUACGGUCUUUUAAACCAACAGUCAUUUCCUGAGAUUGGGAUUUAAAGGACUUCAUCCUCUACUCAAAUGAAGACUUCUAGUUGCCAAGUUGAGUCCUUAAGUCUUUUAAUGCCUUCUCGAACUUAGCAAUUUUGACUUUAAGCUUCGCUUCAACAUCUCAAUGCUCUCCUUUUAAGUCUGGAUUUCGAUCUUCAUCUUGUUGUCAUACCUUAAAAUCCGCUUCUUAUAGUUAGUCGCUAUGCAGUUUAGCUAGUAAGAGCUAAAUCGAAAGGCAUUUAGUAGUUCAAAAAAGGUGCAGCCUUUUAUAUCCUUUUUAUUGACUAUUCUAAAAGUAGAUCUUAAACUCUAGUGAGGAGAAAAUCUGGGGAUAAAACACAAAGAGUUGGGGAGUGGUAAGCAAGCCAGGUGAGUAAUAUUGGCAGAAGGGGGAUUUUUAAACAUAUAGUUUCCAAUUUGUUCAUUACACGCUCAAUACUAGAAACCAAGGAAUUGGUGUCUGGAUAAUAAAAUAGGGCGAUCACAAUCAGGGUUUCCUUGAAGCUUGAUUGUGCUCACGUCACCAUUUAAAAUAGCCUAGAGGAAUCUAGCGAGGAUGAUAAGGUGAGAAGGGGGUUAAACUAAGAAGAGAUCCAGUCAAAACCACUCCUUCAACAUUCUCAAAAAAAUAGGGGCUGAGCUUCAUCUACAAAAUCCAUUAUUCCGUCAUCCUAUGGAGUCAAGCGAGGUGGAAUCCUAUCCAAAAAAACCCAUAAUCCUAGAAUCUAUAGGGGAUGAAGGGAAAACCUUAUCUAAAAGCCCCAUUAUACCGUAAUCCAUAGGGAAGGAUUUGAUCCCCAUAAAACUCCUAAGAAUGCUAACAAUUGGGGACUUUUUGAAAAAAAACUCAAUCCUAUCUCAUUCCUUACAUAAAUCUCAAAGAGUUGAAUUUUGAAAAACCUUCUUCCUCACCGAUAUUUAUCCUUCCUUAUCUUAUCUCUAUUUCUUCUUCUAAUUUGAAGGGAGAGUUUCUUCUUAAUUUUGUUAGAUUAAUUUUAUAUUAAUCUAAUAUAUUUGGGGCCACAUAUGAAAUAAAUAAAAUGUGUGUGCUAUUAUUUAAUAAGCCAAGAAUUAAGUGAUCUAUUUGAAGCUCAUUAAAUGGUUAAUGGUAUAAUUAUUGUGGAUUAAAUGCAUAGAUACUAGAAUUUAAUCAUCACUUUAAUGAGGGGCUGAAGUGAUUAUUAUCAUAAAUACGUGACUGUUGGGUUUUCUAAAAGAAAACUAAUAGUCACGAUGUCUAUAUAAAAGGGGCUAUGGUCCCCAAUCUCUCUAAUCCUCUGUAAUUCUCUAAUUCUCUCAAAGAGAAUUCUAAACUCAAGAGAAAAGAGAAGAUUGGAAGUCCAUCUCCUACACUCAAGAACUACUAUGAAUCACCAUAGAUUCAGGUACGCUUCCGCUUUCGUAUUUCUCAGUAAUUUAAUCUGGAUGUUAUGAAGAUUUAGAGGAUAACAAGUGGUAUCAGAGCCCCAUCCAUGAUUAGAUUAUUGAGUUAUUAAUGUCAUUUUGCUUGGAAUUUUGUAAUUGUUGUGGUUAGACCACGUUUCGGUUUCGGUUUUAUUAAUUAUUUCGGUUAUGGUUUUAUAAUCUUUAAAUUAAAAUGAUUUAUAACCUAAGUUUAUUAUUGGUCUAACAUUGAUGAUAUGCUAAUUAAAGCAAGAAGUCACCAAAGUGAUAUCUCUUGUGUAGAUUAGUUUAUUUGAAGUGUUAGAUGUUUGUGUUUGUGUAAUUCCUGCGGGUGUUAAUCGACCCAAAGGAAGGUUAAUAUUUGGCCUAAUUACACACACACUUGUGAUGGUAAAUUUGUGACAAUUAUUAAGAUAACUUAAUGUGAGUAAUGUACCAAUCCAAAGAUUGGCUCAUUACUUGACAUAAUUUAUUGUCCAAAUUUGAUCAUUGCAACAAGAGUACCAUUUACAGUUAGUAUUAUAGUGCAAAGACUUGUUACUAAUGUUGUGCUAGGUAUCUUGAAAUGUUAUAAUUUGUUUUUAAAAUUUUUAAAGAUUAUUAAUUGAGUUGUUAAUGUGAGCAUUAUUUAUAUUUAUUUUUGUUCUCUAUUCAGCUUUUUUGUCUGCUACUUCUAUAUAUGCAAAUAUGAAUAGUGUCCCGGUUCUAAAUGGGACUAAUUUUAAGGACUGGAAAGAGAAUAUGAUGAUUCUCUUAGGCUGCAUGGAUCUAGACUUAUCAUUUAGACACCCUAAGCCAGACGAACUCAUUGAUGAUAGUACAUUUGAGGAUGUGUUGUACUAUGAGAAGUAGGAUCGAUCUAACCGGAUGAGUCUCAUGAUCAUGAAGCGCGGUGUUCCAAAAGUAUUUAGGAGUGCUAUAACUGAUGAGGUUACAAGUGCUAGUGAGUUUCUUACCAAAAUUCAGAAACGUUUUACAAAAAACGAUAAGGCUGAAACAAGUACGCAUUUAGCAAGCUUGAUUUCAAUGAAGUAUAAAGGCAAGGGAAACGUUCGGGAGUACAUCAUGGAGAUGUCUCAUCUUGCUUCUAAGUUUAAGGCAUUAGGGCUCGACUUAUCUGAUGAUUUGGUUGUGCAUUUGGUCCUUAUCUCUCUCCCAGCACAAUUUAAUCAGUUCAAAGUUAGUUACAAUUGUCAGAAAGAGAAGUGGAAUCUCAAUAAACUGAUUUCCUUUAGUGUGCAAGAAGAAGAGAGACUGAAGCAAGAGCAAACCGAAUGUGCACAUGUGGUAAGCACUUCUAAAGAUAAGGGGAAAAGAAAGAAAAAGGGUGAAGCUGCUGCUUCUAAGGGUCUAGAGCCAAAGAAACCAAAGGCUGAGCAUGGCUGUUUCUUCUGCAGCAAGCCUGGACAUGUGAAGAAGGAAUGUACAAAAUAUCACGCAUGGCGCGUAAAGAAAGGUACAUUUCUUACUUUGGUUUGUUCUGAAACUAAUUUAGCUUCAGUACCAAGAAACACAUGGUGGAUAGAUUUGGGUGCUACUACUCACAUUUGUGUUUCACUGCAGGGUUACCUGAGCUACCGGCCGCCAAGUGAUGCUGAAAGAUGCAUUUAUGUAGGAGAUGGCAAGACGGUAGAAGUUGAAGAAAUUGGGCAUUUUAGAUUACUUAUGCAAACUGGUUGUUAUUUGGAUUUGUUAGAUACUUUUGUUGUUCCGUCUUUUAGACGGAAUUUGAUUUCAGUUUCUGUUUUGGACAAAUCUGGUUAUUCUUGUUCAUUUGUAAACAGACAAUUUCGUUUAUCUAUCAAUUCUAAUGUUAUUGGAACCGGUUUGCUUAAUACUUAUGAUAAUCUAUAUUUGCUAGAAAUUGUUUCAAGUUAUAAUGAAAACCUGCAUUUUAAUUCCAGAGGUACCAAGCGUAAAUUAGAGAAAGAAAAUUCAGCCUCAUUAUGGCACAAGCGCUUAGGUCACAUCUCUAAAGCUAGACUUGAGCGAUUAGUGUCUGAUGAGAUUUUAGGAUCUCUUGAUUUUACAGACCUUGAUGUUUGUAUUGAGUGUAUCAAGGGAAAACAAACCAAAAGUAAGAAAUUAGGAGCCUACAGAAUAUCAGACGUCUUAGAAUUAAUUCAUACAGAUAUAUGUGGACCAUUCCCUACAGCUACUUGGAAUGGUCAACAAUAUUUCAUUAUAUUCGGGUCGGGUCACUAAUUCGGGUUACGUUCGGGUUGGAUCGGGUUGGAUUUAAAUAACUAUUAAACUAUAUAUAUAUACCAUGAAAUAUUGAAUUUGAAAUUAUGAAACUUCAAAUCUUUAAAACGAGUUCGGGUCGGGUUGGAGGCUUCAGCCACUGCAGCAGAUGGCAGCAGCUCACGGCAGCAGCCCGCGGCAGUAGAUGGCAACAGCUCACGGCACAGUUCGCGGCAGCAGAUGGCAGCAGAUCGCGGCAUAGAUCGCGACAGCAGAUGGCAGCAGAUCGCCUGUUGGGUGUCGGUUUCGGCAGCAGAUUUGGUUUUGGCAGAGUCAAACUUCAGGCCUUUGGUUUCGGCAGCACUCACAGCAGAUUGGUUCUAUUCUGUUUGUUGUUUGUGUGUUUCACAAUUCACAGUGUGUGACUGUGUGUGAAUUGUUGUGAGCUGUGAGGUUUGCCCUUUGCCAUCUGCGUUUGGUGUGCAGUGUGCGUGUGUUGUAAAGUGUAAAGUGUAAUGGGUGAGUGAUUUUUUUUUUUUUUGGGAAGACCCGAUCGGGUAUUCGGAUCGGGUCGGGUUUAAACCGACCCGAUCACAACCCGAUCGGGUUGGCUCUUCCUCAUCCGAUCGGGUUGCCAUAACAACCCGAUCCGACCCGAACCCGACCUUUUUCGGGUCGGAUCAGGUCGGGUCGGAUCGGGUCGGGUAUUUUGCCCACCCCUAAUGGCUAUAUAUUCAUGAUUCAUGAAAAAUCACAGUCUUUGGAUGUGUUCGAAACGUUUAAAGCCGAAGUUGAGUUACAACUCAACAAAAGGAUUAAAAAUGUCAGGUCUGACCGUGGUGGUGAAUACUAUGGUAGAUAUGAUGGUUCAGGAGAACAACGUCCAGGACCGUUUGCUAAAUACCUAGAGGAAUGUGGAAUUGUCCCUCAAUAUACUAUGCCAGGAUCGCUUAGCAUGAAUGGUGUAUCUGAGAGACGAAACCACACUCUUAAGGAUAUGGUGAGGAGUAUGAUCAGUCAUUCUACUUUACCAGAAUCACUCUAGGGUGAAGCACUAAAAAUAACAGCUUAUAUCCUAAAUCGAGUGCCAACUAAAGCGGCUACUAAAACACCUUAUGAGCUUUGGACGGGUCGAAAGCCUAGUCUAAACCAUUUACAUAUUUGGGGAUAUCCAGCUGAAGCGAGGCCUUCUAGACCUCAUGAAAGGAAAUUGGAUUCCAAAACUGUAAGCAGCUACUUUGUUGGCUAUGCAGAGCGAUCAAGGGGUUUUAAGUUUUAUGAUCCCAAUACAAGGUCAAUUUUUGAAACGAGAACUGCUACAUUCUUUGAGGAUGUUGAGUUUGUGGGGAGAAAUCCAGUAAGAAACAUUGUCUUUGAAGAGGAAGAUGGAUCCAUUGUUGCUUUUGACAAUGUACAAGUUUUAAUACCUGUCAUUGAUUAUGAAGUAAAUUCAGAUCCUCAACCAUCUGACAAUGUUGUUCAGUCCCAGAAUCAAUAUGAGAUGAUUGUUUCUGAGGAACAAACUCAACAACCUCAAGAGCAUGUGCAAUUAAGACGAUCCACAAGAGAAAUAAGACAUGCUAUUCCGGAUGAUUAUAUAGUAUUUCUUCAGGAACAUGAGGAUGAAACUGGAGUGAUGGAAGAUGAUCCAAUCAACUUUCAUCAAGCCAUGCAAAGCUCAAAUUCUCAUAAAUGGAUCGAAGCCAUGAAUGAAGAGUACAAGUCAAUGCAAGACAAUAAAGUUUGGGAACUUAUCUCAUUACCUUCCGGUGCGAAGCCCAUUGGUUGUAAAUGGAUAUUUAAAACCAAAAAAGAUUCAAAUGGUAAUGUGGAAAGGUAUAAAGCACGUCUGGUAGCUAAAGGCUUUACUCAAAAGGAAGGAAUUGACUAUAAAGAGAUUUUCUCUCCGGUUUCUACGAAAGACUCUUUUAGGACAAUUAUGGCACUUGUUGCACAUUUUGAUCUUGAGUUACAUCAGAUGGAUGUUAAGACUGCUUUCCUUAAUGGUGACAUUGAGGAAACAAUUUAUAUGGUACAACCAGAAAACUUUGUGUUGGGAGACCCAAAGAAAAUUGUUUGCAAGCUAACUAAAUCCAUCUAUGGGCUCAAACAAGCUUCUCGUCAGCGGUACUCUAAGUUUCAUCAAAUAAUUAUCUCAUAUGGUUUUGAGGCAAAUGUUAUUGAUGAAUGUGUGUAUCAUAAGUUCAGUGGGAGUAAACAUAUAUUCCUGGUUUUAUAUGUUGAUGACAUAUUGCUUGCCACAAAUGAUAUAGGCAUACUGCACGACACCAAGAGUUUUCUAUCAAAACAUUUUGAGAUGAAAGAUCUUAGUGAUGCCUUCUUUGUUUUAGGAAUCAAGAUACAUCGGGAUCGUUCUCGGGGUAUUCUGGGAUUGUCACAAAUGAACUAUAUCGAUAAAGUUUUGAAGAGGUUUGGCAUGCAAAACAGUAAACCAGGUGACACCCUUGUCGCCAAAGGAGAUAAAUUCAGCCUUAGUCAAUGCCCUAAGACUAAUCUUGAAAUCCAGGAAAUGGAGAAGAUUCCUUACUCUUUAGCUAUAGGGAGUCUUAUGUAUGCUCAAAUAUGUACGCGUCCAGAUAUUGCGUUCAUAGUUGGCAUGUUAGGCAGAUAUUUGAGCAAUCCCGAGAUGGAUCAUUGGAAAGCAGCCAAACGGGUUAUGAGGUACUUACAGAGAACAAAGGCGUACAUGCUCACAUAUAGGAGGUCGGAUCAGUUAGAGAUCAUUGGGUAUUCCGACUCUAAUUUUGCUGGAUGCCAAGACAGCAGAAGAUCCACAUCAGGCUAUAUUUACCUGUUGGCUGGUGGAGCAAUUUCUUGGAGAUCUGCCAAGCAGACACUUGUAGCUUCAUCGACUAUGGCAGCAGAGUUUGUAGCAUGUUAUGAGGCAUCCAAUCAAGGAAUAUGGCUGCGUAAUUUUGUCACUGGGCUGCGCAUUCUAGAGGGUGUAGAAAGACCGCUUAAGAUAUUUUGUGACAAUAAGUCAGCAGUUUUAUAUUCCAACAACAACAGGAGCUCUACAAAGUCAAAACACAUUGACAUCAAGUUCCUUGUUAUGAAGGAAAGAGUGCAGAGUGGACAAAUAUCUAUAGAGCACAUUGGGACAAACUCCAUGAUAGCGGAUCCGCUCACUAAAGGAUUGCCACCUAAAGUCUUUCAUGAGCACACUGCUCGUAUGGGUGUGAUUUUACUUGAGGAUAUUCAGAUUUAGUGGGAGUUUGUAUAAUUACUAAGUGCGACUUUUAGAUUUUUGAUUAUAUUAUUCGGGUUAUUUUCUGCAGAAAUACAGUAUUUCAUUUCCUUACACUCUGUUAGACUAACUUCAGUUUAGAUCUCAAUAAAGUAAAUUAGGACCAGUUGGGAAUAGACAUGUUUAGAUCACAUUGCAUGUAAUUUCCAUGCUAUGCAUCCACAAUUGAUCUAUGUUAUGUAACUAUAUUGAUAUAUAUGACCAUGGAUGGUUGCGUUACGAUUAAUGUAACAAAGGCCGCUAUGAUCCUAUACCGAUGUGGUUAUUGAACUAGAUUGUUCAUAUAUACCCUAAGGACAUAAUAGCAAUUUCAUGAGCUCAUUAAGUUAGACACAUUUCAGUUUUUCAUUUGUGGCCCAGUGGGAGAUUAUUAGAUUAAUUUUAUAUUAAUGGGGCCACACAUGAAAUAAAUAAAAUGUAUGUGCUAUUAUUUAUUAAGCCAAGAAUUAAGUGAUCUAUUUGAAGUUCAUUAAAUGGUUAAUGGUAUAAUUAUUGUUGAUUAAAUGCAUAAAUACUAGAAUUUAAUCAUCACUUUAAUGAGGGGCUGAAGUGAUUAUUAUCAUAAAUACGUGACUGUUGGGUUUUCUAAAAGAAAACUAAUAGUCACGAUGUCUAUAUAAAAGGGGUUAUGGUCCCCAAUCUCUCUAAUCCUCUGUAAUUCUCUAAUCCUCUCAAAGAGAAUUCUAAACUCAAGAGAAAAAAGAAGAUUGGAAGUCCAUCUCCUACACUCAAGAACUACUACGAAUCACCAUGGAUUCAGGUACGCUUCCGCUUUCGUAUUUCUCAGUAAUUUAAUCUGAAUGUUAUGAAGAUUUAGAGGAUAACAAAUUUUUCUUUUUUGGUUCAUUUUUUAUUGAUUCUUUUAUACAGAUAACUAUAUACCAUGUUAUUCCACGAAAACCCAAGAUACUGACUUAAGCUUUGGAGAGUUUCUAAGGUCGAAUCGUGCUCGCUAAUUUUUGCUCAAACUUCUUUGUAGAGGCAAAAGCCAUCUGUCUGCAUAAACAAAUUCAAUUGCUGGCAUCAGGAUUUGGUACUCACUAGGGUCGAAUCAUACUCGCCAAUUUUUGCUCGAACUUCUCUUUAGAGCCAAAAACCAUCUCUCCACAAAAACCAAUUCAAUGUUGGCAUUAGUAUCUGGUAGAUAGCCCACACACCGACACAAUUAGGUUGGGCAUCAAUAAUAAUAAUGAGUGCGUAUAGUGGUUUCCUAGCUGCAACUAGCCUCAAUCUAUUGUAAUUUGAUAUUUUUUUUCUUUAUUUAUUGCUAACAAGAAUUACAGUAAAAAAGAAAGUCUUGUGUGGGGCGAAAAUUGCUAUUUAUUUUCUCUUUUAAUUAUAAAAUGAAAAUCUAUCUUUAUGGAAGAAUCAAUUUAGAAAACUAUUAUUGCUGCAUUGCAAUAAAUCAAUCAAAUUCAAUAACGAGAUUUGGAGAUUAAAGAUAUGACCAAAAGAGCAUGUCUACUGUGUAGAUUGGACAAUGUCUGAUAGCGUUUUAAUCAAGUCAAUUUUAACAAAGAAAUAAAAAAAAAAAAUUCCUAUGUUAAGUCAAUUCUAAUAAAGAACUAGACUUAAACAGAAUUUUCAUCUCAAUUUCUGUCAUUUCUUUUUCCAAGUUGGGACCUUUUCUUCCGUCGUGUCUCCAUGUCUUAUUCACUUUAGACUUGACCGUUUACUUGAGUCUUGGUUACUCAAACCUUUUCAGCUGAUGGGUUUAUUUUGUUUGUUAAGAAAUAUUGAAGUUUUUUUUUUAAAUUUUUUUUCUUUUUUUAUUUUUGGAUAAAUUUUCCUUUAAUUCCUAAAUUUUAGAUUAAUUACCAAGUUAGCUCUUAUAUUUUUGAAAAUCACUAAAAUAUCUAUGUUGUUACUUCUAUAAUGUCUAAGUCGUAAAGGUACUAUGACAUUUUUAAAUUUCAAACAAAUCUAAUAUAAAAUAUGUGUAAAGUAGAAAAUAAUCAAGUAGAUUUUAUCAUAAUUAGAUAUACAACAUAAGUUUUUUUGAGUAAUUUUUUUAAAUAGAAAAAAAUUAGAUAAAUAUUCAAACUGUUACCACUAAAGGAACAUUUACUCUUUUUAAUUUACAUAUCACUUACUCCAUUUCACUUAUAUACAAACAUAAAUUAGGAAAUUCUCCUUUCAAAAAUUGGGAUGAAGGAAACUUAAUUAAGAGCCUAAAACAAUAAAUUUGACUUGCUUCUAAGUUAAGAGCCCAAAUCAAUAAAUCAAAGUGAACUGUUCACAUGGAAUUGGAUAGUGCAUUAAUUUUUAGAAUCAACGCCACCAAUAAAUACUUUUAACUUCUACAUCUCAUUUCUCUUGCAAUUAGUUUUUGCUAGCGAUAUGAUCUUAAUAAAUCUUACAAUUCAAGAAUGUCUCAAGUGGUUUCAACAGCACCAAUCCACCAUGUCACGGGACCAAUAUCCGAUAAUAUUUUAUCACAUAUCCUGUUACAGUUAAAUUUUAAAAUCAUUACAAAAACAUCAUAGAUAUAUCGAUCCAGAGGAAUGGGAGUUGAAAUUAAAAGACUCAUCAAUUUAUUGAAACAACUAAUGCAAUUAAUUAACUAAUAAUGUCCAUUGAAUCAUUACAGUUCUUGAUACUUCUCGAUACAUUAGAAACAAUUAAAUUUCUACUUCAGUCAGGAUUCCUUUAACAGCAAGAAUCUUUAUUAACCUGUGUUUCUUCAAGAAGAAUCAGCAAAACCCUUAAAAUCCGCAGAACCCGUAGAAAGUGUCACAUUUUCUUCAUCAUCCCCCGAAUUAUAUGCAUGAACAGUGUUACACAUUCCGGGAUUUUGCAAGCACCACAGUGGCUGAAUAGGCUCAGCUCCGAUCCCUCUAUUCACCAUCCUAUGCCUCCACUCGUUCAGCCGGUCCGUCGCCUCGGCGUACCUCUUCUUCCCCGUCUCAUCCCUGUUUCCGGACCACAAGGCCUCCGCCAUAGCCGAAGUCCUCGGCCACAGCCUGGCAUCCAGCACCGUCCCAUCAGCCUGUUCCGACCACAACGCCACCUCCCCGCCCAGCACCAACUCCUUCUCCUCCUCGGUCAACCCUUCCGUAAUGUCAUAAUUGUAAACCGUUUGCCACGUUUUAAAUGGGGAGCACCAGGACCCUCCGCCUGCGGCUUUCUGAAUCUCCGGAGGCUGAUCAUACAAACUGUCAUUUCCGAGGAAUCCCCCGUGUCCGCAAUCCAAGUAAUAAUAGUCGGACGAUGACACAAUCACCCUGUACCCAGCUUGCACAAUUUUUUUGGUGCUCUCAGUACCAUUCUUCCAGGAUUGGAAAAUGGUGUACUCAGGAUAAAGAUACGAUGGAUCAACUUUAAUUUCAUUAUCCAGGAUCACAUCUUCCCAGUAAAUCGCAGUCUUGUCAAGAGCAACAAUGAACGGAAAGACAAAAUUGAUGAAUUUUUCCAGGACUUCGCUGAGGGUACCGCCGGUGGAUAAGAAGGAUUGGAUCAAGGAAUCGGAUUUCCAGCAAGCCGGAAGGAUUUCAUCGCCUCCUGAAUGGAAAAAAUUUUCCGGGAAAAUGCUUGCAACAUUCUCCAGGACAUUUAUCAUGACCCCGAAGGUUUUUGGGUGCAAGGGAUUAAGUUGUCCGGUUCCAGGCUCGGAAGCAAGCCUGUCUUCCCAUUUGGUGCCAGCUGGCCACCAAAAUUUGUUUGCACAGGACACUAUCUCUGGGUGAGCUCCUGCCCAUGAUCCUGAGUGGCCUGAAAUUACAGUACAAAAAAUUGAAAGUUUUUAAGGAACAGUCUUUGCGCACGGCUGUCUGAUGGGAACAUAUCAUAUGAAUUAUAAGGAGAGAAAAAAAAAAAAAAGGCUAUGAUUUUGUCAAAUGGGUAGAUAAAGUGACAAAAGAUUUUUUCCUACCGAUAAAUGUUGGUCUUGAAUAUUAACAUCAGUUAGAUUUAUUCAUAUUUUAGAGUUAAAAAGACAAAAAACAAAAAUAAAAAUAAAAAUAAAUACUGCUUUACUUUAAUUGUGGAUAUUUUCUCUUUUACCAUGUUGAUGACUGAUGAGACAAUUUGUUCCGUUUCAUGUUACAAAACAAGAGAAAAAAUUUUCUAUCUUGUGGCUUAAAAUUUCGGGUAAUAUCAAAAUUAAAAACUCAUAUUCAAACAGUUUGAAGAUAGUAUUACAUUAUUUUUUAACUUCAGCUUUUAGUUUUAAAAAUAAAUAAAUAAAAUUGUCAAACAGAAACGUUUUUCAUUUUUAAAUUACUAUUUUUGAAAGACAUUACCAGAAGCAUUUUCGAAUCCGAAAAACAUCAAACUCAAAACAACAAUUUUCAAUGUCUCAUUUUCAAAAAAAAAAAAAAAAAAAGUUGAGAAAACAGUGUCUGGAAAAUAACAUCAAACUCACCAGGAGUGUCAAUUUCCGGAACAACCCUGACACCAUAAUCCAAACCAUAUUCAAUAAUCUUCUUCACAUCACUAGGAGUGUACAAGUAGUCCUCCCCAUAGGAUCCCUUGGCGGCAAGAUUAGGAUCAGACGGCAGCAACAAUGGAAACGAGUGUGAAUCCGUAAUGUGCCAAUGAAACACAUUCAAUUUAUUUGCACUCAUUGCAGAAAUUGUCCUCAGUAUAUCAUCAACUUCAUAAUAGUUCCUCGAGGUAUCAAGCAACAACCCUCUAUGCGAAAAGAGUGGCUCAUCCCACACAUAAAUGCCAACCGCCACACACGACGGAUUCCCCCAGACCAGCUGGGAGAAGGUCUCCAGGCCCCGCAUGGCGCCCCAUACAGUCGAGGCUACGAGGUAAGCUGUGUUUUCGUCGGAGGUGAUGGUGACAGAGUAGGACUCGUUAACACCGUGCGUAAGAGGGACAGAAAUGUUGUCAACAGAUAUGGAGAGGGUCUGUAGGGGAGGAGAUGAUGAAAUGUUGAUGGAUGGCCUAACCAAGUGAUGGUGGUGCUCUGACUUAAUGAGUUUGAGGUAACGGUCAACGGCAGAGGAGAGCUGGGUCUGCAUUGGGGCUUGGAUUUUGAACUCUGCAGCAAGAGAGGUGGCUUCUGGUUUUGGCCAUGAGAAGAUUCUGGGUUUCGGCCAGACAUUGAUGGGAUCAGAUUGCAAAGACAGGAGGCAAAGUUGAGAAAGGCUGAUGAAGAAGAUAAUGGCUCUUGCCAUUUGGAACGUGCAAUGGCUGUGAGAGAGAAUGAGGGAGGUGCCAUUUGCAUAUAAACAAGAUGCAAAAUUAUCUUCUGUUUUAGGAGAAGUUUUUUGAAUGGCUGUCCUUUCAGCUUGUAACGAUAGGCCACGGUACAACAGUUAGAAUCUGUAUAUCAAGUUCCAACAAAAUUUCUAGAAAGUUUUGGCAGCCGGGUAGCAGGAAUUUGUCUCCACUAUACUCAAAAAGUAGAAUAUUUAUCGAAAUACACCCUCACACUUCAAAAUUCCUCGUACAUGCCUUUUUUAAUGUGCAAAUACCCAAUUACCCUAAUCAAAAUCUUCUAAAUCAUGGUCGAGUACACAAAGCCUAUGCUUCUGUUGCUGUUACUUCAUUCUUCUGCUGCUACUUGUUCUAGCACCACAAGUCCACAACUUUCACUGGAAAUUCACCGAAUUUAAAGUGAUUUACACUUGAUUUUUACUUCACAAAGAGAAUUUAGGAUUUAUAAUUGUUAGAGUUAUAUGCUUUAGGAUUUUAAAAACUAACUCUUGGUCUUUGCAGAGUUGUACUUCAACUGUGACUCCCUGGCUAACUAGAAAAUCAAAGAAGUUUGUCUCCCUUUCAAAUUCCAUCAAUUCUUUCUUUUUUUUUUAAAAAAAAAAAACAAAUUACAAAUUUUGAAAGCCAAAGCAAAUCGCUUAUCGACAGUUAAAAUUCUAGGCCGGUUUGUUUAUUAUAUGCUUUUACGAAACCAUGACAUGUAAUUAUCACUGGGGAAACCGUGGCAUGUAAUUAUCACAGAGGAAACCGUGGCAUGUAUGUAAACGGAUCCUUAGUAAUUAAGAAAGUGUUAUGGAGUGUUCAUGAUUUUGAAUUUUUGAAGUAAAUAAACUUUUGAUUUGAACAAAGUUAGAAGGUAUAAGCAUAGCAUAUAGGUCUCAUUUGAGAUUGAGGUGUUGUAACUUAAAAGUUAUAAAUGUUGUAAAAAAUAUUGUAACUAUUAAAUAAAAGUUAAUAAUAUGUAGUAAAAAUAAAUUUUAAAUAAUAAUUUUCAUAAAAUUAUUAAAGAUAUAAUAAAUUUUUCAUUAUACAAAUGAAAAAUUAUAUGAACAUACCUUACAAGCUACAUCAGUUAAUGUUUAUAAGACAUUUUAGUACUAUAGCUUCACACAAUGCUAAACGCACCCAUAGUCGAGGAGGCCUAAUUCGAAAGAAUUAAUCUUAUAGCCUUAUUUAUAGAUUAGGUUAGCAUGGGAAGAGGGAAAAAGCAUGUUGGUCUUCGGUUCAUGUUUAAUUAUAAUUAUGCACAUGCACGUCGCUUUUGGCGGUUAUUAGUCGAGCUAGCAUUAAUAUUAUACAAGCAGGUGCAAGACUUGUAAAUUUGGAGUACUAUUUUUGGGUGCAUUUGUGCUUUGACAAUUGUGGUCUUCUUUCACUUUACAACUUAGAUCCUGUUUCAUUUGGCUUAUAUUGCCGAUGCAUUUCUGCAUUUGAUUUGACUCAAUAGCGGUCAUGUACUUUUAAAAAUUAGCUUUUCCAGUUUUGCUUUCCUGUACAAUCAAAACCCGAAGAUGAAACAUAUAAACUGGACCUUUUGCCAAAUUGAAAUUGAUGAUGAAUUUGAAGUAUUGUUUUAAUAGGAUUGAUCAUAUUUGUUAUAUAUUAUUCAAAAUUUAAUUGAGACCAAGAGUUAGUUACAUUUUAUUUAAAACUAAUUGCAACUAAAUUUCUCUAAUGUAAUCGUGUAAUGAAAAAUUUACUCAACUGGUAUGUUGUGUAAUUUGUCUGAUUGGUUUAUAAUAUAUUAUUAUGCAACUUUUUAAUCUUACUGCUAUAUAUAUGUGUGUGUGUGUGAAAUGGUAAGAAUGAGGGAAGUUUCGGUGAGGAUUUUAUAUUUCUCUUUUAGGGAUAUUUUAGUCAAUACACAACUCGAAAGGCAUAUUUACAUAAUUAUCAAACAUGGGGUAUAAAUAAAUAAAUACCCUUGUUUUGGGGUAUACUGGAAAAACGGAAUAGAAAAAGUUGAGAGUUUUAAACUGGGGACUAUUAUCGGAUCCUGCAAGUGAGGAAAAUGCAGAGUUUUGUUUUCAGGAAAAUGGACAUAAUGGCUUGGAAUCAGAAGUUGGUUGAAUUGUGGUCAUACAGUGUGAUUGAUCAAUUCAAUUCGGGUUAAAAUCUUCCACAUGUUACACGAGAGCUCUGUGGGAACCCAGUUAUCUCAUGCGACUGGCUGUUGUUUGAGCUUCUAGAGAUAAUAAUUCGGAAGAUACAAGAAAAGUAAUAAUAUGCAUUGGAUACAACCUAAAAACUGGUAAAUUUGGCAGCAUGCGGCGCAGGGAAAACUAAAGAAAUAUCGGACCAAUGUGUGAUUUUCCUUCGUUCAAUUUAUUACAUCGACUAUAGAAUUUAAGUAAAAUUGCCCGAUUGUCAGCCGCACUCAAACAAACGCCAAAACUGGUAUAUAUUGAAAGGGAAAGCAAGAGAAAGAGAUAAGAGAAGCAUACACGCCUUUUGGAAAAAAAAAAAUGCAAUUAAAGAAAUUGAUAGAUAAGACUGUCCGAAUAACCCAAUUGAUUUAGACUCUUACCAUGAGAACAAGACUGAAAAUCAUAAUCUUUUAAAAUGAAGGGAAAAAAAAAAAGGAUGUAGAUAAAUCAUGAAUUAAGUUCUUAUCUGAUAUUGAGGUAUUUAUGGCUUUUAAACCACAUCAAAUGUGAAAAAAAAAGUUAUAAACAUGAAAUAAAAAUUAAUAAUGAUAGUAACUAUAACUUUUAAAUAAUUAUUGUGAAAAAAAAAUAAAGUUAUUAUGGUUUUUAAUUUUUUUUUUUGGGCUAAGAAACAAAAGAUUAUAUAAAGCCCAUGUGAAAUUAUUUUAGGUUUUUUAACAUACAAAUGUGAGACUAGAUCAAUUAAUUUUUAAAUCAUCCAACACUUUCAGUACUGUAGCUUUCGCCCAAUCAUUCUACCAAAUAGGUCCUAAGACCAUUCUCGUCAAGUAUAAAACAAUUAUUCAAUAACAUAAAUAUUAUCUGUUAUUAGGUAUACUAUAUAAUGUCUAGACCAGUGCCAUGUGACAUCUGCCAGAAGACAAGAAUUUUGUAAACAGUAAUGCAGAUUGAUAUGUAUUUAGAUGAUCAAGAACAGCAAUAUAAUGGACACAAUAUCUCCCAAGACUUUCUCAUAUAAACAUGCCAUGAAAAGGUCGAUCCAUACAUGAAACAAUUUCAAGAGAAAGGAAUAGCACUUCUUUUUUUUAAUAAGAAUAGGACUAACUGAACCCAUUGUUCAAAAAUCCGGUAGCAACAAUGAAAUAUGGAAGAGCUUUCAGCAAAAUGUAUUACACCUUGUAUCUAGAGAAGUGAAAUUUAGCUAAGAAACUACCUCAAGGAAUUCAUACUUUUCAAAUUUCUAGCAUGAAGACAGAAAAAUGAAGCAAAACCAUUAGUACUUACAGUCUACAAAAUGCCGGAUCCGAGGCAUAUGGAUGAACGUUACUUUCAGAUCUCUCCUAGAUAAAUCUGUUUAUCACUACUGCAAGAUCCAAUAACGGGUUCAGUUGCGUGGAAAACAGACUCAUUGACAGAUCCAGUAUGUCCUGGGAGCUUAUACAAGAUACGUCGUGAGGUUGUAUCCCAUAUGUAAACCAUGCGAUCUGAACUACCUGCAGUGACCUUGCUUCCAUCUGGUGACCAACCACAUUUCAACAAGUUCUUUUCAAAGUUGUGCUGGUGCCCUUCCAAAAUCUUCACACAGCGAUUUUGAGGUGCAUAUGGGCGCAUAUCCCAAAUGCAGAGCUUGCAGUCCAUGCCAUUAGUGAGGAGAUAUGAACCAUCAGGACUCAAGCUCAUGCCUGUUAUCAUAUCUUGAUGGCCUUGAAGUGUCAUGCUUACUUCACCUUUACGCAAGUCCCAAACCUUGACAUCAUUGUCAAUGCCACCAGUGUAUAUUUUAUCAGAAGCAUCGGAGAAACUGACAGCUGUGAUCUGGUAUUUAUCUGGAAAUGUUUGGAUAGCACCCCUCUGACGCAUAUCCCAAAGUUUAGCAGUUCCAUCAUCAGAGCCACUAACAACAAGAGGUGGUCCUCUCCGAGAAGGGCAGCAAGAAUUGACAAAAGAGUUAUGCUCUGCCAUCUUUUUAAUCUGUUUUCCGGUUUCAACAUCCCAGGCCCGCAGAGUUUUGUCUGGGCUGGCUGAUAUUAUCUGGGACCCGUCAGUUGUCCAGUGAAGAUCCAGAAUUGCAUUCUUGUGCCCCUUCAGAACCAUGAAAUUUUUGCAAUCCCCAUGCACAUGCCAAAGGAAGAUGUCUCUGUCGUGAGAUCCAGAAGCAAUCACCGUUCCUGCUGGAUUGAACUUCAUCGUAUAUACAGCACUCUGAUGGCCUGUCAGCAACAUAAUCGGUGAUUCUAAACUUGAUGUUCUCUGCUUUCCAUUUGGACCUGGAGCUUGGGGAGCACUAUAUGGGACUGUAGACCAUUCCAUUGGCCUUGCACUAGCAGUAGACAAAGCAUUUUCGUUCUCUCUUUGGUGUGUAACAACUUCCAUAUUUCCCUCUGGUACUAUGCUGGACAAAUGAGCUAUAAACCAUAAAUAACCAAUAAAGAAAUUAGCAAGAGGAAACAACCCAAAAAAAAAAAACGAAGUCAAAGAAGGUACAGGUCCAAUAUCUAUGAUUCUAUCUAGCAAAACUAAGGACUAGAUUUCAAAACUAAUGGCUUUGCUUUCAAAUAAGGACUCACAAUUAUCCUUGGCACAUUCUGAUAGCUUGAUUACUACCAUUAAAAAUCCAUGUUUUCCAUAGAUAUAGUUAUAAUUUUUUUCAUCUUAACAUAAUUGAUGUAAGCAGGCAUCAUUUAUUUCCUUUUUAACAAAAAAAAGCCUUAAUUCUACUAAAUGGUUGGAAUGAUGCAUUCAUCAUUCAGCUAAUCCUAUGGAUAUGAGAAUUAUUAUUAAGCUCAUCACUAUCAAGUAUCAAACUACAUGAGACUCGAGCUCAGUGCAGGAAAAUUAAAUAAAUGAAAUCCAGCAAAAGUUGAGACAUUAGAUUUUGCAGUCACGGAAUGUGAUAGAGACAAGACGUAAUGAUAAAAGUGAAGAAUCAGACCGUAUGUUCUUUCUAAGGAGCCAUAAAGUUAAAUAAAUCAUAAGUUGAUGUAAUAUAUGUCAAGCUAAAGCAAACAAACAUUAAAUGUGCAUGAAACUGAAAUUAAAUUCCAUGUUAACUAGCCCUGAUGUAACAUUGCAGACCUAACUGUCAAUCCGUAAAACUAAAUCUGAAACUAAACCUAGAACUGAACAUUCAACACAGAUAAGGAGGAAAAGAUCAGAUUCAAAUCAAAAUCUAAAAGUAGGCCACACCAACAAGGCCCCAGACAAGGACUAGAUACAGUUUGCGGAUGCAUAUCAGAGCUUGAAUGCCAUUAACACCAAAUCAACAAAUAGCCACACGAUGUAUACCUAAUGAGGACCGAUCUCAGAAGCUAGAAUUAACGCGGAUCGAAGAAUGAACCCUUGACUCCCAAUCCCAUGUUACAAAUUCAACUAAAUAGAAAUCACAUUGGAAAAACAAAACUUGGAACUGCACUAAAAACAAGAAUGCCCAAAAAGCACUAGCAGAAACGAAAAAUCAACUCAUUCGAUAAUCCAACAAGGAACUUACCUAUAUUACCCAAAACCCAAAAGUUGCAAAAGAGUAAGAUUUUUCUUAACUAUACUUCAUCAAACAUUUAAAUAUAUAUAUAUAUAUAUUUUAAUCCUUCAUGUUGUUAUAAAUUUCAGGAGCCAGUCAUGAAAGCUUAUGGAACCACCACAAGUCUAUCCUUAGCUGAAACCCAAGUCUAGCAUGAAUUCAAGCACGUGACCAAAGCAGCACGCCAAUCCAAUUCCAAAUUAAAAAAAAAAAUCUAGAAAUUUUGAUUGCAAUUUUGACCUAAAAAAAUUAAACCAAAAGAUAAUUACGACUCAAAGCAUCGAAAGCUCAAAAUUAGAGAGAGAGGGAGGGAGCGUACCGAUUUCUUCUUGUGUGCCCUAAAGAGUUCUCCUCUGCGAUUGCAAAAUAAUGUCGUCUAAAGUUGCUCGGCAGAGAGUAAUAGGUGGUGGGUUCACUAAAGAGGUAUCGCGAGGCGACCCGAUGUUAUGUGGGGUAGACUUAGAAUGUUGACGCCCACGAGAAUUCAAUCAUGGGCUGGGCUUCACUUUCGUCACAAAUUGCCUGAAGAAUGGUAAUGACUGAGGUAUCGCCGGAGUAAAGCAUCCUACAAUUUGGGUGUUGUUGGAUAGUCAAAUUUUAUUACUUUUUUUUUUUUAAUCAUUAUAGGGCACAAUGCCACAGUCAAACCUUAUAAUAUAAUUACUAAGUAUACUUUGUUACCAUCAUAUACAGUUCUCAAAGAGCGAAUUGCGCGGGAUAUAUCUGGUUUCCCUCAAAAUACCCAAAAUAUACCCCCAUAUAUUAAAAUUGCUAGCUUUACACGUAUAUACUUAAAAAGAUCAGGGAAAAUACAAAAAUAACCUUAAUAAAAGCCAACAAAACAGAUCGAUUCCCACCCAAAAUCACAAAGUCGAGUAAACAAAAUAAGAGAGAAAACCCCUUGAAGAACAAGCGGCUCUGUACCCAUUCUGCACUUCAGCUAUCACCAUCGCCUCAGCUGUGUCACCACCACCUUGUCUUGCCUCCAUCAUUGGUUACUAGGUAAAUAAUUUUCGUUUUCUUCUUUCUCCUACAAAUAUUCAAAGAAAAAUUUUAGGGUUUUACUUGAACAUAGUAAGUGAUUUAGUGAAUUAGGUAUAAUUUAUGGGAUUACUGAAAAUGGAAAGAAUUAGAAGUAUAACAUGAACAAUGUAAUACAAUAUAUCACGAAAAGACAUAAAAAAACAAAUGUUAGACAGCAUAUUUUUAUUUUAAGAACUUCAAAUUUAUUUUAUUUCCUCUAUGGAUUUUGUAUUCUAUUUUUUUUUUAGUGCAACAAUUAAGAUUUGGCAACAAUGUGGUUAAAAAAAAGUUGAUUAAAGAAUCAUGUGGGUUAGUUUUCCCAAUUUUUGCUUUGCGGUUGGAGAAAGAAUGUGUUUGGUUUUGAAACAUUAUGAUUCAAUUUUAAAGGUUAUUUGAUUGUUUUCAUUGGAUAUGCCUUUUAUUUAUUAUUUUUUUGAAUUUUGUUAUAAACAUAUUGUUCUGUAAAUUUAUGAAAUUAAGGAUUGUAGUGUAAGAAUCUAUAUGUGUUGUGUUCUAAAAUCAGGGUUAGAGUUCAAUUAUGAGCUGGAAAAUAGUUGUUGGCAUGUUAUUAGCCUAAUAACAUUUGAAUUGUUUACUAUCAAGCUUCAUAUGAUUAGUUUGUAACUCAUUUAACCUCUAGAUAAAACUUUUUACUUGAUCCUGUAGGUUCUGGACUAUAUACAAAAAAAAACCAUGCCAUCUGAUGAUAAUUUAGAUAACGACGAUCAGAAGGUGGUUUUAGUAAAAGUGUCUAAUAUGUCAUCACUAAAGGCACUUUCACUUAUAAAGCAACGUCUCACAGAGCAACAAUAUGAAGUGUUUAAGGAAACAUGCUUUGGUCAUUUUGUGCACCUUCAAGAUCUAAAAUUCGCUGGCCAAAUUGUUCAUGCAUUAUUAUUACGGUAUGUGAGAUCAACUGAUAAGGCAAUGUACUUCAAAAUAGGACAAAAAGAGUGCAGAUUUUCUAUGCUUGAGUUUGCCUUAAUUACGGGAUUGAAAUGCCAUAAAGAACAUGAUCUUCUAGUACAUGAGAAAGACAAUACUGAUAGUAUAUGUGAUGUGUUCAUGGGGGGCAAUCAUGAAUUUACUCAAAAACAAUUACAGAAAGCUUUUUCAACAGCCCACUCCAAUGAUGAUACCUUGAUGGUCAAGUUCGCCAUGCUAUAUUUCUUAGAGUCAGUGUUGCUAGGAAAGGAGCCCAAGAAUAAGAUUGAUGACCUUCAUAUUCGUCUAUUAGACAACUUUAAAGAAUUUAAUAAUUAUCCAUGGGGUCGCUUAGUCAUUCGAGGCAACAAUGUUAAGCUUAAAGAACACAGUUACAAGGAGAAGCAAAAGAAUUGGUUCAUUAGAUCCAAACACAGAAGAGAAAUACAGCCUUUAUGGUUUUCCAUUUGCGUUUCAGGUGAGAAUGCUUAUUUAUUUAUCUUUAUAAUAAAUACAUGAAUUUUAUAUGAUAUUGAUGUAGUGUUGUAAUAUUGCAGGUGUGGACAUACGAGGUUAUUUCUGAAUUCGGCCAAAAAUUUGCAACCGAAAAGGGUGAUUUAAAGGUUCCAAGAAUUCUUAAGUGGUUCUGUAAGAACAAGAUUAUGGCUGAUGUAAUUAAUAAAGCCUUGAAAGAGGAAGACACCGUAAGUGUUUCAUUCUUAUUUAAGUGUGAACCAUUAACAUGAAUUAUUUAGUUUAACUUGAGUUAUUUAGUUAAAGUAUUAUUACCUUCUUGGUAUAAUUUAAUUAACAUCUAUAUUAUAUAGUUGACUGUAGCGAUAACAUUGCAUGCCACCGAAAGUGAUGGAAGUAAUGAGAUUGCACAACAUUACAUGCAAUGGUUCUUGGCUUCGGAAAUUGAGUGGAAGCAAGAGCUUGGCGAACUCAAUACUGUGAGUGGUGAUGAGCCUAACAACGAACCAAAUUCUGCACAUUCAAAUGUGCAAAUGCAGCAGCAAGUUGAUAUUGUUAUGGAUGAUAGGCAUGCAACCAUCACUGAUGAUAUUUCACACACACCAUUCAAUGCACCCUCCCUAGGAUUUUUUCCUUCGCCACGUAAUGCACCUACUUUUCAGAGGACAACACCGUUCCACGAAAAAACAAGCAAAAAUGUAAGUUAGUUGAUUUGUUUAAAGACAUUUUGAGAUUUUUAUUUAUGAAAUUAACUUAGCAGUAUAUCUUAAAACAUGUUCGUAGGUCACUCCGUCUUGUCGUGUCUCCAUAGGCGAUCAUGUUGCUCCAACAUUUCAUAAAAUUUAUGACAGAUUAAGCAAAAUAGAGGAAAAGGUGCAAAAGAUUGAUGUGUUGGAAGCAAAGCUUGACAACAUUACAAAAGACUUAUGGAGAACGACGAAAUUACUCGAGGAGUUUCUAACAUCUUUUAAUGCAGGCAAAGAUAGCCUCACUGAUCAGGUUUGCAACAUUUUAAACACUUUUAGAAGCGAUUUUUAUUUUUUUAUAUAUUUUUACAUUUACUUCAGUGGCUUAGACAAAAUUGAAAUUAAAUUCAGUUGACAAUAAUUAAGAGCGAAUUCUAAAUUUUGUUAUAUUUAUUCAUAAUACAGCCACCUGCACAUGAUCCUCCUACCUCAGUGGCUUCUGAUGUAGUCAUAGAUAAAAUGGAUGUUCAGGUUUGUAAUAUUAAAUAUAAUUGAAGUUAAAUUCAGUUAGUUAUGAUUAUGUAAAGAAUUCUAAAUUAUGUUGUAUUUAUCUGUAAUAUAGCUACCUGCACAUGAUCCUCAUAUCUCAAUGGCUUCUCAUGUAGACCAUGAUAAAAUAGAUGAUCAGGUUGGUAAUAUUAAAUUCAGUUUGUGUUAAAUUUACUUGCCAGCAAUUAUGUACAAAAUUCUAAAUUUGAUUGUAUUUAUCUGUAAUAUAGCCACUUGCACAUGAUCAUCAAACCGUAGGGACUGCUCAUGUAGAUGCCGAUAAAAUUGAUGUUGAGGUUGGUAAAUUUAAAUUUAGUUCGUGUUGAAUUUAAUUACUAGCAAUUAUGUACAAAAUUCUAAAUUUGAUUGUAUUUAUCGGUAAUAUAGCCAUCUGCGCAUGAUCAUCAAACCACAGGGGCUGCUCAUGUAGAUGCCGAUAAAAUUGAUGUUGAGGUUGGUAAAUUUAAAUUUAGUUUGUGUUGAAAUUAGUUACUAGCAAUUAUAUACAAAAUUCUAAAUUUUGUUUUAUUUACUUGUAAUACAGCUGUACAUGGUGUAAUUAACAUUACUGAUGAAAUUUCUAGCAAAUCUCACGAUAAAAAAAGAUGCAAAGAACAAGAUUGUGUUCCAUUGGAACAACAUUAUCUGAGAAAAAAGAGAAAAAAAUCAGUAUAUGUUAGCACACCUUACACUGACCCUUAUAAGAAGUCACGAAAGGAUGCAGUAACUGAAUCAAAAGGUCCAAUAAACUUUGAUGAUUGGAUGCGUGAUGGCAAUAUGGAGCCGUAAGUUUCUUUUAUUCUUUUUUUUUUUAAUUUUAGGGUUAAUCAUAUUUAUUUCUUCUUUUAUUCUUGUUUUAGGGUUAAUUAUAUUUAUUCAAGUUGCUAUGUAAUAAUAUUUCUUAUUUUUUAUGGUAGUUUGACAAUAAGGUGGCCUGUCCACGACGCAGAUAAAGACUUCUUCCGUCUAUUAUGCAAACCAAGAUCAUGGAUAUCUAGCGCAGUAAUAAUUUUUGUUAGGUACUUUAAUGAAUAUGUUAAACAAUGCAUAUAAUAACUAUUGUCUAUUAUCUACAGCACCUGGACUCUUUUUUUUAUGCUGUACGACACAGCUUGGUCAACUCCCCAUCUUGUAGUAUGCCACGAUGUGCCAUAAUGGACACUAUAUAUCAAGUAAGUUUGUUGUUACACUUAUAUUUUAUAUAGGAAAAUAUAAAAUAUAUAAGACACUUACACUUUUGUUUUCUGUAAUGAUAGCGAAAGUUAGAGCAUCUGUAUUCAGUUUACGUGAUCAACCCUGAAAAUGUAUGGACAAAUAAUGCUACUAAUUAUGUCGUUGAUUAUGCCAAUGGUGAAAAACUUAAAUGUGCUGUUCAUUGGAAAGAUGUUUCCAAAGUAAGUUGCUUAUAUUUAUUUGACAUGUUGAUUAUAGUUUUUUUUUUCUCCAUUUAGUGGUUUACAUGGUUUUUUCUGUAGGUAUAUAUUCCGCUUCAUCCUAAGCAAGAUCAUUGGGCACUAGCACAGUUUGACCUUCAAAAGGAGAUAAUUUUUGUGUAUGACUCCAUGUUAGAUUAUAUGAAUGACAGUGCAUUUGAGAAGGAAUUGUUGCCGUUUGUAGUUAUGAUGCCACUGAUUCUAGAUAGGAUAUCAUGGUAUACUUCACAUUCUGAUAAUAAUUCUCUAACUCGUAAGUGGAAGGCUGUGCGAGUUUCAGACAUCCCACAACAAAAAAACAAGUAAGAAAUAUUGUUGCCUCUCUUAUAUUAUCCCUUGAGUUAUGUAAUAUCAAAUAACUAUCACUUUCUAUUUAUCUCUUGCAGCAAUGAUUGUGGGGUUUUUGUUAUGUUUUAUUUGGAGGCACUUGUAUAUGGUCUAGACAUUCCACAACAAGUUCAUACACAAGCAGGCAUUAACUCAUACCGAAAACAAGUGGCAACAAGGUUGUUUUCUGACAAGAAGUUAAUAGAGGAGUGCGAUUGAUGAUGACAAGAAGUUCAUUGUUUUGGAUAAUCAAGAAUACUCGACUUCGUAUUAGUUUGUAGUUUAACUUUUGGGAUAAUGUUAAUCAAAACCUUAUGAACUGACUUGUAUUGUUGUAAAUGUGUGAAUAAGUUAAAUAUUUUGGUUUUUGUUAUUAUUUAGUCAGCAUUAAGUCUCCUAAGAAAUUUUAUAUUUUUUUAUGUAGGUCGAGUAAAGAGUCGAGUAUACUCAACUAAUUUUAUCAAAGUCUGGUAUUUUGAUUCCUUAACAUUGAACAAAAUUUCUCCUCAUCGAAGUCGACUUAAAAAGUCGAGAAAACUCAACUUAAAAAGUCGAGAAAACUCGACUUUUGGUGUAAUAUUGCCUAACAUUAAACAAAUUUCUCCUCAUCGAAGUCGAGUCAACAGUCGGGAAAACUUGACUUGUAAUGUAAUAUUGUCUAAUUUCUCUACAUUGAAGUCAGGUAAACAGUCGAGAAAACUCGACUUAUAUUGCAAUAUUCUCUAACAUUAAACGAAAAUUGUCAACCCAUCUAAGUCGAGUAUGAGGUCGAGAAUACUCGGCUUUAAUGUAACAUUGCGUCAGAUUAAACGAAAAUUCUCAACUCAUCCAAGUCGGGUAUGAGGUCGAGAAUAUUAAACAACAAAUCUCAUUUCCUCGAAGUUGGGUAAAUGUAAAUUAUUUUCAUCGAAGUCGAGUAAAUAACAGGAAAUACUAAACUUUUUCAGUGCAGUCGGGUCAAUAACAGGAAACACUCGACUCUACAACAACUUUAAAUUAUCCAGGAAAUAUUAAAUACAAUUCUAUUUCAUCCUUAUACAAUUUCAAUUAGUAAAUAACAACUAGUAAAUUGAUCCUUAUACAAUAACUUAGCAUAGUCCUUUAAUUGCUCCAAGAACUCAAGCCAUAACCCAAAAAUCUACGAUGCCACCAUUUAAAGACAACAUACAAGCUAAAUCCUCUGUCAAGCCCUGUACACAUAAUAUUAAAUUUAGUACAUAUUUAAAUAGUAUUAACGAAAUAAAUAAAACAUAAAUGAAUACCAAGAAUUGAGACACUUACAUUGCAUAUAAAUUUAAAAUAAGGUAUCACUCAUGUAACGGCAUUGGCGUCAUGCAUUUGAGUCGAUUGUGUCCACGACCACCACACCGACUGCAUUUACGAGGCACCUUUUCCUCACCCCUAGAUGGUAUUCUAUUAUUUUUUGGACGCCCACUUGACCGCUUUUCUAGAGGAGGAUGUACUUCGCGGGCACAUACAUCACCACAAACAUCCCACCCCUCUUGAGUACCAACAUGAUAAAUAGUCUCAGAAUAUGCUAACACCCAUGCAUCACUUGAAUAGUAAUAGGAGCAGUAAUCAUAGAUUGAAAAAUCUCGAUGCCUACACACUGCCACAGCAUGUACACAUGGUAAUUGUUCAAGUUGGAAUUCCCGACAAGUGCAAGUUUUUUCUAACAUAUUCACAUGCCCAUCAAGAUCACCAUCUUUGACAAUAAAUUCAUAUAGAUUUAAGUUGAUCACUCGAAAAUUUUGAGAGACAGUUUGUCUACUUCUCACUACCUUAUCUGCCCAUUUUGUCAGUCGACUAUUUGUAGCUGCAGCCUCUUCACGACGCUUACAGAACCACUCUCGUAGUUUGUCAAUUAUCCCAUCCAUUAGUUUAUGAAUAGGUAACAAUCGAUCAGAUUUUAAAAUCCCAUUCAUGCAUUCAGCAAUGUUGGUAUUCAUUGAAAUACAAGUAUGCAACCCAAGAGGGGGGGUGAAUUGGGAUUCUAAAAAUUAUUCAAUCUAUUAAAGAAAAUCCUAAUGCAAUUAUAAAUCAAAUUCAAAGCAAUAACAAUUAAGAUGAUCUCAAUAUAAAAAGAUAAGGGAAGAGGGAUUCAAACACCGAGAUUUUACGUGGUUCGGCCAACCUCGCCUACGUCCACGCCUCCAAGCUUUCCGGGCUUGAGGAUUCCACUAAGCAAGCCUCCAAGGCUUCAAAUGCUUACACUUGACUUCCAAGGUGUCAAUGGACCUUUACAACAAGAGAUUAUCCCCAAUCUCUUAACCCAAGUGUAUCCCAACACUUACAAUCACUCAAAGUAAAAGAUUACAAAUUGUUUUUCUCUCACACAAUAUUUAAUAUCACAAAUCAAUGCCCAAUGUGUGAAUAGAUGAAGAGAGAAUGUGUUUUAAGCUCUAUGAAGAUUGUGUUAUCGAUUAUUUGCUCAAUGGUCGUGUGUUGAUCAACCUUUGUUUGAAUUUGAUUGAGCUUAUUUAUAGCUGCAGCUGAAAACUAGCCGUUAUUGACUUUCUGCACACUGUCGGAUCGCCGUUAGAUAGAUGUCGGAUCACCGUUUGACUGGUCAAUAUGACCGUUGGGCUGAUUUUUCAAAUUGUCGGAUCGCCGUUAUCUAGAUGUCGGAUCGCCGUUAGUGUCCAGAGACUAAUCUUUAAUUCUGCUUGUUGUCGGCGAGCCGUUAACAAGAAGUCGGAUCGCCGUUAGUGUCCAGAGGCUACUGGUUGAUAUCGGCAAGCCAUUUAUCACACAUGUUGGUUCGCCGUUUAGGUCCAGAGACUACUUUUCAGUUCUGGUUGAUAUCGGCGAGCCGUUUAUCACAAAUGUCGGUGUGCCGUUUCCGUCCAGAGGCUAAUCUCCAUUUCUGCUUGAAAUCGGCGAGCCGUUUACUACACAUGUCGGAUCGCCGUUUUCCACAAAAACUGCUGCAGUGAACUAUUUUGCAAGAUGACUGUUUUGUCUCCAAAUCUUUUUAAAAAUACUUUAUGAAACUUGUCAAAAUAGAUGAAAAUUAUGUUGAGCGUUUAAAACGAUUUAAUCAAUCUUAAUCAUGUUUGUUAUCAUCAAAAUCAAUAAGGAAUAAUUUAUGUUAACAAUCUCCCCCUUUUUGAUGAUGACAAACUUUUCAAGAAAAUAUUUGUGUAAUUUUGCUCCCCCUAAAUAUGUGCUCCCCCUAAGUGAAAUUUUGAAAGACUUGUUAACUCCCUUAAAAAAUAUUCAACUGUUAAUCUCAAAAUUUUAAACACGACAGAUUGAAAAAAAAAAAUUAUGCCAGUAAACUCAUGCAUGCCAAUACUAAUGCCAAUACUAUUUUGCCAAAACCAAUUUCGCAUUUUGCCAAUUUCUCUCCCCCUUCAUCAUCAAAAAGAAAGAGACGUGAUGAAUGACUUAUGUUUGGAGAAAUUUGGGCAGAGUCUCCCCUGAAAUAUGAGCAUUUCCUCAACAACACACAAAGUUAAAAAGAGAAAUACUUCCAUAUAAAAAUACCACCAUAUCAACCAACCUCCAUACCAACAAAUUCACACUUCCAGGAUGAGCAAUAUAAUCAAUAUAAUACAAAAAAAACAACUCGAGCAUAAAUCAAGAGCACAUGUCCAAUAUGAGAUAUCAGAAGCAUAAACACAAGAUAAAUAACAUUAUAUGCAUAAGGCAAAUAAUAUGAAAUGAGAAAUGUCUGUGCGAAUAUCAUAGGGACAGAGAAAACUAAGAUGGAGGCUGUGAAGAUGAAUUGCCGGGGUCAUAUCCAAAGUAGCCGAGAAUGCGACGCUGACCCGCAAGUAACUCCAUCUGCUGAUCUGAAAUUUGCUCCCGAAAGGUUGCAAAAUCAGAUCGAAGCUGCUGCUGCUGCUGGGACAGGGCAUCCACUCGGUCGAGAAGCUGCUGGAAGCGAUCCUCAGGAACAGCUGAUGCCGCAGGAGGGACGGCAGUCUCGGUAGGCUCAUCAUCCGGAGAUGCAGGUGCUGCUGGUGCUGCUGCUCGGCGUGGAACACGCGGUCUAGCCCCAAGACGGAAAUCAGGUAACUCAUCCUCGGAGUAGACGUCAUUCAACAGGCGAUCAUCCUCUGGUGCAAGCAGUGUGUCUUCGUUUUUAGAGGAUGUGGUCUUUUCCCAUUUCCCACGCUUCUUAAAGAAUCCGAUGGCAGAAAUAAUAUCUCGACCGAGCUUACGAGUUUCGAGAAAAACAGGCUCGAUGAUAGGAACUCGAAAGUGUUUCAAGAUUUUUGUAAUGAUGCUGCCAUAAGGAAGAGAUCGAUUGGAGACUUUAGGAGUGGUCAGCAUAUGACUCAGAAUAGUGUAGGAUAAGCUCACAUGGCGUCUACGGAUAAGAGAAUCCAAAAGACCAAUAUCAAGCCUAGUGACCUCAUCAGUGUGACCCUGUCUAGGAGUGACCAUGUGUUGGAGAAUAAUAUGAAGUAUUCGAAUCUGAAAAGGGAGGAGUUGAGACCUAAAGGACAGAGAGCAGAUGUCAUCGGAAAGAUCCCGACGACGACAAAUGUUCCGUACACCAUUCACAUGACGAAAAUCACUAAAAGAAAGUUCUUUCCUAGCGGUGUACAGAUCUAACCCUCCAUAAGCAAUUCCUAGAAUACUACAUAAUUCGGGUUCAUCAAGUUCAAUGCGAAAACCUCCUACAGAAGUAUGAAGCACGUUACGACGAGUAGAGGGGAGUUCUAUGUUAGAAUAAAAGACUCGAACUAGAUUUUCAUAAACUGGUUCUUCAAUACUUAAUGCUUGCUGCCAAUGAUUAAGCAUUUGAGUAAUAGAGUGACCACAAACAGAAAUAUCCGAGAACUCCGAAAUGUUAAGAGAAAAAGAGGGAGUUACGGGUUUACCCAUGAACUUCUCACGGAAUCGCUGAGCAGAGGUAGCAUCGGGAAAAUGAAGACUCUCGAAGUCUUGAGGAGGAGACCUGGGUGGACUGGAACGGCGUGAAGCAGUGUGCUUGGUUCGAGCACGCCUUUGAGGUCGUUCCGCCAUGGAUGAGUUUUUUUUUUUUUUUUUUUUUUUUUAAGUUUGAGAGAUGAGAUAGUGAUUGUGGGUGAAAAUGUGACUGGAGAAAGGAAGAGAUAUGGGUUAAUAUGAGCAAGGAAGGCUCGGCUGGUUCUAGGGUUUCAAAAAGAAGAUUUUUCAAUUUAAGAUGAAAAAGAGGGAUUUGAGUCGGUUAAAAGGGUCUAGAGAAGAAAGAAAAUGGUUUGUGAUGCUUCAAUUUGAUGAAAAAGGGCAAGAAAAAUGAUGGAUUAGAGAGUUGAGAACUGGUGCAGUCGCGGGCUGAAGAAAGAGAGAGAGAAGGGGAAGCCGAAAUGAGGAGGAAGACAAAGGACUGUUCAAUUAACGCGAGAUAACGGCGAGCCGUUAUAAAGAAAACGGCGAGCCGACAGAGUCCAGAGAGCCUCAAAACAAAUUCAUCAAAACGGCGAGCCGUUUAUAUUAAUAACGGCGAGCCGAUAGUGUCCAGAGAGUCCACACAAGAAAAAUGUAUCAGGACGGCGAGCCGAUAGACAGAUAUCGGCGAACCGAUAGCUUCCAGAAAGCGUUCCAUUGUUUCUGCCCAAAACGGUUAGUCGUUUAUUGAAAUAACGGCGAUCCGUUUUCUACAACCUAUGAUUUCGCACAUGUAUUUUGAUAUUUGGCUACUUAUUAAUACAUUUCAAGAUCAUUUUAUUGAUCCAAAAUGAUUUGAGUGCCAUUUCAAUGCAUAAUUCAUGAACAUAUAUAUAUGUAUUGCAAUAAUUAAUUCAUACAUUUUCAAAUAUACAUACACAUUACAUGCAUAUUACGAUUGAGCAUUCCAUAGAAAUUAAAGCAUCAAGUCAUAGAUCAAUCAAUAAUAAUAGACUCAAUAGCAUGAAUGAAGAUGUUAAUGUGAAAAUUUCAUCAUCCCAAGUUCAUGCCGAAUUUUGAAAAAUUGUUCUUCGCAAAGAGGCUUUGUAAAAAUAUCGGCAAGUUGUUUUUCCGUAGAAAUAAACUCUAGUGCAAUGUCUCUCUUUUGAACAUGAUCUCUCAAGAAAUGAUGUCUUAUUUCUAUAUGCUUGGUUCGAGAGUGUUGAAUGGGAUUCUUUGAAAGAUUAAUAGCACUAGUAUUAUCACACUUAAUAGGAGUUUGUUCAAGAUUAAUGCCAUAAUCUUUAAGUGUUUGUUUCAUCCAAAGUGCUUGUGCACAACAACUUCCGGCAGCUAUAUAUUCAGCCUCGGUAGUUGAAAGUGCGACAGAAUUUUGUUUCUUGCUAAACCAUGAAACAAGAGAGUGUCCUGGAAUAUAGCAAGUACCACUAGUGCUCUUCCUAUCCACUUUAUAACCGGCAAAGUCCGCAUCCGAAUAACAUGUUAAAUCUAUAUGAGUUCCCCUAGGAUACCAAAGACCAAUAUCUAUGGUUCCACUCAAAUAACGGAAAAUCCUUUUAACAGCAAGCAAAUGGGAUUCCUUGGGACAUGACUGAAAUCUUGCACACAAACAUACACUAAACAUGAUAUCGGGUCUACUUGCAGUCAAAUAAAGUAGGGAUCCGAUCAUACCUCGAUACAUUUUGAUAUCCACUUCUUUGCCUUUUUCAUCUUUGUCCAGCUUGGUUGUUGUGCUCAUUGGUGUAUUUUUGGUCUUUGAGUCAUCAAUGCCGAAUCGUUUGAGUAGAUCUUUUACGUACUUGGCUUGAUUUAUGAACAUUCCUUCCUCGUUUUGUUUGAUUUGAAGUCCAAGGAAGUACUUCAACUCACCCAUCAUACUCAUCUCAAAUUCUUUGCUCAUACACGAUGAAAAUUCUUUACACAACAAUUCAUUAGUAGAACCAAAAAUAAUAUCAUCAACAUAAAUUUGAACAAUAAGUAUAUCUUGGUUCUUAUGCCUAACAAAUAGAGUAGUAUCCGCUUUACCCAUUGAAAAAUCAUUUUCCAACAGGAAAUUUUUAAGUCUAUCAUACCAUGCUCUAGGUGCUUGUUUUAAUCCAUACAAGGCUUUAAGCAACUUAUAAACGUGAUUUGGAAACUUUUCAUUUUCAAAACCAGGGGGUUGUUUUACAUACACUUCUUCCAAAAUAUAACCAUUUAGGAAAGCACUUUUCACAUCCAUUUGAAAUAAGAUGAAAUCUUUAUGACAUGCAAAUGCCAACAACAUUCUAAUUGAUUCUAGUAUAGCAACGGGUGCAAAAGUUUCAUCAAAAUCAAUUCCUUCUUCUUGGUUGUAACCUUGAGCCACUAAUCUAGCUUUAUUCCUUACAACCACACCGGAUUCAUCCAUCUUAUUUCUAAAAAUCCAUUUAGUACCUAUGACAGAUUGAUGUUCCGGUUUAGGAACUAAUUCCCACACAUUGUUUCUUUCAAAUUGAUUUAAUUCCUCUUGCAUUGCCAUAAUCCAAGAUUCAUCAUUUUCCGCAUCCUCAAAGGAUUUGGGUUCAAUUUGAGAGAUGAAUGCAUUAUGCUCACAAGUAUUCCUAAUUGAUGAUCUAGUCGAAACACCUCGUGAGGGAUCUCCUAAAAUUACAUCUUUAGGAUGAGAAGAGACAUACCUCCACUCCUUGGGGAGUGUUUGAGAAGUACCUUCAUUUUGCUCCGCAUUUAGUUCUUCAUGAUGUUCCUCUUGAAUUCCAUGUGGUGCAUCCUCUUGAUUGUCAUUUGAUGCUUUUUCUUCUUGUUCUUCUUCUCCUGCAUCAUCAUCAACAACGACUUUCUCCAUAGAGGAGGGGUUAGACUCAUCAAAUGUGACAUGCAUAGAUUCUUCCACAACUAAAGUUCUUUUGUUAUAGACUCUAUAAGCUUUGCUUGAAUUUGAAUAACCAAGAAAAAUACCAACAUCGGAUUUUGAAUCAAAUUUACCAAGAUUGUCUUUUGUGUUCAAUACAAAACAUUUGCAUCUAAAAACUUUAAAAUAGCCAAUGUUGGGUUUUCUAUCUUUCCAAAGCUCAUAGGGAGUUUUAUUGAGAUUAGGUCUAAUCAACACCCGAUUUAAAACAUAACAAGCGGUGUUGACGGCUUCGGCCCAAAAAUAUUUUGGUAAAGCAUUUUCAUUUAACAUGGUCCUAGCCAUUUCUUGAAUAGACCUAUUCUUUCUCUCAACAACUCCAUUUUGUUGUGGAGUUCUAGGUGAUGAAAAUUGAUGCUCAAUGCCUAGAUUAUUGCAAAAACUCUCAAAUGUAUGAUUUUCAAAUUCUCCUCCAUGAUCACUCCUAAUGCAUACAAUACCAUGCCCUUUUUCAUUUCGUAAUUUCUUACAAAGCACUUUAAAAGCAUCAAGAGCAUCAUCCUUAUUGGCUAAGAAUAAUACCCAUGUAUAUCUAGAAUAAUCAUCCACUAUCACAAAUGCAUAAUAUUUGCCAUUUAGACUUGCAUAUCUAGAUGGCCCAAAAAGAUCUAUGUGAAGAAGUUCAAGUGGUUUUGAAGUAGAAAUAUGGUUUUUAUUCUUGAAAGAAGUUUUAAUUUGUUUUCCAAAUUGACAAGCUUCACAAAUCUUAUCCUUUUGAAAACCAAUUUUCGGAAGACCUUUAACUAAAUCAUUUUUCGAAAUUUUUGAAAUCAAAUCCAUGCUAGCAUGACCUAACCUUCUAUGCCAUAACCAACAAUCAUCAUGCAAUGCCGAAAAAUAUUUAUCAAAAGUAGAUGCACAUUCUAUGUCAAUGAUAUAGACAUUACCACAUCUAUUUCCAACAAAUACAGUUUUGCCAUCACAUGAGUUCUCAAUAACACAACUACAUUUAUCAAAGAUAACUUUAUAACCUUUGUCACAUAAUUGACUAAUGCUAAUUAAGUUGUGUUUCAAGUUCUCAACCAAACAUACAUUCUCAAUUAGAGUUGAAGAGACUUUACCAACAUUUCCAAUUCCAAGAAUUUUGCCUUUUGAGUUGUCUCCAAAAGAUACAUCUCCACCAUUUUCAAUUUUGGUGAAGCUUGAGAACCAUGCAUAGUUUCCGGUCAUGUGCCUUGAACAACCGCUGUCCAAGUACCAUUUAUUUUUCUUCUUCUUCAAGCCCUACAAGAAAAAAAAAGGUCUCAAGUUUUAGGUACCCAAAGCUUUUUGGGUCCUUGAGAGUUAGCAACGGUUCCUUUUGGAACCCAAAUGCAUUUGACACCAUAAUAUGCAUUCCUUAUCAUGGGACAUCUAUAUUUCAUGUGACCAUUUUGAUUACAAUAAUGACAUACACUUUUAUGAUCAUUUGUGGAGGUAGCUUUAACAAAAUAAUUCUUAUAAUACUUUUGCUUCAAGUUAGGCUUAUAUCCAAGUCCUCCUUUAUCAAAAACACAUUUUUGUGAGUUAAGCAUAUUAUCCAACAUCUUUUGCCCAUUUGUAAAUUUCAAAACAAUUUCAUUCAAUUCAUUACUCUUUUUCUUGAGCAUUUCGUUCUCAUUUUUCAACUCAUCUAUGUGUGAUUCUAAAUGCUCAUGUAAGAUGCUAGAUUUCUCAUUUGAUAAUACAAUUUCAUCAUUCAAUGUUUUGUUUCCUACUUCUAGGCAUAGAAUUCUUGCAUUUAGAGAUUCAUUUUCACUUUUAAGCUUUGCCAUUUCCUUUUUAAGACAUACAUUUUUUUUACCAAUCUUCAUCAACUCAUCAUGCAAAUCUUUAAAAGCAUCAUACAAUUCAUCAUAGGUGGGAUCACUUACCUCAUUGAGAUCAUCAUCCCCUCCUAUUGCCAUGAGUGCUAGGUUUGAUACUUCUUGCGAUCCUUCUUCAUCACUUGAUUCUUCCUCACUAUCAUCCCAAGUUGCAACCAUUGCUUUCUUCUUGAGUUUGUUGAUAAGUGGGCACUCCGAUCUUAUAUGUCCAGGCUUCUUGCAUUCAUAACAUGUGAUUGCCUCCUUCUUCUCCCUAUGGUUCUUGAAGUUUCUGAAAUUUCUUCGCUCUCCGGUUUUCUUGAAGAAUUUUCUGAACCUCCUUGCUAGCAUGGCUAGCUCUUCAUCAUCCGGUUCACUCUCCCCAUCACUCUCAUAUUUUGAAGCUUUGAGAGCAAUGCUGUUCUUUUUCUCCUCAUGUCCUUUUUCAGCAGCUAAAUCCUCUUCGUAUGAAAUGAGAGAACCAAUCAAAUCAUCAAGAGGUAAAGUAUUUAAAUCUUUGGCCUCUUCAAUAGCGGUUCUUUUAGGUCUCCAUUCUUUUGGAAGUGACCUAAUGAUUUUCUUAACUUUCUCACUAUUUGAGAAGGUUUUCCCUAAGGCACCUAGGGUGUUCACUAUGUCCGUGAAUCUAGUGUACAUAGAAUACACAUUUUAAUUUUGUUCCAUUUGGAACAACUCAUAUUGACGAGUGUAUCUACUGAUUUUAGACUCUUUCACUUGAUUUGUCCCUUCAUAGACAACUUCAAGUUUGUUCUAUAUCUCUUGUGCACUUUCACAACUAGAUACUCUAUGGAAUUCUUUCUUAUCAAGGGCACAAAACAAAGCAUUCAUAGCCUUGGAGUUUAGAGACAUUUUUCUCUUUUCUAACUCACUCCAUUGACUUGAUGGUUUAGGAAUAUCAUUUCCUACUUCAUCUUUAAACAUAGGCAUGAAAGGACCGUCACAAACAACUUCCCAAAUUUCAUAAUCUAAAGCUUGCAAGUAGAUUCUCAUUCUAGUUUUCCAAUAAGCAUAGUCAUUACCAUCAAAGAAUGGUGGUCUAGUUGUAGAUUGCCCUUCUCUAAAGGUUGAGUCAUUUAGGGUUGCCAUGGAUCUUUUACUCUAGACGAUUAAGUCUUAACAAGAGAACAAGGCUCUGAUACCAAUUGAAAUACAAGUAUGCAACCCAAGAGGGGGGGUGAAUUGGGAUUCUAAAAAUUAUUCAAUCUAUUAAAGAAAAUCCUAAUGCAAUUAUAAAUCAAAUUCAAAGCAAUAACAAUUAAGAUGAUCUCAAUAUAAAAAGAUAAGGGAAGAGGGAUUCAAACACCGAGAUUUUACGUGGUUCGGCCAACCUCGCCUACGUCCACGCCUCCAAGCUUUCCGGGCUUGAGGAUUCCACUAAGCAAGCCUCCAAGGCUUCAAAUGCUUACACUUGACUUCCAAGGUGUCAAUGGACCUUUACAACAAGAGAUUAUCCCCAAUCUCUUAACCCAAGUGUAUCCCAACACUUACAAUCACUCAAAGUAAAAGAUUACAAAUUGUUUUUCUCUCACACAAUAUUUAAUAUCACAAAUCAAUGCCCAAUGUGUGAAUAGAUGAAGAGAGAAUGUGUUUUAAGCUCUAUGAAGAUUGUGUUAUCGAUUAUUUGCUCAAUGGUCGUGUGUUGAUCAACCUUUGUUUGAAUUUGAUUGAGCUUAUUUAUAGCUGCAGCUGAAAACUAGCCGUUAUUGACUUUCUGCACACUGUCGGAUCACCGUUAGAUAGAUGUCGGAUCGCCGUUUGACUGGUCAAUAUGACCGUUGGGCUGAUUUUUCAAAUUGUCGGAUCGCCGUUAUCUAGAUGUCGGAUCGCAGUUAGUGUCCAGAGACUAAUCUUUAAUUCUGCUUGUUGUCGGCGAGCCGUUAACAAGAAGUCGGAUCGCCGUUAGUGUCCAGAGGCUACUGGUUGAUAUCGGCGAGCCGUUUAUCACACAUGUUGGUUCGCCGUUUAGGUCCAGAGACUACUUUUCAGUUCUGGUUGAUAUCGGCGAGCCGUUUAUCACAAAUGUCGGUGUGCCGUUUCCGUCCAGAGGCUAAUCUCCAUUUCUGCUUGAAAUCGGCGAGCCGUUUACUACACAUGUCGGAUCACCGUUUUCCACAAAAACUGCUGCAGUGAACUAUUUUGCAAGAUGACUGUUUUGUCUCCAAAUCUUUUUAAAAAUACUUUAUGAAACUUGUCAAAAUAGAUGAAAAUUAUGUUGAGCGUUUAAAACGAUUUAAUCAAUCUUAAUCAUGUUUGUUAUCAUCAAAAUCAAUAAGGAAUAAUUUAUGUUAACAUUCAUAAUACUGUAACGUCGUCCGUCGAAGUGCGAACGUGCCCACUUAUCAAUCCCAGCCUCCUCAAGAUACUUUCCAACUGCUUCGCUGACCUUGUAUAUUUCAUUCAUAUAAUAUGUGAAGUGUGUUAGUCGAUAAGCUUUUGAAGCCGCUUCAAAUAUACCACCAACAUCAACAUCUUUAAAGUGAGCCCUAAGGUUUUGCUUUAAGUGAUAUGUACAAACUCCAUAGGUUGCAUUCGGGAACACAGUAGAUACAGAUUUCUUAAUACUUGGAUGGCGGUCAGAAAUGAAAACUAAAUUUUCAACUUCCCCAAUUGAUUCUCUCAACUUUGUGAAAAACCACAACCAAGAUGCAUCGUUCUCACUAUCACCGACACCGAAAGCUAAUGGAUAAAUCUGAUUGUUACCAUCCUUGCAUGUGGCAAUGAACAUAGUUCCUUUAUAUUUUCCUUUGAGAAAUGUACCAUCAACUGCAAUAACUGGUCUAAUGGAAGAAGAAAAUCCCCUUAAAGAACUACCUAUUGCCAUGAAAAAGUACUUGAAGUGAUUUGUGUCAUCAACCUCAAGAAAAGUUCGAGUCCUAAGAUUCUUUUUCUCAAGCAUUGCCAUAUAUUGUGGAAGCAAUUUAUAAGACUCUUCAGGUGAACCUCGAACAAUUUGCAUUGCACAUUCCCUUGCUCUCCAUGCUUUGUGAUAACUUAUAUCGUAACCAUAUUGUUGCUGAAAAUCUUGUCUAAUUUCUGCAGCCCUGUAUGAAGAAGAUGAACCAUCAUACUUAAACUAAAUAUUUUGGGCAAUUAGUUUCGCAGAAGCUUGGCGAUGAUCUAUCUUCGAGACAUCAUGGGAACAAGAAUGUACAUGGCAAUACUUCCUAAUUUCGAACAUACCACAAUUAUUGACCUUAACAGCACGAAGACGCCAUUUACAGUUUUUAUCCACGCAAGUGACAACAAGUAGAUUCUUACUAGACUUAAAUGUUUUAUAUUCAAAAUUUCUUGUUAUAGCAUAUGCACUGAGCUUGCCUUGCAAGACCUCUUUGGAGGAAAAUUGUUGUCUUUCCAUAAAUCCAUCGCUAUCAUCACCAACUUCAUUUGAUACUAAAUUAUCAACACUAAGGAACGAAUCAUUUGUGCUUAUUGAAUUACUACUAGCCAGCAAACCAAGUCUCGGUAAAUAGUUGUUACUACACCGUGGCUGAAUUAUGGUCAACACCGGUGGACUAUCAGUUCUUACUUCAAUAUUCGGUAGUGUCAUGUCUUCGACAUCAAGAUGGACAGUUCGUGCUUCAAUAUCCGGUACCAUUCCGUCUUCGACAUGAAGAUGGACCUCGGUUGGAUGAGGAAUAAAACUAUCAUCUUCUAUUCUAACUCUGUCAACUUCAGGUUGGGAAGCUGAUAAAUCAACGGUUGGAUAAUAGUGACUCUCCUCCCAAGAAAGGUGUCUUGCAUGUGGACUAUUCUCUGCCCUUAUAUCGCCAUUAGGCUCGAUAAUAUUUACCCUAUGUUCAUAAGUGAUGCAUAGAGGAUUUCUGAAACCACUAUUAGCUUCUUCCAAAAAAAAUUCUACAUCACAAUCAUUCAAAAUUUCCAUAGGUGGCAAAGGUUCUGACGAUGUUUUGAACUUGAACUUCAUGCUAAUAACAAAUUCAGAAAGGUCAAUAGAAAUUACCUCUGCCACUUUUUCGACAAGUUGCUUUAGUGUAGUUGAAUGUGGCACUUUAAUACCCCGUAUCUGAGUACCGGUAAAUCUAUAUUCACCAUUUUCCUGAGUCCAUUCACCAUUAUACAAUAUAGGAACACGUACAGUUGCCAUUAACGAGUGAAGACACUGCCAUCAUUAGAAAAAUUUUAGUAAAAAAAAAUAUCGAUUAAAUGACUUACUCGACUUGUUCAUAACUUGACGUUUACUCGACUUAUUUUUAAAAAUUACUCGACUUAAUACUCGACUUAGUUAAUAUGCUUACUCGACUUCUUACCGGACCAUAUACUCGACUUAGUUAAUAUGCUUAGUCGACUCAUUUAAUAUUCUUACUCGACUUCUUACCCGACCAUUUACUCGACUUAUUUAAUAUGCUUACUCGACUCAUUUAAUAUGCUUACUCGACUUCUUACCCGACCAUUUACUCGACUUAUUUAAUAUACUUACUCGACUUAUUUAAUAUUCAUACUCGACUUCUUACCCUACCAUAUACUCGACUUAUUUAAUAUACUUACUCGACUCAUUUAAUAUUCUUACUCGACUUCUUAUCGAACCAUAUAUUCGACUUAGUUAAUAUGCUUACUCGACUCAUUUAAUAUUCUUACUCGACUUCUUACCGGACCAUAUACUCGACUUAUUUAAUAUGCUUACUUGACUUAUUUAAUAUUCAUACUCGACUUAUUUAAUAUUCAUACUCGACUUCUUAUCCGACCAUAUACUCGACUUAUUUAAUAUUCUUACUCGACUUAUUUAAUAUUCUUACUCGACUUCUUACCAGACCAUAUACUCGACUUAUUUAAUUUGCUUACUCGACUUAUUUAAUAUUCUUACUCGACUUCUUACCCGGCUAUAUACUUGGCUUAUUUAAUAUGUUUACUCAACUCAUUUAAUAUUCUUACGCGACUUCUUACCUAACCAUAUACUCGACUUACUUAUCUCCAAUUCUUACUCGACUAAAUUCUCGAUUUACCCGACUUCGUACCCGACUUCUUCCUGCACUAAUUUUUCAAUCACUCAUAACUUAAAAUCUAUUCUUAAAUCCCUACAUUCUAUGAAAUAGUGUGUGUGCAAGCACAAAAAAUGAAUAAUGUACUACUAAAAUUCAUAAAUCAUUAGCAAGUACACUUAUAAUGAAAUGAAAUCAAAACCUAACAAUAUAAAUAGAAUGUAUUUCAAACAUACCUUGAUAAUGCACCUUCUUAACUGUUUAUUUUUAUCAAAAACCUUGUAUUGGAGCUAAAGUCAAGUAAGGAAAUUGUCAAAUAAUGAAAUGGAGAGAUAGAAGGAAACUGUCAAAGAGGGAAAAUGGUGAGAAGAGAAGAAAAUAAAGAGGGAAAUGUUGAGAAGAAAAGAAAAAUAGAGAACGGUGGGACAAGCCCGAAAAAGAGAAGUCAUAGGGGAAGAAAUAUGUAAAUUCUUAGUUUUUUUAAGGUUAUUUUUGACUUUUCCUAUCUUCAUGAGGUAUAUGUAUGUAAUAGGGUAUAAAUUUGGCAUUUAAGGGUAAAUUGAGGAUAUUUAAAUAAAAAACCCCAAAUUUUGCACUAGAUAUUUUACUACUGUUUAUAAAACAAUUCGAAAAAACUUAGCCAACAACUUUUGUAUUAUAAACUUUUAAAGUCGCAUUGGUAUUAAUUUUUUACGUACAUUUUUAAUUACAAUAAUGUUAUGGAUUCUAGUAUUUGAGUCUUAACUUGAGUUUGAAUAUAAUGUAUUAUCUAUUUUAUGAAUAUUUGAUGAUAGAUUUCAUUACUUAUAAAAUUAUUUAAACUAUUUAAUAGAUGAGUGUCAUAUAUAUUAAGAUGUAGAUUCAAAUUUAGUAUUGAGGUGUAUAGAAUUACUCUUUUUACUAUUGUUAUUUAGCCUACACAAUCCAAUUAUGUGAAGGUUUUCAAGUAGACUUGUAUUAGAUAAAUUUUACAAUUUUAACUUUUAGAAAAAGAAAAUAGUUGUAUGGUUAUCAAUUAUAUAUUUUAGCGAAAGUUAUGUAAUAAUUUUAAUUAAAUCUAAUCAAUUGUGUGCCGUCAUAUAAGUUAUUGUAUUUGGCGAUUCACGUGUCACUUGAUCAUUGAUCUUGAGAUUUCAGCCAAUAGUCAGAUGAUACGUGGCUUAUUGCAAAGAUGAUUUAGUGCAUAGGACGCGUAUUUGACGGAUACUAUGUAUUUAACUGGCAAAUUUUUUAAAUUUAUCUUUGCUAGAACGGCUUUAUUGUAUAGUUUUGUUUGGAGUCCAUGCAAAACUAUUACUUCAUUUUCACUAUCAUACACCCACUUUUAAGUCUUGAAUUAUUUAAUAAAAUAUUGAUAACAUUCUAAUCAUUCGACUCAUUCCAAUACUCCACGCCCUUAAAUGACAAACUCAAUUGAGAAAAUUAAACCUCAAAGCCCCAAGCUUUAUAACAUCUUCCAAAUAAACCCCAAAGGUUUUUAAACAAUUACAUCCAUGUCCCCAGACUCAGAGCCGUCUCCUUCUUCCUCAAGCAGGGACUGGCUCUUCCCAUCACACUCUUUCGCUCACUCCUUUGACAACUACACGUCAAAAACCCCAAAAUACCCUCGCAGAUUCUCCUCAAACCCCAGACUGUCGCAGCCACUUCCUCCCGAUUCGAAACCCCACAAAACGCCGGCGUUUCAGUCCGUUUCGUCCUCCAAUUCCUCUUCUUUCAGUGAAUACAAGUAUGCAGGGCUUAGAAGAAGAUCAUACCUAUCUCGCCGCGCCGAGACGUCUCCGAAACGUGAAGAAAAUGGCACCGUAUUGCAAAGAAACGCCGUCGUCUCAAAUCGAAACGUCGGCGUUUCGGAGGAGAAAACGUCGGAAAGUAAGAUGAUUGCCGGCUUUUAUGGUCAACGGGUCAAAUUCCGGUGGCAUAUGGUCAUUUCUUUGGUGGUGAUUGCUCUUUCUAUCUGUAAAACUAUUAAAUGUUGAAUUUUUUUUAAUGAAAAAAAUGAUUUCUUUGAUUAAUUUUGUUUGAAAUAAUUGCAGAUUAUGAUAACAUUUUUCACUUCAUUGGUACACAAGAAUUUCUCUUUACAUAAUCAAGUCGACGAGUUACAGGUAAAAUUCAGUUUUUUUUUUUUUUUAAAUGAUUUUGUACUGUUAACUUGAUAUUUAACAUACUAACUUUUUGUUUAAAAUUUUGCUUGGUGGAAACUCUAAAUUUGUUGUUUGCUUUUUGCUAUCUUCACUGAACAAACACUAGUUUCGCCUUUGUAGAACCAGGUCUCAAAGCUGAAUGGUAGGUUACGAGCUUGCAAUUUGUUGGAUUCUACAGAUGUCAUUCGCUCCAUAUCCAAGGACAGUGAACAACUUUCCAGCGAAGGCUUAAAAAACCUGGCUUUAAUCGUCUCACUAACACUUCUAUCCAUACCUGUUGUUAUUUUGAAGUACAUUGACUAUGUCUCUAAAUCAAGAUCACCGGAUAAUAUUUCAGAGGAAGUUUCUUUAAGCAAGCAGCUUGCAUACCGGGUGGAUGUCUUUUUUUCAGUCCAUCCUUAUGCUAAGCCAUUGGCGCUGUUGGUUGCAACUCUGCUACUUAUUUGUCUUGGGGGCUUGGCACUCUUUGGUGUGACAGAUGAUAACUUGGCCGAUUGCCUUUGGUUAUCUUGGACAUUUGUGGCUGAUUCAGGCAACCAUGCUAACUCUGAAGGCAUUGGUCCAAGGCUAGUUUCAGUUUCCAUUAGCUUUGGAGGGAUGCUUAUAUUUGCAAUGAUGCUUGGACUCGUUUCUGAUUCAAUUUCUGAGAAAUUUGACUCACUGAGGAAAGGAAGAAGUGAGGUAGUGGAGCAAAACCACACCCUAAUUCUUGGGUGGAGUGAUAAAUUGGUAAUGUUCUAAUUUCUUGGAAUAUCCACAUACGGCUUUUUCUUUCUUCCUAAUACACAACCCCCCGCCCAAAAAAAAAAAAAAAAAAACAAGUUAUGGGGCCUGAAUAUUACAGCACCUUGUGUCAUACUUCUUACCCCUCUCUCUUAGACACCAUAACCUAUGAUUCUACUUAGUUUAGCUUCCAUACAAGCUAUACCUGCAGUUGACUCCCUUUUUAUAUCUAAAUUAUUUGUUUUCAUUUUAUUAGUAUAGUUGGACUUUACUGUGAUAUCUUGCAUCAGACAUUCUAGUUUACAUGUUCCUGCAUUGGACAAAUGAAGAUGGAUUGUGCCACUUAGUCCCCAAUUAUUUCAGUGCUCAUGAUAGCUUUCCCAUUGUCCUCAUCAAUUAGUCUGCACUUCAACAGGGAUCAUUGCUAAAUCAACUUGCCAUAGCCAAUGAGAGCUUGGGUGGAGGGAUAGUUGUCGUAAUGGCUGAACGAGAUAAAGAGGAGAUGGAACUUGACAUUUCCAAAAUGGAGUUUGAUUUCAAAGGGACAUCUGUAAUAUGCAGAAGUGGGAGCCCUCUGAUUCUGGCCGACCUUAAAAAGGUAAGACUCCAUACUUUGUUAGCUCAUGUAACAUAAUUCUUUCUUCAUUUUUUCUAAUCAUGUAGCCAACCUAAUGCAAUAGGGUUUAACUGUAAGUAACUGAUACCAGAUAAUUUGAGUAUUAGAUCCAAAUCAAAUAGUCAAUUGAAAUUAUUUUAAAUCUCAUUUGAAUCAAGUUAUUUGAAAAUAGGUGAAGUUAUGAGACAAGCCAGAAGCACGAAUCUGCACACAAUUUGGUGAAUAAGUUCUGUUUUCCUAUAAUGUUGCUUAACAAAAACGGAAAAGAAUAAGAAGGGCUUGUUGAUGUCAUUACUUUGAUUUUUCUUAAUGGGUAUUAAAAGAUACUGCUCCUUUUUCCUUGAGAAUAUGUUUUUCCAGAAUCUUUUUCAUGAAAAGAAAUGAAUUUGAAUGAAAAGAACAAACGCCGAAAUUUUUUUGCACGGGACUUCCUUACAAUUCUGUGUUCCAACUUGCUGAAUCUUGUGGCAUACUCUUCAAAGUACUUGUUGCUAGCAUUUGCAUUCAUUUAAUUUGAGCAAUAUUCUACGUUAUCAUCUAACCAUCCAAUCUGUGGUAGAUGACAAUCAUGUGAUGCUGAAAACCAUGGCAAUUUAUUUGUUAUGCUAACCUCAUGAAAAUAUUCAGGUGUCUGUCUCCAAGGCCCGUGCCAUAAUUGUCCUUGCUGAAGAUGGAAAUGCUGAUCAGGUUUAUUUGAGUGAAGACAUUAAUGCGUUUUAUCCUUAAAUAUCCCAUAAGAUUGAUCACAUUAACUUAUUCAUAGUAUAAUACAGAGUGAUGCUCGUGCAUUGAGGACUGUCUUAAGUCUAACAGGCGUAAAAGAAGGGCUAAGAGGGCACAUUGUAGUGGAACUAAGUGAUCUUGACAAUGAGGUCCUAGUUAAACUUGUUGGAGGAGAUCUUGUUCAAACUGUUGUGGCUCAUGAUGUUAUUGGCCGUUUGAUGAUUCAAUGCGCUCGGCAGCCAGGACUUGCACAGGUUCAUUUUAUAAUUCCAGAUGUUUUUUAUUCCACUUACUAAGUUUGGCAUCAUUGUCUUAAUCUCAAUGUAGAUGCUAAUCUUCAUGGACGAGUUUUCUGCCAUUAUAUUUUAAUGCUUAUUGCCUUAUUAUGCAAAUAAGCAUCCAGUGUCAUGUUCUCUUACUGUAUCUAUGAUAAUUAUGGACUGGCCAUGGCAGAUCUGGGAAGAUAUUCUUGGGUUUGAAAAUUGUGAGUUCUACAUAAAAAGAUGGCCAACAUUGGAUGGCAUGCCAUUUGAGGAUGCAUUGAUCAGUUUUCCUGAUGCUAUACCUUGUGGAGUCAAGGUUGCAUCCUGUGGUGGUAAGAUUAUCAUGAAUCCCGAUGACUCAUACAUUCUACAAGAAGGCGACGAAAUUCUUGUCAUUGCAGAAGAUGAUGAUAGUUAUGCUCCAGCAGAGUUGCCUAUGGUGCUUUCAUUUUCCUCUAGAAAUAAGGAUUUUAAACAAAUUUCUUGGUUUAUUUUGCUAGCCUAUUCCGUUUGUUGCAUAAUAUGUUCAACAUGCAUAAUGUGAUACUUGACUUACAGCUUACUGAAAUCAGGCUGCAUUUGAAUGCUUCAAAAGAAUGAAAGAGAACUUAAGAGAGAUGAAUAAAUGCAUUAAAGAAAGAGAAUGAUUAGGUUAAUAGGCUAGGAAUAUGCGAAUUUAGUUGAUUUAGUAUGCAUUUCAUAAGGCCUUUCAUCGCUAAGGAUAAAACUAUAUAUUUGCCUUGGUUGAAGCAACCACUAAACGAAUUGGGUUGGUGUUUGUAUUUUCUUAUAGGGUUGUUAUUGUUUCACUAGUUUAGGAAUUGCAUAAUAUCAAAUGAAAUCAAGGACCUGAGAUAUCAUUGUCCUCUUUUUCUGUGGGGUAGAAAUGGUAUCAUCUGCUCCCUCUUGUUGUUUGUAAGUCAUCUGCUUUUAUUAAUGUCCACAUGAGUACUGCACAAUAUGAUUCACAACUUAUCACGUGACGCACAUUGAUUAAGUGAAGUCUGUUACAUUAGUCACACAUUUCCUCUGUUGACCUGACUGCAUGCUGGAAGAAUGAAACUUAUGCUGCAUCAAUCUGUUCAAUUAUAAUUUUUUUUUAAAAGAGUUUUGACAGAUCAUUUGACAGAAAGCUGCAAUUAAAGAAAUCAUUUGAUGCUUUUAAAAUAUUUUGCCAAACAACUAAAAUAAAAAUAAGUGGAGAAAAAGGCAAACAGUGAACUGCAGUUAUGACAAACAUUCUUGGUUAAGAAAGAUGGCAUAGUUUUUUCAGGCUAGGGAUAUGUCAUGCGUGGAGUUAAACUGAGUCGGGCUUAAAUUUUAAAACUUACAUAAGUAUAAUCACUUUGAUCAUUCAGGUCAAACAAGCAUCUUUCAUAAACAUUGCUCGACCAGCAAAAAUGCCACAGAAGAUUCUACUUUGUGGAUGGAGGAGGGACAUUGAUGAUAUGAUUGUGGUAAGUUUAUCUAUUUAAGCCCCUAAUCAUUGUUGUUUCACCUGAAUGCUGCAGGUACGGAGGGGUAAUCUACCUAAAGACUUUAUUCUGCCAAAGUCUGCAGAAAAGAUACUUUUUUGUGGGUGGCGACGGGAUAUGGAAGAUAUGAUCAUGGUAAUGUUACAAUACAAGGAAUCUGAAACCAUGCUCCCAAAACUUCAUGAGAGCGAUCGAUCCUCAAUAUACACGAAGUGGUGGUGGUUCAGAAUUUGUUUCCCACCAUUGCUCAAUUUCUUCUCACACAAUAAAUCAUUUAGGAUUCAGAAACAUUCUUUUUCUUUGUCUAGUUUGGUGCAUUACAGAUAACUGAUUUCAUAUUUAUGGUGUUAAUAGUGUUACUCGUUUACGUUUCUUUAGGUUCUAGAUGCCUUUCUAGCACCUGGUUCAGAGCUAUGGAUGUUCAAUGAUGUCCCAGAAAAUGACAGGGAAAAGAAGCUUAUUGAUGGUGGUCUAGACCUCAGCAGGUUAAUGAAUAUAUCUCUGGUUAAUCGUGAAGGGAAUGCAGUUAUACGGCGUCACUUGGAAAGCCUUCCCUUGGAAUCUUUUGAUUCAGUGAGUAGAUAUACAGUCAGCUUAUUUAUCAGAAGCAUAUGUUUUAGAGUGAGAGAAAUUAAUUCUCAGUCAGAGAAAUUAAUAAUCAUUAUGGAUCAAAUGUAAAAGGGAUAAAAUAAUGGGAGCCAGAGCUUUGCCAAAAAUAUGUUCCUGAUGUAAGUGCUCACUAGAUGAGUGAAGCUCUGGCUGUUGGGCAUUUCAUUUUCGAAAACUCUUUUUUUUUUUUUCCUUUUUUACUUCAGCACUUAAUAUGAAGCACACCAGGCAGGUGACAAUCAUUGUUGGAACUAGUUUGAAGUGAAACACAGUGUGGCUUGGUGGGCUUGUUAAGGGUGUUUGUAGCUGAUAUUUGCAUUUCCUUUCUUGGUAUGUUUCCUUUGUUUCUUAGUUUGAUUAUAUUUUGAUGUAGCCAUUUUGUUUCACAGAUUUUAAUCUUGGCUGAUGAGUCAGUGGAAGAUUCAGCCAUUCAAGCUGAUUCCAGAUCCCUUGCCACACUGCUUCUGAUUCGUGAUAUUCAGGUACUUCGAAAUAUGAGAAUAAGUUAAAUAUUCGUGAUGUAUCUACUCUUUCAAGGUACUUCUUGUAGUAGUUUCAUUCUGAAGACCAAUAUAGAGAAAUUGGUCUUCAGAAUCUUCCUACUUAUUCCCAUGCUGCAUAGAGUUAGGUUCCUUUGUGAAAAUGUUGGAUCAUAUACCACAUGAUGUUUUGGAGAUUGAGUUGUGUUUUUCCGGUCUUUCUACUCAUGAUUGCAGGCAAAGCGUCUCCCAUACAGAGAAGCAAGGGUUUCCCAAGUCCACAGAGGAAGCUUCUCGCAAGGCUCUUGGAUUGGGGAGAUGCAGCAAGCUUCUGAUAAAUCAGUGAUAAUCAGUGAAAUUCUAGAUCCAAGGACUAAAAAUCUCUUAUCCAUGUCAAAGAUUAGUGAUUAUGUUCUGUCAAAUGAGCUUGUCAGCAUGGCUUUGGCUAUGGUUGCAGAGGAUCGACAGAUAAAUGAUGUAUUAGAAGAGCUAUUUGCCGAAGAGGUACUUGAAUUGACACCCCUCAAUUCGUACCCAACUGUGUCUAACAGCUUACUUAUGAUUGGUCAUUUGGAAAGAUAAGAUCUUGCUUGUCUUUUUUAGCCUAGUUAAUGAAUCUUUUUCGUUCUAACAGGGAAAUGAAUUGCACAUAAGACAAGCUGAUCUUUACCUUCGUAAAGGUGAGGAGUUGAGUGUCCUUGAAGUAAUAUUACGAGCCCGACAAAGAAGAGAGAUAGUUAUUGGCUACCGUUCAGCUAAUGCUGAGCGAGCUGUCAUAAAUCCACCUUUGAAAAGUGAGAAACGGAGGUGGUCACUACAGGAUGUAUUUGUGGUAAUUGCGGAGAAGGAAUGAACCAUUUUUAUUUCCACACGGCCAAAGAGAUUCUUGGAGAAAGGAGAAAAUCCUCUUGAAUGAUCAGAGUAAGCUCAAACAUUUUACAUGGAAGUAAUAUGUAAAUAUACGUCAACUGUCACUUAGAGAAUUCACCAUCACAGUUUAGAUUACCUAACACCGGAAAAAAAUCUCAAGAGUAUUAAAAGACAGCUCAUUUUGGAUUUACAGAUAGGGGGGUCAAUGCGGCAGAUUGUCAUUGUUGCCUGGCUUCUGCAUGUGAAGGAUAUAUCUUACUCUUCUUUUCCUACUCAGAUUAUGUUUUACAGUAUAGAUGAGUUAGAAAGUAGUGUCAUCAAAGCAAUGUCUCCAUUUUGCAAAAUGUGCUGAGUUCCAGAAAUGUAUUGUAGCUUUUACAUUGGUGAUUGUGAGUAGAUUAACUGUUUGUUACAUUGUUGAAUAUAAAUGAACUAAGCUACUUCUUUCUGGAAAAGCACCAAUGUGGUUGCAACUACAGAAGGCUCACAAAAAAUUUAAUGCAGUAACUGAUAUGGAUAUGUACAUAAGUCUCUUCAUUUAAUCAGAUGAAAUAGAAGAACUAAGCUUUAUUUGUCUGGUGGAAUGCACAAAAAUGGUUCUCCAGGUUUACAUAAAGGUCAGUAUCAGAAAAAGUUUCUCGGAACCUGCCAUGCAAUUAACAGCAAGAAUAAUGAGAGGCUAAAAUUGAGGCAUCAUACUGCACAAGAAAAAUCUUUAACCUCUACGCUUCAGAGAGAUCGACAUUCUCAUUCAUUGAAGCCACUGAUUCAGAGGAUGGAUCUUGGAUUCCUUCAGUAUCAGCUGGUUGAGAUUCAUGCUUGGCAGCAGCCUGCAACACCCGGUUUUGGACAUCUACAGAUGAGGGCGAUGUCGGUAGACCAGGUCGAUUUGUUUCUAAUUUCCCAGCAGCCCAUGAAAAUGCCCGAGCACCAAUUCUAACAGGAGCUAGCAACAGCCUUCAGAGAACAUAACACAGAAACCACAGCUAAUUCAUCAGUUAACAGAUUGGAAACUUAAAAUCCUGUUCUUAUCAACUACACUAUACAACCAAGCUUCAUGUCAAUUUAAAUUUCAAUUUUGAAUGUACUAUUAUCAGAUAAUACACCACGGCGCAUUUGGUAUGUCGGUAAGGAUUAAAAUAGGACAUGAUAUGAUUGCACUAGAUUAAAUUGGAAUAGAUUAAAUUUAGUGAUGUGUUGUCAUAUGUUCAGUGUAGCAUAGUAUAGGUUUGUAUUAUAAAUUCAAUUAUUUUAUUAAAAUAAUUAAAAAUAAAAAUAAUUAUUGUAUAUUUAUUUAACCAUGAAUUUAAUUAAAUUAGUUAAAUGAAAACUAAUGAAAUAUCAAAAUAUAUUUCUAUUUAUAAUAUUAUAAAAAUUUUCAAAUUAUUAAACAUUAAAUGCCUUUAAAUCUUCGAUGAAAGUUCAUUAACAUUUUCGAUGUGGGAUAUGCUGAAAGUUCACCAUAUUUACAACACUUUGCCUCGAACUUCACCAUUUAGUUGCAUAAAACAAAGGUAACCAUCAUCUUCAAUGAUAGUUCACCAACAUCUCAACGUGGGACAUGGUGAAAGCUCACCAUAGUUACAACACUCCAGACUUGAAUUUCAGCUUAUCAAUGAUUCUAAUUUUUGUACAGAUUUACAAAACGUUAUCACCACAAUAACAUGUUUUUUUAUAUAUAGAUAUCAUUUGUAGACUUUUCCUCUGAUUAGAAUUAUAAUAUCUCUUCUAACUAAAAUUUUAUCUAAAAUGAUCCAUUCCACCUGGGGAAAACAAUGAAGACAUACUUGGGAUAUUUAAAACAUGAAAGCGAUACUUGAUUUAAUUUAUAAAUGUUGUAAAUGUGGUAAACUUUCACCAUAUCCACAUCGAAAUAUUAGUGAACGUUCAUUGAAGACUCAAAAGCAACCCACAUGCAAUCGCCCAACAAACCGUCCCUCUUGCUCCUCCAAUUAGUAAAUAAAAUUGCUGAUGAAAACAUAAAAGAGAAUGAAGAGAGAAAGAAGAGAUGAGGAGGCAAGGGACGAAAAGCCACAUCAACCCUAGUCCUUCUGUGUUGGAUAAAUCAAAGGGGGAGUGUUAUAAAUUCAUAAUUAUAGCCCUUUGAUAUUAUAAACAGAAAAGUCACGAUAAAAUAAUAUCAUUUAAAUUCCUUGAUGUUUUAACACACACACACACACACACAAGGGCUAAGGUAAUGAAGAGAGAGAGAAUAGAAGAGGAGGCAGAGGAGGAGAAACCUUACUUAAAACAGUAUUUUCCAAUCCUAACCCUCAUGUGUGUGUAUAUUAAAAUAUCAAUUUUCAUAUCUUGACUGUCAAGGACCUAUAUGUUUAUAACGUCAAAAGAGGUGGGGUCGUAAUUAUCAAUUUACAACAUUACCCCUUAGACACACCACUUCUAUUACAUUAUUGGAGGUGCUCAGUAUUACCUCGUUAAAACCUUGCUAAUAAAACCCAGAGGGAUAAAUCCUGGUUAUUCCACUAAAACCAAGGAAUAAAACUUGGACGAAGGGAAAAGAAAUAAUAAAAUAAAUAAAAGAAAACUUCAAAAUGGAGAAAAGUACUUCAAUCAAAUACAUUAUAAUAGCUUAAAUAAGCUCUUAUGUUCAUUGGUCAAUAAUACAACAAGCACACACGUAUAUAUAGUCGAUUAUACAAUUAAAAAUAUAUUUUAUAAUAUUAUUAACUAACAUAUAAUAUCAAAAUUAUGAAUUUUAUUUAUAAAAAGAAAUUUUAUUUUUGUUAAUAUUCUAUUAUACAAUAAUAUUUAAAAUUUCUCUUAUUCUUUAAGAAUCAAAAAAUUUAUUUUUUAAUUAAAAAUUAAUGUAAUAACUAAAUAAUGUACAAUUGAAUUAACGAAAAUAUUUAUCCUAACAUCUCCCGUGCCCAUGGGAUAAGUUUUGGUUGAAACUAAAUGGUGGGUUUCAGGAUCACAAUUAAUUAUCUCAUUUCAUUCUAUUCUCACAUGCACCAAACAUAGGACUGGAUAAAAAAAUAAUCCAUCUCAAGUUUUAAUAAUGCAACCAAAUAGUAUUAAAUUGAACUAUUUAUUGUCAAAUUCCAUGUAUAGUGAAUGUUAGGAUAGGAUAAUCAGAGAGAGUUAAUUGUAACCCAUCAUUCAAUCCCCAAUUGAAGCCAAAACUUAUCCCAUGGCCUUCAUGUGAUAAGUUAAGAUAAGUAUUUUUGUUAAAUAAAAUUAUAGAUAUAUAUUUGUUACAUUAUUUUAUACUAAAGCAUAAAUUAUUUAAUUAUAAUAAGGAGACAAAUUAAUUUUAUAAUAAAAAUCCUAAUUAAAAAGUAAAAAUUCUUUUAUAAAUUACAUCUAUUAUAAAAUAAAAAAUUUAUUUUAAAUAAAAUUCAUAAUUUUAAGAUUAAAUUUUAGCCAAUAGUAAAAUGCUAUAUAUUUUUAAUAGUUUAAAAUUUAUAUUAUUUAGAUAUUUAAUCUUUUUUCAUAUGAACUAUUUACUAAAUUAAUGGUUAAAUUAAUAUAUAAUAACUACUUUUUUAUAUUUGAAUAAAAAAUUAUAUUUAUAAUUCAAUCUUAUCCCAAACUAUACAAAACACAAAACAAGACAAUACUAUACAUAAUCCUAUCUAAUUCAAUCCUAUCUUAUCUAGUCCAAUCUAAUGCAGUCCAAUUUGACAUAUCAAACAUUCCUAUGAAAUGCCUAUCAUGAUGCCCAAUAUUGGUUUUAGAAAUUGGUGUCCACAUGUAUAUUCGGUGCAACACUCAGUGGUUUUAAAUCACCUUAUUAUUUUCAGCUGGCAGUGCAAUUAAAAUGCUAACUCUGGGUGUUCAUGUCUAACAAGCAUUCAAUCUACACACUACACCCUUCAUAACAUUAUACACAAUGAACAUCUAUAUUCACUAAGAUUUGGCGUUUGAGUAAAACAUUAUUAUAGCAUCUGGAUGAUAGGAAACCACAAGACAAUUUAUAAAGAAUAAACUAAUCACGUUGUGGUAGUUUGAGAAGAACAAGUGAUCCAUGUUAGGAGUUUAUAAUCAUUUGAACCUUUAUUUUUCCAAAACCUAAUUAUUUUCGAUAUAUAUAUUUAAUGUGCAGAUCAAAAUUGGAAUAAAAUAUUUAAUGAUGACUGUUUUCUAGAUUUCAUAUAACCUUAAGAAGACUUUACCUCACAUCUUGCUUAAAAUCUUCAGCAUCAUUGUAUGAAGCCACCCGCCGAUAAAUAGUCUGGUAGAAUUACAGCAACCCAGCCACAGAAUCAGUAUAAUUUGCAAUACCCAAAUACAUAAAACAUAUAAGAAAUUUUCAGUUUCAUUUAAUAAAGAAAUCUGCACCAGUGCAUGACGGCCAGUAGAUGGACUAUAUUAUAUAAACUCUCUGUUCCAAAAUCAAUGUAACAUGAUGAUGUCAUAACAUUUAUUGCAAAAAAUCCAGAGGCAUUAAUAAUUUUUUUUUUUAAAAUAGAAAAAGGACCAAAGAAAAGACCAAAAAAGCCAUCUUCUUGUCAGAAGCAACUAGUCAAAUCAGACAAUUGAAAAUCAUCAUAUCAUUCUCAAUCUUUUACCACAAAAUCCCAACCAGUUAACCUCUAGGACUGGAUUGUAUAUUUGAAAUUGAAUUGCAAAGGAAAAGGAGCAUGUACACACACACUCAUCAUUUUACAGAAGUUUAUAUCAUUUCAUCAUUUACUUAAUCUAUACCAGUAUUAAAAUUCAAUAUAGUAAAUGAAACAAUUUUACAGGAGCACUUAAACUAGAGAAGAAUAUGAGUACCUGACCAAGGCCAAUAACACCAAUAAAUUGUAACGUCUUCUCCCACUCUGAGUCCAAUUAUUUACAUGCAGUUAGCACAAAGCAUGGGGCAUUAUAUUUUUAUAGAAAAAGGAAAUAGAUUUAAAGGACAGUUGUCUAUACAGAGGCCAUUAAUCUAAAACAAGAUCUCAAUAAACAUCCCAUGAAACAGAUAUGCUAUGAUUACAUGCCAAGACAAUCCAAAGCUAAUGUCAGGCCACAGCAGAACAAUGUUACAGGUUGGUCCCAACAAAGUCUCAAGAUGUAACUAUCCAACAUUGGAAUUAAACUGGGCCUUCUAAGGCACAGUAAAUCCUAAAACGAACACCCACUCCUCUUCCCUGCCCACCCCUAACCUUUGACUUUCACCUCAGGCGUCUGUGUCGUAGCAUGUGCCCUCAAUCAUAGACAUCAUAGAAUGCUAUCUAUCAUGGGCCAAGACCAGUUUGCACUUGAAUUUCAGAACCUUAACCUUUCCAUUUGAUAUAUGCUACCAAAACAAUCCACAAUUCAGUAGUUCCGGUGAGUAAUCCUAGAAAAAGUUUACCUUUGUUUUCGUUCUCGUAAUAGUCACUAGAUAUAAAAAGAGCCCAAUUUAAACCCUGUUUAGUAUUGUAGUUAGCAGCUAUAGCUUUUGAUGUACACACUAAAAGUGUUUGGUAAACACCAGUUGCUAUAAUUUGACAGCUAAGUUGAUUUUUAGCAUACACUUAUACAAUGAAAACCUAUAAUAUCUUCAUUAUUUUUUAUCAAAAAUUAUUAUUAAAAUUCAUAUUUACCGCACACUUAUCAACUUUUAUUUCAUAACUACAGCUUUUUCUUUUUCUUUUUUUUAAUUACAAAAGCCAUGGAUUUUAAACCACAGCACCUUAAUACUAAACAGGUACUAAGGGCGUUUUGUCUUUUGCCACUAACUAGCAGCCCAUCCAACCAAAAGGGAAUAGACUGACACGCCCAAAAGAGAAUGAAAAUGAAAAUACACUAGGAUACCACCUAAACAAUAAUUUAUCCCAUCCAACCCUCCAUCCCAAAAGUUAGUCUACAUGUAUAACCUCCAACCUCUAUGUAUCACCUACCCAACAAAUACACAGCCAGAUUGUCUUAGCCAACUAUUCAAGGUAGAAGCAUACAGGCAUUAGUGCCUUAGUUAUGAGUCUACUCUUAACUAGGCUCCUGCAUGCAGGCUCCUUCAACAAGCAUCCAUAAUUUCCUUAAAGAAUUGGAGGGAAAUGUUUCUGGAGUUAGUUGCCAGCAGAUGCAUGUCAACAUCCAUGUUUCUUUUCACCAGAAACCAAUCCCAUUGAGUAUAAGCUUUUCAUUGUUCAACAAGCACAAGCUCUAAUGAUAAAAAAGUCAAAUUGCAAAGGGUCAUAUGUUACAUUUUUUAUGACCUGAACUUCAAAAGCAGUUCAACAAUGUAUACUGAACUAGUAAAUUUGUACAAACCAAAGUUCACUAAGGACAUAUCCCAAUGAAUCAUAUUGCAUUCCAAUUAUGAAUAAAAUUGACAUAUCUGAACAAAGAAAUAUACGCACCUAAUAGCGCAUAUAAUACUGCAAAACAGCCCUGGCCAUAAAUAAAAGCAGUUAUUAGCAAAAGAUGCACCUUAGAUCACAUGAAAAGCCUUAACAUUCAUAUUAUGUACUUGAGACUGCAUCUGAACCAUUAACCAGUAUUUAGAGACCGAACAAAAAUUAAUGUAGUAGAUAUUCAGCAAAUAGUUACGAAGCAAAGACCAAUUCAAGGAAUGUUUUAAUAAAUUUUCUUAAACUGCAGAUAAAAUGUACAGAUAGAUGAUGAAAUUUAUCUAUGUGGCCGAACUCUCUUCGUCAUAAUGGGUUCCAACACUUCUCAAUGCAAUUCUAUGCAGCUCUUAGCUUAGAUAGAACUAGAAGAAUUGCUUUUAAUCCAUGCCUCCAGUUAUGACAAGUCAAACAAAGAUAGCUUUAGAGGUGUACAAAAUGGAUUCAGCAUGAUAAACAAUUACUGUGAAGAAAUCACGUAUGCAAUUGAAUAUCCACACGAAAGUAAUCUUACCACACCAAACCCAAGAAAUUGCACCGGAGAAGAAUUGAUAUCUUCUAAGAUUGCCUCAGCAUCCUGAAACGAUCCAACUAUGCAUUAAUAGGCAGCCAAAAAGUUUGAUCUACUUUUCGGAAAGAGAAGACAAAGAAACAAGUUCAGCCAGAAUAAAAUCUUAUACUACUGAAAGUUUAGAAGUUCAGAGAAUAACAGUAACCCUGUUGUGAACACCUCGUUGAGUAUGGUUAAUGCAGUCUCAGAUUUUAGCUCCUUUAUCCGUAGACCCUCUUUCACCCAAGACUGAAAGCCACCUUGGACCAGGAAUGCUCUCUAUCAUGUGAAACAACACAACAAUUAGUAGAUGAUUUUUAGAUCUAUCUGUGAUGAUUCUGGCAAUAUAUUUUUCGCUAAUGCUGCCUUCUGGUUCCCCAACACAUGAGAUAAAUUAUACAGUGAACAAUGGGAUUUGAAUUUUGGGUCAGAUAUAUAUAUUUUCUUCUUCCAAUUUUGAUUCCAUCUUAAUUUCAUAAUCAAGUAUUGCAAAGAAGCAUUGAAGAGUCCUAGUGAUACUUACCAUAACCCCAAGUUUUCUCAGAGAUCUUGCAAUGCCUUUCGAACGAGUACCAUCAGCAUCCAUAACUAUGACCUUGGACCUGUCCUACAGAUAGUACAAAAAGUAUGUUCUGAGACAUCAUUUCCACAUACCAUUAAGAAACAACAAAAAGUGCAUGAUAUAGGGGAUAUUAUUGCAAAUAAGAACAGCCCAUCAUAAAUUCUAGAAAAACUCGAAGGCAGCACAAGCAUAUAUACAUAAAUAAGACAGGAUCACAUUACUUACACUACAAAAUAUAUAUUGUAUCUUUACUUUUCAUCAAAUCACUGAAUCAAAGGGAUCGCUACCAUCUGUGAUACACACCAAAUAUCACAUUCCAGCUCUAAUUGUAGCUAUCUAAUCCAUAAACUGCAUUCCUACAGACAAUUAAAUGUUUGUUCUCUUAGUACAAUCUCAAUAGUACAGCUUUAUUGAACAACUUGAAAUUGGAUGCUCAAUGGGUAUGACCAAACUACGAAACCGACCAUUUUGGUUUGUGCAUCAUUUAUGCUACACAAUUUUAUUGAAUGAUGUAAUAUAUUUACCAUUUGCAAGUCAUACGCUCCUAUGGGUUGUUAAAAAUGUAAAGAGUGGUAAGGUAUACAAAUCAUGUGUUAAGCAAGACAGGGACACAGGGUAAAGCUUCAUGACUUCUUCUUAGUGGCCAUUAGCACACAAGAACAGAAUUUGGAGAGUCAAGUAAAAAGUUGUUUAGCAUUUUUGAAGAAAGUUUAUUUUUAUUUUUUGAGAAUAGAAAGCUUUAUAUUUGAAAAAUUAGGAGCUAUACAAAAAUAAGCAUUCUAAGAGUUUAAAGCUACCAUACCUGAACAAUUUUCAAAUUACGAAUAAUGGCAGCUGUUAAGGUGUCAUCAAGCUCUCUGCCACCUCUUAACAAUUUCUUUACUGAUCCACCGACCUAAAUAUAAACAACGAAAAUUAGAAUGAAACCGUAAGCUCCACAUAUACACCACCCUCUUUUUCUUUCUCCAAAACAUUACUUAGCAAUUUCCAUCAUAUUAGAGGCAAUGGGCAUUUUGAUUGCCUUCCCUAUAACAAAUUCAGAAAAGAAAUUACACCAUAUACAUGCUUAAACCAACCUCAGGCAAAUAUACACUUGCGUAGCGAAAUCGUGCUCCUCGUCGAAGGUCAGGAAUUCCAUCUCUUUCUCUUAGAUCCUUCAGAAGAUUCAAUUCCCAACAUCAAGCAAAAUUUGAUAAAAUUGAGCAGGAAACAAAAAUGUAGGUUUAACUUUGGAGUGAAAACAUUAUCACUAACCAAUCAUACAUUUGAACCCAAAAGAGAACCCCUUUCUUUUAAUAACCCAAAAACCACUUUAAAAACAGUAGAGGCUCUAAGUAAAGCUGGAAUGAAAGCAGUAGGAUAAUUGUUUUAGCCUUCUUAUGGGAGCACCAGAACUUAACAUGUCUGAUUUAACCAAAUAUAUGGCCAGAAAGAUUUACAAUCUCUUGCCUCAUGCCGGACAUCAAUCAGUACAGCAUUCUCCUUCCCUCUCAAAAGUUCCAAAGUGGACUUAGGAGAUAAAUCUCCAGAGUAACCACCAUAUGUCCACCACCAAUAAAAGAUCCUGCACAAAUCUGAUAGAACAUUAAGUUUCCCAUGCGAUAAGUAAUUCGCUAAUUUGUUUUCUAACAUGAAUGGUAACAAAAUUCAUUCUUCAGAACAAAAGGAUAUUCAUACCACAAAGUAGCUGAUGUACCCAAGAAAACAACAAAUGGAACAAUAGGAUCAUUUGGAUCAAAGCCAAGGCUUCUUUCCAACCCCUCAAUGGCAACAGAAACCUGCUUACACAGUUCUGAAAUUUAGUGCUCACAGGCAAUGCAAGCUCAACGUGUUUACAAUCAGUUACUGUUAGAAAAUCUUAAUGGAAGUGAUGCAACAACAAAGAAAAUGUCUGACCAAGAACCAAGGAAACAAAUAUUUUCGUGUAUCAUAAUGGAGAUUUCCGAAUUAUGCUUUCAAUGAAAAUAAUCUCACUAUAGAAUCUUACUAAAUCAUCAGAUAUCAUGAAGCAAUGAAACUGAUUAGUAUCCAAAUUAUAACAGUACCUGUUGUAAAGCUGACCCAACAGGCCUCCAGAGUUUUACUGCUCUGUCUUCAUAUAAAUUAAGAGCAUCCCUUAUCUCUGGAGGAAGUGAUUCCUUAGUGGUGCCAUAAUAGUAAACAACAAAAGAAGCCCCAUUUGUUAUAGAUUCUUCCAAUGCAACAAUUGUAUUCCUCAAGACAUCAACAGCAGCAACAGUUGCUUUACUUGAGGCUUCCUUCAAGUCAGUUGAAAAAUUUGUCAACUUGCUGCCGGCAGAUCCUCCUGUUUGAUCAAUAGAAGAAAACACCCUACUAACAACAUUAUCAACUGCGUCUGAAGUACUUUUCUUUAUAGAUGUUAGUGAUGAAGUAAUUGUGUCAAGUGAGCUUUUCACAGCAUUUUCUCCUUUAAUCAUGGAAGAACUGAAGGACUCAUUUACGCCAGCUAAAAAAUCAUCAAAACUGCUUUUGAUAUUGGAUAUUGAACUGUUAUCCAUAUCCAGAGAAUCAAAUGUUGUGGUGGGAUUCUCAGGUGUUAAUUCAAUAGCUAAUGUGGUUUUGGGUUCCACAGGUGCCAUCAACUUGUCUGCAUUUUCAGUCAUUCGGUCUGCAAAAUCCACAAGUCCUUCUUCCACAGCAGGUACACUAGAAUCUUCUAUAUAUUUCAGCUCCCCACUUCCCAUAGGGUUCAUCUCAUUUGCCGCUUCAACAGAAUAACUCCAUGCAUUGGAUGGUUUGCAACUAAUGUCGUCUAAUUCAUUUGGACAGGAAUUAAUGAAAUCUAUGGAGACUGAUUUACUGUUUUCAACAAAACUAGAGUACAAGGACUUUGUAGCUUGUGUUUUAAAGCAAACUCUCUGGAGAUGAGUUCCAUUUUUCAAGCCCAAAUCAAUACCAUCUUCCACAUUACACUUCAAUUCAAAGUCCUUCCUGAAUGGGGAAAAGGAUUGCAAACCUCCAUGGAAUGAUGUCUGCUAAUUGAAAAAUGCAAAUGCAAUCAAUGUUUAAACGCAAGAUUCCCAAGGCAACAAAAAAGUAAGAGAUUUCAGGGCAUGUAUUGCAAGAUUCCCAUCAUUUUUUGUACAUUUCGAUUCAAAGUCCUUACUGAGUGAAAAUGUCAUCUUUGUAAUGUAGGGUAGUUCAAGUGCACAAAUUGCAGGUUCUAUGACUCCUCUAAACCACUUGUGUAUUUUACCAGAACUCUUGGUUAAGAAAAUCCUAGUCCAUGGAGUAUAUAUCAAUCAUGCAACAAUGACCUACAACAUCUAUGUGGAUUGAUUUUUGCAAAAUAAAGAACAAUGCUGACUGAGGAAUAAGGUGCAUACCAGAUUAGCAAUAUCUCAGCAAGUAACCAACAAUUUUUUAUCUGAUAAGAAAAAAUUACAAUUUCUUGAAUAUACAUGAAACAUUUUGCAGAAAGAACCAUGUCAUAAUUAUGAGUCCAACUGAAGAAUUAUCAAUACUUAUCACAUGAAACGAAAGAUACCCGAGUUCACUUAAUGAAAUUCUCUUUUUUUUUUCUCUAACAUUGAGAUAAGCAAAAACUUUUAACUAAAGACAAUCAUCUAGUGAUCUCAAACAAAUGAGGUUAGUAUGAAACCAUCAUAAUUUGUUCGCUCAUUGCCUAAUUUUAUUAAUGCAAGAGCCUGGAAGCAACUCAAAAAGAAAAUAACCAACAUAGGAAGUGUCAUCUCAUAUCUCACCAAUGAAUGGGAACAGCUUGAUGUGGCUGAGCAAACUGGCAGAAUUGUCAUUUUAACACACGUUCAAGAAACUCAGCAAAUUCUCAUAUCUGUUUAAAUUCCACAGCAAAGAUAGUUACAAGAAAUCUAAUCAAAAUUUAAAAUGUCAGGAGGCAAAUCUUCCAAUUAGGAUCAAAAGAAGAUAAUUAUAAUUUGUCAUUUCAAUUCUGAUUGUACAAUUUUAUUUUUUUUAUGUGUGCAUUUAUUAAGAUUCUACCUUCUCUGCAAAAUUGUGAUGGACUUGGUAAAUAAUGAAUUGUACCGACUUGAAUUUUAUACAACUUAAUGAGAUAAUAAUACGCCAAAUUCAACACCGUCCAUCCCAAAUCACAACAAGAAACUCAAACUUUUAUCCCCUCAAGUGGGUUCUUGAAACUGAAGCUUUAGUGCCAGUACAAUUUUGAGAGAUUGUGAUCAAACUAAAACAUCAAAUAAAAUAAGACGUAACAAAAACACGUCUUCAGAAAAUUAGUAUAGGAAUAAGAUAAGCUACACAGACCCACUUCAAUGAAUUAGAAAAAUUAUGAUAAACUUGAUGCAUUUCGGAAAACAACAAACAAAUAUUCCCAGGAAAACAAAAAAAAAGACACCUUUGUUUAAGCUUAGACAAAAAUAACUAAGGACAUAUGAAUGCAUCAUAAUAGUAUCUAUUCCCCAAUUGAGUUCACCAACAUAAAAUAAGCAUGCAAUAAAAGAUAUAGUCUUAUUAAUAUUUGUUGAAAAUGGGCUAAAUUAAACCCAAAAACCAUUUGAAAUUCAAUCUCUGAUGCAAGAAACAUCCAAAAUUUAAGAUAAAUAAACUAAAUUACACAACCCCAUUUGAUUUCAUGACAAAGAGAUCAAAUCUUGAACUGUGUAUCUUGAAAUUCAGUCGUUAGUAACUGCAAAAUUAUUAAAAAAAUGAGCUAAACAUAUAUAGCAUUUCAGAGGAGUGCUUACUUGACAAAUCACUAAUACAAAGCUGCGAAUGGGCAUUCGGAAUGUUUUGAGAGACUCGUAUGGAUAAAAUAUGAAGUUAAGUAAGGAUAAAAUAUGAAGUUAUUUAAGUAAUGACAAAAGGAGAAUCGUGUGGCUUGUCAAAGCCGUUAGCUCCAUCUCAUUUGCCUCGUCCUCUCGUUUUGUUUCUGUGGGGACAUAUUUGAUAUUUCGGAUUUUGUCUAAAAUUUGUCAUGUUUUUGGAUACGCCUCUAGUAUUUAAUAAAAUUGUUAUUAAGGAUAAGCUUUUCAUUUUUUUCAUCUUUGAUCUUUUUGAAGUCGUAUUUUAUUAUAAAUUUUAUUAAUAAACCAAUAAUUUGACAUUAUACCAAUUAUUUAUGAACCCACUAAAUUCUUCCCUGCACCUAUUAAAAAAAAUCAUUCAUAAUAUUUAAAAUUUCAGAAUUUUAAAAAUUACCCUUCAUAAAUCUCUUUUUCUUUCUAUCUUACAAUUGAAUAUUCUCUCUCUACUCUAACAUUUUGUAAACUAAACAUUUAAUUUCACUAUUUUUGAAUUUAUUUUUUAUCUUUUCUUAGUAUAUUAUGAUCUCUAUUUCAUGUUUUCUAUAUAUAAGAAUUUUUUUUGAUAUCCAUAAAAUUUUGUGUUUGGUGAAAAUUAAUUUCUUGAUAUUUGUUAAUUUUUAUAAAUGAUAAAAAUAUAUCAAUGUUCAUUUUUAAAUGAUGGGUUUUGUUCAUUUUAGUUAGUUAUAUUAAUUUUUAUAGGUAAAAGAAUAUAUUUGAAUGAAUUGAAGGAAAAUUGUGAAAUUGAGAAGAGACAGAGAAGAAAAAGUUAAUUAAAUAUUUUUUUCGAAAAUUAUUCAAAUAAUAAAAUUCUUAAUUAAAAACAAAGAUGGAGAGAGAAAUUUAGUGGGUUCAAAAUACUUAUUUUAAUUCCAGAAAAGAACCAAUAAAACAAACCGAAAGAAGAUUCUUUUUUUUCUCGACAUAUGUCUCUGUACUUUUCUCUCUCUAUUGAUCCACACUUUUUCAUACUUCUAACUAUCAUUUUGUUUUUUUCUGAGCUAUGAUUUAUUCAAUUAUUUUGUAUUUUAAUGACAAUUAUUUAAUAUUUAGUUAGUUUUGAUAUUGAUUAGUGAUUGAAAGUGUAUUUCAGAAGACUUCCGGUCUCUUGAAAAAAGGAAAAAUGGAGAAGAAGAAGAACAAGUGUUCUUGAUUUUUUGGAGGCGUUAAAGUGAAAUGGUUUGAAAUGAUAUUUUGUUUUAAUUUCACUCAUUAAUCUCAUGGGAAAUUUAUAGUAAUAACCAAAAAAAUUUUGGUUUUUUUCAUCUUAACCCCCCAAAAAUAUUUCUAUCAACAUUAGCCAUUAAACAACAUUUGAGACCAAAAUACCCCUCCCUCAUCUCUCCCCCAACACUCUCUUUCACUCAUCUCUCCCAAACCGAUCCAACUCCCAUCAUCGGCGGCGACAUCAACCCUCGUCGGCGGCGGCUCCAUCUCUCACCGGCAUCCGAUCUACGAUCUACAACCUUCAACAAAACCUAGGUUAGUCAUUUUUCUUAUUUUCAUUAAUUUAAAAUGAGAUUUUACAAUAAUAAUAGUUAUAGAUUGAGAACAAUUGUGGUGGUGAUGAUGUUUGUGGUGGUUGGUGGUGUUUGGGAGUAUUGUUUUCGAUUUUGGAGUGAUUGCGCUUAAUUUUGGGGAUGGGGAGGGAGGGGGGCAGGGCGCGCGCGUGCGCGCCCAUGCGCGGCAUGCUGUCGCACCGAAUCUGGUGCGACAGGCCCUGUUGCACCAAUUUUUUGGUGCGACAGGCCCUGUUGCACCAAUUUUUUGGUGCGACAGGCAAGCCCGUCGCACCAGUUUUGGUGCGACAGGUUUGCCUGUCGCACCAAAAAUUACAUAUAUAUUUUUUUAAGGAGUCAAUUUUUUUUCUGUAAAUGUAAUGUAAUAAUUUUAUAAAUAUUACAGAUACAUGGUGAAAUCAGAAUCACCGGAUAUUGAAGUAGGCAAGAUGUAUUUUCGUUAUGCUGAUCACUUUCCUGGUCGAAUUUCGAGCAUGUGUAUGUUAUCUUCGGUCAUAAAAGCCAUCGAGGAAAAAUUAACAAAGCGGCAGUUGAGUAUGUUCAAAAAGGAUAUAUUUGGGCAUUUCUUGGAGUGUCGAAGUUUUCCAUUUAGUGGGGUAAUUUUGCACAAUCUUUUACUGCGGCAAGUGGCCCAUGAAGAAGAUAGCCGUGAGGAUAAGUUAUUGUUCAAAUUGGUAAGCAUUUGAUUCGCUUGUCAAUUGUGGAAUGGUGCUUGGUUACUGGACUUUCAUUUGGUGUUGAUAAUCAACAAAAUGAUGAAAUGGAGCAGAGGCUACGGAAUACGUAUUUUGGUGGUGUGAAUCGUAAGAUUAAUGUGAAGCAAUUCGAUGCAGUAUUUAAGAAGUUGAAAUUCGAGGAAAUGGACGAUAUGGACGCAUUAAAGAUUGCGCUGUUUUAUUUUACGGACAGAGUACUAAAUGCAAGAAAAAAUCAAUGUCAAAUUAAUUUCAAUUGGCUUGACCAAGUUGAUGAUAUGUUGGCUUCUACAAUAUCCGACCGGAGUUGCGGAGUGAAGACCUGUGGAAAGUUAUCGCAGUUAAGAGCGCGCCACAACAAGAGCCCGGAACUAGCGAUUGCGGUUUUUUUGUAUUGAUGGUUACGAUGUAUUUAAUGUUCGGGCUUAGAUUGGAGUUUAACGCUAGUCAUGUCGAGUAUUUUAGAAAGAAGAUUGCGGUUGAUAUAUUUAAUGACGAUAUUAUAUUGUAAACCUAUGUAGUAAUUUCAAUGUUGAAAUUUGAAUUUUUUUUUUACUUUGCGCACUUAAGUUUAUAUAAUUUUAAUGCCUCACAUUUUAAACUUAAAAUAAAGUUUAAUGAAAUAUAAGUGUACAAUACACAAAAAAUAAUAACAGUUUUAACCAAUGAAUAACACACAAAAUACAAUAAUAGUUUUAACCAACGAAUAACACACAAAAUAUAACUAACUUCGAGUCGACGCAAUGGGAUUCUUACAUCUCUUACGAUUAUGGCCUAGUUCAUGACACCGACCGCAUCUUACAGUCCGCCGGUCAACGUCCUCGCCAGCCGAGGGUAUUCUGAGCUCUUUACGACGGCCAGGUGGUGGUGCCUCAACUGGUGGGUAUACUUGCAUCUCCUGAAUUUCAUCUGGAACUUCCCAAUAAGCCACAUCACCAACUGGCUCCGCUGGUUGUGCAUAAGCCAUCGCCAACGAUUCUGUAGUGUAAAAGUCCGAGCAAAGGUUAAUAAAAUCCACCCGGUGUGUUAGACACGCCGCAAUUGCAUGAGCACACACAAGCUGAUCAAGCUGAAACACUCUGCAGGAGCAAGUUCUCUUUUGCAAGUCAACCAACCCUUCCUUAAGCCCACCGCUUACAACUUGAAAGCGAUGCGGAGACACCGGCCGAACUAUCAUUCUUUCAGCUAUAGUUCUCCUCUCAGUGACUAUUUCAUCCGCCCAUGUUGUUAGCCGAGUAGUCAUUGAUUCAGCCACAAUUUUCCUAUCAUAAAACCAUUGCUGCAAUGUUUUCCUAAAGUGAUCAACAAGAUGAGUCACAGGAAAUUUUCGAGGUUCCCUCAUGAAAGCAUUAACACUCUCUGCGAUGUUGGUGGUAAGAAUGUUGUACCUCCUACCUUCAAACUGAGACCUUGUCCAAUUACACAUACCGACAUUAUUUUCUAGGUAAUCAGCCGCACCCGAGUGGAUCAUCCACAAACCUUCAAGUUGUCUCUUAAAUUCCUCGUGGCCAUAUGCUUUUGCUGCAUUAAUAAAGGCAGGCUCAAAUUCAUCCCAAAGAGCUUUGGACAUUCUAAAUUGUGACUUAAUGUUACAUUUGACGUGGUAAAAACAAACGCCAUGAGUUGCAUUGUCAAAUACUUUAAGAACGGCUCUCCUUAUGGCAGUGCAUUGAUCAGAGAUAAUUACCAACUCAGGUCUAUCGCCAAUCACUCCGUGUAACUUCAUCAUAAACCAUUCCCAAGCAUCAUUGUUUUCUGAAUCCAUGAUCCCAAUGGCUAACGGAUACAAUUGAUUGUUACCAUCAAGACAUAUUGCCACGAACAUGUUUCCACGAUAUAGUCCCUUCAGAUGAGUACCAUCUACAACAAUGACAGGCCGAAUGUACUGCAUAAACCCUUUAAUGGAAGAUCCGAGUGCUACAAAAUAAUACAAAAAAUUACCAUCUCCAUCCUGCUCGAGGUGAGUGACUGUACCCUCAUUCGCUGUAGUUAGUACGUGAGAGUAUUUAGGGAGCAAGUUGUAUGACUCUGCAGGGUUGCCUCGAACUAUUUCAAGACCAACUUCUCUUGCCCGAUAUGCCUGCUGGUAUGUUAAAUGAACACCAUAUUCUUGUUGCAUAUCUGCUCUUAUGUCAUUGGGAGUAUAAAUUCUCUUAUCUUGAAUAUAUUUUUCUACGAUAAUAUGACCGACAACCCGGCUCCUUACUUGAUGACGUCCAUCCACCAAUAUCUCAUUAUGACAAGUGUGUACAUUAUCAAUUCUCUUCACCACCCAAGGAACAUUUUGCUCGUUUGAACAUCUAGUUGCUCGAAUACGCCAUUUACAUGAUUCUGAACAACAGUGAGCCUCGAAACGUGUCGUAGUAGACCGUGCAUUCUUGAAAUCAAACUUAUCUCUAAAGGCCACCUUGCGUAGUUGUAAUAUAAGCUCAUUCUUCUCAGCAAAUAGAUUACCCACACUGAUAUCAUCUGAGUCACAACUGCUAACAAAGCUUGGAGCAACCAUGUUCAAAGGCAAAGUUGGAGCAAGACUUGUAAGGGGGUCAAUUCUCCUUUGAAAUACAAGUAUGCAACCCAAGAGGGGGGGGUGAAUUGGGAUUCUAAAAAAUUAUUCAAUUUAUUAAAGAAAAUCUUAAUGCAAUUAUAAAUCAAAUUCAAAGCAAUAACAAUUAAGAGAAUCACAAUAUAAAAAGAUAAGGGAAGAGGGAUUCAAACACCGAGAUUUUUACGUGGUUCGGCCAACCUCUCCUACGUCCACGCCUCCAAGCUUUCCGGGCUUGAGGAUUCCACUAAGCAAGCCUCCAAGGCUUCAAAUGCUUACACUUGACUUCCAAGGUGUCAAUGGACCUUUACAACAAGAGAUUAUCCCCAAUCUCUUAACCCAAGUGUAUCCCAACACUUACAAUCACUCAAAAUAAAAGAUUACAAACUGUUUUGCCUCUCAUAAUAUAUAAGAUUACACAAUGAUGCUUAAUAUGUGAAUAGAUGAAGCAAGAAUGUGUUCUAAGCUCUAUGAAGAUUGUAUUCUCGAAUAUUAGCUCAAAUGGUUGUGUUGUGAUCAGCCUUCUUUGAAUUUGAAUAAGCUUAUUUAUAUCUGGAGCUGAAAAUCUAGCCGUUACAAACUGUCGGACGGUAAACGGUUCGCCGUUAACUAUAAACGGUUAACCAUUUCAGUUGGUCAAAGUUACCGUUGGGCCAGAUUUCAAAUAAACGGUUUGCCGUUUGUAAUUAACCUUUAGCCGUUAACUACCAGAGACCUGCAAGAUGAGCAUUUGUUAUCCGUUUACGCUAAACGGUUAAGGACUUGCGUGAAGUGGCUUCUCUGGACAUUAUCGGUUAACCGUUUGAUAUAAACGGUUCGCCGUUUGUCUCCAGUAACCUGCAAAACAAUUUAGCCUUAUCAGUUUUCGUUAAUCAGUGCCAGAGGAGAACAACCUUCAAUUCUGGACAUUAUCGGUUAACCGUUUAAAAUAAACGGUUCACCGUUAAGUUCCAGUAGCCUUUCCAUUCUUGGUGAUUUCCGUUUGUCAUAAACGGUUAGAGCUUUAGGCAUUAUGUCGCUCUCUGGUGUUAAUCGGUUAACCGGUUAAAAUAAACGGUUCACCGUUAAGUUCCAGUAACCUUCCCAUCUUUUGUGUUUUCCGUUUUUCAUAAACGGUUAGAGGUUUAGGAAAUAUGUUGCUCUCUGGCUGUUAUCGGUUAACCGUUUAAAUAAACGGUUCACCGUUUAUAACCAGAAUUGCAUUUUAAACCAGUUUUUGCAGAGAAUCUUUUUCUAAUUUUAAAGUCCAUCUUUUAUGAAGCAUGAAUGGAAUGAUUACUAAGGCUCUCGUUUAUUAAGAAAUAGCUCCAAUACUUUUAUCAAAAAUCAUUUAAAAUUUGUUAUCAUCAAAAUCAAUAUUAUUAACAUAUUUAUAUUAAAAAUCUCCCCCUUUUUGAUGAUGACAAAUUCUAAUCAAUGUUUAGCUCCCCCUUAAUAUGUGCUCCCCCUAAAUGUAUGGCCAAAUUGAGAAAUAUGAAUAAAAGGAUUUUUGCUUUAAAUCGCUUUAAAUCGCCCCAUUUUAAAUCCAUCUUAAAAUAAUAUCUCCCCAUUUAAAAAACCAUCUUAAAACCAUACUUAUCUCCCCCUUCAUCAUCAAAAAGAAAAGAGGAAAUAAGAAAUACGCAAAUCCAUGAAAGUAGUUGCCCGGCUUUGGCGAGCGAAAAUUUUGGCAGAGUUUCCCCUGAAAAAUGAUCAAAACCACUGAUACAAAAUGAGAUAGAACACUCCCAAAAAUAAAUGGACACCAACUCCUUCUUUCAACAAGCCAACAACUCCAUGAUCAAAACAAAAGAACACUUCAAUAUCCACAAACAUACCAACAAUUAUUCAAUCACAAAGCAUCAAUCAUCUAAUCAUCAAGAACAUCACACACAUAUGCAUCAAAAUCCAUAUACGAAGUAUGAAAAAGCUAACAACCAAAAUGGAAAAAUGUAUGUGCGAAAACAGAACUCAGAAACUAUAGAGGCGGAGAAGAUGUGCUCCCCGGAUCAUAGCCGAAAUAGCUGAGAAGAGUGCGCUGUCCGGCGAUAAGCUCGAGCUGCUGGUCAAUGUUCUGCUGCUGGAAAAUCUGAAAGUCAGAGCGGAGCUGCUGGUGAUCACGGGAAAUGAUGUCCAACCGAUCAAGAAUCAGCUGCUGUCGCUCCGAAAUCCGCUGAACAUCAGUAAUCAGCUGCUGCACCGCGUCUGAAGCAGGGGGUUGAACUGGAGCUGGAGGCGGCAUAGAGGCAGAUGGCUGCUCAGGAACAGCAGAAGGCUCAGGAGCAGGAGGCGGCUCGGAAGAGGAGGGAAUAUCAGCAUCCAUCGCACGCUCCUCAGAGUCUGAGUCAGCUGGAGGCCGAGGGACAAAAUGGCGACGCGGAGGAUGAGGAUGAGCUCCUAAUCUAAAGUCAGGAAGUUGAUCGGGAGAAUAAACAUCAUUGAGCAUCCGAUCGUCCUCUGGAGCAAUCAAGGUAUCCCGGUUUUUGGAGUUGCUUGUCUUUAUCCACACUCCAUUCUUUCUAGAGAAUUCGAUACUGGUCAUGGCCUCGGAACCAAUCCGUCGAGUCUCCAUAUGUCCAGUAUCAAGAAGUGGCACCUUAAAACGUCGCAGUAUUUUAGUGAUGAUACUGCCAUACGGAAGCAAGCGAUGGUUGACCGCUGGAGUACUCAACAUAUGUCGCACAAUAAUAUACCCGAGGUUAAUGGGACGGACUGUAAGAAGGCUAUCUAAUAGGGCAACGUCCAACCUCGUAACCUCAUCCGAGUGACCCUUCCUAGGAGUCACUAUGUGCUGUAAAAUAGUGUGAAGAAUACGAACUUGGAGAGGUAAAAGUUGAGACCGAAACGGAAGCAAACAAAUCUCAUCCGAUAAGUCUCGACGACGACAUAUAUUACGGACGCCAUGAGUAUGAGAAAAACUAUCAAAGGAGAGGGCUUUCCUAGAGGUGUAAACAUCAAGCCCCUCACAAGAGAUACCAAGAAGGUCAGCUAGGUCCGCAUCAUCAAACUCUAUUGGCACACGGCCGACUUGAGUAAUUAUCCUAUUUAGGCGAGUGUCGGAGAUUUCCAUGUUCGAAUAAAAGACUCGCACUAAGUUUGGAUAAACUCGGUCAUCAAAAUCAAUGGCAGACUCCCAAGGCAGAAGCAUAUCCCGAAUACUUCUACCACAUACAACUAAGUUGCGGAAAUCAUCAAUAUCAACAAAAUAAGGAUCAAGUACCUCUCGACCAUCAAAGCGAUCUUCGAACCGCUUAGCCAAGGCAGGUGUGGGGAAGUGAAUCCUUGAAAAUUCAGAGACCUCCCGAGGUGGUAUGGGAUUCCUUGGAGGCACAGAUUUACGUCUGGGAUUUCUCCGAGAGGGUUCAGCCAUGGAAACACGGAAUGGGACGAAAGUAAAUCGAUAAGAGGUUUAAGGAAGAGUAGAGGAUGUGAGUAGGAUGUUCAAUUUGGUUGAAGAAAGGUGGAAAUCGGAUUAAGAACGAAGAAACCCGACCCGCGACAGUUAGGGUUUAGAUUUGGGAUUUUUGAAUUUUGGGCUCGAUUUGGAGUUUUGAAUCGGUAGAAUUGUUCUAAAGGUGAUAAGAAAUGAUUUUGAAGGUUUGAUUUGGCAAGGAAAGCAAGAAAAAAAUGAGGAUUUGAAUACAGAGAAACCUUCGGCUGCGUAACAAUGGUGGAAACGGUGAAAGGGUAACUGGAGAAGGAGAAGAAAACCUUUGAACAGUUUAUAUACUUCGCGAAAAUGGUUAACCGUUUAUUUAAACGGUUAAAGGGUAACUUACAGAGGCUGAAGAAAGAGAAACGGUGAAAGCCUAAGCGCUUAACGGCUAAGGAGUAACUGUUAGAGGACUCUCUGUUGAAAAACGGUUCACCGAUUGUGGUAAACGGUGAAAGGGUAAACGGACAGACACAUAAUCUCGUUUCUGGAAUUAAAUGGUGAUCCGUUUAUAGAAAACGGCUAACCGUUUAUGUUAUUUGUAAUUUCGCACAUUUGAUUUAAUUUUUGGCCAGCAAAUAAUAUAUUCCAAGAUCAUUUAAUUGAUCUGAAAAUAUUUUAUGAGCCAAUUUAAUGCAUGAUUCAUUGACAUGUUUUCAACCAAACAAUUCAUAUAAUUAAGAGUUAUCAAUGCAAAUUCAUCAUUUGUCUACCAAGCUCAAGCAUUUCAUAAAUAGUAAUCAAUCAAUUCAGUACACUUAAUAGCAUGAAUAGAGAUGUUAAUGCAAAAAUUUCAUCAUCCCAAGUUCAUGCCGAAUUUUUGAAAAUUGUUCUUCGCAAAGCGGUUUUGUGAAAAUAUCGGCAAGUUGUUUUUCCGUGGAAAUAAACUCUAAUGCAAUAUCUCCCUUUUGAACAUGAUCUCUCAAGAAAUGAUGUCUUAUUUCUAUAUGCUUGGUUCGAGAAUGUUGAAUGGGAUUCUUUGAAAGGUUUAUAGCACUAGUAUUAUCACACUUAAUAGGAAUUUGUUCAAGAUUAAUGCCAUAAUCUCUAAGUGUUUGUUUCAUCCAAAGUGCUUGUGCACAACAACUUCCGGCAGCUAUAUAUUCAGCCUCGGUAGUUGAGAGUGCAACAGAAUUUUGUUUCUUGUUAAACCAUGAAACAAGAGAGUGUCCUAGAAUAUAGCAAGUUCCACUAGUGCUCUUCCUAUCAACUUUAUAACCAGCAAAAUCCGCAUCCGAAAAACAUGUUAAAUCUAUAUGAGUUCCCCUAGGAUACCAAAGGCCAAUAUCUAUGGUUCCACUCAAAUAACGGAAAAUUCUUUUAACAGCGAGCAAAUGAGAUUCCUUGGGACAUGACUGAAAUCUUGCACAUAAACAUACACUAAACAUGAUAUCGGGUCUACUUGCAGUCAAAUAAAGUAGGGAUCCGAUCAUACCUCGAUACAUUUUGAUAUCCACUUCUUUACCUUUUUCAUCUUUGUCCAGCUUGGUUGUUGUGCUCAUUGGUGUAUUCUUGGUCUUUGAAUCAUUAAUGCCGAAUCGUUUGAGUAGAUCCUUUACGUACUUGGCUUGAUUUAUGAAAAUUCCUUCCUCGUUUUGUUUGAUUUGAAGUCCAAGGAAGUAUUUUAACUCUCCCAUCAUACUCAUCUCAAAUUCUUUGCUCAUACACAAUGAAAAUUCUUUACACAACAACUCAUUAGUAGAACCAAAAAUAAUAUCAUCAACAUAAAUUUGAACAAUAAGUAUGUCUUGGUUCUUAUGCUUAACAAAUAGAGUAGUAUCCGCUUUUCCCAUAGAGAAGUCAUUUUCUAGCAAGAAAUUUUUAAGUCUAUCAUACCAUGCUCUAGGUGCUUGUUUUAAUCCAUACAAGACUUUGAGCAACUUAUACACAUGAUUUGGAAAUUUUUCAUUUUCAAAACCAGGAGGUUGUUUCACAUAAACUUCCUCCAAAAUAUAUCCAUUUAAGAAAGCACUCUUGACAUCCAUUUGAUAUAAAAUAAAAUCCUUAUGACAUGCAUAUGCUAACAACAUCCUAAUGGAUUCUAACCUUGUUACAGGUGCAAAGGUUUCAUCAAAAUCAAUUCCUUCCUCUUGGUUGUAACCUUAAGCCACUAAUCUAGCUUUGUUUCUUACAAGCACACCGGAUUCAUCCAUCUUAUUUCUAAACACCCAUUUAGUACCUAUUAUAGAUUGAUGUUCAGGUUUAGGAACUAAUUCCCACACAUUGUUUCUUUCAAAUUGAUUUAACUCCUAUUGCGUUGCCAUAAUCCAAGAUUCAUCAUUUUCUGCAUCCUCAAAGGAUUUUGGUUCAAUUUGAGAGAUGAAUGCAUUAUGCUCACAAGUAUUUCUAAGUGAUGAUCUAGUUGUAAUACCUCGUGAGGGAUCUCCUAAAAUUACGUCUUUAGGGUGAGAAGAGACAUACCUCCACUCCUUGGGGAGUGUUUAAGAAGUACCUUCAUUUUGCUCCACAUUUGGUUCUUCAUGAUGUUCCUCUUGAAUUCCAUGUGGUACAUCUUAUUGAUUGUCAUUUGAUGCUUCUUCUUCUUGUUCUUCUUCUCCUGCAUCAUCAUCAACAACGACUUUCUUCGUAGAGGAGGGGUUAGACUCAUCAAAUGUGACAUGCAUAGAUUCCUCCACAACUAAAGUUCUUUUGUUAUAGACUCUAUAAGCUUUGCUUGAAUUUGAAUAACCAAGAAAAAUACCAACAUCAGAUUUUGGAUCAAAUUUACCAAGAUUAUCUUUUGUGUUCAAAACAAAACAUUUACAUCCAAAAACUUUAAAAUAGCCAAUGUUGGGUUUUCUAUCUUUCCAAAGCUCAUAUAGAGUUUUAUUAAGAUUAGGUCUAAUCAACACCCGAUUUAAAACAUAACAAGCGGUGUUGACGGCUUCGGCCCAAAAAUAUUUUGGUAAUGCAUUUUCAUUUAACAUGGUCCUAGCCAUUUCUUGAAUAGAUCUAUUCUUUCUCUCAACAACUCCAUUUUGUUGUGGGGUUCUAGGUGAUGAAAAUUGAUGCUCAAUGCCUAGAUUAUUACAAAAACUCUCAAAUGCAUGAUUUUUAAAUUCUCCUCCAUGAUCACUCCUAAUGCAUACAAUACCAUGCCCUUUUUCAUUUUGUAAUUUCUUACAAAGCACUUUAAAAGCAUCAAGAGCAUCAUCCUUAUUGGCUAAGAAUAAUACCCAUGUAUAUCUAGAAUAAUCAUCCACUAUCACAAAUGCAUAAUAUUUGCCAUUUAGACUUGCAUAUCUAGAUGGCCCAAAAAGAUCUAUGUGAAGAAUUUCAAGUGGUUUUGAAGUAGAAAUAUGGUUUUUAUUCUUGAAAGAAGUUUUAAUUUGUUUUCCAAAUUGACAAGCUUCACAAAUCUUAUCCUUUUGAAAACCAAUUUUCGGAAGACCUUUAACUAAAUCAUCUUUCGAAAUUUUUGAAAUCAAAUCCAUACUUGCAUGUCCUAACCUUCUAUGCCAUAACCAACAAUCAUCAUAUAAUGCCGAAAAACAUUUAUCAAGAGUAGAUGCACAUUCUAUGUCAAUGAUAUAAACAUUACCACAUCUAUUUCUAACAAAUAAGGUUUUGCCAUCACAUGAGUUCUCAAUAACACAACUAAGUUUAUCAAAGAUAACUUUAUAACCUUUGUCACAUAAUUGACUAAUGCUAAUUAAGUUGUGUUUCAAGUUUUCAACCAAACAUACAUUCUCAAUUAGAGUUGAAGAGACUUUACCAACAUUUCCAAUUCCAAGAAUUUUUCCUUUUGAAUUGUCUCCAAAAGAUACGUCUCCACCAUUUUCAAUUUUGGUGAAGCUUGAGAACCAUGAAUAGUUUCCGGUCAUGUGCCUUGAACAACCGCUGUCCAAGUACCAUUUAUUUUUCUUCUUCUUCAAGCCCUACAAGAAAAAGUCUCAAGUUUUAGGUACCCAAAGCUUUUUGGGUCCUUGAAAGUUAGCAACGGUUCCUUUUGGAACCCAAAUGCAUUUGACACCAUAAUAUGCAUUCCUUUUCACGGGACAUCUAAAUUUCAUGUGACCAUUUUGAUUACAAUAAUGACAUGCAAUUUUAUGAUCAUUUGUGGAGGUAGCUUUAACAAAAUAAUUCUUAUAAUACUUUUGCUUCAAGUUAGGCUUAUAUCCAAGUCCUCCUUUAUCAAAAACACAUUUUUGUGAGUUAACCAUAUUAUCCAACAUCUUUUGCCCAUUUGUAAAUUUCAAAACAAUUUCAUUCAAUUCAUUAUUCUUUUCCUUGAGCAAUUUGUUCUCAUUUUUCAACUCAUCUAUGUGUGAUUUCAAAUGCUCAUGUAAGAUGCUAAGUUUCUCAUUUGAUAAUGCAAUUUCAUCAUGCAAUGUUUUGUUUCCUACUUUUAGGCAUACAGUUCUUGCAUUUAGGGAUUCAUUUUCAUUUUUAAGCUUUGCCAUUUCCUUUUUAAGACAUACAUUCUUUUUACCAAUUUUCAUCAACUCAUUAUGCAAAUCUUGAAAAGCAUCAUAUAAUUCAUCAUAGGUAGGAUCACUUACCUCAUUGAGAUCAUCAUCCCCUCCUAUUGCCAUGAGUGCUAGGUUUGAUACUUCUUGCGAUCCUUCUUCAUCAUUUGAUUCUUCCUCACUAUCAUCCCAAGUUGCAACCAUUGCUUUCUUCUUGAGUUUGUUGAUAAGUGGGCACUCCGAUCUUAUAUGUCCAGGCUUCUUGCAUUCAUAACAAGUGAUUGCCUCCUUCUUCUCCCUAUAGUUCUUGAAGUUUCUGAAAUUUCUUCGCUCUCCGGUUUUCUUGAAGAAUUUUCUGAACCUCCUUGCUAGCAUGGCUAGUUCUUCAUCAUCCGGUUCACUCUCCCCAUCACUCUCAUAUUUUGAAGCUUUGAGAGCAAUGCUUUUCUUCUUCUCCUCAUGUCCUUUUUCUGCAGCUAAAUCCUCUUCAUACGAAAUAAAAGAACCAAUUAAAUCAUCAAGAGGUAAAGUAUUUAAAUCUUUGGCCUCUUCAAUAGCGGUUCUUUUAGGUCUCCAUUCUUUUGGAAGUGACCUAAUGAUUUUCUUAACUUUCUCACUAUUUGAGAAGGUUUUCCCUAAGGCACCUAGGGUGUUCACUAUGUCCGUGAAUCUAGUGUACAUAGAAUACACAUUUUCAUUUUGUUCCAUUUGGAACAACUCAUAUUGACGAGUGUAUCUACUGAUUUUAGACUCUUUCACUUGAUUUGUCCCUUCAUAGACAACUUCAAGUUUGUUCCAUAUCUCUUGUGCACUUUCACAACUAGAUACUCUAUGGAAUUCUUUCUUAUCAAGGGCACAAAAUAAAGCAUUCAUAGCCUUGGAGUUUAGAGACAUCUUUCUCUUUUCUAACUCACUCCAUUGACUCGAUGGUUUAGGAAUAUCAUCUCCUACUUCAUCUUUGAACGUAGGCAUGAAUGGACCAUCAUAAACAACUUCCCAAAUUUCAUAAUCUAAGGCUUGCAAAUAGAUUCUCAUUAUAUUUUUCCAAUAAGCAUAGUCAUUACCAUCGAAGAAUGGUGGUCUAGUUGUGGAUUGCCCUUCUCUAAAGGUUGAGUCAUUUAGGGUUGCCAUGGAUCUUUUACUCUAGACGAUUAAGUCUUAACGAGAGAACGAGGCUCUGAUACCAAUUGAAAUACAAGUAUGCAACCCAAGAGGGGGGGUGAAUUGGGAUUCUAAAAAAUUAUUCAAUUUAUUAAAGAAAAUCUUAAUGCAAUUAUAAAUCAAAUUCAAAGCAAUAACAAUUAAGAGAAUCACAAUAUAAAAAGAUAAGGGAAGAGGGAUUCAAACACCGAGAUUUUUACGUGGUUCGGCCAACCUCGCCUACGUCCACGCCUCCAAGCUUUUCGGGCUUGAGGAUUCCACUAAGCAAGCCUCCAAGGCUUCAAAUGCUUACACUUGACUUCCAAGGUGUCAAUGGACCUUUACAACAAGAGAUUAUCCCCAAUCUCUUAACCCAAGUGUAUCCCAACACUUACAAUCACUCAAAAUAAAAUAUUACAAAUUGUUUUGCCUCUCACAAUAUAUAAGAUUACACAAUGAUGCUUAAUAUGUGAAUAGAUGAAGUAAGAAUGUGUUCUAAGCUCUAUGAAGAUUGUAUUCUCGAAUAUUAGCUCAAAUGGUCGUGUUGUGAUCAGCCUUCUUUGAAUUUGAAUGAGCUUAUUUAUAUCUGGAGCUGAAAAUCUAGCCGUUACAAACUGUCGGACGGUAAACGGUUCGCCGUUAACUAUAAACGGUUAACCGUUUCAGUUGGUCAAAGUUACCGUUGGGCCAGAUUUCAAAUAAACGGUUUGCCGUUUGUAAUUAACCUUUAGCCGUUAACUACCAGAGACCUGCAAGAUGAGCAUUUGUUAUCCGUUUACGCUAAACGGUUAAGGACUUGCGUGAAGUGGCUUCUCUGGACAUUAUCGGUUAACCGUUUGAUAUAAACGGUUCGCCGUUUGUCUCCAGUAACCUGCAAAACAAUUUAGCCUUAUCAGUUUUCGUUAAUCAGUGCCAGAGGAGAACAACCUUCAAUUCUGGACAUUAUCGGUUAACCGUUUAAAAUAAACGGUUCACCGUUAAGUUCCAGUAGCCUUUCCAUUCUUGGUGAUUUCCGUUUGUCAUAAACGGUUAGAGCUUUAGGCAUUAUGUCGCUCUCUGGUGUUAAUCGGUUAACCGGUUAAAAUAAACGGUUCACCGUUAAGUUCCAGUAACCUUCCCAUCUUUUGUGUUUUCCGUUUUUCAUAAACGGUUAGAGGUUUAGGAAAUAUGUUGCUCUCUGGCUGUUAUCGGUUAACCGUUUAAAUAAACGGUUCACCGUUUAUAACCAGAAUUGCAUUUUAAACCAGUUUUUGCAGAGAAUCUUUUUCUAAUUUUAAAGUCCAUCUUUUAUGAAGCAUGAAUGGAAUGAUUACUAAGGCUCUCGUUUAUUAAGAAAUAGCUCCAAUACUUUUAUCAAAAAUCAUUUAAAAUUUGUUAUCAUCAAAAUCAAUAUUAUUAACAUAUUUAUAUUAACAUCCUUCUCGAUCGAACCAUAGAAGGAAUAGGUCUAUUGCCUCUGUUAUUCACAGGAGUAUUGUCUUCACACUCAUCCUUAUGCUGAAACGACGGAACAUUUGAAGGACCGGCUCCUCCAUCAUCACCAUCAUUAUUGAAACGAGUGCCCCCCCUUGUAUUAUUAGAAGGUUCUGCACAAACAUUAUCCCCCUCUGUCUCAUUAUGAAAAUCAUCAUUGUCCCGAAAAUCAUUGUUGUGAUACGGAGAAUAUCGUUGCUCCAACGACGUUGUUAUUGGAAAUACCGUUGCUCCAACAUCCUGUAACGUAACGCCAUUAUCAUCAAUGUUGUCAUAAUUAUCGUGGAUUGGAGAGUAAUAUUGUUGCAGCGAUAUUGUCCUUGGCAACACAUCUUCAUCAUUAUCGGGGCCAGACAUAUUUGCUUUAAACGAAGUUUCUGUAUCGACAUGUGGCUCAAUACCUUCGUUCAGAACUCGAGGUGAUGUGGUUACGAAUUUAGGAAUGCAUCCAAAAUUAGCUACGUCAGAUGCCAUAUGCAACACAACCCUCACCAUUUCAUCAUCACAUAUAUCCAUGGGCAUUGCACAUAUACGAUAUAAUGUGUUACUAGACCUCAAAGUUGUCUUCAUGGUGAUACUAUAGUCAUUAGGGUUUAUUUGUAACACCUCGUAUACUCUUGCCAAUAACUGAUCAAACAGAUAAUUUUUUCCAACAAAAAAAGCUCGAUUUUUACCAUUCACGUACUCCAUACGGCCAUUCUCUAAUGUCUCCCACCAACCAUCGUAACACAAUUCAAGUACAACUGAAUCUAUUAAGCCUGAAAUUAUAAAAAAAAAAUUUAUUUGAGCCAUAUAAAAUAAUAAUGAUGUAUUUAAUGGUGGGUACGACAGGCAACCUGUCGCCCGAAUCUUGCCUAUCGCACCUUGCUUGGUGCGACAGGUUGCCUGUCGCACCAAGUUUUGCUGCGACAGGCAGCCUGUCGCCAGAUUCAGAUUUCACCCGAUUCAGUUCAGUAAGUUCAGAAAAUAACUCAUACCACUAAAUGAUGUCGAUUUGUAUUGGAUCCGGAUAGAUUAUGAUCGGAUAUCACUUUUACCGUUGUCUUUUGCGGUCGUCGUUGGUGAUGAUUCAAGAGUGAAAAGCUGCUUUGGGUUUGGCCAUAUAGGAGAAACAAUGUUGGUUUUGUUUUGUAAAGAAGGGUAAUUUCGGAAGAAAGGCUUGUGUUUGGCUAAUGUUGAUAGAAAAAAGUUGAGAGGGUUAAUUGCGAAAAUAAUAAAAUAUUAAUGGUUAUUUUCGUAAAUUUCCCUAAUCGCAUUCAGGAUAAAAUUAUAAAUGCAAAUAAAUGGGGUUUCAUAAGUAUUUUUAAUAGUGUUAAAAUGUCUACUCACUAAAUAAACAUGUUUAACCCAAACCAAUCCGAUUAAUAAGCUAUCAGAUUGGGUUGAUCAGGUUAAAAAUCAAAAUUAAAAAUUAAAAAAAUAAAAGGCAUAAAAACUAAAUGUUACUUGAAAAUAAAAAUAAUUUCUAAUAGUUAGUUCUAAUGUCCCAUAUCCAAAACAUGCAUAUUAAAUAAAUAUUAUAAGUUAGAAAUACAAUAUCUAAGAAAGAAUUAAUGAAAUAACAUAUUCUUGUUGAGAAUUAAGAGUGUGAUUUUAAUUUUGAUAUUGGAGUCUAAAGCAAUAGAUAGUACAAUGAAAUCCUGAAUGCUACGUUUAAAUAAUCUCUUUUAUUUUUUUAUUUUUGGUUUUGACCAUGAGGUAUCCUGAGGAGGGCCAUAACUUUGGGAGGCACCUUUAAACCCGUACCACAACUCAUACUAGAAGUUCCUGCUCGAACCGAGAGGCACAUGUUCUCCCAACAAAGGCGACUUCCCUACGACUCGAACUGGGGAGCAAACCCAGUCAAGCCACUUAAAGGGACUACAUUAUCAGUGGAGCUAACACUUUGUUGGUAAAUAAUCUCUUUUAUAAAAUAAUAAAAAGAGGUUAAAAAUUAAGUUAGCAUUUAGGGUUUAGCAGUUAAGGAUGAACAAAUUAUUAUUGUUGUUGUUGUUGUUGUUGUUAUAAUUAUUAUUAUUAUUUACAUGUUAAGUAAUCCAACCCAACCCAAUUAUUAACAAAUUUAAAAAAAUUGACCUAAUUAAUCCACAAUAAUUCAUUCAACUCGUCUAAAUUGGAUUAGGUUGAACUUGAUUUGCUACCCCUACAUUGAGCAACAAACCUCAACGUCAUUCUAUGAGCUCUUUGAUUGUUUAUAAAAUUGAUUUAGAGUACAUAAAGUGUAUCGACAAUGAAAGUGCAAAACAAAUUAUUGUGCAUGUUAAAAUGUGCAAAACAAUGAAUUAUACGUACGAACGAGUGCAAACACAUUUUUCAAUAAGAAGUUAAAAGAUAUUUAUGCAUGAAAAAGCCUACAUUUGUAGUUAUUCUAAAUUUUAAAAACAAAAUUUACGUUUAGAUCCCUAAAAUUGACGUAUAAGUACAAAAGUUUCAAAUAUUGUCUAUUAUUUUUUUAAAAUAUGCCGAUUCCUUGUGGAUAAUUCUGUCUCAUCACUAAUGUUGUUUCUUGUUUACAAAAACCAAAAGGCCACCUCCUUUUACAAAUUUUAUAGCGUCUCAAAAUAGACAAUAGGGGGAUUUUGAAUUUUUUAAGUCUCAAGAUAGUCUCUAAUCUUGUGAGAAAGAUUUUCUUUCAAUAAUUUGGAGCUAAACAUAACAUAUUUUUUAGACUAAAGUCUAACUCUGCUGGUUAGUAGUUGGUGGUAUCCUUUUCAAGACUUGAGUCUUUAGAUUCAAAUUUGAAAAAAUUUAUAAACAAAUUUAUAUCCAUGACAUAAUUUUGUUGUUGUAAACAUUAUUUGUUUACAAAUUUAUAAAUAAAAAAUUUAUAAAAAAUUUUGAAAAAAAAAUUGGAUAGUGUGCAUGUGUAUUUAAUUAAUAAUUUUUUUAAAAAAUACAUCAAAUAUUAAUAUCCAUGACAUAAUUUAGUUCUGAAUUACAUUACAGUGACUGCACCCCUUAAACUAUUUUGCGAUAAUAGUGGUGCGGUAGCUCAAUCUAAGGAACCAAGGAAACCACAAGAAACAAAAACAUAUUGAGAGGAAAUAUCAUCUUAUAAGGGAUAUAGUGCAGAGAGGUGAUGUGGAGGUUACUUAGAUUGCGUCACAGCAAAACUUGGCAGAUCCUUUUACUAAGGCCAUACCUGGGAAACCUUUUAACUUGCACUUAGAAUCCAUGGGCAUGCGUGAAGAUGCCAAAUAUGCUUUGAGAGCUAGUGGGAGAUUGUUCGGAAAAUAUGCUCUUUAAAAGCAUAUGUGUUUAUUUAAUUGUAAUAAACAUUUUUUCUGAUUAAUAAAAUUAAUGAGGUAUUUUAUUCAAAUAUCUUAAUUGCAUUAAUAUUUUGAUCAAAGUCCAUUUAAUCAUAUUAUAUGUAUUUAUGUGAUCACCAUGUGGAUUCACAAAAGACAUAAAUAUAAGUUAUCUUAUGAUUAAAUAAAUUUAGUUCGCAGUUGAUAAAUAAAGUUGGGCACUUUAUUUAGGUAUAGACUGUAAUGAAUUCAUUGAAUGAUUUGUCUUAAUCAUGUAUGAAUUUAUUAAUGUAGUACGACUACAUUAAACAGGAUCACAUAUGAGAUUUAAUUAACAUUGAAAUGACUGUCAGACUUAUUAAAUCUCAUAGGCAUUGAUUUGACUGUAACCUUAAUCUUGAGUUAAUUAUGAUUUCAUGAUUGUAAUUGUUAUUCCAUUUGAGUUACCAAUGGGUACGACACAUUCUUGUGGUCAAGAUUACCCGGUAUCUUGAUGGGAGCAAUUAUGAGUAUUGGAGUUAUGGAUUAACAAUAUAGAAUUUGUACAACACAUCUCUUGAUGGGUUUUCGGCACUUGAUCAUAGAAUUCUCUGGCCAGAGUGUGUCAACAUAUUUAGUAUGUUGAAAAUGAUCAUUAGAGAAAAUCAGUAAGUAUCAAGGAACAAGAAGUUAUUAAAUUGAUUGGACAGUUGAGAUAUCAAUUUAAUUAACUAUGUGGUACAAAGGAUUGCGCAGUAAAGAAAUUAAUGUGGCUUGGGACGAAUUAUUAUUCGAGCAUACAAUUAUGGAAGUCAGUUCCAAUCUUUUAGUGGAGUAGAUUUGGAAUUAAAUAAUUGGGCUAGUUUAAUUACAGGCCUAAUUAUUGUAGCCACUAUUGUAUGUUCCCAAAUGAUCCCCGGGUUAGCUCAUUUAAUUGACUGCGCCACUACUGGAUUAAUAAGCAAGAUAACUAGUUAUUUGGGUCAAAAGCCUAAAUAUAUCAUUUAGUGUGAGGCUCUAUUUAAUUAGCUUGUGUAUAAGGGGCCUUAUGUUAUUUUACAAGGUGGGUCCCCUAUAGAAAAAGCAAGUAACGUGAGUUUUGAUUUUGGAUUAUUUGGAGCCUAGGGUUUUCACUAAAGUUAGAUAUAAAAAGGUUUAUUUUCUCUAAAGAAAGAGAGAGCAGCCACUUUGUACAGAUCAGAGACAAAGAUUUUUCUCUCUAUUGUUGAGAGAAAAAUUUUCUCGUGCUAGUUGCUUUGGUAGUGAUAAAGGCGUCCACACGUCAAGUGCAGAUCAAACCUGAGUCAUAACCUGGAAGAUCAUUGGUGCCAGUUCGUGUUCUGACAAGCGUGGUGGUGACGGAUCGUGAUCUAACAGGAGUGGUGGUGACGGAUCGUGAUCUGGGAGCCUAAAUCAUUUCAGCGGAAAAGGCUAAAUCAGAUUUUCAAGGUACGAUUUCUAGAUUACAAAUUCUUAUAUAUUAUAUGAGAGCGAUCUUAAAAAGGUUUUAUAAAAAAUUUAAAAACCUGAUUUUUCCCCAACAAUUGGUAUCAGAGCUGCUCAUAUUAAUAUAUAAGAAUUUCGUAUGAAAUUAAUCUUGAAAUUUAUGUAUUAUAGUGGCACAAUGUAUUCAGAUAUAUAUUAUUUGUUUAAUAUAUGAAUAAAGCUUGUUUAUGGUUUGUCUUAAUUCAUGGUUAGAUUUUCUGCUGUAUUUUUCGUUUGGAUCUGUAACAAGAGGGGUGACUUUUUAUCACCAUGUUUCCCUCUUGAUUUAGUUUAUCGUAAUAGAAAUUUAGUAAGCCAAAAUUAGCAUCGGAAAUUUGUAAAUCGCCGGAAAUUUCACCCACUACAAUCGCAUAACAGUAGCACGCCCUGCAUACAGCAACGAGGCCGGCAGCGAAUGCGCACGCGAAGCCAACUACUUACGCACGCGAGUCCAACAGCAAGCGCGCGCGCAGGGGCAGCCAUUCCAGCGCACGCGGUAGCGCUGCACGAGCAGCAAGUUGCGCGCGGGUUUUGGUCGGCUUCCGGUGACGCGGCGAUGGUGGCUCCUCGUCGGAGAAGUGUCGGAGACCGACUGGAGUCUCUGAACAGCGGUGGCUGACGGGGAACAGCAGCUGGUGCUUUGUGGAGAUGGCGGCUGGGGAAGAAGAAAGAAAGAAAAAUAUGAUUUUAGGGUUUCAUGGUUUUUAUCAUGGAGGUCCCUAUGGUUUCAUAAUUUUUCCUUCGGGCAGAAAAGUUUUAAUUUUGUGCGUUUAAAUCCAAAAACAGUUUUGGGCUUAAUGAAUCCUAGUUUUAGGCCAAAUUUCAAUUGGGUUUAAUGGAUUAAAAUGCAUAGAUAAAAUUGAACACAUUUAAUUUAUUUUUGGUCCAAAAGUUUUAUUUUAAUAAAUUUUUUUUAAUUAUUUAUUUAUUUCCUUUCAAAAUUAAAAUUGGACCAAUAAUAAAUUUAAAAGCUCAAUUUCCCCUAGUCCAUCAACAAAGACAAGCUUAUGGAAUAUGGACAUUGACAAGAAGCCAAAUGAAGUUUAGGCUUAAGGUUAAUGUAUUUUUCAUUAUUAAGAAAGCCAUGAAUUAAGAUUAUUUAAAUUUGUUUUUCUAUAUGUUAUGUUUUGGAUAAUAACAUGUCAUAUAGAAUAGGUAGUGCUACUCUAUGCAUAAUGAUACAUGUCAUUCAUUAAUAAUGAAUCUCAUUAUGUUGUUUGAAAUUUUCACAUGUUUAAUAAUAUUUGAUAUCAUCUAGAUGAUAUUAUAGGAGGCAUGCAAUUAACAAUAUGUAUGUUUUAAAAAGGAAAAACCAAUUUUAAAAUAUUGAGUGGGAGAGGGAAAAUUCAAGAAAAUUUUCCCACGGGCUCCAUUGUUAGUUCAAUAAUAAAAUUAUAUAUAUACCUUGACUUCAUGAUACGGUGAUGCUCCCUUCGGAGGGUAUAUAUAUUACAUAUUUUAUUUGAUGAACUUCUUCAAAGAUAAAAUUGAAAUAUUUGUCAAUCGAUUGUUCACUCCAACGGUGACUAUUGAUAUGAAAAAUACGUAAAUUGAAACAAUGGUUAUACACUCAACUAAAAUUUGUUAUUAACCUUCCCAACGAAGCUCUGUUAACAAAUUUAGGCCCAAAAAGGAUAACGAUAAUUAUUUAUCAUGUCUCUACAUGAAAGUAAAUAAUCCAAUGGAUAAUUGGGUCUAGUAAGUGUGGACAUGACUUCCCCAACGGAUAGCAUGUCAAAGCGGUACUAGAUUAUCGUUACAAAUAAAUUAAAAUGCAUUUAUGGUUUUUUGCAUUUUUGACAUUUAUUGUGAAUAUUAUUUCAAAUUAUUUAUGCAUGGAUGUUUUAUUUUUCAGAAAAUGUCUUCCCUGAGCCCACUUACUAUUAUUUUGAGUCAAAACAAACUCACUGGAGAGAACUAUAUAGAUUGGAAAAUAAAUCUAUUCAUUGUCCUAACUGCUGAAAAAUAUAAAUAUGUCUUAACCCAGCCAUGCCCUCCAGUUUCAGUGGAUGAUGCUCAUAGAAAUCAGAGGAGGCUUUAUGAGAAAUGGCAAAAGGCCAAUGAAAUGGCAAAAUGCUACAUUUUAUCCUCGAUUUCUAAUAUUCUGCAGACCAAACAUCAGAACUUGGAGAUUGCCACUGAAAUAAUGGAUAGUCUCCAACAGAUGUUCGGGCAGAGUACUCGCUCCGCGAGACAAGCAGCGCUGAAAGGAAUUAUGAACAGUAAAAUGGGGAAGGGCACAAGAGUUUGUGAUCAUGUCCUCAAAAUGAUGGACAAUUUGAAUGAGGCUGAGAUUCAGGAAACACAAAUCGAUGAUAACUCAAAGAUUGACAUGGUGCUAGAAUCUCUGCCAGAAACAUUCAAAGAGUUUAAGGUCAAUUAUAACAUAAACAAAAGAAACAUGUCCUUAAUUGAAUUGAUGAACGAACUCCAUUCUGCUGAAGAGAUCUAUUGUGCUGAGAAAUCUCUGGGAAGCAUAAAUAUUACUGAAAAAAGUUCAUCUUCUAGGCCUAAGCCGAAAGGCAAAGGUAAGAAGAAAGCUGGGAAAAAGAGACCGUCGACCAAGUAAGAUGGCAAGCCGAAAGGCAAAUGCUUCAAGUGUGGACAGAAAGGUCACUGGAAAAAGGAUUGCCCUAAGAUUGUGAUGUUAACAUAUAUGUUUCCAUAAUGUUGAUUUUGAUAAUAACAAACAAGAUUAAGAAUAAUUAAUCUUUUAAGCUCAAAUUAUUUUCUUUUUAAAUAAAUCAUUAUUUUCACAUUUUAAAGGUUUUAUAUUUAAUGAAAAAAUGAUUUUAUGAAAUUAUUUGUUCUUUCAAGUUUAUGGUUUAAUUGAAAGAAUUUUGAAAACUUUGAAAUCAACAAGUUUUGCUUGAAAUUUUGGAGAAGAACUUAUUUGAAAAGUGUCAUAGCAUUUUCGGCUACAUCAUAAUUUCAAAAAGUUUUGGGAUUAACAAAGCAUUACAUAGAAAUUCUGAAAUUGGACCUAUUUGCAAAGUUUCAUAACGUUUUGGGCCGUAAUACAAUUUUAUAAAGUUUUGGGGUCAAACUAUAAUUUUGGAAAAUAUGUCACUGUAGCAGUUACUGUAGAAAAUGGCGAUCCGACAUCUUGAUAACGGCUCGCCGACAUCUAACAGAAUUGAAGAUUAGCCUCUGGACCUAAACGGCGAUCCGACAAUUUUGAUAAACGGUUCACCGAUAUCUAACAGAACUGAAGAUUAGCCUCUGGACUUAAACGGCGAUCCGACAAUUUGAAAAUCAGCCCAACGGUCAUAUUGACCAAUCAAACGGCGAUCCGACAUCUAGUUAACGGCGAUCCGACAGUGUGUAAAAAGUCAAUAACGGCUAGUUUUCAGCUCCAACUAUAAAUAAGCUCAAUCCAAUUCAAACAAAGACAGAUCCAAGAGUUAUCAUUGAGCUUGCUAUUGAGCAUAAAACUAUUAUUGAGCUUUGAACUUGUUUUUGUUUCUUUGAUUCACACAUUGAGCAUUCAUUUGUAAUCAAACACAUUGUGUGAGAGAAAAUUCAUUUGUAAUCUUUAUCCUUGAGAGGUUGUAAGUGUUGGGAUACACUUGAGUUAAGAGAUUGGGAUAAUCUCUUGUUGUAAAGGUCCAUUGACACCUUGGAAGUCAAUUGUAAGUGUUUGAAGCCUUGGGAGGCUGGCUUAGUGAAAUUCUCAAGCCCGGUGUGCUUGGAGGCGUGGACGUAGGCGGGGAUUGCCGAACCACGUAAAAAUCCUUGAGUUUGCUUUCUCUUCCCUUGCUCAUUUAUUAUUGUUCUUUCAUUGAAUUUAUUGUUUUUGAAUUUAUUAAGGUAUUAGAUUGGAUUGUUGUGUGGUUUGCUUAGCUUAAUUUUUAAAAUCCCAAUUCACCCCCCUCUUGGGUUGCAUAACUAGAAUUUCAUUUGGUAUAAGAGCAAAGUACUUUUGUGUAGACUUAACCGCCUAGAGUUAAAGAUCCAUAGCAACCCAAAUUUGCUUAACUUUCAUGGAAGGCCAAUCCACCAUUAGACCUCCAUUUUUUUAUGGUAAUGACUAUCCUUAUUGGAAAACUAGGAUGAGAGUAUUUUUACAAGCCUUAGACUAUGAAAUUUGGGAAAUUGUUAAUGAUGGUCCUUUCAUGCCUACUAGUAAAAGUAAAGAAGGGGCAGAAAUUCCAAAACCUUCUAGUCAAUGGACUAGAUUAGAAAAGAAAAAGAUGUCUUUAUACUCUAAAGCAAUGAAUGCUUUCUUUUGUGCUUUAGAUAAGAAAGAAUUUCAUAGAGUUUCUAGUUGUGAAAAUGCUUAUGAAAUUUGGAAGAAACUUAAAGUUGUAGAUGAGGGAACAAAUCAAGCCAAGGAGUGUAAAAUUAGUAGAUUCAUUAGGCAAUAUGAGAUGUUUCAAAUGGAAUCAUAUGAGUGUGUUCAUGAUAUGUACACUAGAUUCACCGAUAUUGUAAAUUCUCUUGAAGCACUAAGAAAGAUAUUUAGUAAUUGUGAAAAAGUGAAGAAAAUUAUUAGAUCAUUGCGAAAAGAGUGGAGACCAAAGAGAACGGCCAUCGAAGAAGCAAAAAAUCUUAAUGCUUUAUCUCUUGAUGAUCUUAUUGGUUCACCUAUUUCAUAUGAAGAAGAUAUAGCUAAUGAAAGAAUUGAUGAAGAUAAAAAGAAGAAGAGCUUUGCUUUUAAAUCUUCUAUUGUUGAAAGUGAUAAUGAUGGAAGUGACUUUGAAGAUGAAGGCAUUGAAAUGAUUGCUAGAAAGUUUAGACGGAUUCUCAAGAAGCAAAUCAAGAGAAGAAACUUUAAAGAUCUCAUGAGAGAAAACCUUAAGGCGGAGAAAGGGAAAAAGGAGGCAAUUGUUUGUUUUGAAUGUAAAAAGCGUGGCCAUAUAAGAUCGGAGUGUCCACUUCUCAACAAACUCAAGAAGAAAGUCAUAGUGGCUACUUGGGACGAUAGCGAUGAAGAAUCGAGUGAUGAAGAAGAUUCGCAAGAAGUGUCAAACCUAGCACUUAUGGCAAUAAGAGAUGAUGAACUUGAUGAGGUAAAUGAUCUUCCUACUUAUAAUGAGUUAUAUGAUGCUUUUAAAGAAUUGUAUGAUGAAUUGAUGAAAGUUGGUAAAAAGAAUGCAUGUCUUAAAAAGAAAACGGUAGAACUCACAAAUGAAAAUGAAUCUCUAAGUACAAAGAUUAGUUGCCUAGAAUUAGAAAAUAAAACAUUUCAUGAUAGAGUUGUAUUAUCAAAUGAGAAACCUAGCAUCUCACAUGAGCAUUUAGAAUCACAUAUAGAUGAUUUGAAAAAUGAAAACGAAACGCUUAAGAAAAAGAGCAAUGAGUUGAAUGAGAUUAUUUUGAAAUUUACAAAUGGGCAAAAGAUGUUGGAUAACAUGCUUAAUUCACAAAAAUGUGUAUUUGACAAAGGAGGUAUUGACUAUAAGCCAAAUUUGAAACAAAAGUAUUAUAAGAAUUACUUUGUGAAGAGUACCUCAAUUAAUGAUCAAAUUGUAUGUCAUUAUUGCAAUCAAAAUGGUCAUAUGAGUUUUAGAUGUCCAGUUAAGAGAGAUGUAUAUUAUGGAGCAAAAUGUAUUUGGAUUCCAAAAGAAAUCAUUGCUAACACUCAAGGACCCAAGCGUAUUUGGGUACCAAAUGGCACAACGUGAAUGUUUUCUUUGUAGGACCCACAAUCAAGGAAUGGUGGAAAAGUUUCUUGAUGAAAGCUUGUGAGGAUAAUCACUUGAGUAUGAUCUAGGAGAAAAAGAUGAGGCAAGAUGAUUUAAUUGUUUUGGUAACAAUUCUUGCCAUAUUAAUUUUGUUGAAUGAAUCAUGAUAAAUGAAUUUGCGAAAGUAUGCUUGUAUGUUUACAUGAUGGAAUUAUCAUUGUGUAUAACAUUGAGUGAUUUCUCAUGAUAUCUUUGUUUGAUUUUGAUGAUUGUAUGGUCUUUGAUUUCAUCUUCUUAAUUGUCUAUCAUCAUUGUCCAUCUCUUAUGUAUGUGUGAAUUCAUAUGCCAUUAAUUGUGUUAUAUUAUUUAUAAAAUUCGCACUAAUGACUUAUUGCGCUUGUGAAUUUGAUCACUUGUUCUUUACUCAUAAUGAUAGCUUAUCUUAAUAGCUAUGUUGAUUUUGAUAAUCCAUAUAUUGUCAUUAUGUACUUAUGCUUUACUUAAGUUUUGAUGAUAAAGAAUGUGUAUUGAUGAUUACAUUGUAUUUGAUGAAACUUUGAUCUUAUGCAAUCUAUGAUUAGUGAAUGAAUGCAUUUUUUGUACUUUAUCGAUGUAUUGUUGAAUAUGCCUUAAUUUUUUUAAAUGAUAUAUAAAAAAAAGGAAAAAUACAUAUACUUCGAGAAUUUUAAGCAUAUAAGAUUUUUUAAGUUCUAUUGAAAUGUCAUAUUAGAUCGUUGAUGAAUUUACUUGUCUUGAUUUCUAAAAUGUGAUUAGUAAUUAUGGAGCUUGGAUAGUUGAUAAUAUGUUCUUAUAACUUUUGCAUGCCAAUUUGGUAAACAAAUCAAAACCUUUUGUGAAGAACAAUUUUCAAAAAUUCGGCAUGAACUUAGGAUGAUGAAAUUUAUUAAUAUCUCUAAUCAUGUUAUUAAUACUAUUAAAAUUGAUUUCUUAAUGAUUUUGAUGAUUGAUGAUUAUAUGUGUGUUUCUUGAUGAAUUGGUAAAGUUAUUGGUUUGUUAUAAUUGUUGAAGAUUGUAUUUUUUUAAUCAUGUUGUGUAUUUGAGAAUUUGUUCAUUUUUAAGGGGCGACUUUGCCGAAAUCUUUGCUCGCACUAAGUGGGUAAUAUCUUCAUUGAAUUAUUUUUUAUGAUCUUAUUUCGAUUGCAUCUAUCUAUCUUUUCUUUUUUACAAUGAAGGGGGAGAUAAAUAUGAUAUGUUUUUGGAUAAAAUCAUUUCGGUUAAAGUUUUAAAUUGGCCAUAUAUUUAGGGGGAGCAUAUAAUAUAAUUUUUGAUAAUAUGCAUUUUGAACUUUUUUGUUGUCCAAAGGGGGAGACAAAGUAAUAUAUCAUUUUGAUGUUAUCAAAAAGAGAAGAAUAAUAUGCACUUUGGGUAUUGAUUUGAUGGUUGAUAUGUGAUUAUGGUGAUGAUUUUGAGAUAUGAUGAUGAUUUGAUUACAUGGUGUGUAUGGGGAUUUAUGAUAAUUUAGGAGUGAUAUUACUAAACUUGUAUUUGAAGUGAUACUUAUUGUUAGGGGGAGAUUCUAUCGAAAUUUUUACUUAAACAAUAUGGGUAACAACGUUUCCAUUUUUUUUCUUUUCCACUAAAUUUUCUUUUUGAUGAUGAGGGGGAGAAGAAUGCAUGUAUUUAAAUUUUUUUAAUUUAGCUAAAUUGUAAGAGAAGCUUACAUUUAGGGGGAGCAAUUUGUGCAAGCAUUUUUCAAAUACAUAAAACGUUUGUCAUCAUCAAAAAGGGGGAGAUUGUUAACAUAUAUGUUUCCAUAAUGUUGAUUUUGAUGAUAACAAACAAGAUUAAGAAUAAUUAAUCUUUUAAGCUCAAAUUAUUAUUUUUUAAAUAAAUCAUUAUUUUCACAUUUUAAAGGUUUUAUAUUUAAUGGAAAAAUGAUUUUAUGAAAUUAUUUGUUCUUUCAAGUUUAUGGUUUAAUUGAAAGAAUUUUGAAAACUUUGAAAUCAACAAGUUUUGCUUGAAAUUUUGGAGAAGAACUUAUUUGAAAAGUGUCAUAGCAUUUUGGGCUACAUCAUAAUUUCAGAAAGUUUUGGGAUUAACAAAGCAUUACAUAGAAAUUCUAAAAGUGGACCUAUUUGCAAAGUUUUCAUAACGUUUUGGGCCGUAAUACAAUUUUAUAAAGUUUUGGGGUCAAACUGUAAUUUUAGAAAAUAUGUCACUGUAGCAGUUACUGUAGAAAAUGGCGAUCCGACAUCUUGAUAACGGCUCGCCGACAUCUAAUAGAAUUGAAGAUUAGCCUCUGGACCUAAACGGCGAUCUGACAAUUUUGAUAAACGGUUCACCGAUAUCUAACAGAACUGAAUAUUAGCCUCUGGACUUAAACGGCGAUCCGACAUCUAGAUAACGGCGAUCCGACAAUUUGAAAAUCAGCCCAAUGGUCAUAUUGACCAGUCAAACGGCGAUCCGACAGUGUGCAAAAAGUCAAUAAUGGUUAGUUUUCAGCUCCAACUAUAAAUAAGCUCAAUCCAAUUCAAACAAAAACAGAUCCAAGAGUUAUCAUUGAGCUUGCUAUUGAGCAUAAAACUAUUAUUGAGCUUUGAACUUGUUUUUGUUUCUUUGAUUCACACAUUGAGCAUUCAUUUGUAAUCAAACACAUUGUGUGAGAGAAAAUUCAUUUAUAAUCUUUAUCCUUGAGAGGUUGUAAGUGUUGGGAUACACUUGAGUUAAGAGAUUGGGAUAAUCUCUUGUUGUAAAGGUCCAUUGACACAUUGGAAGUCAAUUGUAAGUGUUUGAAUCCUUGGGAGGCUUGCUUAGUGAAAUUCUCAAGCCCGGUGUGCUUGGAGGCGUGGACGUAGGCGGGGAUUGCCGAACCACGUAAAAAUCCUUGAGUUUGCUUUCUCUUCCCUUGCUCAUUUAUUAUUGUGCUUUCAUUGAAUUUAUUGUUUUCGAAUUUAUUAAGGCAUUAGAUUGGAUUGUUGUGUGGUUUGCUUAGUUUAAUUUUUAAAAUCCCAAUUCACCCCCCUCUUGGGUUGCAUAACUAGAAUUUCAUGUGAAAUCAGGUAUGGGAAAUCUUUUUAUAAUUGAGGCAUGUUUAGUUUAGAAUCCUAUUGACACUUGGGUGUUGGAUUCAUGAGCAACUAAUAAUAUUUGUAAUUCACUUUAUUGGUUUCAGGAAACCAGGAAAAUAAGUGAAGGAAGCGUCAAGCUGCAGUUAGGGACAUGACAGUUCAUGUCAGCAGUGAAGACUGGAUCUGUUUUAUUAUCUUUUAAUAAUGAGACUUUAGUUUUGAAUAAUUGUCUUUAUGUUCCAGACAUUAAGAGGAAUUUAAUUUCAGUAGCUUGUUUGUCAAAGCAAGGGUACACUGUAAAUUUUGGAUCCUCUGUUUCUAUUUUUCAUAAUAAGAGACUUAUUUGUUCUGGUACAUUGGAAGAUAAUUUAUAUCAUUUAAGUCCAAUGAUCCAUUCAAUGCAUGACACAGUGAUCAAUAAUGAUGAGCAUACACAUUUAUCUAAGAAAAUAAAUAUUUCUUCCAACCAAUGUUACCUCUGGCAUUUAUGCUUGGGUCAUAUAAACCAAAAUAGGAUACAGAGAAUGAUCAAAGAUGGGCUCUUGGGUCCAUUAGAAAAUGAAUCAUUGCCACUCUGUGAAUCAUGUUUAGAAGGGAAAAUGACCAAAAGGACAUUCUCGGCCAAAGGAGUACGUGCAACAGUACCACUUGAAUUGGUACAUACAGAUGUAUGUGGACCAAUCAAUGUACAAGCUCAAGGACGUUAUGAGUAUUUCAUCACUUUCACUGAUGAUAACUCGAGAUACGGUUAUGUUUAUCUGAUGCGUCACAAGUCUGAAACUCUUGAGAAAUUCAAAGAGUAUAUGGCUGAGACAGAAAAGCAAUUAGAUAAGAACAUAAAGAAAUUUCGAUCUGAUCGAGGUGAUGAAUUUCUCUCAGGAGAUUUCAAAGAGUAUCUGGUUGAAAAUGAGAUUAUAUCUCAGUUGACUGGCCCGGGAACACCACAACAAAAUGGGGUAGCUGAAAGAAGAAAUAGAACUCUUUUGGAUAUAGUGAGAUCUAUGCUUAGUUAUUCGCAAUUACCAAUAUUUUUUUGGGGACUAGCACUGGAAACUGCAGUUUACCUCUUGAACUUAGUUCCAUCUAAGUUAGUGCCUAAAACCCCAAUAGAAUUAUGGUCAGGUCGCAAACCAAGUUUACGACAUGUCCGUAUUUGGGGAUCACCAGCACAUGUACUGAAACCAAAGGCAGACAAAAUGGAUUCACGUUCUGGGGUUUGUAUGUUUGUGGGGUAUCCUAAAGGAACAAGAUGAGAUUUAUUUUAUAGUCCUCAAGAUAGGAAAGUGAUCGUGAGCACAAAUUUCACUUCCCUCGAUGAAGACUAUAUGAAUAACUUCAAACCUAAGAGUAAGGUAAUACUUGAAGAACUGUCAGGUCAGGUUGAUGCUCAACUUUCAAUGCCUGUUACAGAACAGGAAGAACAACAACAACCAGAUGAUCAACACAGGAUUAUCCCUGAACAACCAUCACUUUUAGAACCUCAUCGUAGUGGGAGGGUAACUAGGUUACCUGCGAGAUACAUGCUUUUGGGAGAAACCUAUACGUCUAUCUCAGAUGAACAUGUACAAGAUCCCACUAGUUACAACGAAACUCUAAUAGAUAGAGAUGUUGAAUUUUGGAAAAAGGUCAUGAAUCAAGAAAUGAAAUCUAUGUAUUCCAAUAAAGUCUGGGAACUUGUAGAGGCACCAAAUGGGGUAAAACCUAUAGGGUGCAAGUGGAUUUACAAGAAAAAAAGAGGAGUAGACGAAAGGGUGGAAACAUUUAAAGCAAGAUUAGUAGCCAAAUGGUUUACUCAGAAAGAGGGAAUCGAUUAUGAGGAAACCUUUUCUCCGGUUGCUAUGCUUAAAUCCAUCAGGAUUCUGCUCUCCAUUGCUGCAGUGCUAGAUUAUGAAAUUUGGCAAAUGGAUGUCAAGACUGCCUUUCUUAACGAGCAUCUUGAAGAAAACAUCUACAUGCAGUAACCAGAUAGAUUUAUACAAAAAGGCCAAGAACACAUGGUAUGUAAGUUGCAGAGAUCCAUUUAUGGAUUGAAGCAAGCAUCCCGGUCAUGGAACAUCAGAUUUGAUCAAGCGAUUAAAUCGUUUGGAUUCAUUCAGAACAUUGAUGAACCAUGUGUGUAUAAGAAAAUUUAAGAAAAAUUUGUAGCCUUCCUAAUUCUUUAUGUAGAUGAUAUUCUCAUAAUUGGGAACGAUAUAGGAGUAUUGACUACUAUAAAGAGUUGGUUAGCAAAACAAUUUGAUAUAAAAGACCUGGGAGAGGCAAGUUAUAUUCUUGGUAUCAAGUUACUACGAGACCGGAAGAAUAAAACUUUAGCCUUGUCUCAAGCGGUCUAUAUCGAUAAGAUAUUGGCUAGAUUUAGCAUGGAAAAUUCCAAGACUGGUUUAUUACCAUUCAGACAUGGAAUUGCAUUCUCUAAGGAUCAAUCACCUAAAACAUCUGAAGAGAUAGAGAGAAUAAGACGAGUUCCCUAUGCAGAAGCUGUGGGAAGUCUCAUGUAUACCAUGCUUUGCGGUAUGCCAGACAUCUGUUUUGCGGUAGGGAUGGUUAGUAGAUAUCAAUCUAAUCCUGAACCUGAACACUGGACUGCGGUCAAGCAUAUAAUGAAGUAUCUGAAAAGAACUAAAAAUUAUAUGCUUGUGUAUUCUGGUGAUGAACUUAUUCCAGUGGGUUAUACUGAUUCUGACUUUAUGUCAGAUAAAGAUUCUAGAAAAUCAACUUUCGGCUAUGUGUUCACAUUGGGAAGUGGAGCUAUUAGUUGGAGGAGUGUGAAACAAUCUUGUAUCGCAGACUCCACAACUGAAGCUGAAUAUGUGGCUGCAUCCGAAGCUGCAAAAGAAGCUGUAUGGCUCCGCAAGUUCCUACAAGAUCUUGAGGUGGUACCUGCUGUAACUGCACCCCUUAAACUAUUUUGCGAUAAUAGUGGUGCGGUAGCUCAAUCUAAGGAACCAAGGAAACCACAAGAAACAAAAACAUAUUGAGAGGAAAUAUCAUCUUAUAAGGGAUAUAGUGCAGAGAGGUGAUGUGGAGGUUACUUAGAUUGCGUCACAGCAAAACUUGGCAGAUCCUUUUACUAGGGCCAUACCUGGGAAACCUUUUAACUUGCACUUAGAAUACAUGGGCAUGCGUGAAGAUGCCAAAUAUGCUUUAAGAGCUAGUGGGAGAUUGUUCGGAAAAUAUGCUCUUUAAAAGCAUAUGUGUUUAUUUAAUUGUAAUAAACAUUUUUUCUGAUUAAUAAAAUUAAUGAGGUAUUUUAUUCAAAUAUCUUAAUUGCAUUAAUAUUUUGAUCAAAGUCCAUUUAAUCAUAUUAUAUGUAUUUAUGUGAUCACUAUGUGGAUUCACAGAAGACAUAAAUAUAAGUUAUCUUAUGAUUAAAUAAAUUUAGUUCGCAGUUGAUAAAUAAAGUUGGGCACUUUAUUUAGGUAUAGACUGUAAUGAAUUCAUUGAAUGAUUUGUCUUAAUCAUGUAUGAAUUUAUUGAUGUAGUACGACUACAUUGAACAGGAUCACAUAUGAGAUUUAAUUAACAUUGAAAUGACUGUCAGACUUAUUAAAUCUCAUAGGCAUUGAUUUGACUGUAACCUUAAUCUUGAGUUAAUUAUGAUUUCAUGAUUGUAAUUGUUAUUCCAUUUGAGUUACCAAUGGGUACGACACAUUCUUGUGGUCAAGAUUACCCGGUAUCUUGGUGGGAGCAAUUAUGAGUAUUGGAGUUAUGGAUUAACAAUAUAGAAUUUGUACAACACAUCUCUUGAUGGGUUUUCGGCACUUGAUCAUAGAAUUCUCUGGCCAGAGUGUGUCAACAUAUUUAGUAUGUUGAAAAUGAUCAUUAGAGAAAAUCAGUAAGUAUCAAGGAACAAGAAGUUAUUAAAUUGAUUGGACAGUUGAGAUAUCAAUUUAAUUAACUAUGUGGUACAAAGGAUUGUGCAGUAAAGAAAUUAAUGUGGCUUGGGACGAAUUAUUAUUCGAGCAUACAAUUAUGGAAGUCAGUUCCAAUCUUUUAGUGGAGUAGAUUUGGAAUUAAAUAAUUGGGCUAGUUUAAUUACAGACCUAAUUAUUGUAGCCACUAUUGUAUAUUCCCAAAUGAUCCCCGGGUUAGCUCAUUUAAUUGACUGCACCACUACUGGAUUAAUAAGCAAGAUAACUAGCUAUUUGGGUCAAAAGCCUAAAUAUAUCAUUUAGUGGGAGGCUCUAUUUAAUUAGCUUGUGUGUAAAGGGCCUUAUGUUAUUUUACAAGGUGGGUCCCCAAUAGAAAAAGCAAGUAACAUGAGUUUUGAUUUUGGAUUAUUUGGAGCCUAGGGUUUUCACUAAAGGUAGAUAUAAAAAAACUUAUUUUCUCUAAAGAAAGAGAGAGCAGCCACUUUAUACAGAUCAGAGAAAAAGAUUUUUCUCUCUAUUGUUGAGAGAGAAAUUUUCUCGUGCUAGUUGCUUUGGUAGUGAUAAAGGCACCCACACAUCAAGUGCAGAUCAAACCUGAGUCAUAACCUGGAAAAUCAUUGGUGCCAGUUCGUGUUCUAACAAGCGUGAUGGUGACAGAUCGUGAUCUAACAGAAGUGGUGGUGACGGAUCGUGAUCUGGGAGCCUAAAUCAUUUCAGCGGAAAAAGCUAAAUCGGAUUUUCAAGGUACGAUUUCUAAAUUACAAAUUCUUAUAUAUUAUAUGAGAGCGAUCUUAAAAAGGUUUUAUAAAAAAUUUAAAAACUUGAUUUUUCCCCAACAUAUUAAUCAUUGAUAAGUUUCAACAAAAACUUAACACAAUCCUCAAUCCUCAUUCAAAUUAUAAAUGUCAUUCAUAUAUUCAUUAUAAAUCAACAACAAAGGUUAUAAAUGUUUAGAAAUUCUAGAGGGAAGGAAGCUAUUAAAUUUGAUGUAAUUGUGGCACGAGAUGGAAUAUGGAAACUACACCAUAAUUUCAAAUGCCGCCAUAGACAUUGACUUAUCUACAAUAACAAUGAUCUAAUUAAAAUAAAAAUAAAGUUUAUGGGCAUUUAUUAUUUUGCCAUUCCUCAUUUGCAAAUAGGGAUAUAAUUAUAAUUUUACUUAGUCAAAGCAGUCAGUAAUUUUCUUCAUUAUAGGAGUGAAGUAAAAACAUUUAGAUUUUAAUGUAUGUACGGAAAAUUUUGUCUUUAAAAAUACUUUCUUAAUGUGUGUAUGCAUAUUGAAAUACUCAAACCAAUUUUGGUUAUAUAUAAUUAAACAAAUUUUAAAAUAUGAAAAAUAUAAUGUAGUUAUAGUGGAUAAACAAUAAGUGAGCACAAUAUAAUUAAUCAAAUAUUAUGCCAUCAAAAGUGAAUUUUAGAAAUUCCAAAUCCAAUAGCCAACACAAUUCUUUUUAAAAAAAAAAAGUUGACACAAUUAAUAAAAUUAGUGACAUGAAUUUCACGCCAUUGAUAUUUGAUAAUCAGCAAUUAGUAUUACUUUCUAAACUUGCUUCAACUGGUCGUUGAUGUCCGGGUCACCAAAAGUAUAAGCGAUAAUAAGGGGCAUUGGGCAAGAGUGAUGAAUGUUUAGUCGGUGCAUUUGAUUGCUAGAUAUAUAAAGGGCCGAAACUUGAGAUUAUAUUACUUUUACAAAUUUUAAUCCAAUCACAUAUUUACUGAAAACAAAAUGAGUUAGGAUACUUUAUUUAGAACCCACAUUUUAAUAAGGCUUCAUUUGAUGUAGUUUUUCAAACAGUGAUUAUUUGAGUAAAGUUUCCUCAAUAGAGUUUUUAUCAAAUAAAUUUUAUUUAUUUGGUUGCGAUAAGAACUUUUAUUAAAAAUUAUAAAAUUAUUUAAAUAAACAUAUUUUUUAAAAUUACAUUAUAAAAAGAAUUAAAUAAAGUUAUAAAAGUAAAAUAUAUUUUAGAUAUUUUAAUAUUUAAGAAAAAAUUUUCAAUAUUUUCAGAAGCUCAAAUUUUUAGUUUUUAGUUGUAGAGACAAAAUAUCUUAUUUAAUCUUUAAAAGUUCUGCUAAAAACAAUCAAAUAACUAUAAAAAUUUUAAUAAGAGUAUAUAAAAUUAAAUAAGCAUUUAUUAAUAAUCACUUUAGUGUACUUAUCUAAUGACCAUAAGUGUUUAUUUAAUCUCAUAAGUUCUUAUUUAAUCUCAUGAGCUCUUUUCAAUUUUUUUUGUUGUUUGCUUUUUUUAGUAGAGUUUUUGAAAAUUAAAUAAACUAUUUUGUCUCUAUUAGGAAAAACUCAAAUUUUAGAUUUUUGUGAGUAAAUGUUUAAAUUUUUUUAAAAAUAUUAAAAUAUUAAAGUAAAAGUUGUAGAGACAAAAUAUCUUAUUUAAUGUUUAAAAGUUCUGCUAAAAAUAAUCAAAUAACUACAAAAAUUUUAAUAAGAGCAUAUAAAAUUAAAUAAGCAUUUAUUAAUAGUCACUUUAGUAUACUUAUCUAAUGACCAUAAGUGUUUAUUUAAUCUAAUGAGCUCUUUUUAAUUUUUUUGUUUGUUUUUUUAGUAGAGUUUUUGAAAAUUAAAUAAACUAUUUUGUCUCUAUUAGGAAAAACUUAAAAUUUAGGUUUUUGUGAGUAAAUGUUUAAAUUUUUUUAAAAAUAUUAAAAUAUCUUUUCUUUAUUUCAUAAUCUUAUUUCAUUCUUCACAGCAUAACUUUAAAUAACUCACCUAUUAAAAUAAUUUCACAAUUUAUAAUAAAAAUUCUAAUUGACAAUCAAAUAACAAAAUUUUUUUUUAUAAAAAUUCUAAUAAUAAAAAUUCUACUUAAAUAAAUUAUAUUUGAAAAGGUAUACCAAACGAACCUAAGAUAAAAACAAAAAUUUUUACAUCCAGACAAUUAAGCUUAAAACAAUUUCAAAUGAAUUUUAGACUAAUCAAAGUACAAUACGUACCAAGUUUGGUAACUUAUUGACAUCUUCUCGUAUAACCUUCGAUCAAGUCGAUUCUGACUUGACGACUAAUUGGUACAUCACCGUUGUUCUCUAUACUCGCAUGCAUCCGAUCACAAAUCUCGCUCCAAUUGUCGUCUUUCUUCGGCGUUUUAGCGCAUCCUUCUUGAAUUUCCCGCAUUUCGUUCCCUCCUGUUACAAGUCUCCGGUCAGGUCAGUGAUUGAAUUUCCCGCAUCUCUAUCCCUCCCGUUUUCUCGCGUCGUUUCACUUCAAUUUCUCGUGUCUCCUUUCAGUUUAAGUGAUUGAAUCAAUUUUAUCGCAGUCGUAAGAGAAAUUAAGUAAUGCUCUUGGAUUUAAAAUUUUUUUGCUUUCGACUUUAGAUCUCGAAAGUCAAACUCUGCUACGAAUCCAUAGAUUCUCAAUGUUUAUAAUCUUAUUUGUGUUUGACCAGGUAACUGGAUCGUGAAAUUCGUCGUUUUGUAUCAAUUCAAGCUUUCGCGAGCUCAUGGAAUCACCUGGUGAGUUGUGGUGAAACGUUAUCGUUUCAAUUUUCGCUUAAUUCUUUAUUGCAUAUUUUUUACUCUAAUAUUUCAGUUUAAUUUAGAAAAGAAAGAGGACCCAAAAAGAGAGAGAGAGAGAGAGACUCUACCAUACUCAAUUCCUUGCUCAUUCUGAUUUGGCCUGAAUGUUGGCAUUGACUAUUAUUUGUUUUCAUUUCGAUUUAAUUCUCAUUUAGACAGUCUUUUCUAACGGUCAAUAAUAGUUUAAGGAAAAUGAUAAUAGGGAUUCUGCAAUAAUCUUUCUGCAUUGUUCAAGUUAGUAGACGAUGAAUAGGAUGUUUAUGUUUACCUCAUUUUGAACCCUGAGGGCUUUGUUGAGUAGUUAAUUCAACAUAUCCAGCAACGGUUUAUGUGAGAACAGGAUGCCACUUAGAUAGGCUUAAACUGAUUUUGGAGGUUUGUAUUGGUUCUAUUGUACGUCUUGCUUACAAAUUUUUUAUUUUUAAUUUUGUAUAAUAUGCUUUUUGUUGGUAAAUCUUAUUUGACUUAGAAGAGAUAGUUUUAUCCCAACAGUGGGAUAAAUCAUUGAGAUGCAUGGCAGUGUGAAUAUAGUAGACAAAAUCAUUGAGACACAUGGUGGUGUGAACAUAGUAAACUUUGUCAAACACAGCUAAGAUAAACAAAUUGUUUCAUUAGCCUUUAUCUUAUCUGCUGUGAUGAUUCAAAUUAAUGCUGUUUGGUAAGUUGCAAAAAACGAAAUGAGCUGACUGUUCGUAUUAUUUAGUCAGAUCUAUAGCAAUAAGUUGAAGUUCAUUGUCACAUGGGUUGGGAGUAGCGUGGGCUGUGAGUAGUAGAAUGGAUUUAUGGAGUUGAUACAAGUGCCCACAAUCUAUCAUGUCAUUCUAGGAUUAAAUGGAUUGCACAUUACUAUAAAGAUGGAGGUUAAAUUUAUAUAAUUCGGAUUGAUUGUAAAAUGGGAGGCAGAGAUGAGUUAGAAAAAGAAUGACCUGUGUCCUUUUUGAGCUGUUUCUAAAUGUCCCUGGUGUGCUUCAUGCUUAACACGUGCCUUUCCAAAUAAUUUUGCUUAACCUGUGCUUGUCUACUUCUUGUGCUAUUCUGUGCCUGGUCCUGAGCUGUGUUGGUAGAUUGACAUCCAGCUUGAACUUUUAGGUAUAUCUUUUGUACAUAAAUUCUGAAUACCCAUGGACUUAGCGUGAUAAAGUCAAGGAUCCAUUUAGCUGAGUCGUUCAAGGUUUGUUAGUAUGUCUUCGGAUUAUAAAUAUGUGACAAAAAUGAGGUGUAGAAUACAUUUAAAAAGAAAAGGAUAAAAAAAAAAGAAGAAAUGAAAAGAGGUGUUUAGAAGGAAUAGUUAAACUAGAUACACUCCCACUAAUUAGCGAUUCUGAUGAACAGUGCCCAUAGCUUCUUUUAUACCUUGAAGUUGCAGAAAUUGAUUCUUGGUGAAUUAAGUCACUUACAGACAUAACUUUUUCUUCCAUCUAAUUUUUAUUAGGUUAGAUAGGAGAAGACUUGUUUCAGGGUGUCCUGACCCUAGUAUUAGUUUUCUCGUCAGACUUUUCAAGAAAAUUUACAAUGCACACGACAUACAACUUCUAGUAAUCCUAGGACUUUGUUGACAGGGUGCUUCUAUUCCUCGUUGUGGAAAUGGGACAAACCUUUUGAUACCUUUACCAGGAUCAGUUAGUGCUGAGGAUAUGGCUAUUACUGGAGCUGGUGCACGACUUCAUGAUCAAGAUGCACCAACCCUUCCACUGUUGUAUGAUUUUGAAGAAUUAGAGGGAGAAUUGGAUUUUCUUACUCGUUUUGUGGCAGUUACCUUUUAUCCUGCUAUUUCUGGAACAAGCUCCAUGACUCUUGGUGAGGUAGAAAAUAUUUUCAUAAAAUGUUAAUUGAUGUGUCUACGCACUUUAUUCUUAAAUUAGUAUUUUAGACCAUGAGCUUUGUGGAGUGGGUUUGCUGUAACUGCUGCUGGUGACAACAUAAUUGUUAAUAUUAUUACAGAUAGAGAUUCUUGGAGUUUCUCUUCCAUGGACGGGGUAUUCAAUAAUGAAGGCCCUGGUGCUAGAUUAAUUGAGCUUGGCAAAAAGUUUCAGAAGGAAACCGAUCCAUUUUUGUCAAAUUCAGUUACAAAUACAGUUCCGUUUUCCAAUGAAAAUAUGUCAACAUCAAUGCAAACAGAAGCUGCUUCCAAUCCUUGGGUUGACCUGUUGUCUGGAGGGGACACAUUUUCUGAUCCUCUUUCAGAGCCGUUUUCUAGCCCUCUUUCCGAGCCGUUCUCUGAUCCUCUUUCUGAGCCGUUCUCUGAUCCUCUUUCUGAGCCAGUGACAAGAAAUGUUGCAUUUGGAGGGGCUGAUUUGCUUGAUUUCUUGGACCAGCCUAUAGUUGAAGAUCAUGGUGUGGAAACUUAUAAAAGAUCUUCAACACAGGAUGGCUGUUCUCUAGCUAGUGGUGCCCAGCAGUACAUAAGCUGUCUAAAAUCCCUUGCAGGGCCAUGCGAGGUAUAGUACUGCUCUCUUGUGUUUUUUGCAGCUCUACAUCUUAGCAACUUCAUCUUUUUAAAGGAGUAAAUUCUAGAAGUUCAACAAAUUUUGCUCUGCUAAAUGUAUAACUUAUUAAUCAGUGUCCUGUUAUUAUGGUUUGACACUACUGACAUAUUGUGUUGGUAUUUAUUUGUACUUCCCUUGGUUGAAUUAUUUGCUGUCUCCAUGCCAUUCGAUAUGGUGCUACUUGGUUUUUGAUCAUCCAUGACGCUAUAUAUAUGUAAAGGAUGAAUUGAUUGUUUUGGCUUGUAUUCUCACAUUUUAUGAUUGAUUGAUGGAAAGGUCUUCAUGUAUUAAAUUCAACCUCACAAGCGUAAGAUUGACAGAUUCUGGGCAAAUUUUCAGGAAAAGAAACUAGACUUCAUGGAAGCAAUGAAGCUUGAAAUUGAAUGUCCGCAGCUGAAUCUUUCUGCAGCUGAAAGGGAUAGAGCUUUAUUGUCAAUUGGAACUGAUCCUGCCUCUAUAAAUCCAAAUGUAUUGCUUGAUGAAUCUUACAUGGGAAGACUGUGUCGAGUAGCAACCACUCUUGCAUUACUUGGCCAAACUUCCCUAGAAGACAAAAUUGUUGGUGCAAUUGGCCUUGAGAAUAGUGAUGAUAGUGUUUUAGACUUCUGGAAUAUUACUAGAAUCGGAGAGAGUUGUUCUGGUGGCUGGUGGCGGGUGCAAGGUUCGUGCAGAAACUAAGGUGCCUGCUCUUGCUUCCUCAACUGCAACAUCUGUUGGAGCUUCACAAUCCCCUUUGUUGUGUUCUCAAUGUGAAAGAAAAGUUUGCAUAGUUUGUUGUGCAGGAAGAGGAGCUCUACUGUUUUCAAAUUAUAAAUCAAGGGAUGUGACCAACUACAAUGGCUUCUCAAGUCAGAGUGGAUCAAGCCAUGGAAGCCAAGUUGAUGUAUCUACCAGUCGUUCACUAACACUGGAUGGCGUUAUCUGUAAACACUGCUGCCAUGAGAUUGUGCUUGAUGCAUUGAUGUUGGACUAUGUUAGGGUCUUGAUUAGCUUGCGAAGAAGUUCCCGUGCAGACAACGCAGCAUACAAUGCUUUGAAUGAGGUUGUUGGAUCCUGCUUAAAGGAUAGUCUUUCUGAAAGGAUUCAGUCUUCCGAUAACGUGCAAGCUGCUGAAGUCCUUCACCAAUUAUGUGGUGGACAGGAAUCUCUUGCUGAAUUUCCAUUUGCUAGCGUUUUGCACUCGGUAUGUUCUUGGUUUGUAUUCAGUUCUCAUCAUGUUAUGUUUUCCUUUUAAAUUUCUUUUCUUGAUUAAAAUUUUUAGAAAUAUGUUUUAGUAUUUGUUCUUAUGAUAUAUGCCCAGAACAUUCAUCCCACUUAUCCAUGAGAAUCCUUGUCUGGUUUGAUUUUCAAUUGAGACAUUUUUGGGAACCCUGAGCAGGUUCCAUAUGCUAAUAAUCUUUGAGGUAAGGUGUUGUAGGAUGCCUUGAGAAGCUAAAAACCAAUUACAAGGAAAAGCUCUUGCAUUGUUUUGUGCAAUCUGUGUGCUAGCAAGUCAUGUCUCUAAUAAUUUCAUAGUUCGCUUGAUUGGAAUUUUUUAUUUUGAUAUGGAUUGUUUAUUCUAGAUUCCUUGCUGCCACUGUAGGUUGAAACAGCAAAAGAUUCAGCACCGAUUUUGUCACUGCUUGCUCCAUUAAAUUCUGGAUCAAGGCACUCAUAUUGGAGAGCUCCACCUAGUACUACUUCUGUUGAAUUUGUUAUUGUUCUCGGUUCUGUUUCUGAUGUCAGUGGGGUUAUCUUGCUUGUUAGUCCUUGCGGCUAUUCUGUGGCUGACACUCCGAUGGUAAGUGCCAUAUUUAUUCCCUUAUUUCCUUGUUGUUCAAUAAAUUUGGUGAUAAGCCAAGUGGCCUUAAUAAUGAAGCCCAGUACCAGGGGUGGUGGGUAAUCGAUAUUCAACUUGUGAAUAUUCCUAAGCAAACACUGAAUCAACAUAUACCUCGGCAAAAGUUCUCCAUGCUAUUAUAACAAAAGUCAUAUUUUGAAAUGAUUAAAACAGUCCCUGUGUAGUGCCAUUUCCAAAGAAAUUGCAGCUGGGGGUUUAGUUUCAUGUAGGUUAGUUUCCGAUAAUAAACUUUCCAUUUCAUUAAUUGCCGAUGGAAAAACCAAGUAAGAACAGUUUCGUUGCUCGUCAUUUAUGUAUAUUUUGGUAAACUGUAAUUUUAAAUUCUCAACGAUCUUCCCUUUGUAGGUAAGAAGAUGGUCCACUCACUUGAUAUUUAUGAUUGUAGAUCAGGUUUCUAUUGGUUUGCCUUUAUCAUUCGGAACCCAAGUUUGAUAUUAACAGAGAUCACGUCAAUAAUAUCCUAUUUGGGUAGAUGUGGGUGAGGAUUUAAAAUCAAAUUUGAAAUUGAGGGGAAAGAAGAGAAAAGGAACUACAAUAAUUAUUCUGAUGAGUUUUAAUCUCGAGAGGAGCAAUUUUCAAAUGCAAAUUUAACGGCUAGAGAAAUUGUAGCUUUUUGUCAUUAGUUAAGAGGAAAGAGAAUAAGAACUAUCCGGCCCUUUCCUUCAUGAAUGUGUGUUGAGGUUGCUGUAUUAUUUAGUCAGUAUUUGUAAUUUUCUUCCCUGCAGUGCUCUCUGCCUCCUGAAUUUGCUACUGAGUCCAUAUUUUUCUUUGAGCUGUUCCUUCCUAUUGCUGUUACAGUUACAAAUCUGGGCAAGCAAUAAGAUACACCGGGAGGAAAGGUCAUCAAGGGGAAAAUGGGAUGUCCAAUCCCUCAUCACAUCUUCUUCAGAUUUGUAUGGUCCAGAAAAGUCCGCUAGUGUUGAAAAAUUACCUAGGCAUGUACAAUUUACUUUUAAGAAUCCUGUUAGGUGCGCAUUGUUUGGAUCACAUUACGUCUUCAGAGACCUGGUUCGGCUUCAGUUAAUUUCGGGAAGGACUUCAGUCUUUUGUCUCUUGAUGAAGAUGAAAACCCCUUUGCACAAGUAGACAGACGUGCUUCAUUUGGAGGAGCAGUUGAAAAUGAACCAUGUAUUCAUGCCAAAAGAAUUCUUGUAGUCGGAAGCCAGUAAAAAGGGAGGGGCUUACCUCAUCACAGAGCUCUGAGCAGCUAAGUAUUAGAAACUGGUUGGAUAGAGCUCCACAAAUGAGUAGAUUCAAGGUAUUAGUUGCUUUCACUCUUUGUUCAUUCAUAAUUCCAGCUUUCUGCUUCACUGAUAAAACUCUUUUUUCUCUUCAGGUCCCAAUUGAGGCCGAGAGAUUGAUGGACUACGAUCUCGUCUUGGAACAGUAUCUACCUCCAGCAUCACCUUCGCUUGCCGGAUUCCGUCUAGACUCUUUCAGUGCAAUAAAACCUAGGGUUACCCAUUCACCUUCCUCAGAUUCAUUUACAUGAGAGAAAGAGUUUUGGGUUUGACUUUGAUUUUGAUUUGUAUUUGUUGUCAUUUCAUUGAAAUUUCUUUUUGUUGUAUAAAAAUCAGAAGGUAAAAGUAUUAAAUUCACUGAUGCGGUAAUAUCUGUGCUGGUUACAGGAUUUUAUGUUUAACUUGAAGUUAGUAAGCAAUGACUUAACAAUAGCACUUUGAAUUUAACGUGGAUCAUAUUGUAUUUGAAAUUAAAAAAUAAAGAGAGAGAAAUUAAUUGUUAAUUGAGUUGGACAAUUUUCCGUGGUUAAUUGCUCCCAGAAAAGAGAAGAAUGGGAUUGUGCUUCCUCACACGAAGAAAGACUCGAACGUCUUCGUGCUAAUUAAUCAAUGAAAGAUUUUGUCAAAUAUCUGGCCCUUUCUUUCUUGAAUGUCUGUGUACAAGUUGCUGUGUCAUUUAGUCAAUAUUUGCAAUUUUCUUCCCUGUAGUGCUCUCUGCUUCCUGAAUUUAUAUUAGUGAUCUGGUUUCUGAGUGCAUAUUUUUUCUUUCUCGUUGCUGCAGGUUUGUCGUUGUCAAACAGAAUCAAGUUAUAUUAUUAUUGUGAUCCUUAUGAGCUUGGAAAAUGGGCAAGCCUUUCUGGAGUUUGAUCGUUAUUUAUAUGUUAGAGAAAGAGUUCUGGGUUUGUUAAAACUCAUUAUUAUAAUUUGAAAUAUGUGUUAUUUCAGCUAAUGAUUAACACUAAAAAAAUUAUCACCCAUAUAAUUUUUUAAUUUGUGUAGGGUAAUAAUAAAAUUGAAAAUAAUUAAAAAAAUAGCACAAUAAUGAGUUUUAACAAUAAAACAAAUUAAAUGAAAAUUGAAAAUUUAGAAAAGUGUAUCUAAGAAAAUGGAUAUUUUCAGAAAUAAAAUGAAUAUAACUAAAAAUGGGGUUUUAUGAGGAGAUCAAAGGGGUGCCAAUAGUCCAACUCGUAAUUAAGAAUCUCCCAUUACAUUGUCAACCAAAAAGACACUUGCAUAAGAAAAAAAAUUUCUGUUUGAUUUUAUUUGUAGAUCCAACAUUUCUCAUAUCCUGGUCGCCUUUCCGUAUCAAAUUAAAAUAGUAUUAGCAAAAUCGUAGUGCAAAUUCAAUUAACCAACUAAUAGUCUAAGAAGCAAAGAGAGGAUUACAAGUUCACAACACCAUUACAAAGGAUUCAAAAUUCCCACACGAAAACAUCAAUGUACAGAUUAUAAACAAUCCGAAUUGGACACAAGAAAAACCCUUCAAUGGAUUGCUUGCCUUCCCAAUGCUAAAUACUGUGCAAACUGCGCAUUGGCCAAGAAAAUGUUUUCAAUUUAGUGUAUUUUCAAAAUGCUUAUUUUCUCAGAAUAUAAAAAAUGAAAAAAUAAAAAAAGAAUUCUUACAUGUUUCAUCAGCAUGAUUAAAAUCAAAGAAGAAAGCGAGACAUAAUGUCUCUGACAUAAUAAAAUUACAAAAAUUUCAAGAAAAAAAAAGGGUUAAAACAUGUAAUCUUCAGAAGCAUAUAAUAAAAGAAGACUUCCACAAGUUACUACAAUUACAUGCAGUAGAGAUUAACUGAUGCUUUGACUUAUUAGCAGGUUGCAAUGAAUUAUUAACUGAUGCUUUGACUUAUUAGUUCUGCAGCUAAGUUAAAUAAAAUAAGGUAUUUUCAAAAGCAAAAUGGAAUACAUAGACAAAACAUCAUCUUAAACAAAUCACAAUCUAGAAUUAGAGUGUUGAUUUGAGAUUCUAGAUUGUGAUUUGAUCGGCUCAUUUGUUAAGAAGUGUUGAUUUGAUCGGCUCUGCAAAUUCUCUUGGGACUCGGUUCCAAUUCCUCUUCAUCAAAACUGUAAUAUAAUUCCCCUUCAUCAGAACUCGAAUCAAAUUCACUUGCAGCAGUUCCACUCGCGCUUGGCAAAUCAUCUAAUUUCCAAACUUCGGUAGCAAAAUUGAGAGUAAAAGUGUUGGCUUUGAUCUCGCUGGGAUUUGCAUAUACUGGACAUACUCCGCAACGUUUUAUCUUCUGACCCUUUUGGACCUUUAGGUUUCGGCAACACUCAUUGAAGAACUUAAGUGAGACAGUUGUAUGAUGGUAACCAUCAGGAAAGCCAACAUUCAAGCAAGGUUUAAAACCAAGUAUGACAUGAUCUGAAUCAAUGAGGUCUUCAAUUGAGUGCGAAUCGAAACUCAGAUGAACAUGUUUGGUUUCAGAGAGAGUCUUUAUUUCUAAGUCGGAUCGACAGCCGACGUAAACAUUACGAAAACGAUCAGAAUAAAGUUGCUUAAAAUCAAGAACAGCACAAAAAGCAAACCCGAUUAAGUUUCUGCAAAAAGAGUGCGGUGGCAGUUGAAUACGUAUUGAAGAUCCUGAACUUUGAUUGCUGAACCAGUCAGGAAUUUUGCUCCCAGGUAAAACAAUUUGGGAUCGCCUGAGUUCAGAAAGUUUCUGUGAAACGACAUUUAAAAAAAGAAAAUUGUCAAAUGAAAACCAUGAUUUCAGAUAUAACAAAGAGGGACAGAGUAAACAAGAGAGGGAAUUUGAUACCUCGUCGAUUGUCUUUCCCCGUCUCAGUGAUGCUGCAAUUGCCAUACGUAGUGAAUCUGCCAAAAUCUUGUUGUUUGCUUUUCCAUCAAGUUUCAAGCAGUUAGUAAACCGAAAAUAAAUUGGUUGUGACAGUCGAUAUUCCGGAUGCCAUUCACAAAGGUCAGGAGAGGGUUUGGAUAGCUUUUCGAGUACGGAUGCAUCUAGUUCUUGUAGACAUGACGGAAUCUCUGGCAAAGAUUGAAGCCGGUUGCAGUUCGUUGCAUUUAGUGAAUGUAGACACAAUGGAAGUUCUGGUAAUGACCGAAGCAUGUUACAACCCGUCAAGUCAAGAGAUUCUAGACACAAUGGAAGUUCUGGUAAUGACUGAAGCAUCUUACAACCCUCCAAGUGAAGAGACCUCAGCUGCGACAGUUGCUUGAUACUUGCAGGUAAGCUCUCAAAGCUAUUUCCACUUAGAUUUAAUGUUGUCAGUGAGGAUAGACAGGCAAUCUCUUGUGGAAUUUCCAUUACAGCACAGUUCCUCAUAUCUAGAUGUCCCAAAUAAGCUAAACCUAAUAAAAACGAUCGAGGCAAUGAUACCAAACCUUUGCAGCGAGAGAAGUAAAGAACUCCAAGUCUGUUUGAAUAUGCAACAGAGGAUGAUGGUAGUUGACUAAUAGCUGAUCCAACUGCUGAGAUGAUAAACAAACAUUUUAAAUUGCCAAUGUUAUCCGGCAACUUAUCAAGCUUAGAGCAAUCUUCUACGAACAAUUCUUCAAGCCCCGGUAGAUUUUCAAAUGACGAUGGCAGCUCUGUAAUUGCCGUCUUGUUUAAAUUGAUGCGUUCUAAAUGUUCCAUUUUCUCCAAGAUUUCUGGGAAGCGCUCAAGGUUCACGCAGCCAUUAAGAAAAAGAUCAACCAAAGAUCUCAAUUUACAAAACCUAGUUGAAAUCCUCUUCAGCCGUUUGCAAUACUUCAAAUUCAACUUUUUAAGAUCAGUUAGGCACUCUAUUGAUGACGGAACUUCUUCUAUUGCAGACUUGCUCAAGUUUAGCGAUGUUACUUUCCCAGAAAUCAGUGGAAACUCUAUGAGAUUAACACAAUAGGAGAAAUUAAUAGUUACUGGACAAACAAAAUGAAGAUUGCUUGGAAAAGACCUAAGACUUUUGCAGCCCUCAAAAGACAACGCACUGAGAUACUUGAAAUUCUGGAUAGAUGAGGGAACACAAGCCAAGUUUGUAUAAUCCAAAAGAUAUGUUUCAACAUUUGGGGUUUCAAAUGGGCCUGGCAUCUUAAUGAAAUGUUGAGAAUGGCUGAGGUUAAUAGAUUUUAACUUGAAAGCUUCCUGCAAUAACAGAUAUAUAAAGACUAUAUUAAUUAAAAAGCAACAUUGAAUUCAACAAUUAAUUGCACGUAUAUUUAAAGAAAGAAAAAAUUAAUGUUUUAGUUUUAGUACAAAACUUACCUUUUCUCCUUCCCAAAGUUGCUCAACUUUACUACAACUCAAAUUCAGUGCAACAAGGUUCUUUGGCUUGAAAUUUGAUGGCAGUGUCCUUAAUGGAUAUGUGUCCCAAUGAAGAUAUCUCAAUUUUUUAGGAAGAUAAUCUAGGCCAUUUGGAAGCUGCACUUUAGAGUAUGAAAGAUGCUCUUCAAUGCUCAUACUUGGAAGCUUUUCAAUCCCAUAAAAUUUGAGCAAUCUCAUAUUAGACAUAUUUGUGAAGGCUCCGGGGUCUAAAUUGAUGCGUUUUAUUUUGGACAAAUCCAGAAAUAUGCCUUCAAUUGCAUCGGUCCCCUUAUUAAAAAAAAAAAAAAGAAUGAGUAAGCCUAAAACUCAAAAGAAACAUUCGUAAACUUUAUUAAUUAAGAGCUCCUUAAACAAAAAUAAAUUACGCAAUCUUUGAUUUUAUUUUUUUAAUAUAUUAAAUAUCUAUAUGCGAGAAAAGAAAAUUUUGGGGACCAUUGCAAAAUUAAACUAACUGAAAAAAAAUUCAAAAUUUCUCUAAUUUACAAACCUGUUAUCUUAAUAUCUAGAAGUUGAGAAGACAAGGCCUAUUUGAUUGGUAUAAGAUUUCGAUUUUUUUUUUUUUUAGUCCAUAGAAUCCAAAAUGUUAGUUCAAAAUUAGGGAAAAAGUCAUUUUUUUUCCACUAGCUGUAAUUGUAUCCAAGUCAAAUUGAGAUACGACCCUUUUCAAAAGGAUUUAACCAUCUUACAGCCUCCUUAAGGCACAUUUAAGCUAAAAGGAGUGAUUGGAGGCAGAACUAGGUGGGCCAAUCAGUCCAUUUUAUUAGUGACCGUUGCUUAAAAAAAAUUAUACUCUAAACCACACUUACUUUUUUGAAAAAAAAAUGUAAUUAUAUUGAAAUAAAAUCAGGUGGGCCAAUCCUCAUGGCACUCACUUUGUUCUAACACUCUUCACUAAAUUUGAAGAAAAAUAAAAUUAUACUCUUCACACUCGUAUUCAACAUUCCAAAAUUGAUAAAAUCGGGAGUUUUCUUUAAAAAUUUAAAAUUUGAAGACUUGUUCUCUUGACACCCUCAGUCAUUAAUUUUACCUAAUUAUGGUUUUUAUGAUUUUGGUUGUUUUGUUCAUAAAAAUGCUUUUACUAAAGGAUGUUCUGGUAAUAAUAAAAUUUAUAAAAAAAACAUGGGUGUGCUGAUAUAGUUGGAAAAAUAUGAGUGCAUAACUCCAAACAAAUAAAAGAUAUAUAUAUAUAUAUAUAAAUGGAGGAUUCUUACCUUAUUAUGCUUUAGUACGCGGCGGAUUUCCUUAGGAUCCCACAACCUGCUGCGUUUGCCUGGCUCUUUCUCAGAUUCUUGGCGAACAAUCUGUCGCCCCAUUUCUUGCAAUAUAUCAUGCAUCUGCAAGGAAUCACCUGAUAUUGAUAUGAGUGACUUAUCAAUAAGGACAUCCAGUCCAUCAGACUCAGAAUCAUCAAGAAUCCUUGCCAGAAAAUCUUUAUCCCCUCCCUCGAAGAAACACGCAAUAUCUAGAAAUAUGCUCUGCACCCUGGGCGUUAAUUCAUAAAAACUAAUCUUUAAUAUUUCAUAAAUAUUAUGAAUAUCAGAUUCACAAAUCCGAUUUAAGUCGUCCAAUACAUUUUCCCAAUGGCUUUUCCUCUUGAGAUACAGGGAGGAACCCAACACCUUAAGAACUAAUGGAUUGCCUUUGGCAUACUUUACAAACCUCCGUGAGUGCCGAUUGAGAUCUUCAGGACAAUGAUUUUCUUUAAAAGCGAAGUUACAAAAAUGCUCGAAAGCCUCAUCCAAUCUCAAUCCAUUGACCCUAUAUAUUUUCUCCACUCCAAAUUUUUCGAGGACUCGUUUAUCCCUGGUGGUUACAACAAUUCUACUUCCUGGACCAUAUUGAUCAAGCCCUCCAAUCAAACCCUCUAAUUGUUCAUCUUUAUUCACAUCAUCGAGUACAAUCAACACCUUCAUGCGUCGGACCCUCCCUUUAGUAAAUUGUGGAAUAUUGGGACCAGCUACUUCAAGUUUUUCACUUAAUAUUGUCGAAAGCAUUUCCUUUUGUAGGUCUUCUAGGCCACCCUCUGUUUCUGAUUUUCUCCUAACAUUUUUUGCAAAGUAUUUACCAUCAAACUCACCAGAGAAUUGAUCGAAAAUAGCUUCAGCAAGGGUAGUUUUGCCUAUACCACCCGUGCCCCAAAUUCCAACAAUUUGGACAGUAUCCCACAAAUCCAUACACAAAAAUGGUUUAAUCUGCUCAAUUCGUGAAUUUAAUCCAACUAGGCCGUUGGAUGAGUCCGUUGAGACUGUUAUUUUUUCCAACUUCUUCAAAACAUCUUCGACAAUUUUGUUUACAAGUUGCGCAUCAAGCCUAAUAUGAAGGUGCAAAGAUGCAAAAACAUUGAGUCAAAUCGGGCCAAGACAGAAACAGAGAAAAGAUGAAUUAGGAAAGAGAGUUACCUGAAUUUCGUGGAUUCAUGGCCGGCUAGAUGGGAUGUUUCUGUCAGUGCAUCCCUCCACUUCUGAACCAUUUCUGGUUUAUCUUUGAACUGUUUUUUGAGCUCAUCAAAACGGUCUCCAAAUGUUCCGUUUUGAUGCCGCACAUCAGAUGGACUUACUCCAUAGAAGACUGGAAUAAUAAUUUGGCCGUUUGUGUUCUUGCAUUCAAGAAUCUUGACAAGUUCAUUCAGGCACCAUUUUGAAGAAGCGUAGUCCUUUGAGAAAAUGACCACCGAAAUUUUUGAACCUUGGAUUGCGUACAAAAGGGCGGGUGAAAUCUCAUCUCCUCGCCUAAGCCCUUCAUCAUCAAUAAAUGUUUUGAUUUUCUUUCCUUCAUACAAUUUAUCAUAGAGAUAGCAAGUAAAGCUCUUACGAGUGUCCUCCCCUCUAAAGUUGAGGAAGACUUCAUAAUUGCCACAAGAAGAAGAGGAAGCCAUGAAGGAAAUUUUAGAAAAUUGGUGACAGAAACAGAGAAUUAAUCUUGAGAGUUGAGAGAGGAGAUGUAAGAAUGAACAUGUGUGAAGAUUCUUGCGAGUACAUAGUAAAUAAUUGAAUGGCUGGAGCUUUCUUAGUUUCCUGGAAAUUUCCUGGAGCUUUCGUAUACAUGAUUUGUCAAGUCAUGAAACAUAAUCAUGAUAAUGGGGCAGACCAAAAAGAAAAGCAACAAUUCAAAUAUUUGAUUCAACCAGUAUAAAAAGGAAGGAAAAGCAAAGAAAGGAAAUGUUGAAAGUAGAGUUAGGGAAUUAUAAAAAGCUGAAGGAAAUUGGAAUUUUGUACAAUUUCUCCAGCGAGGAACUUUCACAGUCGUUACCUCAUUGUUACAGUUUAGAUUAAGAUUUGAGGGUGCAAGCAUUUACCUAGAUUUUACCUCCGCACUAAAUUCUUAAGUUUGAAAAAUUAUGAGACCUUUAUAUUGGAAGAUAUUAUAAUCGAAUCAAAACUUAAAAUUUUAAUAUUGUUAAUCUUUAAUCUUUAAAAAAAAUUACCUUGCCGUUACAAUUUGGAUUAAGAUUUGAAUAAGCAUUUACCUAAAUUUUAUCUCCGCCUGUAAAUUCUUAUGUUUUAAAAAUUAUGAGACCUUUAUAUUGGGAGAUAUUAUAAUCGAAUCAAAAUUUUGAAUUUCAAUAUUAUUAUUCUUUUAAAAAAAUUUGAGAUAACAGAGUGAUUGAUAAUAGAGAACUUGUCUAGGCAAACACAUGCAUACACAAAAAUGUGAUGGAUUCAAAAAGAAAUUAAAGUGAUAAUGUACGUGGAUCCUUAAAACAAAAAGCGAAAUCGCUUGGUGGCCCAGUAAAAUUAAGACUGAAUAUUUUUUACACGAGAAGUCAAGCUCAUAAAUGGCAAAAGCCAUUUCAUUUCACUUUUACGCGUCAUUGACUUUUGUAACACGGUGUAUGCAUCGUCAAGUGGGGCAAAAGGGUUUCGAUUACAGUGGGAAAACAUGAACAAGAAUGCAUAAUGAAUAAUUCUUUCGAUAAAGCGAAAAUUAAACACAGAAUAAUCCUAAAAUUUAAACUCUAAUAUCUUAUAAUGUAUUGAUUAAAAAUAAUCCUAAGAGUUCCCAAUUGAAACUUUCAUAAGUAUUUUUAUUGUUUUGGAUAAACAAAUUGCACUAGGAAAACAAUUUGGCAAAUUCAGAGGAUAAUGAAAAAUAGCUAUGCUUCAAUAGGCCAAAGAUUAGAGAACAAAGAAGAAUUAGUUAUUGAUAUACGAAAGAGAAACACUCCAAAAUUUCAAGCAAAAUAUUUUCAUAUACCAUUUCGAUUUUGGAAGGGGUGUGGUUUUGAACUUCAAUAGUUUCCUCUAAAAUCAAAAGGCAGCAAUUAAGCUAGAAAGAGCAAAGAAGACUUUUUGGUACCUUAUUGAAGGUAAACAUUAUGGAACUUCCAAUGUCAUUACCUCACUGUUUAAUUUUUAUUGAGAUUUGUGCAAGCAUUUACCUAAAUCUUACCUCUGCCUGUAAAUUCAUAAGUUUUGAAAAUUAUGAGACCUUAUAUCGGGAGAUAUUAUAAUCGAACUAAAACUUAAAAUUUCUUUUCUUUUCUUUUUUUAUCAUAAAAGGGCUCUUAAGAGAGCUACGACAACACUAAGUGGGAGUGUGCAACCCCAUGAACAUCAUUAAUCAAUAUGUUUAGCGUAUUUGGAGGAAUAGAUUGAAAGCAAUGUAAACCCAAAGGAAACAAAAAGCUGUACGAAGUAAGGAAAUCUGCUGCUACAUUGGUUUCUCGGUAGAUAUGAUCCACUUUGAUCAGCCAAUCACGCCAAAGGAGUUCUUCGAUGGCCUGAAUGAGAAUAAAAUGCUCAUUGACGGGAGGGUUUUAGUUAGAGAUUAACUUCAUAACACACAUGCUGUCUACUUCCACGUAAAACUUAAAAUUUCAAUAUUAUUAUUCUUUAAAAAAAAAAUUGAGAUAUCAGAGUAAUAUCACAUAGAAAAACUUGCCCACGGACGGUAAGCCAAAUGUCUAGUCAACCACAUGCAUAAAGCUAAGUAGAACAAGAGAACAGAGAAACGCGUGGGUCCCUAAAGAAAAGGCAAGCACAUAAAUGAAAAAGCCAUUACAUUUCUAUUAACACGGUGUGGCAGCAUAUGCACAAUCAAGUGAGGCAAAAGGGAUUCGCUUAUCGUGGCAGAACAUGGACGAGGACGCGUGACGAAUAAUUCCUUCGAUAAAACGAAAAACAAACGCAGAGAAAAGAAUUUCUUAUAUGACAAGAAAUCAAAGAAAUGUGAAGGAACAUGAUGAAGAAAUUGCAGACUGAUCAAUUAUCCCCAUGGACUCCUAUAAAUUCAACCAAAAUAACAAUUCGAAUCUUACCAAAUUCUUGAGUUAAAUUUAUUCAAUGCUUUUAUUUUUUUAGAGAAAUUUUUUCCAUUGCUACUUUCCCUUUUUUGGGGAAAUUAGAACCGCGGCAUGUAUAGAAAACAUUGAGGUGUAAAGCAACAUUAAUUUCAUGGGAUAUGCGUUAUACGCAUAAUAUAUUUUCAGUCCAAAUUCAACUAUACAAAGAGGCUUGAGAACUUAAAAUUAAGCACAAACUAAACAGACGAAGUAAAUACAUGAUUAUGCAACAUAACAUUAAUUCUCUUAAUUUAUAACUGUUUUUGCCACAUGAAUCUUGCACAGUUAAUCCUAAUUGAAGACUAAAAAAGAGCAAUUGGAAGAAGGUUUUGGAAUAGAAUGGUAUACAAUCGAUAUGAUCCUUUUCCAGUAGUCAACGCUAAUUAACUGCAGUUUCUAGACUCCUAAUUAUACUAGCCAUAGAAAACUGGUGAUCAAAUUAGAUUUUGAAAGGAAAUAAUGUUCAUUUUCCCUUCGCUGCCUUUUUUUUUCUUUUCUUUUUAUAGCAAAGAAUUAUAUCAUGAAAAGAAUCAAUUUAAUCACCUUUUCCAGCAGCACAAUUUUUCUUUUAUAAAAUUUGACCACAGAGACAAAGAAGAAUUAUUCAUACCUUCAUCAGUGAGGAAAUACUUUUCGGUAUGGCUAGGGUGAGAAAAGGCUUUCCACAAACACUUGUACUUUGUAUUCCUGUAAAUUUUCUUUAAAGUCAAUAAAAACCAUAAGUUCUUUACAAUAACCACCUCUUUGAUAAAAAAGUGCCGUAUUCCUUUAGAAUUUAAAACCGGCAAAAUCGGAAUCAGUGUCUUUGAAGAGACAUAAUGGUCGUAAUUCUUUAAAUGAGUUGGCUAUGGAAAUCCUUAUCCAAGAUUCUUUUACGCCAUAUUCUUUCGUAAACCAAAAUUCAUUUUGGAAUACUCUGUUGAGAAUGUCAAAUAAAACGGCAUUGAAGGAAGUUUUCAAAGGUAGAAUCCGCACUUGUCAAAGGGAUGAUCUGCACUUGUCAAAGACACGAUCCGCGUCAAACGAAUCGACACAUUUCCUUUCGUAUUCGCAUAUGUAAUCUUUGAAAAAAUGUAGCUUCUGCAUCUAUAAAUAACGCUCAGUGUAUAAUGUUUUAUUCAAGAAAAAAAACAAGUUUCUUCAUACUCGUCGUCCGAACAUACAGAGACCGUCUCUCAUAACUUCAGCCGAAUACUUGUGAUGAUGAUCAUUUGUGAUUUCAUCAGGCAAAGGGUUGAUGGUGAAAAUUUUUGUAUGUGUGAAGAAUUGAGCUGUGGAUAUAGGGGACUUAAGUGUAAUCGAAAGAGAGUUAUUAGGUCAUAGUGCAGAUUGCAUUCAGUUUAUGGGUCGCUAUGCAGAUAAUUUGUUGACGUGGCGAAAUCUGUUAUGGUCGUUAGUAUUGUUUCUGGAAAUUUUCUAGAAACCUCAGCAUAAAAGGGGCUUUUGCAUAGCCUCUGGUGUGCGUGUGAUUUCUCUUUCGUUUCCUCAUCAAAUUCUGUAAUUCUUGCUUUGAUAAAAAGCUUGUAAUCUCUUCUGUAAUGUGUGAUCAGUGCGUAAUCAUUUUGAGCAAUAAACGCUUGUGGGUUUUUCCUUCAAACAGUGUCGUUUUGGUCAGUUUGUUAGUUUGAUCUGUUGGUGGAAUUUUCUUUGGUUAUUUGUUCUCAAAAUUCAACCGUAUAUAAAGUUUGAACUCUAAUGGCUUAUAAUGUAUUGAUUAAGAAUAAUCCUAAGAGUUCCCGAUUGAAAUUUUUAAUGACUAUUUUUAUUGUUUUGGAUAUACAAAUUGCAUUAAGAAAAAAUAUUGUCAAAUUCAGAGGAUAACGGGAAAUAAUUAUGCUUCAAAAGGCCAGAGAUUUGAGAACAAAGAAGCAUUCAUUACUGAUAUACAAAAGAGAAACACUCCAAAAUUGCAAGCAAACUAGUUUCAUAUACUGUUUGGAUUCUGGAAGGGGUGAAGUUUUGAACUUCAGUUGUUCCUCUAAAAUCAAAAGCAGCAAUUAAGCGUUCUCAAUUAGAAAUAGCAAAGAAGACUUAUUCGUACCUUACUGAAGCUAACAUUAUGGCACGGUUGUUCAUAUGUAAUGGCUGCUCUGUUAUGCUAUAUGCUCUGUUAUGCUAGCUUCUCUGUUUUUGCUUACAGUUUUGAACAUAAAUUCUUGCUCAAAUAACCCAUAAUUAAAUAACACUAAUAUGGCUCCUGAAAUCCCAUAAUAGCUAAUUACGCAACUUUCUCCUCCUCCUCAAUUAUGUCUUCCCCUGCUCGGACACUAACUUCAAAAUUCAAUGCCCCGAAAAACAACACAAGAAAUCUUUGAGUUAAAUCGUGACCAGUUUAUAUAUCGUAGCAAUUGAAAAAGAAAAAGAAGAAAAGAGUUAAUUAUUAUUCAGACCUUCACUUAUUAGGAAGUUUGUUCUGCUAUUGGGUGAGAUCAAGCUCUCAGCAUAUACUUCCACAUGAUACUUUCUAACAUUUUCUUGAAAGCCAUCAAUCAUAAAAUCUUCAUACUUUUUUCCAUCCUUUGGAUCAAUAAGUACAAAUUUCUCAUCUAAAACAGACAAAAUAAAAUCACUGUCCUUCAUGGAACAUAAUGGCUGCAAUGCCUGAACUGAAUUGGCUAAUGAAACAUAGUCUUCUUUUCUUUCUCGACAUGGAACAUAGUCUUCUUUUCUUUCUGGACAUAUGUCUCUGUACUUUUCUCUCUCUACUGAUCCACACUUUUUCAUACUUCUAACUAUCAUUUUGUUUUUUUUUUUGGUUAAGUUGUGAUUUAUUCAAUUAUUUUGUAUUUUUAAUGACAAUUAUUUAAUAUUUAGUUAGUUUUGAUAUUGAUUAGUGAUUGAAAGUGUAUUUUAGAAGACUUCCGGUCUCUUGGAAAAAGGAAAAAUGGAGACGAAGAAGAAGUGUUCUUGAUUUUUUUGUAGGCAUUAAAGUUAAACGGUUUGAAAUGAUAUUUUGUUUUAAUUUCACUCAUUAAUCUCAUUCAGGAUAAAAUUAUAAAUGCAAAUAAAUGGGGUUUCAUGAGUUUUUUUUAAUAGUGUUAAAAGGUCUACUCACUAAAUAAACAUGUUUUACCCAAACCAAUCCGAUUAAUAAAGUUAUUGGGUUGGGUUGAUCAGGUUAAAAAUCAAAAUUAAAAAUUAAAUAAAUAAAAAAGGCGUUAAAACUAUCUGUUACUUGAAAAUAAAAAGAAUUUCAAAUAGUUAGUUCUAAUGUCCCAUAUCCAAAACAUGCAUAUUAAAUAAAUAUUAUAAGUUAGAGAUAAAAUAUCCAAGAAAUAAUGAAUGAAUGAAAUACCAUAUUUUUGUUGAGAAUUAAGAGUGUGAUUUUAAUUUUGAUAUUGGAGUCUAAAGCAAUAGAUAGUACAAUGAAAUCAUGAAUGCCACAUUUAAAUAAUGUCUUUUAUAAAAUAAUAAAAAGAAGUUAAAAAUUAGGUUAGCCAUUUAGGCGUUUAGGGUUUAGCAGUUAAGGAUGAACAUAUUAUUAUUAUUGUUGUUGUUGUUGUUAUUAUAACAAUUAUUAUUUACAUAUUAAUUAAUCCAACCCAACCCAAUUAUUAACAAACUAGGAAAUAAAACCGCACUUCGUGCGGCUUUAAAAGAAAAUUAAUAUUAUUUUUUUAUUACUUUACAAUUGAUGAAACUAAUAAAAAAUAUGAAUUAUUUUUAAAAUGACGUAAUCUUAUAAAACUAAUGUUAUUUAUGAAAGUUAAUUAUUUUUUUGUUAACAUUAAAAAUAUAUAUUAAUGUGUAUAGUUAAGUGUACACAACUUUUUCAUCAAUAAAAAUUAUGUUCACAUUAAUCAACUCUCCAUUUUUCUUAGUAUUAACAGACUCUCACAUCUUACAAAGUCUGACCCUUAUUAUUCAACUAUCUUUAUCAUAGUUUAACUCAUGAAGAAAAUAGUACUCCAUGAAGCAUACAAUACUAAAAAUUUAAAUAAGUCAAAAAAUAAAAACACAAAAACAUUUCUAAAGAGAAUGUUGGUUAAAUAAUAAAAAAAACUCAAACAUAACAAAUCUUAAAUGCUUAAUAUUUAUAGAGCUUGAAGAAGCCAAAAGAUACUAAAUAAAAGGUUGCAUAAUUAAAUAUAGGAUUAUAACAUUAAAAUUAGGUCAUAAGGCAUUGGUGAGGGAAGAGGAAGGAACAUUCCUUCUUAUAUUAAUUAGUUGAUGUAUUUUAAACCACUAAAGUUUAUUUGUUGGCUUAAUAAAAUAAAUGAAUGUUUCAAAACUUAUAAUUAAUUUAUUAUUAAUGGUUAUAUAUUGUUGAAUUUAAAUAGAAAGAGAAAGAGACAUGUAAUCUUUUGUAAUCUAUUAAUUAUUUUAUAUUUUUAAUAUUUUGUAAUGUAAUUAUUUUUUAAUCUCAACCAAUAUGUUAGAUAAUAGAGAAUAUAAAAAGAUGAGAAAUAAUAAUGCCACAAAUCUUAACUACUUAAUAUUUAUAGAGUUUGAAGAAGUCAAAAGGUACUAAACAAAAGGUUGCAUAAUUAAAUAUGAGAUUAUAGCAUUAAAAUUAGACCCCACUGGCAUUAUUGAGAGAAGAUGAAGGAACAUUCCUUCCUAUAUUAAUUAAUUGAUAUAUUUAAGCUACUAAAAUUUAAUUGUUGGCAUAAUAAAAUAAAUAAAUGUUUCAAGAUUUAUAAUUAAUUAUUAUUAAUGGUUACAUAUUAUUGAAUUUAAAUAGAAAGAGGAAGAGACAUGUAAUCUUUUAUAAUCUAAUAAUUAUUUUUAUUUUUAAUAUUUUAUAAUGUAAUUAUUUUUUUAAUAUCAACUAAUUUAUUAGAUAAUAGAGAAUACAAGAAGAUGAGAAAUAGUGAUGUCACAUCACCUCCUCUAGUCCCAACUUUAUAUAUAUAUAUAUAUAUAUAUAUAAUAUUUUGUAAUGUAAUUAUUUUUUAAUCUCAGCCAAUAUAUUAGAUAAUAGAGAAUAAAAAAAGAUGAGAAAUAAUGAUACCACAAAUCUUAAAUAUUUAAUAUUUAUGGAGUUUGAAGAAGCCAAAAGGCACUAAACAAAAGAUUGAAUAAUUAAAUAUGAGAUUAUGACAUUAAAAUUAGACUCUAAUGGCAUUGUUGAGGGAAGAUGAAGGAACUUUCCUUCCUAUAUUAAUUAAUUAAUGUAUUUUAAGCCACUAAAAUUUAAUUGUUGGCAUAAUAAAAUAAAUGAAUGUUUCAAGACUUAUAAUUAAUUAUUAUUAAUGGUUACAUAUUGUUGAAUUUAAAUAGAAAGAGGAAAAGACAUGUAAUCAUUUAUAAUAUAAUAAUUAUUUUCUAUUUUCUAUUUUAAUAUUUUGUAAUGUAAUUAUUUUUUAAUUUCAACCAAUUUAUUAGAUAAUAGAGAAUAUGAAAUGAUGAGAAAUGGUGAUGCCACAUCACCUCUUGUAGUCUCAACUUUAUAUAUAUAUAUAUAUAUAUAUAUUAAUUCAUGUCUUUUAUACCACUAAAGUUUAAUUGCUAGCAUAAUAAAAUAAAUAAAUGUUUCAGAAGACUUAUAAUUAAUAUUAUUAAUGAUUACAUAUUGUUGAAUUUAAAUAGAAAGAGAAAAAAAUUACAAAGAAUAUCCACCAAUAUUUUAGAUAUUUUAGAUAAUAGAAAAUAUAAAAAGAUGAGGAAUGAUAUAUAUUAAUAAAGUUACUAUUUAUUAAAUGAGUUAAAUACAAUCAAAUUAAUUAUGAGAAGAUGAAAAGCCAAAUCUAAAAAAAAAAUCUCUAUUUAUUAGAUAAUAGAGAAUAUAUAAAGAAGUAAAAUGGUGAUGCCACAUCACCUACUCAAGUCCUAGCUUUAUAUAUACACUAGAAAAUAGAACCGCGUUUCACGCGGCUUUGAAAAAAAAUUUUAAUGUUAUCUUUUUUUUUUAUUUUGCACAUGAUGAAACUGAUAAAAAAUAUGAAUUGACUUUUUUUUAAGAUGAAGCAGCCUUAUUAAAAAAAAACUAUUAGCCAGCAAUACAAAUAAAGAAGUAAUGUAAGAUAAAAAAUAAAAUGAGAGAAUAUAUUAUAGAAUGAUUUUAUUCAUUCUAAUUGUGUGGUACAAAACAAAAAGAUGAGCUCUCAUUUUAUAGUUACAUAAUCACUCCAUGAAAUUAAUGAAAAAUUAUGGAUCAUAAUUCCUUGUGAGAUAGUGGGAGUUAUAGGGAAGCUAAAGGUUGCUAAUGGAAGAUAGUGGGGAGACUAAGAGAUAUAUGUUAUGAACAUCUACAUUUAUUUUAAUAAAUUCAUAACACUCCCCCUUUGAUGUUCAUUAUAAAAAAUAUGCCUCAUUAAAAUCUAUUAGCCAACAAUACAAAUAAAAAAGCCACACAAUAUAAAGAAUAAAAUGAGAGAAUAUAUUAUAGAGUGAUUUCAUUCAUUCCAAUUAUGUGUGUACAAAACAAAAAGAUGAGCUCUCCUUUUAUAGUUACAUAAUCACUCCAUGAAAUUAAUGAAAAAUUAUGGAUCAUAAUUCCUUGUGAGAUAGUAGAAGUUAUAGGAAAGCUAAAGGUUACUAAUGGGAGAUAGUGGAGAGAGUAAAAGAUAUAUGUUAUGAACAUCUACAUUUAUUUUAAUAAAUUCAUAACACUCCCCUUUGGAUGUUCAUUACAAAAAAUAUGUCUCAUUAAAACCUUUAUAUAAUUGUUAUUGUGUAAUAACAAUCAAAUUAAUUAUGAGAAGAUGAAAAGUCAAAUCUAAAAGAAAAUUUCUCUAUUUAUUAGAUAGAUAAUAGAGAAUAUACAAAGAUGAGAAAUAGUGAUGCCACAUCACUCUCUCAAGUCUCAACUUUAUAUAGAUAUAUAGAUUUGAAAUGAUUGACUCAAUUAAUCCACAAUAAUUCAUUCAACUCGUCUAAAUUAGAUUAUGUUGAAUUUGAUUUGCUACACCUACAUUGAGCAACAAACCUCAACGACAUUCUACGAGCUCUUUGAUUGUUUAUAAAAUUGAUUUAGAGUACAUAAAGUGUAUCGACAAUGAAAGUGCAAAACAAAUUAUUGUACAUAUUAAAAUGUGCAAAACAAUGAAUUAUAUGUACAAACGAGUGCAAACACAUUUUUCAAUAAGAAGUUAAAAGAUAUUUAUGCAUGAAAAAGCCUACGUUUGUAGUUAUUCUAAAUUUUAAAAACAAAAUUUACAUUUAGAUCCCUAAAAUUUACGUAUAAGUAUAAAAGUUUCAAAUAUUGUCUAUUAUUUUUUUAACAUGCCUAUUCCUUAUGGAUAAUUCUGUCUCAUCACUAAUGUUGUUUCUUGCUUAGAAAAAAUAAAUGUCAUCUCCUUUUACAAUUUUUAUAGCGUCUCGAAAUAGACAAUAGGGGAUUUUGAAUUUUUUAAGUCUCAAGAUAGUCUCUAAUCGUGUGAGAAAGAUUUUCUUUCAAUAAUUUGGAGCUAAACAUAACAUAUUUUUUAGACUAAAAUCUAACUCUGCUGGUUAGUAGUUGGUGGUAUCCUUUUCAAGACUUGAGUCUUUAGAUUCGAGUUUUAUAUAGUGUACAUGUGUAUUUAAUUAAUAAUUUUUUUCAAAAAAAAAAAUUACAUCAAAUACUAAUAUUCAUGACAUAAUUUAGUUCAUAAUUUUUUUAAAUACAUCGAAAAAUAUAAUUUUUUAACAACUUAUAGGCACGACAAAUUUCAAGAUAUAAAUAUCAGUCAAAAUAAAUGAAAGAAAUAAUGGUGUCAAUUCUAAUUUCUUAACUAAAUUAAUUAUUGCAUGAGCCCCGAAUACGACAUGAGAGUUUGAUGGGCUAACUUGGCACAAGAACGCGAAUAGUUAACUCAUUUAAGAAAUAAUUCAACAAAAAAUAUAAUUGAUAAGAAUUCAGUAUUGAAAUGAAUUUUUUACGAAACAUUGAAUUAAUGAUUAUUAAGCAAGAACAAUAAAAAAAUAAAAUAAAAAUAAAUAUUAACCAUUGAUAAGCUUCAACAAGAACUUAACACAACCCUCAAUCCUAAUUCAAAUCAUAAAUGUCAUUCAUAUAUUCAUUAUAAAUCAAUAACAAAGGUUAUAAAUGUUUAGAAAUUCUAGAGGGAAGGAAGCUAUCUCCGGGGAAUCAACAACUAAAUUUGAUGUAAUUGUGGCACACGAUGGAAUAUGGAAACUACACCAUAAUUUCAAAUGCCGCCAUAGACAUUGACUUAUCUACAAUAACAAUGAUCUAAUUAAAAUUAAAAUAAAGUUUAUGGGCAUUUAUUAUUUUGCCAUUUCUCAUUUGCAAACAGGGAUAUAAUUAUAAUUUUACUUAGUCAAAGCAAUCAGUAAUUUUCUUCAUUAUCGGAGUGAAGUAAAAACAUUUAGAUUUUAAUGAGUGUACGGAAAAUUUAUCUUUAAAAAUACUUUCUUAAUGUGUGUGUAUAUAUAUAUUGAAAUAUUAUGCUAUCAAAAGUUAAUUUUAGAAAUUCCAAAUCCAAUAGCUAACACAAUUCUUUAAAGAAAAAAAAAAAAAGGUUGAUAAUCAGCAAUUAGUAUUACUUUCUAAACUUACUUCAACUGGUCGUUAAUGAGGGGCCUUGGGCAAGAGUGAUGAAUGUUUAGUCGGUGCAUUUGAUUGAUAGAUAUAUAAAGGGCCGAAACUUGAGAUUAUAUUACUUUUACAAAUUUUAAUCCAAUCACAUAUUUACUGAAACACAAAAUGAGUUAGGAUACUUUAUUUAGAACCCACAUUUUAAUAAGGCUUCAUUUGAUGUAGUUUUUCAAACAGUGAUUAUUUGAGUAAAGUUUCCUCAAUAGAGUUUUUAUCAAAUAAAUUUUAUUUAUUUGGUUGUCGAUAAGAACUUUUAUUAAAAAUUAUAAAAUUAUUUAAAUAAACAUAUUUUUUUAAAAUUACAUUAUAAAAAGAAUUAAAUAAAGUUAUAAAAGUAAAAUAUAUUUUAGAUAUUUUAAUAUUUAAGAAAAAAAUUUUGAAUCUCUACUUUCAGAAGCUCAAAUUUUUAGUUUUUAGUUGUAGAGACAAAAUAUCUUAUUUAAUCUUUAAAAGUUCUGCUAAAAACAAUCAAAUAACUAUAAAAUUUUUAAUAAGAGUAUAUAAAAUUAAAUAAGCAUUUAUUAAUAAUCACUUUAGUGUACUUAUCUAAUGACCAUAAGUGUUUAUUUAAUCUCAUAAGUUCUUAUUUAAUCUCAUGAGCUCUUUUCAAUUUUUUUUGUUGUUUGCUUUUUUUAGUAGAGUUUUUGAAAAUUAAAUAAACUAUUUUGUCUCUAUUAGGAAAAACUCAAAUUUUAGGUUUUUGUGAGUAAAUGUUUAAAUUUUUUUAAAAAUAUUAAAAUAUUAAAGUAAAAGUUGUAGAGACAAAAUAUCUUAUUUAAUGUUUAAAAGUUCUGCUAAAAAUAAUCAAAUAACUACAAAAAUUUUAAUAAGAGCAUAUAAAAUUAAAUAAGCAUUUAUUAAUAGUCACUUUAGUAUACUUAUCUAAUGACCAUAAGUGUUUAUUUAAUCUAAUGAGCUCUUUUUAAUUUUGUUUGUUUGUUUUUUUAGUAGAGUUUUUGAAAAUUAAAUAAACUAUUUUGUCUCUAUUAGGAAAAACUUAAAAUUUAGGUUUUUGUGAGUAAAUGUUUAAAUUUUUUUUAAAAUAUUAAAAUAUCUUUUCUUUAUUUCAUAAUCUUAUUUCAUUCUUCACAACAUAACUUUAAAUAACUCACCUAUUAAAAUAAUUUCACAAUUUAUAAUAAAAAUUUUAAUUGACAAUCAAAUAACAAAUUUUUUUUUAUAAAAACUCUAAUAAUAAAAAUUCUACUUAAAUAAAUUAUAUUUGAAAAGGUAUACCAAACGAACCUAACAUAAAAACAAAAAUUUUUACAUCCACACAAUUAAGCUUAAAACAAUUUCAAAUGAAUUUUAGACUACUCAAAGUACAAUACGUACCAAGUUUGGUAACUUAUUGGGGUCCGCUUGUAAUACAGCUCAUGAGCUCUUUUUAAAAAAAUUUUGAAUCUCUACUUUCAGAAGCUCAAAUUUUUAGUUUUUAGUUAUAGAGACAAAAUAUCGUAUUUAAUGUUUAAAAGUUCUGCUAAAAACAAUCAAAUAAUUACAAAAAUUUUAACAAGAGCAUAUAAAAUUAAAUAAGCAUUUAUUAAUAAUCACUUUAGUGUACUUUAUCUAAUGACCAUAAGUGUUUAUUUAAUCUCAUGAGCUCUUUUUAAUUUUUUUGUUGUUUUUUUAGUAGAGUUUUUAAAAAUUAAAUAAAUUAUUUUGUCUCUACUAGGAAAAACUUAAAAUUUAGGUUUUUGUGAGUAAAUGUUUAAAUUUUUUUACAAAUAUUAAAAUAUUUUUUUCUUUAUUUCAUAAUCUUAUUUCAUUCUUCACAACAUAACUUUAAAUAACUCACCUAUUAAAAUAAUUUCACAAUUUAUAAUAAAAAUUCUAAUUGACAAUCAAAUAACAAUUUUUUUUUAAUAAAAAUUCUACUUAAAUAAAUUAUAUUUGAAAAAGUAUACUAAACAAACUUUUUUUAGACUAAUCAAAGUACAUCUUCUCAUAAAAUAAUUUCACAAUUUCUAAAAAAAACUCUAAUUGACAAUUAAGUAACAACUUUUUUUUUUUUGUAAAAACUUUAUUUAUAAAAAAUCUAAUAAUAAAAAUUCUAUUUAAAUAAAUUAUAUUUGAAAAUGUAUACUAAACCAACCUAACAUAAAAACAAAAAUUUUUACAUCCAGACAAUUAAGCUUAAAACAAUUUCAAAUGAAUUUUAGACUAAUCAAAGUACAAUACGUACCAAGUUUGGUAACUUAAUUGACAUCUUCUCAUAUAACCUUCGAUCAAGUCGAUUCUGACCUGACGACUAAUUGGUACAUCACCGUUGUUCUCUAUACUCGCAUGCAUCCGAUCACAAAUCUCACUCCAAUUGUCGUCUUUCUUCGGCGUUUUAGCGCAUCCUUCUUGAAUUUCCCGCAUUUCGUUCCCUCCUGUUACAAGUCUCCGGUCAGGUCAGUUCACUUGACGAUUAAUUCGGCAAAUCUCGAAUCUCUUCUCUAUCCCUCUCGUUUUCUCGUGUCUCCUUUCAGUUUAAGUGAUUGAAUCAAUUUUAUCGCAGUCUUAAGAGAAAUUAAGUAAUGCUCUUGGAUUUAAAAUUUUUUUGCUUUCGACUUUAGAUCUCGAAAGUCAAACUCUGCUACGAAUCCAUAGAUUCUCAAUGUUUAUAAUCUUAUUUGUGUUUGACCAGGUAACUGGAUCGUGAAAUUCGUCGUUUUGUAUCAAUUCAGGCUUUCGCGAGCUCAUGGAAUCACCUGGUGAGUUGUGGUGAAACGUUAUCGUUUCAAUUUUCGCUUAAUUCUUUAUUGCAUAUUUUUUCUCUAACAUUUCAGUUUAAUUUAGAAAAGAAAGAGGACCCAAAAAGAGAGAGAGAGAGAGAGACUCUACCAUACUCAAUUCCUUGCUCAUUCUGAUUUGGCCUGAAUGUUGGCAUUGACUAUUAUUUGUUUUCAUUUCGAUUUAAUUCUCAUUUAGACAGUCUUUACUAACGGUCAAUAAUAGUUUAAGGAAAAUGAUAAUAGGGAUUCUGCAAUAAUCUUUCUGCAUUGUUCAAGUUAGUAGACGAUGAAUAGGAUGUUUAUGUUUACCUCAUUUUGAACCCUGAGGGCUUCGUUGAGUAGUUGAUUCAACAUAUCCAGCAACGGUUGAUGUGAGAACAGGAUGCCACUUAGAUAGGCUUAAACUGAUUUUGGAGGUUUGUAUUGGUUCUAUUGUACGUCUUGCUUACAAAUUUUUUAUUUUUUAUUUUUAAUUUUGUAUAAUAUGCUCUUUGUUGGUAAAUCUCAUUUGACUUAGAAGAGAUAGUUUUAUCCCAACAGUGGGAUAAAUCAUUGAGAUGCAUGGCAGUGUGAAUAUAGUAGACAAAAUCAUUGAGACACAUGGUGGUGUGAACAUAGUAAACUUCAUGGAAGCAAUGAAGCUUGAAAUUGAACGUCUGCAGCUGAAUCUUUCUGCAGCUGAAAGGGAUAGAGCUUUAUUGUCAAUCGGAACUGAUCGUGCCUCUAUAAAUCCAAAUGUAUUGCUUGAUGAAUCUUACAUGGGAAGACUGUGUCGAGUAGCAACCACUCUUGCAUUACUUGGCCAAACUUCCCUAGAAGACAAAAUUGUUGGUGCAAUUGGCCUUGAGAAUAGUGAUGAUAGUGUUUUAGACUUCUGGAAUAUUACUAGAAUCGGAGAGAGUUGUUCUGGUGGCUGGUGGCGGGUGCAAGGUUCGUGCAGAAACUAAGGUGCCUGCUCUUGCUUCCUCAACUGCAACAUCUGUUGGAGCUUCACAAUCCCCUUUGUUGUGUUCUCAAUGUGAAAGAAAAGUUUGCAAAGUUUGUUGUGCAGGAAGAGGAGCUCUACUGUUUUCAAAUUAUAAAUCAAGGGAUGUGACCAACUACAAUGGCUUCUCAAGUCAGAGUGGAUCAAGCCAUGGAAGCCAAGUUGAUGUACCUACCAGUCGUUCACUAACACUGGAUGGCGUUGUCUGUAAACACUGCUGCCAUGAGAUUGUGCUUGAUGCAUUGAUGUUGGACCAUGUUAGGGUCUUGAUUAGCUUGCGAAGAAGUUCCCGUGCAGACAACACAGCAUACAAUGCUUUGAAUGAGGUUGUUGGAUCCUGCUUAAAGGAUAGUCUUUCUGAAAGGAUUCAGUCUUCCGAUAACGUGCAAGCUGCUGAAGUCCUUCACCAAUUAUGUGGUGGACAGGAAUCAGUUGCUGAAUUUCCAUUUGCUAGCUUUUUGCACUAGGUAUGUUCUUGGUUUGUAUUCAGUUCUCAUCAUGUUAUGUUUUCCUUUUAAAUUUCUUUUCUUGAUUAAAAUUUUUAGAAAUAUGUUUUAGUAUUUGUUCUUAUGAUAUAUGCCCAGAACAUUCAUCCCACUUAUCCAUGAGAAUCCUUGUCUGGUUUGAUUUUCAAUUGAGACAUUUUUGGGAACCCUGAGCAGGUUCCAUAUGCUAAUAAUCUUUGAGGUAAGGUGUUGUAGGAUGCCUUGAGAAGCUAAAAACCAAUUACAAGGAAAAGCUCUUGCAUUGUUUUGUGCAAUCUGUGUGCUAGCAAGUCAUGUCUCUAAUAAUUUCAUAGUUCGCUUGAUUGGAAUUUUUUAUCUUGAUAUGGAUUGUUUAUUCUAGAUUCCUUGGUGCCACUGUAGGUUGAAACAGCAAAAGAUUCAGCACCGAUUUUGUCACUGCUUGCUCCAUUAAAUUCUGGAUCAAGGCACUCAUAUUGGAGAGCUCCACCUAGUACUACUUCUGUUGAAUUUGUUAUUGUUCUCGGUUCUGUUUCUGAUGUCAGUGGGGUUAUCUUGCUUGUUAGUCCUUGCGGCUAUCUGUGGCUGACACUCCGAUGGUAAGUGCCAUAUUUAUUCCCUUAUUUCCUUGUUGUUCAAUAAAUUUGGUGAUAAGCCAAGUGGCCUUAAUAAUGAAGCCCAGUACCAGGGGUGGUGGGUAAUCGAUAUUCAACUUGUGAAUAUUCCUAAGCAAGCACGGAAUCAACAUAGACGUCGGCAAAAAUUCUCCAUGCUAUUAUAACGAAAGUCAUAUUUUGAAAUGAUUAAAAGAGUCCCUUUGUAGUGCCAUUGCCAAAGAAAUUGCAGCUGGGGGUUUAGUUUCAUGUAGGUUAGUUUCCGAUAAUAAACUUUCCAUUUCAUUAAUUGCUGAUGAAAAAACCAAGUAAGAACAGUUUCGUUGCUCGUCAUUUAUGUAUAUUUUGGUAAACUGUAAUUUUAAAUUCUCAACGAUCUUCCCUUGGUAGGUAAGAAGAUGGUCCACUCACUUUAUAUUUAUGAUUGUAGAUCAGGUUUCUAUUGGUUUGCCUUUAUCAUUGGGAACCCAAGUUUGAUAUUAACAGAGAUCACGUCAAUAAUAUCCUAUUUGGGUAGAUGUGGGUGAGGAUUUAAAAUCAAAUUUGAAAUUGGGGGAAAGAAGAGAAAAGGAACCACAAUAAUUAAACAAAAUAUUAGGAACUAUUCUGAUGAGUUUUAAUCUCGAGAGGAACAAUUUUCAAAUGCAAAUUUAACUGCUAGAGAAAUUGUAGCUUUUUGUCAUUAGUUAAGAGGAAAGAGAAUAAGAACUAUCCAGCCCUUUCCUUCAUGAAUGUGUGUUGAGGUUGCUGUAUUAUUUAGUCAGUAUUUGUAAUUUUCUUCCCUGCAGUGCUCUCUGCCUCCUGAAUUUGCUACUGAGUCCAUAUUUUUCUUUGAGCUGUUGCUUCCUAUUGCUGUUACAAGUACAAAUCUGGGCAAGCAAUAAGAUACACCGGGAGGAAAGGUCAUCAAUGGGAAAAUGGGAUGUCCAAUCCCUCAUCACAUCUUCUUCAGACUUGUAUGGUCCAGAAAAGACAGCUAGUGUUGAAAAAUUACCUAGGCAUGUAAAAUUUACUUUUAAGAAUCCUGUUAGGUGCCGCAUUGUUUGGAUCACAUUACGUCUUCAGAGACCUGGUUCGGCUUCAGUUAAUUUCGGGAAGGACUUCAGUCUUUUGUCUCUUGAUGAAGAUGAAAACCCCUUUGCGCAAGUAGACAGACGUGCUUCAUUUGGAGGAGCAGUUGAAAAUGAACCAUGUAUUCAUGCCAAAAGAAUUCUUGUAGUCGGAAGCCCAGUAAAAAGGGAGGGGCUUACCUCAUCACAGAGCUCUGAGCAGCUAAGUAUUAGAAACUGGUUGGAUAGAGCUCCACAAAUGAGUAGAUUCAAGGUAUUAGUUGCUUUCACUCUUUGUUCAUUCAUAAUUCCAGCUUUCUGCUUGAUGCCCUGCCUCUGAUAAACCUCUUUUUUUCUCUUCAGGUCCCAAUUGAGGCCAAGAGAUUGAUGGACUACGAUCUCGUCUUGGAACAAUAUCUACCUCCAGCGUCACCUUUGCUUGCCGGAUUCCAUCUAGACGCUUUCAGUGCAAUAAAACCUAGGGUUACCCAUUCACCUUCCUCAGAUUCAGAUAUCUGGGACAAAUCAGUAACAUUUUUAGAAGACAGGUACAUCUCUCAAGCUGUGUUGUAUUUACAAGUAUCCGCACUCCAGGAACCACAUAACAUGGUAACUAUUGCGGAAUAUCGACUGCCGGAGGCUAGAGCCGGAACGCCAAUGUACUUUGAUUUCCCAUGACCGAUACAGUCCCGACGAGUUUCAUUCAAGCUUCUUGGAGAUGUUACAGCAUUUGCAGAUGAACCUUCAGAACAAGAUGAUUCAGGAUUGAGAGCUCCACUUGUGGCCACAGGUUUGUCUUUGUCAAACAGAAUCAAGUUAUAUUAUUAUUGUGAUCCUUAUGAGCUCGGAAAAUGGGCAAGCCUUUCUGGAGUUUGAUCGUUAUUUAUAUGUCAGAGAAAGGGUUUUGGGUUUGAUUUUGAUUUUGAUUUGUAAUUUUUGUCAGUUUAUUGAAAUUUUUUGUUGUAUAAAAGCAGAAUGUAAAGGUAUAAAAAUUCAUUGAUGCUGCAAUGUCUGUGCUUUUGAGAAAGAAGAAUUAAUUGUCUUUUCUAUGCCAUUGGAGUUUCCCACUGCUUGUAUACUUGGGCUGUCGAAUGCUCUGUGAACCUUAAGGGCUAUAAAGUAAUUUUCAAGACUGAAGGAUUUAUUAAUCGAGUUCAAAAGAUUGUAAGUUGGUGACUGGUGAGCGUUGGCAUUUAAAAAUCAAUUGUUAUUCUCUCAAUAAUCUCUCUCUUCUCCUCGUGAAGUGUUUUCUUUUUCGAGUGAAGGUGGUUUUCCACUUGCAUACGUCGGGGGUCUUAUGAUAUGUAAUGUGUGAAAUUUCUUUCUCAUUUUACCAUAAAGAAAAAUGUUGUAAUAAUCUAAAGCUCGAGUCUUAAAUUAUCUUAAAUUUAUAUUUAGAGUGGAGCUAUUCGCAACCCUAUAUUAAAAUUACAAUUAAAAACAAUUGAAAAUUAAACACUUAUAGAUUCUUUUUACAGCAAAUUACUUAAUUCAUAAUCAAUCCUUUAAAAAAAAAAUACAUAUGUUAUUUCUUAUCUAACUAAAAUAAAUUGUACAAAUUUAGAAUAAUCUAUUGUUCUCUUUUGAUUUCUUAUUAUUUAAAUAUUUUUAUACAUAAAGUUACUUUGAAAUUAUAAUUUGAAAUAUGUGUUAUUUCAGCCAAUGAUUAACACUAAAAAAUUUAUCACCCAUAUAACUUUUUAAUUUGUGUGUAGGGUAAUAAUAAAAUCGAAAAUAAUUAAAAAAAUAGUACAAUAAUGAUUUUUAACAAUAAAACAAAUCAAAUGAAAAUUGAAAAUUUAGAAAAGUGUAUCUAAAAAAAGGAACGUUUUCAAAAAUAAAAUGAAUAUAACUAAAAAGAGAUUUUAUGAGGAGAUCACUGGGGUGCCAAUAGUCCAACUUGUAAUUAAGAAUCUCCCAUUAUAUUGUCAACCAAAAAGACACUUGAAUAAGAAGAAGAAUUUAUCAGUUUGAUUUUAUUUGUAGAUCCAACAUUUCUCAUAUCCUGAACGCCUUUUCGUAUCAAAUUAAAACAGUAGUAGCAAAAUCGUAGUAUUAAAAUCGUAGUGCACAUUCAAUUAACCAACUAAUAGUCUUUGGUAUAAGAUUUUAUAUUAGGUAGCCAAGUAGGUUGUCCAUCCCACUCAGACAUGCACGAAAGCUAAAUUCAUCAAAUGAAUUACUUAAGAAGUAUUUGAUAAUUUUGAAAUUAUCAAAAGGUGUUAUACUAUUAAAUAUUUUUAUACUUAAAAUUGUUUUGAAAUUAUAAGUUCAAAUUAAAAUAAUAGUAGCAAAAUCGUAGUGCACAUUCAAUUAACCAACUAAUAGUCUAAGAAGCAAAGAGAGGAUUACAAGUUCACAACACCAUUACAAAGGAUUCAAAAUUCCCACACGAAUACAUCAAUGUACAGAUUAUAAACAAUCCGAAUUGGACACAAGAAAAACCCUUCAAUAGAUUGCUUGCCUUCCCAAUGCUAUAUACUGUGCAAACUGCGCAUUGGCCAAGAAAAUGUUUUCAAUUUAGUGUAUUUUCAAAAUGCUUAUUUUCUCAUAGUAUAAAAAAUAAAAAAAAUAAGAAAGAAUUCUCACAUGUUUCAUCAGCAUGAUUAAAAUCAAAGAAGAAAGCGAGACAUAAUGUCUCUGACAUAAUAAAAUUACAAAAAUUUCAAGGAAAAAAAAAGGUUAAAACAUGUAAUCUUCAGAAGCAUAUAAUAAAAGAACACUUCCACAAAUUACUACAAUUUCAUGCAGUAGAGAUUGAAGAGUUGAAUUCCACUAAUUUUAAUAAUGAAAACAACAACAGAGGAUUAACUGAUGCUUUGACUUAUUAGUUCUGCAGAGCAUCUCCAAAAGCCUAUAUAAAUUUUACUCUUCAAAUACUUAUUUGCUUACCUAUGUGGCAAAUAAAAGGGUGAAAAAAUAUGAUAUUCUCCAAAAGACUCUUCAAAUAGAAAAAAGUUAAUAUUAUUUUAAUCAUAUAAUUAAUUUUUUAAAGAAAAAGUCAAUAGCAAUUAAAGCACUUCUCUCUCUUUCUUCAAUGAAAAGUAAUAAAAUAUAAAUUGAAGAGGGAGAAAUUAACUCUCCAAAUUUGAAGAGAGAGAAUUAAUUCUUAUUUAAAGAAUCUUAAUUGAAGUGUCUUUUGGAGCUUUAAAUAUUGAUGUGGCUCUUCAAAUAAGUAAUAAAAUCUUAUUUGAAGAGCCUUUAAAUAAGGUGCUUUCAAAAGCAAAAUGGAAUACAUAGAUAAAAACAUCAUCUUAAACAAAUCACAAUCUAGAAUUAGAGCAUUUUCGACAUACCUAAGGAAAACGAAUACGUGAAAACGGGUGAUUCAUUUGUUAAGGAGUGUUGAUUUGGUCGUCUCUGCAAAUUCUUUAGGGACUCGGUUCCAAUUCCUCAUCAUCAAAACUGUAAUAUAAUUCCCCUUCAUCAGAACUCGAAUCGAUGCAAUAUAAUUCCCCUUCAUCAGAACUCGAAUCAAAUUCACUUGCAGCAGUUCCACUCGCGCUUGGCAAAUCAUCCAAUUUCCAAACUUCGGUAGCAAAAUUGAGAGUAAAAGUGUUGGCUUUGAUCUCGCUGGGAUUUGCAUAUACUGGACAUACUCCGCAACGUUUUAUCUUCUGACCCUUUUGGACCUUUAUUAUGUUUCGGUAACGCUCAUUGAAGAACUUAAGUGAGACAGUUGUAUGAUGGUAACCAUCAGGAAAGCCAACAUUCAAGCAAGGUUUAAAACCAAGUAUGACAUGAUCUGAAUCAUGGGGGUCUUUAAUAGAGUCCCAAUAGAAACUCAGAUCAACAUGUUUGGUUUCAGAGAGAGUCUUUAUUUCUAAGUCGGAUCGACAGUAAACGUAAAAAUAACGAGAACGAUCAGAAUAAAGUUGCUUAAAAUCAAGAACAGCACAAAAAGCAAACCCGAUUAAGUUUCUGCAAAAAGAGUGCGGUGGCAGUUGAAUACGUAUCGAAGAUCCUGAACUUUGAUUGCUGAACCAGUCAGGAAUUUCGCUCCCAGGUAAAACAAUUUGGGAUUCCCUGAGUUCAGAAAGUUUCUGUGAAACGACAUUUAAAAAAAGAAAAUUGUAAAAUGAAAACCAUGAUUUCAGAUAUAACAAAGAGGGACAGAGUAAACAAGAGAGGGAAUUUGAUACCUCGUUGUAUGCAUUUUCAUAGCCCAGUCUCAGUGAUGCUGCAAUUGCCAUACGUAGUGAAUCUGCCAAAAUCUUGUUGUUUGCUUUUCCAUCAAGUUUCAAGCAGUUAGUAAACCCAAAAUAAAUUGGUUGUGGCGUCACAUAUUCCGGAUGCCAUUGACGAAGGUCAGGAGAGGGUUUGGAUAGCUUUUCGAGUACGGAUGCAUCUAGUUCUUGUACACAUGACGGAAUCUCUGGCAAAGAUUGAAGCCGGUUGCAGUUCAUUGCAAUUAGUGACUGUAGACACAAUGGAAGUUCAGGUAAUGACCGAAGCAUGUUACAAUCCUCCAAGUGAAGAGUUUCUAAACCCAAUGGAAGUGCUGGUAAUGACUGAAGCAUGUUACAACGCCACAAGUGAAGAGUUUCUAGACCCAAUGGAAGUUCUGGUAAUGACUGAAGUAUCUUACAAUCCCUCAAUUCAAGAAAUUUUAGGCCCAAUGGAAGUUCUGGUAAUGACUGAAGCAUAUUACAAUCCUCCAAGUAAAGAUAACUUAGCCACGACAGUUGCUUGAUACUUGCAGGUAAACUCUCAAAGUUAUUUCCAUUUAAAUUGCCAAUGUUAUCCGGCAACUUAUCAAGUACAGAGCAACCACUUACGGACAAAAGUACAAGCCCCGUUUGCAAUGCCUCAAAUCCAACUUUUCAAGAUCAGUUAGGCACUCUACUGAUGAUGGAACUUCUUCUAUUGCAGUCUGGCCCAAGUUUAGCGAUGUUACUUUCCCAGAAAUCUGUGGAAACUCUAUGAGAUUAACACAAUAGGAGAAAUCAAUAGUUACUGGACAAACAAAAUGAAGAUUGCUAGGAAAAGACCUAAGACUUUUGCAGCCCAUAAAAUCCAACCUACUGAGAUACUUGAAAUUCUGGAUAUAUGAGGGAACACAAGCCAAGUUUGUAUAAUCCAAAAGAUAUGUUUCAACAUUUGGGGUUUCUAAUGGGCCUGGCAUCUUAAUGAAAUGUCGAGAAUGGCUGAGGUUAAUAGAUUUUAACUUGAAAGCUUCCUGCAAUAACAGAUAUAUAAAGACUAUAUUAAUUAAAAAGCAACAUUGAAUUCAACAAUUAAUUGCACGUAUAUUUAAAGAAAGAAAAAAUUAAUGUUUUAGUUUUAGUACAGAACUUACCUUUUCUCCUUCCCAAAGUUGCUCAACUUUACUAAAACGCAAAUUCAGUUCAACAAGGUUCUUUGGCUUGAAAUUUGAUGGCAGUGUCCUUAAGGGAUAUGUGUCCCAAUGAAGAUAUCUCAAUUUUUUAGGAAGAUAAUCUAGGCCAUUUGGAAGCUGCACUUUAGAGUAUGAAAGUUGCUCUUCAAUGCUCAUACUUAGAAACUUUUCAAUCUCAGGUACAUAAAAUUUGAGCAAUCUUAGAUUAGACAUUUUUGUGAAGGCUCCAGGGUCUAAAUUGAUGCCUUUUAUUUUGGACAAAUCCAGAAAUAUGCCUUCAAUUGCAUCGGUCCCCUUAUUAAAAAAAAAAACAAAGAAUGAGUAACCCUAAAACAGAAAAGAAACAUUCGCAAACUUUAUUAACUAAGAACUCCUUAAACAAAAACAAAUUCUGCAAUCUUUGAUUUUAUUUUUUAAAAAUAUUAAAUAUCUAUAUAUGAGAAAAGAAAAUUUUGGGGACCAUUGCAAAAUUAAACUAACCAAAAAAAAAAUUCAAAAUUUCUCUAAUUUACAAACCUGUUAUCUUAAUAUCUAGAAGUUGAGAAGACAAGGCGUAUUUGAUUGGUAUAAGAUUUCGAUUUUUUUUUUAGUCCAUAGAAUCCAAAAUGUUUGUUCAAAAUCAGGGAAAAAAACGAAAGUUAUUUUUUUUUCCACUAGCUGUAAUUGUAUCCAAGUCAAAUUGAGAUACGACCCUUUUCGAAAGGAUUUAAUCAUCUUAUAGCCUCCUUAAGAUACAUUUAAGCUAAAAGGAGUGAUUGGAGGCAGAACUUAGUGGGCCAAUCAGUUCAUUUUAUUAGCGACUGUUGCUUAAAAAAAAUUAUACUCUAAAACACACUUACUUUUUUGAAAAAAAAUAUAAUUAUAUUUAAGUAGAACCAGGUGGGCCAAUCCUCAUGGCACUCACUUUGUUCUGACACUCUUCACUAAAUUUGAAGAAAAAUAAAAUUAUACUCUUCACACUCUUAUUCAACAUUCCAAAAUUGAUAAAAUCUGGAGUUUUCUUUAAAAUUUUAAAAUUUGAAGACUUGUUCUCUUGACACCCUCAGUCAUUAAUUUUACCUAAUUAUGGUUUUGGUUGUUUUGUUCAUAAAAAUGCUUUUACUAAAGGAUGUUCUGGUAAUGAAAAAAUUUAUAAAAAAACAAACAUGGGUGUGCUGAUAUAGUUGGAAAAAUAUGAGUGCAUAACUCCAAACAAAUAAAAGAUACAUAAAAAAAAAAAAGGAGGAUUCUUACCAUAUUAUGCUUUAGUACGCGGCGGAUUUCCUUAGGAUCCCACAACCUACUGCGUCUGCCUGGCUCUUCCUCAGAUUCUUGGCGAACAAUCUCUCGGCCCAUUUCUUGCAAUAAAUCAUGCAUUUGCAAGCAGUUAUCUGACACUGUUAUAAGUGACUUGUCCACGAGGACAUCCAGUCUGUGAGACCCAGAAUCAUCAAGUAUCCUUAACACAAAAUCUUUAUCCUCUCCCUCAAGGAAACACGCAAUAUCUAGAAACAUACUCUUCACCCUGGGCGUUAAUUCUUUAAAACUAAUCUUUAAUGUAUCAUAAAUACCAUGAAUAUCAGAUUCACAAAUCCGAUUUAAGUCGUCCAAUACAUUUUCCCAAUGGCUUUUCCCCUUGAGAUACAGGGAGGAACCCAACACUUUAAGAACUAAUGGAUUGCCAUCGGCAUACCAUACAACCCUCCAUGAGUGCCGGUAGAGAUCUUCAGGACAAUGAUUUUCUUUAACAGCGAAGUUACAAAAAUGCUCGAAAGCCUCAUCAAAUUUCAAUCCAUUGACCCUAUAUAUUUUCUCCACUCCAAAUUUUUCGAGGACUCGUUUAUCCCUGGUGGUUACAACAAUUCUACUUCCUGGACCAUAUUGAUCAAGCCCUCCAAUCAAACCCUCUAAUUGUUCAUCUUUAUUCACAUCAUCGAGUACAAUCAACACCUUCAUGCGUCGGACCCUCCCUUUAGUAAAUUGUGGAAUAUUGGGACCAGCUACUUCAAGUUUUUCACUUAAUAUUGUCGAAAGCAUUUCCUUUUGUAGGUCUUCUAGGCCACCCUCUGUUUCUGAUUUUCUCCUAACAUUUUUUGCAAAGUAUUUACCAUCAAACUCACCAGAGAAUUGAUCGAAAAUAGCUUCAGCAAGGGUAGUUUUGCCUAUACCACCCGUGCCCCAAAUUCCAACAAUAUGGACAGUAUCCCACAAAUCCAUACACAGAAAUGGUUUAAUCUGCUCAAUUCGUGAAUUUAAUCCAACUAGGCCAUUGGAUGAGUCCGUUGAGACUGUUAUUUUUUCCAACUUCUUCAAAACAUCAUCGACAAUUUUGUUUACAAGUUCCGCAUCGUGCCUAAUAUAAAGGUGCAAAGAUGCAAAAACAUUGAGUCAAAUCGGGCCAAGACAGAAACAGAGAAAAGAUGAAUUAGGAAAGAGAGUUACCUGAAUUUCGUGGAUUCAUGGCCGGCUAGAUGGGAUGUUUCUGUCAGUGCAUCCCUCCACUUCUGAACCAUUUCUGGUUUAUCUUCGAACUGUUUUUUGAGCUCAUCAAAACGGUCUCCAAAUGUUCCGUUUUGAUGCCGCACAUCAGAUGGACUUACUCCAUAGAAGACUGGAAUAAUAAUUUGGCCGUUUGUGUUCUUGCAUUCAAGAAUCUUGACAAGUUCAUUCAGGCACCAUUUUGAAGAAGCGUAGUCCUUUGAGAAAAUGACCACCGAAAUUUUUGAACCUUGGAUUGCGUUCAAAAGGGCGGGUGAAAUCUCAUCUCCUCGCCUAAGCUCUUCAUCAUCAAUAAAUGUUUUGAUUUUUUUUCCUUCAUACAAUUUAUCAUAAAGAUAGCAAGUAAAGCUCUUACGAGUGUCCUCCCCUCUAAAGUUGAGGAAGACUUCAUAAUUGCAAGAAGAAGAAGAGGAAGCCAUGAAGGAAAUUCUAGAAAUUUGAAAGUAGAUUUAGGGAAUUAUAAAAAGCUGAAGGAAAUUGGAAUUUUGUACAGUUUCUCCAGCGAGGAACUUUCACCUCCGCACUAGAUUCUUAAGUUUUGAAAAUUAUGAGACCUUUAUAUUGGAAGAUAUUAUAAUCGAAUCAAAACUUAAAAUUUUAAUAUUGUUAAUCUUUAAUCUUUAAAAAAAAAUUACCUCGCCGUUACAGUUUGGAUUAAGAUUUGAGCAAGCAUUUACCUAAAUUUUAUCUCCGCCUGUAAAUUCUUAUGUUUUAAAAAUUAUGAGACCUUUAUAUUGGGAGAUAUUAUAAUCGAAUCAAAAUUUUGAAUUUCAAUAUUAUUAUUCUUUUAAAAAAAAAAUUGAGAUAACAGAGUGAUUGAUAAUAUAGGAGAACUUGUCUAGGCAAGCACAUGCAUACACAGAAAUGUGAUGGAUUCAAAAAGAAAUUAAAGUGAUAAUGUACGUGGAUCCUUAAAAUAAAAAGCGAAAUCGCUUGGUGGCCCAGUAAAAUUAGAGAACAAAGAAGAAUUAGUUAUUGAUAUACAAAAGAGAAACACUCCAAAAUUUCAAGCAAAAAUAGUUUCAUAUACCAUUUCAAUUUUGUAAGGGGUGAGGUUUUGAAUUUCAAUAGUUUCCUCUAAAAUCAAAAGGCAACAAUUAAGUUAGAAAGAGCAAAGAAGACUUAUUAGUACCUUAUUAAAGGUAACAUUAUGGAACUUUCAAUUUCAUUACCUCACUCUUCAAUUUUUAUUGAGAUUUGUGCAAGAAUUUACCUAAAUAUUACCUAAAAUUGAGAUAUCAGAGUAAUAUCAAAUAGAAAAACUUGCCACGGUAAGCCAAAAGUCUAGUCAACCACAUGCAUAAAGCUAAAUAGAACAACUAACAAGAGAACAGAGAAACGCGUGGGUCCCUAAAAGAAAAGGCAAGCACAUAGAUGAAAAAGCCAUUACAUUUCGAUUUUACAUGUCAUUAAUUUCUGUAACACGGUGUGUGGCAGCAUAUGCACAAUCAAGUGAGGCAAAAGGGAUUCGAUUAUCGUGGCAGAACAUGAACGAGGACGCGUGAUGAAUAAUUCCUUCGAUAAAACGAAAAACAAACGCAGAGAAAAGAAUUUCUUAUAUGACAAGAAAUCAAAGAAAUCAAAGUAAUGUUUCAUUUUCCCUUCCCUACCUUUUUUUUGUUUUAUUUUUAUAGCAAAGAAUUAUAUCAUGAAAAGAAUCAAUUUAAUCACCUUUUCUAGCAGCACAAUUUUUCUUUUAUAAAAUUUGACCAGGGAGACAAAGAAUAAUUAUUCAUACCUUCAUCACUAAGGAAAUACUUUUCGGUAUGGCUAAGGUGAGAAAAGGCUUUCCACAAAAACUUGUACUUUGUAUUCCUGUAAAUUUUCUUUAAAGUCAAUAAAAACCAUAAGUUCUUUACAAUAACCAUCUCUUUGAUAAAAAAGUGCCGUAUUCCUUUAGAAUUUAAAACCGGCAAAACUGAAUCAGUGUCUUUGAAGAGACAUAAUGGUCGUAAUUCUUUAAAUGAGUUGGCUAUGGAAAUCGUUAUCCAAGAUUCUUUUACGCCAUAUUCUUUCGUAAACCAAAAUUCAUUUUGGAAUACUCUGUUGAGAAUGUCAAAUAAAACGGCAUUGAAGGAAGUUUUCAAAGGCAGAAUCUGCACUUGUCAGAUGGAUGAUCUGCACUUGUCAAAGACACAAUCCGCGUCGAACGAAUCGACACAUUUCCUUUCGUAUUCACAUAUGCAAUUUUUGAAAAAAUGUAGCUUUUACAUCUAUAAAUAACACUCAGUGUAUAAUGUUUUAUUCAAGAAAAGAAAACAAGUUUCUUCAUGGUAUCAGAGCCAUGAAUACGCUCAAGUUUCUUCAAGUUUCGCUGCUCUGUUUGUAACAAAAACAGAGAAAACCAAAAUCUUCCCACAACCAUUUUUUCCACCAUUUUCUUCCUUAAAAUCAUUCCUACCAUUAUAGAAAUCCAUGCCGAUCAAAAAACAAGCCACCCAUACGUAAAAAACUUGAGUUUACAAAUUUAUCAACAAUCUCAUAAAUUAGAUACAAAACAACGUGAUGUUAAAUCUCCAGAACUGCAGCAGUCUUAAAACGACAUGUCGUUUCUAUUCCAUCAGAACCGACAUAUCAUUUCUUUAAGCAGAGGCCAAACGACUUGUCGUUUUUUUUUUUAUCUAAAAAAGUUAUUUUUUCUUAUUUCAAUCUAGACGCCAAAAAAAAAACAAAAAAAUGGAGAAAACUCCAACUGAAUCUGAUCCUGUUGUCAUUCAAUCUGUUCAAUCUGAUGAGUAUUUAAUGUUGGAAUUAUCUUCACUGAGACAAACUACGAUAUUUGGUCUUAAAUAAUGGAGUUGCAUCUCGCAGAAAGAGAAAAACUCUCAUAUAUUUGUAGCAACACAAAGUCAUCUGAGGAAUCUUCAAAGGAAUAUGAGAAAUGGUAUAGUGAGAAUGAAAAGGUAAAAAAAUGGUUACUCAUAUCCAUGUCUCUGGAUAUCAUGAAGUGAUAUUUACGAAUUCCUACAGCCUACGAAAUAUGGGAUGCAUUAUCAAAAGCCUUCUAUGAUGGAAUCGAUGAAUUACAAGUUUUCACUCUAAACCAGAAGGCGUCUCUACCAAGAAAAAUUGACAGCCACUAUCUAAAUUCUACGGAGAAUUGAUCGAAAUAUUUUGAGAACUUGAUCACCGAGAUAAAGUGAUCAUGAAGGAUCCAGAAGAUGUUGUAAUAUACAAAAGGUCUGUUGAAAGAUUGAGAGUUCACAUUUUUCUUGUUGGGCUAGAUGAAGAAUUUAACCAAGUUCGUGGAGAAAUUCUAUGAAAAGAUAUUAUCCCAGACUUAGAAGAAUGUUAUUCUUUGAUCUGAAGAGAAGAUGUACGGCAAAACAAACUAAACAAGAAGGUCGACUCAGAAACGUUUGCUAUGAUAGCACGACAACAGCCUCAAAGGAAGCUUGUUGACAAGUCAUCACUCCAUUGCACUCAUUGUAGGAAGAAGGGUCAUAUGAAAGCACAAUAUUUUGAAAUCAUUUGAUAUCCUGACUGGUGGGAUACUUGAAAGAAAAACAUCAAGCAGGGAUAAAAAACUGCAGUAGCUGAAUCCACAUCCACUACAGAUCUUAGAAAAGAAUCUUCAGUGCAAAUCGCAACCUCUGUUAGUCCAGGUAAGGCCCUUAAAACUCUUAUACUUGUUAUUAAUAGUACAUGGAUAAUUGAUUCUGGGGCAACUGAUCAUAUGACUUUUGAUUCUCGACAAGUUUCUCAAUUGAUACCAUCUUCACAAAAACAUGUUUCCACUCCAAAUGGAACCACAACCUUAGUUAUUGGGGAAGGAUCUUUACGACUCACAUAUAAAUUAAAUUUAGACUCUGUGUUAAUUGUUCCAUCUUUAGAUUAUAAUCUUUUAUCUGUGUCUCAAUUAACCACUUACUUAUCAUGUGUUGUAAUUUUUUGGCCUGAUCAUUGUGUGUUUAAAGACAUCCAAACGAAGCAAACGAUUGGUUAUGGUAUUAGACGGGGCCACUUGUACUAUUUGGAGAUGACAUCAACAAACACUGGAAAGCUAAGCCCUGCACUAGUCGCAGAUAGUUCCAUAAAAAAAAGGAAAUCAGAAAUUUGGUUAUGGCAUAGACGUUUAGGGCAUGUGUCAUUUGGUUACUUAAAAAAAUUAUUUCCUAGUUUAUUUCUGAAAUUUGAUAUUUGUAACUUUAAAUGUGAUGUUUGUGAACUUUUAAAAAGUCAUCGAACUACUUUUCCAUUGUCCUUAAAUAAGAAUCAAGUUCCUUUUAUGGUAGUACAUUCUGAUGUAUGGGGGCCAUCGAAAGUUUCUACAAUUGGAGGUGCUCGUUGGUUUGUUACAUUUAUUGAUGAUUGUAGCAGAAUGACAUAGAUUUUUCUGAUGAAAUCGAAAGACGAAGUAAACUCUUUAUUUUAAAGAUUUCAUAAGAUGGUGACGACUCAAUUUCAGACACAAAUUCGAGUUCUACAUACUGAUAAUGGAGGCGAGUAUAUGAGCACAACAAUUCAACAGUUUCUGAAAUCACAAGGAACUGUCCAUCAAACCACUUGUGUGGGGACACCCCAACAAAAUGGCAUUGUUGAACGAAAAAACAGACAUUUACUAGAAGUUGUUCGAGCAUCACUAAUCCAGGCCCACAUGCCACUAUCUUAUUAGGGAGAAGCACUGGCAUCCGCAGCAUACUUGAUCAAUCGAACACCUUCAAGCUCCCUUGGAUUCCAGACUCUUUUCCAGGUUCUAAAUGAUGCAAUUAUGUCACCAAAUGUGCCGAAUUUACCCCCACAUGUGUUUGGCUGUGUUGCCUUCGUUCAUUUGCCGCAACAAGACAAAUUAUCUCCUCGAGCACUACGUUGUGUGUUUGUAGGGUAUGCCUUACAGCAAAAGGGAUACCGAUGAUAUGAUCCACCAUCAAGAAAAAUAUACAUCACCAUGGAUGUCGUCUUUCAUGAAGAUAUCAUAUACUACUUGUCAAAGCCUGAAUUUCAGGGGGAGUAUAAUGAAGAGGAAAUUCAUAAUCUUAUAUAUCUUCCACCUAAAGAAGAUCAAUCUUCCAUUGAGGUUGUAAACCUUCAAGAUACUGGAAAAGAAAAUGGUGGUGAUUCUCAGGCUGAGAUAAGUGAAGACACAUUUGGGGAGCAAAAUAACUUAGACACAACUGCAAUCGAGAAUGAGUCACAUGAAGAAAUACCUAACUAAUCGUCUGCAGAGGAUGUUCCUACCACAAGUCCUAGUCUAGUCAGAAGAAUUCUUCCUCAGCGUCAAAAUAGAGGUAUCCCUAAACCCACAUAUGAGCCCGACCUUUCUAGUAGAGUCAAAUACCCUAUGAUUUAUUUUGUGUCUAACCAUCGCUUGUCAGAAUCAAAUCAGUCAUUUGUGAAUCAAUUAUCUACUGUAUCUAUUCCUAAUAGUGUGCAGGAAGCCUUAAAAGACCCAAAGUGGAAAGCGACUAUGAAUGACGAAAUGUGAUCUCUUCAAAAAAAUCAAACAUGGGAACUAGUUGAUCUUCCACCUGGAAAGAAACCAGUGGGUUUCCGAUGGAUCUACACUAUAAAGUACAAAGCAGAUGGCUCUAUUGAACGAUACAAAGCAAGGCUCGUAGCUAAGGGUUACACCCAAACCUACGGGAUAGAUUAUGCCAAUAUGUUUGCACCGGUAGCAAAAAUUAAUACUAUUCGUAUCUUAUUAUCAUUAGCAGUCAACUUGGAUUGGCCAGUGUAACAGUUCGAUGUAAAGAAUGCUUUCCUCCAUGGAGACCUGUCUGAAAAAAUUUAUAUGGAUAUGCCACCAGGAUGUAGUGGACCAGAACGACUCAAUCAGAAAGUAUGCAAAUUGAAGAAAUCAUUGUAUGGGUUGAAGCAACCCCUAAGAGCAUGGUUCGGGAAAUUCACAAAGGCUAUGGUUCUUUUUGGGUAUAACCAAAGCAAUUCAGAUCAUACCUUGUUCAUUAAAAAAUGACAAGGUAAAAUCACUGCCCUCAUUUUCUAUGUGGAUGAUAUGGUAGUCAUAGGUAACGACGGGGAAGCAAGAGAGGCUCUUCAGAAGUACUUGUCGAGAGAGUUUGAGAUGAAGGAUUUAUGAGCCUUAAAAUACUUUCUUGGAAUUGAGGUUUCUCGAUCUAAGGGAGGAAUUUUCCUGUCUCAAAGGAAAUAUGCUUUAGAUCUAUUAAACGAAACGUGAAUGACAGCUUGUCAGCCUAUUGACACCCCAAUAGAAGAAGGACUGAAGUUUUGUAUUACCUCAGACUAAGUUCCAGUAGACAAAGGAAGAUAUCAAAGGCUGAUUGGAAGAUUGAUGUACUUGUCCCACACAAGGCCAGCUCUUGCUUAUGCAUUGAGUGUUGUAAGUCAGCUUAUUCAUAAUCCCGGAGAACAACACAUGAAAGCAGUAAUGCGGAUCCUAAGGUACCUGAAGUCAAAUCCAGGAAAAGGAAUCCUAUGUUCCAAAAAUGGAGAUUACAGCAACAUAGAAGUUUAUACUGAUGCAGAUUGGGCCCGGUCAGUUAGUGAUAGACGCUCUACCUCAGGAUACUUUACCUUAGUGGGAGGCAACCUUGUCACAUGCUGCUUCACUUGCUGCCAAUCCAGUUCAUCAUUCAAGAACAAAACAUAUAGAGAUUGAUGUUCACUUUGUGAGAGAUAUAAUUUCCAACGGCGGAGUGGAAGUAAGAUAUGUCCCUACUGAAUAUCAGCCUGCAAACAUCUUCACAAAAGCUCUUCCUGCUGAUAUGUUUCAACAGUUGCGAGACAAGCUACAUAUUCUUCCUAGAACAUUGCGCUUGAGGGGGCAUUAUGAAAAUAUUGUAGCAGAGCUACCAAACUUGAGUAAUACGAAUUCAAAGUUGUUAGAUGACAUGGCAGCACACUUGGCAUUCAUUGGUGUUUUGGAAAGUUAAAGUGAUCAACCUUAUCUCUUAGCUUAUCAUUAAUUCAAGCUGCACUUUUGUAUUUAUCAAGAUCAAGAUAAAGAUAACAAUUGUGCUAGGCUUGAUCUUAUUCUUGGCAUUAUCGUGUUUCCUGUAGAGCAUUAUAAAUGUAAUGAUUAUGAGAUGAAUAAAAUAACGAAAAUGUGUUUUGUUUCUUCUUUAAGCUCAUCUUUAUAAUUUAAGUUGGUAUCAGAGCAUGGCGAGCUCCAAUUCUGCGAAAUUAGUCAAUAUGAAUACUGUAAACCAAACACCACAAAUUUCUAAUUUUUUGACUCCUGUCAAAUUGGAUAGGCAAAAUUUUAUGAUAUGGAAGUCUCAAGUGCUACCUUCCAUUCGUGGUAACAAUCUUGAAAGCUUGAUCAAUGGAGCAAAACUUGUACCCACUAAAUUCUUGGUGCAAGUAGAAGAGGAUCAAACAGUAACGACUGUGGAAAAUCCAGAAUAUAUACAAUGGCUGAGACAAGAUCAGCUUUUACUUAGUUGGCUUUUGUCCACUAUGACUGAAUCAGUUUUAAGCAUAGUGGUGCAGUAUACAACCUCUUUUGAGGUUUGGAAUGCCUUGAAGACAUUGUUUGCAUCUCAGUCAAAGGCUAGAAUUUUGUAGCUCAAGAUGCAACUCCAAACCACGAAAAAGAAUGCUAUGACCAUGAGUGACUAUGUCAACAAAAUGAAAAAUUUAGCUAAUAGCCUGGCAAUGGCUGGAAAAUAUGUUACUGAAGAUGAUUUAAUUUCUUAUAUUCUUGCAGGUUUAGGAACUAAAUACGACCCUGUGGUUGUAAAUAUUACAGCAAGAACAAAUGAUUUAUCUCUGCCUGAAGUAUCCUCUCUUUUGCUCAAUCAUGAAAGUCGAAUGGAACAACUCUCAGCUGCUGCAAAUCUUGAGUCUAAAGGCAGUUUUAAUGCAAAUUUUGCAGGAGCUUCUUUUCACAAAAGGAAAGUUAUAAGAAAAGGCUUUAUGUCAGGAAGUUUAUGAGGCAAUGAACGUGGUAGAGGCAAAGGAAGAACCAAUUUUAGCCGUGGUGGAAAUAGGCCAACCUGUCAGAUAUGUGGCAAAUAUGGACAUUCAGGAUAUCAAUGUUUCUUCCGCUUUGAUCGGGGGUUCUCUGCAAGACAAGAGGCAACACAAGCAGGUCAAGCCUCUGCCUAUAUGGCACUCCCUGCUGAAGAAAUAGAUAAUGGAUGGUAUUUGGACAGCGGAGCAACACACCAUGUUACAAAUGAUUUAAACAAUCUGCAGAUUAAGUUAGAAUUUAAGGGAGGUGAGAAGCUGGUAGUAGGUAAUGGUAAAACUUUAGCAAUAUCUCACAUUGGCAGUGCACUUAUUUAUAUUCCAAACCAUGAACCAUUGUUGCUUAAUGACAUUUUAUAUGUGCCCAAAAUCACCAAGAACUUAAUUAGCAUUUCAAAAUUACUUUCUGAUAAUAAACUAAUGCUUGAUUUCUGUGACAAUGUUUGUACUCUUAAGGACAAAGUUCUGGGGAAGAAGCUGCUGCAGCGAAAAAUUGAAAGAGGCUUAUAUCGGCUACCAGUGCUUUCAAGACAAGCCAUUCUAUCUGAUUCAAAAAUUAUUUCCAAUAAAUCUUAUUAGUCUUCUCUUCCAUUUAGCUGUUUCAAUUCUAGCUCAACAAUAAGUUCUGUAAAUGAACAAGAAUUUAUUUCCAAUUCCAAGCCUAGCAGUUUUAUAAAUCUUUUGCACAGAAGGAUGAGACAUCAUCAUCUUGCUGUACUAAAACAAAUUCUACCUUUGUGUAACAAAACAAGUCAGUUAAAUAAAAAUCUCAUUCCUCAAUUCUGUGAUGCAUGUCAACAAGGAAAAAGUCAUAGGCAAACUAUCAAAGCAUCAAAUAGUAGAGCUUCAGAACCUUUAGAAUUAUUGCAUCUUGACUUGUGGGGGCCUGCACCUUUAAUGUCUAGAAAUGGCUACAAAUAUUAUUUGAGUAUUGUAGAUGACAACACACGUUUUACAUGGAUAUUUCCACUUAAAGUUAAAUUACAAGCGUUUGAAGCUUUUAAGUAUUUCAAAGUUCAAGCCGAAAAACAAUUAGGAAAGAAAAUCAAAAGUUUACAAACUGACGGUGGAGGAGAGUUUCAAGCAUUUACAAUUUUUUAAAAGAACAGGGUAUUAUUCACUGACUUUCUUGCCCACACACGCAUCAUCAAAAUGGUAGAGUGGAGCGAAAACACCAACAAAUUGUAGACACUGGUUUAACACUUUUGGCAUAGGCUGGCAUGCCACUCACUUUUUGGUGGGAUGCUUUUCAAACAUCUGUUUAUUUAAUUAAUAGAAUGCCUACUUCCAUCUUAGAAAACAAAUCACCAUUUCAAAUACUUUAUGAUGAAGAAUAGGAAUCAAUAUUAUACUAGGAUUAGUUUCCUUAUUAACUAAAGUUUAAGACUUUUAAAUUCCUUUCUAAUUUAGAAUUUUGUUUCCCUUUCAAUUUAGGAUUUUGUUUUACUUCAUGAAUUAGGAUAAUUAUUACUACUAUAAAUAGCUCCCUCUUGUAGCCUUUAAAGGCAGAGAAUUUUGAGUUUAAUAAUAUUUCAAUUUUCAAAUCUCUUUGUGAGUAUUUGAACAGUUAAUUCUCGGUAUUCUGCGAAAUCAACGAGUCUUAAAUCCCUAAGUUCGCGGUAUUCUUUUGAAUCAACAUGAAUUUAGUUGUUCUUUUAUUCUGGUAUUCUCUAGAAUCAACGGAAUAUUUUGAAUAUUAAACUUCCACUGCAUCACUUUACAAGAAAAUACCUGAUUAUUCUUUUCUAAAAGUUUUUGGAUGUGCUGUAUUUCCUCAUCUUCGAGAUUACAACAAACAUAAAUUAGAUUUUUGAUCAGAUAAAUGUAUAUUUUUAGGCUAUAGUACAGCUCAUAACGGGUAUAAGUGUCUCCACAAGUCAGGAAAAAUUUUUGUAAUGCGACAUGUUGUCUUUAAUGAAUAUGAUUUUCCUUUUAAAAGUGAUCCCUCCUUCAAAAUCUCAAAGAGUUAUCCAAAUCAUGAUUCUAGUACUCUCUUUCAGUCUCCUAUGUUUGCAGGUUUUGAAAGUCCUAGAGCCUAUAAGACUCUCUCGGUUAUUCAUGCAACAGACUCUCUACUAGAGUUGGUUCAUAACACAAUAGUUAUAGAUCAGGCAUCAAGUCAAGAUGAGGAAACCAAUUUUGAAUCCAACACCAAAAGCCCACCUGGAAAAGCCAACCUUGAAUCAAGCACUGAAAUCCAAGCAACUGAAAACACCACACAAUCUUUAUCUAUCCCCGCGUUUAUCAAUCAAGAAGCCGAUCACACAAUCUCUCAACCACCUAGUUCAACUCCUCAUUCUCAACAGCCAACACAUACACAAUCCACUCAUCCAAUGAUCACUCGUGCCAAGGCCGGCAUCUUUAAACCCAAACCUAGACUUUACCUAACAACCUCUCAUACCAAAAUAAGUGUACAUGCCAGUGUUAGUGAAGCUUUGGAAGAUCACAAUUGGCGUAAUGCUAUGACAGAAGAAAUGAAUGCUUUGGCUAGGAAUAACACACGGUGUUUAGUUCAACCUACUUCUGACAUGAAGAUUGUGGGAAAUAAAUGGGUUUUUCGGAUAAAACAAAAGGCUGAUGGUUAGAUAGAGCGAUAUAAGGCUCGGUUGGUUGCAAAAGGAUUUCAUCAGACCCCAGGAAUCGAUUUCAACGAGACUUUUAGUCCUGUUGUUAAAGUUGCAACAAUUCGAUUGGUGUUAAGUAUUGCUGUGAUGAAAAAUUAGGGUGUAAUACAACUGGAUGUGAACAACGCCUUUUUAAAUGGAGACUUAGUAGAAGAUGUUUACAUGAUGCAGCCUGAAGGCUUUAUCAACAAAGCACAACCAAAUCAUGUGUGUAAAUUGAGAAAAGCAUUGUAUGGGCUUAAGCAGGCUCCAAGAGCUUGGUUUGAAAAACUCAAGAGAGCAUUGAGUGACUGGGGUUUCACAAAUUCUAAAUUAGACACAUCACUAUUUAUUUUGCAGCAAGGAAGGGAUAUAAUAUUUGUCCUUAUUUAUGUGGACGAUAUUUUAAUAACAGGAAGUAAAGAAAGUUUGGUGCAAGAAGUUAUUGAACGACUUAAUUGUCAGUUUGCUUUAAAAGUGCUCGGACCAUUAAGCUAUUUCCUUGGUCUUGAAGCUCAUCGCACAGAGAAUGGCCUACAUCUUAGCCAACACAAAUAUAUUUGUGAUCUCUUGAAGCGCACAGAUAUGGAUGGCUGCAAGGAAACAUCUACUCCUAUGAGUGUAGUACCGAAACUUUCAGCUGAAGGUGGUAAGCAAUUUUCUGAUCCUACACUUUAUCGUAGCAUCGUUGGAGCCUUAUUAUACGUAACUAUUACUCGGCCUGAAAUUUCUUAUGCUGUUCAUCGUUUAAGUCAGUAUAUGCAAAAUCCUUUACAGCCGCAUUGGCUUGGGUGUAAAAGAAUCCUUAGAUAUUUACAAGGAACAGCUGAUUAUGGAAUUUAUUAUACUACCAAAGGAAGAAUGACGCUCACAGGCUAUACAGAUGCAGAUUGGGCAAACAAUAUUGAUGAUAGAAAAUCAACUGGAGGCUACUGUAUUUAUCUUGGCAAUAACUUAAUCUCAUGGAGUUCAAAGAAACAAAAUGCAGUAGCAAGGUCUUCAACUGAGUCAGAGUAUCAAGCACUUGCAAAUACCACAGCAGAAAUUUUAUGGCUUCAAUCUGUGCUUAAAGAGUUGCAGGUGCCACUAACUGAAAUUCCAAUUAUUUGGUGUGACAACACUGAAGCUGCUUCACUUGCUGCCAAUCCAGUUCAUCAUUCAAGAACAAAACAUAUAGAGAUUGAUGUUCACUUUGUGAGAGAUAUAAUUUCCAAAGGUGGAGUGGAAGUGAGAUAUGUCCCUACUGAAUAUCAGCCUGCAGACAUCUUCACAAAAGCUCUUCCUGGUGAUAGGUUUCAACAGUUGCGAGACAAGCUACAUAUUCUUCCCAGAACAUUGCGCUUGAGGGGGCAUCAUGAAAAUAUUGUAGUAGAGCUACCAAACUUGAGUAAUACGAAUUCAAAGUUGUUAGAUGACAUGGCAGUACACUUGGUAUUCAUUGGUGUUUUGGAAAGUUAAAGUGAUCAACCUUAUCUCUUAGCUUAUCAUUAAUUCAAGCUGCACUUUUGUAUUUAUCAAGAUCAAGAUAAAGAUUACAAUUGUGCUAGGCUUGAUCUUAUUCUUGGCAUUAUCGUGUUUCCUGUAGAGCACUAUAAAUGUAAUGAUUAUGAGAUGAAUAAAAUAACGAAAAGGUGUUUUGUUUCUUCUUUAAGCUCAUCUUUAUAAUUUAAGUAAAGGGACUUUUGCAUAGCCUCUGGUGUGUGUGUGAUUUCUCUUUCGUUUCCUCAUCAAAUUCUGUAAUUCUUGCUUCGAUAAAAAGCUUUUAAUCUCUUCUGUAGUGUGUGAUCAGUGCGUAAUCAUUUUGAGCAAUAACAGCUUGUGGGUUUUUCCUUCAAACAGUGUCGUUUUGGUCAGUUUGUUAGUUUCUGUGUUCGUCUGAUUCCAUUGCUCUUGUUCUCUGUUCUUGAUCUGUUCGUGGAAUUUUUCUUUGGUUAUUUGUUCUCAAAUUUCAACUGUAUAUAAAGUUUGAACUCUGAUUGCUUAUAAUGUAUUGAUUAAGAAUAAUCCUAAGAGUUCCCGAUUGAAAUUUUUAAUGACUAUUUUUAUUGUUUUGGAUAUACAAAUUGAAUUAAGAAAAAAUAUUGUCAAAUUCAGAGGAUAAGGGGAAAUAAUUAUGCUUCAAAAGGCCAGAGAUUAGAGAAUAAAGAAGCAUUCAUUACUCUAUCAAAAAAAAAAAAAAAAAAAAAGCAUUCAUUACUGAUAUACAAACUGCUUUUAUUUGGAUUUUGGAAGGGGUGAAGUUUUGAACUUCAGUUGUUCCUCUAAAAUCAAAAGCAGCAAUUAAGCGUUCUCAAUUAGAAAGAGCUAAGAAGACUUAUUGGUACCUUACUGAAGCUAACAUUAUGGCACAGUUGUUCAUAUAUAAUGGCUGCUCUGUUAUGCUAGCUUCUCUGUUUUUGCUUCUAUUUUUGCUUACAGUUUUGAACAUAAAUUCUUGCUCAAAUAACCCAUAAUUAAAUAACACUAAUAUGGCUCGUGAAAUCCCAUAAUAGCUAAUUACGCAACUUUCUCCUCCUCCUCAAUUCUGUCUUCCCCUGCUCGUACACUAAAUUCAAAAUUCAAUGCCCCGAAAAACAACACAAGAAAUCUUUGAGUUAAUUCGCGACCAGUUUAUAUAUAGUAGCAAUUGAAAAAGGAAAAAGAAUAAAAGAGUUCAUUAUUAUUCAGACCUUCACUUAUUAGGAAGUUUGUUCUGCUGUUGGGUGAGAUCAAGCUCUCAGCAUAUACUUCCACAUUAUACUUUCUAACAUUUUCUUGAAAGCCAUCAAUCAUAAAAUCUUCAUACUUUUUUCCAUCCUUUGGAUCAAUAAGUACAAAUUUCUCAUCUAAAACAGACAAAAUAAAAUCACUGUCCUUCAUGGAACAUAAUGGCUGCAAUGCCUGAACUGAAUUGGCUAAUGAAAUUUGAGUCCAGGAUUCUCUCAGCCCAUAUUCUUUCAUAAUCCAAAAUUCUUUUCUUUCUCGACAUGGAACAUAGUCUUCUUUUCUUUCUGGACAUAUGUCUCUGUACUUUUCUCUCUCUACUGAUCCACACUUUUUCAUACUUCUAACUAUCAUUUUGUUUUUUUUUUGUUAAGUUGUGAUUUAUUCAAUUAUUUUGUAUUUUUAAUGAAAAUUAUUUAAUAUUUAGUUAGUUUUGAUAUUGAUUAGUGAUUGAAAGUGUAUUUUAGAAGACUUCCGGUCUCUUGGAAAAAGGAAAAAUGGAGACGAAGAAGAAGUGUUCUUGAUUUUUUUGUAGGCAUUAAAGUUAAACGGUUUGAAAUGAUAUUUUGUUUUAAUUUCACUCAUUAAUCUCAUUCAGGAUAAAAUUAUAAAUGCAAAUAAAUGGGGUUUCAUGAGUUUUUUUUAAUAGUGUUAAAAGGUCUACUCACUAAAUAAAUAUGUUUAACCCAAACCAAUGCGAUUAGUAAGUUAUUGGGUUGGGUUGAUCAGGUUAAAAAUUAAAAUUAAAAAUUAAAUAAUUAAAAAAGGCAUAAAAACUAUCUGUUACUUGAAAAUAAAAAGAAUUUCUAAUAGUUAGUUCUAAUGUCCCAUAUCCAAAACAUCCAUAUUAAAUAAAUAUUAUAAGUUAGAAAUACAAUAUCCAAGAAAGAAUGAAUGAAAUACCAUAUUUUUGUUGAGAAUUAAGAGUGUGAUUUUAAUUUUGAUAUUGGAGUCUAAAGUGCCACGUUUAAAUAAUCUCUUUUAUAAAAUAAUAAAAAGAGAUUAAAAAUUAGGUUAGCCAUUUAGGCAUUCAGGGUUUAGCAAUUAAGGAUGAACAUAUUAUUGUUGUUGUUUUUUGUUGUUGUUGUUGUUGUUGUUGUUGUUAUUAUUAUUAUUUAUAUGUUUACUAAUCCAAUUUACGUAUAAGUACAAAAGUUUCAAAUAUUGUCUAUUAUUUUUUUAACAUGCCUAUUCCUUGUGGAUAAUUCUGUCUCAUCACUAAUGUUGUUUCUUGCUUACAAUUUGUAUAGCGUCUCAAAAUAGACAAUAGGGGGAUUUUGAAUUUUUUAAGUCUCAAUAUAGUCUCUUAUCUUGUGAGACAGAUUUUCUUUCAAUAAUUUGGAGGUAAACAUAACAUAACUUUUUGGACUAAAGCCUAGCUCUGCUAAUUAGUAAUUGGUGGUAUCCUUUUCAAGACCUGAGUCUUUAAAUUCGAGUUUUAUAUAGUGCGCAUGUGUAUUUAAUUAAUAUUUUUUUAAAAAAAUUACAUCAAAUACUAAUAUUCAUGACAUAAUUUAGUUCAUAAUGUUUUUUUAAAUACAUCGAAAAUAUAAUUUUUUAACAACUUAUAGGCAUGACAAAUUUCAAGAUAUAAAUAUCAGUCAAAAUAAGUGAAAGAAAUAAUGGUGCCAAUUCUAAUUUCUUAACUAAAUUAAUUACUGCAUGAGCCCCCAAUACGGCACGAGAGUUUGAUGGGCUAACUUGGCACAAGAACAAUAGUUAAUUGAUUUAAGAAAUAAUUCAAUGAAAAAUAUAAUUGAUAAGAAUUUAGUAUUGAAAUGAGUUUUUUUCGAAACACUGAAUUAAUGAUUAUUAAGCAAGAACAAUAAAAAAAAUAAAAUAAAAAAUAAAGAUUAACCAUUGAUAAGCUUCAACAAGAACUUAACACAACCCUCAAUCCUAAUUCAAAUUAUAAAUGUCAUUCAUAUAUUCAUUAUAAAUCAAUAACAAAGGUUAUAAAUGUUUAGAAAUUCUAGAGGGAAGGAAGCUAUCGCCGGGCAAUCAACAACUAAAUUUGAUGUAAUUGUGGCACAAGAUGGAAUAUGAAAACUACACCAUAAUUUCAAAUGCCGCCAUAGACAUUGACUUAUCUACAGUAACAAUGAUCUAAUUAAAAUUAAAAUAAAGUUUAUGGGCAUUUAUUAUAUUUGCCAUUCCUCAUUUGCAAAUAGGGAUAUAAUUAUAAUUUUACUUAGUCAAAGCAAUCAGUAAUUUUUAGGGGUGUUCAAAAUUCAAUCCGAUCCGCUCAAUCCGUCUGAUCCGUAGAAAUCCGAUCCGUAAAAAUCUGAUCUGUGGAUUGGUAGAUUGGAUUGAAUUGAAAAUUUGAUAAUCCGCAAUCGGUGGAUUGGGUAUGGAUCUACUUCUGUAAAUUCGUAAAAAUCCGUGAAUCGGCAAAAAAUAAAAAGUAUUUAUUUAUUAAAAAAUAAAACUUGUAAAUAUGGCAAUAGUACUUACUAGUAAAUAAAUAAGUUAAAAUAUAGUUACAUUAACACUAUAUUAUAUCUUAUCCGAUAAUAAUAAAAAAUAAAAAAUAAUUAAAUAAACAAAUAUAACUUUCUAAAUAGUUAAUUUUCAUGUACUGAUCUAAACGAAUGAGAUUUUUUUUUUUUCAUUUUGGUGUGUUAUGUUUUGAACUUUAAAUGUAAUUUUUAGUUUUAUUUAAACAAGUAAUUUAUUUAAAUCUUAUUUAAUUUUAAAUUUGAUCGGCAAUAAAAUUAUUUAUAUUAAUUUUUUUUUAUUUAGUUAGUUCGUAGAUUGGACAGUAUUAAAAAUUUUCAGUCCGUAAACCAAUUCGCAAAAUGGUGGAUUGGAUAUGGAUUGGGUCAAAUCCGCAUCCAAUCCGCAGAUGUAUGAAUUGAAUUUCACCAAUCCAUGAAUUGGAUUGGAUUAAAAAUUUAUAAUCCGCAAAAUCGUGGAUCAGAUAUGGAUUGAGGUCCAAUCCGUAAAAUUUGAUCCGGAAACACCCCUAGUAAUUUUCUUCAUUAUAGGAGUGAAGUAAAAACAUUUAGAUUUUAAUGUAUGUACGGAAAAAUUUAUCUUUAAAAAUACUUUCUUAAUGUGUGUAUAUAUAUUGAAAUACUCAAACCAAUUUUGGUUAUUAUAUAAUUAAACAAAUUUUAAAAUAUGAAAAAUAUAAUGUAGUUAUAGUGGAUAAACAAUAAGUGAGCGCAAUAUAAUUAAUCAAAUAUCAUGCCAUCAAAAGUUAAUUUUAGAAAUUCCAAAUCCAACAGCCAACACAAUUCUUUUAAAAAAAAGCUGACACAAUUAAUAAAAUUAGUGACAUGAAUUUCACACCAUUGAUAAUAAGCAAUUAGUAUUACUUUCUAAACUUGCUUCAACUGGUCGUUGAUGUCCGGGGUCACCAAAAGUAUAAGCAAUAAUAAGGGGCAUUGGGCAAGAGUGAUGAAUGUUUAGUCGGUGCAUUUGAUUGCUAGAUAUAUAAAGGGCCGAAACUUGAGAUUAUAUUACUUUUACAAAUUUUAAUCCAAUCACAUAUUUAAUGAAAACAAAAUGAGUUAGGAUACUUUAUUUAGAACCCACAUUUUAAUAAGGCUUCAUUUGAUGUAGUUUUUUAAACAGUGAUUAUUUAAGUAAAUUUUCCUCAAUAGAGUUUUUAUCAAACAAAUUUAUUUAUUUAGUUGUCGAUAAGAGUUUUUAUUAAAAAUUAUAAAAUUAUUUAAAUAAACAUGUUUUUUAAAAUUACAUUAUAAAAAUAAUUAAAUAAAAUUAUAAAAGUAAAAUAUAUUUUAGAUAUUUUAAUAUUUAAGAAAAAUUUUCAAUCUCUACUUUCAAAAGCUCAAAUUUUUAGCUUUUAGUUGUAGAGACAAAAUAUUUUAUUUAAUCUUUAAAAGUUAUGCUAAAAACAAUCAAAUAACUACAAAAAUUUUAAUAAGAGUAUAUAAAAUUAAAUGGUAAUUUUUAAAAACCUCCCCUGAGGUUUGGGCUUGUUGCAAGUAGAUGGCGAGAAUCCAUUUAUUUGUAACAAACCCCCUACCGUCAGUUAAUUUUUGCAUUAACCGUUAGUUGACUGUGCAAAGACAAUAUUGUCCCUAAUGACAGUUUGUAGACUGACAUAGCUAAAAAAAAUGCUGAGAUUGUCGGCACGAAAAUCACAAAUAAUUUUUUUUUGACAAUUUUGUCCUUGUUAAUUCCAAGAUUUACAAUGUCAUAAGUAAGGAUUAUGACUAUUUUACCCUCUUAAAAUUAUUGAUAAUUCCUUAAAAUUUCUACAAAAAAGAUAAAAUUAAAAACUUGAAGAAAAAUAAAGUUCUCAAGCCGGCUAACCAAACACAUAGAAUAAAAAAUCCAUCGUUUGACAACAAAAACAACUUUCCAUAAACCCAAACAAAAAUAAACAAGUCCCCAUUACUCUAAUUGGCUUUGCUUGGAGCUGUUACUAUUGUGCAUACAUUUCUAGGCAAAGCAAAAUGACCCCAUGAUAUAAACCUUAUAAAACAUGCCUCCACUAUUCUUAAUUUUGGUAUAAUAAUAAUAAUAAUCACAAAAAAUUAAUUGAAAACUUGACUAAUUAUCUUUGGUGGAGAAUUUUAAACCGAAACCGAUUCAGGAACCUUAAAUUGAUCAAAAGGAAGCUAAUAAUGACAAAAAAGUAACCGAUCAAAAAUCAUUAAGCAUAAAAAAAUAUUGAAUUUAAAUAACUAAAAAUGCCAUCGGAAAUUGAAAUUAAUUAUUUAACAUAUAGCAUGAAAACAAAUCUUCACUAUUGGUGCUAGGCGGCUGUCGUUUAGCUUGGUUCUAAGAGGUGGCAGUCAGUCAACUUCGAGACGGUGCGUUCGAAGUCAACUAAGCUGCAGCAGAGGUUGCAGGGGGCAGAUUGCAGCGAAGUCGCGGUGGAGCAGAGGUCGCGUCGCGGUGGAGAAGAGGUCGCGUUGCGCUGGCUUGGCUUCACGGUGGUGGGAUGGCUGGGCGGGCUGGCCAGCUGUGUGCGCAUUGUAUAUGAUUGUUUUUCACUUUUUUAAUAUUUUCUUGUGCAUUAGUUCAGAUUAGAUUAGUGAGUUUGUGUGUGUGUUUGCAGUUGAUUUGGUUAAGAUAUUUAGGUUAAAAUAAUUUUUUUUAAUAAAUUUUUUUUUUCAAAAUGUCAACAAUGCCCACAACUACCCAAAUGGCAACUAAGCAGAGUAAAAACGUAGGGGUUUUUUUUUAUAAAUAAAUAGAUUCUCGUCAUCUAUUUGCAACAAACUCAAAUCUCGGGGGAGGUUUUUAAAAAUUACCCUAAAAUUAAAUAAGCAUUUAUUAAUAAUCACUUUGGUAUACUUAUCUAAUGACCAUAAGUGUUUAUUUAAUCUCAUAAGUUCUUAUUUAAUCUCAUGAGCUCUUUUCAAUUUUUUUUGUUGUUUGUUUUUUAGUAGAGUUUUUGAAAAUUAAAUAAACUAUUUUGUCUCUACUAGAAAAAACUCAAAUUUUAGAUUUUUGUGAGUAAAUGUUUAAUUUUUUAAAAAAAUAUUAAAAUAUCUAAGAUAUCUUUCCUUUAUUUCAUAAUCUUAUUUCAUUUUUUCAUAACAUAACUUUCAAUAACUUACCUAUUAAAAUAAUUUCACAAUUUCUAAUAAAAACUCUAAUUGACAAUUAACAAUUUUUUUUUGUUUGUAAAAACUCUAUUUAUAAAAAAUCUAAUAAAAAUUCUAUUUAAAUAAAUUAUAUUUGAAAAGGUGUACUAAACCAACCUAAGAUAAAAACAAAAAUUUUUACAUCCAGACAAUUAAGCUUAAAACAAUUUCAAAUGAAUUUUAGACUAAUCAAAGUACAAUACGUACCAAGUUUGGUAACUUAUUGACAUCUUCUCAUAUAACCUUCGAUCAAGUCGAUUCUCACCUGACGACUAAUUGGUACAUCACCGUUGUUCUCUAUACUCGCAUGCAUCCGAUCACAAAUCUCACUCCAAUUGUCGUCUUUCUUCGGCGUUUUAGCACAUCCUUCUUGAAUUUCCCGCAUUUCGUUCCCUCCUGUUACAAGUCUCCGGUCAGGUCAGUUCUCUUGACGAUUAAUUCGGCAAAUCUCGAAUCUCUUCUCGCGUCGUUUCACUUCAAUUUUUUGUGUCUCCUUUCAGUUUUAGUGAUUGAAUCAAUUUUAUUGCAGUCUGAGAGAAAUUAAGUAAUGCUCUUGGAUUUAAAUUUUUUUUGCUUUCGACUUUAGAUCUCGAAAGUCAAACUCUGCUACGAAUCCUUAGAUUCUCAAUGUUUAUAAUCUUAUUUGUGUUUGACCAGGUAACUGGAUCGUGAAAUUCGUCGUUUUGUAUCAAUUCAAGCUUUCGCGAGCUCAUGGAAUCACCUGGUGAGUUGUGGUGAAACGUUAUCGUUUCAAUUUUCGCUUAAUUCUUUAUUGCAUAUUUUUUCUCUAACAUUUCAGUUUAAUUUAGAAAAGAAAGAGGACCCAAAAAGAGAGAGAGAGAGAGAGACUCUACCAUACUCAAUUCCUUGCUCAUUCUGAUUUGGCCUGAAUGUUGGCAUUGACUAUUAUUUGUUUUCAUUUCGAUUUAAUUCUCAUUUAGACAGUCUUUACUAACGGUCAAUAAUAGUUUAAGGAAAAUGAUAAUAGGGAUUCUGCAAUAAUCUUUUUAAGGAAAAUGAUAAUAGGGAUUCUGCAAUAAUCUUUUUAAGGGAUGUAUAACUUAUUAAUCAGAGUCCUGUUAUUAUGGUUUGACACUACUGACAUAUUGUGUUGGUAUUUAUUUGUACUUCCCUUGGUUGAAUUAUUUGCUGUCCCCAUGCCAUUCGAUAUGGUGCUACUUGGUUUUUGAUCAUCCAUGACGCUAUAUAUAUGUAAAGGAUGAAUUGAUUGUUUUGGCUUGUAUUCUCACAUUUUAUGAUUGAUCGAUGGAAAGGUCUUCAUGUAUUAAAUUCAACCUCACAAGCGUAAGAUUGACAGAUUCUGGGCAAAUUUUCAGGAAAAGAAACUAGACUUCAUGGAAGCAAUGAAGCUUGAAAUUGAACGUCUGCAGCUGAAAGGGAUAGAGCUUUAUUGUCAAUUGGAACUGAUCCUGCCUCUAUAAAUCCAAAUGUAUUGCUUGAUGAAUCUUACAUGGGAAGACUGUCGAGUAGCAACCACUCUUGCAUUACUUGGCCAAACUUCCCUAGAAGACAAAAUUGUUGGUGCAAUGGCCUUGAGAAUAGUGAUGAUAGUGUUUUAGACUUCUGGAAUAUUACUAGAAUCGGAGAGAGUUGUUCUGGUGGCGCGUGCAAGGUUCGUGCAGAAACUAAGGUGCCUGCUCUUGCUUCCUCAACUGCAGCAUCUGUUGGAGCUUCACAAUCCCCUUUGUUGUGUUCUCUGUUGUGUUCUCUGUUGUGUUCUCAAUGUGAAAGAAAAGUUUGCAAAGUUUGUUGUGCAGGAAGAGGAGCUCUACUGUUUUCAAAUUAUAAAUCAAGGGAUGUGACCAACUACAAUGGCUUCUCAAGUCAGAGUGGAUCAAGCCAUGGAAGCCAAGUUGAUGUAUCUACCAGUCGUUCACUAACACUGGAUGGCGUUAUCUGUAAACACUGCUGCCAUGAGAUUGUGCUUGAUACAAGUUCACAACACCAUUACAAAGGAUUCAAAAUUCCCACACGAAAACAUCAAUGUACAGAUUAUAAACAAUCCGAAUUGGACACAAGAAAAACCCUUCAAUGGAUUGCUUGCCUUCCCAAUGCUAUAUACUGUGCAAACUGCGCACUGUCCAAGAAAAUGUUUUCAAUUUAGUGUAUUUUCAAAAUGCUUAUUUUCUCAGAAUAUAUAAAAAAAAAAAAAGAAUUCUUACAUGUUUCAUCAGCAUGAUUAAAAUCAAAGAAGAAAGCGAGACAUAAUGUCUCUGACAUAAUAAAAUUACAAAAAUUUAAAAAAAAAAAAGUUAAAACAUGUAAUCUUCAUAAGCAUAUAAUAAAAUAACACUUCCACAAAUUACUACAAUUUCAUGCAGUAGAGAUUGAAGAGUUGAAUUCCACUUAUAGACACCGACCUCUUAUUUUGUCUAAUGUUAACAAUGAAAAUAACAACAGUAAUGAAAACAACAACAGAAUACAACAACAGAAAACAACAAUCCGCUCUGCAAAUUCUCUUGGGACUUGGUUCCAAUUCCUCUUCAUCCGAAGUUCCACUCGAAUCAAAUUCACUUGCAGCAGUUCCACUCGCGCUUGGCAAAUCAUCCAAUUUCCAAACUUCGGUAGCAAAAUUGAGAGUAAAAGUGUUGGCUUUGGUCUCGCUGGGAUUUGCAUAUACUGGACAUACUCCGUAACGUUUUACCUUGUGACCCUUUUGGUUUUGGUAACAAUUAUUGAAGAACUUAAGUGAGACAGUUGUAUGAUGGUAACCAUCAGGAAAGCCAACAUUCAAGCAAGGUUUAAAACCAAGUAUGACAUGAUCUGAAUCAAGGGAGUAUUUAUUUCUAACACUUGUGGUUGCGGGCCCACUGAAACCUAGAUCAACAUGUUUGGUUUCAGAGAGAGUCUUUAUUUCUAAGUCGAGUUGAGAGCGGCCGAAAACAUUGCAGCAAUAACAAGAACCAACUUUCUUAAAAUUAAGAACCGCACAAAAAGCAAACCCGAUUAAGUUUCUGCAAGAAGAGUGCGGUGGCAGUUGAAUACCUAUCGAAGAUCCUGAACUUUGAUUGUUGAACCAGUCAGGAAUUUCGCUCCCAGGUAAAACAAUUAGGGAUGUCCUGAGUUCAGAAAGUUUCUGUGAAAUGACAUUUAAAAAAAGAAAAUUGUAAAAUGAAAACCAUGAUUUCAGAUAUAACAAAGAGGGACAGAGUAAACAAGAGAGGGAACUUGAUGCGUUCUAAAUGUUCCAUUUUCUCCAAGAUUUCUGGGAAACGCUCAAGGUUCAAGCAGCCAUGAAGAAAAAGCUCAACCAAAGAUUUCAAUUUACAAAACCUAGUUGAAAUCCUCUUCAGCCGUUCGCAAUCCCUCAAAUCCAACUUUUCAAGAUCAGUUAGGCACUCUAUUGAUGAUGGAACUUCUUCUAUUGCAGACUGGCUUAAGUAUAGCCGUGUAAUUUUCCCAGAAAUCUGUGGAAACUCUACGAGAUUAACACAAUAGGAGAAAUUAAUAGUUACUGGACAAACAAAAUGAAGAUUGCUUGGAAAAGACCUAAGACUUUUGCAGCCCACAAAAUCCAACCUACUGAGAUACUUGAAAUUCUGGAUAGAUGAGGGAACACAAGCCAUUUCUCCUUCCCAAAUUUGCUCAACUUUACUAAAACGCAAAUUCAGUCCAACAAGGUUCUUUGGCUUGAAAUUUGAUGGCAGUGUCCUUAAUGGAUAUGUGUCCCAAUGAAGAUAUCUCAAUUUUUUAGGAAGAUAAUCUAGGCCAUUUGGAAGCUGCACUUUAGAGUACGAAAGUUGCUCUUCAAUGCUCAUACUUAGAAGCUUUUCAAUCUCAUACUUAGGUACAUAAAAUUUGAGCAAUCUCAGAUUAGACAUAUUUGUGAAGGCUCCGGGGUCUAAAUUGAUGCCUUUUAUUUUGGACAAAUCCAAAAAUAUGCCUUCAAUUGCAUCGGUCCCCUUAUUAAAAAAAAAAAAAAAACAAAGAAUGGGUAAGCCUAAAACAGAAAAGAAACAUUCGUAAACUUUAUUAACUAAGAGCUCCUAAAACAAAACAAAUUCUACGAUCUUUGAUCUUAUUUUUUUAAUAUAUUAAAUAUCUAUAUGCGAGAAAAGAAAAUUUUGGGAACCAUUGCAAAAUUAAACUAACCGAAAAAAAAAAUCAAAAUUUCUCUAAUUUACAAACCUGUUAUCUUACUAUCUAGAAGUUGAGAAGACAGGGCCUAUUUGAUUGGUAUAAGAUUUCGAUUUUUUUUUUAGUCCAUAGAAUCCAAAAUGUUAGUUCAAAAUUAGGGAAAAAAAUGAAAGUUAUUUUUUUUCCACUAGUUGUAAUUGUAUCCAAGUCAAAUUGAGAUAUGACCCUUUUCGAAAGGAUUUAAUCAUCUUAUAGCCUCCUUAAAGGAGUGAUUGGAGGCCUAACUAGGUAGGCCAAUCAGUCCAUUUUAUUAGCGACUAUUGCUUAAAAACAUUUAUACUCUAAAACACACUUACUUUUUUGAAAAAAAAAUAUAAUUAUAUUGAAGUAGAACCAGGUGGGCCAAUCCUCAUGGCACUCACUUUGUUCUGACACUCUUCACUAAAUUUGAAAAAAAAUAAAAUUAUACUCUUCACACUCUUAUUCAACAUUCCAAAAUUGAUAAAAUCUGGAGUUUUCAUUAAAAAUUUAAAAUUUGAAGACUUGUUCUCUUGACACCCUCAGUCAUUAAUUUUACCUAAUUAUGGUUUUUAUGAUUUUGGUUGUUUUGUUCAUAAAAAUGAUUUUACUAAAGGAUGUUCUGGUAAUAAUAAAAUUUAUAAAAAAAAACAUGGUUGUGCUGGUAUGAUUGGAAAAAUAUGAGUGCAUAACUCCAAACAAAUAAAAGAUAUAUAAAAAAAAAUGGAGGAUUCUUACCAUAUUAUGCUUUAGUACGCGGCGGAUUUCCUUAGGAUCCCACAACCUCUUGCGUUUGCCUGGCUCUUUCUCAGAUUCUUGGCGUCGCCCCAUUUCUUGCAAUAUAUCAUGCAUUUGCAAGCGGUUAUAUGACACUGUUAUGAGUGACUUAUCAACAAGGACAUCCAGUCCAACAGACUCAGAAUCAUCAAGAAUCCUUGCCACAAAAUCUUUAUCCUCUCCCUCAAAGAAACACGCAAUAUCUAGAAAUAUGCUCUGCACCCUGGGCGUUAAUUCAUCAAAACUAAUCUUUAAUUUCUUAUAAAUAGCAUGAAUAUCAGAUUCACAAAUCCGAUUUAAGUCGUGCAAUACUUUUCCCCAAUGGCUUUUCCCCUUGAGGGAGGAACCCAACACUUUAAGAACUAAUGGAUUGCCAUCAGCAUACUUUACAACUCUCCGUGAGUCAGGUUUGAAAUCUUCAGGACAAUGCUUUUCUUUAAAAGCGAAGUUACAAAAAUGCUCGAAAGCCUCAUGAAAAUCCAUUCCAUUAACCCUAUAUAUUUUCUUCUCCUCCACUCCAAAUUUUUCGAGGACUCCUUUAUCCCUAGUGGUUACAACAAUUCUACUUCCUGGAACAAAUUGAUCAAGCUCUCCAAUCAGACCCUCUAAUUGUCCAACUUCAUUCACAUCAUCGAGUACUAUCAACACCUUCAUACGCCGGACCCUCUCUUUAGUAAAAUGUGGAAUAUUGGCACCAGCUACUUCAAGUUUUUCGCUUAAUAUUGUUGAAAGCAUUUCCUUUUGUAGGUCUUCUAGGCCACCCUCUGUUUCUGAUUUUCUCCUAACAUUUUUUGCAAAGUAUUUACCAUCAAACUCACCAGAGAAUUGAUUGAAAAUAGCUUCAGCAAGGGUGGUUUUGCCGAUACCACCCAUGCCCCAAAUUCCAACAAUUUGGACAGUAUCCGACAAAUCCAUACACAAAAAUGGUUUAAUCUGCUCAAUUCGUGAAUUUAAUCCAACUAGGCCGUUGGAUGAGUCCGUUGAGACUGUUAUUUUUUCCAACUUCUUCAAAACAUCUUCGACAAUUUUGUUUACAAGUUCCGCAUCGUGCCUAAUAUAAAGGUGCAAAGAUGCAAAAACAUUGAGUCAAAUCGGGCCAACACAGAAACAGAGAUAAGAUGAAUUAGGAAAGAGAGUUACCUGAAUUUCGUGGAUUCGUGGCCAGCAAGACCGGAUGUUUCUCUCAGUGCAUCCCUCCACCUCUGAACCAUUUCUGGCUUCUCUUUGAACUGUUGUUCGAGCUUACCAAAGCCGACCCCAAAAAUCCCAGUUUGAUGCCGCACAUCGGACGGACUUACGCCAUAGAAAACCGGAAUAAUGAUUUGGCCGUUUGUGUGCUUGCAUUCAAGAAUCUCGACAAGUUCAUACAGGCACCAUUUUGAAGAAGCGUAGUCCGUUGAGAAAAUGACCACCGAAAUUUUUGAACCUUGGAUUGCGUUCAAAAGGGCAGGUGAAAUCUCAUCUCCGCGCCUAAGCUCUUCAUCAUCAAUAAAUGUUCUGAUUUUCUUUCUUUUAGACAAAGCAUCAUAGAGAUGGCAAGUAAAGAUCGCACGAGUGUCCUCCCCUCUAAAAUUGAGGAAGACUUCAUAAAUGCAAGGAGAAGAAGCCAUGAAGGAAAUAUUAGAAAUUUGGUGACAGAAACAGAGAAUUAAUCUUGAGAGCUGAGAGAGGAGAUGUAAGAAUGAACAUGUGUGAAUAUUCUUGCGAGUACAUAGUAAAUAAUUGAAUGGCUCGAGCUUUCUUAGUUUCCUGGAAAUUUCCUGGAGCUUUCGUAUACAUGAUUUGUCAAGUCAAGAAACAUAGUCAUGAUAAUGGGGCAGACCAGGAAGAAAAGGAAAUUGGAAUUUUGUACAAUUUCUCCAGCGAGGAACUUUCACUGUCAUUACCUCACCGUUACAGUUUGGAUUAGGGUAAUUUUUACCCCGCACCCAAAUGUUUUGACAUACAGCACAACGCACCCAAUUCUUUUGCCCAUGAGCACCGCGCACCCAUUUCCGUUUAUUUUUCAGUUAACUGUAACAGAUCAGGGUAAAAUUGGAAUAACGCAUCAAAAUUUAAAAAUAAAAAAAUAGGUAAACUCGAUGUUUGCGCCAAAAUAAUUUCACAUCACUGUGCUUAUGUUCACUGCGUUUGCGUGUGAGACCAAGAAGCAUGGCCACACCUCCAUUGAUGCCAAAAUCGAGGAGGUGGGUGAAGAAGAAUUGGCGCCAAAAUCAUUCACAUAUGAUGUGCAAGGAAAUUAUUUCAGCCUUUAAAUACUUUUUUAUUACAGCAGCAUCAGCUAUUGCUCUGUUUCGAAGAUCUGCUCAAUUUCUAAGACAAUAGUUGGUUUGAGAGUUUAAGGGAAGUGAAUCCACUGAGCGUGCUAUUGAAGAAGUGGAGGUCAGUUUCAUUUCUUGCUCAAUUGUUUUAAUUUAUUCCAUUUUGUUUGCAUGUCAAUUAUUUACACAUUUUUAGCUGGAUUUUGCUUAUCUAUAAAACUUGAAUCAUUGUUAAUCAAAUCAGCUAUAAUUUACGCCUCAAUGUGGUUUGUAAGUUUAAGUUAUGUUGGAUUAUACCUGAAUAAUGUGGUGUUUGCGUUAUUGAUUUCAAUUUCUAUUGAUGAUUUUGAGUAUACAUAUUAGUGGAUGAAAGUUUUUAAUUAGGAUGAUUGGUCACGCAUAUAUGUCAUAGCAACUGUGUUUUUUUGGGUUAUGGUUGUACUGUAGAUCAGUAGUAGUAGUGAUUUGGAUAUAAACGCUAGUGCUUUUAUUGUAAAUGAUAGUGAUGAAGAUCCAGUGUUACAGAAUUUGAUGUAAAAGUUAUUGGUUUUUGGCUAAAUAUCUUAGAUAAAUAUGAUGCUCAUGCAAUCAAAUCCAAUGCUUAUGCAAUUUACACCAUGUUUAUGAUAAGUAAUUAAAAAAAUAAAUGACUAUUCCAGGUGAAAAUGGAUGAUGAUGAUAUUACAACUGUUCUUUGUACAUUCAAGGGCAAGACAUAUAAUGUUGGUGUAAUUGAUCCAGAUAAGUUUAGUAGAGUUUCUGUAAUUAACAAGGUUUUAGUUAGAGUCUAUGGAAGAAAGAUGAGGCCUGAUGAGAAGUUUACACUAAGUGUUUGGGUACCAUGGGUCUAUAAGGAAGUAGAGAUUAUGUCUGAUCAUGACUUAAUAUUCCAGCUGAGAGAGCAUAAUAAGAUGUUGUUCUACUGCAUGCAAUUGUAUAUUGAAGAAAUCCAUGUACCUCAUGAGUUUGUACCUAGAAGGGCUUUGUUUCAGCACUCAGCAGAAGAAAGCUUACAAGGGUAUGCUGAAACAAACUUUCCAGCCACUACUGACCUGCACAAACCUUAUACACAUGCUACAUCCACCAACACAAAUCCUUAUGAAAAUGACAGUAAUGACCAUUCGAACCAUGAACCCCCUGUCAAGAACUCCAGCAGCAUAAUGAUGCAUAAUGUUGCACUUGAUAGCAUCCAAUCACAGACCAAACCAGAUACCAACCCUGACCUAUAUCAAGACUUUUUGGAUACCUAUUUCAGAUCAUCACCACAACAGAAAACACCAUCAGCUGCCCAAACUAAUGCCGAAAAUAGUGAUAGUGAUAACACAUCUUCAUUUGGUACAAAUAAGACUCCUACUGAGCAGCUUCAACAAAACUUUGCCAUCUCUUCUGAGUUGUCCCCUUUAUUGCAGCAACAUGGACAUCAUGCAUCCCAAAAUGAACCUAUACCUUUUCACCAACCUGAGUUCUCAUCUCAACCAAUAACUCAAAACCCUCAGUCACAAGUUGUACAAGCAGAAAACUUCCAGCAACCAGAAGCCACUACACCAGCACUAGUAGAUUAUAACUCAGAUGAUAGCCAUUAUAGUGUAACUGAUAGUGAGGAAGAUCCAGAUCAUCCAUUAGGUGCUCCAAACAUUAAUAAUACUCCUAGGAAACCUUCUGUUAAUGUUGACUUAGGCUCUAUGCCUUCUGAUGAUAGUGAUGAAGAUUGUAUGCUAUCUGAUUGUGAGAGUGAUGACAAUGAGUUUGGGGAAGAAUCUGAUGAAGAGAUUGAUCAAGUGCUGGUCAGAAUGGAUGCUGUUAUGAGAGAGAACAUGUACAUUCCUAGUGAUACACCUGUUCAAUUCUUUAUUGGGCAGUGUUUUAGGAACUUCAGGCAGCUGGCAUGGGCAAUAAGGACUUAUGCUGUGGAAAACAAGUUCAAGGUUUAUAAGCACAAGUUUGAAAAAUCCAGAGUAACUGUUGGAUGUAAUUAUUUCAGGUGCCCAUGGUUUUUACAUGUUGCAAAAACUAGAUUUGGACAAACCUUUAUUGUUAGGAGGCUUCACAACGUACAUACAUGUCAGAGAGACUUAAAGAAUCCUGAAUGCACUGCAGAGUUCAUUGUUGCCAAGUUUGCUGCAACUAUAAUUGAGCAUCCAGAUACAAAGGUUGGGUGGAUUCAAAGUGAACUUAGAAGGAUGUAUGGAGCUAAGAUACACAAGUAUAAAAUUUAUAGAGCAAAGAAGAAGGUUUUACAGAGACAAUGAGCUGAUUAUGAGUCUAGUUACAUGUUGAUCAGAAAUUAUGCUCAGGCCAUACUUACUAAGAUGCCACAGGCCUUGGCAUUGGUUAAGGUUUUCAGGAUGCAUGGUCAACAACCUCAAACUCACUUUGACAGCACUGUUAUAUCUUUCCAUGCCCUCAGAGAUGGCUUCAACCAAGGUUGUAGACCCUUCAUUGGUAUUGAUGGAUGCCAUUUGAAGGGUCCAUAUAAGGGUGUUCUUUUAUCAGCAGUUGCUAUUGAUGCCAACAAUGGAAUCUUCCCACUUGCAUUUUGUGUAUGUAGUGUCGAGAGUACAACCAGCUGGACAUGGUUUCUAAGCCACUUUAGGGAAUUUUUACAAGAUACAAGACAACUGACCUUUAUGUGUGAUAGGCAGAAAGGAAUUCAGAAUGCUCUUGCCUUAGAGUUUCCUAAUGCACAUGUUAGAUUCUGUGCUAGACACAUCUUAGCAAAUAUUAAGUUAAAACAUCCUCAAUCUGACUUUAAAGCAUAUUUCUGGGCAGCAGCAAGAGCAUCAAACAGAAGGGCAUUUGAUGAUGCUAUGCAAAACAUAAGAGCAGCACAUGAGGGUGUAUAUGAGACUCUUAGGAGGAUACCACCAAAUUUCUGGUCAAGGCAUGCCUUUGACAAUAAUUGCAAGUCUGAUCAUUGCACUAACAACGUAACUGAAUCUUUUAAUGCAUGGAUUGGGAUUCAAAGAAAGUUGCCAAUAAUCUCAAUGCUGGAGUGGAUUAGGAAGAAGCUGAUGAAAAGAAUGAUUGGAAGAAGAAAUAAGGCAGAGUCUUGGGACAGUGAUAUACCAAGAAGAAUUUAUGCACAAAUGAUGAAGAAUUUACAGAUUGGCAGUGCAAACCCUAUCUGUAGAGCUAGUAAAUGGCUUUAUGAAGUGGAUGAAAAUACCAAGACUUAUAUCGUUGAUCUUGAACACCAUAUGUGUGACUGCGGACAAUGGCAAGUUAGUGGGAUUCCAUGUGUACAUGCAAUGCCUUGUAUUGUGAAUAGUCAAAAAGAUCAAGCUCAGUUCAUUAGCCAAUGGUUGAAGAAAGAUACUUACCUAAGGUGUUAUUCUGGAUUGAUUAAACCAAUUCCAGAUAGAACGUCAUGGGUAGAUGCUGGUGGUGAUGAAAUACUGCCCCCUUUAGUGAGAAGACCACCUGGACGACCUAAGAUGACAAGAAGAAGAGAAGCUGAUGAGGUACCAGCACAUAAUAAACGAUACAAGAUGCAAUGCACUAUUUGCAAGGGAUUUGGACACAACAGAAGGGGUUGUCCUGUUAACCCUCAUAAUGCUCACAAGACAACAAGACAAUAUAAGGUGAGUGUGUAUGCUUGUAAGAGAAUAUUCAAUUAUUUUUUGAACCAUGUUCCUCCCAUGUGAUGACAGCUAAUGUGCCUUGUUUGUUUGUGCUUUUUUAUAGAAUAACCUGAAGAAGCACGUGACAAGGACAAAUGGGGAGCAAAGUGAAGGUAUAAGAGUAAUUUACUAAGUUAUAUUACUAUAUUACUUUACAGCUGUAUUAGAUAAUUAUAUAGUUGUGUAUCACCAAACUAUAUUAAAUUAACUUAUUUAUUUAACGUUGCUUUAUUGGUAAUUUAUAAGGCCAAGUUCACGGAAUUACCUCAACUAUUUUGGAAAGCCAAGACAAUGACAUGGUCCAAGUAACUGUCUCAGGCCAAAACAUAACAAAGAACCAGCAGACUGCAUCUAACAAACGCAAGAUUGGCAAUCAAGCAGGGCCAUCAAAAGCAAAUGAAGUCAUUGGCAAGAGCAUGAAUGGGGUCAUAUCUGUAGCUCCAUGGGUAGGUGAACAGGGAAGAAAAGUAAUGUCAGCCGCUGGAUUAACCUUCAGCAAAGAGGAUGAAGUCGGCAACUAUACUGAAAUGAAGCAUUUGGACAAAGGGAAGGCACCAGCCUUCCCUUCGUAAAGGGUAAAACCAUAGUUUUCUAUUGAUAUAAAUUAAUAUUGGUUUUGGAAAUGAUAUUUAUAAUUUGUAACUUGUUUUGUAGUGAUUCUUUGGCUAUGAUGGAGACAUUGGCAGCAAACUUAUUAACAAACAGUGGAGGCAACAUUAUCAUUUUUUGACACCUUCCACAAUGCCACAUCAACCCACCAGGCACAAGGUUAAGGUUAUCUGGAUGCUGAUUUCAUUAGGAUCAAGUGGCCAAGUAAUGACCAGGCAUGUCAUUGUUUUCUUUUUCUUUUUUAUUUUGGAGCUGAAAUUGGUGGAAGUUGUUGGACAUUAAGCUUAAGCAUUAUAGAGCUGGAAGCUGUGAUGACCUACUAUAAGUAUGAUUGGAAGGGUUUAUGGCAUUUUGAAAGUUUUUGGGAUUAAGAUACAUAUAGGACUGAUAUCAACCAAACCAACACUUUUUUUUUUUGUUUUUUGGUCACAUGUAUGUAAACACCAGAUUGGAUGUGACUAACAUUGUAAGUUGCUGCCAAUAUGCAUUUAUAGAUAAAAUAACUUAUUGCUAUUAUUGAUAUCAUAUUUGAUUAAAUGGUAUAUGUCAAGAAACGAAUGCAUUUUAUUGAUCAUAAGAUUUCAUUUUACACAUUGUUCUAGCAUUCCUUACAGUACAAUACAAGCAAUACAAGUAUAGUUAUCACUAUAAUCGUGAUUUGAUACUUCUUAUUUUUAUGAAGUAAACCUUCAAUAUUGAUGAACCUGUUGUGGAAGUCCUCAAUGUUAAAUUGUUGAAUCUCACUUGCCCUGUCUGCAGCUUCUUCUUCAAACCUUUGUAACGCUGCUUCAAUUUCUAUAGCCUCACCUGUAGAUGGUUUCCACCAUCUAAAGAAACCACAAGAUGGGUCAUUAGGGCAUGUGUAAUAUAGUUUGUUGGGGUUUGUUUUUGAUUCUGACACUUUGAUUUCUGCCCUUCUUCGACAGUAGCAUACUGUGUUAUAGAACUUGAUGAUGCCCCCAUUGAUUUUAGGUAAAUCCCUUCUUCUGUUAUAAGUUGAUGAACUUGAUGCAUUCCUUGAAGUGGACAUUUUCUUCAAAUUUCCAAUGUCGUGUCUGUUAUAUUCUUUUUGAAAUACAGCACAACGUAUCUGAACUUCAAGUUGUUGUGCUUGUUUUGUGUGUGAAUGAAGCUGCUGUUGAAGUUGUAUUGUUUCGGUGGGUAAAACCAAAUGUUGUACUACUGUAAGUUGUUGCUGAGUAAAAAAAAUGGUGGAGUUUCCAGGUGAGUCAAUGAAAAUCACUGAGGUGUGAAGAGGGUAGGAAUUUAUAUGUGUUAAACAUCACAGCUUGUGGUGAUGCAUCAGCUCAAAUUUAUCAAUUUCUUUUACUGUUCUUGUAACCAUAUAGCCGUUAUUACUGUUGCUCAGAUUUUAUAGCCGUUGGAUUUUUGAUGCGCAUGGUAAUAAACCAAUAUGCUAAGGGCAAUAUAGUCAAUAUAAUUUAACAGUUAUAGUUGGUCUUCGUGUGUAAAUACACCUUUAAAUAAUGGCCAGUGGUAAAUUCCUUAGUUCAAUGACUCACCUGGAUGCAUUUGAAUUCAACGCAAGGGUAUAUUUGUCAUUUAAUCAAAAUAUAGACUGAUCCGUUACAAUUAACUAAAAAAUAAACAGAAAUGGGUGCGCGGUGCUCAUAGGCAAAAGAAUUGGGUGCGUUGUGCUGUAUGUCAAAACAUUUGGGUGCGGGGUAAAAAUUACCCUUUGGAUUAUGAUUUGAGGGUGCAAGUAUUUACCUAGAGUUUACCUCCGCACUAAAUUCUUAAGUUUUGAAAAUUAUGAGACCUUUAUAUUGGGAGAUAUUGUAAUCGAAUCAAAACUUAAAUUUUUUAUAAUGUUAAUAUUUAAUCUUUUAAAAAACAAUAACCUCGCCGUUACAGUUUGGAUUAAGAUUUGAGUAAGUAUUUACCUAAAUUUUACCUCCGUCUGUAAAUUCUUAAGUUUUGAAAAUUAUGAGACCUUUAUAAUCGAAUCAAAAUUUUGAAUUUCAAUAUUAUUAUUCUUUAAAAAAAAUUUUGAGAUAACAGAGUGAUUGAUAAUAUAGGAGAACUUGUCUAGGCAAGCACAUGUAUACACAGAAACGUGAUGGAUUCAAAAAGAAAUUAAAGUGAUAAUGCGAAAUCGCUUGGUGGCCCAGUAAAAUUACGACUGAAUUUUUUUUUUUUUUUUUACAAAAUUCAAGCUCAUAAAUGACAAAUUUCAUUUCCCUUUCACACGUCAUUAACUUUUGUAACAUGGUGUGUGCAUCGUCAAGUGAGGCAAAAGGGUUUCAAUUACAGUUGGAAAACAUGAACAAGAAUGCAUAAUGAAUAAUUCCUUCGAUAAACCGAAAAUUAAGCACAGAAUAAUCCUAAAAUUUAAACUCUAAUAUCUUAUAAUGUAUUGAUUAAAAAUAAUCCUAAGAGCUCCCAAUUGAAACUUUCAUAAGUAUUUUAAUUGUUUUGGAUAAACAAAUUGCACUAGGAUAAAAAUUUGGCAAAUUCAGAGGAUAAUGGAAAAUAGUUAUGCUUCAAUAGGCCAAAGAUUAGAGAACAAAUAAGAAUUAUUUAUUGAUAUACAAAAGAGAAACACUCCAAAAUUUCAAGCAAAAAUAGUUUCAUAUAUCAUUUCGAUUUUGAAAGGGAUGAGAUUUUGAACUUCAAUAGUUUCCUCUAAAAUUAAAAGGUAGCAAUUAAGCUAAAAAGAGCAAUGAAGACUUAUUGGUACCUUAUUAAAGGUAAACAUUAUGGAACUUUCAAUGUCAUUAUCUCACUGUUCAAUUUUUAUUGAGAUUUGUGUAAGCAUUUACCUAAAUCUUACCUCCGCCUUUAAAUUCAUAAGUUUUGAUUAAUUAUGAGACCUUAUAUUGGGAGAUAUUAUAAUCAAACUAAAACUUAAAAUUUCAAUAUCAUUAUUCUUUAAAAAGAAAUUGAGAUAUCAGAGUAAUAUCACAUAGAAAAACUUGCCCACGGACGGUAAGCCAAAAGUCUAGUCAACCACACGCAUAAAGCUAACUAGAACAAGAGAACAGAGAAACGCGUGGGUCCCUAAAAGAAAAGGCAAGCACAUAAAUAACUUUCAAAAUGCCCAAGCAAAUACCGAUGAAAAUCACUGUUUAAGAAUAAUUUAUUAUGUGGUUGAAGCUUUCUUUUUAUCAAUCUUCUUUCUACCCAUUAAUUUUCCCACGACUUUCCCGUUUCAUUUCUUGAAUCUCCAUGGAUUAACUUUCAAUAAACCAUAAAAUAAACUAAGGAAUCAUUUUCUCGAAUACAGCUAUGAUUUUAAUAAAUGGGCGGACCAUCUAGAAUAGUAUAUAUAAUUCUGUUUAAUUAAUAAGUUGAAAAAACCAUCAAGAGAAAUUCUAAUAUUAUGAGCUUGACACGAAUUCUUCACUAAUUCCAAAACAAGGAGCUGUUUUAUAAGAACUGUGGUUGGAUUAUUAAGUUUUACAAUUUGAAUAUAAAUAAGAAAAUAAAAUCAGUCGCGUUGAUGUUUUCGAUACAUUUCGCUGCUAACUUUUUUUUUUUUUUUAUUACAUGAGACUAUUGCUCAAAUUACAACUCAUAUUACAUGAGAAUAUAACUGAUAUUUACAAAUCAGACUAUAACUGGGACCAAUAUACAUCAAUACUAAUGGAGCGCUGCCCAGAUUUUAACCCUCUCAAAUAUUCAAGGGAUGUCUACACCUCACACUUGGGUAAGGAAACAGACUGUCUUCACUUAAAUUUACUUGAGGAAUGAAGACCCCCACAAUACAUUGUGGGGGUUCACCACUCGACCAAAGGCCGAGUGGCUCAUUUCGCUGCUAACUUAAUUAAUUACUUUACUUCAACUUUAUUUCCUUAGGGGCACUUUAUGGUGGGUCCAAGAUGGGACCUACAAUAAUCAAUCCUAAAAUUUAGUAUGGUUACCAAAUAGCUAGUAGCUAGUGUUAUUUUGUGUUUGGUGGAAGAGAUUGAAUAUUUAGUUUUAACUUAACCAUUCAACUAAUUAGAAAAUAAAUAAAAUUAAAUGAAAUGUUUAGAUAUCAAUUUAAAUAUUAAUAUCGGGGAUAUAAAUUAGUUAUAAUAUAGUUCAUUACAUAAAAUUGAUUAAAUUAAUAAUUACCCGUGAACAUAGAUGUAUAUGCUUUCCAAUUUCCAAAGUGCUCAAAGCACUUUUCUCACCAAACUUUCCUCUGAAUUUCCCGUAGCUGACUCCUUUGUUUGCGUUUUGUGAAAUUUCUAGGAACUUUUUUCGAUUUAGAAUAUUGUACAUUUUUCUUUUCAGCUGAGAUUAAUUUAACUUAUAGAAAAUCUUAUCCUUUUUUAAUAUUAUUUAAAUAAAAUUUGUCUAUCUUUUAUUUUAUUAGUCUACUUUUUACCCAUUAAUUAAGACUUUUCAAUUUCUUUUUUACCUGAGGUUUUCAGUGACUAUCUUUCAAUAAACCAUAAAAAUUACUUAGUCAUUUAUCGAACAAUUAGAUGACCAUAUUUCAAAAUAUCAACUAGAAGUUGUCCUGAAAUAUUUAAUUAAUAGUUGAAGAAUUGUGAUUAGUGUGGGCAUCUACAUAAAAAUUAUAUUAAAACACCGCUAAAAGAUAAAAAUAAAAUAAAAUAGUACAAACAUACACCCAUAGGUUAAAACAAAGAAAAAACACGAACCAAUACACUAAAAUGUUUUAGCUGUAGUUAGUUUUCAGUUUCAUUACUUAAGUCCCACGUGCAUGUCACGUGACUGAGGUCAAAAAAUGAUUGUCACAUUAAAGUUCAAAAUACGGAGCAGGGUAAUUAAGGAGUGGAGCUAUUGGCACCCCUCCAUUAUUCUUACAAAACUCCACUUUAAAUCAAAAUAUAAUUAAGAAUAAUUGAAAAUUAAACACUUAUAGAUUUCUUUACAACAUGUUGAGUGAUAAAAAAGCACCAGUCGGGCAUGUCCCCAUUUCUUACCCGGUGCCGAAUCUCCACGGUCGAAUGGUAUGAGUAGACUCUUGGUGAUGUCUUCUAUGUGGAGCACGUAACAACAGACCAGGAACUAGUACCAACCAAAAACGAGUACUGAUCGAAACAAGCAUGACCAGAAACGCAUACCGACCAGAGACUUGUGGGUCCGUAAAAGAAAAGGCAAGCACACAAAUGAAAAAGCCAUUACAUUUCUAUUUUACAUGUCAUUCCUAAUUUUUGUAACACGAUGUGGCAGCAUAUGCACAAUCAAAUGAGGCAAAAGGGAUUCGACUAUCGUGGCAGAACAUGGACGAGGACGCGUGAUGAAUAAUUCCUUCGAUAAAACGAAAAACAAACGCAGAGAAAAGAAUUUCUUAUAUGACAAGAAAUUAAAGUAAUGUGACGGAACAUGAUGAAGAAAUUGCAGAUCGAUCAAUUAUCCCCAUGGACUCCUAUAAAUUCAACCAAAAUAACAAUUCCAAUAUUACCAAAUUCUUGAGUUAAAUUUAUUCAAUGCUUUUUUUUAAGAGAAAUUUUUUCCAAUGCUACUUUCCCUUUUUUGGGGAAAUUAGAACUGCGGCAUGUAUAGAAGACAUUGAGGUAUAAAGCAACAUUAAUUUCAUGGGUUAUGCGUUAUACGCAUAAUAUAUUUUCAGUCCAAAUUCAACUAUGCAAAGAGGCUUGAGAACUUAAAAUUAAGCACAAACUAAACAGACGAAGUAAAUACAUGAUUAUGCAACAUAACAUUAAUUCUCUUAAUUUAUAACCGUUUUGCCACAUGAAUCUUGCACAGUUAAUCCUAAUUGAAGACUAAAAAAGAACAAUUGGAACAAGGUUUUGAAAUAGAAUGAUAGACAAUCGAUAUGAUCCAUUUCCAGUCGUCAACGCUAAUUAACUGCAGUUUCUAGACUCCUAAUUAUACUAGCCAUAAGAAACUGUUUAGAAAACUGGUGAUCAGAUUAGAUUUUGAAAUGAAAUAAUGUUCAUUUUCCCUUCGUUACCCUUUUAUUUAUUUAUUAUUUUUAUACCAAAGAAUUCUAUCAUGAAACGAAUCAAUUUAAUCACCUUUUCCAGCAGCACAAUUUUUCUUUUAUAAAAUUUGACCACAGAGACAAAGAAGAAUUAUUCAUACCUUCAUCAGUAAGGAAAUACUUUUCGGUAUGGCUAGGGUGAGAAAAGGCUUUCCACAAACACUUGUACUUUGUAUUCCUGUAAAUUUUCUUUAAAGUCAAUAAAAAUCAUAAGUUCUUUACAAUAACCAUCUCUUUGAUAAAAAAAGUGCCGUAUUCCUUUAGAAUUUAAAACCGGCAAAAUCGAAUCAGUGUCUUUGAAGAGACAUAAUGGUCAUAAUUCUUUAAAGAGUUGGCUAUGGAAAUCCUUAUCCAAGAUUCUUUUACGCCAUAUUCUUUCGUAAACCAAAAUUCAUUUUGGAAUACUCUGUUGAGAAUGUCAAAUAAAACGGUAUUGAAGGAAGUUUUCAAAGGCAGAAUCCGCACUUGUCAAAGGGAUGAUCUGCAUUUGUCAGAGACACAAUCUGCGUCGAAUGAAUCGACACAUUUCCUUUUGUAUUCGCAUAUGUAAUUUUUGAAAAAAUGUAGCUUCUGCAUCUAUAAAUAACGCUCAGUGUAUAAUGUUUUAUUCAAAAAAAGAAAACAAGUUUCUUCAUACUCGUCGUCCGAACAUACAGAGACCGUCUCUCAUAACUUCAGCCGAAUACUUAUGAUGAUGAUCAUUUGUGAUUUCAUCAGGCAUAGGGUUGAUGGUGAAAAAUUUUGUAUGUGUGAAGAAUUGAGCUGUGGAUAUAGGGGACUUAAGUGUAAUCGAAAGAGAGUUAUUAGGCCAUAGUGUAGAUUGCAUUCAGUUUAUGAGUCGAUAUGCAAAUAAUUUGUUGACGUGGCGAAAUUUGUUAUGGUCGUUACUAUUGUUUCUGGAAAUUUUCUAGAAACCUCAGCAUAAAAGGGGCUUUUGGAUAGCCUCUGGUGUGCGUGUGAUUUCUCUUUCGUUUCCUCAUCAAAUUCUGUAAUUCUUGCUUUGAUAAAAAGCUUGUAAUCUCUUCUGUAAUUGUGAUCAGUGCGUAAUCAUUUUGAGCGAUAAAAGCUUGUAGGUUUUUCCUUCAAACAAUGUCGUUUUGGUCAGUUUGUUAGUUUGAUCUGUUGGUGGAAUUUUCUUUGGUUAUUUGUUCUCAAAUUUCAACCUUAUAUAAAGUUUGAACUCUAAUGGCUUAUAAUGUAUUGAUUAAGAAUAAUCCUAAGAGUUUCCGAUUGAAAUUUUUAAUGACUAUUUUUAUUGUUUUGGAUGCACAAAUUGCAUUAAGAAAAAAUAUUGUCAAAUUCAGAGGAUAACGGGAAAUAAUUAUGCUUCAAAAGGCCAGAGAUUAGAGAAUAAAGAAGCAUUCAUUACUGAUAUAAAAACUGCUUCUAUUUGGAUUUUGAAAGGGGUGAAGUUUUGAACUUCAGUUGUUCCUCUAAAAUCAAAAGCAAUAAUUAAGCAUUCUCAAUUAGAAAGAGCAAAGAAGACUUAUUGGUACCUUACUGAAGCUAACAUUAUGGCACGGUUGUUCAUAUGUAAUGGCUGCUCUGUUAUGCUAGCUUCUCUGUUUUUGCUUCUAUUUUUGCUUACAGUUUUGAAGAUAAAUUCUUGCUCAAAUAACACAUAAUUAAAUAACACUAAUAUGGCUCAUGAAAUCCUAUAAUAGCUAAUUACGCAACUUUCUCCUCCUCCUCAAUUCUGUCUUCCCCUGCUCGGACACUAACUUCAAAAUUCAAUGCCCCGAAAAACAACACAAGAAAUCUUUGAGUUAGUUCGUGACCAGUUUAUAUAUAGUAGCAAUUGAAAAAAGAAAAAGAAGAAAAGAGUUAAUUAUUUUUCAGACCUUCACUUAUUAGGAAGUUUGUUCUGCUAUUGGGUGAGAUCAAGCUCUCAGCAUAUACUUCCACAUGAUACUUUCUAACAUUUUCUUGAAAGCCAUCAAUCAUUAAAUCUUCAUACUUUUUUCCAUCCUUUGGAUCAAUAAGUACAAAUUUCUCAUCUAAAAAAGACAAAAUAAAAUCACUGUCCUUCAUGGAAUCAGAAUUGAGCUUACAAAAACCGAAGUGGACAGUUCCAUUCAGAUUGGUCGCCCGAGAACAAUGAUGAGAAGACUUAAAAUCAGUUUCAAAGGUUUUCCAAGUAUUGUUCCUCUAAACCACUUGUAUAUUUUACCAGAACUCUUGGUUAAGAAAAUCCUAGUCCAUGGAGUAUGAUAUAUCAAUCAUGCAACAAUGACCUACAACAUCUAUGUGGAUUGAUUUUUGCAAAAUAAAGAACAAUGCUGACUGAGGAAUAAGGUGCAUACCCGAUUAGCAAUAUCUCAGCAAGUAACCAACAAUUUUUUAUCUGAUAAGAAAAAAUUACAAUUUCUUGAAUAUACAUGAAACAUUUUGCAGAAAGAACCAUGUCAUAAUUAUUAGUCCAACUGAAGAAUUAUCAAUACUUAUCACAUGAAACGAAAGAUACCCGAGUUCACUUAAUGAAAUUCUCUUUUUUUUUUCUCUAACAUUGAGAUAAGCAAAAACUUUUAACUAAAGACAAUCAUCUAGUGAUCUCAAACAAAUGAGGUUAGUAUGAAACCAUCAUAAUUUGUUCGCUCAUUGCCUAAUUUUAUUAAUGCAAGAGCCUGGAAGCAACUCAAAAAGAAAAUAACCGACAUAGGAAGUGUCAUCUCAUAUCUCACCAAUGAAUGGGAACAGCUUGAUGUGGCUGAGCAAACUGGCAGAAUUGUCAUUUUAACACACGUUCAAGAAACUCAGCAAAUUCUCAUAUCUGUUUAAAUUCCACAGCAAAGAUAGUUACAAGAAAUCUAAUCAAAAUUUAAAAUGUCAGAAGGCAAAUCUUCCAAUUAGGAUCAAAAGAAGAUAAUUAUAAUUUGUCAUUUCAAUUCUGAAUGUACAAUUUUAUUUUUUUAUGUGUGCAUUAAUUAAGAUUCUACCUUCUCUGCAAAAUUGUGAUGGACUUGGUAAAUAAUGAAUUGUAUCGACUUGAAUUUUAUACAACUUAUUGAGAUAAUAAUACGCCAAAUUCAACACCGUCCAUCCCAAAUCACAACAAGAAACUCAAACUUUUAUCCCCUCAAGUGGGUUCUUGAAACUGAAGCUUUAGUGCCAGUACAAUUUUGAAAGAUUGUGAUCAAACUAAAACAUCAAAUAAAAUAAGACGUAACAAAAACACGUCUUCAGAAAAUUAGUAUAGGAAUAAGAUAAGCUACACAGACCUACUUCAAUGAAUUAGAAAAAUUAUGAUAAACUUGAUGCAUUUCGAAAAACAACAAACAAAUAUUCCCAGGAAAACAAAAAAAAGACAACUUUGUUUAAGCUUAGACAAAAAUAACUAAGGACAUAUGAAUGCAUCAUAAUAGUAUCUCUAUGGGUAAUUUUCAGAAAUCUCCCCUAAGGUAUGGUGUAUUCUUAGUUUGAUAGAAAAUAUCUAAGUAUUCUUAUAGACCUCCCCUACUGUUAGUAUUCCAUUUCGUAUAUGUUAGGUAGAUGAGGGUAAGAUCGUAAUUUGAAUAAGUUAAUGAUAAAAAAUCCAGAAAUUUUAAGAUUUUCACAUUGGCCUCUGGGCUUUAUUCAUCUCUUUCAUCCACCAAAACCAGAAAUACAACUCACCUCUCUCCUCCACCUAAAUCGAAGCAAGGUAGCUCAAAACUCAUUUCAAAAAAUUGAUCAAUUACUUGGGUCACAAACUAGAGACAAUGACGACGAAGUUGAUGACGCCAAUAUCGACGACGAAGCUGAUGACGCCAAUAUCGACGACGAAUGAUUCGCAACUGCCAGGUAAGAGAGUAUAGUAGGUUUCGCCAUCGAACGCCCAAUCAUCCAGUUGUUUUGGAGCCGCGUUAUUUUUAUUAGCUAAAAUUAGAAUUUUUAGUGAAAAAUUGAAAGUGGGUCUCAAAAUUUUUUGAGAGCGUAUAUGUUUCUCCUGAUUUUUCGAUCGAUUCGUGUUAGUUGCAGUUAAAUGAUUAAUCCAAUUCGUGUUGAAGAUAGAGCUAACUCGAAUAUCUCUAUAGUCCUGUAAUUGAUUGAAAAUGGGUCUUGAAAAUUGUUUUAGAUUUCAGCUGUGUGCUUCUGAUUUUUUCCAUGGAUUCAUGAUAGAUGAAAAUGGUUGAUGAAGAUUUGCUUGACAUGUAUAUAGAUGGUAUUUUGUUAAAGGGGUUUUAAUUUUUUCCUUUUUUGGUGGUUUCGAUUGUGGUAUUUACAUGCCUUAGGUUGAGAAAAACGAAAAUGGUUUGUUGCACUCUUUUGUGUUGGAUCAGUGAGUUUAGGCGAUUUGAAAUGGUUUGCGGCAUUCAAUUGAUUGUUUUAUUUAUGUGGUUUGAUAUGGGAAAAGUAUAAUAAAAUUCAAUUGUUCCAUAUGUCAAUUUGGAUGUUUUGAAAUUAUGAACUACAAAAAGUUAAAAUUAAUUUCUUAUUAUAUUUUCAAUUGAAAGUUACUAUUGUCUUCUUUUUAGUACUUAGUAUGCAUUUUUCCCCAUCUUCUAGUGGUGGUGUUGCACCCAUUUUGAAUUUGAUCGGCAUCUUCUUCUGUACAUGCAUGUUUCUUGGACUCCAAUUUUUGUUUCAUAUGAUGAAGCUAAUUUAAUUCCUCCUUUUUAAUAUCAACUUUGUUCAUCUAGGUUUGCGAUUUUGAUCUUUCUCAUUUGAAGGCAAACACAUUUAUGUCAUCAAAAUUUCCAAUAUUUUUUAUUUUAUAGUAUCCAAACUGCUUAUGGCAAUAUGAAAUUGAGAAUAUUUCUUUCAUCAUGUUAACCUAAGUGGAUGGUGGAUGAUGUUUGUGUAAGAGAUUUAAGUUAUUUGUAUUAUAGAAUAUGUCUUAUGUUUUGAUUUGCAAUUUCACCAUUAAAUUGGCUUUGUAAAUGAUUAGAAGCUAAAUGCAUAAAAUGAAAACAAUAGUAACAUUUCUGAGUGGGGUAUAAUCAGAUGCUAACAUGGCGAUCCAUGACUUGUAAUUUCUAUUGUCGUUAUAAUUGGACUAGAUCGAGGUAAACUGACUUUUCUUGUUCUGUUUUUUUUUUCAUUUCUUUGUUCUAGAUUUUUCUUUCUUUGUUUUACUUCUGGUUUCUUCUUCAGCAUAUUCAAUAACUAGCAUGAGCAAAUGGAGAGGAAAAGGGUAGAAUAUGCUUUUAAAAAAAAAGAAAAGAAAAAAAGAGAUAGCUCUAAUUCAAAAAUAAGGAGGAGAAAAGGGCAAUGAUUGAAGUUGUGGAGAAGAAAUUCUUAAUGCAUAGGAGAUGACAACAAAGUGUUGCAACUGGGAGCAGUUUUAAAGUGCUAUUCGAUUGCUUUUGUAAUCAAAUUGUCUUUUGUACCUAUUUAUACACACACAUAUUUGUAUUUGUAAUUUGAAUUUUACAUUUUCUCAAGACAACUAUGUUUAUUUUAAAAAAAAUCUAAAUGUAACUAAAAUAUUAAAGUUUUUGUACUUAUUACUCCAUUUGAUGAUUUUUUUUAUUUUUUUGCUGACGAAUAUUCCAUGUCAAUUUUUUUCCCUUCAGCUCGUUUAAGGUGUUUUAUUGUCUGAUGUGAUAUUUGGUGCUCGGGAGGAAGGGUGUUUUAAGUCUUUUUUGGUGUCAGGGGCAAUUUUGUCUUUACAUCAGUCAACAAAUAGUCAAUGGAUGGAAAUGCAAACAGCAGGGGAGGUGUCUGAUAAUACACGGAUACUUUCUAUCAAACUUAUAAUACACAAAAUCUCAGGGGAGGUUUUUGAAAAUUACCCAACUGUGCAAAAUUAUGAAAAAAAUGAGCUAAACAUAUAUAGCAUUUCAGAGGAGUGCUUACUUGACAAAUCACUAAUACAAAGCUGCGAAUGGGCAUUCGGAAUGUUUUGAGAGACUCGUAUGGAUAAAAUAUGUAGUUAUUUAAGUAAUGACAGAAGGAGAAUCGUGUGGCUUGUCAAAGCCGUUAGCUCCAUCUCAUUUGCCUCGUCCUCUCGUUUUGUUUCUGUGGGGACAUAUUUGAUAUUUUGGAUUUUGUCUAAAAUUCGUCAUGUUUUUGGAUACUAACAUCUGCGCCUCUAGACCAAUAGCCAUUUGAUUAAGUGGGAGAACCCUUACACUAGUGUAAGAAUUUGAACUUUUAUAAAAUUAUUUAUGAGAUUAUUUAUAAUUUUUUUUAAUUAUCAAAUAAUUGAGUAGAGUCAGUUUAAUCCUUACGAAAUAUUUACUAUUCAUAAAUAUCUUUUUUUUUCUCUAUCUUACAAUUGAAUAUUCUCUCUCUACUCCAACAUUAUGUAACCUAAAUAUUUAAUUUCACUCUUUUUUAAUUUAUUUUUUUGUCUUUUCUUAGUAUAUUAUAAUCUUUAUUUCAUGUUUUCUAUAUAUAAGAAUUUUUUUAUAUCUAUUAAAUUUUGUGUUUAGUGAAAAUUAAUUUCUUGAUAUUUUUAAUUUUUAUAAUUGAUAAAAAUAUAUCAAUGUUCAUUUUUAAAUGAUGGGUUUUGUUCAUUUUAGUUUGUUAUAUUAAUUUUUUGUAGGUAAAAGAAUAUAUUUGAAUGAAUUGAAGGAAAAUUGUGAAAUUGAGAAGAGAAAGAGAAGAAAAAGUUAAUUAAAUAAUUUUUUCAAAAAUUAUUUAAAUAAUAAAAUUCUUAAUUAAAAACAAAGAUGGAGAGAGAAAUUUAGUGGGUUCAAAAUACUUAUUUUAAAUCCAAAAAAGAACCAAUAAAAGAAAUCAAAAGAUGAUUCUUUUCUUUCUGACAUAUUUCUCUGUACUUUUCUCUCUCUACUGAUUCACAAUUUUUCAUACUUCUAACUAUCAUUUUAUUCAAGUAUUUUGUAUUUUUAAUGACAAUUAUUUAAUUUUUAGUUAGUUUUGAUAUUGAUUAGAGAUUUAAAGUGUAUUUUAGAAGACUUCCGGUCUCUUGAAAAAAGGAAAAAUGGAGAAGAAGAAGUGUUCUUGAUUUUUUGUAGGCGUUAAAGUUAAAUGGUUUGAAAUGAUAUUCUUUUUUAAUUUCACUCAUUAAUCUCAUUCAAGAUAAAAUUAUAAAUGCAAAUAAAUGGGGUUUCAUAAGUAUUUUUAAUAGUGUUAAAAGGUCUACUCACUAAAUAAACAUGUUUAACCCAAACCAAUGCGAUUAGUAAGUUAUUGGGUUGGGUUAAUCAGGUUAAAAAUCAAAAUUAAAAAUUAAAUAAAUAAAAAAGGUAUAAAAACUAUCUGUUACUUGAAAAUAAAAAGAAUUUCUAAUUGUUAGUUCUAAUGUCCCAUAUCCAAAACAUGCAUAUUAAAUAAAUAUUAUAAGUUAGAAAUACAAUAUCCAAGAAAGAAUGAAUGAAAUACCAUAUUUUUGUUGAGAAUUAAGAGUGUGAUUUUAAUUUUGAUAUUGGAGUCUAAAGUGCCACGUUUAAAUAUUCUCUUUUAUAAAAUAAUAAAAAGAGGUUAAAAAUUAGGUUAGCAAUUUAGCCAUUUAGGGUUUAGCAAUUAAGGAUGAACAUAUUAUUGUUGUUGUUGUUAUUAUUAUUAUUAUUUAUAUGUUUACUAAUCCAAUCCAAUCCAAUUAUUAACGAAUUUGAAAAAAUUGAUUCAAUCAAGCCAUAAUAAUUCAUUCAACUCGUCUAAAUUGGAUUAGGUUGAAUUUGGUUUGCCACCCUUGUUUUGAGCAACAAACCUCAAUGUGAUUCCAUGAGCUCUUUGAUUGUUUAUAAAAUUGUUUAUGAAAGUGCAAAAUAAAUUAUUGUAUACAUUAAAAUGUGCAAAACAAUGAAUUAUAUGUACGAACGAGUGCAAACACAUUUUUCAAUAAGAAGUUAAAAGAUAUUUAUGCAUGAAAAAGCCUACGUUUGUAGUUAUUCUAAAUUUUAAAAACAAAAUUUACAUUUAGAUCCCUAAAAUUUACGUAUAAGUACAAAAGUUUCAAAUAUUGUCUAUUAUUUUUUUAACAUGCCUAUUCCUUGUGGAUAAUUCUAUCUCAUCACUAAUGUUGUUUCUUGCUUACAAUUUGUAUAGUGUCUCAAAAUAGACAAUAGGGGGAUUUUGAAUUUUUUAAGUCUCAAUAUAGUCUCUAAUCUUGUGAGAAAGAUUUUCUUUCAAUAAUUUGGAGGUAAACAUAACAUAACUUUUUGGACUAAAGCCUAACUCUGCUGGUUAUGGUGGUAUCCUUUUCAAGACCUGCGUCUUUAGAUUCGAGUUUUAUAGUGUGCAUGCGUAUUUAAUUAAUAAUUUUUUAAAACAAUACAUCAAAUAUUAAUAUCCAUGACAUAAUUUAGUUCUUAAUUUUUUUUUUAAAUACAUCAAAAACAUAAUUUUUUUAACAACUUAUAGGCAUGACAAAUUUCAAGAUAUAAAUAUCAGUCAAAAUAAGUGAAAGAAAUAAUGGUGCCAAUUCUAAUUUCUUAACUAAAUUAAUUAGUGCAUGAGCCCCGAAUACGACACGAGAGUUUGAUGGGCUAACAUGGCACAAGAACCUGAAUAAAUAAUUGAUUUAAGAAAUAAUUCAAUGAAAAAUAUAAUUGAUAAGAAUUCAGUAUUGAAAUGAGUUUUUUAUGAAACACUGAAUUAAUGAUUAUUAAGCAAGAACAAUAAAAAAUAAAUAUUAAUCAUUGAUAAGUUUCAACAAAAGCUUAACACAAUCCUCAAUCCUAAUUCAAAUUAUAAAUGUCAUUCAUAUAUUCAUUAUAAUCAACAACAAAGGUUAUAAAUGUUUAGAAAUUCUAGAGGGAAGGAAGCUAUCGCUGGGCAAUCAACAACUAAAUUUGAUGUAAUUGUGGCACGAGAUGGAAUAUGGAAACUACACCAUAAUUUCAAAUGCCGCCAUAGACAUUGACUUAUCUACAAUAACAAUGAUCUAAUUAAAAUAAAAAUAGAGUUUAUGGGCAUUUAUUAAAAUAAAAAUAGGAGUGAAGUAAAAACAUUUAGAUUUUAAUGUAUGUACGGAAAAAUUUAUCUUUAAAAAUACUUUCUUAAUGUGUGUGUGCAUAUUGAAAUACUCAAACCAAUUUUGGUUAUAUAUAAUUCAACAAAAUUUAAAAUAUGAAAAAUAUAAUGUAGUUAUAGUGGAUAAGCAAUAAGUGAGCACAAUAUAAUUAAUCAAAUACUAUGCUAUCAAAAGUUAAUUUUAGAAAUUCCAAAUCCAAUAGCUAACACAAUUCUUUAAAGAAAUAACAAGGGGCAUUGGGCAAGAGUAAUGAAUGCUUAGUGGGUGCAUUUGAUUGAUAGAUAUAUAAAGGGCCGAAACUUGAUAUUAUAUUACUUUUACAAAAUUUAAUCCAAUCACAUAUUUAAUGAAAACAAAAUGAGUUAGGAUUGUUUAUUUAGAACCCACAUUUUAAUAAGGCUUCAUUUGAUGUAGUUUUUCAAACAUUGAUUAUUUGAGUAAUUACAAAGUACAAUACGUACCAAGUUUGGUAACUUAAUUGACAUCUUCUCAUAUAACCUUCGAUCAAGUCGAUUCUGACCUGACGACUAAUUGGUACAUCACCGUUGUUCUCUAUACUCGCAUGCAUCCGAUCACAAAUCUCACUCCAAUUGUCGUCUUUCUUCGGCGUUUUAGCGCAUCCUUCUUGAAUUUCCCGCAUUUCGUUCCCUCCUGUUACAAGUCUCCGGUCAGGUCAGUUCACUUGACGAUUAAUUCGGCAAAUCUCGAAUCUCUUCUCUAUCCCUCUCGUUUUCUCGUGUCUCCUUUCAGUUUAAGUGAUUGAAUCAAUUUUAUCGCAGUCUUAAGAGAAAUUAAGUAAUGCUCUUGGAUUUAAAAUUUUUUUGCUUUCGACUUUAGAUCUCGAAAGUCAAACUCUGCUACGAAUCCAUAGAUUCUCAAUGUUUAUAAUCUUAUUUGUGUUUGACCAGGUAACUGGAUCGUGAAAUUCGUCGUUUUGUAUCAAUUCAAGCUUUCGCGAGCUCAUGGAAUCCCCUGGUGAGUUGUGGUGAAACGUUAUCGUUUCAAUUUUCGCUUAAUUCUUUAUUGCAUAUUUUUUUCUCUCUAAUAUUUCAGUUUAAUUUAGAAAAGAAAGAGGACCCAAAAAGAGAGAGAGAGAGAGAGAGACUCUACCAUACUCAAUUCCUUGCUCAUUCUGAUUUGGCCUGAAUGUUGGCAUUGACUAUUAUUUGUUUUCAUUUCGAUUUAAUUCUCAUUUAGACAGUCUUUUUUAACUAGCAAUAAUCUUUUUAAGGAAAAUGAUAAUAGGGAUUCUGCAAUAAUCUUUUUAAGGAAAAUGAUAAUAGGGAUUCUGCAAUAAUCUUUCUGCAUUGUUCAAGUUAGUAGACAAUGAAUAGGGUGUUUAUGUUUACCUCAUUUUGAACCCUGAGGGCUUCGUUGAGUAGUUGAUCCAACAUAUCCAGCACCGGUUGAUGUGAGAACAGGAUGCCAUUUAGAUAGGCUUAAACUGAUUUUGGAGGUUUGUAUUCAUUCUAUUGUAUGUCUUGCUUACAAAUUUUUUAUUUUUUAUUUUUAAUUUUGUAUAAUAUGCUCUUUGUUGGUAAAUCUCAUUUGACUUAGAAGAGAUAGUUUUAUCCCAACAGUGGGAUAAAUCAUUGAGAUGCAUGGCAGUGUGAAUAUAGUAGACAAAAUCAUUGAGACAGAUGGUGGUGUGAACAUAGUAAACUUUGUCAAACACAGCUAAGAUAAACAAAUUGUUUCAUUAGCCUUUAUCUUAUCUGCUGUGAUGAUUCAAAUUAAUGCUGUUUGGUAGGUUGCAAAAAACGAAAUGAGCUGACUGUUCAUAUUAUUUAGUCAGAUCUAUUGCAAUAAGUUGAAGUUCACUGUCACAUGGGUUGGGAGUAGCGUGGGCUGUGAGUAGUAGAAUGGAUUUAUGGAGUUGAUACAAGUGCCCAUAAUCUAUCAUGUCAUUCUAGGAUUAAAUGGAUUGCACAUUACUGUAAAGAUGGAGGUUAAAUUUAUAUAAUUCGGAUUGAUUGUAAAAUGGGAGGCAGAGAUGAGUUAGAAAAAAAAUGACCUGUGUCCUUUUUGAGCUGUUUCUAAAUCUCCCUGGUGUGCUUCAUGCUUAACACGUGUCUGUCCAAAUAAUUUUGCUUAACCUGUGCUUGUCUACUUCUUGUGCUAUUCUGUGCCUGGUCCUGAGCUGUGUUGGUAGAUUGACAUAAUUUUGCUCUGCUAAAUGUAUAACUUAUUAAUCAGAGUCCUGUUAUUAUGGUUUGACACUACUGACAUGUUGUGUUGGUAUUUAUUUGUACUUCCCUUGGUUGAAUUAUUUGCUGUCUCCAUGCCAUUCGAUAUGGUGCUACUUGGUUUUUGAUCAUCCAUGACGCUAUAUAUAUGUAAAGGAUGAAUUGAUUGUUUUGGCUUGUAUUCUCACAUUUUAUGAUUGAUCGAUGGAAAGGUCUUCAUGUAUUAAAUUCAACCUCACAAGCGUAAGAUUGACAGAUUGUGGGAAAAUUUUCAGGAAAAGAAACUAGACUUCAUGGAAGCAAUGAAGCUUGAAAUUGAACGUCUGCAGCUGCAUCUUUCUGCAGCUGAAAGGGAUAGAGCUUUAUUGUCAAUUGAAACUGAUCCUGCCUCUAUAAAUCCAAAUGUAUUGCUUGAUGAAUCUUACAUGGGAAGACUGUCGAGUAGCAACCACUCUUGCAUUACUUGGCCAAACUUCCCUAGAAGACAAAAUUGUUGGUGCAAUUGGCCUUGAGAAUAGUGAUGAUAGUGUUUUAGACUUCUGGAAUAUUACUAGAAUCGGAGAGAGUUGUUCUGGUGGCGGGUGCAAGGUUUGUGCAGAAACUAAGGUGCCUGCUCUUGCUUCCUCAACUGCAACAUCUGUUGGAGCUUCACAAUCCCCUUUGUUGUGUUCUCAAUGUGAAAGAAAAGUUUGCAAAGUUUGUUGUGCAGGAAGAGGAGCUCUACUGUUUUCAAAUUAUAAAUCAAGGGAUGUGACCAACUACAAUGGCUUCUCAAGUCAGAGUGGAUGAAGCCAUGGAAGCCAAGUUGAUGUAUCUACCAGUCGUUCACUAACACUGGAUGGCGUUAUCUGUAAACACUGCUGCCAUGAGAUUGUGCCUGAUGCAUUGAUGUUGGACCAUGUUAGGGUCUUGAUUAGCUUGCGAAGAAGUUCCUGUGCAGACAACGCAGUCAUACAAUGCUUUGAAUGAGGUUGUUGGAUCCUGCUUAAAGGAUAGUGUUUCUGAAAGGAUUCAGUCUUCCGAUAACGUGCAAGCUGCUGAAGUCCUUCACCAAUUAUGUGGUGGACAGGAAUCACUUGCUGAAUUUCCAUUUGCUAGCUGUUUGCACUAGGUAUGUUCUUGGUUUGUAUUCAGUUCUCAUCAUGUUAUGUUUUCCUUUUAAAUUUCUUUUCUUGAUUAAAAUUUUUAGAAAUAUGUUUUAGUAUUUGUUCUUAUGAUAUAUGCCCAGAACAUUCAUCCCACUUAUCCAUGAGAAUCCUUGUCUGGUUUGAUUUUCAAUUGAGACAUUUUUGGGAACCCUGAGCAGGUUCCAUAUGCUAAUAAUCUUUGAGGUAAGGUGUUGUAGGAUGCCUUGAGAAGCUAAAAACCUAUUACAAGGAAAAGCUCUUGCAUUGUUUUGUGGAAUCUGUGUUGUGAAAAUAGGUAGAGAAAAAGUUUAUGGAAUAAUUCUCUUAUUUCAUAUGUUCAUGAGACUGUACACAGUCUUUAUAUAGGGAUACAAGAGACUAAGAAAGGAAAGAAAAAAUUAAAGCAGAAUAUUACACACUGAUUUCUAGGAAGCAAUAACUCUAUAUUUACACCAAAUAUACACCUAAAUAUAUAAGGAAAACCAAAUCAAUUUGAUUUGGUCAACCUUUCAACACUCCCCCUCAAGCUGGUCUAAAAAUGUCUUUCAUGGCCAGCUUGCAAACCAAUUUCUCAAAAUGUUUCUUAGGUAGUCCCUUGGUGAGUAUAUCAGCAAUCUGCUCAUUUGUAGGAAUGUAGGGCAUGCAGACCAAACCACUGUCCAGUUUUUCUUUUAUGAAAUGUUUGUCCACUUCAACAUGUUUAGUUCGGUUGUGGAGUACUGGAUUAUGUGCUAUUGCAAUGGCAGAUUUGUUGUCACAAUAUACUUUCAUAGGUAGAGAAUUAUUUGCCUUAAGUUCUUCAAGAACUUUUUUGAUCCAAAAAACCUCACAAAUUCCUAGAGCUACUGCUCUAUAUUCUGCCUCUGCACUACUUCUUGCUACCACAGUUUGUUUCUUGCUGCGCUAAGUGACCAAAUUUCCUCCGACAAAGGUGCAGUAACCCGAAGUGGAUCUUCUAUCGGUUACACUACCAGCCCAGUCAGCAUCAGUGUAGACUUCUACUUGUAGGUGCCCGUUUUUUCUAAACAAAAGACCUUUACCCGGAGAUCCUUUUAAGUAUCUAAGGAUUCUAUAUACAGUUUCAAAGUGUUCUGGUCCUGGAGCAUGCAUAAACUGGCUGACUAAGCUCACUGCAAAGGCUAUGUCCGGGCGUGUAUGUGAAAGGUAGAUUAAUCUACCUACAAGGCGUUGGUACCGAUCUAUGUUGGUCACAUCUUCAAUAUUAGCUGGCUGUAAUUUCAUAUUAGGAUCUAUGGGUGUCUCGGCUGCUUUACAUCCGAGUAAACCUGUCUCUUCAAGCAAAUCAAGAACAUACUUGCGUUGAGACACAACAAUCCCAUCUUUUGAUCUAGCAAACUCCAUGCCCAAAAAAUACUUCAGGUUGCCUAAGUCUUUGAUUUCAAAGUCACGUGCAAGCACUUUCUUUAAUCUGCAAAUCUCAACUAAGUCAUCACCAGUCAAAAUUAUAUCAUCUACAUAUACAAUUAACACGACUAAUUUCCCUUCAAUAGAAUGUUUGUAAAACAUUGUAUGAUCUGCCUGACUUUGGGAGUAGCCGUGUCCCUUUAUAACAUUACCAAAGCGUUCAAACCAUGCUCUAGGAGACUGUUUGAGCCCAUACAAAGACUUAUGUAGUUUACACACUUUACUGUUGCCAUGAUUUCCCUCAAAACCUAGUGGUAAAUCCAUAAAGACUUCUUCUUCUAGCUCCCCAUUCAGAAAAGCAUUUUUAACAUCUAACUGGUAUAGAUUCCAAUCAGAAUGUACAGCCAAUGAGAUAAGGACCCGGAUGGAAUUUAUCUUUGCAACGGGGGCAAAAGUUUCUUGAUAAUCAAUUCCGUAGGUUUGAGUGAAUCCUUUUGCUACAAGCCUUGCCUUAUAUCUCUCAACACUCCCAUCAGCAUUACAUUUAAGUGUAAACACCCACUUUCAACCCACAGUUUUCUUUUCUUUUGGUAAAUCCACAAUCUCCCACGUACCAUUCUUCUUUAGAGCAUUCAUUUCCUCUAAAACUGCUAACUUCCAAUCUGGGUGGUCUAGGGCUUCUUUUAUGGUUUUAGGAAUUGGUAUUUGAGAGAUUUUUGUGGUAAAGGCUCUUUGUUUAUUGGACAACUUUUCAUAGGAAACAUAUCUAGCAAUGGGGUGCUUAGUACAGGUUCGGGUUCCUUUCCUAUGUGCUAUGGGUAAGUCAAGAUCAGGAAAAAAAGUGCUGAAAUGUUUAGGAGAAGAAAUGUUACCUGAAUUUUCUGAGGAAUCAGUGCUUGGAGGCAACGAUUGAGGCUGUAUCGAGUUUAUGAGAGGGUCUUUACUGUUGUGAUGAUACUUUCGAGUAUAAACACGCAGCUCUGGUGGUGGAAUUUUAUCUUGUAGUAUUUCUCCCCCUGUCUCUGGUACAUUAACACUUGGUUCCUGUAGUUCAAGGUUUCCUAGGUUUUCAUUAUUAGAAAUAUCAGUUUUUUGAGUUUGAGUUGGAGUGCCCAGAUCAGGUAAAAACUGAUUAGGCAUAGGUGUAGAAGUAUGCCAAAAAUGAUCUUCACUAUUUUCUUUCUCCCCCUGAAGAGAAUUUUGGCCAAAAAAAGGUUGAUUUUCGAGAAAUAUAACAUCCAUACUGACAUGGAAUUUCUUUGUUUGAGGAUUGAAACAUUUGUAACCUUUUUUAUUAGGUGCAUAGCCCAAGAAAACACAUUUUUCAGAUCUAGGAUCCAAUUUAGAUCUAAGAUGGUUAGGAACAUGAACAAAUACAGUGCACCCAAAGACUCUUAACUGAAUAUUGGAGGUAAUCCUACUAGAAGGAUAUAUAAGUGUGAAGUAUUCUAAAGGUGAUUGAUACUUUAAAACACGGGUAGGCAUCCUAUUAAUCAAAUAACAUGCUGUUAAAACAGCAUCACCCCACAAAUAUUUAGGAACAUGCAUAGAGAGCAUGAUAGCCGACUAACUUCAAGUAAAUGGCGGUUUUUUCGUUCCGCAAUUCCAUUUUGUUGUGGAGUAUCACGACAAGUGGAUGUGUGAAUUAUACCCUUUUCCUUACAAAACACCUCUAGAUAAUUAUUAAAAUAUUCAGUACCAUUAUCUGUAUGGAGUAGACUUAUUUUUGUUUGAAAUUGAUUUUCAACCAUGUUAUAAAAAUCUUUGAAUAACCCCUCAACUUCAGAUUUUUCUCUCAUUAAAUAAACCCAACAAAGCCGAGUAUGAUCAUCUAUGAAUGUUACAAACCAUUUUUUUCCAGUUAAAGUGUUGAUUUUUGAGGGUCCCCAAACAUCACUAUGAAUUAAAUAAAAAGGUUUUGAGGCACGAUAAAUAAGUGCUUUAUAUGAAACUCGAUGACUUUUAGAUAAAAAACAACUUUCACACUGAAAAGUAGUACAAUCAACAUUUUUAAAUAAAUUUGGAAACAAAUAUUUCAAAUAAGGAAAGCUAGGGUGUCCUAGUCUAAGGUGCCAAAGCAUUAUUUGAUCCCUAGCAGAGUUUGAACUAAUACUACUGCUCAAACCUUGAGUUUGUUUAUUCCUUGAUAAGUAGUCAUCAAAAUAGUAAAGACCUUCUCGCAAACUAGCACUGCCAAUCAUCGUCCCCAAGUCCCUGUCCUGAAAUUCACAAUGGGAGUCAAAAAAGACAGCACAACAAUUAGAAUCUUUGGUUAAUUUACUGACAGAUAACAGAUUGCAAGAAAGUUUAGGGACAUGUAGCACAUUUUUAAGCUCAAUGGUUCCAGAGAUUUUUAUUGAUCCUUUUCCAGCUAUGGAAGAUAAGCUUCCAUCAGCAACUCUUACCUUUUUGUUACCAGGGCAAGGAUAAUAGGAAUCAAAUAAACUAGAAAUGCUAGUCAUAUGAUCAGAAGCACCCGAAUCAAUAAUCCAUGGUGCAGUAGUUGAGUGGCUAAAUAGAGCAUUAAUAAUACUACCUGUUUGGGCUAGUGAACCACUAGGAGUACUAGGUGGAGGAUUAGAAGUCAGCAGCUUUAUGAGAUGGUCAAUUUGCUCCUUGCUGAGAUUUUUUUCUAGAUUCUCCACUUCAUUGGCAGACGCACGGCUAUGCUUGCUGUUUUUCCAAUCUGCAGGCUUUCCGUGGAGUUUCCAGCAAGCCUCCCGAGUAUGGCGUGGUUUAUUACAGUAAUCACACCAUACUCGAGGUUUUUGUUGCUGUUGAGUGAUGGAGCGGGUAGCAUUAUCUGCUGUAACAAGGGCAGAUUUUUCCACAGAGACAACGGAGUUCUUUUUUCCCAACAUAACACCUCGACGACUUUCUUCUCUCCUUACUUAAGAGAAAACAUCCUCAAGAGUAGGAAGUGGCUUUCUCCCAAUAAUUCUUCCUCUUACCUCAUCAAAUUCAACAUUGAGCCCAGCCAGGAACUUGAAGAUUCGCUCAUUAUUGACAGUUUGUUUGUGGUGUUUAAAAUCUUCCAUGCUCUCCCACUCGUAGUCGUUGAAUAAGUCCAGAUCUUGCCACAAUCUCUUUAGAGUAUUGAAGUAUUUUGUUAUACUAUAAUCUCCUUGACGGAUAUCUCCAAGAGCAAGCUGCAACUCAUAGAUCUGGGACUGAUUUCCAUAGUCAGAGUACAUCUGACUCACAUUAUCCCAGAGUUCUUUUGCAGUAGAGUAGCACAUAUAAUUUGCACCAAUGUCUUCAUCCAUGGAGUUGACUAACCAUGCCAUAAUCAUGGAGUUUUCGGCAUCCCAAACACCAUAAGAGGGAUCAGAUAUUUCAGGAGCCUUAACAUCUCCGGUAAGAUAACCAAUCUUCCCUCUUCCCCUAAUAUACAUUCUAACCGACUGAGACCAUCUUUGAAAAUUUCCUUCAUUCAGCCGGAUAGUUGUAAUCUGGACAGAAUGAGAUUCAGAAUGGGAAAUUUUUGGUUCUAGUCUUUUUGAGGUGACUGUGGUUUCAGAAGAUUGGUCAGACAUGGUAGGGAAGAGAUCAGAAAGAAAGGGAGCCUAGCUCUGAUACCAUGUGAAAAUAGGUAGAGAAAAAGUUUAUGGAAUAAUUCUCUUAUUUCAUAUGUUCAUGAGACUGUACACAGUCUUUAUAUAGGGAUACAAGAGACUAAGAAAGGAAAGAAAAAAUUAAAGCAGAAUAUUACACAUUGAUUUUUAGGAAGCAAUAACUCUAUAUUUACACCAAAUAUACACCUAAAUAUAUAAGGAAAACCAAAUCAAUUUGAUUUGGUCAACCUUUCAACAUGUGUGCUAGCAAGUCAUGUCUCUAAUAAUUUCAUAGUUUGCUUGAUUGGAAUUUUUUAUCUUGAUAUGGAUUGUUUAUUCUAGAUUCCUUGGUGCUGUAGGUUGAAACAGCAAAAGAUUCAGCACCGAUUUUGUCACUGCUUGCUCCAUUAAAUUCUGGAUCAAGGCACUCAUAUUGGAGAGCUCCACCUUGUACUACUUCUGUUGAAUUUGUUAUUGUUCUCUGUUCUGUUUCUGAUGUCAGUGGGGUUAUCUUGCUUGUUAGUCCUUGCGGCUAUUCUGUGGGUGACACUCCGAUGGUAAGUGCCAUAUUUAUUCCCUUAUUUCCUUGUUGUUCAAUAAAUUUGGUGAUAAGCCAAGUGGCCUUAAUAAUGAAGCCCAGUACCAGGGGUGGUGGGUAAUCGAUAUUCAACUUGUGAAUAUUCCUAAGCAAGCACUGAAUCAACAUAGACCUCGGCAAAAGUUCUCCAUGCUAUUAUAACGAAAGUCAUAUUUUGAAAUGAUUAAAAGAGUCCCUGUGUAGUGCUAUUUCCAAAGAAAUUGCAGCUGGAGGUUUAGUUUCAUGUAGGUUAGUUUCCGAUAAUAAACUUUCCAUUUCAUUAAUUGCUGAUGAAAAAACCAAGUAAGAACAGUUUUGUUGCUCGUCAUUUAUGUAUAUUUUGGUAAACUGUAAUUUUAAAUUCUCAACGAUCUUCCCUUUGUAGGUAAGAAGAUGGUCCACUCACUUGAUAUUUAUGAUUGUAGAUCAGGUUUCUAUUGGUUUGCCUUUAUCAUUCGGAACCCAAGUUUGAUAUUAACAGAGAUCACGUCAAUAAUAUCCUAUUUGGGUAGAUGUGGGUGAGGAUUUAAAAUCAAAUUUGAAAUUGAGGGCAAAGAAGAGAAAAGAAACCGCAAUAAUUAAACAAAAUAUUAGGAACUAUUCUGAUGAGUUUUAAUCUCGAGAGGAACAAUUUUCAAAUGCAAAAUUUAACUGCUAGAGAAAUUGUAGCUUUUUGUCAUUAGUUAAGAGGAAAGAGAAUAAGAACUAUCUGGCCCUUUCCUUCAUGAAUGUGUGUUGAGGUUGCUGUAUUAUUUAGUCAGUAUUUGUAAUUUUCUUCCCUGCAGUGCUCUCUGCCUCCUGAAUUUGCUACUGAGUCCAUAUUUUUCUUUGAGCUGUUGCUUCCUAUUGCUGUUACAGGUACAAAUCUGGGCAAGCAAUAAGAUACACCGGGAGGACAGGUCAUCAAUGGGAAAAUGGGAUGUCCAAUCCCUCAUCACAUCUUCUUCAGAUUUGUAUGGUCCAGAAAAGUCUGCUAGUGUUGAAAAAUUACCUAGGCAUGUAAAAUUUACUUUUAAGAAUCCUGUUAGGUGCCGCAUUGUUUGGAUCACAUUACGUCUUCAGAGACCUGGUUCGGCUUCAGUUAAUUUCGGGAAUGACUUCAGUCUUUUGUCUCUUGAUGAAGAUGAAAACCCCUUUGCACAAGUAGACAGACGUGCUUCAUUUGGAGGAGCAGUUGAAAAUGAACCAUGUAUUCAUGCCAAAAGAAUUCUUGUAGUCGGAAGCCCAGUAAAAAGGGAGGGGCUUACCACAUCACAGAGCUCUGAGCAGCUAAGUAUUAGAAACUGGUUGGAUAGAGCUCCACAAAUGAGUAGAUUCAAGGUAUUAGUUGCUUUCACUCUUUGUUCAUUCAUAAUUCCAGCUUUCUGCUUGAUGCCUUGCCUCUGAUAAACCUCUUUUUUCUCUUCAGGUCCCAAUUGAGGCCGAGAGAUUGAUGGACUACGAUCUCGUCUUGGAACAGUAUCUACCUCCAGCGUCACCUUCGCUUGCCGGAUUCCGUCUAGAUGCUUUCAGUGCAAUAAAACCUAGGGUUACCCAUUCACCUUCCUCAGAUUCAGAUAUCUGGGACAAAUCAGUAACAUUUUUAGAAGACAGGUACAUCUCUCAAGCUGUGUUGUAUUUACAAGUAUCCGCACUCCAGGAACCACAUAACAUGGUAACUAUUGCGGAAUAUCGACUGCCGGAGGCUAGAGCCGGAACGCCAAUGUACUUUGAUUUCCCACGACCGAUACAGUCCCGACGAGUUUCAUUCAAGCUUCUUGGAGAUGUUACAGCAUUUGCAGAUGAACCUUCAGAACAAGAUGAUUCAGGAUUGAGAGCUCCACUUGUGGCCACAGGUUUGUCUUUGUCAAACAGAAUCAAGUUAUAUUAUUAUUGUGAUCCUUAUGAGCUCGGAAAAUGGGCAAGCCUUUCUGGAGUUUGAUCGUUAUUUAUAUGUCAGAGAAAGGGUUUUGGGUUUGAUUUUGAUUUUGAUUUGUAAUUUUUGUCAGUUUAUUGAAAUUUUUUGUUGUAUAAAAGCAGAAUGUAAAGGUAUAAAAAUUCAUUGAUGCUGCAAUGUCUGUGCUUUUGAGAAAGAAAGAAUUCUAUGGCUUUUCUAUGCCAUUGGAUUUUCCACUGCCUGUAAACUUGGGCUGUCGAAUGCUCUGUGAACCUUAAGGGCUAUAAAGUAAUUUUCAAGACUGAAGGAUUUAUUAAUCGAGUUCAAAAGAUUGCAAGUUGGUGAGCGUUGGCAUUUAAAAAAUCAAUUGUUAUUCUCUCAAUAAUCUCUGUCUUCUGCCGACACCCCAUGCUCAGAAACCCAUUGUUCCGACGGACGUGUAACACUUCUAGAAAUUGUUUUGAUCUCUCCUCGUGAAGUGUUUUCUUUUUCGAGUGAAGGUGGUUUUCUACUUGCAUACGUCGGGGGUCUUAUGAUAUGUAAUGUGUGAAAUUUCUUUCUCAUUUUACCAUAAAGAAAAAUGUUGUAAUAAUCUAAAGCUCGAGUCUUAAAUUAUCUUAAAUUUAUAUUUAGAGUGGAGCUAUUCGCAAUCCUACAUUAAAAUUACAAAUAAAAAUAAUUGAAAAUUAAACACUUAUAGAUUUUUUUUACAACAAAUUAUUUAAUUCAUAAUCAAUCCUUUAAAAAAAAAAAUCCAUAUGUUACUUGCUAUCUAACUAAAAUAAAUUUUACAAAUUUAGAAUAAUCUAUUGAUUUCUUUUGAUUUCUUAUUAAUUAAAUAUUUUUAUACAUAAAAUUGCUUUGAAAUUAUAAUUUGAAAUAUGUGUUAUUUCAGCCAAUGAUUAACACUAAAAAACUUAUCACCCAUAUAACUUUUUAAUUUGUGUGUAGGGUAAUAAUAAAAUCAAAAAUAAUUAAAAAAAUAGUACAAUAAUGAGUUUUAACAAUAAAACAAAUCAAAUGAAAAUUGAAAAUUUAGAAAAAAUGUAUCUAAAAAAGGGAACGUUUUUUAAAAUAAAAUGAAUAUAACUAAAAAGGGGUUUUAUGAGAAGAGCAGAGGGGUGCCAAUAGUCCAACUUGUAAUUAAGAAUCUCCCAUUAUAUUGUCAACCAAAAAGACACUUGAAUAAGAAGAAGAAUUUAUCAGUUUGAUUUUAUUUAUAGAUCCAACAUUUCUCAUAUCCUAAACGCCUUUCCGUAUCAAAUUAAAACAGUAGUCGCAAAAUCGUAGUAUUAAAAUCGUAGUGCACAUUCAAUUAACCAACUAAUAGUCUUUGGUAUAAGAUUUUAUAUUAGCUAGCCAAGUAGGUUGUCCAUCCCACUCAGACAUGAACGAAAGCUAAAUUCAUCAAAUGGUGUUAUACUAUUAAAUAUUUUUAUAUUUAAAAUUACUUUGAAAUUAUAAUUUCAAAUUAAAAUAGUAGUAGCAAAAUCGUAGUGCACAUUCAAUUAACCAACUAAUAGUCUAAGAAGCAAAGAGAGGAUUACAAGUUCACAACACCAUUACAAAGGAUUCAAAAUUCCCACACGAAAACAUCAAUGUACAGAUUAUAAACAAUCCGAAUUGGACACAAGAAAAAGCCCUUCAAUGGAUUGCUUUCCUUCCCAAUGCUAUAUACUGUGCAAACUCCGCACUGGCCAAGAAAAUGUUUUCAAUUUAGUGUAUUUUCAAAUUGCUUAUUUUCUCAUAAUAUAAAAAAUAAAAAAGAAUCCUUACAUGUUUCAUCAGCAUGAUUAAAAUCAAAGAAGAAAGCGAAGACGUAAUGUCUCUGACAUAAUAAAAUUACAAAAAUUUCAAGGAAAAAAAAAAGGUUAAAACAUGUAAUCUUCAGAAGCAUAUAAUAAAAGAACACUUCCACAAAUUACUACAAUUUCAUGCAGUAGAGAUUGAAGAGUUGAAUUCCACUAAUUUUAAUAAUGAAAACAACAACAGAGGAUUAACUGAUGCUUUGACUUAUUAGCAGGUUGCUUUGACUUAUUAGUUCUGCAGCUAAGUUAAAUAAAAUAAGCUAUUUUCAAAAGCAAAAUGGAAUACAUAGAUAAAAACAUCAUCUUAAACAAAUCACAAUCUAGAAUUAGAGCAUUUUCGACAUACCUAAGGAACACGAAUACGUGAAAACGGGUGAUUUAUUUGUUAAGGAGUGUUGAUUUGGUCGUCUCUGCAAAUUCUUUAGGGACUCGGUUCCAAUUCCUCUUCAUCAAAACUGUAAUAUAAUUCCCCUUCAUCAGAACUCGAAUCGAUGCAAUAUAAUUCCCCUUCAUCAGAACUCGAAUCAAAUUCACUUGCAGCAGUUCCACUCGCGCUUGGCAAAUCAUCCAAUUUCCAAACUUCGGUAACAAAAUUGAGAGUAAAAGUGUUGGCUUUGAUCUCGCUGGGAUUUGCAUAUACUGGACAUACUCCGCAACGUUUUAUCUUCUGACCCUUUUGGACCUUUAUUAUGUUUCGGUGACACUCAUUGAAGAACUUAAAUGUGGCAGUUGAAUGAUGGUCACCAUCAGGAAAGCCAACAUUCAAGCAAGGUUUAAAACCAAGUAUGACAUGAUCUGAAUCAUGGGGGUCUUGAAUUGAGUGCAAAUUGUAACCCAGAUGAACAUGUUUGGUUUCAGAGAGAGUCUUUAUUUCUAAGUCGGAUCGACAGUAAACGUAAAAAUAACGAAAACGAUCAGAAUAAAGUUGCUUAAAAUCAAGAACAGCACAAAAAGCAAACCCGAUUAAGUUUCUGCAAAAAGAGUGCGGUGGCAGUUGAAUACGUAUCGAAGAUCCUGAACUUUGAUUGCUGAACCAGUCAGGAAUUUCGCUCCCAGGUAAAACAAUUUGGGAUCCCCUGAGUUCAGAAAGUUUCUGCGAAACGACAUUUAAAAAAAGAAAAUUGUAAAAUGAAAACCAUGAUUUCAGAUAUAACAAAGAGGGACAGAGUAAACAAGAGAGGGAAUUUGAUACCUCGUUGUAUGCAUUUUCAUAGCCCAGUCUCAGUGAUGCUGCAAUUGCCAUACGUAGUGAAUCUGCCAAAAUCUUGUUGUUUGCUUUUCCAUCAAGUUUCAAGCAGUUAGUAAACUCAAAACAAAUUGGUUGUGGCGUCACAUAUUCCGGAUGCCAUUCACGAAGGUCAGGAGAGGGUUUGGAUAGCUUUUCGAGUACGGAUGCAUCUAGUUCUUGUACACAUGACGGAAUCUCUGGCAAAGAUUGAAGCCGGUUGCAGUUCAUUGCUUUUAGUGACUGUAGACACAAUGGAAGUUCUGGUAAUGACCGAAGCAUGUUACAAUCCUCCAAGUGAAGAGUUUCUAGACCCAAUGGAAGUGCUGGUAAUGACUGAAGCAUGUUACAACGCCUCAAGUAAAGAGAUUUUAGACACAAUGGAAGUUCUGGUAAUGACUGAAGUAUCUUACAAUCCCUCAAUUCAAGAUAUUUUAGACACAAUGGAAGUUCUGGUAAUGACUGAAGCAUAUUACAAUCCUCCAAGUUAAGAUAACUUAGCCACGACAGUUGCUUGAUACUUGCAGGUAAACUCUCAAAGUUAUUUCCACUUAAAUUGCCAAUGUUAUCCGGCAACUUGUCAAGUAUAGAGCAACCACUUACGGACAAAAAUGAAAGCCCCGGUAGAUUUUCAAAUGGCGAUGGCAGCUCUGUAAUUGCCGUCCAGACUAAAUAGAUGCAAUUUAAAUGUUCCAUUUUCUCCAAGAUUUCUGGGAAACGCUCAAGGUUCAAGCAGCCAAAAAGAAAAAGAUCAACCAAAGAUCUCAAUUUACAGAACCUAGUUGAAAUCCUCUUCAGCCGUUUGCAAUGCCCCAAAUCCAACACUUCAAGAUCAGUUAGGCACUCUAUUGAUGAUGGAACUUCUUCUAUUGCAGACUGGCCUAAGGAUAGCUCUGUGAUUUUCCCAGAAAUCCGUGGAAACUCUUUGAGAUUAACACAAUAGGAGAAAUUAAUAGUUACUGGACAAACAAAAUGAAGAUUGCUUGGAAAAGACCUAAGACUUUUGCAGCCCUCAAAAGACAACGCACUGAGAUACUUGAAAUUCUGGAUAGAUGAGGGAACACAAGCCAAGUUUGUAUAAUCCAAAAGAUUUGUUUCAACAUUUGGGGUUUCUAAUGGGCCUGGCAUCUUAAUGAAAUGUCGAGAAUGAUUGAGGUUAAUAGAUUUUAACUUGAAAGCUUCCUGCAAUAACAGAUAUAUAAAGACUAUAUUAAUUAAAAAGCAACAUUGAAUUCAACAAUUAAUUGCACGUAUGUUUAAAGAAAGAAAAAAAUUAAUGUUUUAGUUUUAGUACAAAACUUACCUUUUCUCCUUCCCAAAGUUGCUCAACUUUACUAAAACGCAAAUUCAGUUCAACAAGGUUCAUUGGCUUGAAAUUUGAUGGCAGUGUCCUUAAUGGAUAUGUGUCCCAAUGAAGAUAUCUCAAUUUUUUAGGAAGAUAAUCUAGGCCAUUUGGAAGCUGCACUUUAGAGUAUGAAAGUUGCUCUUCAAUGCUCAUACUUAGAAACCUUUCAAUCUCAGGUACAUAAAAUUUGAGCAAUCUUAGAUUAGACAUUUUUGUGAAGGCUCCUGGGUCUAAAUUGAUGCCUUUUAUUUUGGACAAAUCCAGAAAUAUGCCUUCAAUUGCAUCGGUCCCCUUAUUAAAAAAAAAAAAAACAAAGAAUGAGUAACCCUAAAACAGAAAAGAAACAUUCGUAAACUUUAUUAACUAAGAGCUUCUUAAACAAAAACAAAUUCUGCAAUCUUUGAUUUUAUUUUUUUAAUAUAUUAAAUAUCUAUAUACGAGAAAAGAAAAUUUUGGGGACCAUUGCAAAAUUAAACUAACCGAAAAAAAAUUCAAAAUUUCUCUAAUUUACAAACCUGUUAUCUUAAUAACUAGAAGUUGAGAAGACAAGGCCUAUUUGAUUGGUAUAAGAUUUCGAUUUGUUUUUUAGUCCAUAGAAUCCAAAAUGUUAGUUCAAAAUUAGGGAAAAAAAAUGAAAGUUAUUUUUUUUCCACUAGUUGUAAUUGUUUCCAAGUCAAAUUGAGAUACGACCCUUUUCGAAAGGAUUUAAUCAUCUUAUAGCCUCCUUAAGAUACAUUUAAGCUAAAAGGAGUGAUUGGAGGCAGAACUAGGUGGGCCAAUCAGUCCCUUUUAUUAGUGACUGUUGCUUAAAAAAAAUUAUACUCUAAAACACACUUACUUUUUUGAAAAAAAAUAUAAUUAUAUUGAAGUAGAACCAGGUGGGCCAAUCCUCAUGGCACUCACUUUGUUCUGACACUCUUCACUAAAUUUGAAGAAAAAUAAAAUUAUACUCUUCACACUCUUAUUCAACAUUCCAAAAUUGAUAAAAUCUAGAGUUUUCUUUAAAAAUUUAAAAUUUGAAGACUUGUUCUCUUGACAUCCUCAGUCAUUAAUUUCACCUAAUUAUGGUUUUUAUGAUUUUGGUUGUUUUGUUCAUAAAACAAUUUUACUAAAGGAUGUUCUCGUAAUAAUAAAAAUUAUAAAAAAAACAUGGGUGUGCUGGUAUGGUUGGGAAAAUACGAGUACAGAACUCCAAACAAAUAAAAGAUUUAUAUAAAAAAAAAUGGAGGAUUCUUACCAUAUUAUGCUUUAGUACGCGGCGGAUUUCCUUAGGAUCCCACAACCUACUACGUCUGCCUGGCACUUCCUCAGAUUCUUGGCGAACAGUCUCUUGGCCCAUUUCUUGCAAUAAAUCAUGCAUUUGCAAGCGGUUAUCUGACACAGUUAUGAGUGACUUGUCGACGAGGACAUCCAGUCUGUGAGACCCAGAAUCAUCAAGUAUCCUUAACACAAAAUCUUUAUCCUCUCCCUCAAGGAAACACGCAAUAUCUAGAAACAUACUCUUCACCCUGGGCGUUAAUUCUUUAAAACUAAUCUUUAAUGUAUCAUAAAUACCAUGAAUAUCAGAUUCACAAAUCCGAUUUAAGUCGUGCAAUACAUUUUCCCAAUGGCUUUUCCUCUUGAGAUACAGGGAGGAACCCAACACUUUAAGAACUAAUGGAUUGCCAUCAGCAUACUCUACAACUCUCCACGAGUCACGUUUGAAAUCUUCAGGACGAUGCUUUUCUUUAAAAGCGAAGUUACAAAAGUGCUCGAAAGCCUCAUCAAAUUUCAAUCCAUUGACCCUAUAUAUUUUCUCCACUCCAAAUUUUUCGAGGACUCGUUUAUCCCUGGUGGUUACAACAAUUCUACUUCCUGGACCAUAUUGAUCAAGCCCUCCAAUCAAACCCUCUAAUUGUUCAUCUUUAUUCACAUCAUCGAGUACAAUCAACACCUUCAUGCGUCGGACCCUCCCUUUAGUAAAUUGUGGAAUAUUGGGACCAGCUACUUCAAGUUUUUCACUUAAUAUUGUCGAAAGCAUUUCCUUUUGUAGGUCUUCUAGGCCACCCUCUGUUUCUGAUUUUCUCCUAACAUUUUUUGCAAAGUAUUUACCAUCAAACUCACCAGCGAAUUGAUCGAAAAUAGCUUCAGCAAGGGUAGUUUUGCCUAUACCGCCCAUACCCCAAAUUCCAACAAUUUGGACAGUAUCCGACAAAUCCAUACACAAAAAUGGUUUAAUCUGCUCAAUUCGUGAAUUUAAUCCAACUAGGCCGUUGGAUGAGUCCGUUGAGACUGUUAUUUUUUCCAACUUCUUCAAAACAUCUUCGACAAUUUUGUUUACAAGUUGCGCAUCAAGCCUAAUAUGAAGGUGCAAAGAUGCAAAAACAUUGAGUCAAAUCGGGCCAAGACAGAAACAGAGAAAAGAUGAAUUAGGAAAGAGAGUUACCUGAAUUUCGUGGAUUCAUGGCCGGCUAGAUGGGAUGUUUCUGUCAGUGCAUCCCUCCACUUCUGAACCAUUUCUUGUUUAUCUUUGAACUGUUUUUUGAGCUCAUCAAAACGGUCUCCAAAUGUUCCGUUUUGAUGCCGCACAUCAGAUGGACUUACUCCAUAGAAGAAUGGAAUAAUAAUUUGGCCGUUUGUGUUCUUGCAUUCAAGAAUCUUGACAAGUUCAUUCAGGCACCAUUUUGAAGAAGCGUAGUCCUUCGAGAAAAUGACCACCGAAAUUUUUGAACCUUGGAUUGCGUUCAAAAGGGCGGGUGAAAUCUCAUCUCCUCGCCUAAGCCCUUCAUCAUCAAUAAAUGUUUUGAUUUUCUUUCCUUCAUACAAUUUAUCAUAGAGAUAGCAAGUAAAGCUCUUACGAGUGUCCUCCCCUCUAAAGUUGAGGAAGACUUCAUAAUUGGCACAAGAAGAAGAGGAAGCCAUGAAGGAAAUUUUAGAAAAUUGGUGACAGAAACAGAGAAUUAAUCUUGAGAGUUGAGAGAGGAGAUGUAAGAAUGAACAUGUGCGAAGAUUCUUGCGAGUACAUAGUAAAUAAUUGAAUGGCUGGAGCUUUCUUAGUUUCCUGGAAAUUUCCUGGAGCUUUCGUAUACAUGAUUUGUCAAGUCAUGAAACAUAAUCAUGAUAAUGGGGCAGACCGAAAAGAAAAGCAACAAUUCAAAUAUUUGAUUCAACCAGUAUAAAAAGGAAGGAAAAGCAAAGAAAGGAAAUGUUGAAAGUAGAGUUAGGGAAUUAUAAAAAGCUGAAGGAAAUUGGAAUUUUGUACAAUUUCUCCAGCGAGGAACUUUCACAGUCGUUACCUCAUUGUUACAGUUUAGAUUAAGAUUUGAGGGUGCAAGCAUUUACCUAGAUUUUACCUCCGCACUAAAUUCUUAAGUUUGAAAAAUUAUGAGACCUUUAUAUUGGAAGAUAUUAUAAUCGAAUCAAAACUUAAAAUUUUAAUAUUGUUAAUCUUUAAUCUUUAAAAAAAAUUACCUUGCCGUUACAAUUUGGAUUAAGAUUUGAAUAAGCAUUUACCUAAAUUUUAUCUCCGCCUGUAAAUUCUUAUGUUUUAAAAAUUAUGAGACCUUUAUAUUGGGAGAUAUUAUAAUCGAAUCAAAAUUUUGAAUUUCAAUAUUAUUAUUCUUUUAAAAAAAAUUUGAGAUAACAGAGUGAUUGAUAAUAGAGAACUUGUCUAGGCAAACACAUGCAUACACAAAAAUGUGAUGGAUUCAAAAAGAAAUUAAAGUGAUAAUGUACGUGGAUCCUUAAAACAAAAAGCGAAAUCGCUUGGUGGCCCAGUAAAAUUAAGACUGAAUAUUUUUUACACGAGAAGUGUAGCUCAUAAAUGGCAAAAGCCAUUUCAUUUCACUUUUACGCGUCAUUGACUUUUGUAACAUGGUGCAUGCAUCGUCAAGUGAGGCAAAAGGGUUUCGAUUACAGUGGGAAAACAUGAACAAGAAUGCAUAAUGAAUAAUUCCUUUGAUAAAGCGAAAAUUAAACACAGAAUAAUCCUAAAAUUUAAACUCUAAUAUCUUAUAAUUUAAUGAUUAAAAAUAAUCCUAAGAGUUCCCAAUUGAAACUUUCAGAGAUAAUAGAAAAUAGCUAUGCUUUAAAAGGCCAAAGAUUAGAGAACAAAGAAGAAUUAGGUAUUGAUAUAAAAAUUAUUAAUUUUUUUGAUUUCAAGCAAAAAUAGUUUCAUAUACCAUUUCGAUUUUGGUAGGGGUGAGGUUUUGAACUUCAAUAGUUUCCUCUAAAAUCAAAAGGUAGUAAUUAAGUUAGAAAGAGCAAAGAAGACUUAUCGGUACCUUAUUGAAGGUAAACAUUAUGGAACUUUCAAUGUCAUUACCCCACUGUUUAAUUUUUAUUGAGAUUUGUGCAAGCAUUUACCUAAAUCUUACCUCUGCCUGUAAAUUCAUAAGUUUUGAAAAUUAUGAGACCUUAUAUCGGGAGAUAUUAUAAUCGAACUAAAACUUAAAAUUUCUUUUCUUUUUUUUUUUUUUUAUCAUAAAAGGGCUCUUAAGAGAGCUAAGGCAACACUAAAUGGGAGUGUGCAACCCCAUGAACAUCAUUAAUCAAUAUGUUUAGCGUAUUUGGAGGAAUAGAUUGAAAGCAAUGUAAACCCAAAGGAAAAGAAAAGCUGUACGAAGUAAGGAAAUCUGCUGCUACAUUGGUUUCUUGGUAGAUAUGAUCCACUUUGAUCAGCCAAUCACGCCGAAGGAGUUCUUCGAUGGCCUGAAUGAGAGUAAAAUGCUCAUUGACGGGAGGGUUUGAGUUAGAGAUUAACUUCAUAACACACAUGCUGUCCACUUCCACGUAAAACUUAAAAUUUCAAUAUUAUUAUUCUUUAAAAAAAAAUUGAGAUAUCAGAGUAAUAUCACAUAGAAAAACUUGCCCACGGACGGUAAGCCAAAAGUCUAGUCAACCACAUGCAUAAAGCUAAGUAGAACAAGAGAACAGAGAAACGCGUGGGUCCCUAAAGAAAAGGCAAGCACAUAAAUGAAAAAGCCAUUACAUAUCUAUUAACACGGUGUGGCAGCAUAUGCACAAUCAAGUGAGGCAAAAGGGAUUCGAUUAUCGUGGCAGAACAUGGACGAGGACGCGUGAUGAAUAAUUCCUUCGUUAAAACCAAAAACAAACGCAGAGAAAACAAUUUCUUAUAUGACAAGAAAUCAAAGUAAUGUGAAGGAACAUGAUGAAGAAAUUGCAGACUGAUCAAUUAUCCCCAUGGACUCCUAUAAAUUCAACCAAAAUAACAAUUCGAAUCUUACCAAAUUCUUGAGUUAAAUUUAUUCAAUGCUUUUAUUUUUUUAGAAAAUUUUUUUCCAAUGCUACUUUUCCUUUUUUGGGGAAAUUAGAACCGCGGCAUGUAUAGAAAACAUUGAGGUGUAAAGCAACAUUAAUUUCAUGGGAUAUGCGUUAUACGCAUAAUAUAUUUUCAGUCCAAAUUCAACUAUACAAAGAGGCUUGAGAACUUAAAAUUAAGCACAAACUAAACAGACGAAGUAAAUACAUGAUUAUGCAACAUAACAUUAAUUCUCUCAAUUGAUAACUGUUUUUGCUACAUGAAUCUUGCACAGUUAAUCCUAAUUGAAGACUAAAAAAGAGCAAUUGGAAGAAGGUUUUGGAAUAGAAUGGUAUACAAUCGAUAUGAUCCUUUUCCAGUAGUCAACGCUAAUUAACUGCAGUUUCUAGACUCCUAAUUAUACUAGCCAUAGCAAACUAUUUAGAAAACUGGUGAUCAAAUUAGAUUUUGAAAGGAAAUAAUGUUCAUUUUCCCUUCGCUGCCUUUUCUUUUCUUUUCUUUUUAUAGCAAAGAAUUAUAUCAUGAAAAGAAUCAAUUUAAUCACCUUUUCCAGCAGCCCAAUUUUUCUUUUAUAAAAUUUGACCACGGAGACAAAGAAGAAUUAUUCAUAACUUCAUCACUAAGGAAAUACUUUUCGGUAUGGCUAGGGUGAGAAAAUGCUUUCCACUAACACUUGUACUUUGUAUUCUUGUAAAUUUUCUUUAAAGUCAAUAAAAACCAUAAGUUCUUUGCAAUAACCAUCUCUUUGAUCAAAAAGUGCCGUAUUCCUUUAGAAUUUAAAACCGGCAAAACCGAAUCAGUGUCUUUGAAGAGACAUAAUGGUCGUAAUUCUUUAAAUGAGUUGGCUAUGGAAAUCCUUAUCCAAGAUUCUUUUAUGCCAUAUUCUUUCGUAAACCAAAAUUCAUUUUGAAAUACUCUAUUGAAAAUGUCAAAUAAAACGGCAUUGAAGGAAGUUUUCAAAGGCAUAAUCCGCACUUGUCAAAGGGAUGAUCUGCACUUGUCAGAGACACGAUCCGCGUCGAACGAAUCGACACAUUUCCUUUCGUAUUCGCAUAUGUAAUCUUUGAAAAAAUGUAGCUUCCGCAUCUAUAAAUAACGCUCAGUGUAUAAUGUUUUAUUCAAGAAAAGAAAACAAAUUUCUUCAUACUCCUUGUCCGAACAUACAGAGACAGUCUCUCAUAACUUCAGCCGAAUACUUAUGAUGAUGAUCAUUUGUGAUUUCAUCAGGCAUAGGGUUGAUGGUGAAAAAUUUUGUAUGUGUGAAGAAUUGAGCUGUGGAUAUAGGGGACUUAAGUGUAAUCGAAAGAGAGUUAUUAGGCCAUAGUGCAGAUUGCAUUCAGUUUAUGGGUCGAUAUGCAAAUAAUUUGUUGACGUGGCGAAAUCUGUUAUGGUCGUUACUAUUGUUUCUGGAAAUUUUCUAGAAACCUCAGCAUAAAAGGGGCUUUUGCAUAGCCUCUGGUGUGCGUGUGAUUUCUCUUUCGUUUCCUCAUCAAAUUCUGUAAUUCUUGCUUUGAUAAAAAGCUUGUAAUCAUUUCUGUAAUGUGUGAUCAGUGCGUAAUCAUUUUGAGCAAUAAAAGCUUGUGGGUUUUUCCUUCAAACAGUGUCGUUUUGGUCAGUUUGUUAGUUUGAUCUGUUGGUGGAAUUUUCUUUGGUUAUUUGUUCUCAAAUUUCAACCGUAUAUAAAGUUUGAACUCUAAUGGCUUAUAAUGUAUUGAUUAAGAAUAAUCCUAAGAGUUCCCGAUUGAAAUUUUUAAUGACUAUUUUUAUUGUUUUGGAUAUACAAAUUGCAUUAAGAAAAAAUAUUGUCAAAUUCAGAGGAUAACGGGAAAUAAUUAUGCUUCAAAAGACCAGAGAUUAGAGAAUAAAGAAGCAUUCAUUACUGACAUACAAAAGAGAAACACUCCAAAAUUGCAAGCAAACUAGUUUCAUAUACUAUUUGGAUUUUGGAAGGGGUGAAGUUUUGAGCUUCAGUUGUUCCUCUAAAUAGCAAAGAAGACUUAUUGGUACCUUACUGAAGCUAACAUUGUGGCACGGUUGUUCAUAUGUAAUGGCUGCUCUGUUAUGGUAGCUUCUCUGUUUUUGCUCACAGUUUUGAACAUGAAUUCUUGCUCAAAUAACCCAUAAUUAAUUAACAUUAAAAUGGCUCGUGAAAUCCCAUAAUAGCUAAUUACGCAACUUUCUCCUCCUCCUCAAUUAUGUCUUCCCCUGCUCGUACAAUAAAUUCAAAAUUCAAUGCCCCGAAAAACAACACAAGAAAUCUUUGAGUUAGUUCGUGACCAGUUUAUAUAUAGUAGCAAUUGAAAAAAGAAAAAGAAGAAAAGAGUUAAUUAUUAUUCAGACCUUCACUUAUUAGGAAGUUUGUUCUGCUAUUGGGUGAGGUCAAGCUCUCAGCAUAUACUUCCACAUGAUACUUUCUAACAUUUUCUUGAAAGCCAUCAAUCAUAAAAUCUUCAUACUUUUUUCCAUCCUUUGGAUCAAUGAGUACAAAUUUCUCAUCUAAAACAGACAAAAUAAAAUCACUGUCCUUCAUGGAACAUAAUGGCUGCAAUGCCUGAACUGAAUUGGCUAAUGAAACAUAGUCUUCUUUUCUUUCUCGACAUGGAACAUAGUCUUCUUUUCUUUCUCGACACAUGUCUCUGUACUUUUCUCUCUCUACUGAUCCACACUUUUUCAUACUUCUAACUAUCAUUUUGUUUUUUUUUUUUGAGUUGUGAUUUAUUCAAUUAUUUUGUAUUUUUAAUGACAAUUAUUUAAUAUUUAGUUAGUGUUGAUAUUGAUUAGUGAUUGAAAGUGUAUUUUAGAAGACUUCCGGUCUCUUGAAAAAAGGAAAAAUGGAGAAGAAGAAGAAGUGUUCUUGAUUUUUUUGUAGGCAUUAAAGUUAAACGGUUUGAAAUGAUAUUUUGUUUUAAUUUCACUCAUUAAUCUCAUUCAGGAUAAAAUUAUAAAUGCAAAUAAAUGGGGUUUCAUAAGUAUUUUUAAUAGUGUUAAAAGGUCUACUAACUAAAUAAACAUGUUUUACCCAAACCAAUCCGAUUAAUAAGUUAUUGGGUUGGGUUGAUCAGGUUAAAAAUCAAAAUUAAAAAUUAAAUAAAUAAAUAAGGCAUAAAAACUAUAUGUUACUUGAAAAUAAAAAGAAUUUCUAAUAGUUAGUUCUAAUGUCCCAUAUCCAAAACAUGCAUAUUAAAUAAAUAUUAUAAGUUAGAAAUAAAAUAUCCAAGAAAUAAUGAAUGAAAUACCAUAUUUUUGUUGAGAAUUAAGAGUGUGAUUUUAAUUUUGAUAUUGGAGUCUAAAGCAAUAGAUAGUACAAUGAAAUCAUGAAUGCUACGUUUAAAUAAUCUCUUUUAUAAAAUAAUAAAAAGAGGUUAAAAAUUAGGUUAGCAUUUAGGGUUUAGCAGUUAAGGAUGAACAUAUUAUUAUUGUUGUUGUUGUUGUUAUUAUUAUUAUUAUUAUUAUUAUUAUUAUUUACAUAUUAAUUAAUCCAACCCAACUCAAUUAUUAACGAAUUUGAAAAAAAAUGACCAAAUUAAUCCACAAUAAUUCAUUCAACUCGUCUAAAUUAGAUUAGAUUGAAUUUGAUUUGCUACACCUACAUUGAGCAACAAACCUCAACGCGAUUCUAUGAGCUCUUUGAUUGUUUAUAAAAUUGAUUUAGAGUACAUAAUGGAGUGUAUCGACAAUGAAAGUGCAAAACAAAUUAUUGUAUACAUUAAAAUCUGCAAAACAAUGAAUUAUAUGUACGAACGAGUGCAAACACAUUUUUCAAUAAGAAGUUAAAAGAUAUUUAUGCAUGAAAAAGCAUACGUUUGUAGUUACUCUAAAUUUUUUAAAAAAAAUUUACAUUUAGAUCCCUAAAAUUUACGUAUAAGUACAAAAGUUUCAAAUAUUGUCUAUUAUUUUUUAACAUAUGCCUAUUCCUUGUGGAUAAUUCUGUCUCAUCACUAAUGUUGUUUCUUGCUUACAAAAAACAAAUGUCAUCUCCUUUUACAAUUUUUAUAGCGUCUCAAAAUAGACAAUGGGGGGAUUUUGAAUUUUUUAAGUCUCAAGAUAGUCUCUAAUCUUGUGAGAAAGAUUUUCUUUCAAUAAUUUGGAGGUAAAGAUAACAUAAUUUUUUGGAUAGUGUGCAUGUGUAUUUAAUUAAUAAUUUUUUAAAAAAAUACAUCAAAUAUUAAUAUCCAUGACAUAAUUUAGUUCUUAAUUUUUUUUAAAUACAUCAAAAACAUAAUUUUUUUUAACAACUUAUAGGCAUGACAAAUUUCAAGAUAUAAAUAUCAGUCAAAAUAAGUGAAAGAAAUAAUGGUGCCAAUUCUAAUUUCUUAACUAAAUUAAUUAGUGCAUGAGCCCCGAAUACGACACGAGAGUUUGAUGGGCUAACUUGGCACAAGAACGUGAAUAAAUAAUUGAUUUAAGAAAUAAUUCAACGAAAAAUAUAAUUGAUAAGAAUUCAGUAUUGAAAUGAGUUUUUUUGUGAAACACUGAAUUAAUGAUUAUUAAGCAAGAACAAUAAAAAAAUAAAUAUUAAUCAUUGAUAAGUUUCAACAAAAACUUAACACAAUCCUCAAUCCUCAUUCAAAUGAUAAAUGUCAUUCAUAUAUUCAUUAUAAAUCAACAACAAAGGUUAUAAAUGUUUAGAAAUUCUAGAGGGAAGGAAGCUAUCGCCGGACAAUCAACAACUAAAUUUGAUGUAAUUGUGGCACGAGAUGGAAUAUGGAAACUACACCAUAAUUUCAAAUGCCGCCAUAGACAUUGACUUAUCAUAAUAACAAUGAUCUAAUUAAAAUAAAAACAAAGUUUAUGGGCAUUUAUUAUUUUGCCAUUCCUCAUUUGCAAAUAGGGAUAUAAUUAUAAUUUUACCUAGUCAAAGCAAUCGGUAGUUUUCUUCAUUAUAGGAGUGAAGUAAAAACAUUUAGAUUUCAAUGUAUGUACGGAAAAAUUUGUCUUUAAAAAUACUUUCUUAAUGUGUGUAUGCAUAUUGAAAUACUCAAACCAAUUUUGGUUAUAUAUAAUUAAACAAAUUUUAAAAUAUGAAAAAUAUAAUGUAGUUAUAGUGGAUAAACAAUAAGUGAGCACAAUAUAAUUAAUCAAAUAUUAUGCCAUCAAAAGUUAAUUUUAGAAAUUCCAAAUCCAAUAGCCAACACAAUUCUUUUUUUUUUAAAAAAGUUGACACAAUUAAUAAAAUUAGCGACAUGAAUUUCACGCCAUUGAUAAUCAGCAAUUAGUAUUACUUUCUAAACUUGCUUCAACUGGUCGUUGAUGUCCGGGUCACCAAAAGUAUAAGCGAUAAUAAGGGGCAUUGGGCAAGAGUGAUGAAUGUUUAGUCGGUGCAUUUGAUUGAUAGAUAUAUAAAGGGCCGAAACUUGAGAUUAUAUUACUUUUACAAAUUUUAAUCCAAUCACAUAUUUACUGAAAACAAAAUGAGUUAGGAUACUUUAUUUAGAACCCACAUUUUAAUAAGGCUUCAUUUGAUGUAGUUUUUCAAACAGUGAUUAUUUGAGUAAAGUUUCCUCAAUAGAGUUUUUAUCAAAUAAAUUUUAUUUAUUUGGUUGUCGAUAAGAACUUUUAUUAAAAAUUAUAAAAUUAUUUAAAUAAACAUAUUUUUUAAAAUUACAUUAUAAAAAGAAUUAAAUAAAGUUAUAAAAGUAAAAUAUAUUUUAGAUAUUUUAAUAUUUAAGAAAAAAAUUUUGAAUCUCUACUUUCAGAAGCUCAAAUUUUUAGUUUUUAGUUGUAGAGACAAAAUAUCUUAUUUAAUCUUUAAAAGUUCUGCUAAAAACAAUCAAAUAACUAUAAAAUUUUUAAUAAGAGUAUAUAAAAUUAAAUAAGCAUUUAUUAAUAAUCACUUUAGUGUACUUAUCUAAUGACCAUAAGUGUUUAUUUAAUCUCAUAAGUUCUUAUUUAAUCUCAUGAGCUCUUUUCAAUUUUUUUUGUUGUUUGCUUUUUUUAGUAGAGUUUUUGAAAAUUAAAUAAACUAUUUUGUCUCUAUUAGGAAAAACUCAAAUUUUAGGUUUUUGUGAGUAAAUGUUUAAAUUUUUUUUAAAAUAUUAAAAUAUUAAAGUAAAAGUUGUAGAGACAAAAUAUCUUAUUUAAUGUUUAAAAGUUCUGCUAAAAAUAAUCAAAUAACUACAAAAAUUUUAAUAAGAGCAUAUAAAAUUAAAUAAGCAUUUAUUAAUAGUCACUUUAGUAUACUUAUCUAAUGACCAUAAGUGUUUAUUUAAUCUAAUGAGCUCUUUUUAAUUUUGUUUGUUUGUUUUUUUAGUAGAGUUUUUGAAAAUUAAAUAAACUAUUUUGUCUCUAUUAGGAAAAACUUAAAAUUUAGGUUUUUGUGAGUAAAUGUUUAAAUUUUUUUUAAAAUAUUAAAAUAUCUUUUCUUUAUUUCAUAAUCUUAUUUCAUUCUUCACAACAUAACUUUAAAUAACUCACCUAUUAAAAUAAUUUCACAAUUUAUAAUAAAAAUUUUAAUUGACAAUCAAAUAACAAAUUUUUUUUUAUAAAAACUCUAAUAAUAAAAAUUCUACUUAAAUAAAUUAUAUUUGAAAAGGUAUACCAAACGAACCUAACAUAAAAACAAAAAUUUUUACAUCCACACAAUUAAGCUUAAAACAAUUUCAAAUGAAUUUUAGACUACUCAAAGUACAAUACGUACCAAGUUUGGUAACUUAUUGGGGUCCGCUUGUAAUACAGCGUCUGUAUCUCAUACAGCCAAAUUUAAUAAUUUAUUAAGAAAAAGGGCAACCAUUAGAUAGAAGUAGAUACAUCCAACGGUUAAAAUGUUUGAUUACUCAUUUUGGCGACCGGAUAUGCCAGUUAUUAUUUCAUCAAUUAACUUACCUAAAAAAUCACAGCCGUUGGAUUGAGAUGCCUCUCUUUCCCUCAAAAUAACAGCCUUCGUAUUCUCUCUGCUAUUGUUUUCUCCUACAUCCAGAAUUUUGGAUGAAUGAACUUGGUAUUCAACAAUAUUCACCACCCAUCACAGCAAAGAGCAAAGAUGUAGUCAAAGGAGUGCCAUUUAUUCAGGCUAACUCGAUCUGUCACUCUCGCUUCAAUUCGUCACUCAUUUUCUCGCGCUCAGCUUCAAUCUAUCACUCUCAGCUUCAGUUCGUCACUCACAGCUUCAAUUUUUCACUGUCGUGAAUCAUCUCUCUUGCUGUAUCUCUCUCUUAUGUCUUCCAAUAAUUUCGGUGAGCUCUCUCUCUAAUUUAAUAUAUGAUUAAAAAUCUUAUCAUCUUAUCAUGUCAUUUAAAUAUGCUUGAAGUUUCAAUUUAGUUUAUGAAUAUUACUUGAAAUUUCAGUUUCAAUAAUUUGAUUUUGCAAUUGAGAAAUUAUUACUUGAAAUAUUGAGAUGAUUUCUAGGGAUUGAUAAUUGAAUGAUAAUUGCUAAGGCUUGUCAUUUUUUGUUUUUGAACAGAUAGAGUUACAAUUAAGUCAUACUGCAAUAUUUUAUCUUGAGAUUCUAUUAUUCACAAAAAGAAAAAAAUCAUAAAUUGAAAAAAAAAAAAAAGAGGUUACGAGCAUCAAGCAACUGCAAGUAAUGGGGUUUGUUUUGAUGAGCUGCGAAUUGGGGCCUGUCAUUUUCUUGAAGUAUCUUCAAUAUAAGUGGAAGGAGAUUUCUUCUCUCCAAAAAAUUAUUGUAUAUUUCCUUUUAAAUUCUAGAUUCGCAUGUAGCUGAUUUUUUAUGUUUGAAGGAUUUUAUUAAAGAAUGUGCUGCUGCUAGUGGCAUGAAUUAAUGUAGUCUCGCUAGUAUUCGUGAUUUGGGGUAAGGAUCGAAUUGAACAAUUAUAUUUCUAUUAUUCUUAUAUUCGAAUCCAGUGAUAUUGUGGUGGUUUUAUGAUAAUAUUCAAUUGUUUUGUGCCUCAAAUCAGCCAAUGAGUUGGGUAUGUGCUGGGUAUAUGCCGUAUGGGCUUGUUGUUGAAUUUGCUUGACCUUGGAUGUGAUUCUUGCCGUGUUUAUAAGAAAUAGACACAGGUCUUUGUGUGGUAAUAGAAUUGUCUAAGGUGCCUUACAAUAAAUUUAAGAGUCUUAAGUAACUAUGCUUUGUAACCUUAAACCUUUAUUUGUACGACUUGGUGUUCUUGGUUGUGAAAGAAUGUUAAAUGUUGACCUAUUUUCAUCGGUGAAGAUAAAUGAAGUUAGGGAAGGUUUGUAAUCACUAUAACCCUGACAAUUUUUUUGGUGGGCCGUGAUAAUUUUAUUCAUGGCAUGUACUUUGUUUUUAUCAGAAGGCCCUGUUUGCUUGUAGUCUCAAAUCUAGGGUAAUAUUUUAAAUAAGUUCUGCAAUAUAUGUUUUGCUAUUUUUCUUUUUUGUUUUUAUUUUAAUUAGUUUUAGUAUUACUUGGAGGGGAAUUCUGAUCUGCUGAAGUUUAUCAAGCUGGUGCAGUGGUGCAGCAAGCAGACCUUUAUCUUAAUCUUAUGAUUGUGCUAAGUGGAAUUUUGUGUAAGUUACAACAAUAUAAUUUUUUAAAGAGCUGACAAGACGCUCUCUCUUUUUUUUGGAAUGUUGAGCAAAACUUUUCUUUCUUAUUAGGUGUUUAUAAUAAUUCAUAGCAUGGGUUUUGUCAUAUUGGUUUCAAUGCAUUGAUUUGAUCUUGGUUACAACCCAUCAGCCCUUACUCCUCAUUCCCAGCAGCUUUUAAUGCCUUUUUUUUAAGCAUUGUACUUUGUUUCAUGAUGAAAUUUGUUUAUAUGACGCAAAGUUGAGGACACGGUAAUAGUCAUUAUUUUAAUUUAUGCAACAAAGAUCAUUAUCCAUUAAAUUUUAUGUUGUUGAAAUAUUUAGAUUUUGUAAAUUUUGUUGUAAGAAAUGAGGGCUCUUGAUCCCAUCCCUUUAUUAUAUACAAUUUUUUUUCACUCUGUCAUUCAUUUAUUGUGUGUUAGAGGUAUUAGUCAUGUGCAAAAGUAAAGAUCUUUAUUUUGUUAUUUUUGUCAUCUUGUGCUUCAUUGGUAUAAAUGAGGAAAAAAAAGAAUAAAAUAAAAUAAAAUUAUAGUUUGUGCAUGAAUUCCACCAUAUAUGAAAUGUUUAAUAGAUUAAAAAGUAAGGAGUACACAGUGACUUUGAAUAGCAGGUGGGGGAACUCAUUUUGUUUUAAAAAAAAUUAAUACAUAUUGAUAGAAUAAUUAUCCUUCACUUAAUUAUUUAAAAAUUUUAUUUUGGAAGAAUACAAAUGGACAGUCACCAAUGAAAGCGUAAACGACUACCAGGGGGCUUACAGAAAAAAUUGCUCCUAUUCUAAAAGUAGAUGGUCAGGACAAAGUUCCAACAACUUCAACUUAUGGAUUUGUCUCUUACUUGUAAGGUAAUCUCUUCUUGUAGGGUGUUUAAUUGAAUUAAAAACAGAAUAUUAUUUGCAUUAUAGAGUACAGGCAUAAAUUCAUUAUCUAUGUCAGUUCAUUCAUGAUUUUACUCCAAAUGGAGUAAUAGAUCACCAUUAAUUUAUUGAUACAUCGUCCAUGUUUGUUUUCGUCUUCAAUUUUUAUAUUACAAUAUCUAAUCUAUUUAGUAUUCGUAAAAAAACAUACGAGAAAAAGUUGGAAAAACACUUUAGGGGUGAUUGUGUACACUUUCGUAUGGCACAAAUAGCGUUAGGCUUUGUUUUUUAAGUGGACGACGUGUCCAUUUUUUGUGUUACAUCUUACUCAUUAAUAUAUUUUUGAGUUUCUUAUGGAAAAAAAAUUGAAAAAACACUUUAAGUGAAAAAAAUUUGUAUUUCAAUUUAUAUGUAACAGUGAAUUGGAAAAUAAAUUCUACCAAUAAUUAAAAGAAUACUUUUCUUUUAAUUAUUAAAAAGAUAAGGUAGUUACUCAUUACCCAUAUAAAUGGACAGUUUUAAUUUGUUCCAUAUCUAUACAACAGAAGAGCUUCAGACACGGUUUGCAGCGUUCCACGAUCACUUCCAUUCUAAGCAGCAGCGUCUUCCGUCUUUUUGCACACCAACAGCAGAUUCUAGAUGGCCAGAAGCUCAUCUGCCGCACUCUCGGGAUUUCGCUGCCAUCCUCAUCUUCAUCUCCACUACCUCCUCAGUGAUUAUCCCCUGGUUUUAUGCUCAGAAAUUAUGAUUAUUAUGUAUCUUGUUUUCAGAUUUGUCAAUACUUGUUAUAUUUUGAUUAUGCAUUAUGGACAUUUUUCAUAAGAUAGCUUAAUUUUGUGGUUUGUGUUGACGAUUUCCAUGUAUGGAUGUUUGGAUAGGUAAUUUCGCCUUCCAUGCAUUCUUCAUUCCUGCAUCCUGUGGGAGAAAAUUGGAAAAAGUGGUUUUUGAUGAGAAACGGGGAGAAGGAUGAGAUAUAUAUUUUUGAAGUGUCACAUUAUUUCAAAAACAAACCCCAAAUUUAAUUUCUCUUACCGAUCAUGAGUUAAAAUAUAAAAAUUAACGUUUACUCAUCACACUGUUAUAAGUAUCAAAGCAUUACUUAUAGAAAAAUUAUCGUCACCUAUCCUACAUUUGUGAUUGAAUAGUGGCACAAUUUUAAUUGGGAUAUUUAACAUUACUCUUUGUAAUUGUUUGGUCUUAUUUGAAGUUUGUAAAUUUUUCAUAACUAUGACUUCAACAGCAUAUUUCAGGUUGCAUUUAAUCGUUGCUAUAAUUAGGUACUUUGAAAUAAUUUAUUGGCCACGAUUACAGUCAUUGUUAUUAGUCACCCCUCUUUUUUCUCUUUUGGCCAACCAGCUCUUGGAUAUUUGGGAACCGAUGACAAUAGUUGGGAAAUUAUGUAAUAUUGGUGUGUUUGCGAAAUAAAUCAAGAGAUUUGCCUUGCCGAAGUUAAAAGAGAUAUUGUGGCCUGAAUUUUUUUUUUUUUUCUCUAGGGGCCAUGGCUCUCAAGGACAAGGCAUGAAUCAUGCAUUAUAAUUGCUCGAAAGGGUUAGUAAAAUAGCAAUCUAAAAUACCCAAGUUGGAUCUGCUGUUGAAUCACAAAAAGAACAUAAUUGGGAUAUGAAGUCAUGGUUGCAAGUGUUGGACCCUUAGGUUACGUUUGGCACGUAGGAUUGGAUUGAACUAAUUACUAAAAUUGGAUUGAAUUAUAUUCGAUUGGAUUAAACUGGAUUAUAUUAUAUAGUUCUAUGGUUAGUACAAUAUCGGAUUAAACUAUGUUAAAUUAUAUUUAAAUAAUAUUAAAUAGCAUUUAAGUUGGUAUUUUAAUAUUAAUAUCAAUUAUUCAUGAAAUUUCAUAAUCAUAAUUAAAAUAAAUUUAAAAAACAAUUACCAGGAAAAUUAAAUAUAUUGUAAAUAAGUUACUGGGUAGUCAUAAUACAGUAAACAAAUGAACAUAGAUAAAAAAAUUAAAUUUUAAAUAAUUUUUAUCAAAUUUUAAAAAAAAAUUAUAUAAAAUCAAUUAUUUAAUGGUAUUAUUAAUUUUCAUGAUUAUUUUUAAUAGUAUAUAACAAUGAUUAUUAAAUUUAAUACAAUCAAAUAAUGCAAUAAAUAAUUAAACAUUUAAUUUUAUCAAUAAAUUACUAAAUAUACAAGUGGUGAAAAUUUAAUCUCCAGAGUUAGUACAAGUAAAGGUAUUAAUUUAAUUAGAUCAUAGAUAAUAAAUAAAAAUAAGUUUUAAGUAAAUCAUAUUAAAAAUUAAUUAAUUAAUUAAUACUAGGUGUAAAUAAAAAAAAUGAUAUAAAUAAAAAUCUCAUAAAUGGACAACUUUUUUCUUUAAUCUUAUCCCAACUAAACCCAUGCGUAAAUUAGGAUUAUCAAUUCCAUGAUUUUAGGAUUAAAUUUAAAUUACUACCCCCUUAAUCCAAUCCAACUAAGCUUGCCAAACAUUGGAUAAAUAUUUAAUUCCAAAAUUAGUCUAAUCCCAUACUUAAUCCUAGAAUCCAAACAUGGCAUUAGCACCUUAUAUAACAAAGUGUCACUGAAAUACAGCAAAACGUUAUAAACAAGAACUUAUUUCUGUACAAAAUGUUAUUUACUUUUUGUGAACUUCCAAAUACCUACUAUAUGAUUUGCAAACCCUACAAAAGUCUACCUUGCAUGCUCUUUCUAACGUGAAAUUUGAUUUUUAUUAAAUUUUUGAUGUGUUCACUAAUAAAUAAUUGGAAUCUAAAAAAAUUAGAAAAAAAUAGAAUUAGAAUGAGCUACAAUAAAAAUGAGGAAUAACAAAAAAAAUGAUAUUUGUUGAGAUGAAUGAAACACAAUUGAAAUACUCUAUAUCGCUCUUAAUAUGUUCACUUUGUGAACAUAAAUUAGAAUUAGUUGUUAUAACUUAGUAAUUUAUCCUCAAUCAAUUAUUAUCAUUAUUACUAUUUGUUAUAAUAAUUGUAAUUAUUAUUUUUGAUAAUUUUAAUACUAAGAAAAUUAUUGUUAGGGGUGGAAACACCAUAUAGAGAAGGAACAAUUAAAUUUAUAAAAUUUAGUGGGGAUAAAAUAGUCACUUAAGACAGCAAGCGUCUCCCAUUCUCACCUCCACGAGCAUGAAAACACUAGUAAUCAUUCUUAAAUUUUGAUGGAAUCUGUUGCUUUUAUUCUAAUAACGAACGCAAAACCUAUGGAAUUAGUUGGAAUAACGAAUGCAAAACCUCUGGAAUUACAAUUGAAAUACGUCAACCCAAAAUGGAGAAAGCACAACUAAAAUUAGAGACCUACAAAACCAAAAAUAAACUUAUAGAAAACAAACCCGGUACCUAAUCUCAAUAAUUGGAAUCUCAACCAGUUAAUGGAAAUAUUCAACUCAAAAUUAGGGAAAAAUUAGAUGAAACACGUGAACCAUUGAGAGAGAAAGUAUGACGAAAAUUAGAAACUCAUUUAACGAAAAAUAAUAUUUACUUGGAAUCUAACCCAUGAUACUGGUACCUAAGGAACUUUAUAGGAAUAUGAAACGCAAAACCAGUGGACCAAUAAGUUGAAACAUGUGAACCAAAAAAUGAAAAACUAUAACCAAAUCUUGAGACUAAUCAAACCAAGCAAAAGUAAUAUUGAUAUUUAACCCAUAUAAUUGGAAUUUUACCAAAUUAGUUGGAAUAACGAAUGUAGAACUUGUGGAAUUACAAUUGAAAUACAUCAACAAAAAAUGGAGAAAGCACAACCAAAAUUAGAGACCUACAAAACCAAAAAUAAAUUUAUAGAAAAUAAAUUUGGUACCUAACCACAAUAAUUGGAAUCUCAACCAGUUAAUGAGAAUUCUCAACGCAAAACUAUAGGAAAAAUUAGCUGAAACACAUGAACCAUUAAGAGAGAAAUUAGAACGAAAACUUGGAACUUAUCCAACGAAGAAUGCUCGUGACUUGGAAUCUAACAACAAAUAUUGGUACUUGACUAAUUUAGUAGGAAUAUCAAAUGCAAAACUCAUUGACCAAUAAGUUGAAACAUGUAAACCAAAAGAUGAAAAAGUAUAACCAAAACCUGAGAAUAAUCAAACCAAGAAAAAGUAAUAUUGAUUUUUAACCCAUAUAAUUGGAAUUUUACCAACUUAAUUGGAAUAACGAAUGCAAAACCUGUGGAUUUACAAUUGAUAUACGUCAACCCAAAAUGGAGAAAGCACAACCAAAAUUAGGGACCUACAAAACCAAAAAUAAAGUUAUAGAAAACAAACCUGGUACCUAACCUCAGUAAUUGGAAUCACAACCAGUUAAUAGGAAUAUUCAAUGCAAAAUUGGGGAAAAAAUUAGAUGAAACACGUGAACCAUUAAGAGAGAAAGAACAACGAAAACUAGGAACUUAUCCAACAAAGAAUGAUAGUUACUUGGAAUCUAACAGUAAAUAUUGGUACUCGACGAAUUUAAUAGGAAUAUCAAACGCAAAAAUAGUGGACCAAUAAGUUGAAACAUGUGAACCUAUAGAUGGAAAAGAAUUACCAAAAUUUGUAACUAAUCAAACCAAAAAAAGUAAUAUAGAUAUCUAACCCAUAUAAUUGGAAUCUCGACAAAUUAGUUGAAAUAUUAAACAAAAAACUAGUGGAAUAAUAGUUGAAACACAUGAACCAAAUGUGGAGAAAGUUUAACCAAAUUUUGAAACUUAUCCAAUGAAGAAUGCUAGUUACGUGGAAUCUAACAACAAAUAUUGGUACUCGACGAAUUUAAUAGGAAUAUCAAACGCAAAAAUAGUGGACCAAUAAGUUGAAACAUGUGAACCUAUAGAUGGAAAAAUAUUACCAAAAUUUGGAACUAAUCAAACCAAAAAAAGUAAUAUCGAUAUCUAACCCAUAUAAUUGGAAUCUUGACAAAUUAGUUGAAAUAUUAAACGAAAAACUAGUAGAAUAAUAGUUGAAACACAUGAACCAAAUGUGGAGAAAGUUUAACCGAAUUUUGAAACUUAUCCAACGAAGAAUGCUAGUUAUUUGGAAUCUAACAACAAAUAUUGGUACUCGAUGAAUUUAGUAGGAAUAUCAAACGCAAAAAUAGUGGACCAAUAAGUUGAAACAUGUGAAUCUAUAGAUGGAAAAGCAUUACCAAAAUUUGGAACUAAUCAAACCAAAAAAAGUAAUAUCGAUAUCUAACCCAUAUAAUUGGAAUCUCGACAAAUUAGUUGAAAUAUUAAACUAAAAAUUAGUGGAAUAAUAGUUGAAACACAUGAACCAAAUAUGGAGAAAGUUUAACCAAAUUUUGAAACUUAUCCAACGGAGAAUGCUAGUUACUUGGAAUCUAACAAAAAAUAUUGGUACUCGACGAAUUUAGUAGGAAUAUCAAACGCAAAAAUAGUGGACCAAUAAGUUGAAACAUGUGAACCUAUUGAUGGAAAAGCAUUGCCAAAAUUUGGAACUAAUAAAACCAAAAAAAGUAAUAUCGAUAUCUAACCCAUAUAAUUGGAAUCUUGACAAAUUAGUUGAAAUAUUAAAUGAAAAACUAGUAGAAUAAUAGUUGAAACACAUGAACCAAAUGUGGAGAAAGUUUAACCGAAUUUUGAAACUUAUCUAACGAAAAAUAAAUUUAAUUGGAAUUUAACCCAAAAUAUUAGUGUUUAACGAGUUUAGUGGGAAUAUUAAACAUAAAACUAGUGGAUCGGAAAAUGGAGAUAAGCAAACCAAUUAGUGAGAAAGUUGAAUCAAAAUUAGGUAUAUGUGAAAUUAACUUGGAAUGUCACCUAAUAUAUUGAUAUUUAACCAAAAGAAUCGAGACAUGCUCAUUUUAAUUUUUUUAAACUUUUGUUGCAAUUAAAAAUAAUUUUUUCACUUAAAUAUUGUUUGUGUUAAAUAUUUACAAAAUUUCCUUAAUUUUUCCUGUUUCAUUUUAUUUUUUCUACAUUAAAAAUAAUUUUUUAAAAAUUAUUAAAUGAACAACCGGUAAAAUACCGGUUGUUCAAGUUUCCUUUUUACUGUUGAAGGGGCUGUAUUUUAUACAGCACUGUACUAUAGGAAGACUCAACUUAUUGACAUCUUCUCAUAUAACCUUCGAUCAAGUCGAUUCUGACCUGACGACUAAUUGGUACAUCACCGUUGUUCUCUAUACUCGCAUGCAUCGGAUCACAAAUCUCACUCCAAUUGUCGUCUUUCUUCGCCGUUUUAGCGCAUACUUCUUGAAUUUCCCGCAUUUCGUUCCCUCCUGUUACAAGUCUCCGGUCAGGUCAGUGAUUGAAUUUCCCGCAUCUCUAUCCCUCCCGUUUUCUCGCGUCGUUUCACUUCAAUUUCUCGUGUCUCCUUUCAGUUUAAGUGAUUGAAUCAAUUUUAUCGCAGUCAUAAGAGAAAUUAAGUAAUGCUCUUGGAUUUAAAAUUUUUUUGCUUUCGACUUUAGAUCUCGAAAGUCAAACUCUGCUACGAAUCCAUAGAUUCUCAAUGCUCAUAAUCUUAUUUGUGUUUGACCAGGUAACUGGAUCGUGAAAUUCGUCGUUUUGUAUCAAUUCAAGCUUUCGCGAGCUCAUGGAAUCACCUGGUGAGUUGUGGUGAAACGUUAUCGUUUCAAUUUUCGCUUAAUUCUUUAUUGCAUAUUUUUUUCUCUAAUGUUUCAGUUUAAUUUAGAAAAGAAAGAGGCCCCAAAAAGAGAGAGAGAGAGAGACUCUACCAUACUCAAUUCCUUGCUCAUUCUGAUUUGGCCUGAAUGUUGGCAUUGACUAUUAUUUGUUUUCAUUUCGAUUUAAUUCUCAUUUAGACAGUCUUUACUAACGGUCAAUAAUAGUUUAAGGAAAAUGAUCAUAGGGAUUCUGCAAUAAUCUUUCUGCAUUGUUCAAGUUAGUAGACAAUGAAUAGGAUGUUUAUGUUUACCUCAUUUUGAACCCUGAGGGCUUCGUUGAGUAGUUGAUUCAACAUAUCCAGCAACGGUUGAUGUGAGAACAGAAUGCCACUUAGAUAGGCUUAAACUGAUUUUGGAGGUUUGUAUUGGUUCUAUUGUACGUCUUGCUUACAAAUUUUUAAUUUUUAAUUUUGUAUAAUAUGCUCUUUGUUGGUAAAUCUCAUUUGACUUAGAAGAGAUAGUUUUAUCCCAACAGUGGGAUAAAUCAUUGAGAUGCAUGGCAGUGUGAAUAUAGUAGACAAAAUCAUUGAGACACAUGGUGGUGUGAACAUAGUAAACUUUGUCAAACACAGCUAAGAUAAACAAAUUGUUUCAUUAGCCUUUACCUUAUCUGCUGUGAUGAUUCAAAUUAAUGCUGUUUGGUAGGUUGCAAAAAACGAAAUGAGCUGUCUGUUCGUAUUAUUUAGUCAGAUCUAUUGCAAUAAGUUGAAGUUCAUUGUCACAUGGGUUGGGAGUAGCGUGGGCUGUGAGUAGUAGAAUGGAUUUAUGGAGUUGAUACAAGUGCCCAUAAUCUAUCAUGUCAUUCUAGGAUUAAAUGGAUUGCACAUUACUGUAAAGAUGGAGGUUAAAUUUAUAUAAUUCGGAUUGAUUGUAAAAUGGGAGGCAGAGAUGAGUUAGAAAAAGAAUGACCUGUGUCCUUUUUGAGCUGUUUCUAAAUCUCCCUGGUGUGCUUCAUGCUUAACACGUGUCUUUCCAAAUAAUUUUGCUUAACCUGUGCUUGUCUACUUCUUGUGCUAUUCUGUGCCUGGUCCUGAGCUGUGUUGGUAGAUUGACAUAAUUUUGCUCUGCUAAAUGUAUAACUUAUUAAUCAGAGUCCUGUUAUUAUGGUUUGACACUACUGACAUAUUGUGUUGGUAUUUAUUUGUACUUCCCUUGGUUGAAUUAUUUGCUGUCUCCAUGCAAUUCGAUAUGGUGCUACUUGGUUUUUGAUCAUCCAUGACGCUAUAUAUAUGUAAAGGAUGAAUUGAUUGUUUUGGCUUGUAUUCUCACAUUUUAUGAUUGAUCGAUGGAAAGGUUUUCAUGCAUUAAAUUCAACCUCACAAGCGUAAGAUUGACAGAUUGUGGGCAAAUUUUCAGGAAAAGAAACUAGACUUCAUGGAAGCAAUGAAGCUUGAAAUUGAACGUCUGCAGCUGAAUCUUUCUGCAGCUGAAAGGGAUAGAACUUUAUUGUCAAUUGGAACUGAUCCUGCCUCUAUAAAUCCAAAUGUAUUGCUUGAUGAAUCUUACAUGGGAAGACUGUGUCGAGUAGCAAACACUCUUGCAUUACUUGGCCAAGCUUCCCUAGAAGAGAAAAUUGUUGGUGCAAUUGGCCUUGAGAAUAGUGGUGAUAGUGUUUUAGACUUCUGGAAUAUUACUAGAAUCGGAGAGAGUUGUUCUGGUGGUGGGUGCGAGGUUUGUGCAGAAACUAAGGUGCCUGCUCUUGCUUCCUCAACUGCAACAUCUGUUGGAUCUUCACAAUCCCCUUUGUUGUGUUCUCAAUGUGAAAGAAAAGUUUGCAAAGUUUGUUGUGCAGGAAGAGGAGCUCUACUGUUUUCAAAUUAUAAAUCAAGGGAUGUGACCAACUACAAUGGCUUCUCAAGUCAGAGUGGAUCAAGCCAUGGAAGCCAAGUUGAUGUAGCUACCAGUCGUUCACUAACACUGGAUGGCGUUAUCUGUAAACACUGUUGCCAUGAGAUGGUGCUUGAUGCAUUGAUGUUGGACUAUGUUAGGGUCUUGAUUAGGUUGCGAAGAAGUUCCUGUGCAGACAACGCAGCAUACAAUGCUUUGAAUGAGGUUGUUGGAUCCUGCUUAAAGGAUAGUCUUUCUGAGAGGAUUCAGUCUUCCGAUAAUGCGCAAGCAGCUAAAGUCCUGCACCAAUUAUGUGGUGGACAGGAAGCACUUGCUGAAUUUCCAUUUGCUAGCUUUUUGCACUCGGUAUGUUCUUGGUUUGUAUUCAGUUCUCAUCAUAUUAUGUUUUCCUUUUAAAUUUCAUUUCUUGAUUAAAAUUUUUAGAAAUGUGUUUUAGCAUUUAUUCUUAUGAUAUAUGCCCGGAACAUUCAUCCCACUUAUCCAUGAGAAUCCUUGUCUGGUUUGAUUUUCAAUUGAGACAUUUUUGGGAACCCUGCGCAGGUUCCAUAUGCUAAUAAUCUUUGAGGUAAGGUGUUGUAGGAUGCCUUGAGAAGCUAAAAACCCAUUACAAGGAAAAGGUCUUGCAUUGUUUUGUGCAAUCUGUGUGCGAGCUAGUCAUGUCUCUAAUAAUUUCAUAGUUUGCUUGAUUGGAAUUUUUUAUCUUGAUAUGGAUUGUUUAUUCUAGAUUCCUUGGUGCCACUGUAGGUUGAAACAGCAAAAGAUUCAGCACCGAUUUUGUCACUGCUUGCUCCAUUAAAUUCUGGAUCAAGGCACUCAUAUUGGAGAGCUCCACCUAGUACUACUUCUGUUGAAUUUGUUAUUGUUCUCGGUUCUGUUUCUGAUGUCAGUGGGGUUAUCUUGCUUGUUAGUCCUUGCGGCUAUUCUGUGGCUGACACUCCGAUGGUAAGUGCCAUAUUUAUUCCCUUAUUUCCUUGUUGUUCAAUAAAUUUGGUGAUAAGCCAAGUGGCCUUAAUAAUGAAGCCCAGUACCAGGGUUGGUGGGUAAUAGAUAUUCAACUUGUGAAUAUUCCUAAGCAAACACUGAAUCAACAUAUACCUCGGCUAAAGUUCUCUAUGCUAUUAUAACAAAAGUCAUAUUUUGAAAUGAUUAAAAGAGUCCCUGUGUAGUGCCAUUUCCAAAGAAAUUGCAGCUGGGGGUUUAGUUUCAUGUAGGUUAGUUUCCGAUAAUAAACUUUCUAUUUCAUUAAUUGCUGAUGAAAAAACCAAGUAAGAACAGUUUUGUUGCUCGUCAUUUUUGUAUAUUUUGGUAAACUGUAAUUUUAAAUUCUCAACGAUCUUCCCUUUGUAGGUAAGAAGAUGGUCCACUCACUUGAUAUUUAUGAUUGUAGAUCAGGUUUCUAUUGGUUUGCCUUUAUCAUUUAGAACCCAUGUUUGAUAUUAACAGAGAUCACGUCAAUAAUAUCCUAUUUGGGUAGAUGUGGGUGAGGAUUUAAAAUCAAAUUUGAAAUUGAGGGGAAAGAAGAGAAAAGGAACCACAAUAAUUAAACAAAAUAAUAGGAACUAUUCUGAUGAGUUUUAAUCUCGAGAGGAACAAUUUUCAAAUGCACUGCUAGAGAAAUUGUAGCUUUUUGUCAUUAGUUAAAAGGAAAAAGAAUAAGAACUAUCCGGCCCUUUCCUUCAUGAAUGUGUGUUGAGGUUGCUGUAUUAUUUAGUCAGUAUUUGUAAUUUUCUUCCCUGCAGUGCUCUCUGCCUCCUGAAUUUGCUUCCUAUUGCUGUUACAGGUGCAAAUCUGGGCAAGCAAUAAGAUACACCAGGAGGAAAGGUCAUCAAUGGGAAAAUGGGAUGUCCAAUCCCUCAUCACAUCUUCUUCAGAUUUGUAUGGUCCAGAAAAGUCUGCUAGUGUUGAAAAAUUACCUAGGCAUGUAAAAUUUACUUUUAAGAAUCCUGUUAGGUGCCGCAUUAUUUGGAUCACAUUACGUCUUCAGAGACCUGGUUCGGCUUCAGUUAAUUUCGGGAAGGACCUCAGUCUUUUGUCUCUUGAUGAAGAUGAAAACCCCUUUGCACAAGUAGACAGACGUGCUUCAUUUGGAGGAGCAGUUGAAAAUGAACCAUGUAUUCAUGCCAAAAGAAUUCUUGUAGUCGGAAGCCCAGUAAAAAGGGAGGGGCUUACCACAUCACAGAGCUCUGAGCAGCUAAGUAUUAGAAACUGGUUGGAUAGAGCUCCACAAAUGAGUAGAUUCAAGGUAUUAGUUGCUUUCACUCUUUGUUCAUUCAUAAUUCCAGCUUUCUGCUUCACUGAUAAACCUCUUUUUUCUCUUCAGGUCCCAAUUGAGGCCGAGAGAUUGAUGGACUACGAUCUCGUCUUGGAACAGUAUCUACCUCCAGCGUCACCUUCGCUUGCCGGAUUCUGUCUAGACGCUUUCAGUGCAAUAAAACCUAGGGUUACCCAUUCACCUUCCUCAGAUUCAGAUAUCUGGGACAAAUCAGUAACAUUUUUAGAAGACAGGUACAUCUCUCAAGCUGUAUUGUAUUUACAAGUAUCCGCACUCCAGGAACCACAUAACAUGGUAACUAUUGCGGAAUAUCGACUGCCGGAGGCUAGAGCCGGAACGCCAAUGUACUUUGAAUUCCCACGACCGAUACAGUCCCGACGAGUUUCAUUCAAGCUUCUUGGAGAUGUUACAGCAUUUGCAGAUGAACCUUCAGAACAAGAUGAUUCAGGAUUGAGAGCUCCACUUGUGGCCACAGGUUUGUCUUUGUCAAACAGAAUCAAGUUAUAUUAUUAUUGUGAUCCUUAUGAGCUUGGAAAAUGGGCAAGCCUUUCUGGAGUUUGAUCGUUAUUUAUAUGUCAGAGAAAGAGUUUUGGGUUUGAUUUUGAUUUUGAUUUGUAAUUUUUGUCAGUUUAUUGAAAUUUUUUUGUUGUAUAAAAGCAGAAUGUAAAGGUAUAAAAAUUCAUUGAUGCUGCAAUGUCUGUGCUUUUGAGAAAGAAGAAUUCAAUGUCUUUUCUAUGCCAUUGGAUUUUCCCACUGCUUGUAAACUUGGGCUGUCGAGUGCUCUGUGAACCUUAAGGGCUAUAAAGUAAUUUUUUAGACUGAAGGAUUUAUUAAUCGAGUUCAAAAGAUUGCAAGUUGGUGAGCGUUGGCAUUUAAAAAUCAAUUGUUAUUCUCUCAAUAAUCUCUCUCUUCUGCCGACACCCCAAGCUCAGAAACCCAUUGUUCCGACGGACGUGUAACACUUCCAGAAAUUAGCCUUUUCUUCUAUAUGAAGGUUGAUCUCUCCUCGUGAAGUGAAGGUGGUUUUCCAAUUACAUACGUCGGGGGUCUUAUGAUAUCUAAUGUGUGAAAUUUCUUUCUCAUUUUACCAUAAAGAAAAGUUCUGUAAUGAUCUAAAGUUGGGAGUCUUAAAUUAUCUUAAAUUUAUAUUUAGAGUGGAGUUAUUGGCACCCUACAUUAUUCUUACAAAAUUCUAUUUUAAAUAAAAUUAUAAUUAAAGACAAUUGAAAAUUAUAGAUUUUUUUACAGCAAAUUACUUAAGUCAUAAUUAAUCCUUAAAAAAAAAUCUAUAUGUUACUUCUUAUUUAAUUAAAAUAAAUUGUACAAAUUUAAAAUAAUUUAUUGUUUUCUUUUGAUUUUUUAUUGAUUAAAUAUUUUUAUACUUAAAAUUACUUUGAAAUUAUAAUUUAAAAUAUGUGUUAUAUGCAAUAGUUCGAUUUACCGAACCACAAAGGGAGCCAAUGUGGUUUUGCCAAAAUCACAUACUGUAGCAUAAUAACAGAUAUUAUUAUUGUAUAAUAGAUGGGUUUAGAAAAAUUGAAGAACCAAGUAAGUUAUUUGAAAAAUGUCGAUUCUCGUACCAAACCCAUGUUUUAUGCCAAUUGUUUUUGGAUUGGAGUGCAGGCAUUAACAAUGAUGGAGAUGGAGGAACUGUAGCAUUAGUCAUAUGAAGAGUACGUGUCAGGUUUGAUUUUCAUGUGAUUUGGUUAGUGACGACGAAAACGACGACGUCGUAGUUGAAAAGCGUUUGAAUUAAUGUUGCGUUAAAAAAAAAAUUUAACUUGUUCCACUAAUUAAGUCAACAUUACUGAUGUCUUAUCACCCUCGGCCAACUUAACAAUUGGUGUCCUUUGGACAAUUAAAUAUGAUUUAUUCAAAAAAAAUAAAACUAUUAAAUAUUAAAAAUUAGGUCCAUUAAUAAUAAUAAUAAUAAUACUAAGAAUUAAGAAGAUCUAAUUACAUAUCAAAAUGACUCAAACAAAUUAAUUAAUUUCAUAUUAGCUAGCCAAGUAGGUUGUCCAUCCCACUCAGACAUGCACGAAAGCUAAAUUCAUCAAAUGAAUUACUUAAGGAGUAUUUGAUAAUUUUGAAAUUAUAAUUUCAAAUUAAAAUAGUAGUAGCAAAAUCGUAGUGCACAUUCAAUUAACCAACUAAUAGUCUAAGAAGCAAAGAGAGGAUUACAAGUUCACAACACCAUUAAAAAGGAUUCAAAAUUCCCACACGAAAACAUCAAUGUACAGAUUAUAAACAAUCCGAAUUGGACACAAGAAAAAACCCUUCAAUGGAUUGCUUGCCUUCCCAAUGCUAUAUACUGUGCAAACUGCGCACUGGCCAAGAAAAUAUUUUCAAUUUAGUGUAUUUUCAAAAUGCUUAUUUUCUCAGAAUAUAAAAAAAAAAAAAACAAAAAAAGAAUUCUUACAUGUUUCAUCAGCAUGAUUAAAAUCAAAGAAGAAAGCGAAGACAUAAUGUCUCUGACAUAAUAAAAUUACAAUUUCAUGCAGCAGAGAUUGAAGAGUUGAAUUCCACUUAUAGACACCGACCUCUUGUUUUGUCUAAUGUUAAUAACGAAAACAACAACAGAGGAUUAACUGAUGCUUUGACUUAUUAUCAGGUUGCAAUGAAUUAUUAACUGAUGCUUUGACUUAUUAGUUCUGCUGCUAAGUUAAAUAAAAUAAGGUAUUUUCAAAAGCAAAAUGGAAUACAUAGAUAAAACAUCAUCUUAAACAAAUCAUAAUCUAGAAUUGGAGACAUACCCAAGGAGAAAGAAUACGUGAAAAUGGGUGAUUCAUUUGUUAAGGAGUGUUGAUUUGGUCGUCUCUGCAAAUUCUUUAGGGACUCGGUUCCAGUUCCUCUUCAUCAAAACUGUAAUAUAAUUCCCCUUCAUCAGAACUCGAAUCGAUGCAAUAAAAUUCCCCUUCAUCAGAACUCGAAUCAAAUUCACUUGCAGCAGUUCCACUCGCGCUUGGCAAAUCAUCCAAUUUCCAAACUUCGGUAGCAAAAUUGAGAGUAAAAGUGUUGGCUUUGGUCUCUCUGGGAUUUGCAUAUACUGGACAUACUCCGCAACGUUUUAGCUUAGUGAAGAACUUAAAUGAGGCAGUUGUAUGAUGGUAACCAUCAGGAAACCCAACAUUCAAGCAAGGUUUAAAACCAAGUAUGACAUGAUCUGAAUCAAGGGAGCCAGUGCACACCAUGAAACCCAGAUCAACAUGUUUGGUUUCAGAGAGAGUCUUUAUUUCUAAGUCGAGUUGAAAGCGGACGUAAAUAUUGCAGCAAUAACAAGAAUGAAGGUGCUUAAAAUCAAGAACAGCACAAAAAGCAAACCCGAUUAAGUUUCUGCAAGAAGACUGCGGUGGCAGUUGAAUACAUAUCGAAGAUCCUGAACUUUGAUUGCUGAACCAGUCAGGAAUUUCGCUUCCAGGUAAAACAAUUAGGGAUCCCCUCAGUUCAGAAAGUUUCUGUGAAAUGACAUUUAAAAAAAAAAAUUGUAAAAUGAAAACCAUGAUUUCAGAUAUAACAAAGAGGGACAGAGUAAACAAGAGAGGGAAUUUGAUACCUCGUUGAUUGCCUUUUCAUAGCCCAGUCUCAGUGAUGCAAUUGCCACAUGCCGAAUUCUUAGUUGUGAAUCUGCCAAAAUCUUGUUGUUUGCUUUUCCAUUCAGUUUCAAGCAGUUAGUAAACCCAAAAUAAAUUGGUUGUGACUCCAGAAGUCCGGUUGCCCAUUGACGAAGGUCAGGAGAGGGUUUCGAUAGCUUUUCUAGUACGGAUGCAUCUAGUUCUUGCAGACAUGACGGAAUCUCUGGCAAAGAUUGAAGCCGGUUGCAGUUCGUUGCAUCUAGUUCUUGUAGACACAAUGGAAGUUCUGGUAAUGACCGAAGCAUGUUACAACCCGUCAAGUGAAGAUAUUUUAGACACAAUGGAAGUGCUGGUAAUGACUGAAGCAUGUUACAACGCCUCAAGUCAAGAGAACACAGCCGCGACAGUUGCUUGAUACUUGCAGGUAAACUCUCAAAGUUAUUUCCACGUAGAUCCAAGCUUUUCAGUGAGGAUAGAUAGGCAAUCUCUUGUGGAAUUUCCAUUACAGCACAGUUCAUUAUGUAUAGAAGUCCCAAAGAAGAUAAACCUAAUAAUAAUGAUCGAGGCAAUGAUACCAAACCUUUGCAGCGAGAGAAAUCAAGAAUUAAAAGUGCGUUUGAAUCUGCAACAGAGGAUGGUAGUUGACUAAUAGCUGAUCCAGCUGCUGAGAUGUGACGCAAAGAUUCUAAAUUGCCAAUGUUAUCCGGCAACUUAUCAAGUUUAGAGCAAUCACUUACGAACAAUUCUUCAAGCCCCGGUAGAUUUUCAAAUGACGAUGGCAGCUCUGUAAUUGCCGUCCCGUCUAAAUUGAUGCGUUUUAAAUGUUCCAUUUUCUCCAAGAUUUCUGGGAAGCGCUCAAGGUUCAAGCAGCCAUUAACAAAAAGAUCAACCAAAGAUCUCAAUUUACAAAACCUAGUUGAAAUCCUCUUCAGCCGUUUGCAAUCCCUCAAAUCCAACACUUCAAGAUCAGUUAGGCACUCUAUUGAUGAUGGAACUUCUUCUAUUGCAGACUGGUCUAAGUAUAGCCGUGUAAUUUUCCCAGAAAUCUGUGGAAACUCUAUGAGAGUAACACAAUAGGAGAAAUUAAUAGUUACUGGACAAACAAAAUGAAGAUUGCUUGGAAAAGACCUAAGACUUUUGCAGCCCUCAAAAGACAGCGCACUGAGAUACUUGAAAUUCUGGAUAGAUGAGGGAACACAAGCCUUUUCUCCUUCCCAAGGUUGCUCAACUUUACUAAAACGCAAAUUCAGUUCAACAAGGUUCUUUGGCUUGAAAUUUGAUGGCAGUAUCCUUAAUGGAUAUGUGUCCCAAUGAAGAUAUCUCAAUUUUUCAGGAAGAUAUUCUAGGCCAUUUGGAAGCUGCACUUCAGAGUAUGAAAGUUGCUCUUCAAUGCUCAUACUUAGAAACCUUUCAAUCUCAUAAAACUUACUUGGAAACCUUUCAAUCUCAUAAAACUUAGGUACAUAAAAUUUGAGCAAUCUCAGAUUAGACAUAUUUGUGAAGGCUCCGGGGUCUAAAUUGAUGCAUUUUAUUUUGGACAAAUCCAGAAAUAUGCCUUCAAUUGCAUCGGUCCCCUUAUAAAAAAAAAAAAACAAAGAAUGAGUAAGCCAAAAAUAAAAAAGCAACAUGCGUAAACUUUAUUAACUAAGAGCUCCUUAAACAAAAACAAAUUCUGCAAUCUUUGAUUUUAUUUUUUUAAUAUAUUAAAUAUCUAUAUGCGAGAAAAGAAAAUUUUGGGGACCAUUGCAAAAUUAAACUAACCGAAAAAAAAUUCAAAAUUUCUCUAAUUUACAAUCCUAUUAUCUUAAUAUCUAGAAGUUGAGAAGAGAGUGCCUAUUUGAUUGGUAUAAGAUUUCGAAAUUUUUUUUUUUUAGUCGAUAGAAUCCAAAAUGUUAGUUCAAAAUUAGGGAAAAAAAUAAAAGUCAUUUUUUUUCCACUAGUUAAAACUGUAUCCAAGUCAAAUUAAGAUACGACCCUUUUUAAAAAGAUUUAACCAUCUUACAGCCUCCUUAAGGUACAUUUAAGCUAAAAGGAGUAAUUUGAGGCAGAACUAGGUGGUCCAAUCAGUCCAUUUUAUUAGUGUCUGUUGCUUAAAAAAUUUAUACUCUAAAACACACUUUUUUGGAAAAAAAAAUAUAAUUACAUUGAAGUAGAAUCAGGUGGGCCAAUCCUCAUGGCACUCACUUUAUUUUGACACUCUUCACUAAAUUUGAAGAAAAAUAAAAUUAUACUCUUCACACUCUUAUUCAACAUUCCAAAAUUGAUAAAAUCUGGAGUUUUCUUUAAAAAUUUAAAAUUUGAAGACUUGUUCUCUUGACACCCUCAGUCAUUAAUUUUACCUAAUUAUGGUUUUUAUGAUUUUGGUUGUUUUGUUCAUAAAAAUGAUUUUACUAAAGGAUGCUCUGGUAAUAAUAAAAUUUAUAAAAAAAAAUGGGUGUGCUGGUAUGAUUGGAAAAAUAUGAGUGCAUAACUCCAAACAAAUAAAAGAUAUAUAAAAUAAAUGGAGGAUUCUUACCUUUUUAUGCUUGAGUACGCGGCGGAUUUCCUUAGGAUCCCACAACCUGCUGCGUUUGCCAGGCUCUUUCUCAGAUUCUUGGCGAACAAUCUGUCGCCCCAUUUCUUGCAAUAAAUCAUGCAUUUGCAAGCAAUUACCUGAUAUUGAUAUGAGUGACUUAUCAAUAAGGACAUCCAGUCCAUCAGACUCAGAAUCAUCAAGAAUCCUUGCCACAAAAUCUUUAUCCUCUCCCUCAAAGAAACACGCAAUAUCUAGAAACAAACUCUUCACCCUAGGAAUUAAUUCAUUAAAACUAAUCUUUAAUAUUUCAUAAAUAUUAUGAAUAUCAGAUUCACAAAUCCGAUUUAAGUCGUGCAAUACAUUUUCCCAAUGGCUUUUCCUCUUGAGGCACAGGGAGGAACCCAACACUUUAAGAACUAAGGGAUUGCCUUUGGCAUACUCUACAACCCUCCGUGAGUGCCAGUUGAGAUUUGUAGGACAAUGAUUUUCUUUAAAAGCGAAGUUACAAAAAUGCUCGAAAGCCUCUUCAAAUUCCAAUCCAUUAACCCUAUGUAUUUUCUUCUCCUCCCCUCUAAAUUUUUCGAGGACUCCUUUAUCCCUGGUGGUUACAACAAUUCUACUUCCUGGACCAAAUUGAUCAAGCUCUCCAAUCAGACCCUCUAAUUGUCCAACUUCAUUCACAUCAUCGAGUACUAUCAACACCUUCAUACGCCAGACCCUCUCUUUAGUAAAAUGUGGAAUAUUGGCACCAGCUACUUCAAGUUUUUCGCUUAAUAUUGUGGAAAGCAUUUCCUUUUGGAGAUGUUCUAAUCCACCUCCUGUUUCAGAAUUUCUCCUAACAUCUGACAUAAAGCAGCUACCAUCAAACUCACCAGUGAAUUGAUCGAAAAUAGCUUCAGCAAGGGUGGUUUUGCCUAUACCGCCCAUGCCCCAAAUUCCAACAAUUUGGACAGUAUCCGACAAAUCCAUACACAAAAAUGGUUUAAUCUGCUCAAUUCGUGAAUUUAAUCCAACUAGGCCAUUGGAUGAGUCCGUUGCGACUGUUAUUUUUUCCAAAUUCUUCAAAACAUCUUCGACAAUUUUGUUUACAAGUUCCGCAUCGUGCCUAAUAUAAAGGUGCAAAGAUGCAAAAACAUUGAGUCAAAUCGGGCCAAGACAGAAACAGAGAUAAGAUGAAUUAGGAAAGAGAGUUACCUGAAUUUCGUGGAUUCGUGGCCAGCAAGACCGGAUGUUUCUCUCAGUGCAUCCCUCCACCUCUGAACCAUUUCUGGCUUCUCUUCGAAGUGUUGUUUCAGCUGAUCAAAACCGUGCUUAAAAAUUCCAGUUUGAUGCCGCACAUCGGAUGGACUUACUCCAUAGAAAACCGGAAUAAUGAUUUGGCGGUUUGUGUGCUUGCAUUCAAGAAUCUUGACAAGUUCAUUCAGGCACCAUUUUGAAGAACCGUAGUCCUUUGAGAAAAUGACCACCGAAAUUUUUGAACCUUGGAUUGCGUUCAAAAGGGCAUCUGAAAUCUCAUCUCCUCGCCUAAGCUUUUCAUCAUCCAUAAAUGUUUUGAUUUUCUUUUUGUCAUACAAAUCAUCAUAGAGAUGGCAAGUAAAGAUCCUACGAGUGUCCUCCCCUCUAAAAUUGAGGAAGACUUCAUAAAUGCAAGAAGAAGAAGAAGAAGAAGAAGCAGCCAUGAAGGAAAUUUUAGAAAAUUGGUGACAGAAACAGAGAAUUAAUCUUGAGAGUUGAGAGAGGAGAUGUAAGAAUGAACAUGUGUGAAGAUUCUUGCAAGCACACAGAAAAUAAUUGAAUGGCUGGAGCUUUCUUAGUUUCCUGGAAAUUUCCUGGAGCUUUCAUAUACAUGAUUUGUCAAGUCAAGAAACAUAAUCAUGAUAAUGGGGCAGACCAGGAAGAAAAGAAAACUUGAUUCAACCAAUAAAGGAAGGAAAAGCAAAGAAAGAAAAUUUGAAAGUAGAUUCAGAGAAUUAUAAAAAGCUAAAGGAAAUUGGAAUUUUGUACAAUUUCUCCAGCGAAAAUUAAGCAUAGAAUAAUCCUAAAAUUUAAACUCUAAUAUCUUAUAAUGUAUUGAUUAAAAAUAAUCCUAAGAGUUCCCAAUUGAAACUUUCAUAAGUAUUUUAAUUGUUUUGGAUAAACAAAUUGUACUAGGAUAAAAAUUUGGCAAAUUCAGAGGAUAAUGGAAAAUAGUUAUGCUUCAAUAGGCCAAAGAUUAGAGAACAAACAAGAAUUAGUUAUUGAUACACAAAAGAGAAACACUCCAAAAUUUCAAGCAAAAAUAGUUUCAUAUACCAUUUCGAUUUUGGAAGGGGUGAGGUUUUGAACUUCAAUAGUUUCCUCUAAAAUUAAAAGGCAGCAAUUAAACUAGAAAGAGCAAUGAAGACUUAUUGGUACUUUAUUGAAGGUAAACAUUAUGAAACUUUCAAUGUCAUUACCUCAUUGUUCAAUUUUUAUUGAGAUUUGUGUAAGCAUUUAGCUAAAUCUUACCUCCGCCUUUAAAUUCAUUAGUUUUGAUUAAUUAUGAGACCUGGGAGAUAUUAUAAUCGAACUAAAACUUAAAAUUUCAAUAUCAUUAUUCUUUAAAAAGAAAUUGAGAUUUCAGAGUAAUAUCACAUAGAAAAACUUGCCCACGGACGGUAAGCCAAAAGUCUAGUCAACCACACGCAUAAAGCUAACUAGAACAAGAGAACAGAGAAACGCGUGGGUCCCUAAAAGAAAAGGCGUGGGUCCCAAAAGUCUAGUCAACCAUACCGAUGAAAAUCACUGAUUAAGAAUAAUAUAUUAUGUGGUUGAAGAUUUCUUUUUAUCAAUCUUCUUUCUACCCAUUAAUUUUCCCACGACUUUCCGGUUUCAUUUCUUGAAUCUCCAUGGAUUAACUUUCAAUAAACCAUAAAAUAAACUAAGGAAUCAUUUUCUCGAACACAGCUAUGAUUUUAAUAAAUGGGCGGACCAUCUAGAAUAGUAUAUAUAAUUCUGUUUAAUUAAUAAGUUGAAAAAACCAUAAAGAGAAAUUCUAAUAUUAUGAGCUUGACACGAAUUCUUCACUAAUUCCAAAACAAGGAGCUGUUUUAUAAGAACUGUGGUUGGAUUAUUAAGUUUUACAAUUUGAAUAUAAAUAAGAAAAUAAAAUCAGUCGCGUCGAUGUUUUCGAUACAUUUCGAUGCUAACUUAAUUAAUUACUUUACUUCAACUUUAUUUCCUGACGGACACUAUAUGGUGGGUCCAAGAUGGGACCUACAAUAAUCAAUCCUAGAAUUUAGUAUGGUUACCAAAUAGCUAGUGUUAUUUUGUGUUUGGUGGAAGAGAUUGAAUAUUUAGUUUUAACAUAACCAUUCAACUAAUUAGAAAAUAAAUAAAGUUAAAUGAAAUGUUUAGAUAUCAAUUUAAAUAUUAAUAUCCGGGAUAUAAAUUAGUUAUAAUAUAGUUCAUUACAUAAAAUUGAUUAAAUUAAUAAUUACACAUGAACAUAGAUGUAUAUGCUUUCCAAUUUCCAAAGUGCUCAAAGCACUUUUCUCACCAAACUUUCCUCUGAAUUUCCCGUAGCUGACUCCAUUGUUUGCGUUUUGUGAAAUUUCUAGGAACUUUUUCUAUUUAGAAUAUUGUACAUUUUUCUUUUCAGCUGAGAUUAAUUUAACUUAUAGAAAAUCUUAUCCUUUUUUUAAUAUUAUUUAAAUAAAAUUUGUCUAUCUUUCAUUUUAUCAGUCUACUUUUUACCCAUUAAUUAAGACUUUUCGAUUUCUUUUUUUCCUGAGGUUUUCAGUGACUAUCUUUCAAUAAACCAUAAAAAUUAAUGAGUCAUUUAUCGAACAAUUAGAUGACCAUAUUUCAAAAUAUCAACUAGAAGUUGCCCUGAAAUAUUUAAUUAAUAGUUGAAGAAUUGUGAUUAGUGUGGGCAUCUACAUAAAAAUUAUAUUAAAACACCGCUAAAAGAUAAAAAUAAAAUAAAAUAGUACAAACAUACACCCAUAGGUUAAAACAAAGAAAAAACACGAACCAAUACACUAAAAUGUUUUAGCUGUAGUUAGUUUUCAGUUUCAUUACUUAAGUCCCACGUGCAUGUCACGUGACUGAGGUCAAAAAAUGAUUGUCAGAUUAAAGUUCAAAGUACGGAGCAGGGUAAUUAAGGAGUGGAGCUAUUGGCACCCCUCCAUUAUUCUUACAAAACCCCACUUUAAAUCAAAUUAUAAUUAAGAAUAAUUGAAAAUUAAACACUUAUAGAUUUCUUUACAACAUGUUUAGUGAUAAAAAAGCACCAGUCGGGCAUGUCCCCAUUUCUUACCCGGGGCCGAAUCUCCUCGGCCGAAUGGUAUGAGUAGACUCUUGGUGAUGUGUUCUAUGUGGAGCACGUAAAACAGACCAGGAACUAGUACCAACCAGAAACGAGUACUGAUCAGAAACAAGCAUGACCAGAAACGCAUACCGACUAGAGACUUGUGGGUCCCUAAAAGAAAAGGCAAGCACAUAAACGAAAAAGCCAUUACAUUUCUAUUUUACAUGUCAUUCCUAAUUUUUGUAACACGGUGUGGCAGCAUAUGCACAAUCAAAUGAGGCAAAAGGGAUUCGACUAUCGUGGCAGAACAUGGACGAGGAUGCGUGAUGAAUAAUUCCUUCGAUAAAACGAAAAACAAAUGCAGAGAAAAGAAUUUCUUAUAUGACAAGAAAUUAAAGUAAUGUGACGGAACAUGAUGAAGAAAUUGCAGAUCGAUCAAUUAUCCCCAUGGACUCCUAUAAAUUCAACCAAAAUAACAAUUCCAAUAUUACCAAAUUCUUGAGUUAAAUUUAUUCAAUGCUUUUUUUUUUUAGAGAAAUUUUUUCCAAUGCUACUUUCCCUUUUUUGGGGAAAUUAGAACUGCGGCAUGUAUAGAAGACAUUGAGGUAUAAAGCAACAUUAAUUUCAUGGGUUAUGCGUUAUACGCAUAAUAUAUUGUCAGUCCAAAUUCAACUAUACAAAGAGGCUUGAGAACUUAAAAUUAAGCACAAACUAAACAGACGAAGUAAAUACAUGAUUAUGCAACAUAACAUUAAUUCUCUUAAUUUAUAACUGUUUUUGCCACAUGAAUCUUGCACAGUUAAUCCUAAUUGAAGACUAAAAAAGAACAAUUGGAACAAGGUUUUGAAAUAGAAUGAUAUACAAUCGAUAUGAUCCAUUUCCAGUCGUCAACGCUAAUUAACUGCAGUUUCUAGACUCCUAAUUAUACUAGCCAUAAGAAACUGUUUAGAAAACUGGUGAUCAGAUUAGAUUUUGAAAAGAAAUAAUUUUCAUUUUCCCUUCGCUACCUUUUUUUUUUAAUUAUUUUUAUACCAAAGAAUUCUAUCAUGAAAAGAAUCAAUUUAAUCACCUUUUCCAGCAGCACAAUUUUUCUUUUAUAAAAUUUGACCACAGAGACAAAGAAGAAUUAUUCAUACCUUCAUCAGUAAGGAAAUACUUUUCAUUAUGGCUAGGGUGAGAAAAGGCUUUCCACAACACUUGUACUUUGUAUUCCUGUAAAUUUUCUUUAAAGUCAAUAAAAACCAUAAGUUCUUUACAAUAACCAUCUCUUUGAUAAAAAAGUGCCGUAUUCCUUUAGAAUUUAAAACCGGAAAAAUUGAAUCAGUGUCUUUGAAGAGACAUAAUGGUCGUAAUUCUUUAAAUGAGUUGGCUAUGGAAAUCCUUAUCCAAGAUUCUUUUACGCCAUAUUCUUUCGUAAACCAAAAUUCAUUUUGGAAUACUCUGUUGAGAAUGUCAAAUAAAACGGCAUUGAAGGAAGUUUUCAAAGGCAGAAUCCGCACUUGUCAAAGGGAUGAUCUGCACUUGUCAAAGACACGAUCCGCGUCGAAUGAAUCGACACAUUUCCUUUCGUAUUCGCAUAUGUAAUCUUUGAAAAAAUGUAGCUUCUGCAUCUAUAAAUAACGCUUAGUGUAUAAUGUUUUAUUCAAGAAAAGAAAACAAGUUUCUUCAUACUCGUCGUCCGAACAUACAGAGACCGUCUCUUAUAACUUCAGCCGAAUACUUAUGAUGAUGAUCAUUUGUGAUUUCAUCAGGCAAAGGGUUGAUGGUGAAAAAAUUUGUAUGUGUGAAGAAUUGAGCUGUGGAUAUAGGGGACUUAAGUGUAAUCGAAAGAGAGUUAUUAGGCCAUAGUGCAGAUUGCAUUCAGUUUAUGAGUCGAUAUGCAAAUAAUUUGUUGACGUGGCGAAAUUUGUUAUGGUCGUUACUAUUGUUUCUGGAAAUUUUCUAGAAACCUCAGCAUAAAAGGGGCUUUUGCAUAGCCUCUGGUGUGCGUGUGAUUUCUCUUUCGUUUCCUCAUCAAAUUCUGUAAUUCUUGCUUUGAUAAAAAGCUUGUAAUCUCUUCUGUAAUGUGUGAUCAGUGCGUAAUCAUUUUGAGCAAUAAGAGCUUGUGGGUUUUUCCUUCAAACAGUGUCGUUUUGGUCAGUUUGUUAGUUUGAUCUGUUGGUGGAAUUUUCUUUGGUUAUUUGUUCUCAAAUUUCAACCGUAUAUAAAGUUUGAACUCUAAUGGCUUAUAAUGUAUUGAUUAAGAAUAAUCCUAAGAGUUCCCGAUUGAAAUUUUUAAUGACUAUUUUUAUUGUUUUGGAUAUACAAAUUGCAUUAAGAAAAAAUAUUGUCAAAUUCAGAGGAUAACGGGAAAUAAUUAUGCUUCAAAAGGCCAGAGAUUAGAGAACAAAGAAGCAUUCAUUACUGAUAAACAAAAGAGAAACACUCCAAAAUUGCAAGCAAACUAGUUUCAUAUACUAUUUGGAUUUUGGAAGGGGUGAAGUUUUGAACUUCAGUUGUUCCUCUAAAAUCAAAAGCAUCAAUUAAGCGUUCUCAAUUAGAAAUAGCAAAGAAGACUUAUUGGUACCUUACUGAAGUUAACAUUGUGGCACGGUUGUUCAUAUGUAAUGGCUGCUCUGUUAUGCUAGCUUCUCUGUUUUUGCUUACAGUUUUGAACAUAAAUUCUUGCUCAAAUAACCCAUAAUUAAAUAACACUAAUAUGGCUCGUGAAGUCCCAUAAUAGCUAAUUACGCAACUUUCUCCUCCUCCUCAAUUAUGUCUUCCCCUGCUCGGACACUAACUUCAAAAUUCAAUGCCCCGAAAAACAACACAAGAAAUCUUUGAGUUAGUUCGUGACCAGUUUAUAUAUAGUAGCAAUUGAAAAAAGAAAAAGAAGAAAAAAGUUAAUUAUUAUUCAGACCUUCACUUAUUAGGAAGUUUGUUCUGCUAUUGGGUGAGAUCAAGCUCUCAGCAUAUACUUCCACAUGAUACUUUCUAACAUUUUCUUGAAAGCCAUCAAUCAUAAAAUCUUCAUACUUUUUUCCAUCCUUUGGAUCAAUAAGUACAAUUUUUUCAUCUAAAACAGACAAAAUAAAAUCACUGUCCUUCAUGGAACACAAUGGCUGCAAUGCCUGAACUGAAUUGGCUAAUGAAAUUUGAGUCCAGGAUUCUCUCAGCCCAUAUUCUUUCAUAAUCCAAAAUUCUUUUCUUUCUCGACAUGGAACAUAGUCUUCUUUUCUUUCUCGACACAUGUCUCUGUACUUUUCUCUCUCUACUGAUCCACACUUUUUCAUACUUCUAACUAUCAUUUUGUUUUUUUUUUUUUUUGAGUUGUGAUUUAUUCAAUUAUUUUGUAUUUUUAAUGACAAUUGUUUAAUAUUUAGUUAGUUUUGAUAUUGAUUAGUGAUUGAAAGUGUAUUUUAGAAGACUUCCGGUCUCUUGAAAAAAGGAAAAAUGGAGAAGAAGAAGAAGUGUUCUUGAUUUUUUUGUAGGCAUUAAAGUUAAACGGUUUGAAAUGAUAUUUUGUUUUUAUUUCACUCAUUAAUCUCAUUCAGGAUAAAAUUAUAAAUGCAAAUAAAUGGGGUUUCAUAAGUAUUUUUAAUAGUGUUAAAAGGUCUACUCACUAAAUAAACAUGUUUUACCCAAACCAAUCCGAUUAAUAAGUUAUUAGGUUGGGUUGAUCAGGUUAAAAAUCAAAAUUAAAAAUUAAAUAAAUAAAAGGCAUAAAAACUAUCUGUUACUUGAAAAUAAAAAGAAUUUCUAAUAGUUAGUUCUAAUGUCCCAUAUCCAAAACAUGCAUAUUGUGAGGUUUGCUGGUGAAUCAAACUCAUCAGAACCAAAUGAUGACGUUUUGGCAAUUGAAGGAGCACUUAAAAGACACGUGAAACGCACGUCUGUUGUCACUUAAGAUUAAAGCUUGAAACGGCAGUUCAACCAUGUCGUUUAAAGGAAGCUUAGAAGUGAUGCACGUGACAGAUGUGUGAAGCAGCUCAUCUCAGUUCGUUAAGUUUGUUAUGCUACGUGUAAGCAAUCAGUUCGAUCUGGGUUUAGCUGGUUAGUUGCUCUGUUAGUUAUAAGAGCAGGCUGAUGAAACGAUUUGGGUUAAGCUUGUGAAUUCAUAUCAGAGAGAGAGAGAUUUCAGUGAAAGGGUUAAGAGUUCUCUGAAAUCUUGUAAACCAUUCUCUGUAAGAAAGAUCCUCCAUUGUUGAAUAAUAAAAGCUCUGCAGAAAACUUUUCCUGUGGAUGUAGAUUGUACCAAUUUGGUACAACUGAACCACGUAAUUGAUUCUUGUGUUGUCUGUGAUUUGUUUGUUUCUUGAUUCUCUAUUCUUUCUAGUUCUUGGGUACAUUGUUUUCACUUGGCUAGAUUCAUUCCUCAAUCUGUGCAUCUUGUAUAGUUCUUUAUCAAAGGUCCUGGGAAGUGUUUUAUUUGUCUUGCAUGUUAUAUAGCAAAUUAAAACACUACACAUAUUAAAUAAUAUAUUAUAAGUUAGAAAUACAAUAUCUAAAGAAAGAAUUAAUGAAAUAACAUAUUCUUGUUGAGAAUUAAGAGUGUGAUUUUAAUUUUGAUAUUGGAGUCUAAAGCAAUAGAUAGUACAAUGAAAUCAUGAAUGCUACGUUUAAAUAAUCUCUUUUAUAAAAUAAUAAAAAGAGGUUAAAAAUUAGGUUAACAUUUAGGGUUUAGCAGUUAAGGAUGAAUAUAUUAUUAUUGUUGUUGUUGUUAUUAUUAUAAUAAUAAUUAUUAUAAUAAUAAUUAUUAUUUAUAUGUUAAUUAAUUCAAUCCAACUUAAUUAUUAAUGAAUUUGAAAAAAUUGACCCAAUUAAUCCACAAUAAUUCAUUCAACUCGUCUAAAUUAGAUUAAGUUGAACUUAAUUUGCUACCCCACAUUGAGCAACAAACCUCAACGUCAUUCUACGAGCUCUUUGAUUGUUUAUAAAAUUGAUUUAGAGUACAUAAAGUGUAUCGACAAUGAAAGUGCAAAACAAAUUAUUGUACAUAUUAAAAUGUGCAAAAACAAUGAAUUAUAUGUACAAACGAGUGCAAACACAUUUUUCAAUAAGAAGUUGGAAGAUAUUUAUGCAUGAAAAAGCCUACGUUUGUAGUUAUUCUAAAUUUUAAAAACAAAAUUUACAUUUAGAUUCCUAAAAUUUACAUAUAAGUAUAAAAGUUUCAAAUAUUGUCUAUUAUUUUUUUAACAUGCCUAUUCCUUGUGGAUAAUUUUGUCUCAUCACUAAUGUUGUUUCUUGCUUACAAAAACCAAAAGCCACCUCCUUUUUGCAAUUUUUAUAGCGUCUCAAAAUAGACAAUAGGGGGAUUUUGAAUUUUUUAAGUCUCAAUAUAGUCUCUAAUCUUGUGAGAAAUAUUUUCUUUCAAUAAUUUGGAGGUAAACAUAACAUAACUUUUUGGACUAAAGCCUAACUCUGCUAAUAAGUAAUUGGUGGUAUCCUUUUCAAGACUUGAGUCUUUAGAUUCGAGUUUUAUAUAGUGUGCAUGUGUAUUUAAUUAAUAUUUUUUUUCAAAAAAAAUUACAUCAAAUACUAAUAUUCAUGACAUAAUUUAGUUCAUAAUUUUUUUAAAUACAUCGAAAAAUAUAAUUUUUUAACAACUUAAAGGCAUGACAAAUUUCAAGAUAUAAAUAUCAGUCAAAAUAAGUGAAAGAAAUAAUGGUGUCAAUUCUAAUUUCUUAACUAAAUUAAUUACUGCAUGAGCCCCGAAUAUGACACGAGAGUUUGAUGGGCUAACUUGGCACAAGAACGUGAAUAGUUAACUCAUUUAAGAAAUAAUUCAACAAAAAAUAUAAUUGAUAAGAAUGCAAUAUUGAAAUGAAUUUUUUACGAAACAUUGAAUUAAUGAUUAUUAAGCAAGAACAAUAAAAAAAUAAAAUAAAAAUAAAGAUUAACCAUUGAUAAGCUUCAACAAGAACUUAACACAACCCUCAAUCCUAAUUCAAAUUAUAAAUGUCAUUCAUAUAUUCAUUAUAAAUCAAUAACAAAGGUUAUAAAUGUUUAGAAAUUCUAGAGGGAAGGAAGCUAUCGCCGGGGAAUCAACAACUAAAAUUGAUGUAAUUGUGGCACGAGAUGGAAUAUGGAAACUACACCAUAAUUUUAAAUGCCGCCAUAGACAUUGACUUAUCUACAAUAACAAUGAUCUAAUUAAAAUAAAAAUAGAGUUUAUGGGCAUUUAUUAUUUUGACAUUCCUCAUUUGCAAAUAGGGAUACAAUUAUAAUUUAUUUAGUCAAAGCAAACAGUAAUUUUCUUCAUUAUAGGAGUGAAGUAAAAACAUUUAGAUUUUAAUGUAUGUAAGGAAAAAUUUAUCUUUAAAAAUACUUUCUUAAUGUGUGUAUGCAUAUUGAAAUACUCAAACCAAUUUUGGUUAUAUAUAAUUAAACAAAUUUUAAAAUAUGAAAAAUAUAAUGUAGUUAUAGUGGAUAAACAAUAAGUGAGCACAAUAUAAUUAAUCAAAUAUUGUGCUAUCAAAAGUUAAUUUUAGAAAUUCCAAAUCCAAUAGCUAACACAAUUCUUUAAAGAAAAAAAAAAGGUUGACACAAUUAAUAAAAUUAGCGACAUGAAUUUCACGCCAUUGAUAAUCAGCAAUUAGUAUUACUUUCUAAACUUGCUUCAACUGGUCGUUGAUGUCCGGGUCACCAAAAGUAUAAGCGAUAAUAAGGGGCAUUGGGCAAGAGUGAUGAAUGUUUAGUGGGUGCAUUUGAUUGAUAGAUAUAUAAAGGGCCGAAACUUGAGAUUAUAUUACUUUUACAAAUUUUAAUCCAAUCACAUAUUUAAUGAAAACAAAAUGAGUUAGGAUACUUUAUUUAAAAUACACAUUUUAAUAAGGCUUCAUUUAAUUAAAUAAAAUUAUAAAAGUAAAAUAUAUUUUAGAUAUUUUAAUAUUUAAGAAAAAAUUUUCAAUCUUUACUUUCAGAAGCUCAAAUUUUUAAUUUUUAGUUGUAGAGACAAAAUAUCUUAUUUAAUGUUUAAAAGUUCUGCUAAAAACAAUCAAAUAACUACAAAAAUUUUAAUAAGAGCAUAUAAAAUUAAAUAAGCAUUUAUUAAUAAUCACUUUAGUGUACUUAUCUAAUAACAAUAAGUGUUUAUUUAAUCUAAUAAGUUUUUAUUUAAUCUAAUGAGCUCUUUUUAAUUUUUUUUUAGUAGAGCUUUUGAAAAUUAAAUAAACUAUUUUGUCUCUAUUAAGAAAAACUUAAAAUUUAGGUUUUUGUAAGUAAAUGUUUAAAUUUUUUUUAAAAAUAUUAAAAUAUUAAAAUAUCUUUUCUUUAUUUCAUAAUCUUAUUUCAUUCUUCACAACAUAACUUUAAAUAACUUACCUAUUAAAAUAAUUUCACAAUUUCUAAUAAAAACUCCGAUUAACAAUCAAGCAAUAAUUUUUUUUUUUUUUUUGUAAAAAUUCUAUUUGUAAAAACUCUAAUAAUAAAAAUUCUACUUAAAUAAAUUUUAUUUGAAAAGGUAUACUAAACGAACCUAAGAUAAAAACAAAAAUUUUUAGAUCCAGACAAUUAAGCUUAAAACAAUUUCAAAUGAAUUUUAGACUAAUCAAAGUACAAUACGUACCAAGUUUGGUAAUUUAUUGACAUCUUCUUAUAUACCUUCGAUCAAGUCGAUUCUCACUUGACGACUAAUUGGUAGUUUGGUACAUCACCGUUGUUCCCUAUACUCGCAUGCAUCCGAUCACAAAUCUCACUCCAAUUGUUGUCUUUCUUCGGCGUUUUAGCGCAUCCUUCUUGAAUUUCUCGCAUUUCGUUCCCUUACAAGUCUCCGGUCAGGUCAGUUCACUUGACGAUUAAUUCGGCAAAUCUUGAAUCUCUUCUCUAUCCCUCUCGUUUUCUCGUGUCUCCUUUCAGUUAAAGCGAUUGAAUCAAUUUUAUCGCAGUCUAAGAGAAAUUAAGUAAUGCUCUUGGAUUUAAAAUUUUUUUGCUUUCGACUUUAGAUCUCGAAAGUCAAACUCUUCUACGAAUCCAUAGAUUCUCAAUGUUUAUAAUCUUAUUUGUGUUUGACCAGGUAACUGGAUCGUGAAAUUCGUCGUUUUGUAUCAAUUCAAGCUUUCGCGAGCUCAUGGAAUCACCUGGUGAGUUGUGGUGAAACGUUACCGUUUCAAUUUUCGCUUAAUUCUUUAUUGCAUAUUUUUUUCUCUAAUAUUUCAGUUUAAUUAGAAAAGAAAGAGGACCCAAAAAGAGAGAGAGAGAGAGAGACUCUACCAUACUCAAUUCCUUGCUCAUUCUGAUUUGGCCUGAAUGUUGGCAUUGACUAUUAUUUGUUUUCAUUUCGAUUUAAUUCUCAUUUAGACAGUCUUUACUAACGGUCAAUAAUAGUUUAAGGAAAAUGAUAAUAGGGAUUCUGCAAUAAUCUUUCUGCAUUGUUCAAGUUAGUAGACAAUGAAUAGGAUGUUUACGUUUACCUCAUUUUGAACCCCGAGGGCUUAGUUGAGUAGUUGAUUGAUUCAAUCUUGCAAUGUGUUCCCACAAGGUUUUGAGUUUGAUUCCUAAUUAUGUGGACCUUAGUUUCGAAUUUGAGUUUGUUAGGUGGGUUGAUGGGGUUUUUGGGUAUUAAAAAGGGAGAAGAAAAAAGUUGCUUGCUUCAUUUUGUACAAACCUGUUGACUUUUUAUUUUUUUCUUUUUAUUUUUGUACUAUUUUGUUUUACAGUUGGUGGUUCAAGACAGACAUCUGUUAUUGUUGUAACUUUGGAUACUGGUGAAGUAUAUAUUGUAACCAGCUUGUAUUCUAGGACUGACACUCAAGUGAUAUAUAUUGAUCCAACUACUGGUGCACUUCGCUACCAUGGGAAAUGGGGCUAUGAUGUUUUUGGAUCUGAAAAUGAAGCAGUAGAUUACAUAACAAAUGGAUCACGAUGGAUGUGCAAGAGUACAACUUUUGCCAAGGCGAUAUUGGGUUAUACUGCCCUGGGAAGCUUUGGGCUGCUUCUUGUUGCCACAAGGUUAACUGCCAGCAUUCCAAAUCUUCCUGGUGGAGGAACUGUAUGCACGGUUACAGAGAGCCAAUGGAUCAAAAUUCCACUUCAAAAUCCUCAACCCCAGGGUAAAGGAGAAGUAAAGAAUGUUCAAGAGUUGCCUGAUCUUGACAUUGAUGGGAAGCACUACUUUUGUGAGACAAGAGAUAUCACUCGACCUUUCCCCAGCCGCAUGCCUUUGCAAAAUCCUGACGAGGAAUUUGUUUGGAAUGAAUGGCUUUCGAUGCCUUUUAAAAGCAUUGGUUUACCUCAGCAUUGUGUCAUUCUUCUGCAGGUUUUGCUUCAUACUCGGUAUCUUCAAAAUUUAUGCUCAUUAAACUUCUUUCAUUCCCCACCCUCUCACUAUCCCUCCACCUAAUUUUGUUUCCAAAAGUUUGUUUGAUAGUCUAUUGCCACUAUAUGUAAAUGUAUCAUUUCCAUUCUGAGCAUGAUAUUUUAUUCAUCAUCACUUGUUAUUCUAAUCUUUAGAUGAAAGAAUAUUUCGUAUUAACAUUUUUCAUGGGCCAGUACCUAUUUUAUGGUCCAUUGUAGAUACUAAAAUGACCAACUUUAUUUCUUGGUCAUAAAAAGUUGCGACAGAAAUUUUAAACAUGUGAAUAUUUAAAUCUGAUAAUUCAUUAAAGAUUUCAACCUAAUAGAUUGAAAACUUAGAUUCAUUCCAUGAAUGAAAGAUAAUAAAGCAUCAGCCGAUGGAAUAUGGGAAAUAGAAACACUUUCCCUUCUAUUAAGAAGAGCCUGCUUCAGAUGAUCCUCAUUUUCUUCAUCCACAGGCCAACCUAGAACAUACCACACCAAGGUAAGAAAGAAAAGGGGUAGCAGGAUUGCCUAGUUUGACAAUUAGCAAAGCCCCAAAUGUUCCUCUUUUACUUUUCUUUUAGAAAGGUAGACAUGUUUGACAGAUUUGGGACAUUGCAUCAUCCCUUUCUGCUGCACAUGGUUGCAAUGUUUUACUUCUCACGUGAAAGCCUAGAAAUCCCAAUCCAAUAAUAAAAGGCCAUUUUAGAGUCAAUGUACAAAAACUUCCUUCCUUGUCUCUAUAUCCUCUUUUACAAUCCAUUCUUAGUUGAAUUGAGAUUAUGCUACAGCUGCUUCUUCAAGUUAACAUUGUUAUGCAAUUCAAUGGUGAUUUACGUGUGUACUUGUCCUAAGCAUGUGAUUUGAAAAUAAUAUGUUAAUAUUGUUUUCACUGGAUAUUAAUGUAUAGGGAUUUGCAGAAUGUCGAAAUUUUGGAAGAUCAGGUCAGCUAGAAGGGGUUGUUGCUCUUAUAGCUCGUCGUAGUAGGCUGCAUCCUGGUACUCGAUACUUGGCUAGGGGGAUUAAUUCUUGUUUUAGUACAGGUAAGAUAAUCUUUAACAUCUCCAGACCUGGAAAUUACAUUUUUGUUGUUGAGAUUCACUUGGUUCUUCUAUACAAUCAAAAAAAUUAAGGAUUUAGUUUUUUUUUUUUUUAAACGGAAUUUUCUUUUCCUUUCAGUACUCUUUGCAUUCUGUGUAUGCUGUUUAUUCUGAUUGUCAUUGAUCUCAUGCCUUUACAAGGAAACAGGUAAUAGUUUCAGUGGUAAAUUCAAGUGGAAUUGGUUUUGAUUCUGUUGUUUAGAAAGAUGGAUUGUAGAACUACAGAACAUUAAUCGUGCCACCUCAUGGCUCAUGCAUGCUUUUGGAGUAUUCUUUACCUGUAGAAUUUUUGUUUUUGUAGUUGACUUGGAAUAUAACUUUACCAUUUUUUUCAAAUAAUAAGAAUCAAUGAGUCUCAUCAAUAUUAAUCAAUAAUGAGCUAAAGAUAUAUAACUUGUGUCUCAGAACUAUAUAUGAUAUGCUUGUGAAGGUGUAUUAUUUUAAGUAGAGAUACCAAAUGCUACAGGGAGAAGCAAAAAAGAACAUUCUCCAGUGAAAACCUUCUGACAGAUUACAUUUUUGGGAUAAAAAAGAAACAUUGAGAUCAUCAGCCACACUUUUUCUUCUUGUACUGUUUAAUUAGUUUAGAGGCCUUUUAGUUGGUUUUGCUUGCCUGGAGGUGUCAUACAGUUCACUUUUUGAAUACCCUGGUUUUCUACAGAUUAGAACUUGGUUUCCUUUCACUCCACAGCUUUUGCUUUCCUACAUCACGUCCUUUGGGAUAAUUGAAUAAUGAAUGAAUGAAAACAAUCAAAUAAUUUCUGACAAUUAGUUAAUAACUUUUAUUUUGUAUGACCCUUUUGAUAUGUGUGGUCCUUUAAUUUACGGUUGAAAUAUAAAUAUGAAAAAAGUCUGCCAAUUAGUUUUACAAAUGACUUUUGUGCCAUAGAAUAUAUAUAUUUUUUUUUUGCCGAAAAACAAAACAAAUUCAUAAACAACAUUGUAUUUCACCAAUUAACAGUGCAAGUGUCAUUAUAGUUUCCACAUAUUAGUUCUGUUUUCGUUAGUUUCAUUUUCAUUCUGUUAUGUAACUGAUGUUUCAUUGCUAUAAAAUUAAUUGUCUGUUUCUCUUCACAACUGUUAUUUUGAAUGAUUUUUUCUGAAUUUUAUAAAGAAUUUGUAUAUGACAGGAAAUGAAGCAGAGUGCGAGCAACUUGUAUGGAUUCCUAAAAGGUCUGGUCAGAGUGUUCCUUUCAAUGCAUACAUCUGGCGGCGAGGGACUAUUCCAAUAUGGUGGGGUGCAGAAUUAAAGCUUACUGCUGCUGAAGCAGAAAUUUAUGUUGCAGAUCGGGAUCCUUAUAAAGGAAGUCUGAAGUAUUAUCAGAGGUUGAGUAAUCGAUAUGAUGCUCGAAACUUUGACUUAGCUGUUGGGGAAAAUCAGAAGAAAAAGCCUUUUAUUCCAAUUGUAUGCAUUAACUUGCUUAGGAAUGCGGAAGGGAAAUCAGAAUCUAUUUUAGUUCAGCAUUUUGAGGAAUCUUUGAACUAUGUCAGAUCAACUGGAAAACUUCCUUAUACUCGAAUAAUUUUAAUAAAUUAUGACUGGCAUGCCAGUACAAAAUUAAAAGGUGAACAACUUACAAUUGAAGGAUUAUGGAAGCAUCUAAAAGCACCCACUCAGGCCGUAGGCAUUUCUGAAGGGGACUAUUUGCCAUCACGGCAACGACUUAAUGAUUGCCGAGGUGAAGUCAUCUGCAAUGGUGACUUUGUGGGUGCCUUUUGCUUAAGAUCCCAUCAGAAUGGAGUGAUACGCUUUAACUGUGCAGACUCUCUUGAUCGGACCAAUGCUGCUAGUUAUUUUGGUGCUCUGCAAGUAUUUGUGGAGCAAUGUAGGCGGCUUGGGUUCUCCCUUGACAGUGAUUUUGCAUAUGGCUAUCAGUCAGCUAAUAACUAUGGUGGAUAUACUGCUCCUUUGCCACGAGGAUGGGAGAAACGAGCUGAUGCAGUGACAGGAAAAACAUAUUAUAUCGAUCACAACACUAGGACCACAACAUGGAUUCAUCCAUGCCCAGACAAACCUUGGAAGAGAUUUGAUAUGACAUUUGAGGAGUUCAAGCAAUCAACAAUUUUAUCACCAGUGUCUCAGCUAGCAGAUCUUUUUCUGCUUUCUGGUGAUAUCCAUGCAACCCUUUAUACUGGUUCAAAAGCAAUGCAUAGCCAAAUUCUUAAUAUAUUCAAUGAAGAACCAGGAAAGUUCAAACAAUUUUCUGCAGCACAAAAUAUGAAAAUUACCCUGCAGAGAAGAUACAAAAAUGCAGUUGUCGAUAGCUCUCGUCAGAAACAGCUGGAGAUGUUUCUUGGAUUGAGGCUUUUCAAGCAUCUUCCAUCUGUUUCAGUUCAACCUCUACAUGUAUGAUACUGUAGAACUUCAGAUUACCUAUUCAUACAAUCUGAGUUCAAUGAUUAUCAAUUUUCAUGAGGGAUGGAGACAAUAUUACACUAGCUACUUGUUUCUAACCUAAGCAUCCCUAACUUCUGCACAUAAAUAAAUGAUGCGCAAAGCAUACCAUAGCUAUAUCAAUGCCCAUUUCCUGUUUGAUGUUGACCAAUAAUGUUUGGAAGUUAGCUAUUGCAUGGUAAGAUGAUUUGAAGCUUCAUUUAAAGCUUCUAAGCCAGAGCUUCUAAGUCAUCUGGCUUAGAGAAUUUAAAUGUCCUCCAAAAGUCUGGAAUCACUGUUGCAUCUCAGCCUGAUUGAUAUUUGUUAUUGUUAACUUGGAAAUAUUUUGUUAAUCUUUCGGAUUGAACAACGUCGUGCUAUGAUCAUUAUUCAAGAAAUGACCUCAAGAACUUGUUGCAGUUGAGUGAUUUUUUGGUAAUGAUGAAAAUUAUUCAUGUUUAGGAACAGCUCUUUAGGGGAAAAGCAUAUAUGGGCUGGCUGGCCCUUUUUGGUGUAUUUGAUGAACCAUUUCAUAUCAUGCUGGUAACUGCAGGUUCUUUCUCGACCAUCUGGUUUCUUUCUCAAGCCAGUUCCCAACAUGUUCCCAAGUUCUGAUGGUGGAGCUAGUCUUCUAAGCUUCAAAAGAAAAGACAUGAUCUGGGUAUGGGUUGCAGCUAAACUUAGUCCUUUGUAGCAUUCCUAAUUCUCUGAUUGUCUUUUCUUUGUAGCAUUCUUAAUUCUCUGAUUGUCUUUUCUGUCCUUAAUGGAAUUCAUGCAUUUUUGGUUCUUUAGGUAUGUCCACAAGGCACAGAUGUGGUUGAACUUUUCAUCUACCUUGGUGAACCUUGUCAUGUCUGUCAGCUUCUUCUCACCAUAUCCCAUGGUGCAGAUGAUUCAACAUAUCCAGCAACAGUUGAUGUGAGAACAGGACGCCACUUAGAUGGGCUUAAACUGAUUUUGGAGGUUUGUAUUGGUUCUAUUGUACACCUUGCUUACAAAUUUUUUAUUUUUAAUUUUUAAUUUUGUAUGAUAUGCUCUUUGUUGGUAAAUUUCAUUUGACUUAGAAGAGAUAGUUUUAUCCCAACAGUGGGAUACAUCAUUGAGAUGCAUGGCAGAGUGAAUAUAGUAGACAAAAUCAUUGAGACCCAUGGUGGUGUGAACAUAGUAAACUUUGUCAAACACAGCUAAGAUGAGCAAAUUGUUUCAUUAGCCUUUAUCUUAUCUGCUGUGAUGAUUCAAAUUAAUGCUGUUUGGUAGGUUGCAAAAAAACGAAAUGAGCUGACUGUUCGUAUUAUUUAGUCAGAUCUCUAGCAAUAAGUUGAAGUUCAUUGUCACAUGGGUUGGGAGUAUCGUGGGCUGUGAGUAGUAGAAUGGAUUUAUGGAGUUGAUACAAGUGCCCACAAUCUCUCAUGUCAUUCUAGGAUUAAAUGGAUUGCACAUUACUGUAAAAAUGGAGGUUAAAUUUAUAUAAUUCGGAUUGAUUGUAAAAUGGAAGACAGAGAUGAGUUAGAAAAAGAAUGACCCGUGUCCUUUUUGAGCUGUUUCUAAAUGUCCCUGGUGUGCCUCAUGCUUAACACGUGCCUUUCCAAAUAAUUUUGCUUAACCUGUGCUUGUCUACUUCUUGUGCUAUUCUGUGCCUGGUCCUGAGCUGUAUUGGUAGAUUGACAUCCAGCUUGAACUUUUAGGUAUAUCUUUUGUACAUAAAUUCUGAAUACCCAUGGACUUAGCGUGAUAUAAAGUCAAGGAUCCAUUUAGCUGAGUCCUUCAAGUUUUGUUAGUAUGUCUUCGGAUUAUAAAUAUGUAACAAAAUGAGGUGUAGAAUACAUUUAAAAAGAAAAGGAUAAAAAAACAAAAGAAAUGAAAAGAGGUGUUUAGAAGUAAUAGCUAAACUAGAUACACUCUCACUAAUUAGCGAUUCUGAUGAACAGUGCCCAUAGCUUCUUUUAUACCUUGAAGUUGCAGAAAUUGAUUCUUGGUGAAUUAAGUCACUUACAGACAUAACUUUUUCUUCCAUCUAAUUUUUAUUAGGUUAGAUAGGAGAAGACUUGUUUCAGGGUGUCCUGACCCUAGUAUUAGUUUUCUUGUCAGAUUUUUCAUGAAAAUUUACAAUGCACGUGACAUACAACUUCUAGUAAUCCUAGGACUUUGUUCACAGGGUGCUUCUAUUCCUCGUUGUGGAAAUGGGACAAACCUUUUGAUACCUUUACCAGGAUCAGUUAGUGCUGAGGAUAUGGCUAUUACUGGAGCUGGUGCACGACUUCAUGAUCAAGAUGCACCAACCCUUCCACUGUUGUAUGAUUUUGAAGAAUUAGAGGGAGAAUUGGAUUUUCUUACUCGUUUUGUGGCAGUUACCUUUUAUCCUGCUAUUUCUGGAACAAGUUCCAUGACUCUUGGUGAGGUAGAAAAUAUUUUCAUAAAAUGUUAAUUGAUUUAUCUACGCACUUUAUUCUUAAAUUAGUAUUUUAGACCAUGAGCUUUGUGGAGUGGGUUUGCUGUAACUGCUGCUGGUGACAACAUAAUUGUUAAUAUUAUUACAGAUAGAGAUUCUUGGAGUUUCUCUUCCAUGGAGGGGGGUAUUCAAUAAUGAAGGCCCUGGUGCUAGAUUAAUUGAGCUUGGCAAAAAGUUUCAGAAGGAAACCGAUCCAUUUUUGUCAAAUUCAGUUACAAAUACGGUUCUGUUUUCCAAUGAAAAUGUGUCAACAUCAAUGCAAACAGAAGCUGCUUCCAAUCCUUGGGUUGACCUGUUGUCUGGAGGGGACACAUUUUCUGAUCCUCUUUCAGAGCCGUUUUCUAACCCUCUUUCUGAGCCGUUCUCUGAUCCUCUUUCUGAGUCGUUCUCUGAUCCUCUUUCUGAGCCAGUGACAAGAAAUGUUGCAUCUGGAGGGGCUGAUUUGCUUGAUUUCUUGGACCAGCCUAUAGUUGAAGAUCAUGGUGUGGAAACUUAUAAAAGAUCUUCAACACAGGAUGGCUGUUCUCUGGCUAGUGGUGCCCAGCAGUACAUAAGCUGUCUAAAAUCCCUUGCAGGGCCACGCGAGGUAUAGUACUGCUCUCUUGUGUUUUUUGCAGCUCUACAUCUUAGUAACCUCAUCUUUUUAAUGGAGUAAAUUCUAGAAGUUCAACAAAUUUUGCUUUGCUAAAUGUAUAACUUAUUAAUCAGAGUCCUGUUAUUAUGGUUUGACACUACUGACAUAUUGUGUUGGUAAUUUAUUUGUACGUCCCUUGGUUGAAUUAUUUGCUGUCUCCAUGCCAUUCGAUAUGGUGCUACUUGGUUUUUGAUCAUCCAUGACACUAUAUAUAUAUAUAUGUAAAGGAUGAAUUGAUUGUUUUGGCUUGUAUUCUCACAUUUUAUGAUUGAUCGAUGGAAAGGUCUUCCUGUAUUAAAUUCAACCUCACAAGCAUAAGAUUGACAAAUUCUGGGCAAAUUUUCAGGAAAAGAAACUAGACUUCAUGGAAGCAAUGAAGCUUGAAAUUGAACGUCUGCAGCUGAAUCUUUCUGCAGCUGAAAGGGAUAGAGCUUUAUUGUCAAUUGGAACUGAUCCUGCCUCUAUAAAUCCAAAUGUAUUGCUUGAUGAAUCUUACAUGGGAAGACUGUGUCGAGUAGCAAACACUCUUGCAUUACUUGGCCAAGCUUCCCUAGAAGACAAAAUUGUUGGUGCAAUUGGCCUUGAGAAUAGUGAUGAUAGUGUUUUAGACUUCUGGAAUAUUACUAGAAUCGGAGAGAGUUGUUCUGGUGGUGGGUGCGAGGUUCGUGCCGAAACUAAGGUGCCUGCUCUUGCUUCCUCAACUGCAACAUCUGUUGGAUCUUCACAAUCCCCUUUGUUGUGUUCUCAAUGUGAAAGAAAAGUUUGCAAAGUUUGUUGUGCAGGAAGAGGAGCUCUACUGUUUUCAAAUUAUAAAUCAAGGGAUGUGACCAACUACAAUGGCUUCUCAAGUCAGAGUGGAUCAAGCCAUGGAAGCCAAGUUGAUGUAUCUACCAGUCGUUCACUAACACUGGAUGGCGUUAUCUGUAAACACUGCUGCCAUGAGAUUGUGCUUGAUGCAUUGAUGUUGGACUAUGUUAGGGUCUUGAUUAGCUUGCGAAGAAGUUCCCGUGCAGACAACGCAGCAUACAAUGCUUUGAAUGAGGUUGUUGGAUCCUGCUUAAAGGAUAGUCUUUCUGAGAGGAUUCAGUCUUCCGAUAACGUGCAAGCAGCUGAAGUCCUUCACCAAUUAUGUGGUGGACAGGAAGCACUUGCUGAAUUUCCAUUUGCUAGCUUUUUGCACUCGGUAUGUUCUUGGUUUGUAUUCAGUUCUCAUCAUAUUAUGUUUUCCUUUUAAAUUUCUUUUCUUGAUUAAAAUUUUUAGAAAUAUGUUUUAGCAUUUAUUCUUAUGAUAUAUGCCCAGAACAUUCAUCCCACUUAUCCAUGAGAAUCCUUGUCUGGUUUGAUUUUCAAUUGAGACAUUUUUGGGAACCCUGAGCAGGUUCCAUAUGCUAAUAAUCUUUGAGGUAAGGUGUUGUAGGAUGCCUUGAGAAGCUAAAAACCUAUUACAAGUAAAAGCUCUUGCAUUGUUUUGUGCAAUCUGUGUGCGAGCAAGUCAUGUCUCUAAUAAUUUCAUAGUUUGCUUGAUUGGAAUUUUUUAUCUUGAUAUGGAUUGUUUAUUCUAGAUUCCUUGGUGCCACUGUAGGUUGAAACAGCAAAAGAUUCAGCACCGAUUUUGUCACUGCUUGCUCCAUUAAAUUCUGGAUCAAGGCACUCAUAUUGGAGAGCUCCACCUAGUAUUACUUCUGUUGAAUUUGUUAUUGUUCUCGGUUCUGUUUCUGAUGUCAGUGGGGUUAUCUUGCUUGUUAGUCCUUGCGGCUAUUCUGUGGCUGACACUCCGAUGGUAAGUGCCAUAUUUAUUCCCUUAUUUCCUUGUUGUUCAAUAAAUUUGGUGAUAAGCCAAGUGGCCUUAAUAAUGAAGCCCAGUACCAGGGGUGGUGGGUAAUAGAUAUUCAACUUGUGAAUAUUCCUAAGCAAACACUGAAUCAACAUAUACCUCGGCAAAAGUUCUCUAUGCUAUGAUAAUGGAAGUCAUAUUUUGAAAUGAUUAAAAGAGUCCCUGUGUAGUGCCAUUUCCAACGAAAUUGCAGCUGGGGGUUUAGUUUCAUGUAGGUUAGUUUCCGAUAAUAAACUUUCCAUUUCAUUAAUUGCUGAUGAAAAAACCAAGUAAGAACAGUUUUGUUGCUCAUCAUUUUUGUAUAUUUUGGUAAACUGUAAUUUUAAAUUCUCAACGAUCUUCCCUUUGUAGGUAAGAAGAUGGUCCACUCACUUGAUAUUUAUGAUUGUAGAUCAGGUUUCUAUUGGUUUGCCUUUAUCAUUUGGAACCCAUGUUUGAUAUUAACAGAGAUCACAUCAAUAAUAUCCUAUUUGGGUAGAUGUGGGUGAGGAUUUAAAAUCAAAUUUGAAAUUGAGGGGAAAGAAGAGAAAAGGAACCACAAUAAUUAAACAAAAUAAUAGGAACUAUUCUGAUGAGUUUUAAUCUCGAGAGGAACAAUUUUCAAAUGCACUGCUAGAGAAAUUGUAGCUUUUUGUCAUUAGUUAAAAGGAAAAAGAAUAAGAACUAUCCGGCCCUUUCCUUCAUGAAUGUGUGUUGAGGUUGCUGUAUUAUUUAGUCAGUAUUUGUAAUUUUCUUCCCUGCAGUGCUCUCUGCCUCCUGAAUUUGCUUCCUAUUGCUGUUACAGGUGCAAAUCUGGGCAAGCAAUAAGAUACACCGGGAGGAAAGGUCAUCAAUGGGAAAAUGGGAUGUCCAAUCCCUCACCACAUCUUCUUCAGAUUUGUAUGGUCCAGAAAAGUCUGCUAGUGUUGAAAAAUUACCUAGGCAUGUAAAAUUUACGUUUAAGAAUCCUGUUAGGUGCCGCAUUAUUUGGAUCACAUUACGUCUUCAGAGACCUGGUUCGGCUUCAGUUAAUUUCGGGAAGGACCUCAGUCUUUUGUCUCUUGAUGAAGAUGAAAACCCCUUUGCACAAGUAGACAGACGUGCUUCAUUUGGAGGAGCAGUUGAAAAUGAACCAUGUAUUCAUGCCAAAAGAAUUCUUGUAGUCGGAAGCCCAGUAAAAAGGGAGGGGCUUACCACAUCACAGAGCUCUGAGCAGCUAAGUAUUAGAAACUGGUUGGAUAGAGCUCCACAAAUGAGUAGAUUCAAGGUAUUAGUUGCUUUCACUCUUUGUUCAUUCAUAAUUCCAGCUUUCUGCUUCACUGAUAAACCUCUUUUUUCUCUUCAGGUCCCAAUUGAGGCCGAGAGAUUGAUGGACUACGAUCUCGUCUUGGAACAGUAUCUACCUCCAGUGUCACCUUCACUUGCUGGAUUCCGUCUAGACGCUUUCAGUGCAAUAAAACCUAGGGUUACCCAUUCACCUUCCUCAGAUUCAGAUAUCUGGGACAAAUCAGUAACAUUUUUAGAAGAUAGGUACAUCUCUCAAGCUGUGUUGUAUUUACAAGUAUCCGCACUCCAGGAACCACAUAACAUGGUAACUAUUGCGGAAUAUCGACUGCCGGAGGCUAGAGCCGGAACGCCAAUGUACUUUGAUUUCCCACGACCGAUACAGUCCCGACGAGUUUCAUUCAAGCUUCUUGGAGAUGUUACAGCAUUUGCAGAUGAACCUUCAGAACAAGAUGAUUCAGGAUUGAGAGCUCUACUUGUGGCCACAGGUUUGUCUUUGUCAAACAGAAUCAAGUUAUAUUAUUAUUGUGAUCCUUAUGAGCUCGGAAAAUGGGCAAGCCUUUCUGGAGUUUGAUCAUUAUUUAUAUGUCAGAGAAAGAGUUUUGGGUUUGAUUUUGAUUUUGAUUUGCAUUUUUUGUCAGUUUAUUGAAAUUUUUUCGUGGUAUAAAAUCAGAAUGUAAAGGUAUAAAAAUUCAUUGAUGCUGCAAUGUCUGCUUUUGAGAAAGAAGAAUUCAACGUCUUUUCUAUGCCAUUGUAUUUUCCACUGCUUGUAAACUUGGGCUGUCGAAUGCUCUGUGAACCUUAAGGGCUAAAGUAAUUUUCAAGACUGAAGGAUUUAUUAAUCGAGUUCAAAAGAUUGCAAGUUGGUGAGCGUUGGCAUUUAAAAAUCAAUUGUUAUUCUCUCAAUAAUCUCUCUCUUCUGCCGACACCCCAAGCUCAGAAACCCGUUGUUCCGACGGACGUGUAACACUUCUAGAAAUUAGCAUUUUCUUCUACAUGAAGGUUGGUCUCUCCUCGUGAAGUGUUUUCUUUUUUGAGUGAAGGUGGUUUUCUACUUACAUAUGUCGAGGGUCUUACGAUAUCUAAUGUGUGAAAUUUCUCUCUCAUUUUACCAUAAAGAAAAUGUUUGUAAUGAUCUGAAGCUUGAGUCUUAAAUUAUCUUAAAUUUAUAUUUAGGGUGGAGCUAUUGGCAUCCCUACAUUAUUCUUACAAAAUUCCACUUUAAAUAAAAUUACAAUUAAGAACAAUUAAAAAUUAAACACUUAUAAUUUUUUGUACAGCAAAUUACUUAAUUUAUAAUCAAUUCUUUUAAAAUAUAUAUAUAUAUUUGUUACUUCUUAUCUAACUAAAAUAAAUUGUACAAAUUUAGAAUAAUCUAUUGUUCUUUUUUGAUUUCUUAUUGAUUUAAUAUUUUUAUACUUAAAAUUACUUUGAAAUUAUAAUUUGAAAUAUGUGUUAUUUUAGCCAAUAAUUAACACUUAAAAACUUAUCACCCAUAUAACUUUUUAAUUUGUGUGUAGGGUAAUAAUAAAAUUGAAAAUAAUUAAAAAUAGCACAAUAAUGAGUUUUAACAAUAAAACAAAUCAAAUGAAUAUUUAAAAUUUUAAAAAGUAUAUCUAGAAAAAGAGGUAUUUUCGGAAAUAGUUUGCAUAUAACUAAAAAAAAGUUUUAUGAGGAGAUCAGAUGGGUGCCAAUAGUCCACCUCGUAAUUAAGAAUCUCCCAUUAUAUUGUGAACCAAAAAGACACUUGCAUAAGAAGAAGAAUUUUUCUGUUUGAUUUUAUUUGUGGAUCCAACAUUUCUCAUAUCUUGAGCGCCUUUCCGUAUCAAAUUAAAAUAGUAGUAGCAAAAUUGUAGUGCACAUUCAAUUAAUCAACUAAUAGUCUAAGAAGCAAAGAGAGGAUUACAAGUUCACAACACCAUUACAAAGGAUUCAAAAUUCCCACACGAAAACAUCAAUGUACAGAUAUAAACAAUCCUAAUUGGACACAAGAAAAACCCUUAAAUGGAUUGCUUGCCUUCCCAAUGCUACAUACCCUGCAAACUGCUUACUGGCCAAGAAAAUGUUUUCAAUUUAGUGUAUUUUCAAAAUGCUUAUUUUCUCAUAAUAUUAAAAAAAUAAAAUAAAAAAGAAUUCUUACAUGUUUCAUCAGCAUGAUUAAAAUCAAAGAAGAAAGAGAGACAUAAUGUCUCUGACAUAAUAAAAUUAUAAAAAUUUCAAGAAAAAAAAAGGUUAAAACAUGUAAGGUGGAUGAUUGAAAACAAUUGUAUGAUGGUAACCAUCAUCUUAAACAAAUAAAAUAAGGUAUGUUCAAAAGUAAUAAGGAAUACAUAGACAAAACAUCAUCUUAAACAAAUCAUAAUCUAGAAUUGGAGCAUUUUCGACAUACCUAAGGAGAAAGAAUACGUGAAAAUAGGUGAUUCAUUUGUUAAGGAGUGUUGAUUUGGUCGUCUCUGCAAAUUCUUUAGGGACUCGGUUCCAGUUCCUCUUCAUCAAAACUGUAAUAUAAUUCCCCUUCAUCAGAACUCGAAUCAAAUUCACUUGCAGCAGUUCCACUCGCGCUUGGCAAAUCAUCCAAUUUCCAAACUUCGGUACCAAAAUUGAGAGUAAAAGUGUUGGCUUUGAUCUCGCUGCGAUUUGCAUAUACCGGACAUACUCCGUAACGUUUUAUCUUGUGACCCUUUUGGUUUCGGUAACACUCAUUGAAGAACUUAAGUGAGACAGUUGUAUGAUGGUAACCAUCAGGAAAGCCAACAUUCAAGCAAGGUUUAAAACAAAGUAUGACAUGAUCUGAAUCAAGGGAGUAUUUAGAAUAGGUAGAAAAACCCAGAUCAACAUAUUUGGUUUCAGAGAGAGUCUUUAUUUCUAAGUCGGAUUGAAAGAUGACGUACCAAUCGCACUUGCAACGAGAACAAACUUUCUUAGAAUCAAGAACAGCACAAAAAGCAAACCCGAUUAAGUUUCCGCAAAAAGAUUGCGGUGGCAGUUGAAUACAUAUCGAAGAUUCUGAACUUUGAUGGCUGAACCAGUCAGGAAUUUCGCUCCCAGGUAAAACAAUUAGGGAUCCCCAGAGUUCAGAAAGUUUCUGUGAAAUGACAUUUAAAAAAAGAAAAUUGUAAAUUGAAAACCAUGAUUUCAGAUAUAACAAAGAGGGACAGAGUAAACAAGAGAGGGAAUUUGAUACCUCGUUGAUUGCCUUUUCAUAGCCCAAUCUCAGUGAUGCAAUUGCCAUAUGCCGAAUUCUUAGUCGUGAAUCUGCCAAAAUCUUGUUGUUUGCUUUUCCAUCAAGUUUCAAGCAGUUAGUAAACUCAAAACAAAUUGCUGCUGACUCCAGAGAUUGAAUAAGGUCAGGAGAGGGUUUCGAUAACUUUUCGAGUACGGAUGCAUCUAGUUCUUGUAGACAUGACGGAAUCUCUGGCAAAGAUUGAAGCCGCUUGCAGUUCCUUGCUUUUAGUGAUUGUAGACACAAUGGAAGUUCUGGUAAUGACCGAAGCAUGUUACAACCCGUCAAGUCAAGAGAUUCAAGACACAAUGGAAGUUCUGGUAAUGACUGAAGCAUCUUACAACGCUCCAAGUGAAGAGACCUCAGCCGCGACAGUUGCUUGAUACUUGCAGGUAAACUCUCAAAGUUAUUUCCACUUAGAUGCAAGCCUGUCAGUGAGGAUAGACAGGCAAUCUCUUGUGGAAUUUCCAUUACAGCACAGUUCCUUAUAUUUAGACGUCCCAAAGAAGAUAAACCUAAUAAUAAUGAUCGAGGCAAUGAUACCAAACCUUUGCAUCUAGAGAACUCAAGAAUUCUAAGUACGUUUGAAUCUGCAACAGAGGAUGGUAGUUGACUAAUAGCUGAUCCAGCUGCACAGAUGUAACGCAAAGAUUUUAAAUUGCCAAUGUUAUCCGGCAACUUAUCAAGUUUAGAGCAAUCUUCUACGAACAAUACUUCAAGUCCCGGUAGAUUUUCAAAUGACGAUGGCAGCUCUGUAAUUGCCGUAUGGCCUAAAUAGAUGCGUUUUAAAUGUUCCAUUUUCUCCAAGAUUUCUGGGAAACGCUCAAGGUUCACGCAGCCAUUAAGAAAAAGAUCAACCAACGAUCUCAAUUUACAAAACCCAGUUGAAAUCAUCUUCAGCCGUUUGCAAUCCCUCAAAUCCAACACUAUAAGAUCAGUUAGGCACUCUAUUGAUGAUGGAACUUCUUCUAUUGCAGACUGGAUUAAGUAUAGCCGUGUAAUUUUCCCAGAAAUCUGUGGAAACUCUACGAGAUUAACACAAUAGGAGAAAUUAAUAGUUACUGGACAAACAAAAUGAAGAUUGGUUGGAAAAGACCUAAGACUUUUGCAGCCCAUAAAAUCCAACCUACUGAGAUACUUGAAAUUCUGGAUAGAUGAGGGAACACAAGCCUUUUCUCCUUCCCAAAGUUGCUCAACUUUACUUAAACGCAAAUUCAGUUGAACGAGGUUCUUUGGCUUGAAAUUUGAUGGCAGUGUCCUUAAUGGAUAUGUGUCCCAAUGAAGAUAUCUCAAUUUUUUAGGAAGAUAAUCUAGACCAUUUGGAAGCUGCACUUUAGAGUAUGAAAGUUGCUCUUCAAUGAUCAUACUUAGAAACCUUUCAAUCCCAUAAAACUUAGGUACAUAAAAUUUGAGCAAUCUCAUACUAGACAUAUUUGUGAAGGUUCCGGGGUCUAAAUUAAUGCCUUUUAUUUUGGACAAAUCCAGAAAUAUGCCUUCAAUUGCAUCGGUCCCCUUAUUAAAAAAAAAACAAAGAAUGAGUAAUCCUAAAACAGAAAAGAAACAUUCGUAAACUUUAUUAACUAAGAGCUCCUUAAACAAAAACAAAUUCUGCAAUCUUUGAUUUUAUUUUUUUAAUAUAUUAAAUAUCUAUAUGCGAGAAAAGAAAAUUUUGGGGGCCAUUGCAAAAUUAAACUAACCGAAAAAAAAAAUUCAAAAUUUCUCUAAUUUACAAACCUGUUAUCUUAAUAUCUAGAAGUUGAGAAGACAAGGCCUAUUUGAUUGGUAUAAGAUUUCAAUUUUUUUUUUUUUUUUUUUUUUUUUUUGUCGAUAGAAUCCAAAAUGUUAGUUCAAAAUUAGGGAAAAAAAUGAAAGUCAUUUUUUUUUCCACUAGCUGUAAUUGUAUCCAAGUCAAAUUGAGAUACAACCCUUUUUGAAAGAAUUUAACCAUCUUACAACCUCCUUAAGGUACAUUUAAGAUAAAAGGAGUGAUUGGAGGCAGAACUAGGUGGGCCAAUCAGUCCAUUUUAUUAGCGACUGUUGCUUAAAAAAAAUUAUACUCUAAAACACACUUACAUUUUUGAAAAAAUAUAUAAUUAUAUUGAAGUAGAACCAGGUGGGCCAACCCUCAUGGCACUCACUUUGUUCUGACACUUUUCACUAAAUUUGAAGAAAAAUAAAAUUAUACUCUUCACACUCUUAUUCAACAUUCCAAAUUUGAUAAAAUCGGGAGUUUUCUUUAAAAAUUUAAAAUUUGAAGACUUGUUCUCUUGACACCCUCAGUCAUUAAUUUUACCUAAUUAUGGGUUUUAUGAUUUUGGUUGUUUUGUUCAUAAAAAUGCUUUUACUAAAGGAUGUUCUGGUAAUAAUAAAAUUUAUAAAAAAAACAUGGGUGUGCUGGUAUGGUUGGAAAAAUAUGAGUGCAUAACUCCAAACAAAUAAAAGAUAUAUAUAAAAAAAAAUGGAGGAUUCUUACCUUAUUAUGCUUGAGUACGCGGCGGAUUUCCUUAGGAUCCCACAACCUGCUGCGUUUGCCUGGCUCUUUCUCAGAUUCUUGGCGAACAAUCCGUCGCCCCAUUUCUUGCAAUAAAAUCAUGCAUUUGCAAGCAAUUCCCUGAUACUGAUAUGAGUGACUUAUCAAUAAGGACAUUCACGUCAUUCAGUCCAUAAGACUUAGAAUCAUCAAGUAUCCUUAUCACAAAAUCUUUAUCCUCUCCCUCAAAGAAACAAGCAAUAUCUAGAAAUACACUCUUGACAUUGGGCGUUAAUUCAUUAAAACUAAUCUUUAAUAUAUCAUACAUAUUAUGAAUAUCAGAUUCACAAAUCCGAUUUAAGUCGUCCAAUACGUUUCCCCAAUGGCUUUUCCUCUUGAGGGAGGAACCCAACACUUUAAGAACUAAUGGAUUGCCAUCAGCAUACUUUACAACUCUCCGUGACUCACGUUUGAAAUCUUCAGGACAAUGCUUUUCUUUAAAAGCGAAGUUACAAAAAUGCUCGAAAGCCUCAUCAAAUUUCAAUCCAUUAACCCUAUAUAUUUUCUCCACUGGAAACGUCUCGAGGACAUGUUUAUUCCUAGUGGUGAUGACAAUUCUACUUCCUGGACCAUACUGAUCAAGCCCUCCAAUCAAACCCUCUAAUUGUCCAUCUUUACUCACAUCAUCAAGCACAAUCAACACCUUCAUGCGUCGGACCCUCUCUUUAGUAAAUUGUGGAAUAUUGGGACCAUCUACUUUAAGUUUUUCUCUUAAUAUCCUUGAAAGAAUUUGCUUUUGUAGAUCUUCUAAUCCAUCCCCUCGUUCUAUAUUUCUCCUAACAUCUGACAUAAAGCACCUACCUUCAAACUCUCUGGAGAAUUGAUUGAAAAUAGCUGUGGCAAGGGUGGUUUUGCCUAUACCACCCAUGCCCCAAAUUCCAACAAUUUGGACAGUAUCCCACAAAUCCAUGCACAGAAAUGGUUUAAUCUGCUCAAUUCGUGAAUUUAAUCCAACUAGGCCAUUGGAUGAGUCCGUUGAGACUGUUAUUUUUUCCAUCUUCUUCAAAACAUCUUCGACAAUUUUGCUUACAAGUUGCGCAUCAUGCCUAAUAUGAAGGUGCAAAGAUGCAAAAACAUUGAGUCAAAUCGGGCCAACACAGAAACAGAGAUAAGAUGAAUUAGGAAAGAGAGUUACCUGAAUUUCGUGGAUUCGUGGCCAGCUAGAUGGGAUGUUUCUUUCAGUGCAUCCCUCCACUUCUGAACCAUUUCUGGCUUCUCUUUGAACUGUUGUUCGAGCUUAUCAAAACCGUGCCCAAAAAUUCCAGCUUGAUGCCGAACAUCGGACGGACUUACGCUAUAGAAAACUGGAAUAACGAUUUGGCCGUUUGUGUGCUUGCAUUCAAGAAUCUUGACAAGUUCAUUCAGGCACCAUUUUGAAGAAGCGUAGUCCUUUGAGAAAAUGACGACCGAAAUUUUCGAACCUUCGAUUGCGUUCAAAAGAGCAGGUGAAAUCUCAUCUCCUCGCCUAAGCUCUUCAUCAUCAAUAAACGUUUUGAUUUUCGUUCUUUCAUUCAAAUUAUAAUAGAGAUGGCAUGUAAAGCUCACGCGAGUGUCCUCUCCUCUGAAACUGAGGAAUACAUCAUAAUUGCAACAAGAAGAAGAGGAAGCCAUGAAGGAAAUUUUAGAAAUUUGGUGACAGAAACAGAGAAUUAAUCUUGAGAGUUGAGAGGGGAUAUGUAAGAAUGAAAAUGCGUAAAUAGUAAAUGAUUGAAUUAAUCUGGCGAGUAAAUAGUAAAUAAUUGAAUGGCCGGAGCUUUCUUAGUUUCCUGGAAAUUUCCUGGAGCUUUCGUAUACAUGAUUUGUCAAGUCAAGAAACAUAAUCAUGAUAAUGGGGCAGACCAGGAAGGAAAGAAAAUUUGAUCCAACCAAUAAAGGAAGGAAAAGUAAAGAAAGAAAAUUUGAAAGUAGAUUCAGAGAAUUAUAAAAAGCUAAAGGAUAUUGGAAUUUUGUACAAUUUCUCUAUUACAGUUUGGAUUAAGAUUUGAGCAAGCGGCCAAAACUACAUUGCGUCAGGGCUUUGGUGCCACACUCGUUUGUCUGUUAGUAGCAUUGGAUUUGAUCUGACGGCUGCAGAAGAGACACAAACAUAAAGAGGAGUAACCUGAGGAAAAGGUAAUAAGCCGGUUACCUGCAGAAAAUAAGUGCAUGAUAAAAUAACACAAGUAAUGAACACAAUGGAAGCGUAUAUGCAAGUAAUGGUUGGAAACAACUUGCUGGAAGCGUGCAAGUAUUGGUUGGGCACAGACCGACAUUAAAUUUCGCAAAUAGUGUCUGAAACAUUUGCAAAUACUUAAUUCAAAACGUCAAUAAAUGCUGGAAAAAAUACAUAUUUUUUUAUUUUUUAUUAAGAAUACAUUUAAAAAAAGAAUAAUUAUUAAUGGUACAUAUUUGUAACAAUUAUACCAAAAACAAUUAUCCAUAUAUUUAAAAAAAAUGUUAACAAUACAUAUUUUUUAGAAGUAUACAUAUUAUAUCAUAAAAAAAUUGAGUUGGAGCUUCGACAAGUAGAUCUUAAAAAACUAAGGUUGAAUUUUGGAGGAGCAGAUUCGGUCGUGGAGUAACAUUUGUUUAUUAUUAUUAAUUUAUUUUGGUAGUCCUAGUGAAACAUCGUUGUUUCACAUAGAUGAUGUCGCAGUUUGAUAGACGGGAUGACAUGUGAUUUUUUAUCAAAUAUAUCGGGCCACAUGGCAUUUUUGACUAGGUGAAUGGAGUGACAUGUUAAUUUUUUUUUUUUUUAAUCAAAGGUUCUUCUAUCUUAGAAGACUAGAUUAGCCUUAUGAUGUCAAGACUUGGAAACGACAACUAACUGACUAGUGGAUAGCAGACACAUGUUGUCAACUUAGGGUAUACAAGGAUACAUGUUAAAAGUAUUGUAGUAUAUGUGAUACAAGUGUCAUGGAAGGCUAUAUGAGUGAUAAUUACUCAUUAAACUAUAAGUUGCAAUAAUUUAACACAACAAGUGCCAAUUAAAAUGUAAUAAUUUAAAAAAAAUUAGGUAUUCUCCGUCUGUCUCCCUCUCAAUCAAUGUGUCCUACUUUGAAUGUUAAUAUUUAUUAUCAAACAUAAAAAAAUUCUAAAAUAUUAAAAAAAAAAAACAGAGUCUUCUAGGCACAUAAAUUAGAGUAGUUUCGUGAACAAAGAACUUGAGAAAGAUAAUGGUGGCACUCUCUUAGAAGGAAUCUAUGGGGUUAAUGUUUUCUUCCCUAUGUCUAUUUUAUGUAUCUUAGUUUCAAAAACAAGAUGUACACAAUUAGGGGUUGGUUAAUGCAGUUAAAACGGUGGAAAAAGGCUUAUAGAAAUAAAAUAUAAUUGUAAUGCAGUGUUUGGUAUGAAUAAGUAAACUAAAAAUAAGACAAUUGGGUAUACGAAUUUAUAAUGCGAUAAUAAUAUUUUUUCCCUAAGACGACCCGUAGGGUAAGAUUAUAGACUAAAUUGUUGUGUUAUGUUAAUGAUACGAUAUAAAAGUGUUGUUUUAGAAGCUGUAAAAGUUAGUUAAUGUGAAAUUUGUUUUUAAAGGUAAUUGUCUUGUAACCCCUUGUUUUUAAGGGUAAGAUUAUAGACGCAAUUUGUUUGUUUUGAAAAAAAGUCCCUUAUGUUGAGCUGGACUUUUUUUCGUCUUCACAAGUCCCUUUUGCCGAGCUGGAAUUUUUCUGACAGAGUCUCCGUUUGUUCCCAUAAUAGCGGCGAGAAUCUGGCCGAGCCUCGAUGAUAGCUCGUUGCUACGACACGUGACUGUGUCCAUUGAGUCUCUAUUCGAAAUCCAAAUGUCGACGACAACGGCCGCCUCCACUAACGGUUCUCAAAUCACGCCGUGCGUUGAUGACGUGGCGGUGGCAAUUAACAACAAUAACUUCAACUCGAAGGAGAGAUUCAACGACCGUGAUUUUUUGUUGAAGCAGUCGUAUUCGUUUGGAUUCGAGCGGAGUCUUGCAUCGAAGAGGAUGGUGAUGGAGGCGGUAAUGGCGUUGCCGUGGAAGUACAAGAGGGGGAGUUACUGGAGCAAACAGUCGUCUCCGUUUGGCUCAUUGACGAAGUCUAGAGUCUUCUGGAGCAAAGGAUUAUAUACUUAUCCUCUUUGUUUUCCUUUUACUGAUACUGUAGCUUUAGCCGAUUACCCAUUUUCCAAGUGUUAAACAUGAGCCGUUGUUACCUUUCUUUACUAUCUAAAUGGUCAUUCGCAAAAGGACAAAUGACUAGGGUAUCAAACCCCUUACGCAAUGUAGCUGGACCCUUAGCAAAGCAUUCACCUAAAUCUUACCUCCGCUGUAAAUUCUUAAGUUUUGAAAAUUAUGAGACCUUUAUAUUGGGAGAUAUUAUAAUCAAAUGAAAAGUUAAAAUUUUAAUAUUGUUAAUAAAUGACAAAGCCAUUUCAUUUCUCUUUUACAUGUUAUUAAUUUUUGUAACACGGGGUGGCAACAUAAGCAUAAUCAAGUAAAGCAAAAGGGUUUCAAAUUAUGGUGGUAAAACGUGAAGAAGGAUGCCAACUGAAUAAUUCCUUCCACAAAACGAAAAAUAAUCACAGAAAAAGGAAUCUCUUAUAAAAUGUUUGCGUAUUUUUUAUAAGGUUUGAAACUUUAGGUGGUCGGUAAAUGAUUUCUUAAUUGAAUAAUAUAUAAAAAAGCUAAUUAUUUAUAAUUUUAAAUAAUCUGAAUUUGUAUGUUAGAAAUUUCAUCUCUUUUAUUUUUGAGAAUUUUUCAUAAAGAAUAGAGAACAUAAUGUUAACAUUUAAAGUAACACAUCUCAAUCGUCGAAAUUAUUUUUCUAUUAAAUCCAACGAUAACGAAUUAAUGUCAGAAAAGGACAAAAUUAGUGGUGGCUUGCAAUAAUUGCAAGGUAGCUUUUGUAAAGACAGAAAUGUGAUGGAUUCAAAAAGAAAUUGAAGUGAUAAUGUACGUGGAUCCUUAAAAUAAAAAGCCGAAUCGCUUGGUGGCCCAGUAAAAUUACGAUUUGAAUUUUUUUUUUUUUUUUUUUUACACAAUGUGUCAAGCACAUAAAUGACGAAAGCCAUUUCAUUUCCCUUUCACACGUCAUUAACUUUUGUAACACGGUGUGUUCAUCGUCAAGUGAGGCAAAAGGGUUUCCAUUACAGUGGGAAAACAUGAACAAGAAUGCAUAAUGAAUAAUUCCUUCGAUAAAGCGAAAAUUAAACAUAAAAUAAUCCUAAAAUUUAAACUCUAAUAUCCUUCGAUAAUGUAUUGAUUAAAAAUAAUCCUAAGAGUUUCCAAUUGAAACUUCCGUAAGUAUUUUUAUUGUUUUGGAUAAACAAAUUGCACUAGGAUAAAAAUUUGGUAAAUUCAGAGGAUAAUAGAAAAUAGCUAUGGUUCAAUAGGCCAAAGAUUAGAGAACAAACAAGAAUUAGUUAUUGAUAUACAAAAGAGAAACACUCCAAAAUUUCAAGCAAAAAUAGUUUCAUAUACCAUUUCGAUUUUGGAAGGGGUGAGGUUUUGAAAUUCAAUAGUUUCCUCUAAAAUCAAAAGGCAGCAAUUAAGUUAGAAAGAGCAAAGAAGACUUAUUGGUACCUUAUUGAAGCUGAACAUUAUGGAACUUUCAAUGUCAUUACCUCACUGUUCAAUUUUUAUUGAGAUUUGUGCAAGCAUUUACCUAAAUUUUACCUCCGCCUGUAAAUUCAUAAGUUUUGAAAAUUUUGAGACGUUAUAUUGGGAGAUAUUAUAAUCGAACUAAAACUUAAAAUUUCAAUAUUAUUAUUCUUUGAAAAAAAAAUGAGAUAUCAGAGUAAUAUCACAUAGAAUGGUAAGCCAAAAGUCUAAUCAACCACAUGCAUAAAGCUAACUAGAACAAGUGAACAGAGAAACGCGUGGGUCCCUAAAAGAAAAGGCAAGCACAUAAAGAAAACGGAAAACAAACGCCAGAGAAAAGAAUUUCUUAUAUGCCUUGAUAUUGAUUAAUAUUCAGCGAUAGCUUAAUGCUUACCAUCAAGCAACUUUGAAAGCAGGAAGCUAUAUAUGACAAGAAAUCAAAGUAAUGUGAAGGAACAUGAUGAUGAAAUUGCAGGCCAGCACAAAAACACCCAUACCCCUGAUUUGUUUAAAUGUACACGAAGACCUUAAGGUUUGGUAAAAGAAAAUUGAAUUUAUAUUGUAUUAUAAUACAAUUUUUUUUAAACCAUCAAUGAUAAAAUCUUCUUACUUUUUUCCAUCCUUUGGAUCAAUAAGUACAAAUUUCUCAUCUAAAUCUUCAUACUUUUUACAAAUGACUUUUGUGCCAUAGAUUUUUUUUUUCUUUUUUUGGUUUUGCCGAAAAAACAAAACAAAUUCAUAAACAACAUUGUAUUUCACCAAUUAACAGUGCAAGUGUCAUUAUAGUUUCCACAUUUUAGUUCUGUUUUUUUUAGUUUCAUUUUCUUUCUGUUAUGUAACUGAUGUUUCAUUGCUAUAAAAUUAAUUGUCUGUUUCUCUUCACAACUGUUAUUUUGAAUGAUUUUUUCUGAAUUUUAUAAACAAUUUGUAUAUGACAGGAAAUGAAGCAGAGUGCGAGCAACUUGUAUGGAUUCCUAAAAGGUCUGGUCAGAGUGUUCCUUUCAAUGCAUACAUCUGGCGGCGAGGGACUAUUCCAAUAUGGUGGGGUGCAGAAUUAAAGCUUACUGCUGCUGAAGCAGAAAUUUAUGUUGCAGAUCGGGAUCCUUAUAAAGGAAGUCUGCAGUAUUAUCAGAGGUUGAGUAAUCGAUAUGAUGCUCGAAACUUUGACUUAGCUGUUGGGGAAAAUCAGAAGAAAAAGCCUUUUAUUCCAAUUGUAUGCAUUAACUUGCUUAGGAAUGCGGAAGGGAAAUCAGAAUCUAUUUUAGUUCAGCAUUUUGAGGAAUCUUUGAACUAUGUCAGAUCAACUGGAAAACUUCCUUAUACUCGAAUUAUUUUAAUAAAUUAUGACUGGCAUGCCAGUACAAAAUUAAAAGGUGAACAACUUACAAUUGAAGGAUUAUGGAAGCAUCUAAAAGCACCCACUCAGGCCGUAGGCAUUUCUGAAGGGGACUAUUUGCCAUCACGGCAACGACUUAAUGAUUGCCGAGGUGAAGUCAUCUGCAAUGAUGACUUUGUGGGUGCCUUUUGCUUAAGAUCCCAUCAGAAUGGAGUGAUACGCUUUAACUGUGCAGACUCUCUUGAUCGGACCAAUGCUGCUAGUUAUUUUGGUGCUCUGCAAGUAUUUGUGGAGCAAUGUAGGCGGCUUGGGGUCUCCCUUGACAGUGAUUUUGCAUAUGGCUAUCAGUCAGCUAAUAACUAUGGUGGAUAUACUGCUCCUUUGCCACGAGGAUGGGAGAAACGAGCUGAUGCAGUGACAGGAAAAACAUAUUAUAUCGAUCACAACACUAGGACCACAACAUGGAUUCAUCCAUGCCCAGACAAACCUUGGAAGAGAUUUGAUAUGACAUUUGAGGAGUUCAAGCAUUCAACAAUUUUAUCACCAGUGUCUCAGCUAGCAGAUCUUUUUCUGCUUUCUGGUGAUAUCCAUGCAACCCUUUAUACUGGUUCAAAAGCAAUGCAUAGCCAAAUUCUUAAUAUAUUCAAUGAAGAACCAGGAAAGUUCAAACAAUUUUCUGCAGCACAAAAUAUGAAAAUUACUCUGCAGAGAAGAUACAAAAAUGCAGUUGUCGAUAGCUCUCGUCAGAAACAGCUGGAGAUGUUUCUUGGAUUUAGGCUGUUCAGUUCAUUUUUUUGUGGUAGAAAUGUCGUCAUUUUAAAUUUAGUGUAUUUUCAAAAAGCUUAUUUUCUCAGAAUAUAAAAAAUAAAAAAAUAAAAAAAGAAUUCUUACAUGUUUCAUCAGCAUGAUUAAAAUCGAAGAAGAAAGCGAGACAUAAUGUCUCUGACAUAAUAAAAUUACAAAAAUUUCAAGGAAAAAAAAGAAGUUAAAACAUGUAAUCUUCAGAAGCAUAUAAUAAAAGAGCACUUCCACAAAUUACUACAAUUUCAUGCAGUAGAGAUUGAAGAGUUGAAUUCCACUUAUAGACACCGACCUCUUGUUUUGUCUAAUGUUAAAAUUACAACCUCUUGCUUUGACUUAUUAGCAGGUUUCAAAAGUAAUAAGGAAUACAUAGAUAAAACAUCAUCUUAAACAAAUCACAAUCUAGAAUUAGAGCAUUUUCGACAUACCUAAGGACCACGAAUACGUGAAAACGGGUGACUCAUUUGUUAAGAAGUGUUGAUUUGAUCGGCUCUGCAAAUUCUCUUGGGACUCGGUUCCAAUUCCUCUUCAUCCGAAGUUCCACUCGCGCUUGGAAAAUCAUCCAAUUUCCAAACUUCGGUAGCAAAAUUGAGAGUAAAAGUGUUGGCUUUGAUCUCGCUGGGAUUUGCAUAUACUGGACAUACUCCGUAACGUUUUAUCUUGCAAUCCUUUUGGCUUCGGUAACACUUAUUGAAGAACUUAAGUGAGACAGUUGUAUGAUGGUAACCAUCGGGAAAGCCAACAUUCAAGCAAGGUUUAAAACCAAGUAUGACAUGAUCGGAAUCAAGGGAGUAUCUAGUGGGCAAAUCGAAACCCAGAUCAACAUGUUUGGUUUCAGAGAGAGUCUUUAUUUCUAAGUCGAAUUGACGGUAGAAGUAAAAAUCACACAUACAACGAGAAUAAACUUUCUUAAAAUCAAGAACAGCACAAAAAGCAAACCCGAUUAAGUUUCUGAAAAAAGAGUGCGGUGGCAGUUGAAUAUAUAUCGAAGAUCCUGAACUUUGAUUGCUGAACCAGUCAGGAAUUUCGCCCCCAGGUAAAACAAUUAGGGAUCCCCUGAGUUCUGAAAGUUUCUGUGAAAUGACAUUUAAAAAAAGAAAAUUGUAAAAUGAAAACCAUGAUUUCAGAUAGGGAUAUUAUCAUUUUUCCACCAAAGGUAUUCUGACACAUCAUGUCAGUACCACGGUUUGGUAAAACUAUCAAUUUACCACCAAACGUUUAAACUGUUAGGAUUUUCCCACUAUUCCGUUAAAACUCAGUUAAUAUGUAACGGAAAAUUUCUAAAAAGUCAAUUUUACCCCUGGAGCAUAAAAGACCAUAUAAUUAACUUUUUAUGAAUUUUGUAAUUAAAUCAUCAUUUGUUGUUCUUCCUUCUUAAAGGACAAAAAUUACCCUUUAUAAAUUUUAUAAAAUUGGCCGUGUAGUGCUAGGUACUUCAUAAAUUAAUUUAAUUUUUAAAGGGCAAAUUUAUUUAUUAAAUUGAUGAGCUCAAGACAAUUUAUUCUACUACUAAAAAUCAAUUUAUGAAAGGGAAAAAAAAAAGAAUGUGCAAACGAAGUAAUUUAAUCUUUGAUAUGAUGAUAAUAAUUUUACACAAAAAAUUAAAUAAAUAAAUUUUCCCUUUAAAAAUUAAAUAAAUUAAAUCAAUUUAUGAAGUACCAAAUACCACACGGUCAAUUUUACAAAAUUCAUAAAUGGUAAUUUUUGUCGUUUAAGAAUAAAGAAUAACAAAUGAUGAUUUAAUUACAAAAUUCAUAAAAGGUUAAUUAUAUGGUCUUUUAUGCUCAGGGGUAAAAUUGACCUUUUAGGAAUUUUCCGUUAGAUAUUAACUGAGUUUUAACGGAAUGGUGGGAAAAUGCUAACAGUUUAAACGUUUGGUGGUAAAUUGAUAGUUUUACCAAACCGUGGUACUGACAUGAUGUGUCAGAAUACCUUAGGUGGGAAAAUGAUAAUAUCCCUUUCAGAUAUAACAAAGAGGGACAGAGUAAACAAGAGAGGGAAUUUGAUACCUCGUUGAUUGCCUUUUCAUAGCCCAGUCUCAGUGAUGCAAUUGCCAUAUGCCGAAUUCUUAGUUGUGAAUCUGCCAAAAUCUUGUUGUUUGCUUUUCCAUUCAGUUUCAAGCAGUUAGUAAACCCAAAAUAAAUUGGUUGUGACUCCAGACAUCCCGGUGCCCAUUGACGAAGGUCAGGAGAGGGUUUCGAUAGCUUUUCGAGUACGGAUGCAUCUAGUUCUUGUAGACAUGACGGAAUCUCUGGCAAAGAUUGGAGCCGGUUGCAGUUCCUUGCAUUUAGUGAUUGUAGACACAAUGAAAGUUCUGGUAAUGACCGAAGCAUGUUACAAUCCUCCAAGUUAAGAUAUUUUAGACACAAUGGAAGUUCUGGUAUUGACCGAAGCAUGUUACAACCCGUCAAGGCAAGAGAUUCUAGACACAAUGGAAGUGCUGGUAAUGACUGAAGCAUCUUACAAUCCGUCAAGUCAAGAGAUGUUAGGCACAAUGGAAGUUCUGGUAAUGACUGAAGCAUCUUACAAUUCUUCAAGUCAAGAGAACUCAACUGCGACAGUUGCUUGAUACUUGCAGGUAAACUCUCAAAGUUAUUUCCACUUAGAUGCAAGCCUGUCAGUGAGGAUAGACAGGCAAUCUCUUGUGGAAUUUCCAUUACAGCACAGUCACUUAUAUCUAGAAGUCCCAAAGAAGAUAAACCUAAUAAUAAUGAUCGAGGCAAUGAUGCCAAACCUUUGCAGCUAGAGAAAGAAAGAAUUCCAAGUACGUUUGAAUCUGUAACAGAGGAUGGUAGUUGACUAAUAGCUGAUUUAGCUGCUGAGAUGUAAUACAAAGAUUCUAAAUUGCCAAUGUUAUCCGGCAACUUAUCAAGUUUAGAGCAACCAUUUAUGAACAAUGAUUCAAGCCCCGGUAGAUUUUCAAAUGACGAUGGCAGCUCUGUAAUUGCCGUCCGGUCUAAAUAGAUGCGUUUUAAAUGUUCCAUUUUCUCCAAGAUUUCUGGGAAACGCUCAAGAUUCAAGCAGCCAAGAAGAAUAAGCCGAACCAAAGAUCUCAAUUUACAAAACCUAGUUGAAAUCCUCUUCAGCCGUUUGCAACCCAUCAAAUCCAACACUUCAAGAUCAGUUAGGCACUCUAUUGAUGAUGGAACUUCUUCUAUUGCAGACUGGUCUAAGUAUAGCCGUGUAAUUUUCCCAGAAAUCUGUGGAAACUCUAUGAGAUUAACACAAGAGGAGAAAUUAAUAGUUACUGGACAAACAAAAUGAAGAUUGCUUGGAAAAGACCUAAGACUUUUGCAGCCCUUAAAAGACAACGCACUGAGAAACUUGAAAUUCUGGAUAGAUGAGGGAACACAAGCCUUUUCUCCUUCCCAAGGUUGCUCAACUUUACUAAAACGCAAAUUCAGUUCAACAAGGUUCUUUGGCUUGAAAUUUGAUGGCAGUGUCCUUAAUGGAUAUGUGUCCCAAUGAAGAUAUCUCAAUUUUUUAGGAAGAUAAUAUAGGCCUUUUGGAAGCUGCACUUUAGAGUAUGAAAGUUGCUCUUCAAUACUCAUACUUAGAAGCUUUUCAAUCCCAUAAAACUUAGGUACAUAAAAUUUGAGCAAUCUCAUAUUAGACAUAUUUGUGAAGGCUCCGGGGUCUAAAUUGAUGCCUUUUAUUUUGGACAAAUCCAAAAAUAUGCCUUCAAUUGCAUCAAUCCCCUUAUAUAAAAAAAAAAAAAACAAAGAAUGGGUAAGCUUAAAACUCAAAAGAAACAUUCGUAAACUUUACUAAGAGCUCCUUAAACAAAAACAAAUUCUGCAAUCUUUGAUUUAAUUUUUUUAAUAUAUUAAAUAUCUAUAUGUGAGAAAAGAAAAUUUUGGGGACCAUUGCAAAAUUCAACUAACUGAAAAAAAAAAUUCAAAAUUUCUCUAAUUUACAAACCUGUUAUCUUAAUAUCUAGAAGUUGAGAAGACAGGGCCUAUUUGAUUGGUAUAAGAUUUCGAUUUUUUUUUAGUCCAUAGAAUCCAAAAUGUUAGUUCAAAAUUAGGGAAAAAAGUCAUUUUUUUCCACCAACUGUAAUUGUAUCCAAGUCAAAUUGAGAUACGACCCUUUUCGAAAGGAUUUAACCAUCUUAUAGCCUCCUUAAGGUACAUUUAAGCUAAAAGGAGUGAUUGGAGGCAGUUCUAGGUGGGCCAAUCAGUCCAUUUUAUUAGUGACGUUUGCUUAAAAAAAAAAAUUAUACUCUAAAACACACUUUUUUUUUUUUAAAAAAAUAUAAUUAUAUUGAAGUAAAACCCGGUGGGCCAAUCCUCAUGGCACUCACUUUGUUCCGACACUCUUCACUAAAUUUGAAGAAAAAUAAAAUUAUACUCUUCACACUCUUAAUCAACAUUCCAAAAUUGAUUAAAUCUGGAGUUUUCUUUAAAAAUUUAAAAUUUGAAGAUUUGUUGUCUUGACACCCUCAGUCAUUAAUUUUACCUAAUUAUGGUUUUUAUGAUUUUGAUUGUUUUGUUCAUAAAAAUGCUUUUACUAAAGGAUGUUCUGGUAAUAAUAAAAUUUAUAAAAAACACAUGGGUGUGCUGGUAUGGUUGGAAAAAUAUGAGUGCAUAACUCCAAACAAAUAAAAGAUAUAUAAAAAAAAGAUGGAGGAUUCUUACCUUAUUAUGCUUUAGUACGCGGCGGAUUUCCUUAGGAUCCCACAACCUACUGCGUCUGCCUGGCUCUUCCUCAGAUUCUUGGCGAACAAUCUCUCGACCCAUUUCUUGCAAUAAAUCAUGCAUUUGCAAGCAGUUAUUUGACACUGUUAUGAGUGACUUGUCCACGAGGGCAUCUAGUUUGUGAGACCCAGAAUCAUCAAGUAUCCUCGACACAAAAUCUUUAUCCUCUCCCUCAAGGAAACACGCAAUAUCUAGAAACAUACUCUUCUGCUUGCGUGUUAAUUCAUUAAAACUAAUCUUUAAUAUAUCAUAAAUAUUAUGAAUAUCAGAUUCACAAAUCCGAUUUAAGUCGUUCAAUACAUUUUCCCAACGGCUUUUAUCCUUGAGGGAGGAACCCAACACUUUAAGAACUAAUGGAUUGCCAUCGGCAUACUCUACAACCCUCUGUGAGUGCCAGUUGAGAUCUUCAGCACAAUGCUUUUCUUUAAAAGCGAAGUUACAAAAAUGCUCGAAAGCCUCAUCAAAUUUCAAUCCAUUGACCCUAUAUAUUUUCUCCACUCCAAAUUUUUCGAGGACUCGUUUAUCCCUAGUGGUUACAACAAUUCUACUUCCUGGACCAUAUUGAUCAAGCCCUCCAAUCAAACCCUCUAAUUGUUCAUCUUUAUUCACAUCAUCAAGUGCAAUCAACACCUUCAUGCGUCGGAGCCUCCCUUUAGUAAAUUGUGGAAUGUUGGGACCAUCUACUUCAAGUUUUUCACUUAAUAUUGUCGAAAGCAUUUCCUUUUGUAGCUCUUCUAGGCCACCCCCUGUUUCUGAUUUUCUCCUAACAUUUUUUGCAAAGUAUUUUCCAUCAAACUCACCAGAGAAUUGAUCGAAAAUAGCUUCAGCAAGGGUGGUUUUGCCUAUACCACCCAUGCCCCAAAUUCCAACAAUUUGGACAGUAUCCCACAAAUCCAUGCACAGCAAUGGUUUAAUCUGCUCAAUUCGUGAAUUUAAUCCAACCAGGCCAUUGGAUGAGUCCGUUGAGACUGUUAUUUUUUCCAACUUCUUCAAAACAUCUUCGACAAUUUUGUUUACAAGUUGCGCAUCAUGCCUAAUAUGAAGGUGCAAAGAUGCAAAAACAUUGAGUCAAAUCGGGCCAACACAGAAACAGAGAUAAGAUGAAUUAGGAAAGAGAGUUACCUGAAUUUUGUGGAUUCGUGGCCAGCUAGAUGGGAUGUUUCUUUCAGUGCAUCCCUCCACUUUUGAACCAUUUCUGGUUUCUCUUUGAGCUGCUGUUCUAGCUUGUAAAAACCGUCCCCAAAAACUCCGGUUUGAUGCCGCACAUCAGAUGGACUUACUUCAUAGAAGACUGGAAUAAUAAUUUGGCCGUUUGUGUUCUUGCAUUCAAGAAUCUUGACAAGUUCAUUUAGGCACCAUUUUGAAGAAGCGUAGUCCUUUGAGAAAAUGACCACCGAAAUUUUUGAACCUUCGAUUGCGUUCAAAAGAGCAGGUGAAAUCUCAUCUCCUCGCCUAAGCUCUUCAUCAUCAAUAAACGUUUUGAUUUUCGUUCUUUCAUUCAAAUUAUAAUAGAGAUGGCAUGUAAAGCUCACGCGAGUGUCCUCUCCUCUGAAACUGAGGAAUACAUCAUAAUUGCAACAAGAAGAAGAGGAAGCCAUGAAGGAAAUUUUAGAAAUUUGGUGACAGAAACAGAGAAUUAAUCUUGAGAGUUGAGAGGGGAUAUGUAAGAAUGAAAAUGCGUAAAUAGUAAAUAAUUGAAUUAAUCUGGCGAGUACAUAGUAAAUAAUUGAAUGGCCGGGGCUUUCUUAGUUUCCUGGAAAUUUCCUGGAGCUUUCGUAUACAUGAUUUGUCAAGUCAAGAAACAUA
rnacentral:lncRNA from 1 species